rnacentral:lncRNA from 1 species
AUCUCUGUACUUUUAUCAGUGUACUUUGCUCACCACCUAUCCACAGUGUACAAUACAUAAUUCACCACAUUAAUACUUGACCAUUAUAAAAUCAAUUUAGGCUCGGUAUAUAUGCAUGAUAUGAUAUACAACUUAUCCGACUACCGCUUAAAUGCGGUGUUGACCUAAUUCGGCCUAUUAUCUCCAAUUUAACUCCAAAUCAUUUCUUCUCACUUUUUACACUCCAAUUAUAACUAAAUUACCUCCAUGAUUGUGAAUGAGAUUCAAUUUAUCAGUCUCGGUAGUAAAUUACAAAAAUACCCCUAGUGGGUAAAAAUCGUAUUUUUGCUCCUAAAAUUUCCAUUAUUUUUUUAGGCUCAUAAUUCAUCAUUUCUUAACCAAUUCUCCUAAAAUGAAAAUCAAAUCUAUCCUCACUCAACACAUGAUAAAUUCGGCCAUUAAUGAUUGUGGAAGAAAAUAAAUUCUUUUCUUGUUGUUUUGUUUCUAAAUAUGCUAAACUAACUUAAAACACUAACAUAACUUAAAAUCAAAUUAAUUUAACANUGUUCUAGGAGUCGAUGUACUCCUAAUCCUAGUCUCCAAGCACAAUCUCUGUACUUUUACUAGUGUACUUUGCUCACCACCUAUCCACAAUGUACAAUACAUAAUUCACCACAUCAAUACUUGACCAUUAUAAAAUCAAUUCAGGCUCGGUAUAUAUGCAUGAUAUGAUAUACAACUUAUCCGACUACCACUUAAAUGCGGUGUUGACCUAAUUCGGCCUAUUAUCUCUAAUUUAACUCCAAAUCAAUUCUACUCACUUUCUACACUCCAAUUAUAACUAAAUUACCUCCAUGACUGUGAAUGAGAUUCAAUUUAUCAGUCUCGAUAGCAAAUUACGAAAAUACCCCUAGUGGGUAAAAAUUCAUAUUUUUGCUUUGAAAAUUUUCAUUAUUUUUCUAGGCUCAUAAUUCAUCAUUUCUUAACCAAUUCUUCUAAAAUGAAAAUCAAAUUUAUCCUUACUCAACACAUGAUAAAUUCGGCCAUUAAUGAUUGUGGGAGAAAAUAAAUUCUUUUCUUGUUGUUUUGUUUCUAAAUAUGCUAAACUAACUUAAAACAUUAACAUAACUUAAAAUCAAAUUAAUCUAACAACUUUCUCUCUCCUAACCCAUUUUUCAGAAUUGAAUUCAUCAUAAUAACUCAAUAUUCAACCAUGAAAAUCAAGAACAAAAGCAUGGGUAAGCUAGGUAUCAAGGAGAACUAAAGAAAUUCUAACUUACCUAGCUUGUUUCCUUGAUUUUUUCACUUUUUCUUUGAAUUUUCCACCUAGGUUUUCUUGUUUUUUCCUUUGUUCUUCCUCUCUUUCUCUCUCUUCCUUGCUUGGCCGGCCAUAUGAAGAAAAUGAGCUGAUUUUAUGCCUUUUUAAUAAGAAACAAUAAAAUAAUAAAGGUAUGACACAUGUCAUUUUCUUAUUGGUCCAUUUUUAAAAUUUUAAAAUUUUAAUCCUUUUUAUCUCCACCACACAAUUAGUCAAUGGUCAAAAUGAGGAUAAAGGAAGACCAUGUGCUGGAAAAAUGUCCUGGUGGUGAAAAAUUACAAUUUUACCCCUGGGGUGGCAAAAUUACCAUUUUACCCUUUUACUCCAAAUUAUACCGAAAUUAAAAUUUUUCACUUCUAAACCUCAAAUCUUACUCCAACAAGUCAAAUUAUACUCCAAUAAGUCAAAUGGGGCCAAAAAAAUCUUUUCUAAAAUUUUCAUUUUGUCCUCAGGUGGCAAAUGACCAUUUUACCCCUGGAUAGCGAAAAUUCUGGUUUGACUCCAAAUUGAUCCUCAAACUCCGAAUCACCAUAUUAAACCAUUCUAGGACUUUAAACUUCUUAAUUUCAUCAUAAAUUCUCUAUUUGAUCUAGUUUGAGGGUUAAAUCAACUUUAUUGUACCUCUAGGUACAAUACCGAUUUUUAUAAAUUUUUCGGGACUCUACUAGCAUGCAAACAUGCUAUCCAUCACUUGUAUGUCAUGAUAAAUAUUUUUAUAGAGUUGGGCUUGUCAUCUUCUCCCCCACUUGGAUCAACCAUAUGAUCCUUCUUCUUGAUUGACUUCGACAUCCGGCUAAAUAUUAUUAUUUUAAUAUUAUUUUAUUAAUAAAAUAUUAUUUUAUUCUAAGAAUUUUAUCUUGUCUCCUUGGUACCUGAAAUACCUUAUUAUGCCUCACUUGACUUCUGAAUCGCCUUUUAUCUCACAAAUUCUUCUCUGAUAAAAUUAUUAUUAUUUUAUUAUUAUUUUCUCACUUGCAAAAUAUUUUAUUCUAAACUACUCCUUUCGUCUUUUAUCACUUCUAAACAUUUUAAUUGACCUCAAUUUGUAUUCGAUCAACUUUAUUUAUCAACAUAUCAAAGUAUGGGGUAUUUCAAAAACAGUUGGUUUAGCAUGUAGAGCAAACUUGUCAUAUGGCUUGCUAUUUAUAUGCCCAUAACAAAGACAUCCAAAGCUUCUCAAAUGAUCACAUGUGGGACUUUUUCAAGUAAAACCUCAUAUGGAGUUUUAUUUUGUAAAAUAGUGAAUGGCAUGCAGUUGAUCAAGUAUGCGGCAGUAAGAACACAUUCACCCUAAAACGAAAUAAGAAGAUGAGCUUGAAAUCAUAAUGCUCGUGCAACUUCUAAAAAAUGCCUAUACUUUUGCUCAAUAACUUUAUUCUGUUGCGAUAUGUCUGUAUAGCUAGAUUGACGUUUCAUGCCAUGAUCAAAAUAAUGAGUCAUUAAAUCAUCAUGAGUAAAUUCUAAAUCAUUGUCUAUCCAUAGAAUUUUAACUCGUAAGUUAAAUUGUGUGUAAACCCAAUUAAAAAAUUACAAUAGAUACGUUUUGGUUUCAUACUUGUAUUUCAAGAAGAAGGCCCAUGUUGCUUGACUAAGAUCAUCCACUAUGGUUAGAAAAUAGUGAGAUCCAGAAAAUGAUUUUGUUUUUUAUGGGCCCCAAAUAUCACAAUGUACUAAGUCAAAGGUAUGCAUAAUCUUAUUUUUAUUGAUAAGAAAAGAUAAUCCUGCUUGUUUUGCUUUACAACAAGCAUCACAAAAUAAAGUAUUCUUGCAAUCCAAAGAAAUGGAUAAAUUAAGAACCAAAGGAAUGCGAUUAUUGGUAGAUGCCCCAAGCAUCGAUGCCAUAAAGUUGCAUGAAUCGAAUUGCUGGCUAUCAAUGCCCUCUCCUUUCUUAUCGGCUCCAAGUAAUGAAAGCCAUUAUGCUCUCUACCCAUUCCAAUAUGCGUCAUCGAGGGUAAGUCUUAAAUCACAGAAAAAUUCGACCAAAAAGUUACUAUAUAAUGUAAAUCAUGUGUCAAUUUACUUACAGACAAUAAAUUGAAACAAGAAUUAGGGGCCCCAGAGCUCACUCAAGGAUUAAUCUUUUUCCAAAAGCAACUUCGCCCAAAGCAUGAACCUCUAUUGUUUCACUGUUAUUAAUUUGUACUGGUGGUAUAUUGGGUCGAGAUACCAUAUUUGAUAAAGAGUCUAUGUUGUGGGUUAUAUGAUUUGUGGCUCUUGUUUCUACAACCCAUUCAUUGUUUCUUUUACCGAAAAAAUUAGAGGUUGCCAUGUUUGUAGAUGGGUUACUUAUUGGUGCUCCAUGACUAUUUAGUAAAGUUAAUAGUUAUUGAUGCUGGGCAUAAGUCAAACAUGGGAUAGGCAAUCCAACUGCAUCCAUGGUGGCGGCACAAGUAGCUCCUGAAGACAUGCUUGUCACUACAUUGCUAUCCCAUUAAUUUCCUCGAGAAUACGAUUGAUCACUAUUUAUUUUUUUGCUACUCCACUUUCUAGAUUUACGCUAAUCUGGAUAACCAAUCACCUUGAAACAAUAUUCUUUGCUAUGGUUUGUCUUCCCACAAUGGAUACAGGAUGGAAAUCAGCUAUGACUCCCAUCAUCAUUUUUCUUUUGUCGUAAAUUAUUUUCUAUAGUGAAUAGGGUAGUAACUUCAAUGAUGGGUGCAUGAGUUGUAGUGACCAAACGUUACUUCUCUUUCUAUGUUGCAAUGGCGUAUGCUCUUCCAAGAUUUGGCAAUGGGUCAACACUUAAUAUUUGUGACCGCACAGUUGAAUAUACUUCAUCAAGUCCCAUAAAAAAAAAAAUCAAAAACCUUUUCUUCCUUACACAUAGAUUGCAUCCUUUUCGUCGCACCAUAGGUAUAUCCACAUUUGCAUGACGGGAUUGGAUUGAGACCCUAUGACUCACCCCAAAUGGUUUUUAAUUUGCCAUAAUAGCACGAGAUCAAGGAUUUUUCUUGUUGUAAAAAGGCUAUGGUGUGUUUCAACUUGUAGACUUUCGAUGCAAUUUUUUAAGUAAAUCUUUCUUUUAAAUCUACCCGUAUUUCUCUUGUAGUUUCAACAUGAGCAGCACUACCUUGAAGCUCCUUAGCAAGUGCAUUUGUAAGUCAUGAAAGAACCACUGCAUUGCAUUGUAUCCAUGGCUGUAAAUCUAGAGAAUCAACAUGUGGUUUUUUUAUCGUUCCAUCCACAAAACCUGUUUUGUUUUUAGAAUAGUGCGCAUCCAUAAAGCUAUACCUCCACGUGAAAUAGUUAUCUCCAUUUCCAUUGAGAAGGUGCAUCACAAAAAUCAAGCUUGGAUGAUUGACGAAUGCAAGUAGUAUGGAGAAGUGGCAUCAAUAACCUUGCUUUGAUUAGCACUCGCAGUCACCACAAAUUCUUUUAUACUCUUACCUUUGUCAUUAUUUGCAUAUUCUCUUGCCAUUUAAAAAAAAAAAGAAUCAGGGUUUCAUAACCUGCUGUAAUAUCAUGAAAAUUGAAAUGACUCAAAAUAAUAGAGUCAGAAAAACCCUUGCCCUUCAUUAACAAGAUGAAGACACACACACACACACACAUAUACAUAUAUAUAUAUAUAUAUACAUGGCUUGCUUAGAGUACAAGUAAAGUAAAUAAUAUAAAAUGAAGUUUUUUAAUCUUAGACUUCUUUGGAGUGCAAGUAAAGAAAAGGCUUAAUAAGAAAAAAUUAUAUAAAAGAAUAAAUCUCAUAAAUAAAAGAUCCUCCAAUAAGUAUUAUGAUAGUUGUUACAGAAGUGAGUUAGUAAGGAAUGGAGAUAAGGUGCCAAUGAUAAAGAUUGGGCAAUUAUUAGGAGGAUUUUUCUUUUCUUGAAAGAGGUUUAUGAUAUGAUUGUGAAUGUUUCAAGUACAUCUUAUGUCAUUGUCAAUUCUUUCCUUGAUUCUAUUUUUGAUGUGUAUGACACUUUGAUUGAAUGGGAACAAAAUGAUGAUGUUGAUUUGAGGUCUAUGGCAAUGAGAAUGAAAGCUAAAUUUGAUAAGUAUUCAGGGAAUAUGGAAAAAAUGAAUUUGGUGAUGUACAUUGCCUUGAUUCUUGAUCCUAAGAAAAGCUUGCUUAAGUUGAAUUUACUAUGCAAGAUAUGUAUUCUACUGAGCAAGUUAUAUUAAUGUUUUCUUUGAUGAAAAGAACAAUGGAUAAAUUGUUUCAAUAUUAUAAAACUAUGUUGCAACCUCAACCUCAAUCUCAUGUUGGUGAAAGUGGUCAAGAGUCUCAAAUGUCAAUGAGACAAGCCAUCGGUGGUGAAGGUGGGCAUGGUAGUGUUGUUGUUUCAAGUGGUAAGAAGCCAUUAACUACUAAGAAAAGAUUAGGUGCUUUUAAGAGGCAUCAGUUAAACAGUGGCAUAGAGGAGUAGAAAUCGAAAUUAGAUAAAUAUUUAUUUAAGCCAGUGGAUGAUGAUGAGGAUAUUGACUUUGAUGUUCUCAUGUGGUGGAAACUCAAUCAACAUAGGUUUCCUAUACUUGCUGUUAUUGCUCAUGAUGUAUUGGCGGUUCCUUUAUCAACAAUUGUUUUCGAAUCCGCUUUUAGUACCAGUGGAUGUGUGCUUGAUGCAUUUAGGAGUUUUUUUUACUUUUAAAGUAGUGCAAACAGUUAUUUGUGCUUAAGAUUGGUUAAAUGGAAAAACACGUGGUAAUCCGAAGCAGAUUAAGGAUGAUUUGGACGAGAUCGAUAAACUUGAUUUUAGUAAUUAUUUCUUUGUUUCUUUAGUUCUUUGUUUAAUUUACCAUAAUAUAGUAUCUUUUUUUUUAAAUUGUUUCUUUGUUUCUUUAGUUCUUUGAUUAAAGAUUCUACCAUAUUUAUUAUUUUAUUUUUUAAAUUUGUCAAAGAUUACAUUAAAGCUCAUACGUGAAAUUAAGGCUGAGUCCGAGUCUGACUCUGAGUAAUGUGUUAUUCCUAUCGGCUAUUUUAAUUCUUCAAGUAAUAUUAUCAUUAAAUGUUAUGUAUAUUUAUAUUUAUAAUUUAUUUUUAUUAUCUUAACAGAAUCAUUUAUACUUAUUAUUUUAUAUUUUAACAUUUUUAGGAACAUGUUUUGAAAAAUUAUUAAAUUGGAGUUGGAGGUCCAAGGUCUAUCAAAUCUAUGUUUUGAAGUUUAGUAAUUUAUGUUGUGUAACUUUUAACUUUUAUGGAUUUGUAAUAUGUACAAUUUAUUAAUUUAUGUUGUACUUCUCACAUUUUUUUUAUACUGGAAAUUCACACAGGGCUUAGCUACCUUGUUAAAUUUUAUUAAUUAUGAAAUAAAAAGUACAAAAGAGGGGGACCUAAACUGUACCUUUAAGUUACAUGAUCAUGAGAAAAUUUCGGAUAAGCACCUAGAGUAAGGAAAAUCAUUUUACGUGUAUAACUUUUGAUGGUACAGUAAAACAGAUAUUCCCUACUAUUACAUUGAGUCAAUAAACUAAAUAAAAUUAAAAACAGAAAAUGUAAAUAAGAAAAGCACCUAGAAUCGAGUGUUUCAUUUUAUGACCAUAAUUUUUACUAUCGUCAUAAAAUUGAAACACAUCCAUAUUACAAAAUUCUAUGUGAAUAGCAAAAUAAGAAAAGUAAACUAGGAGUAUUACUCCUUUACAUUCAUUUAAAGCGAACAUAAGGUAAACUAACUUUAUCUAAUCUAAGAAUACCUCUAAGUUGACCUUCUGCUUGUAAAAAUACUUGCAGGUUCUGGUGCGUAUGCCCCUGAUUUGAGAGAUGGUCUGCUACCUGGUUCCCUUUUGAUGGAUGUGCGAAAUCCUAAAAGAAAUACCACUCAAGGAUUUGUGAAUGGAAGCAAGCAAAUACCGAGUCCUAGAGGAUCCCUGAUGACCCUUAUUUAUCAUGUGAACCACUAUUUUUGCAUCCAUUUCUAUCCAGAGUCUAGUAAUAUUGUACUCAAUACACAAAAGUAAACCCUUGUGUAGUGCCAUUAACUCUGCUUGUAAUGAAUCAUACGGGUCGAAAUUUUCAAAAAAUUAAAAAAUCAUGGUACCUAUAUGGUCUUGAAGGAGUCCUCCUCCAACAGCAUUCUGAAAAUUAUGCUUGGAACUGCCAUCAACAUUCAACUUAAACUUACCUACUGAUGGUUUAUGCCAAGAGAAUUUUUUGGACGAUGUGGGAUUGCCUGCUGAAAUGUUAGACCGCAUGCCUGAGCAAUCUAUAAGUCUCCCCUCCAUUGCCACCAGUGGAAUUGCCUUCCAUGAAAUAAUUGGUGGAUGAAAUUAAUAAUAAAAUGAAAAAGAAAAUAUAUAAAAUAUAUUAAAUUGGCUAAAAAAAUUAAAUAAAAUGAAAAAGAUAAGGGAAGAAACAAUUUCAUAAAUUGUACAUAAUAUGAAAUCCAAUUUAGUUAGUUAUGGGAUGCAAUUAAUCUAAAUGUAAGAAGUACAACAUAUGAGCUUAGCACAAUUUUAAGUCUAAACCCAAUGCAAUUUUUUCAAUUUUUAUCAGUUUUGUACCAUUUUAGUCCAAGCCCAUCUCAACUUUCAACUGACCAAAACCGGCCAAUGCUCUGUCCUAAACAUAUCAGUAUAAUUAUUUUUACUAAGAUAUUAUAUUUUUUAAUUUAAUAUAAAAUAGUUAAGAUUAAUUAAAAAUAUUUUAUAUAAAAUAAGAAAUAAGUUUUUCACACAUGAAAUCCUUUCUUUAAUUUUAAUUUCUAAUUUAUGAUUUAUUGACAUAAUAAACAAAUCAAUAUAAUAAUAUGAUGAGAAAUAAAUAAAUAAAUAAAAAUAAUUAAACAUUAUUUUAUAUAUAAUGUUUUUAACGUUGAAACAAAUGUUUUAAAUGUAUUGCAUAAUUGAGUAAAGUUAAAAUUUUUACUGUAUUAUAAAAGAAAAUAUUUUUUAUAAGAUGAUUCAACUAAUUGAAAAUAUUUUUAGUAAUUUAACUAAAUAAUAAAAAAUAUUAAAUUUUUCAGUAAAAUAUUUUACAUAAUCUUUUUAGUUAUUGAACGGAUGCGAAGUCGAAGAAUGGAAAAACCUUGAGAGGCGAAUCGAUUAAAGCUGUAGUGGGCCAUGGCGCUUUUAGCUGUCCUUCAGCCUCCGUCCAUAGAUUCAACCUGUGGGACCUACAAAGAGCCCAAGCCCAAAUCCUUAAAACAGAUGUUUGGUGACUAUUCGGCUCUUUCGAAUGACUUGACCCUCUUUCCAUUGAACAUUUACCAGAUAUCCAAGGAUUUCAUUUUAUGUGAGGCCAAAACCUUGGGAGGGCAAACAAGGAGCAAAUUGCAAAUCCAAGUAAUAUUCUACCCUAAAUAAUUUUGGAGAAUUUUCCCGGACGCAUACUCCGAAUGCCCAGAUCGAUCGGCGUUGCAUAGUUUUGAAGAUAUAUACACAAACUAUUCACGUUUUAGAUCCGUCCCAAAUGUCCAUUCUUCUUUAUACAAAUCAGCAGACUUUUCGUUUGAUGCUAAAAGCAAAUUUUAGUUAGCCUUGUAGAAAUGUAGGCGGCAGAGAGUUGGAAAUAAUAUUGGAACUAGAAUGUCAAAGAUGAGUGUUUACUGUGUUUCUAAAUUGGCUGCUGUUGCAUUUGUUCGGCUAUGACUUUCUCUUGAAAAUUAGCAUUAAACAAAAGAAAACAGAGUCCAUUCUUCAAUAGUAGAUUAAUUAUAUGCAUAGAAAAGCAUUUCCCACUACCCUUUUUUCUGGUCUAAUACAAACGGCAUUUAAAUCCGACCGCUGUCUCUUGCUCUGUUUCAUUGUAUAUAUCAAUCCCCUCUGUCGCACAAAUUCUGUUAAGGCAGUUGAAACAACCAAAAGGAAGUAACGAUGCGAUCUUCGGAGAAAUGUUUCGAGUGUUUGAGGCUUGUCAUCGUCCUUUUUCUUCUGUUACUGGCCAAGGCUUCUAUGGGAGGAUGCAUCCGGCCAAUAAACAAAGGUACUAAAAGUUUUGGACAUUUGUUCGACACUCAGCUUCCUCGAGGGCCAGUGCCUCCGUCAGGGCCUUCUCCAUGCCAUAACAAGCUGGAUCCUUACGAUUACCGCAAGGUCUCCUACUCCAAUGGUUAUAUCAUUUGCCCAUGAUGAUCAUAGAGUAUUUUUGUUCAUUUCUCUUGUGUCUUUUUUUUUUCGCAGCAUGCAUGGGAAAAGAAAUCAGCAGUCAGUAUUUUAAAGUAGUUAUCAAUUGUAGCAUUCUUUAUUGGAAAGUUGUUUGUUUAUUAUUUCAAAGAUUGCCCAAAUUAAAUUAAUCCAAUCAAAUGCAGAUGCAUCGAGAUAUAAAUCUGUUGCUUAUAUCUGGCCUUUACAUAUGUCCUUGCAAUAUUAGAACUUACAAAAAAAUGUUAAUGUCAUCAGUUCUACUUCCACGAAUUAACAAACUGAAAUAUGAUGAUUGAGAUGAUUAGGAUGCCUAUCUAGGAAAUUAUCGAAUUCUUGUUUUCUUAUCACGUAUAAUUUAAAAAAAAAAAAGGAAACUCUAAUUCAGCUUUAUAAGCAAAGAUAUAUAUAUAUNAUAUAUAUAUAUAUAUAUAUAUAUAUAUAUAUAUAUAUAUAUAUAUAUAUAAUUGAAUGAAAUAUUUAUAUAAAAAAUUACUUAAGUUUUGAACAUUUAAUCACUUACAGAAGAAAUUUGCUAUUUGAUGCCAUGGCAAGUGAAGGUGAGCAUCGGUUGAUUUCGAUUUUGAGAGAAAUCAAAACCUAUCAAAUCGAUUUUCCUUAAUAAUUGACCGAGGAUGAUUCCUAAAACUGAUCAAAACUAGGAAGGGCAUACCUUAAAUGUGCAGACUCCUAAAACUAAUAUCUUCAAUCAAAUAGUUGCUGUUGAUCGAGCUAGAUUAAGUUGUUCUUCUAAUAUAGCUUCCAAUCCUUUAUAUGUUGAAUUAUGUAGAAAAUGGGGAAUUAGCUUAUUAGAGGCUAUGCACACAUGAUAGUAGCCUGAUCAGUUAAAUAGAAGCUUGAUUAGUUAGGGUUAUUCAGUAAUUAAUUAUUAUUUUUAAAUUAAAGAGAAUAUUAUUGCAAAAUUGGAAUUAUCUAGGAGGAUAAAUCCCAAAUCAAAGAAGUACAUCAAAAAACAAAACCCUGAGAACCAUAAAACAGAAAUAACAAAACCCAAAAGGAAACAGAAGAAAACAAAAAACCGAACAAUUCUUGAACAAACAAAAAAAUAAAGAAAAAAUAGAGGCAACAGAGUAGAAUCAAAAGCAACAAGAAGCAAAGACUAGAUAAAAAACAAAUAGAGCUAAAAAAAGGUCAAGCUCGUGACAAUAGAGCAUCAAUUGUAGGCUAUCAAUAAAUCCACCACCCUUUGCGAGACGAUCGGCUAAAUGAUUGGCAGAUCUUGGAGCAUGAAUAAUAGACCAUGUAGCCACUUCUUUCUUAAAACUAGAGAUUAUGUUCAUAAUUCUAAUCAUUUUCCAAGGAGCCUUAUCAGAACAUUACAUUUAAGAAACAACAUUGAUAGAAUCUGAUUUUCAUGAGUAGUAAUCUAUUGAGAUGCAGUAAACAAAACAAAAGCUUCUUUAAUCACAAGAAUCUCAGCCCAUUUCGAGUUACCCACACCAAUAGAUUUUGAAAAUAAAAUUUUAGCAUGACCACCAUCUCUCAAAGUACACCUCCAACACUAGAUUCACCCGAAAAUCCUCUCGUAGCUCAAUCAACAUUAAAUUUUAAGAUAUCUUUUAAAUGAGGUUUCCAUGUCAUCUUUUUCCUACUAGUACCGCAAUAAAUAGAAGUAAAAAGCAUUAGACAGAGCCCUCAUCAUAUACAGAAUUAAGGAAUUAUCCUUUGACCAUUUCGCCAUCGUCUAUUGCCUAACUCUCAACUUAGACAUAUCAAAAACUUGCUAACUAUCCAAAACCUUACCAUUAAAGACAAUUUCAUUCUUGUGGAGUCAAAUGAACCAAAUAAUGAAAAAGAAAGCCAUGUGCCAAAUCAAAACAUUGCUCCUUGACAACAAAAAAUCAUUCCAAAUAACAAAGAAAGAAACAAUAUCCCUAAGACCCACCUAAUUAAUACCCCAUUCUUUAUACCACGAAGACUAUAAAAGCCAACUCUCUCUACAAUUAAUAAAUAAAUGAUCAAUCAUUUCCACCUCAUCAUUACAUAUGGCACACAAAGCCGAAUUUCCAUAAAUCAAUCCUCUCUUUAGUAAUUCGCCUUUAACGGCCACCCUCCGUUUCAACAACUGCUAACAAAAAAUUUAAAUUUUAGGUGGAGCAAGAUUAGCUCAAACCAGCUUCCAUAUACUAUCUCUAAAAUCAUGACCACUAUUAAGCGCAUUACAAGAAGAUUUAGGCGAAUAGAACCACUAGUGUUGUCCUUUUAAAUAAGCUUAUCUCGCACGCCCUAAAUGAGAGGAUUAUCAUUAAGAAGAUUAUAAAAUGAAAACCUUUUUCUUAACUUAACAUCCCAUAACCAAAUCUCAUCAAUCCACUUUCCGAAAUCAACCAACUUUUCUUCUCUAAGCAAAGCAAGUGCAUAAAUCCUUUAAAAGUCAUUACUUAUCCACUUAUCUUAGUAGAAACUAAUAUUAAGACCAUUUCCCACAACAAAAUUAAUCUUUCAAAUUAUUAGCAUAAGUACCAUUAGAAGAAAGAGCAUUAAUUAUGUUUUUCAAGACUAAGGAAGAAUUCUUGUUACUUGAAUUUUUUAGAAGCAAGCUCAUCAAGUCACCAUCAUUCCUUUCCACGAUCACUCGCUUCUAUCAACUAUCAAAUUCAUCCCCGAAUCUCCAUCACCAUUUAUUAAGAAAAGUGUAAUUUUCAAGCGAAAUUACUAGUUGGUUACUGACUUUACAUGUAAAAAUUCCUUUCGGCAAGUAUAUAUACUACAUUUCGUAAUUGGCUAUAAAGUGAUGAAAAUAAUCACAAUUUCCUUAAGAUUAAUUGUCUUCUUUUUCGACAAAGCUUACAUGGUAUUGAGCGGGUUUUAAGGUUUCUUGGCUAUGAUUUUUUUCACAAAUUCAAUGCUCCUCAAUUUACAAAAUCAAUACUUACAAUUUUAAUCUUUCUCUAAUGGCAACUCCAUCUGAUUUCUUAUCUUGAAUGUCCUCAUUUGCCAUAUUUUUUACAUCAAUUCGAUUACCGAAGCAAAUAUGUGUCAUAGAACUGAUCCUUUAUGCUAUCGUCAUCAAUCAAAAAUAAAUUAAGUUUUGUCAAGUUUUCAACCCAAAAGACAUAAUAGGUGAAAAAAAGUCCAUGUUUAUAUAUCUAAGACCCAUUCCAUCUUUUAUUGAUGUGGGAUCUAUGACAUACCCCAUCUAAUUGUGCAACGCCUUUAUUGCACUGACUCUUUACCCGUAAAUGAAAAGGAACCUUUACCCGUAAAUGAAAGGGAACCUUACAUUGGUCUGCGUCUACCUCAACCUUUGUAACUCUCAUAGAGAUCUCACAUCAGUGAAGAUCUAGAUUUGCUAUGAUACUAUUUGUCACAAGCCCAUGUUUUCAACCUAUAAGACAUGCUUGAUAGAUGGAGGAAGGUCUAUGUUUAUAUACUCAAUACCCACCACAUCUUUUAUUGAUGUGGGAUCUGUGACAUUCUACCCAAUCUAAUUGUGCAACGUCCUCAUUGCACUAGCUUUUUACCCAUAUAAGUGAGGGAUCUUUACACUAGUUUGAGUCUAUCUCGACCAUUAUAUCUUUCGUGAGGGCCUAACAUCAGUGAAGAUUUGAAUUUGCUCUAAAACCCUUUGUCACGGGCCCAUGUUUUCAAUACAAAAGACAUGCUUGAUAGGUGGAGGAUGAUUCAUGUUUAUAUACCUAAGACCCACACUAUCUCUUACUGAUGUGAGAUUUGUGACAUUUUACCCCAUCUAAUUAUGUAAUACCCUCAUUGCACUAACUCUUUGCCUUUAGAAGAAUGGGAUCUGUACAUUGAUAGGUCAACCUUGACCCUUGUAUCUGUUAUAGGGUCCCACAUUAGUGAAGAUCUAGAUUUGCUUUGAUACUAUUUGUUAUGGGUUAAAGUUUCCAACCUAAAAGACAUGCUUGAUAAGUGGAAGAAUGUCCAUGUUUAUAUACCUAAGACCCACCCCAUCUUUUAUUGAUGUGGAAUCUAUGACAUUUUACCCAACCAAUUGUUUGUCAUGAGCUUAUUUUUCCAACCUCAAAGACAUGCCUUAUAUAUGAAGGAAGGCCUAUGUUUAUAUACUCAAGACCUACCUUAUAUCUUACUCAUGUCAACAUUCUAUCCUACCCAAUUUUGUAAUGCCUUAGUUGUGUUAGCUCUUUACUUGUGGAGGAAAAGAACCCUUAUAGUAGUUUGGGUCUACUUUGACUCUUUUAUCUUUUAUGAGGAUCUCACAUCAAUGAAGAUCUAGGUUUGUUCUGAUACCAUGAAGAAAAACUCAACAAAGAAAAAGAAUAGUAAGAAGUGAAAAUAAAGGAUUUGUUAUUUUCUCUCAUGUGUUUUGAUGCAGAAAGUUCUCUGCUUUUAUAGAAUACAUGAUCUGUUUAUAUGAAAAGUUUUCCUAAUGGUACAAAGGUAAUUUUGUGUUGAUUUUUAGCACAUAUGAGUUAUGAUUUUGGGAUACUUGUUGUAUCUCUGUAGAGUUGAUUUUGUGUUGAUUUUUAGCACAUGUAAGCUAUGAUUCUAGGUUGUUGUUUAUACAUUUGUAAAUGUGAUUUUGUAUUGAUUUUUAGCACAUGUGAACUAUGGUUAUAAUGUUGUUACUAUUUUCUUCAUGAUGGUGCAGUGGGCUACCUUGUAAUGAGUAAUCUACUUCUAUAGAUGGAACAAUACAAAAACUUAGUGCACGUUUGGGACAGGCAAUAGCUAAGCUAUUCCUUGUCUAUUCCCAUGUUUUUGCUCUACCUCCAUUUGGUACAGCAAUGGCACAAAGAAUAGCUAUUAUCUAGUAAUAGCUAUUCUUUAAAAUGGGGUAAAAUUCAGGCAUAACUACACUGAGCUUCCCCAUAGGUUUUGCUAUUCCAUGACUGAGGAAAUAGCUCUAAAAUGUGAUAAGACUAAAGUACCCCUUAUAACUUAAAAAUAUUACAACCCCAAACCUAUAAAUAAUUUUUUUCUUCUCAUUUUUCUUUCUUUUUUCUCUCUCUUUUCAUGUUCUUUCCUUUCUCAUUCUCUCUCUAACUGGCACUCAACACCGGAGAUGACGUUGGCGGUAGUGGCGAUGGCGACGGUAGCGACGACGACGAUGAUUUCAUGAUCGAAUAUGGUCAAAAAGUGUCGAUCUAGUACUUUUAAAAAAGAUUCAACCGAGAUCCAACCAGAUCUGACACUCAACAGCCAGAUCUAACCUCGGGGAAGCGCUGAUCUAGAGCCGUAGUGGCCAGAUUCGACCAUAUGGUGCGCCAAAUCGACGUUUUAUUACACCGGUUGCCUUUCCAGCGAUUGGCCCAUGAAGAAGAAAAAAGGAAAAAGGGAAAAAAUAGAAUACAAAAGAAAAAAAUUAUUUGUAAAAUUUAAAAUAUUAAUAUUUUAUAUAUAAUUUAAACAUUAUUAUAUUAAUAUUUUAAAAUAUAUUAAAAUUAAUAAUAUAUUAAAAUUUUAAUGAGUAUAAAGAAAAAAUAAAAAAUUAUUAAUAUUUUAAUCAUAAUAAUACUAAAUUAUAAAUAAAAUAUUAAUAAUUAAAUUAUACUAAAAUAUUAAUAUUUAAAUUAUAAAUUAUAAAUAUUUUAAUUAAAUUAUAAAUUAUUAAUAUUUUAAUUAAAUUAUAAAUUAUUAAUAUUUAAAAAAUAAAAUAAAAAUAAAUAGUCAUAUAUAUAAUAAAGGGUGUUUUUAUUUUUUUUAUUUUCUAUUCCUUUCUUAUUCCAAAGUUAUUGUUGCCAACCAAACACUGCAAUAAGUCAUAACAAUACUUAUUCUAUCAUAUUCUCACCUCAUUGUAUUCCCACGUAAUAGCUAUUCUAUUCUAUUCUUGUCUAUUCCACGAAUCAAACGUGCCGUUAAGGUUACAGAUAAUGAUUAUGUUUCUUGGACAAGAUACAACAUCUUUAUUAUAACAUGACUACUAGAAUCAAUUUCACCCCAAUUGCAUUAAUCGUAUUCUAUAUGAACUUUGUUUUUUAUAUUUGAAACACUUUGAAGAGAAGAUUUUCUCAACUAGAUGAUGCCAUAAUUUGAAGAAAAGAUAAAACGUUAGUUAAUGCUUACUUUACUAAAUUAAAUGGGUUGUGGGAAAAAUUGAGAAUUUUUAGACCUUUACCUCACUGCAAUUAUGGCAAAUACAAUUAAUCAAGUGUCAAGAAUACAUUGAUCAGUGUCAAAAAGAUAAUGUUUUUAGAUUUUUGAAUGCAUUGAAUGAGACUUAUGCUAGUUUAAGGUCUCAGAUCCUAAAUGAGGCUUACAAUUUGGUGCCAAAAGAGGAAUCAGAAAGAUCAUUGCACUUGCAAUCGCUUUUCGUGGAGGCUUUUACCAUUGUCAUAUUCACUGAUGGUAAAAAGAGAACUAAAGUGAGUUGAUUUGCACUCAUUGUGAAAAAACUGGUCAUAUUAAGGAAAAAUGUUAUUAGCUCAUAAUAUUUCAUGAUGAUUUUAAAUUCACUAAAGGAAAGAAUAAUCCAAAAAGAGUGAUUUUAUUAUUAAACAACAUCUAUGCUAUUUCUCAAACUAAGCAAAAUAGAGAAACCACUGUGAAUGGCCUGUCAAAAUUAUCCCUAUAAGGAAUCAGGCUUAGAUGCUUAUGGCACUCAUCAAUGAGCAUGUAAUUAACAUUGGUGAUGAUCCUUUUUCAACAAACAAUCAGUGAAAGCUUCCUUAGUUAAUUAAACUUUAACUGGUAUGAUCAUUAAGCUCAUUUGUCUAAAUACAUAGAAGUUAUUACUUGAUGAAUUAGUAAACUUAAAUGCUUCUAUGUUUGAUCGUAAUUCUUGGAUAAUUGAUAUUAGUGCAUCAUACCAUAUAGCUUGUUCUUUAAAUUCCUUUAUUUCUUUAGAACCAGUUCAUAACAUUUUUGUUCAAAUGACAAAUAGUGCUAGGGCUCUUGUCACACGUAUAGGAUCAGUCAAGUUAUCCUCCUUAACUUUGCAUAAUGUGCUUUGUGUUCCAUUAUUCACAUUUAAUUUUGUGUCUGUUAGCAAACUUACAAAAACCAAAAGGCAUUGUCUUAUGUUCACUUAUUCAUAUUACGUUAUCCAAGACCUUACCUCAUGGACAGGGAUUGGGUUUAAUAAAGUUACAAUUGGAUUGUACUUAUUGCAAAACAAAUUGGAUGCUAAUUCCCAUUACCAAUUUUCCCUUGAGUAAUCUGUUCCUUUUCAUCCUAUUAUUUUUACAAAAUUUAUAAUUUUGUAUCAAAGAUUUUUGAUCUUUGUCAUUUAGGUUAGGACAUAUUCAUAUUCCAUCAGCCAAAAUAAAGUUGAUUCGUUAGAAUCAUCCAAGUGUAUCAUGCUUAGACAAUUUAACAUAUGAAAUUUGUCUUUUAGCAAAAUAAAAGAGAUUGCCAUUUCAUAUUCACAUUGUCACGACCCGGAACUCUCCCCCAUCGGGCCGGUGACAACCGUCGCGAGGCCUCGAAAGACAUUCUUCACCCCGAAUGUCGAUCGGAACCUCGCAAGGCUCUCGUAUCAGCUUCGCACUUCCCCGGUGAGCAAAAGUUAUCAAAUAAUCAAAAUACGAAGGAUUAAAAAUCGUUUCCAAAUCAUAAUAUAACAUGUUUUUUUUUGGCUCACAGGGACAUUUUCGUCAUUUUUAUCGAAAACCUCCAAACUUGCUAAAAAUGUAGUAGCUAAGUCGAAAAUAUAUAUUUAAUGAUAAAAAAAAUUAAGUAUCUAAAACGUUCAUUUGAAGUGAAUUUGACCAUUUGAAUAUAAUAAGAAUAUUCAAUAAAAUAAAUAUUUUCUUGUAAAAUAAUUUUCAUAAAACUAUCGGAACAUAAUUCUUAUAGCGUAAAAGAUAAUUAUAUUCAUAUAUACUAUAAAGCAAGUAACCAAAGCAUAAAAUUUCUUUUACAGUGACACGUGGGCCCAUAUCUAUCCAAAAUGCAUCGGAAGCUGGAAACCUACAGCUUUUACCGAUUCGAGUCCAAAUGAAGGUCCUUGUUCAAGUCAGCUAACUACGAAAUUCCCUGAGCCUGAAAUGUGAGGAAAUGAGGGUGGUGAGAUUAUAAAAUCCCAGUGAGUAAACAAACAUCAUCAUAAACAUCUAGAGUUGAGUACAUGGAGACAAUAAAGUAAAUCAUCAUAAACUGGGUUAUAGCAUUAGAACACAUUUUGUUCAAAACACGUAAAGAGGCUUAUGAAUCUCAUAAAAAUCUAGGCUUGUGCCAUAAAUCCAUUCUCGGGGACACCUUGGCCGAGGCAUCCUACCGAGACCGCCAAGGCUAUUAAAAUUCACAUUUCACAUAAAUCAUGUUUUUGUUUUGAAAACAUAGCCGUUCCUUGGCGUUGGCUGAGUUCCCCCUCACGUGGUGGUUUAGCGUGAAGUGAACCCUAAACUUUACCCCAGGAGAUACCCUACGCGCCUCUCCGUUCGAGGUAAGAAUAUAAUGGGGUUUACCGUGCCCCUCUAAAAGGCUGGUCCACAGAAACCCCCUACUGCAGUGAUUAAUUAAUAUAUAAUCCACCAUAUAAUAAAACUCAAUAACAUGAUAUGGCAAUUUUGUAAUUCGUAGUUUUUCAAGGUAACCAAACAAUUCGCAUUUCAAUACAAUUGCCAACUAGCCAAUCAUGCUCGAUUUAUCAUAAGCCAGUUAAUUUAAACAAUCAAAUUGCCACAAUUAACAGUCUCCGUGUACUCUAUUUUUCAAAAUCACUAUUAAUUUCAAAACAAUUUAUAAUUUAAUUUCAUUGAAACUCAUUUAUUCAUAAAACAUGAAAAUUUAUCUUUUUAAAUUCCUUUUUCCAUAGAAUUCAUGAAAGCAUCUAAAAACCACCCUAGAUAAUUAAAAUGACAGUAAGUUUACUCACAAUGUCUAGAAUGCAGACUUUCGAAGCACUCUGUCUACUGGUCCUCGGAUGCAAUUUCCUUGCCUUUAUUGGAGGACUCACCACCUUGACACAGUACAAAAUCGAGAAUUUCACUAAGUUGGUACUAAAUCAAAAUUAAACUAAUUUAGACUACCAAUGCAUGAUAUGGAAUGCAAAAAUGCACUGGUAACUAUCUAAACCCGGUAUUGGCCUAAUUCGUCUUAUCACCCGAUUAAAUUCCUAACGGGUCCGUUUAAACUCCAAUUUAAUUCUUUUCAGUUUCUAUACCUCAAUUGCACCCAAAUUAACUUAAUGUCCCUCAGUGUGGUGCAAAUUAUCAGUCCCAACAGCAAAUUACGAAAAUACCCCUAGUGGGUAAAAAUUCGUAUUUUUGCUCCGAAAAUUCCCAUUAUUUUUCUAGGCUCAUAAUUCAUUAUUCCUUAACCAAUUCUCCUAGAAUAAAAUCAAACUCAUCCUCACUCACUACAUGGUAAAUUCAGCCAUUAAUGGUUGGGGGAGAAAAUAAAUUCUUUUCUUGUUGUUUUGUUUCUAAAUAUGCUAAACUAACUAAAAACACUAACAUAAAUUAAAAUCAAAUAAAUCCAACAACUUUCUCUCUCCUAACCCAUUUUUUCAGAAUUGAAUUCAUCAUGAAAACAUGUAAUUUAAUCAUGGAAAAUAAAGAGAAAUGCUUGGGAAUAAGAAAACUCAAGCUUAAUAGAAAAAAUCUCACCUUUUUCACUUAAUUUCCUUGAAAAUUCACACUUUUUCUUUGAUUUUCUCUCUCUAGGGUUUUGUUUUCUCCUUUCUCUCUCUUGUUUCUUGCUUGGCCGAAUGUUGAAGAAGAAGAAUGGGUGGGCUGAUUUUUUUUAUGCCUUUUUAUUGUUUAAUGAAAUAAUAUUAUUUUAUUCAUAUUUUAAAUAUUUUAUUAAUUCAUUUUUUUUUCUAGCCAUCCAUUUGUCCUAUUUUUUUCACCAUGCAUUCCCUUUGACUUAUCCAAGUCUUAAGUGAAAUUUCCAGAUUUUUCCAAAGUUUUGGUGGAGCAAAUUUUUCAAAAUUACACUUUUGCCCCCGAACUUUUCAAAAAUUACAUUUUUACCCCAAAAAUUGAAAAUUUUCCAUAAUGCAUAAUUUUCACUCCUCAUACUCAUUUCACACUCCAAAUAAUUAAAUUUGAUCAAAAUCCUUUCAAAAAAUUAAAUUUUCGAUUUCGGGUGGUAAAAUUACCAUUUUACCCUUUUACUCCAAAUUAUACCGAAAUUAAAAUUUUUCACUUCUAAACCUCAAAUCUUACUCCAAUAAGUCAAAUGGGGCCAAAAAUCUUUUCUAAAAAUUUCCAUUUUGUCCCCAGGUGGCAAAUGACCAUUUUGCCCCUAGAUAGCGAAAAUUCCAGUUUGACUCCAAAUUGAUCCUCGAACUCCGAAUCACCAUAUUAACCCAUUCUGGGACUUUAAAAUUCUUAAUUUCAUUGUAAAUUCUCUAUUUGAUCUAGUUCGAGGCUUAAAUCAACUUUAUUGUACCUCUAGGUACAAUACCGACUUUUGUAAAUUUUUCAAGACUCUCUUAGCAUGUAAACAUGCUAUCCACCACAUGUAUGUCAUCACAAAUAUUUCUGUAGAGUCGGGCUUGUCAUCUUCUCCCCCACUUGGAUCAACCAUAUGAUCCUCCUUCUUGAUUGACUUCGACAUCCGGCUAAAUAUUAAUAUUUUAAUAUUAUUUUAUUAAUAAAAUAUUAUUUUAUUCUAAAAAUUUUAUCUUGUCUCCUUGGUACCAAAAAUACCUUAUUAUGCCUCACUUGACUUCCAAAUCGUCUUUUAUCUCACAAAUUCUCCUCUGAUAAAAUUAUUAUUAUUUUAUUAUUAUUUUCUCACUUGCGAAACAUUUUAUCCUAAACUACUCUUUUCGUCUUUUAUCACUUCUAAACAUUUUAAUUGACCUCAAUUUGCAUUUGAUCAACUUUAUUUAUCACCAUAUCAAAGUAUGGGGUAUUUCACACAUUCAAUCCACUACUUUACCUUUUGAAUUGUUACAUAGAGACGUAUGGGGACCCAACCCAUUUUCUUAAUGAUUAGCUUUACUUUCUUACUCUUGUGGAUGACUAUUAUCUUUCACUUAGAUUUUUACUAAUGAGAUCAAAAUUAGAUGUUGUAUCUAUAGUGCCUUCAUUUUAUAAAGUGAUUCAUAAUCAAUUUGAUGCUACUACCAAAAAAGUUAGAUCAAAUAAUGGUCUUGAGUUUAACCUCAUUGACUUUUACUCUUCAACAGACAUUGUUCAUCAAUUGUCUUAUGUAGGCACACCCAAUAAAAUAUGGUUGUUGAGAGAAAACAUCAACACUUAUUAGUGGCCAUUUGGUCAUUAAUGUUUUAGUCUUCAUUACUUUUUUAAUUUUGGGAGGAUUUUGUCCUUGUAGCUACACAUCAUAAAAAGAAUCCCUACCCCUAUUCUUAAAAGCAAAACCCCAUAUAGGAUACUGUUUCACAAACCCCUUUACAUACUUUCACUUUAGAAUGAUUGGUUCUUUAUAUUUUGCAUCCACACUUUCUCAUAAUAGGAAAAAAAUUGAUCCUAAAGCUAGGAAAUGUUCUUUAUUAGAUACCAUAUUGGAAUGAAAUAAUAUAAGUUGUAUGAUCUGAAUAGACAUCACACUUUUGUUUUUAGGGAUAUGAUCUUUCAUGAAUAUAAUCCCUUUCAGAAAUUAGUUGCCACACACAAUCCACAUGAAUAUGUUCAAUUGUUUUCUAAAAAUCAUUUUGUUUGAGAUAAUCCUAUGAUUGAUAUUUAUGAUGCUUCAUUUUCUUCCCAUUUCCUUUUUGAUGAAUUUUGUAUUGAUACAUCUCACAUGGCACCAAUCACCUCCACACAUGAUCAACAUUUUGAUAUCCUUUCACCUAAGCCUAAUGAUCAUUUUGAUCUGUCUCACAUGCUCACAACACUCCCACACAUAAUCAUCACCCUUAAAACCUUUCACCUGACCAUAAUUCCCCACUUGAAUCUACUGAUGUGUUACACACUAUUGAUUGUCAUAAUUAGGGGUGAGCAACUGGGUGGUUUGGUCUGUCUUACGUAAAAACUAAAUGGACCAACCAUUUUUAAAAAAUUGAUCAAAACUGAUCAAACAUAAAAGAGGACCAAACCGACCAAAUAUCAAAUUAGUUCAGUCUGUUUGGUUUUGGACCAAUGGAUCAAAAUUUUAUCAAUUUUUUAUUAUAAAUUACAAUAUUAAAACUUAUAAACUUCAUUCAUAAUUAUAAAAUAUAUAAAUAAUUUAAACAUAAACAAACAUAACAUUUGUUCCUUCACUCUCAUAAUUAUAUCUUUUUACAUAAAUCAUCAAAUUAACAUUUAAGAUUGAACAUAACAAAAAGUCAAAGAAAAUAAAAUUGACAGCUACAAAAUAAAACUAUUUAACACAAGACCAUUAACCAUUACAAAUUAUCAACUUGAAUCUCUUCCAUGACUUAGCUUUUCACAUUUACUCACAUAGAAAAGUAAAAAAUAAAAAAUAAAAAAUAUAAUUAGUAUAAAUUUUUUUAAUAACUAAGUAAAAGAAGAUUAAAAAUGAAAAAUUAUAAAAAAAGUCAUAAAAUUUAACAUUUACCUCAAUUGAAGUGUAAAGAAUGCAUUUCUAACCUCUUCACUCAUCAAUCAUCAACAAUGAAAAUACAAUCCACAAUCUUAAUCUUUGACAUCUCUUAAAUGCAUAAACAAAAAAAGAAAUAAAGAAAUAAAAAUUGAAAAAAUAAAAAUGAAAAAGUGAAAAUAUUAAAUGUAUAUUAUAUUUUAUAUAAAUUUAAAAAUGAUAGAAAUAUAUAUUAUAUUAUAUACAUUAAUAUAUAAAAAAUUAUUUUGGUUUUUUGGCCGAUUUGAUAUACAAAUUUUAAAAUCGAGAACUGAUCAAAAAACCAAUUAGAUUAAACAUUUUAAACUAAUUGACCCAAUAGAUCAAUUAGAUCAAACUAUUUUACUCAAAUUGCAUUUAAUUUAGGUGGAUAAUUGAUCUGGUUUGAUUUUGCUCACCCCUAGUCAUAAUACUAAACCAUUUCAUGAGCCUAUCGAAUCGCCAUCAACUAGAUGAAGUACUAAACAUAAGAGCCCUAUUAAAUACUUAGAUAUUUACCACUACUAAUCACCCUCACAUACAAACACUAUUACAACUCAACUUAUGAAAAUUACUUGUCAUCCCAUUAACUUCCUUCAUUUCAUAAGGCUUUUACCAUUUUCUUAACUUACAUAGUUAUCAUCAAGCUGUCCAACAUGCCCAAUGGUAGAGUGCUAUGAAAUUUGAGCUUGAUGCCUUAGAGGAUAAUAGUACAUAGUUUAUAGUGCCCCUUACUACUAAUGCACAUACUAUAGAGUGCAAAUGGGUUUAUAAAGUGAAGCUUAACGCAUAUGGUAGUGUAGAAAUAUAUAAAGUUAAGCUUGUAACUAAGGAUUAUAAUCAAAGAGAAGGGUUUGAUUAUCAUGAAACCUUUAGCCUUAAAGCUUAAUAAACUCUUGUUAGAUUGUUCUUAGCAAUGACGACCAUUAAAAGAUAGAUUUUGUCAUAGUUGGAUAUCAACAACGGUUUCUUGAAUGGUGAUCUUGAGACAACAAUUUAUGUGGAGCUAUCACAAGGCUAUGAAGUGAAGAGGGAGUAUCCAUUACAUUUGAAAUUAGUGUUCAAGCUCAAGAAGUCAUUGUAUAGACUCAAACAAGUUUUUACACAAUGGAACUCAAAAUAUACAAACUUUUUAUUGUAAUUUGGAUUUCAUCAAUCAAAAUUAGAUUAUUUUUAUUCGCUAAAGUAAAAAAAAAAGAACAAUUUAUAACCUUAUUAGUAUAUGUGGAUGACAUUGUUAGUACUAGUUCCUCUAUUGAAUCUUCUGAUGAUGUGAAGGCAUAUUUGAAAUCAAAGUUUAAGCUCAAGAAUCUAAAAGAGUUUAAAUGUUUCCUAUGAUUGAAAAUUGCUAGAUCAAACAAAGGAAUUUUUAUCUGUUAAAGAAAAUAUAUACUAGAUUUAAUAGACGAAUAUUGGUUUUUGCAAAACCAGUGUCAAUGUCUAUUGAUUAUGAUCAUAAGUUGACUAGAGUCGGUUGUACUCCACUGACAAAUUGUACUACUUGUAGACAAUUGGUUUGUAAACUAUUAUAUUUUACUUUUAUUAGGCCAUACAUUACCUAUUUAGUGAAAGUUUUGUCAAAAUUUAUAGACAAACCCUAGCAACACUCACUUAUAGGGAGCAUAUAAGGUUUUGAGAUACCUUAAAAGAGCAUCAGGGUAAAGAAUUCUUUUAUCAUAAGCAUUUAUUUUGCAUUUGGAGGUGUAUAGUAACAGUGAUUGGGUUGGUUGUCAAGACAUAAGGAAGUUAGUUACUAGCUUUGGUCUGUUUCUUUGUAAUUCUAUUUUUAAUCGGAAACUAAUAAAAUAUUCUGUGAUUGUAAGAAGUUCCACAAAGGCAAAGUACAGGGUUAUAAAAACUGCUUGUUGUGAAAUCAUGUUGUUAUUGUGCUUACUAAAGGAUUUUGGUUUUAAUCAUACUACUGUUGUUGACCCAUGUUGUGACAAUCAAUCUACCUUGAAUAUUUGCAAGAAUCCCAUCUUCCAUAAAAGAACAAAAGAGAUUGAAAUGGACUACCACUUUAUAAAAAAAAAACAUCAUUGUUGGAAUUGUAUCUCUAAAAUAUAUCUCCACUACUUUGCAGUUCAUAGAUUUAUUUACAAAAUCUCUUUAACUAGCAUAAUUCCUAAACAUGUAUGACACACAUGCUCAUUUUAAAGGAGAGUAUUAGAGGCUAUGCAUGUGCACACACGUGACAGUAACUUGAUUAGUUAAGGUUAUUUUAGUAAUUAGUUGAUUAACAAUCUAUUAACAUCAUAGUUAGGUACUAACUUUGCAUGUAAAGAUUCCUUUUGGCAAGUAUAUAUAUUGCUUUUUGUAAUUUAAAUGUAAAUUGGGUUUUCAUUAUAUUAUGAUAUUUAUGGUUGUGAGGAUUAUUUGUGAUGAAAUUUUAUGGUGAUUAGUGAAAGUUAGGUAAGUUGUAAUUUUAUUAUGUGUUGAAAUUUAUGAAGAGUUUUGCUAUUAAUUGCAGUGAAUAUUAAAUGUCAGCAUUUAUGAUAUCUUAUGACAAUGUGGUGAUGAAAGAGGUUUAGAUUAAUAGAGAUUGUGAGAUUGUAAUGUACUUUGCAAUAGCUAAAUUCAUUAAUUUGUGGAUAAAUAUUGUGAAUGAAUGCAACAUGUAGUUAAUAAGUGGUGUGGUUGGUGAGUUGACAUAAGCGAUUAAAACAAGUGACAAGAAUGGAGAUUUGAAAAUUGCAGAAGACAUUCCAAGCUAUUGACUUAUCGUGGAAUGCUAUAGGAUAUGUGCUUUUUCAACAUGCCUUUCAAAAGGCAAAUCAAUAUUUUGAUUAUUUAGUAAAGCAAGGGGUGGACCAGAAUGAUCUAUUUGUAGCAUGGGAAUAGCAUGGGAAAGUAGUUGGUCAAACAUGGAUGAAUGUAAAUAGACUAAUAUGUGUCAUGUAAUCUAGUGUUUUGAUAUCUUGUAGUAUCGAGUUGGUUUGAUGGAUGAAACUAGUACUAUUUUGUUAUUGCAUAGGUGUUUGUGUUAAAACGUGAUGAACAUGUAUGAGUGUCAAAAAUACUGAAAAACAAAAUUGUAUUUACUUGUUUUCCAGUUUCCAACAAGUUUGUACCAUUUUGAUGCAUCAAUAAGAGUAUUGGCUUAACAAAAAAAAAUAUGUUGAAAGUCAUUUGUUGGAAUGGAGUUUCAAUAAAUGAAAAAGGAUUUAGAGUACCAUACUAAGUAAGCAAAACGUGAGAGAUUUGGAAUUCGUAAGAACUACAAAAUAGAAUCUUGAAGAGCGCAAGUAAUCAUUAGGCAAAAAUUUGUUUGUUCAAAGAAAGAUUUUGUGCCAAAAAAAAAUUUUGUGAGGGAAACUAGAAUUCUAACACCAUCUAAAGAGCUAAGAGUGGGAUGCAAAGCCAUGAUGUAUUGUCCAAAAAAGCUUAAGAUAAUUGGUUGAUUUCAAAAUUCAUAAGAGAUCAUACCUAUGAGCUUGCUAUUCCAAAAAGUGUUCAAUUUUAUGUGUUCAUAAAAAAAGCAAGAACUUAAUGAAAUUUAAUUGAUGUACUUGUUGAUUUUGGAAUUUGUUCUAGUAAAGCCAUGUUUGUUUUAACUAAUGAAUAAGGUGACAAUAAUAUGGUUUGUUUAACUAAGUGUGAUAUUCAAAAUUAUUUAAGUAAUAAAAGAUAGAAGCAAUUUGAAAACGAAGAUGCACAUUUAAUGCUUCAAGGAAUGUAAGUCCAAGAAUCCAUAAUUUUUUAUGUAAUACAAAUAGAUGCGGAAAGUCAACUAACAAAUUAUUUUUAGGGUGAUUUUCAAUCGAGAACGGCUUAUAAGUAUUUCAGGAAUUUUGUGAUUUUUGAUCUAACCUUUUUGACAAACACGUAUAACUUAUCUUUUGUUCUUUUUAUUGGAGUUAAUCACCACCAUCAAUUCAUUUUAUUUAGUUGUGCUCUAUUAUGGGAUGUGAUAUAAGAAACAUUGUUUAAUUAUUAAACACUUGGUUGGACACAAUAUUUGAAUUUAAUCCAAAAACAAUUAUUACAGAUCAAUAUGCAGCCAUAACUAAUGCAAUUAUAAAAGUUUUGCAAAAUGCUAUACACAAUUAUUGUAUGUUACAUAUUGAAAAAAAUAUUCGGAGAACUACAGCCAUAUUUACCACUAAUUUGAUGAUUUCAAGAAUCAAAUUUUUUUUAGUGUAUCUAUUAUGAAUUAGUUUUAGAUGAGUUGGAAUUAGAAUGGACAAAGAUAAUUGAGAUGUAUGAUUUGCAUAAAAAGUUGGUUGAAGAAGUUGUAUUUUAUUUGAAAAAAUGGGUUCACACUUUUGUGCGGAGUAGUUUUUGUGCUAGAAGGUCUACUGUUUAGAGAAUUGAAAGUUUGAACAAGUAUUUCAAAAAUUAUGUCAAUUUCAACAUAAUGAUAAAUAAGUAUCUGAUCCAAUAUAAAAAGGCUAUAUACAAUAAAGAAAAUGGAAAAAUUUUCAAAAUAAUGAAUUCAAAGUCAAAUUUGAGAACAUUAUAUCCAAUGAAAAAAAAAAAGCUUUAAAGGUGUACACAAGAAAUAUGUUUAGAAAAUUUUAAGGUGAGUUAAUUCAUUUUCAACAAUAUAUUGAAGAAAUUAUUGUUGCAAAUGAGCAUGUGUAUUCUAUUUGAGAAAAAUGGGUUCACACUUAUGUGCAGAGCAACUUUUGUGCUAAAAUCUCUACUAUUUAGAGAAACGAAAGUUUGAACAAGUAUUUCAAAAUUUAUGUCAAUUUGAGCACAAAGAUGAAUAAGUUUUUAAUUCAAUAUUAGAAAGCCCUCGAUGCAAGAUACAAUAAAAAAAAGAAGAAAAUUUUCAAAACACUAUAUUCAAAGUCGAUUUUAAAAACAUUGUAUCCAAUGAAAAAAAAAAAGCUUCAAAGGUGUACACAAAAAAUAUAUUUAGAAACUUUCAACAUAAGUUAAUUCAUUCUCAACAAUACGUGGAAGAAAAUAUUGUUGCAAAUGAGCAUGUAUAUUAUAUUCGAGAAAAAUAGAUUCACGCUUAUGUACAGUGUUAUAAUAUGUUGAAGAAAGAAUUAUUGCAAAUGAGCUUGUAUAUUCUAUUUGAGAAAUAUAAGUGCACGCUUAUGUGCAAAGCAACUUUUAUGCUAGAUUGUCCAUUACUUAGAAAAUUGAAAGUUUAAACAAGUAUUUCCAAGAAUAUGUCAAUUCAAGCACACCCAUGAGUAAGUUUUUGAUUCAAUAUGAUAAGGUUCUUGAUGCAAGAUAUGAUAAAGAAAAGAAGAAAAUUUUCAAAACAAUGAAUUCAAAGCCAAUUUUGAAGACAUUGUAUCUAAUGAAAAAAAAAAAGCUUCAAAGGAUACACAAGAAAAAUGUUCAAAAAAUUUCAAAAUGAGUUAAUACAUUCUCAACAGUAUGUUGAAGAAAAGAUCAUUGUAAAUGAGCAUGUGUAUCCUAUUCGAGAAAAGUGGGUUCACGUUUAUGUGCGGAGCAGCUUUUGUGCUAGAAUGUCUACUAUUUGAAAAAAUGAAAGUUUGAACUAGUAUUUAAAAGAUUAUGCCAAUUCGAGCAUAUUGAUGAGUAAGUUUUUGAUUCAAUAUGAAAAAACCCUCGAUGCAAGAUAAAAUAAAGAAAAAGAGAAAGAUUUCAAAAUAAUGAAUUCAAAACCAAUUUUAAAGAUAUUGUAUUCAAUGAAAAAAAAAAGCUUUGAAAGUAUAUAAGAGAAAGAUGUUUAGAAAAUUUCAAAAUGAGUUAAUUCAUUCUCAAUAAUAUGUUGAAGAACAUAUUGUUGCAAAUGAGUAUGUGUACAAAAUAGAGUGCUAGACUUUGACUAAGAGAAUUUAGAAUAUAUUAAUACAUUUGUUGACUCAUCAAUAGCUAUAAUUUGUUUAUGUCACAUGUUUGAAUUUAUAGGCAUUAGUUGACCAUUCUUAUUAAGAAAAAUGUUUACUCAUUACCUAAUCAUUACAUUUUAAAUUGAUAGAUAAAAGAAACUAAAAAAAGAAAAGUUGAAAGCAUGUUAGACAAACAGCUUGAAUAUAACGCUCUAUAGAUUGUAAUGGAUCUUACAUUAGUAAGAGAUAAGAUAAAUCUUAAGAUUAUAAAUAAAGGCGUUAUAAGUAUAGUCUUUCAUCCACAUGAUAGAUAUGUCUUUUAAGUUGAAAAUAUAAAUUUAUGACAAGUGGUAUCAGAGCUUAUCUUACUCUUCACUAAUGUGAGACUCUUUAUAAAAGAUAUCAAGGUCGAAGUAAGUUUGGAUCAAGGUGGAUUAUUCUCCUUUACGAGUAAAAAAAUCAAUACAAUGAGUGCACUUGAUAGAUAUAUCUUCUGGAUUGAAAAUAUGAAUUUAUGACAAAUGGUAUCACAACUUGCCCAACUCUUUACUAAUAUAAAAUCUCUCAUAAGAAAAAUCAAAGUCGACGUAAGUUCGGACUAAGGUGAAUUCUUUUCCUUUAUGGGUGAAAAAGUUAAUACAAUGAGACGUUGCACAAUUAGGUUGAAAAUAUAAACUUAUGACAAAUGGUAUUCGAAUCUAUCUAACUUUUUAUUGAUAUGGGACCUUCUAUGAGAGAUAUCAGAGUUGAGGUAGGCUCAAAAUAAGGUAGGUUCCUCUAUUUUAUGGGUGAAAAAGCUAAUAUAAUGAGAAUGUUGAACAAUUGGGUAUGAUACAGUGAUGACUUAAUAAUCUCAAAAGUUUCAAGUUAAAUAUUCAAAUGAGGCCUUUUUUAUUAUUGAAUGAUUAACGUAAACAACAAAUGAGACUCACUAUUUAUGAAGAUACUCACAUAAUAGGCUUUUUACGAACUCUUUGGAGAAAAUUGAAGUUAAAGAAGAAAGAGCAAUAAAGGAAAGAAGAAUUCGAAAAUGGAUAUUAUAAAUAAAAAUAAUAAUUAUUUUUGUAUAUGAGAAAAAAUUAGUUUUUGAAAAUUGUUAAAUAUAUAUUGCCAUUAGUUUAUUGAAAAUAUAAUAAAUAGUUAAGAAUUAAUAGCAUUAUGAAAAUUUAGAAAUGAUAAAAAAUUCAAAUUUAUUAGGUACAUAAUUAGAGAAGUGAGAGAAUAUAUCAUUUUAUUAAUCAUCAUGACUUUUAUAUUUUUUAAUUAUCUUUAUUUUAUAUAUUUUUAAUAUAAUUAAUUAUAUUAUUAUAAAAUUAUGAAACUUAUGAAAAAUUAAGACCUAGAGUAAGGUCUUUUGUGACUUUAUGGUAUAGCUAACCUUAAUAGGAUAGAAUAUCAUGAAUCACAUAUCUAAAAGAAAUAAAAUAAGUUUUAACGUCAUAAGUAAGAGUCUUCCUUUACUUAUUUAGUAUGUUUUUUACAUUAUAAAUGUAGACUUGUGAUAAAUGGUAUCAGAACUUAUCCAACUCUUCACUAAUUUGAGACCCAUAUGAGAGAUUAAAAUUAAGGUAGUCUUGGAUCAAAGUAGGUCUCUUUUUUUUAUGGGUAAAAGAGAUAAUGUAAUAAGAGUGUUGCAUAAUUGGAUUUAAUAAAAUAUUAUGAAUCACACAUCAAUAAAAGAUGAGAUUGAUCGUGAACUUAUAAAUAAGAAUACUCCCAUGCUUGAAAGAUAUGUUUUUGGAGUUGAAAAUAUAGACCUUUGAAAAGUGAAAUCAGAGCCCAACUCUUCAUUUAUAUGAAACUUUCUAUGAAAGACAUUAAGAUUGAGAUAAAAGACAUCAAAAUAGGCCUUGAUUCUCAAUGGGUGAAAGAAUGAGUGGAAUGAUGGUGUUGCACCAUUUGUUAGGGUAUAAUGUCACGUAUUCUACAAUAGUAAGACAUAUAAUGGAUAUUAAGUUUAUAAGUAAGAGUCUUUAUCUUUAUAUCUAUUUGUAUUAGUUAAUAUGAAAAUAUAUAUUUAAAUUGUUAAUGAAAUUUUAUAUUAUAAUUUUAUUUUAUUUCAAAAGUGAUUAAUUUUUUUUUGAAUCGAAUCAUUAACCUAAUCUGUGACCUUGUAUGAUUAUUCUUUAACUACCUCUCAUGCCAAAUCUUAGGGUCGUAGUGUCGCACCAAAAUAGCACCAUAAAAAUGUUGAGUUUUUGGCAAGAAAAAUUGGUGCACUCAAGAAUCUUGGUUUUUUUUUUGUGGAUUACAAUAAUUACUUGCAUUUUAAUGAAAUAGAAGCAUUGAAAGUUUGAGUUACUGGUGGUAUCUUUGAGUAUUUGCAAAAUAUGUAGCAUGAUGACCUUAAUUUCUUAUGCUAUACAUGUUGAUCUUGAUGAUCUCAUCACUAAUAUUUCGAGAUAGAUGGUAAGAUGAAAUUAGAUUAUAAAUCUUUUAAAGAUGUAGUAUGUUUUGAUAUAAUAUAUAGAAAAAAUAAAAAAGGUAUACUUUUUGCACUAUUCUUUGGUAUUAAUCAUCAUAAGCAAAUUUUUAUCUUUGGUGCAACAUUGUUGUAUGAUGAAACAUGUGAUACAUUAAUAUUGUUAUUUGAUUAUUUUUGAAAGCAAUGUAAAGGAAAAAGCAAAUGAUAAUUCUUAAAAUUAAGACGUUGCAAUGGAAAAAGAACUUGCUUCAUAAUGGCCCAAAUUAUAUUAUUUUUUGUAUCAAAAUACAAUGAAACACCUUAGUGAUGCAUCUAAAAGAUUUAAUAGUUUUGCUAAAGAUUUUAGUAGUUGUGUUUAUAAUUAUGAUCAAGAAGAAAAUUCUCUAACUUCAUGGGAUCAUGUGCUUGUCAAAUAUAAUUUGAGGACAAUAGUUGUUUGUGAAGACAAUUUGAGUUGAAAGAAAAUGGGCUUUGAUUUAUGGACGACAAACUUUUUUUAUGAAUAUGUCCACUACUCAAAGAAGUGAGAGUAUGAAUAACCAAUUAAAAAAUUACAUUGGUUAUAUAUUAUGAUUUAUUACAUUUUUUCCAUCACUUUUGGAGAUUAUUGGUAGAUAACCAUUACGAGGAGUUGAAAGCUGACUAUAAAGACAAUCAAAGUAAGCCAUCUUUGUCAUUUUCAGUGGAGAUAUUGAUGCAUGCAGCAUAUGUGUAUACUUUAAUAGUUUUAAAAAUGUUUUCUAUUAAACUUUAGCUUAUUUGAGAUUGUGAGUUGUACAUUACUGAAAUUGCUGGGAGUACUACUAGUUACAAAGUCAUUCUUCUAAGAAAACCUUGUCAUUAUACAAUUAAAUAUGACUCGUCAAAUUUCACAAUCACUUAUAGUUGUAAGAAACUUAAAUACGAUGGUAUUAAUUUUAUGUUCUCAUGCUUUUAAGGUGCAUUUUUUUUUCAAAAUUUUAAAAGAGUUCCAAAUUAAUACAUAUUAAAAUGAUUGACUAAAAAAGCAAAGAUUGGAGCUGUGGUAACUUAUUUUGCAUUUACUAGAUCAAUGAUCCUAAAGAAAAUGCAAGUACUUAUUACAAAGUUUGGCUUAGAUGGUAUUCUAAUUUAGCAGCAAGAGCGGCAAUGAGUGAGCAAUCAUUUGGCUAUGAGUAAUGGAGAAAAGACAUUAAGCAAAGUUAAGACAACUUUGAAGUAGUUAUCAAUUGAAGAAUCUCGAAACUCCAAUGAUGGAAAACAAGUUUUUCAAUUUGACAAAAUGGAGAGAUGAGAAAGAAGGCAAAAAAGUCAAAAGAAUCAAAUGCAAAUCGAAAAGUAAAGGAGAUUGAUCAUCUAGUUGACUAAAAAAUACUUUAGAAAAAGCUAGAAGAAAGAAAAAAUGCCAAAUUGACACAUUGGUAGAGACUCCACAAGUUUAAAAGGUAAAGGUAAUAAAUGCUUAAUAUUGUUUUAUAUUCUGUUUUGAUUUUAUUUUACCGUUAUAAUUUAUAACCAUGUAUUCAUUCUAAUAAUUACAUAGGAAUCAAGCCAAAUUGCUCAUCCUUCGUAUCAUAGUACUGCUAAUGGAUUCAAUCAAAAUGCUCAAUCAUUUCCAUUUGCCCAGAUAAUUAAAAAUAUUAUACUAGUAAAAUUAAAUUCUUAUAUUUUAUAUAUCACUAAUUUAUUUAAAUGUUUGACAAGAAACUCAUUUUGACAUCCAUUAGUCAAAUUUGGAUAUUCUAAAUUCUUGUGGUUAACAUUCAACAUCUCAAUUCACAUUGAAAUUUUUAGUUUCAUGAUCUUAUUUGAGUUUGAUAAAGAUUAUUAUCUUGUAGUUGAUUUUCUUAACUUUUUUUGAACUCAAAGAUCAAGCAACAAUGAAUUCUAAUUAUGACAAAUCUAACAUGAAUCAUUCUACUAUCACAAGUUUAGGGGAUUUACUACAACUAAUUUUUAUAUAUUUAAUAAACAAAUUUACUUUUUUUUUAUUUUUGAUUAUAAUAUUUAUUUAAUUUUUUAUUUGUAUGUAUAUAUAUAGGUUCAAAUAUCACAAGCUCCUAUUUCAAAAAGAGAAACUUCAAAAGUAAAUGAGAAGGAUAAAUGAAUUUGAUUUAUGGACGACAAAUUUUUUGUGUGGAUAUGUCCACUACUCAAAGAAGUAAGAGUAUGAAUAACCAAAUAAAAAAUUACCUUGGUUAUAUAUUAUGAUUUAUUACGUUUUUUUCAUCAUUUUUGGUGAUUAUUGGUAGAUAACCGUUACGAAGAACUGAAAGCUAACUACAAAGACAAUCAAAAUAAGUCAUCUUUGUCAUUUCUAGUGGAGAUAUUGAUGCAUGCAGCAUAUGUGUAUACUUUAAUAGUUUUAAAAAUGUUUUCUAAUAAACUUUAGCUUAUUUGGGAUUGUAAGUUGUACACUACUUAAAUUGCUGCGAGUAUUAUUAGUUACAAAGUCAUUCUUCUAAGAAAACCUUGUCAUUAUACAAUUAAAUGUGACUCAUCAAAUUCAACAAUCACUUCUAGUUGUAAGAAACUUGAAUAUGAUGGUAUUAAUUUUAUGUGCUCAUGCUUUUAAGGUGCUUUUUUUUUCCAGAAUUUUAAAGGAGUUCCAAAUUAAUACAUAUUAAAAAGAUGGACUAAAAAAGCAAAGAUUGGAGUUGUGGUAACUUUUUUUGCAUUUAUUAGAUCAAUGAUCCUAAAAAUGAUGUGUUAUAGAAUAAGAAAUGUGUAAAUAUUCUUUUAUUAAUAAACGUGAUUAUAGGAAUUAGAAAUCACCAUAAUUAUAGGGAUUAAGAAUCAUCAUAAUUAUAGGGAUUUUAUUUUCUUUAUUCUUUUCCUAUUUUAUAGAUGUUUAGGCUGUAUAUAUAGAUGAUGUAUUAUGAAUGAAAUAUGCUGAGUUUUUUCUUCCUAAAUAACAUGGUAUCAAAGCUGUUUCGGCAGAUCUGUUUCCUCUAAAAAAGACUUCUUAGUUUUUGGUUCUGUUCCACACGCCGGCCAUCUAUUGAAUAUUCACUCCGGUCUUCUCUUCUAGUCUUCAUGCCAGAAGGUUUCAACAAAUAGUUUGGUAUUCUUGUUGGGUUUCGUUACUGAGUUUUCAAGAUGGCAGAGUUUGUGCCAGAGAAAAAAUCAAUGAUAGUGGUUGAUGUGAUUCCUGUGAUGACAAAGAUCACAGAGCAUAAACUUAAUGGUUCCAAUUAUUUGGAUUGGAGCAAGACAGUUUGGGUCUAUUUAAUAAGUAUUGAUAAGGAUGAUCAUAUUACUAAUGAUCCUCCUACUGAUAAUACAAGGCAAACCUGGAUGAAGAAAGACGCACGACUGUUCCUGUAGAUUCAAAAUUCCAUUGAUAGUGAGAUUAUUAGCCUGAUUAAUCAUUGUGAGUUUGUUAAAGGGUUGAUGGAUUAUUUAGAUUUUUUAUAUUAUGGUAAAAGGAAUAUCUCUCGUAUUUAUGAGGUAUGUAAAGCUUUUUAUUAUGCAGAAAAACAAGAUAGGUCUCUCACAGCCUAUUUUAUGGAUUUUAAAAGAAUUUAUGAGGAGCUUAAUGUUUUGUUGUCUUUUAGUCCUGAUGUGAAGGUUCAAUAGGCUCAACGGGAGCAAAUGGCGGUUAUGAGUUUUCUUGCGGGUCUUCCUCCAGAGCUUGAGACUGUCAAAUCUCAGAUUCUUUUUGGUUUCGAGAUCUCCUCUCUAUAUGACACCUUUACAAGAGUACUUCGUAUAAAAAGCUCUAGCUUCACAUUGGCUCCGACUAAUAAUAGUGCUCUUGUAAGUGGCCGGAAUAAUGGAAGUGGUAAUUAAGGAAGAGGAACGGGCAAUCGUAACUGAGAUGUUGAUAGUCAUAGUCAAGAGUCAGGAGGAAUUGUGUGUUAUUAUUGUCAUGGGUCGGGCCAUACAAAGCGUUUUUGUAGGAAACUCCAAAAUAAGUCUUAGCGAGGUCAAUCAGCAAAUGUUGUAGCUUCUAAUACUUCAUCUUCUGAUAAGACUAUUCUAGUUUUUGCAGAUAAAUUUGCUCAAUUCUCUCAAUACCAGGAAUCAUUAAAAUCCACUACUUCUCUUAUCACAGUUAUCGCCGAGUCAGGUAACUCCACUACAUGUCUUAUUUCCUCAUCAUCCAAAUAGGUCCUUGAUUCUAGUGCCUCAAAUCAUAUGACAGGUAAUUUGAAUCUAUUUUCCACUUUCCAAUCACAUACAACCUUCUCUAAUGUUACUUUAGUCGAUGGAUCAACCUCUUCUGCUCUUGGUUCUAGAACUACUAAUCCAACUCCAUCAAUUUCAUUGUCUAAUGUCUUAAAUCUAUCUAAGUUUUCUUUUAAUCUAAUCUUUGUUAGUAAACUCACUCGUGCCUUAAAUUGUUGUAUCUCAUUCUUUCUCGAUUUUUAUCUAUUUCAAGAUCUUACGACGAAGCGGAUUAUUGGUAAAGGUCAUGAGUUUGGAGGUCUCUACUACCUUGACACAGAGGUGCCAAGAUCCAUUGCUUGUUCAAGUGUAUUGACCCCCUUUGAGGUGCAUUGUCGGUUGAGACAUCCUUCUCUGUCUUCCUUAAAAAAAUUAUGUCCUCAAUUUCAAUAUGUAUCUUCGUUGGAUUGUGAGUCAUGUUAGUUUGCCAAACAUCAUCAUCUCCCUUCAGUGUCUAGAGUCAAUAAACGGACUAUGUCCACUUUUGAGUUAGUCCAUUCUGAUGUUUAAGGUCCUUGUCCUAUUGUGUCUGAAUCUGGUUUUAAAUACUUUGUUACUUUUAUUGAUAACUAUUCUCGUGUCACUUGGCUAUACUUAAUGAAAAAUCGUUCUGAAUUAUUUUCUAUUUUUUGUGCCUUUUGUGCUGAAAUAAAAACACAAUUUAAUAUUCUGUGCGUACAUUGCGAAGUGAUAAUGCCAAAGAAUAUUUUUUCGAUACGUUUCAGUCUUAUAUGAUUCAGAAUGGCAUUUUUCAUUAAUCUUCUUGUAUUGAUACACCCUCUCAAAAUGGAGUUGUCGAGAGAAAAAAUAAACAUCUCUUUGAAGUAGCCCGAGCACUUCUUUUUUAGAUGAAAGUUCCUAAACAAUUUUGGGCUGAUGCUGUCUCCACAGCUUGUUUUCUGAUUAAUCGGAUGCCUUCCUCUGUCUUUCAUGGUGAUAUUCCUUAUAUUGUCCUAUUUCCUUCCAAGUCUUUGUUUCCUAUUGAACCUAGGAUAUUUGGUAGUACAUGUUUUGUUCGUGAUGUUCGUCCCCAAGUCACCAAAUUAGAUCCUAAAUCUCUCAAGUGUGUUUUCCUUGGGUAUUCUCGUCUUCAGAAAGGUUACAAAUGUUAUUCUCCUACUCUUAACCGAUAUCUUGUCUCUGCAAAUGUCACUUUCCUUGACAAUACUCCUUUCUUUUCCUCAUCUUCUAGUUAUGAUCAUUAGGGGGAGGAAGAUCAUCAUCUAUUAGUUUAUAUUGUAACCUAUUCUGUCAAUACCACAGAUAUUCUUGCACCUGAUCCUGCACUUGCUCGACCACCUAUUGUCCAAGUCUAUUCCAAACGACUAAAGGCUCAGACCACAUGCCCUUUACCAGUCCCUUCGUCGUUAGAUCCAGUCUCUAGUGAUCAUGAUCCUAGUCUUCAUCUCCCUAUUGCUCUUCACAAAGGUAAACAUUAGUGUACUUAUCCUUUUUCAUCGUUUGUUUUUUAUGAUCACUUAUCUUCUUCUUCUAGUUCAUUUGUUGCAUCCUUGGAUUUUGUUUCAAUUCCUAAAACUGUUCAUAAAGCCUUGUCCUAUUCUGGCUGGCAUGCUGCUAUGGUAAAGGAGAUGGUGGCUUUAGAUGGUAAUGGUACUUGGAAUUUGGUAGAUUUGCCUGCUAGGAAGAAAGCUAUUAGGUGUAAAUGGGUGUUUGCUGCAAAGGUAAAUCCUGAUGGAUCAGUGGCUCGCCUUAAAGCCCGUCUUGUUGCUAAAGGGUAUGCCCAGACUUAUGGUGUUGAUUAUUUUGAUACUUUCUCUCCAGUAGCUAAACUUACGUCUGUUCAUUUAUUCAUCUCUAUAGGGGCUACCUAUGAUUGGCCUUUACAUCAAUUAGAUAUCAAGAAUGCUUUUUUACAUGGCGACCUCUAGGAGGAAGUGUAUAUGGAGUAACCACCUAGGUUUGUUGCUCAGGGGGAGUAUGGAAAAGUCUGUCAUCUUCGAAAAUCCUUGUAUGGCUUAAAACAAAGCCCCCGUGCUUGGUAUGGCAAAUUCAAUGAGGCAGUUUAGGAGUUUGGGAUGAAGAAGAGUAAGUGUGAUCACUCAGUGUUUUAUAGACAGUCUGAGGCAGGCAUAAUCUUACUAGUAGUGUAUGUUAAUGAUAUUGUCAUUAUUGGGAGUGACACUGCAAGUAUUUCCAUCUCUCAAAUCCUUUCUUCAUACCUAGUUUCAGACAAAAGAUUUGGGGUUGUUUAAGUAUUUUUUGGGUGUUGAGGUGACAAGGAGUAAGAAAGGUAUAUUCUUGUCUCAAAGAAAAUAUGUUCUUGACUUGUUGAUUGAGACAAGAAAAUUGGGUGCUAAGCUGUGUAAUGCAACAAUGACUCCUAAUUUGCAACUUACAAAAGAAGAUGGUGAAUUGUUUGAAGACCUUGAAAAGUAUAGAAGGCUGGUUAGAAAAUUGAAUUUUCUUAUGGUGACUCGUCCUGAUAUUGCAUACUUUGUUAACGUUGUCAAUCAGUUUAUGUUUGCUCGAAUAAUUAACCAUUGGGCAGCUUUGGAACAAAUCCUAUGUUAUUUGAAGGGGGCUCCAAGAUGUGGUCUAUUUUAUGGAAAUCAUGGACACACUAAUAUUGAAUGUUUUUCAAAUGUAGAUUGGGCAGGUUCCAAGAGUGAUAGGAGAUCCACUACGGGGAUAUUGUGUUUUUAUUGAAAGAAAUCUAGUCUCAUGGAAAAGUAAGAAGUAGAAUGUAGUAUCUCAAUCUAGUGCAGAAUCAAAAUACAGAGCUAUGGCACAAACUGUGUGUGAGGUAGUAUGGAUGCAUCAGCUAUUAAGUGAAGUUGGUCUUAAGUUUUCUUUGCCGGCGAAGUUGUGGUGUGAUAAACAAGAUGCUCUCCAUAUUACCUUCAAUCCUGUGUUUCAUGAACGAACUAAGCAUAUUGAAAUUGAUUGUCAUUUUGCUCGUGAAAAGAUUCAGCAAAAAUUCAUCUCUAUAGGAUAUGUUAAAACUGAAUACCAACUAGCAGAUAUCUUCACAAAAGCAUUAAAUGUACCUCGAGUUAAUUAUAUUCGUAGUAAGCUGGGCAUGAUUAACAUCUAGGCUCUAGCUUGAGGGGGAGUGUUAUAGAAUAGGAAAUGUGUAAAUAUUCUUUUAUUAAUAAACGUGAUUAUAGGAAUUAGAAAUCACCAUAAUUAUAGGAAUUUUAUUUUCUUUAUUCUAGGGAUUUUAUUUUCUUUAUUCUUUUCCUAUUUUAGAGAUGUUUAGGCUGUAUAUAUAGAUGAUGUAUUAUGAAUGAAAUAUGCUAAGUUUUCUCUUCCUAAAUAACAAGAUGCAAGUACCUAUUACAAAGUUUUGCUUAGAUUGUAUUCUAAUUUAGCAGCAAGAACGACAAUGAGUGAGCAAUCAUUUGGCUAUGAGUGAUGGAGAAAAGACAUUAAGCAAAGUUGAGACAACUUUGAAGUAGUUAUCAAUUGAAGAAUCUCGAAGCUCCAAUGAUGGAAAACAAGUUUUUCAAUUUGAUAAAAUGGACAUGAUGAGAAAAAAGGCAAAAAAGUCAAAAGAAUCAAAUGUAAAUGGAAAAGUAAAGGAAAUUGAUCAUCUAGUUGACCAAAAAAUGCUUUAGAAAAAGCUAAAAGAAAGAAAAAAAGCUAAAUUGAUAAAUUGGUAGAGACUCCACAAGUUUAAAAGGUAAAGGUAAUAAAUGCUUAAUAUUGUUUUAUAUUAUGUUUUGAUUUUAUUUUACUGUUAUAAUUUAUAACCAUGUAUUCAUUCUAAUAAUUACAUAGGAAUCAAGCCAAAUUGCUCAUCCUUCAUACCAUAGUAUUGCUAAUGGAUUCAAUCAAAGUACUCAAUCAUUUCCAUUUGCCCAGACAAUUAAAAAUAUUAUACUAGUAAAAUUAAAUUUUUAUAAUUUAUAUAUCACUUAUAUAUUUAAAUGUUCGACAAGAAACUCAUUUUGACAUCCAUUAGUCAAAUUUGGAUAUUUUGAAUUCCUGUGGUUAACAUUCAACAUCUCAAUUCACAUUGGUAUUUGUAGUUUCAUGAUCCUAUUUGAGUUUGAUAAAGAUUAUUAUCUUGUAGUUGAUUUUCUUAACUUUUUGUGAACUCAAAGAUCAAGCAACAAUGAGAUACUAAUUAUGACAAUUCUAUCAUGAAUCAUUCUACUAUCACAAGUUUGGGGGAUUUACUACAACUAAUUUUUAUAUAUUUAAUAAAUAAUUUACUUUUUUUUUAUUUUUGAUUAUAAUAUUUAUUUAAUUUUUUAUUUGUAUGUAUAUAUAUAGGCUUAAAUAUCACAAGCUCCAAUUUCAAAAAGAGAAACUUCAUAAGUAAAUGAACAAGAUAAAUGAAUUUGAUUUAUGGACAACAAACUUUUUUUGUGGAUAUGUCCACUACUCAAAGAAACGAAAGUAUGAAUAACCAAACAAAAAAUUACAUUGGUUAUAUAUUAUGAUUUGUUAUGUUUUUUUCCAUCACUUUUGGAGAUUGUUGGUAGACAACCGUUACGAAGAGUUGAAAGCUAACUACAAAGACAAUCAAAGUAAGCCAUCUUUGUCAUUUCCAAUGGAGAUAUUGAUGCAUGCAGCAUAUGUGUAUACUUUAAUAGUGUUAAAAUUGUUUGCUAAUAAACCUUAGCUUAUUUGGGAUUGUGAGUUGUACACUACUGAAAUUGUUGAGAGUACUACUAGUUACAAAGUCAUUCUUCUAAGAAAACCUCGUCAUUAUACAAUUAAAUAUGACUCAUCAAAUUGAACAAUCACUUGUAGUUGUAAGAAACUUGAAUAUGAUGGUAUUAAUUUUAUGUGCUCAUGCUUUUAAGGUGCUUUUUCUUUUCAGAAUUUUAAAGGAGUUCCAAAUUAAUACAUAUUAAAAAGAUGGACUAAAAAUGUAAAGAUUGGAGUUGUGGUAAAUUCUUUUGCAUUUAUUAGAUCAAAUGAUCCUAAAGAAGAUGCAAGUACCUAUUACAAAGUUUUGCUUAGAUGGUAUUCUAAUAUAACAGCAAGAGCGGCAAUGAGUGAACAAUCAUUUGGCUACGAGUGAUGAAGGAAAAACAUUAAGCAAAGUUGAAACAACUUUGAAGUAGUUAUCAAUUGAAGAAUCUUAAAGCUCUAAUGAUGGAUAACAAGUUUGUCAAUUUGAUAAAAUGGACAUGAUGAGAAAGAAGGCAAAAAAGUCAAAAAAUCAAAUGUAAAUCUAAUAGUAAAGGAGAUUGAUCAUCUAGUUGACGAAAAAGUACUUUAGAAAAAGCUAGAAGAAAGAAAAAAUGUCAAAUUAAUACAUUGGUAGAGACUCCACAAGUUUAAAAGGUAAAGGUAAUAAAUGCUUAAUAUUGUUUUAUAUUAUGUUUUGAUUUUAUUUUAUUGUUAUAAUUUUCUUUUAGUCUAUAUAACCAUGUAUUCAUUCUGAUAAUUACAUAAGAAUCAAGCCAAAUUGCUCAUCUUUCGUACCAUAGCACUGCUAAUGGAUUCAAUCAAAGUACUCAAUCAUUUCCAUUUGCCUCGAUAAUUAAAAAUAUUAUACUAGUACAAUUAAAUUCUUAUAUUUUAUGUAUCACUUAUAUAUUUAAAUGUUCGACAAGAAACUCAUUUUGACAUUCAUUAGUCAAAUUUGGAUAUUUUGAAUUCCUGUGGUUAACAUUCAACAUCUCAAUUCACAUUGGUAUUUUAGUUUCAUGAUCCUAUUUGAGUUUGAUAAAGAUUAUUAUCUUGUAGUUGAUUUUCUUAACUUUUUGUGAACUCAAAGAUCAAGCAACAAUGAGAUUCUAAUUAUGACAAAUCUAUCAUGAAUCAUUCUACUUGUCAUAACGUGCGGGUCCGGGAACUCGUCUGCUAGACGCAGGUGAAAAUUAAAUGAGUUUAGGAGUCGCCACCAAUCUUUUUUAUCUAGGUGUGAUUGGUCACCUAUUAACCCGAUUCUAAUCGACGAAGUCCUAAAUUAAUUUUAGGUCCCUCGAAAGAACGAGAACUGAUCCACGUUUUUUUAGAGAUGGGUUCGGAAGUGAGGUUACGCACGGAGAAGGAUUAGCACCUCCGUAGCGCCCGUUCCAUGAACGAUACCAUUUAAUCUUAAGUUAUCCUAUUAUAGCCUACUUUUGAUUUAAUCCCUACUUAUUAACUAAUUUUUUUAUUAAAUUGACUAAUUGAGUUUUUUUUGGUUUUAAGUAUACACAUGAUGCAAACGUAAAAUGAUGUUAUGACUUGUUUAUUUUAAAUAAUGGAGUCAGUAAUCUUUUAUUGGAAAAUUAUUCGAAGACCAUCCCAACGCUUUGGUGAAGUCUCGAAAUUCUCCUCACCUAGAGAUAUCCCCGGAAGAACUCGUCUCUACAAGCUCAUCGGGAAAUCCCAUCAUCGAAACUCCCGCACCAUUUGCAAGAUAAAUGUGGCAUGCUAUGACAGGAUAAAAUGAUGAUAUCUACAUGCACACGUUUAUUGACUUAAGUGGUUUAUAAUUCACCCAAUUAUGUGUUUAAUAAUAAUUUUUUUUAUGGAUUAUUUAUUAUUUUUUAUAUUUUUUAUUUUUUUUGUUUUCUAUUUAAAUCCAUAUCCUUUAAUUAACGUUGUUGGUUAAUUUUUUACUUGAUUAUAUAACUUAUCAAGUAAACAAUUAAUUAAUUUUUUCAAACGAUUAAAUUAACUUUAUUUAGUAAUAUUUAUUUAAGCUAAUUAACUAAUUUAAGUUUGGAUGCAACAUUAUGUAAAUUUAUUUUUUUUUAACAAUGACUAUUUGACUUAAUGGGUAUUGGAGUUUAGAGUUCGGAUUUAUCCCAACGCUUCGGUGAAAAUCUGUCUCAAACUUCGUACCCAAAAAAAAAAUCCAUUUAAAAGAGGCAACUCUUUACCUUUCUUAGAUGAAAUUUCUCAAACAAUCAUCUCAUUUUUCUUAUAAUUUUUUAUAUUUGUAUCAUGUCGUUUUUUAUUUUUAUUUUUUAUUUAUAUAUAUAUAUAUAUAUAUAUUAUUUACAAGUAUCUAAAUAUGAAUAUUGAUCCCAAUUAUAUAUAUAUAUUUAUUUACUAUUACAACCAUUAUCAUCUUUUUAGUAUUUUUUUUUAUUUUUUUUUGGAUAUUUGUUUAUAUCCAAUUUUUAUCAAAUAUUUACGCAUAUUUUCAUCUACCACUUUAUAUUUUGUUGUUAUUUUUCUACUUUGAAAUAUCACAUAAUCUCUACAUAAUAUAUUUUUUGUCUUAAUUAUUAUCCUUAUGCUCCUAAUAAUAUGUCUUUAACAUAAAUAAUUGAGCCACUACAAUGAAUAAAAAUAAAAAAAAAUUAAAGUAAAAAGGCAUGUAAGUUAGAUCUUACCUUGUGUAGGUUUAGAUUAACCCAAAAAGGAUAAAAUUAUAUGGGCUAAGGCAAGCCACCAAAGGUACAACAACAUACAAAAAUUUCUCAAAAAAAUACGUGAGAACCCCCCACCUCCUUUCUCCUUUUUCUUUUUUUCUUUUUUCUUUCUUUCUUUCAUUUCCUUUCUCUUUCUUCUUUCUUUCAUUUUCUUUCUUUCUUUCUCUCCUAGCCGCUCCCCCCUUCUUAUCUCUUUCUUUUUCUUUUCUCUUUCUUUUUUUUUUCUUUCUUCUCAUUUCUUUCCCCCGCUGGCCUCUCCUUUCUUUUUCCUCUUUCUUUCUUCCCCCUUCUCUUUCUCUUCUUUCUCCCUGCCGGGGCGUCGCACUCUUCUCCUCUUCUUUCUCCCUCUUCUUCUUUGUUUUUUUUGUGUUUGAUUCUUUUUCGAUUUUUUGGUGGAUGGAUCUUUUUCUAUGUGGCUCAAGUAGCUUGUUGUUGGUAGAUUUUUUUGAUAUGUGGUUCUCCCCUUUUUUGGUUUUGCAGGUUCCAUUUUAACAGCUGGGUUGUCUAAAAAUUUGGACAACCCGGCAAUGAGAUUCUGGCAUCAAGGAGUUGGUGGCGAGAGCCCAAUCACGUAUGGUGGUUGGGGAAGGGAUGGCUGGGCGUACGCCCAACCAUACCUCUCUUCUUCUUUUUUUUUUUUUUAAUUUUUUAUUAUUUUCUUUAUUUAUUUUUCAUAUAUUUUAUUUUGUUUUAUUAUAAUUUAAAUUUUUUUAUUUAUUUUUUUAGGUGUCUCCAGUUGCCCCUCUUUGUACAUUCUUGAGAAUCAAGAAUAGUGCAAAGACGUAGACACCGCAUUUGACUUAUCUCGAAGCCUGUUGAUUUAAUCAAUUCGAUCUAGGCUCGAUUUAUCUCAAAAUAAGUUCGAUUUAAACAAAAAUGAAAUUUCUAGACUUGAUCUGGGCUUGACCCAUGUUAGAACAAAUUCGAUUAAAAUUCUUAGACUUAAUCUUGGCUCGACCUAUCUCACAACAGGUUUGAUUUAAACAAAAUUGAAAUUUCUAAACUGAAUCUAGGCUCGACCCAUAUUAGAACAAAUUCAAUUAAAAUUCUUAGAUUUAAUCUAGGCUCGACCUAUCUCACAACAGAUUCGAUUUAAACAAAAUUAACAUUCCUAGACUUAAUCUAGGCUCGACCUAUCUCACAACAGGUUCGAUUUAAACAAAAUUAAAAUUCCUAGACUUAAUCUAGGCUCGACCUAUCUCACAACAAGUUCGAUUUAAAAAUUAAAAUUUCUAGACUUAAUCUAGGCUCGACCUAUCUCACAAUAGGUUUGAUUUAAUUCUUUAAUGCUAACUUAAUUGGAAUAACAUGAAAUGAAAAGACUCAAAUCCUUUCAUUGAAAUUUUACAAUCUCAACAUUUUAGGUCGAGUGAAUUUCGACCCUCAAAGCUUGGGACAUGAAUUAAUUUUGAUUCUUGUCGAGUGCAUGGCUAGGCAUGUAUGCAUGAUUGACAUGAUGAAACGUUUUCAUGUUUAUGAUUCAUUAAGGUUCCAAGACCUUUCUCUUGCUUCAUCCGAUUUUUCACUGUAGCUUUCAAUGACCUUCGUCUUGUGCCUUUCUUCUGGAGGCUUUAGGUAACUCUGGAUUUUCCCUAAGCACCUUUUCUUUUGACAUUUGAUUUUGCCCUAAGUUUAAGGCUCCGCCAUUCUUUUUCUUCGUUAUUAAGUCUUUUGCUGAACAAUGAGUAUAGUUCCUUGCUUAAUUAGUUUAUUUCUUUUACCAGUCAUCAUUAAUUUCCAUGACAGCCAUUAUGUGAAAUCAAUGGGAUAGUAAAGAACAAAAGGGUUAAAAUAGAGAGGCGAAGGAGAAUUUCAUAUAUGAGAUGUCAGAUAUUUCAAGGCAAAAAAGAAUUUACAGGGCCAACAUUAGAUCUUUAAGUAAUGAACACCUAGACCACUCAGAGAAAACAAUCUGAUAUUCGACUUCAAGAAUUGUCCUUGAUUGAUGCUUUGAGCAAAUCUGUAGGUUGCAGACUCCUUAACUUCCCCUACUUUGCGAAAUUGUGGAACUCCAUAUAUGGUGUAUUUCUACCUCAAUCUUGUGUUUCUUUUAGGCUGACAUCCUCAAAUUCCAUUCUAACUUCUUGUUUUUCAGCCUCAAGCUGCCCUUUUUGGGUUUUCAGCAUGAGCCUCCUCCUUUAGGUACGAGCUGCCCUUUUCGGGUUUUCAGCAUGAACCCCUUUCGUUUUUUUUUUUAAGCAUAGUACUUUUUCACCGCAUCCGCAUUUAUCGGAUUAGGCAGAUCUCCCUCAUCCAUGUCAGCCAAAAUCAAAACUCUUCCUGAAAAAGCCUUCUUUACCACAUAUGGCCCUUCCCAAUUCGGCAUCCACUUUCCCUGAAAAUCAGUUUGAUUAGGGAGUAUUCUCUUAAGAACCAACUCUCCUUCUCGGAAUUGCCUGGGACGAACUUUUUUCUCGUAUGCUCGCAUCAUCCUUCGUUGGUACAUCUGGCCAUGACAAAGAGCCGCAAGCCUUUUCUCCUCAAUCAGAUUCAAUCACUCGUAGCGGGAGCGGACCCACUCAGCAUCUUCCAAUUCUUUUUCCAUCAACACCCUCAAUGAUGGGAUUUCUACUUCAACAGGUAGAACUACUUCUGUACCAUAUACUAAUGAGUACGGAGUUGCCCCGGUGGAGGUACGCACAGAAGUUCGAUAUGCAUGCAAGGCAAAAGGAAGUUUCUCAUGCAGUCUUUAUAAACUUCAGUCAUAUUUUCGACAAUCUUUUUGAUGUUUUUGUUGGCUGCCUCUACCAUUCUGUUCAUCUUCGGACGGUAAGUUGUCGAGUUAUGAUGCUUGAUCUUGAAUUUAGCGCAAACAUCCUUCACCAUCGCACCAUUCAAAUUGCUUACGUUAUCCGUAAUGAUCCUUUCUAGAAGCCCAUACCGACAUAUGAUCUCCUUUUGGAUGAACCUGCACACCACCUUUUGUGUCACAUUGGCAUAGGAAGCUGCUUCUACCCAUUUCGUGAAAUAAUCAAUGGCCACCAAUAUGAAUCGAUGUCCAUUAGAGGCUUUUGGCGUAAUAAGUCCAAUCACAUCCAUUCCCCACAUUGAAAAUGGCCAAGGUGCUAUGAAAACGUGCAAUGGGGCUGGUGGAGCAUGGAUUCUAUCAGCGUAUACUUGACACUUGUGUCAUUUUCGAGUAAAGUUUAUGCAGUCUGAUUCCAAUGUCAACCAAUAAUAACCAGCUCUCAUAAUUUGUCUAGCCAACAUAUGUCCAUUAGCAUAAGCUCCACAAGUUCCUUCGUGGACUUCUUUCAUUAUUUUGUUGGCUUUCGUAACAUCCACACAUCUCAAAAGUACUUGAUCUAGACUCCUUUUGUAUAGCACUUCUCCGCUAAGGAAGAAACCCAUUGCUAAUUUUUUAAGAGUUCGUUUAUCAUUGUCCGUGAUAUUCUCAAGAUAUACCUGGUGCUUGAUGUAUUGCAUGAUAUCAUGAUACCACGGCUUACCAUCAACCUCUUCCUCAACAUUCAAGCAGUGUGCGGAGACUUCACAGACUUUUAAAUCAAAAGGGCGUACAUCAGUCGCUUCUUUUAUUCUGAACAUUGCUGCGAUAGUGGCCAAAGCAUCAGUAAUCUGAUUUUCUUCUCGAGGCAAGUGGUUGAAGCUGAUUUCUUUGAACUAUUUGCUUAAUUCUGUAACCAGCUUUUUAUAUGGAACUAGUUUAGAAUCUCUAAUUUCCCAUUCACCUCUCAUUUGACAUAUCACCAAAGCCGAAUCUCUGUAAACAUCUAUUGCGUCAGCCUUCAUCUCGAUUGCUGCUUGUAAUCCCAUUACCAACGCUUCAUACUCCGCCAUAUUAUUAGUACAAUUGAAAUUCAAUCUCGUUGUGGCUGGAUAAUACUUUUCAUUUGGAGAAAUCAACACUGCCCCAAUUCCGUGCCCCAAAGCAUUGGAUGCUCCAUCAAAAUACAUCUUCCAUGGAUUAAGUUCAUUGGGACCAUCAUUUUCUAUGUGUAAGACGGUUAUCAAAUCUUCAUCUGGAAAAUCGAAACUUACAGAUUGAUAAUCCUCAUUAGCUCGAUCUGCAAGGAAAUCAGCGAUGGCGCUCUCUUUGAUUGAUUUUUGGGACACAUACACAAUAUCAUACUCAGACAAUAGCACUUGCCAUCGAGCUAUUCUUCCAGACAGGCAGGGUUUUUCAAAAAUAUACUUGAUGGGAUCUAAUUUCGCCACCAACCAUGUUGUGUGAUACAACAUAUACUGUCGAAGCCUCUGGGAGGUCCAUGCUGGCGCACAACACAUCUUUUCAAGCGCAGAAUAUUUGGACUCAUACUCCAUGAACUUCUUGCUCAAGUAAUAUACGGCCCGUUCUUUCUUCUCUGUUCCAUCAUGUUGUCCUAACACACAUCCCAUAGAAUUCUUGUUCACAGUCAAAUACAAAAUAAGAGGUUUGCCGGUCAUCGGUGGCACCAACAUCGGUGGAUUUGUGAGAUAUUCUUUGAUUUUAUCAAAGGCUAUUUGACAUUCUUCAUUCCAUUCUCCUGGGUCUCGUUUUCAAAGCAGCUUGAAGAUUAGAUCACAUUUGCAGGUGAGCUGGGAUAUAAAUCGAGCAAUAUAAUUCAACUUCCCUAAAAAUCCUCUCACUUCUUUUUGCAUUUUGGGAGGUGAUAGCGCUUGAAUAGCUCGUAUUUUAUUCGGGUCCACUUCAAUUCCUUUUUCACUUACUAUGAACCCCAACAAUUUCCCAGAAGUUACACCAAAAGUGCAUUUUGCAGGAUUCAACUUGAGCUGAAACUUUCACAAUCUCUCGAACAGUUUCUUGAGAUUAACAGUAUGAUCCCUUUCUGUAUGAGAUUUUGCAAUCAUGUCAUCCACAUAUACCUCUAUCUCUUUAUGCAUCAUAUCGUGGAACAAAACUACCAUUGCCCUUUGGUAAGUGGCACCUGCAUUCUUCAAUCCAAAUGGCAUUACUUUGUAACAAAACAUUCCCCACAUGGUUACGAAUAUUGUUUUUUCCAUAUCUUCGGGUGCCAUCUUGAUCUGAUUAUAACCAGAAAAACCAUCCAUAAAUGAGAACAAAAACAUGUUUUGCUGUGUUGUCCACAAGAGUAUCAAUAUGUGGCAAAGGGAAGUUAUCCUUUGGACUCGCUCUGUUCAAAUCCCUAUAAUCGACGCACAUUCGAACUUUUCCAUCCUUUUUAGGAACUGGAACUAUAUUAGCCACCCAUUCAGGGUACUUAGCCACCUCUAAAAAUCCAGCAUCAAAUUGCUUCUUUACUUCCUCUUUAAUUUUUAGCAACAUUUCUGGCUUCAUCCUUCUCAACUUUUGUUUAAUAGGCUUGCAAUCUGGUCUCAAAGGUAACUUAUGGACAACGAUGUCAGUGUUGAGACCUGGCAUGUCCUGAUAUGACCAAGCAAACACAUCCACAUAUUCACGGAACAAUUCUUCUAGCUUCUGCCGUUCAUUAGAUGACAGCGAGGUGCCAAUCUUAACUUCUUUCUUUUCUUCCCCAUUUUCGAGGUUAAUCAUUUCUAUGAGUUCCUGAUGAGGUAAAAUCUCUUUUUCCUCCUGUUCCAACAUUCUUGACAAAUCAGGGGGUAAGCCAUAGUCAUCCACCUCCUCUUCAUUUUUCAAUUCAUCAACGUUCGGAAUCAUCUUAAAAUCGAUAUUCAAAUCAUUAUCUAGAUUGUCUUCGUGUUCAUUAUUUAAAGACCUGCAAACAAGUAAAGUUGGAUGUGUGUAUGGGCGAGUAUUUAUUGGCUAAAAGAAUAGAUGAAAGGAAACAUGCAAAAAGGUUGAUGAAUUAUGAAACACAUUAUGCAUUGUCAUUUAUUUAANGAUCUUGAAACACAUUAUGCAUUGUCACUUAUUUAAAUGAUUAUGGUAACAGAAAGCCCUACUUAAAUAGGAAAUUAAUCUUAACACCCUUGAGCAUAGGCAUUUAGAUAAAAUUUUUCAUUACAUUUCGGAAGACUUAAGAUGAUGGACAAUUCCGUGGCUGUUUAAUUGCUUAGCUCCUCUCCUGACAGUACUGGAUACACUACAGGGAUCUUCUCGUUAGGUUCUUCAUCUCUGAUCAUAUGGAUUGAUAGCUUAUCAAAUAUCCGUAGAACCUGAUUGACCUUUGUUGGUGCUUCGAGAUGAAUGAAACCUACAGAAUGAAAAGUCUCAUAUAAGUGUGGGAUUGUCCGUUCCCCAGAUUCUUCUUCAUUUCCCUUAAGUUGAGCCAUCCUUUUAAUCUUCUUUCGAGCUGCCAGUUUCCUUCUCUCUUCUUUGGUAGGCUUGUACCCCAAACCAAACCUUUCUUCAUUCUUUAUUGGAGUCAGAGGAUGGUUAAUUCCUUGUAAAUUCCUUCCUAACCCCAAACCGGCACGGCAUCCCUUACCCACUGUCUGCUUAACCCCCAUUUUAGUUGCUACUGACAAAUGAGGAGUCGGUAUCACUUCUCUUUCCCCCACAUAUGUAGCAUUAACGAAUUCAAAAGAUUUGAAAGAGCAUUCUGGGACUUCUUCUGUUGCCUCUACAUAGGGAGCAGAUGAUGGUCGAAUAGCCAGUAUGUCUUCCUCUGCAGAUACACUUAUCAGUUGGCCUUCAGCUAUGAAUUUAACUUUUUGAUGAAGGGAAGAUGGUAUGGCUCCCCCCAUAUGAAUCCAUGGAUGCCCUAACAAGCAAUUGUAUGACGGGGCAAUGUCCAUGACUUGAAAUUGGACCUAAAAAAUGCAAGGGCCAAUUUUUAUCGGUAGUUAAUGUCCCCUACCACCUCUCUUGUGGUCCCGUCGAAGGCCUUUACAACCAUGUGACUGGUUCUCAUAUAAGACACAUCUACUGGCAACUUGGUUAAAGUAGAGCGAGGCAUGACAUUUAAUGCUGAACCAUUGUCAACCAAGACCCUAGGUACGGCAUGGUCCUUGCAUUUGAUGGUAAUGUACAGAGCUUUGUUACUUCCCCGACCACCUGAUGGGAUUUCCUCAUCAUUAAAGGCAAUGAAGUUCCCCACUGUAAUAUUCCCCACAAUGUGGUCUAACUUUUCCACUGAUAUAUCUUGUGACACAUAAGCUUGGUUCAAGACUUUAAGCAGCGCGUUCCUGUGUGCUUCCGAAUUCAAAAGCAAGGACAACAGUGAGAUACGAGCAGGCAUUUUGGUUAAUUGUUCUACCACGUUGUAUUCAUUGUGUUUAAUAAACUUGAGAAAUUCACCCACUUCUUUCUCGGUAACAGGAUUUUUGACCUCAUUGUUCAGAGCAACUACAGAUUCGACAACUUGGUCCUUGGAAAAGGUAUCUGCUUUCUUCAAGCCUCCCUCUCCCUGUGCUGGUUUCCCUUUUCCAACUCUUUUCGCUAUCUCAGGGGAAUAACAUCGCCCACUUUGCGUUAUACCCCCCACACCAGUUAGAUCUUCAGAAGAUGCUUGGGGGGCGGAUGAAGCUGUGCCCAAAAUAUUACACUCAUAAUUCCAUGGGACAGCUUUAUCGCUCUUGUAAGGGAAUGGGCUGGGGACUUCGAUGCUAAUACCACUUCUGAUCAUAGUAGGGGAUGUAUCAUUCAUCGGGCUUCUGUUUUCUUCAUAGAAGAUGGUGAGAGGUUUAGGUUUGUUCGCCCCGAAUGAACUUGAUGCCACUUCAGCUGGGGUGUCUCCAUUUAUGGUUUCGACCAAAUUCUCUUCGGUUUCUUCAUAAAACUCAAUUACCGAUAAAUCCAUCAAUUCUUGCAACUUACGACGAAACCUAUCACAAUUUUGAAUGGAAUGCCCAAUUGCCCCCAUAUGAAAUUUGCAAGAAUAAGCGAGAUCAUGCCCCAAUUCCUUUGUGUCGAUUGGUUCUGGAGUGAUGGCAUUUAUCUUGGACAACGCCUCAAACACUUUAUCCAUUGGCGUUUGAAUCUCAUCAAUACUCUUUUUCACUCUUUGAAUCAUCACUUCAUGUAUGACGUUCACUGUUGGUCUUCCAUGAUUAGGUAAAGGAUUCCCAUCAACACUUGAAUUGUCUUUUUUGGCAAAAUUUAAAAGUCCUAUCUUAAUGAGCGCUUGGACCUUAUGUUUUAAAGCAGUACAAUUCUCGGUGGAGUGCCCUUGAAUUCCAAAAUGGUAAUCACAAUGCGCAUUCGGGUCAUACCAUUUCAGGAAAAGUGGUCGGAGUGGUUCUAAAGGGGUUCGAGCAAGAAGUCGAUUUUCUAUGAGUUGUGGCAACAAUAUAGUGUAAAGGACUGGAAUAGGAUCAAACUUUGGUUUUUCUAGGGUAGUUCUAGGUCCUCUUUAACCAUGACCAGGAUUAUUGGUAAUAUGGGUUAAAGUUGUGGGCUUGUUGGCUGUCGUGAGCGACUACUUGCACAUCCCCUUCUUUAAUCUUGGGCGUAUUCCAUCUCUUUGAGCUGGCAACUUCAUGCCCUUCAAUUUUUUCACUUUUGAUAGCUCCUUCUAUUAUUUCUCCCGAUAAGACCAAAUUUGUAAAGUUUUUUGUGGCAUUGCUGAUCAAGCGCUCAUAGAAUGGAGCUCGGAGUGUGUUUAUGAACAACACAGUCAUCUCCUUAUCAGUGAGAGGUGGCUGAACUUGCGCUGCUGUAUCUCUCCACCUUUGGGCAUAUUCCUUGAAGUUCUCGCUUUGCUUCUUUUCCAUAGUCUGCAAUGACAACCGAUCAGGGGCUAAUUCAGCCACAUGCUUGUAUUGGGCUAUGAAGGCUCUUGCUAGGUCUUUCUAAGUCUUAAUACGAUUUUGAUAUAGCUGUACGUACCACCGAGCAGCUGACCCAGUCAAGCUGUUUUGAAAAAAAUGGAUCAGUAACUUAUCAUCGUGAGACUGUGCAGCCAUCUUCAGACAAUACAUGGUAAUAUGUGCCAUGGGACACUUUGUUCCGUCAUAUUUUUCAAAUUUUGGAACCUUGAACUUGGCAGGGAUCAAUACAUCCGGCACUAAGCAUAGCUCGGUUGCGUCCAUGGUACCAAACCUGUUAACUCUUUCGAUAGCACAAAGACGUUCUUCCAACAAAUCGUACUUUUUCUGAUCUUUUUCAUUUUUUCCUGUUUGUGACGAGUCCUUUCUUAGUUUCUCUUGUUUUUUUGGAUCGUCUAAAUCUGGGACGUGCAUUGGUUCAGUAGGAUUUAUCCCAGAAUAUGGCCUAAAUUGCCCAUGAGUCUGUUGAUGGCCCAUCGGAGGUGGUGCAUUGUAAUAAACAGAUGGCAUCAUUUGAGGGUGGACCCUUUGAGAGGUUUGGGCAUGUGGUGGAGUGAACCCUGAGGGAUAGGGUGGAUCCUCCCUUUGAUUUCCACUGUCUUGAGCUGGUGGGUUUUCUGACGGAGCUGGCUCUUCGAUCACUCUUUUUCCUUUACUGAAACUCAUCAUCAAUUCCAUCAUCUUUGCUAACUGUUCUCUCAUUUCUUCCUGAGCUCUUUCCAUUCUGUCCAUUCGCUCUCUUUGUUCUUCUUCCAUGACCCUUGCUCGCUGACGCAUAUUAUGAACACGUUGGUCACUUGGCUUAGGUGGUCGAGCUAUUUUGGAACCUUAUUGUAAUCAUAAACAUGAAUUAGAUACGUAUUCGAUGCAUGAAUGAACCCAUUAUCUUAUUUUUAUAUGAAAAUACUUAUUGUCAUGAAAUGAUGAUUUAUGCAUGUAUGAAUGAUUAUGUACUAAAAGUAUUCACCACAUGACACCCAACAACAAAGUCAUCCAUUGCAUAAGAUAUUUGUCUUUGAUUACAACUCAAGAGUCAUCUAGAAAUAUUCGCCAAUCUUAUUAUAAUGGCUAUACACCUUAUCUAAAUACUUAAUCAACUGUUGCUCUUGUUUUCCAAUUGGAAAGAUUUGGCUCCUUAAUAUGUCCGUCUUCCAAGCCAUGCUUCUCGCCUUGUAAGCCACCUCCCUCAUUUGCCAAAUCAAGUAAUCCAUCUGGUCGUGUUUCUCUAUAUAAGCUUGUUUGUAAGAUUCACCCCACUCUUGAAUUCUGGUGCUCUGUUGCUUGAGGCGUUCAUAUUCCUGUUGAUAAGUCAUCAUGACCCCUUCGAGCUCUUCAUACUCCUGUCUUAGUAAUUUGAUGAACUCUUGUUGGAAUCGCACUUGUCUUCUUAGUCCAUCAUUGUGCGUUUGAAGUUCAUUGCCUCGAUUUUCUCUCACCUAUAUUUCCCUUUGAAGUUCACUAGUUGUGGCAGAAAACUUAUCAUUCAGGCUCUCAUACUUCCCUUCUAUUUUUCGGACUUUCUUUCUUUGUUCAAUUACCUCUUUUUUCAUUUUCUCACACUCUUUUUGGAGGUCUUCAUACCGUUGCUUCCAACUGGCAUUUUCAGCUUCGGACUUCUUUCGAGCCAACUCACUUUCGAGCAAAGCGUCUCGUGGUUCUGGAUCAACUGGGCCACGUAGUGCAUCUUCUUUCGGAUAUACCACAUCCUUAACUCGUUGGUCAUGCCAUAUCUGAUAUCCGGUAGUCACUUCAUCGGUGUACCUCCCUUGAUCAACUCGGCUAGUUUUCUUCCAAGCUUGCGCAAUUUCCUCGAUCCUUUUCAGAAAACCCGGCUCUCCAUAAGCAAACUCUAAAGUAUUAAGUCGGUGUGUCAUCGGUACAAACUGUUCUGACCCAAAUUGUCUUCUCACCAUAAUUNNNNNNNNNNNNNNNNNNNNNNNNNNNNNNNNNNNNNNNNNNNNNNNNNNNNNNNNNNNNNNNNNNNNNNNNNNNNNNNNNNNNNNNNNNNNNNNNNNNNNNNNNNNNNNNNNNNNNNNNNNNNNNNNNNNNNNNNNNNNNNNNNNNNNNNNNNNNNNNNNNNNNNNNNNNNNNNNNNNNNNNNNNNNNNNNNNNNNNNNNNNNNNNNNNNNNNNNNNNNNNNNNNNNNNNNNNNNNNNNNNNNNNNNNNNNNNNNNNNNNNNNNNNNNNNNNNNNNNNNNNNNNNNNNNNNNNNNNNNNNNNNNNNNNNNNNNNNNNNNNNNNNNNNNNNNNNNNNNNNNNNNNNNNNNNNNNNNNNNNNNNNNNNNNNNNNNNNNNNNNNNNNNNNNNNNNNNNNNNNNNNNNNNNNNNNNNNNNNNNNNNNNNNNNNNNNNNNNNNNNNNNNNNNNNNNNNNNNNNNNNNNNNNNNNNNNNNNNNNNNNNNNNNNNNNNNNNNNNNNNNNNNNNNNNNNNNNNNNNNNNNNNNNNNNNNNNNNNNNNNNNNNNNNNNNNNNNNNNNNNNNNNNNNNNNNNNNNNNNNNNNNNNNNNNNNNNNNNNNNNNNNNNNNNNNNNNNNNNNNNNNNNNNNNNNNNNNNNNNNNNNNNNNNNNNNNNNNNNNNNNNNNNNNNNNNNNNNNNNNNNNNNNNNNNNNNNNNNNNNNNNNNNNNNNNNNNNNNNNNNNNNNNNNNNNNNNNNNNNNNNNNNNNNNNNNNNNNNNNNNNNNNNNNNNNNNNNNNNNNNNNNNNNNNNNNNNNNNNNNNNNNNNNNNNNNNNNNNNNNNNNNNNNNNNNNNNNNNNNNNNNNNNNNNNNNNNNNNNNNNNNNNNNNNNNNNNNNNNNNNNNNNNNNNNNNNNNNNNNNNNNNNNNNNNNNNNNNNNNNNNNNNNNNNNNNNNNNNNNNNNNNNNNNNNNNNNNNNNNNNNNNNNNNNNNNNNNNNNNNNNNNNNNNNNNNNNNNNNNNNNNNNNNNNNNNNNNNNNNNNNNNNNNNNNNNNNNNNNNNNNNNNNNNNNNNNNNNNNNNNNNNNNNNNNNNNNNNNNNNNNNNNNNNNNNNNNNNNNNNNNNNNNNNNNNNNNNNNNNNNNNNNNNNNNNNNNNNNNNNNNNNNNNNNNNNNNNNNNNNNNNNNNNNNNAUAAAUUCCAUCGUAACUUGAGGAUGGCCAUGAUGACUCCAUGUAUGCAACUGGAUCUACUCUGUUAAUGGUUGUCAGGUGACAAAUACUUUUCCUAUUAUGAUGCAAAUAUGUAUAUGACAAAAAAUUCAAGUUAGCACCAUAAACAAGAAUUCCAAAAGAUGAAUGAAAGUAAUUAAUAACCUAAUACCUUUAUUACUCGCAGAGAAGGAUUUAGAACAAGGGGAUUAUGAAAAUUCCUUCAUGUGUACCUAAUCAAAAGGUAUAUUCUCACGGGUGAAGCUCUACCUAAGCAAAGGUGACUCUUUGUAUUCUACAUGCUGAGUUUGGGUUGAAAAUGGAGCUAAAAGUUCCCAAAUCGUUCCUCACUGUCGUCCACAUGGACUAGUAAGGCACCCCGGUCCUCACCCAUUACAGGUUUCAAACGGACUAGGUUCGAUCUGAAUGGAAGUCUUCACUAGCCCAUGCGAAGGUUAUCACCUCACAAGAGCGUAGCUACUUAACUCUCUCCUAAUUAAGGACAAAGCCCGGGUGGAAGGCUUAUGCAUGAAUGCAAGAUGUGUAGUGUGUGAGAAGGAGUAUACUGACCUUGGACCAAUAAUUUCACACUCCCCUUAUCCUAAACUUCCCGCAAUUAUUAAAAAUAGUGAAGUAAUAAUAACAAAAUAAAUGAAUACAUUAAACAAAAAUAUGCAAAAUUGAUGUUAGGGAAAACAGCAAAUUAUUUAAGGCUUAAGAUAACUUAUGAUUAAUUAAUGGCUUGACUCUCGAUGUCCUCAGCGGAGUCACCAUCUGUCGUAACGUGCAGGUCCGGGAACCCGUCUUUCAGACGCGGGCGAAAAUUAAAUGGGUUUAGGAGUCGCCACCAAUCUUUUUUAUCUAGGUGUGAUUGGUCACCUAUUAACCCGAUUCUAAUCGACGAAGUCCUAAAUUAAUUUUAGAUCCGUCGAAAGAACAAGAACUGAUCCACGUUUUUUUAGAGAUGGGUUCGGAAGUGCGGUUACGCACGGAGAAGGAUUAGCACCUCCGUAGCGCCCGUUCCAUGAACGGUACCAUUUAAUCUUAAGUUAUCCUAUUAUAGCCUACUUUUGAUUUAAUCCCUACUUAUUAACUAAAUUUUUUAUUAAAUUGACUAAUUGAGUUUUUUUUUUAUUUUACGUAUGCACAUGAUGCAAACGUAAAAUGAUGUUAUGACUUGUUUAUUUUAAAUAAUGGAGUCGGUAAUCUUUUAUUGGAAAAUUAUUCGAAGACCAUCCCAACGCUUUGGUGAAGUCUCGAAAUUCUCCUCACCUAGAGAUAUCCCCGGAAGAACUCGUAUCUACAAGCUCUUCGGGGAAAUCCCAUCAUCGGAACUCCCGCACCAUUUGCAAGAUAAAUGUGGCAUGCUAUGACAGGAUAAAAUGAUGAUAUCUACAUGCACGGGUUUAUUGACUUAGGUGGUUUAUAAUUCACCCAAUUAUGUGUUUAAUAAUAAUUUUUUUAUGGAUUAUUUAUUAUUUUUUAUAUUUUUUUAUUUUUUUUUGUUUUCUAUUUAAAUCCAUAUCCUUUAAUUAACGUUGUUGGUUAAUUUUUUACUUGAUUAUAUAACUUAUCAAGUAAACAAUUAAUUAAUUUUUUCAAACGAUUAAAUUAACUUUAUUUAGUAAUAUUUAUUUAAGCUAAUUAACUAAUUUAAGUUUGGAUGCAACAUUAUGUAAAUUUAUUUUUUUUUAACAAUGACUAUUUGACUUAAUGGGUAUUGGAGUUUAGAGUUCGGAUUUAUCCCAACGCUUCGGUGAAAAUCUGUCUCAAACUUCGUACCCAAAAAAAAAAUCCAUUUAAAAGAGGCAACUCUUUACCUUUCUUAGAUGAAAUUUCUCAAACAAUCAUCUCAUUUUUCUUAUAAUUUUUUAUAUUUGUAUCAUGUCGUUUUUUAUUUUUAUUUUUUAUUUAUAUAUAUAUAUAUAUAUAUAUUAUUUACAAGUAUCUAAAUAUGAAUAUUGAUCCCAAUUAUAUAUAUAUAUUUAUUUACUAUUACAACCAUUAUCAUCUUUUUAGUAUUUUUUNNNNNNNNNNNNNNNNNNNNNNNNNNNNNNNNNNNNNNNNNNNNNNNNNNNNNNNNNNNNNNNNNNNNNNNNNNNNNNNNNNNNNNNNNNNNNNNNNNNNNNNNNNNNNNNNNNNNNNNNNNNNNNNNNNNNNNNNNNNNNNNNNNNNNNNNNNNNNNNNNNNNNNNNNNNNNNNNNNNNNNNNNNNNNNNNNNNNNNNNNNNNNNNNNNNNNNNNNNNNNNNNNNNNNNNNNNNNNNNNNNNNNNNNNNNNNNNNNNNNNNNNNNNNNNNNNNNNNNNNNNNNNNNNNNNNNNNNNNNNNNNNNNNNNNNNNNNNNNNNNNNNNNNNNNNNNNNNNNNNNNNNNNNNNNNNNNNNNNNNNNNNNNNNNNNNNNNNNNNNNNNNNNNNNNNNNNNNNNNNNNNNNNNNNNNNNNNNNNNNNNNNNNNNNNNNNNNNNNNNNNNNNNNNNNNNNNNNNNNNNNNNNNNNNNNNNNNNNNNNNNNNNNNNNNNNNNNNNNNNNNNNNNNNNNNNNNNNNNNNNNNNNNNNNNNNNNNNNNNNNNNNNNNNNNNNNNNNNNNNNNNNNNNNNNNNNNNNNNNNNNNNNNNNNNNNNNNNNNNNNNNNNNNNNNNNNNNNNNNNNNNNNNNNNNNNNNNNNNNNNNNNNNNNNNNNNNNNNNNNNNNNNNNNNNNNNNNNNNNNNNNNNNNNNNNNNNNNNNNNNNNNNNNNNNNNNNNNNNNNNNNNNNNNNNNNNNNNNNNNNNNNNNNNNNNNNNNNNNNNNNNNNNNNNNNNNNNNNNNNNNNNNNNNNNNNNNNNNNNNNNNNNNNNNNNNNNNNNNNNNNNNNNNNNNNNNNNNNNNNNNNNNNNNNNNNNNNNNNNNNNNNNNNNNNNNNNNNNNNNNNNNNNNNNNNNNNNNNNNNNNNNNNNNNNNNNNNNNNNNNNNNNNNNNNNNNNNNNNNNNNNNNNNNNNNNNNNNNNNNNNNNNNNNNNNNNNNNNNNNNNNNNNNNNNNNNNNNNNNNNNNNNNNNNNNNNNNNNNNNNNNNNNNNNNNNNNNNNNNNNNNNNNNNNNNNNNNNNNNNNNNNNNNNNNNNNNNNNNNNNNNNNNNNNNNNNNNNNNNNNNNNNNNNNNNNNNNNNNNNNNNNNNNNNNNNNNNNNNNNNNNNNNNNNNNNNNNNNNNNNNNNNNNNNNNNNNNNNNNNNNNNNNNNNNNNNNNNNNNNNNNNNNNNNNNNNNNNNNNNNNNNNNNNNNNNNNNNNNNNNNNNNNNNNNNNNNNNNNNNNNNNNNNNNNNNNNNNNNNNNNNNNNNNNNNNNNNNNNNNNNNNNNNNNNNNNNNNNNNNNNNNNNNNNNNNNNNNNNNNNNNNNNNNNNNNNNNNNNNNNNNNNNNNNNNNNNNNNNNNNNNNNNNNNNNNNNNNNNNNNNNNNNNNNNNNNNNNNNNNNNNNNNNNNNNNNNNNNNNNNNNNNNNNNNNNNNNNNNNNNNNNNNNNNNNNNNNNNNNNNNNNNNNNNNNNNNNNNNNNNNNNNNNNNNNNNNNNNNNNNNNNNNNNNNNNNNNNNNNNNNNNNNNNNNNNNNNNNNNNNNNNNNNNNNNNNNNNNNNNNNNNNNNNNNNNNNNNNNNNNNNNNNNNNNNNNNNNNNNNNNNNNNNNNNNNNNNNNNNNNNNNNNNNNNNNNNNNNNNNNNNNNNNNNNNNNNNNNNNNNNNNNNNNNNNNNNNNNNNNNNNNNNNNNNNNNNNNNNNNNNNNNNNNNNNNNNNNNNNNNNNNNNNNNNNNNNNNNNNNNNNNNNNNNNNNNNNNNNNNNNNNNNNNNNNNNNNNNNNNNNNNNNNNNNNNNNNNNNNNNNNNNNNNNNNNNNNNNNNNNNNNNNNNNNNNNNNNNNNNNNNNNNNNNNNNNNNNNNNNNNNNNNNNNNNNNNNNNNNNNNNNNNNNNNNNNNNNNNNNNNNNNNNNNNNNNNNNNNNNNNNNNNNNNNNNNNNNNNNNNNNNNNNNNNNNNNNNNNNNNNNNNNNNNNNNNNNNNNNNNNNNNNNNNNNNNNNNNNNNNNNNNNNNNNNNNNNNNNNNNNNNNNNNNNNNNNNNNNNNNNNNNNNNNNNNNNNNNNNNNNNNNNNNNNNNNNNNNNNNNNNNNNNNNNNNNNNNNNNNNNNNNNNNNNNNNNNNNNNNNNNNNNNNNNNNNNNNNNNNNNNNNNNNNNNNNNNNNNNNNNNNNNNNNNNNNNNNNNNNNNNNNNNNNNNNNNNNNNNNNNNNNNNNNNNNNNNNNNNNNNNNNNNNNNNNNNNNNNNNNNNNNNNNNNNNNNNNNNNNNNNNNNNNNNNNNNNNNNNNNNNNNNNNNNNNNNNNNNNNNNNNNNNNNNNNNNNNNNNNNNNNNNNNNNNNNNNNNNNNNNNNNNNNNNNNNNNNNNNNNNNNNNNNNNNNNNNNNNNNNNNNNNNNNNNNNNNNNNNNNNNNNNNNNNNNNNNNNNNNNNNNNNNNNNNNNNNNNNNNNNNNNNNNNNNNNNNNNNNNNNNNNNNNNNNNNNNNNNNNNNNNNNNNNNNNNNNNNNNNNNNNNNNNNNNNNNNNNNNNNNNNNNNNNNNNNNNNNNNNNNNNNNNNNNNNNNNNNNNNNNNNNNNNNNNNNNNNNNNNNNNNNNNNNNNNNNNNNNNNNNNNNNNNNNNNNNNNNNNNNNNNNNNNNNNNNNNNNNNNNNNNNNNNNNNNNNNNNNNNNNNNNNNNNNNNNNNNNNNNNNNNNNNNNNNNNNNNNNNNNNNNNNNNNNNNNNNNNNNNNNNNNNNNNNNNNNNNNNNNNNNNNNNNNNNNNNNNNNNNNNNNNNNNNNNNNNNNNNNNNNNNNNNNNNNNNNNNNNNNNNNNNNNNNNNNNNNNNNNNNNNNNNNNNNNNNNNNNNNNNNNNNNNNNNNNNNNNNNNNNNNNNNNNNNNNNNNNNNNNNNNNNNNNNNNNNNNNNNNNNNNNNNNNNNNNNNNNNNNNNNNNNNNNNNNNNNNNNNNNNNNNNNNNNNNNNNNNNNNNNNNNNNNNNNNNNNNNNNNNNNNNNNNNNNNNNNNNNNNNNNNNNNNNNNNNNNNNNNNNNNNNNNNNNNNNNNNNNNNNNNNNNNNNNNNNNNNNNNNNNNNNNNNNNNNNNNNNNNNNNNNNNNNNNNNNNNNNNNNNNNNNNNNNNNNNNNNNNNNNNNNNNNNNNNNNNNNNNNNNNNNNNNNNNNNNNNNNNNNNNNNNNNNNNNNNNNNNNNNNNNNNNNNNNNNNNNNNNNNNNNNNNNNNNNNNNNNNNNNNNNNNNNNNNNNNNNNNNNNNNNNNNNNNNNNNNNNNNNNNNNNNNNNNNNNNNNNNNNNNNNNNNNNNNNNNNNNNNNNNNNNNNNNNNNNNNNNNNNNNNNNNNNNNNNNNNNNNNNNNNNNNNNNNNNNNNNNNNNNNNNNNNNNNNNNNNNNNNNNNNNNNNNNNNNNNNNNNNNNNNNNNNNNNNNNNNNNNNNNNNNNNNNNNNNNNNNNNNNNNNNNNNNNNNNNNNNNNNNNNNNNNNNNNUCUUCUCAUUUAUUUCCCCCGCUGGCCUCUCCUUUCUUUUUCCUCUUUCUUUCUUCCUCCUUCUCUUUCUCUUCUUUCUCCCUGCCGGGGCGUUGCACUCUUUUCCUCUUCUCUCUCCCUCUUCUUCUUUUUUUUCUUUGCUCUGUUUUUUUUGUGUUUGAUUCUUUUUCGGUUUUUUGGUGGAUGGAUCUUUUUCUAUGUGGCUCAAGUAGCUUGUUGUUGGUAGAUUUUUUUGAUAUGUGGUUCUCCCUUUUUUUGGUUUUGCAGGUUCCAUUUUAACAGCUGGGUUGUCCAAAAAUUUGGACAACCCGGCAAUGGGGUUCUGGCACCAAAGAGUUGGUGGCCAGAGCCCCAUCACGCAUGGUGGUUGGGGAAGGGAUGGCUGGGCGUACGCCCAACCAUACCUCUCUUCUUCUUUUUUUUUUCUUUUUUUUUUAAUUUGUUAUUAUUUUCUUUAUUUAUUUUUCAUAUAUUUUAUUUUGUUUUAUUAUAAUUUAAAUUUUUUUAUUUAUUUUUUUAGGUGUCUACACUACUAUCACAAGUUUAGGGGAUUUACUACAACUAAUUUUUAUAUAUUUAAUAAACAAAUUUACUUUCUUUUUUAUUUUUGAUUAUAAUAUUUAUUUAAUUUUUUAUUUGUAUGUAUAUAUAGAGGCUCAAAUAUCACAAGAUCCUACUUCAAAAAGAGAAACUUUAGAAGUAAAUGAGAAGGAUAAAUGAAUUUGAUUUAUGAAUGACAAACUUUUUUUGUGAAUAUGUCCACUACUCAAAGAAGUGAGAGUAUGAAUAACCAAAUAAAAAAUUGCAUUGGUUAUAUAUUAUGAUUUAUUACGUUUUUUCCAUCACUUUUGGUGAUUAUUGGUAGAUAACUGUUAUGAUGAGUUGAAAGCUUACUACAAAGACAAUCAAAGUAAGCCAUCUUUAUCAUUUUUAGUGGAGAUAUUGAUGCAUGCAUCAUAUGUGUACUCUUUAAUUGUUUUAAAAAUGUUUUCUAAUAAACUUUAGCUUAUUUGGGAUUGUGAGUUGUACACUACUGAAAUUGUUGGGAGUACUACUAGUUACAAAGUCAUUCUUCUAAGAAAACCUUGUCAUUAUACAAUUAAAUAUGACUCGUCAAAUUCAACAAUCACUUGUAGUUGUAAGAAACUUGAAUAUGAUGGUAUUAAUUUUAUGUGCUCAUGCUUAUAAGGUGAGUUUUUUUUUUUAGAAUUUUAAAGGAGUUCCAAAUUAAUACAUAUUAAAAAGAUGGACUAAAAAAGCAAAGAUUGGAGCUGUGGUAAAUUCUUUUUCAUUUACUAGAUCAAAUGAUCUUAAAGAAAAUGCAUGUACCUGUUACAAAGUUUUGCUUAGAUGGUAUUCUAAUUUAGCAGCUAGAGUGACAAUGAGUGAGUAAUCAUUUGGCUACGAGUGAUGGAGAAAAGACAUUAAGCAAAGUUGAAACAACUUUAAAGUAGUUAUCAAUUGAAGAAUCUCGAAGCUCCAAUGAUGGAAAACAAACUUGUCAAUUUGACAAAAUAGACGUUAUGAGAAAGAAGGUAAAAAAGUCAAAAGAAUCAAAUGUAAAUCUAAAAGUAAAAGAGAUUGAUCAUCUAGCUGACGAAAAAGUACUUUAGAAAAAGCUAGAAGAGAGAAAAAAUGUCAAAUUGAUACAUUGGUAAAGAUUCCACAAGUUUAACAAGUAAAGGUAAUAAAUGCUUAAUAUUGUUUUGUAUUAUGUUUUGAUUUUAUUUUACCGUUAUAAUUUCCUUUUAGUCUAUAUAACCAUGUAUUCAUUCUGAUAAUUACAUAGGAAUCUAGCCAAAUUGCUCAUCCUUCGUACCGUAGUACCGCUAAUGGAUUCAAUCAAUGUACUCAAUCAUUUCAAUUUGCCAAUAUAAUUAAAAAUAUUAUACUAUUAAAAUUAAAUUCUUAUAUUUUAUAUAUCACUUAUAUAUUUAAAUGUUUGACAAGAAACUCAUUUUGACAUCCAUUAGUCAAAUUUGGAUAUUUUGAAUUCCUGUGGUUAACAUUCAACAUCUCAAUUCACAUUGGUAUUUUUAGUUUCAUGAUCCUAUUUGAGUUUGAUAAAGAUUAUUAUCUUGUAGUUAAUGUUCUUAACUCUUUGUGAACUCAAAGAUCAAGCAACAAUCAGAUUCUAAUUAUGACAAAUCUAUCAUGAAUCAUUCUACUAUCACAAGUUUAGAGGAUUUAUUACAACUAAUUUUUAUAUAUUUAAUAAACAAAUUUGCUUUCUUUUUUAUUUUUGAUUAUAAUAUUUAUUUAAAUUUUUAUUUGUACGUGUAUAAAUAUAAACUCAAAUAUCACAAGCUCUUAGUUUAAAAAGAGAAACUUCAGAAGUAAAUGAGAAGGAUAGAUGAAAGAUAUGACUUCCACAACAUGAUUUAAAUGUUAUUGUCAUUUACUUACAUGACGUAAAAGUGAUCAUUUUAAUUUUGAGAUAAAACUUUGAUUGUUGUAUUUGUUAAGAUUAUAUACAGUUGAAUUUUGUUUAGCUCUAAAUUGUAUCAUAAAUUAUUUUAUAUAAUCUCAAAUUCUUCAUGAUUUCUCGUCAUUUAUUUUUUUGACACGUCAGCAGAAAUAUACUUUUAUAUCAUCAAAUGAGUUUGUAAAAUCCUAAAGCAAAAUAAAAACCACUGAAAGAAUAAACCAAUUAAGGUUGUUCAGAGCAUCGUUGAAUAUACCCAUUUACUAUUAUUAGUACCAAUAAUUCAACAAUGAAAAUGUGUUUUGUAUACGCAUGAUGCUGAUUGAUGGUAUUAAUACGCAUGACUUAGAAAUAUUUGCAACCACAAACUUUUGUUAUCAGAUUAAAACCAAAAGGCUGUGUGCAGCAUAAGAAGUUUUAUGAGGCUGUACCAUCGUGAUAGUUAUUGACAUUUCAGUACUCCUUAUUGAAACAACCUCCACAGGAGGCACCAACUCUGUGACUGGGCCAUUAGGAGUUCGCUUUCGGCUCAAGACUCUUGAGAUGGGCAACAAACUCACUUCUUCAGAGGCCAAAAAUGGGUCAAGCAAGAGUUCAUGGGCGGGCAACCUAUUGGAAACAUUCUCCAAGCACUUCCCAACCAAUCGUCGGGCUUCCGCACCUUGAAUCAUGUAGAACGCCUCUGGGAACUUUCCCUGGAAGAGUAGAAGAAGCAAUAUAGCACAUUAAUAUAAUAGACUAAUACUGUGGUUAAUAUAUAGUAUUGAAACUAAUGAACAUGGAUGUACUCAUCGAAGUCACCUUUUUAUAAAUUUGUGCCAGAUUGGAGCACUCGCUAAUUGGAUACUCAGAAGCAAGCAUUUCUAGUACACACAUGCCAAAGGAGUAUACAUCUACUAGCUCGUUGCAAUCCUCAUAUAAUUCUGGUGCCAUAAGUUCUGAACCUAGUAUUUUAUGCAAGUUUCAAGAAGUUAACUUAUAAAGAUAUAUAUAUGGCUACCUAGAUUAGAAACACUUGCUUAGUUUAAUGAACCUUGAGGAGGUGAUGGAAAUUGAGAGAUUAACUAUAACAUAUUAUGGGCAUGUUGUGUCCCACGAAGAAUGGCAACUAAUCCAAGAUCACCACUCUAUGUAGAAUUUGGUGAGCCCAGUUCUUAAGUGCCCGAAUAUCGACGCGCGGAUACCUCUAUCUCUACCUGUAUUACAUCCUCCAACAUAUUAAAAAGGACACUAUAAUAACACUUCAUUAAUUUUCUAUUUAAUUGACAAUAAGGUCUUGUGAUUGUUCUUUUAAAGUGCCGGAGGUGAACAUUUCAGUGAUGAAGUUGAAAAGUCUACGAUCAACGGAUCUAAGAUUUGCAGAAUCGCAUAACGGAAUUAUGGUUGAGAUUCCUGAGGAGUUGGACCUUAGAGUAAAGCCGCUGCAAUUCCUCCGGUGAACAAAAGACAUCAUUAAGCUUCACCUGAUUCCAAGUCGUCUCCAUUCCAAGGACCUUAUCAAAUGCCUUAUACAUUAUCGUCAUGGCUCCUUUACCAAGAUUGCAAAGAAAUUCUUAUGUACAAUCACAGAUUUAAUCAUUUUAAAACGUAAACAAUGCAUAAUUCCUUCAUUUACAUGUCUGCUUCACGAAUUUGUAUGAUCAUGAAAUUAAUGGAUCAUAUAUGAAUACUUUUACGGAAUAAAAAAUAUAUUGAAUGUACCGGCAUCUAUCAUAUUGAUAACUGAGUUCAUCAACAUUUAUACCAGAUAAAUUUAAAAAUGAGUCCGAUUUAGUUAACAAGCAAUAAUCAUAUUAUCUUUACUCUGUUGACAGCCAAAAAAAUAUUAUUUAAAUAACAAAAACAUGAACUGAACAAAAAAAUAUUUUUUUUUAUUUUUUGAACCUAACGAAAAAAACUCUCAGACCAUUUCUUACAAAAAAAUAAAACCCAUAAAACUAUUGAAUAAAAAUUUUCCUUCCGUACUUAAAAAAUAUUCUUUUUUUUUUCAAUAAUUUUCCUUCCUUUGUUGUUCUCUUCCCGAGAUUGUCGACCUUAUAAACCUCUUCACACCAAAAUUGGGGGUCUUGNCAAUAAUUUCCUUCCUUUGUUGUUCUCUUCCCGAGAUUGUCGACCUUAUAAACCUCUUCACACCAAAAUUGGGGGUCUUGUUAAUUGAAUCUUGCUUACGUUGCUAGUUCCAGCUUGACCUGAUCCAAUGUCCAUGAUGCUGAUGCUGAUGUGGAUUUAUUUUUUUUUAUACGAGAGGAAAAAUUUUUAUUCAAUGGUAUUUGGGGGUUUUUAUAAUAAAGAAUUAAUUUUUAUUUUUGAGUGAAGUUGAGAACUUAUUUAAACGUUACAAGAUACGUAAGACAACAUCAGUCUAAGGUCUAAUCUUUUUCCUAAAUUACUAAAAUAUUGUAGCUGAAUUCUUUGAACCAAGCUAGACGAAAAGCAUAAACCGAAAGUUACCCAAUAAAGUAAGCUACCAGAAUUUCUGGUGUUGAUCUAAUUUAGUUAGCAAAUCAAAGUCAGCCAAUGACCUAACUCACCAAAAUAAAGUUAAUUUAAAACCUAAAAAUCACCUCCUUUUUAGGUGGUCCAAUAUCAGUGCCGGACAAACUUUUGCGGUUUUUUUUUUUUUUUUUGCUAAGAGCAGCUUUAAUUAAGAAGGUUUUAAUCAAAUUGAAUAUAUAUAUAUAUAUAAUUAAAAUCCGUAAGGUGAGAAGAAAAUAUAUAGGUUAGGUAAUAGAAUAUUAAAUUUCUUCCAAGCUAUAGGACUCCACAUACAAAAAGAUGUACCAAAGCUUAUAAAAUUAAUGAUGUGACAAAUACUACUAUUGGCACAGCAAUUAGCUUUGCUCUUUAUGCUGAGUUUAUGGGUGGAUAUUGCCAUAUUGGUAUUGGACGCAUUUAAUUAUUAAUUGAUAGAUGUCUUGUUUGGUAGGAAAAAUUUCGAGGAAAUUGUGAGAAAUAACUUUCUUCAUAAGCCCAAUUCAAAAAUAUUAUUUUUUAUAAUUUUAACUAUAUUUGAUCAAUUUUUGGUAUGACUUGACAAUAAUACAUUUUAAAUAAUUUCAGACAAAUUAAAAUGGUUUCAAUUUUCUCUCUCUCGCCAUCCAGAUAAAAAUUUCAAAAUUAAAUCUCGAUUUCUCUUUCUGCUCAAAUAUAUCUAUCCCGCCAUCCAAUUUAUAGUUAUGACAUCAAGCUCUUUCUUAUUUUAUUUUAUUUUUUUUGAUGGUGGAUCUUGGGGUUCUUAAGAGCGAUGAACAACAAUUUUGCUCUUUGCAGGCAGCAAUUUUGCUCAGGAAAAAAGAACAGCUAAAGCAUAUUUGAUGGGUUUUAUGACGAUUUACGGUUUUAUUGUGUCUGAAAUUGAGAUGAUUGUUAAGCAUGUUUGCUAGGGAUUUUAAUUUUUUUUAUGAGAUUUUGAGUUGAAAUUGUUUAGGGAAUAUUUUGUAAAGAAGGUAUAUUUUGUUUUUGUAUAAAGGGAGUGAGCAAGACCUCUCGAUAGGAAUAUAUUUUCUCUUGCUUUAGAGGGUUAUGGAGUUUUGUAACCUAUCUUUUAUGAAAUGCACAAUUUCAUGGCUUAGCAAAAAAAUAUAUAUAUAUUUUAGGUUCUUAAGUUUAUUGGUUUAUUCAUAGAAUCUCAAAAUUGAGUUUACUGGUUUUUAAGUAUUGCGUGACUUAAUCACCGGGUGACUAAUUUUUAAUCAUUACGUGAUUGGUUUUAGGCAUUAUGUGACUAAUUUUUAUACAUUGCGUGACUGAUUUUUAAACAAUGCCUAAGUCACACAAUACCUUACGAACUAGUCACGCAAUGCCUUACUAACAAGUCACACAAUGCCUAUCAACUAGUCAUGCAAUACCUUAUCAGAAACUAGUCACGCAAUGCCUUAUCAAAAACUAGUCACGCAAUGCCCAAGGUUAGUUACGCAAUGUCUAUCAACUAGUCACGCAAUACCUUAUCAGAAACUAGUCACGCAAUGCCUUAUCGAAAACUAGUCACGCAAUAUCCAAAGUGAGUCACGCAAUGCCUAUUAAUUAGUCACGCAAUGCUUUAUCAGAAACUAUUCACGAAAUGUCUUAUCAAAAAUUAGUCACGUAAUGCCUAAAGUCAGUCACGCAAUAUCCAAAGUCAUUUACGCAGUGCCUAAAAACUAGUCACAUAAUUCUCAAAAAUCACCAAAACUACUGAAUUCCAUUUAACUAGAUUAACAACUUCAAACGAUACACCAUAUUCCAUUUAACAACAUAAUUAACAAAUAUGAAUGCUCAAAAUGUUCGAAAGUUUUUCUUCAUAUAUCAAAAAUUACUCUAAAAUGUUUAAAAAUGCUCAAAACGCUCACAGGUUUUCUUCGUAUAUCAAAAACUACUCCAAAAUGCUCAAAAUACUUAAACGUUUUUCUUUCUGGUAAGGAAUACUUCAGAGAUGAAUAGUCUUGUGAGAAAAGCUCAAAAAAUAUGAGUCAGUUUAAGGCACAAACGUAAACAUACUUGACCCGUUAAUAGGUUUCGGGUUGAGGCACAGAGUCUAGUGAAUGGAUCGAUUUCAUUAAAGACAAUUUUGUCCAAUUUUUUUUCUCUUGACUUAAAAACAAAUAAAAUUAUAAAAAGGAUCAUUCUUAAAAACGCUUUAUGCCUCAAACCCAUUUAUGAAAAGUACUCAAAAUUUCCACUAAUAUAUCCAAUAAUCGAACAUUGCAUCAUUUACGGCAUUACCCUUCUCGAUCCCCUUCAGCUUGGUGCUCUCUCCUAGUCCGGGAUGAUAUGGUCUGCCUUAGAUUUUUGGAACAUGAUAAGCCAUCUUUCCAUUUCUCUUUAAUCAUUUUCCCAUACUUUUCCAAUUGUGAAAACGACAGGUGUGUUUGCAGCUGGGGAUCUGGAUUCCCAAGAAGCUCACCAAACUCUUAUGUAUUGGUACACGGUAUUAUCAUAUUAACUACAUCUCAAAAAAACCAUCAAUGAAAGAUUUCAAGUGGCUUAUUUGCAGAACCAGUAAGAUUUUGGUUGCGCUUCCUAUUCCAAACCAGAAAAUGAGUGACAAAAAUAGUUUGCGUGGAAUGCUUCAAGACGCCACUUGCAACCUUUAACUUAAGUUUUCAAGGUUUAGAUGAUGGAACUGUUUUCGAGGAGAGGUUGGUUCAAUGAGUUAGCUUGUUUGCCUCGAGAACAAGAGGUGUAGCUUUCAAGCAUCAUCAUGCUCUUAAAUGGGUACACAGCCCAAAAUGUAAGAUAGAUACAUGUUGAGUUUUAGGUUGACUAGAAUUCUAGAUCUUAUUUGAUUAGGAUUUUUGUUUGUAUACAAUAUUAAGUAGUUGUAUGGUUUUAAACUUCUUAUUCCACAUCGAAUCCUAAUCACAUUCUACUUUGGACUUUUAUACUAUAAAAGUGAAUUUCUAAGCUUUAGAAUUGCAAGUAGUGCUUUGAGAGCUCUAGAGAGGGAACAUCUUGUAACUCUAUCUUUUGCUCUAGGUGGAGCUAGAGUGGUUUGAGUGAAUGUUCUUGGGAGGUUAUUGAGGAAGAGUGUGCAAGGGAUCUUGGGUUAUUUUGGGGAACCAUAAAGGUCAAUUUAUUGUACUUUAAAUUCUCAAUAAUAGAAGAACAGUUUCACUCUGUGGACGUAGGCAAGAGGCCGAACCACGUAAAUUCUUGUGUUUUUCUGUUUGCUUAUUUUCUCUGAAUUUUAUCUUUGUUGAUUCUUGGGUAAUUUUCACAACAAACUGGUAUCAGAGCUUCGGGUUCGGUAAAUUCAAGAUUCAACAAGGAUGUCAAAAGUUACUAGUUCUAUGAAUUUUUCAAUUGAGAAGUUUGAUGGGAAGACUAGUUUCACGCAGUGGUAGAGAAUGAUGAAAAAUCUCCUUGUGCAGCAAGGUUUAAUGCGCCCCUUGCUAGGAAAGGAGGAAGGGCAACCAGAUAACAUGAAAGAUGUUGAAUGGACAGAGUUGGAGCAAAGGUGUGUGAGCACUAUUCGGCUUUGCAUUGGAGAUAAUGUGUUUAAUCAUGUUAUUGAUGAGGAUUCUGCUCUAAGAUUAUGGGCAAAGUUAGAGAAAAUUUACUUGGCGAAAAGUUUUUCUAACAAGUUGCAGCUUAGGCGAAAGUUGUAUCGCUUAAAGAUGGAGGAGAAUGGAGACCUCAUGAAGCAUAUGAAUGAAUUCGAUGGAAUCAUUGAUCAGUUGAAGAAGGUUGAUGUCAAGGUGGAGGAAGAGGAAAAGGCACUAUUGUUCCUGGCUUCGUUUCCAGACUCCUAUGAGGUAUUUGUGGAAUCUCUUAUAUGUGGGAUGGAUACAAUAACGUUAGAACAAGCACAAGCAACGUUAAUGUCUCGUGAAGCCCGAAAGAAAAGUAAAGAAGGGGAUAGAGAUCCAAAUGGCUUGGCAUUAGUAAUUGAGGCUAAUAGGAGGAAGUCAACUGGUAAGGGAUCUAAGGGUGACAAGUCUAGAUCCAACAAUAUUCAAUGCUUUAAAUGCAAAGGGUAUGGGCAUAUUAAAAGGGAUUGUCCUACAAAAGGGGAUGAAAGUAACGAGAACAAAGGUGAGUGUGCUUUCGUUGCUGAAGGUGAUGAUUGUGAUGUCCUUACAAUUUCAGAAAAUAUGGAUGCAAAUUCUGAUUGGUAUUUAGAUUCUACUUCUGCUACUCACAUAUGUUAUCAAAAAGAUUGUUUUGAUUUACUUCAAGAAUGAGUGGCUGGGAAUUUGACUUUGGGUAAUAAGUCAAUAGUGAAGGUCAUGGGUAUUGGAGUGGUGAAAAUCAAAAUAUUUGAUGGGGUUGUGCGCUCUUUGGGUAGUGUGGCCUAUGUCCCAAAGAUGCGUAAGAGUCUAAUAUCAUUGAGUCUGUUAGACUCCAAAGGGUAUGGAUAUUCUGCUUGUGAUGGAGUAGUAAAAGUCACACAAGGCGACAUGGUCCUGAUGAGGGAGAAUUUGCAUAAUGGCUUGUAUCGUCUAGAAUGUGAGACCUCGAAAGGAUGGGAACAGUGCACAGGGGAUGGUAGCUACCAAAGUGAGAUUUCAUUUGCCGAGGAGGUGAUGAAAGGUUCCUAUGGUGUAGACGAUGGUGAAAUGACGAAAAAAAACUUGCCAGUAGUGAAUUGGAAGGGUCGUCGAGGUCCUUUUCCGAAGUCAAUUAGUGCCAUUGACUUGACGGCUACACAGGUGCAUUGGCCGUUUUGUGGAAUCAAGUGUUGGACCAUGCUUGAUUCGGUAUGUGUAGUCGUGGUAAUUAUAAAGGCCAAUGAUUUAGAAAGUCUUGUGCUUGGAGAGUUGUUCAAGGUGUUGGAAAGUAGGUGGAGUUAGGAAGUUGCAAUUAGGUGCGACUAAUGGAAGAGGUUUAAGGAGUUUGAAUUCAAGUCAAAGGUGGAGAUUUGUUGAGUUUUAGGUUGACUAGAAUUCUAGAUCUUAUUUGAUUAGGAUUUUUAUUUGUAUACAAUAUUAAGUAGUUGUAUGGUUUUAAACUUCUUAUUCCGCAUCGAAUCCUAAUCACAUUCUAUUUUGAACUUUUAUACUAUAAAAGUGAAUUUCUAAGCUUUAGAAUUGUAAAUAGUGCUUUGAGAGCUCUAGAGAGGGAACAUCUUGUAACUCUAUCUUUUGCUCUAGGUGGAGCUAGAGUAGUUUGAGUGAAUGUUCUUGGGAGGUUAUUGAGAAAGAGUGUGCAAGGGAUCUUGGGUUGUUUUGGGGAACCAUAAAGGUCAAUUUAUUGUACUUUAAAUUCUCAAUAAUAGAAGAAUAGUUUCACUCCGUGGACGUAGGCAAGAGGCCGAACCACGUAAAUUCUUGUAUUUUUCUGUUUGCUUAUUUUCUCUGGAUUUUAUCUUUGUUGAUUCUUGGGCAAUUUUCACAACAAUACAUGACUGCUCCCGAAUUUCAUCUACCAAAAGAAAACUUAUUCAAGUAAUUUUCCAAUAGAUUAAACUAUUAUUGUUGCAGGGGUAAGAUAGAUACAUGACUACAUAGUAACUGGAAAACGGAAUCCACUUAUCUUGCCCUUUGGACUAGUGGGGAACAUAGGAAUACAACAAAGAAAAUUCUUUUCCUGUCUCAUUAACAUUAAAUAGGGAAAGAAUACAUGUACAACUGACUCAACAUAAAUAGUCCUAAUCAACGAAUCAAAGAUGUUGCUAUUUUGUAUUAUCGUGUGAAGGAAACAACUUCGGAGUUGGACCAAUGAAAUCCUAUAUGAUAUAUAGUUAUGUAUAACAUGGAUACAUGGCUAACUCCGAGCAACUAUACAGGUCCACAUUAAUUGUUCCAAGUAUCAACAAGCCACAAAUCGCAAAAGUGGGUAAAACCUUUCCAGGAUACUUGUCAAAAAGAUUGUCGUAUUGGCUUGCCUAGCUAGUGGUAGGGGAAACCUUUUGCAGAUGGACUAGAUAUAGUUGAAAAAUGCGAAAUUGGAAUUGAAAAUGGUAAGCAAAUAAAAGGGACAGUGUUGCAGGGAGGGAAUGCUUGGAGGAAGGGAUGGUAGAUGGGAGUGGGAUCAUGUGAGAUUGGACACAAACAAGCCAUUCACUUUUUUUUUCCCCCUCUAUCAGCAGUUCAGAACCACACGAGCACAGCUAACCUCUCAUUUUGCUUCCUAGUCACCACUCUUUUCCAUCUACUCUCUCAGAUCUUGAAAACUGAAUGGUGCUUACGCAAUCAACCCCCUGGCUUUGCUCUCCCCUUUCUCUUUCUCUGUCUCUCUCUCUCUCUUCUUAAAUUCACUAAGAAGGCAAGGGGCAAUGGGGAAGGUUGUUAACAGAAAAAUGCACAUGCACCGUUCUCCCCACAAAAUGUAUGUGUCACCCGUGAGUCAAAGCUCCUCACGUGUCAAAGGUAACCAAAUUGCCCAGAAAAGGACAAGACCAACACGCUUGAAAGUUGAAAUUAACCCUCGUUUUUUUUUUGUUAUCUUAUUUCUAUAAAUCAGGACCGGCCAUUUUGCUCAAAACACAUCAUAUCAGGCUCCAUGGGUGUUCAACUCUCUACAAGGGAGUUGCAGGUUCAUGCUUCUAUUUCUUUUGUUUCUUUCAUUUUCCUUCCGUCUGAUUGCUCCAGAGCCUUUUUUUUUUUCCUCUAGCUUUUCUUCCCUUGAUUUAGAGCUCAGUUUUAAUUGUUUCCAUAUAUUGCUUCCAGCAGUAUUAAAUCAAGGUGAAAGUUCACAGAUGCCCCAUGUGGCCGAAAAGAUGGAGCGAAUGGGUUUUUUCUUGAAUCACAACGGGUGAGUAGUUUCCAUGCUAUGCUUGUCAAGUGAGCAGUCUUUUGCGGGUUGACCUCUCUUUCGUUGUCUGUUCGACCUUGAGCACAUCAUUAUUAGGGCUUAACAAAGCAUAAAGUUCAUUGAAACAGCAUAAUCAAACUAAACCGAUUCAUGUUUCCUUCAAAACAGUAAUAUAUAUCAACGUCAACUCUCUAUAAAGUUUUUAAUCCAAAUCCAUCCUCGUGUUACCCUUUUGAUCUUCUUCAUCACAUUCCUUUGGAAAACUACCUCCCCACUUACUCUUUUCAAGAUCUUAUCUUGAAAUACUAGUAGUUAGCGAGGAUCCCAUAUAGAUCAUAAGAAGCUUUGUGCGCAUGCCCAUAUUGGUGCACAAAUAUCUAGUUAAUUUUAUUUUUGAGUUGGCAUGGUAGGUGUGGAUAACCUAGUAAAUUCCAUUAGCUACUACAGCAGCUUCGCUUAUGACUAACAGGUGCAGUGACCGUUAGCGACAAAAGGAAAUAACACAAUGUAUGAUACGGGGUUGGGACGUAUAUAGAUCAUGAGUUUAAGUUAUUCAACUUUCAACAGCAGGACUUGCACCUUCAAGGUCUUAGCUAGCUAGUUUCUUGUAAUUACCAUCUCAACCAGGUUUUUCUUCAAAUUUUAGUUUUCCAUGCUGUAAAUUAACAUGUUUUAGACUUUCGCCAUCAAGCGAAUGAAUACGUGUCUUUCUUGUACCCAGUGCCUUUAAAAGAUCUGCCUGACAUAUAGACAUACUAGCCCAUGACAAAAAUUUAUUUCCUUAAAUUUCAACGAAUUCAGUACAGGCCAAGCUUAUGAUGCAUGCACGAAAUGGAAUUUUAGAUUUGAAAAAUUAAUAGUUUUAUGAAUCCUUGAAGAUGGUUGUUCAGAUAUAGAGAGUAAUGGUGAAUUUGUUGCAUGAUUUGGUUAAGCUUUAAGCAGAUUCUGAUCUAAUAAAAUUGUACCAAACUCGUAUAUUUUUCGUAGAUGAACCUCUCUAUUCAAAGAUUGAGGUAUGUCGUGCCUUAGUUUACUCUCUCAAAAUUUCAAAUGUAUGCUUGAUGAAUCUUUGAAGUAUUUAGUCAGAGAUUCUACUAAAAAUUCUUUACUAUUUUUUUGGGGGGGUUUUAUUCUUUUUUGGUUGUGGAGAAUAAAGAAAUUAAAGAACAAACAGGAAAAUUCAAGAUGGAUGCAGGUUUGACUACGUAGUAAAUUUCUUGCAGUUGGUAAAUGUGGAUGUGGGGUCUGGUUUGAGGGGUAGCUUAUUUUCAAACAAAGGUGAAAAAAAUAUCUCUUCCACUAAAAGCCCCGGCCAAGUACAAUCGAGACACAAUAAAGUAAUCUAAUAUAUAUCUAGAGUGCUACUCCUGCACCGAUCUUUUCUUGGUUGACAUCUAAACCAUUCGGUGAGUCCACGAGCAAAUAAAUUAUUCUUGUUGCACUGUCAUAUCUUGUUUCAGAAUUCAGAAGGUGAUGCUUUAGACAAGAAACAGCACGCCAUUCGUUUUCUCCUAAUUUCUUGGAUCUUCUGUAAAGAAGUUUUUUUUAUUAUUAUUAUUAUACAAUUUUCUUAAUUGUCUAGAAUAGUUAGUGUAUACUGCAUGUAUUAGAUGUUACGAGUACGCACGCAUCGACUAGCUUCCUCGUAGAUAGUGUUUGUCUUGAGCUAGAAACCCAAAAGGGAUCCUAACUAAGCAAUCUCAGAAUGGUUUGAUCGAUUUUUUUUUUCCCACUCGUAUAGGAUCUCCGACAUGAUUAACCUUUUGAAGCUAUCAAGCUAAUCUUAUGGGUGAUACCAUGGAUCUUGGAGGCUGAAUGCCAUUUUUCUCGCAUGCUUUUUGCUUUAAAUAUACGGAUGGGAGAGAUGGCGAUCAGAGAUACAUUUGAUAAUUACUAGUAAAAGUUGAGACCAUAGAAAUCUUAAAUUUAGCCAGGAUUGAAGCAGACCCUACAGAAGAACCUGAAAACUCCUUUAGGUUGACACUACGUUGUUGGUUGCUACUUGUUUCUCAGAUCAAUCCAGGCCAAAAACGUGGGUCUUGCUUUUGAUGCUAAGACCAAGAGUACUAAACAAACUUGCAAGGCUGUAGAGGAAACUCUAACUAGACAGCUUUGAAACACUUUCUAUUUGAGCAAAUGUCUGCACUGAGCUUCUUCCUGCCAAAAAGUCCUUAUCUUCCAUCCGAACGUUGUCCUUUUUCCAAUUUUCCUUUAAACCUGUUGACGUGUAUUGUAGUUUCCUUAUUUCUAUCUCAUCAUGUGUUAUCAACAUUGAGAGGUGGCAAAACAUUAUAGAAGAAAAUGUAGUACUUGUAAUGUGUAAAGUUCAAGGUCGAACUGAUAGCGAAUAUGAGGUAUGAAGCAAGAGACUAUUGAUUUGACAAAGGCCUUGCAUGGAAUCCAACACCUCAAACAGAGAAAAGCCAGCAAAGAAGGUUUGCCUGCGGCCACGACAUUCUCUAACUGUGGCCCCUUUGUAAUAAGCCUAAAUUCUUCAACCAAAUGGUAAAACCCAGAUGCAUGUCCCCGGCCAGGUGCGAUCUCUCUCUCUCUCUCAUCUCCAAAUUUGAUCUGCAAUUGUUUACAACCACAAACGAAAAUGCAUGUCAAACUUCGUCUUGUGGAUUACUUCUAUUUCUGGAAAAAUUCUACUCCGAUAUAUGAUUGUUCUAAUCUUAAAUAUUUACUACUAUUUUUUACUCUUUGUGGUCCAAGCCCAAGAAGCACCAAGUUCUUUUUAAACAAACUGUCCCUGGAUAGUGGAUAAUAUAUUAAUAUGGAUAGUUAUUUCCUCUUUAUAAAAUUUUGACCCAACUGCAUUAAAUAGCUGUCACGACCUCAGAGAAGGGAAAAAGAGAAAAUGGGAAAGAGUGCCACUGGAUAUGGUAAAUUUGGUGGGGGCAGCGUUCAAAGUACAGAAAAGUAUAAUACGGAUCUGUGAUAACUUUUUAAGAGUUAACUCUUCUUUUCUUUGCUUUUUCUUUUCACCAAUAUGUUGGAGUUAGCUGGAUAUGAGCGUGCUAACAACAUUGAUUUUUAACUUUGUUUUUGUUUUUGAUAAAGUAAUAAAAAAAUUCCAAAAUUAUAUUUCUUUUUACAAUUAAUUCCUUACAUUUUAUCGUACUCAAACUACUUUUCUUUUAUUUGUACCCAAUUAAUUUUUUUUUUUAAUUUUACUUAAUUAAGCUCUUAUCUCAUAAGAAAAAUAUAAUAAAUAUUAUUCUUAAUAACAAUUGUUACUUAUUAUAUAUAUAUAUAUAUAAUUUAAUGUGAUAUUUUGAUUAAACACAAUAAAAAUUGAUGACCUGAAAUUUCUUGUUAUAUGACAUAUCAUGUUAGCAACUGUAACAAGAGUUGAUGACAUGGUGUGCCAUAUUGGUAACUUUGUUAUGUCUAAAUCAACAGGUCAUUGUUAUUGGAAUUGAGCAUAACAUCUGUAAUAUUUUCAUUACUACAUAAAAACUCAAUUGAGUAAAAUAAAAGAACAAUGUCUCAAUUGAGUGUAAUAAAAAAAUAAAAUUUUAAUUGGAUAUGAUAAAAAUAUUAAGACUCAAUCGCAAAAACAUAUAGUUCAAAAGGGUUUUUAUUAUUAUUUAACUUUAUUCCGUAGGAAUCAUGCUACAUUUUAUGUAAUUUUAGGUAAUUAGGGAGUACUGUAAUAUUUAUUCUUUACAUAAGUUAUUUUUAAAGAAAAAAAUCAAGAAAUUGAAUCUCAUUGUAGAUACAUAUACUUAUACUAAAUUAAAUACUAAGUGUGAAUCAAUAUGUUUUAGUUCCACUUUAAGUAGUGAAAGCAAAUUAUGUUUGACCUUAUUUUUUUUCAAUUUAUCUAUCUCUUAAAAGUAGAAGUCAGGUCAAAUAAGAUUUUGAAAAACUCUUAAAAAAAUAAGUAGCUUUUUUUAAAAAAAAUUUAUCUUUUAUUUUUUUGAAAACAUGUCAACUUUUCAAUAAAUAUCCUCUCUCUUCCUUUGCAAAUCACUAUUUUUCAACACAAAUCAUGAUAUCCUUCUUCUCUACCUCUCUCUUUAUAAAGAUUAUUAGAAAAAAAAAAACAGAAGAUCCAACAAUAAAUAGCAAAUUUUGGGAUUUUUUUGUUCUUACAAAAAUUAAGAGAAAAAAAGAUAAAAAAUUUAAAACUGCAUUCAGCUACUAUUUAAAGGUUUUCUUUUUUCUUUACCAAAAAAGAUUUUAACGUCAAAUAAAUCAUUUUCUUUCUUCUCUUCUUUAUUGGGAAACUAAAGCAUUAUGAUCCGAUUACUUACUAGAUCAACAAAAAUAUAAUAUUAUUAUUACUAUAUAAACUUUGAGAGUUCUUCUGUUUCUUUAUUGAUUUUUUUUUAUUUUAACAUUUAAAAUUAUAUAUAAGCUCAAAGUAAACUUAUUCCCCUUUGAUUUAUUAGGUGAUUGAAGAUGACAAUACCCUUUAUGGUAAUUUUAACUAAAAUUAGAGCUUAUAUAAUUUAUUUUACCAAACUACUUACUAAACAACUUUACUUAAUUUUAAAAGUUAUUAUUUUUCAUAAAAAAUUCAUAAUAACUUUUAAGCUAAAAAAAACUAAAUCAAACAUGCUUUAAAAAUAUAUAGAAGAUAUUAGCUAGUUAAUUAAGUCAGGAGCCAACUCUCUGUUAAUUCCUUUUGCAGCAACUUUAUGAAGUAUUUGUUACUUGUAGCCAUUGCAUAAUAAAAAUGAAGUACAUUAGUCUUCAACAUAUUAAACGAUGGAGUAAGACGGCAUGCAGCUAGGGAUUAAUUAAUUCCCAUAUGUGCCAGUUCAUAAGCAGAUGUUACUCUCCUGAUGCCAAAAAUAUAAAAGUAAAACAUUAUAUCUAUGCUUAAAUUCUGACAAUCGAAAGGUCUGAAAUAAUAUAAAAUUGAUCAGUAAAUUAAUCACUCAAUUUUUUUUCAAACUGAAGUUUGUCAAUUUAUUCAAAUAAUGAUGAUGAUGAAAGUCCGUAGUACAUUUAUACUUUUCCUUUAGCAAUUUCAUUUUUUUUCUAGUAUAAUUCUCUUAGCAAAACUGAGAAAGCCUAUAAUUGAAUUAAGCAGCAUGGCAUACAUUUUUCCCAAUCUUAAAGCUAAUUAACUUAAAUAUCGAUGCAUGUAUAUCAAUAUUUCCAGCCGCAUAUAGGAUUUUUUUUUAAAAAAAAAAAGGUUGAAAUUUGAAUUUGAUUCCCUACUAUUUUAAUUUGACAGUUUAAGUCCGUUUAUUUUAAUUUUAAUGAAUUUAAAUUUACACUUUUAUUACAAGUCAAUUGAUAACAAUAUUAAAAUUUUAAAAUUAAUUUGGGUUUCAUGAUUUUGGUGAUGACACGGCAUGAUGAGACUUUUUUUCUACGAAUGUGUGUCAUGUGACAAAAAAUUCAGGUUUCUUUUUUAGUAAAAGAAAUUUAGGUUGGUAUACCAUAUAAUCAUCAAAAUGUCAUGUGAUCAAAAUCAAUGACAGAAUUUUAAUAUUGUUAUGGAUUAAUUUUAAAUUGAUUUUUAAUAAAAUUAUAAAAAUUAAAUUAAUUAAAAUUGGGGUUAAAAGAUUUAAAGUACCAAAUUAAAAUAAUACAAGGAUUGAAGUCAAAUUUUAACAAAAAAAAUCAAAUUUACCUCUCUUUUUCUUUUAUAUAUAUAUAUAUAUAUUAAAUGUUGUGCUUAAACUAGUAAAUAUAAAAGACGUAAAGCUUAAAAAAUCUCUUGUACUAUAUUCAUUUAUUCAACUAAGCUCUUCAUCUUUUAUUGCAAUCAAACAACUCUUUAAAUUUAUAUUUUUUAAAUCAAACAAGUCAUUUUAUAUAAUGAAAAUGUAACUGCAUGUUGUCAUAUCCAAAACUAAUUAUCUUUUUUGCUCAGGUGGCAUAUGACUUGACUAGUUGGUAUGGCUCAAACCAAAAACACCAGUUGUCGAUUGAUAUCGAAAUCAUAAAAAAAAAAAACCCAUUUUUGUAUUCCUCACCUUCUGCUCUUUCCUUUAUUCAGAGUACUUUUUUAAAAAUCUCUUUCUUUUUUUCCAAAUUGAAAAAAAAAACGAAAAUCUAUAAUCUUAAUUCUUUAUUUUUUUUAGAUUUACAGGAAAAAGGAGAAGUUUUGAAAAAUUACUUUGAUUAAAAGAAAGAGGAGAGGAAUUAGAAAAUGAUUUUUUUUGGUGAUUCUGGUUUCUAAUGAUCGUCGCUUUUGGGUUCUGGUUCUACCACAUGACACAAAACACCAAGUGGUACUGGAUCUAACAAUGGUGAAUUUUCUGUUAGAGUAAAGGGUUAAUUUGGUCAAAAAUAAAAAUUUAAAGGUUUAUUUAAAUGAAAUAAUAAGUGAUAGGUUUGGUUGAAUAAACGGGUAUAAUACAUGGAUUUUUUAAGAUUUAAGCCAAUAUAAAAUUGAAAAUAAGUUACUCAAAUAUCAUAACACACCAACAAUUUAUAUAAAAUUAAAAAGCUCCCCCUCACAUGCUUUAAAAAAAAUGUAAAAAAUCAAACUCUAGCUAUAUAGAUGUUCCAAAAGGGGAAAACAAACUGUUGCAAUUCUCACUUCAGUCCACAAAUAUAAGAGGUUUGGUGUAGGACAAAAAUUUAUCCAACGAGGCGUUGCAGUAUGAUUUCUCCAUUAAGAAAAGAAGCAGCCAUGAAAAGAAGAAGAAGCAGACAAGGAAGCAAGAAAGUAAUUCAGCUCUUCAUUUGUGCUUUGGUUUUUUAUUGUUCCACUUGGUAUUGGUAAACUUGGAUUUUCUGUGUCUAAGCUGCUACAUUUAUUUGCGUUGGUGGUGGUUAAAGCCUCAAGGGGGAAGGUUGCAGCUGCACCCGUUAGUCAAACCUGAAUCACGUGUCAAUUUUGUAGCAGAUACAAUUUAUGGUAGUUUAAUCUUUUCUUUUUUCCUUCCUUAAUUUCUCUCCAACACAUAAUUUUACAAAUAUCAAUUCUUUUACACUGACAGUACAGCCCCGCCCCGCCAAUUACAUUAAAAAAGGAAAUAUCAGUCAAAUCUUUUACCCUUCAUUUUUCUAUAUAAUAUGGUUCCAACCCUUUCCCCAUAACAAAGCAAAACUUGAGUUUGAAAGUUUAGAACUUGGUCUCUUAAUUUGUUCUCUGGGGCUGAGGGUAAAGGCACUUACUCUUCUUCUAUCACAUAGGUAUAUACUAUUUACCAACAAGUAUUGUUAACUUAUUCUCCUUCUUUAUCUUAUUUACUAAAAACUAACUUUGAUUGCUUUCAACGUAUUGGUUCUAUGAUGGCAGAUCAAACUUAAAUCCCAGAAGAUAAGGAUCGGAUAAGUUGAUGGUUGUGGAUGGAUCGGGUGAGUGAAUUCCAUGCUAUGCUUGUCAACUGAUCAGUCUUUUGCGGAUUAGCCUUUGUUUCGUUGUCUGUUCGACCUGAACAUAUAUAUAGUUAGGACAUAUCGAUAAAACCCUAAUUGAAAUUAAUAGGCAUAUACCAUAAUAUUGAAGUGAAGUGGAAUAUCACUAAAAUUCUCAUAACUUCUUCAAUAACUAUCUUAAUCUAGAUAAAAGGCCGUUAGCUGGCUGUUUUUGCUUCGAUUCUUGAUAUCAUGAUUUAUUUAGGCAUAAAAUCAUGGUGAUUUUCGUAUCUGCUUCAAUUAGCUGCAACGUUAAAGGGCUAUAUGUUGAUUUCUUCUGUAACUUUUCAUUACUGCCAGCCUUUUCCACUAACUUGGUAGUUUCCAUGGAAAUUAAGUAGCAGCUACAGGCGAUUUAUUUUGGUCUAAAAUAGGAAUUUCUCAGAUUUAUUUUGAACUGAUGGAAAUUGUGUGUUUGCUUUCGUUUGUAGGAAUCAGAAUAUAUAUAUAGCAAUAGUAGUAAUAACAUCGCUGACAUGUAAGGAUUGAACUUAUAAACGUGGCACAUAUCGAGCCAGAAAUUGAGAUUUAUUGCUAACAUAAAAAUUGAUUGCAUAUAUAUCAUACGUCAUUAAUUAGUCUUCUAUGAAAUUACAGGCUUUACCUUGAGAAAAUCCUUAGGUCAAAAACUUAAAGAAAAGCUACAUUAUUAAGGAUAGAAAGUAACAUAUAGGUUAUAUAUUCUGAGGUAGAUGCACAAUAUAUACAUUUAUAUAUUUAUAUAGAUGGUAGUCUAGAGUUUCUUUUACAACGUACUACUUUGUUCACGCAUAGGUUUUUGUGGGGGUAAUUUUUUUUUUAUUUCAAUGAUUUUUAAUUUUUGAAAAUAUAUUUAUUUUUUUAGAUAUCUUAAUAUAUGUUAAUAAAAAUAUUUUCUUUUUUUUGUUAAUAAUGAUAAUUCUAAUAAUGAAGUAAAAUUAAACUUGAGAAAGUUAAAUAUAUUGAAAGUAAUUACUUAAAAACUACAUAAUUUAUAUCAUCAACAUGUAUUAUAAGUGUAUGAUGUGUUUCAUUUUUGCAAUAUACUAAUAUUCAUAUUAUCAAAAAGUAUGUUAAUAUUCAUGUUAUUAUAUCGAGUCUAUGAUAACAACGUACUGGUAACAAUAAAAUCAAUAUUUCAAAUAUAAUAUUAAAAAUAAAAUUAUUUCAUUAAAAACCUUUGAUUCAAUUAUUAAUAACAAAAUCAAACUUUAUAUCAUACUUUGUUCAUAUUAUUUAAAUGAUUAUAUAUAAAAUAUAUCAUUAUUUAUAACAUAUUAUAGAGAACGAGUGUAAAUUUUAAAAUCAUUCAUAAAACCCAGAACUCACAACUAUAAUCCAUACCAAUACACAUUAAACCCAAUUACAUGAUAUAAAUGCCACAUGUCAAUUAAUUAAUAAAGCCAAGUGCAAAAUUUAACCAUGCUUAAACCCAAUUAAUUGAGACACAUGUAAACCAAUUAGGUGAUUAAAUUUGUUAAGUGUCAAAUUACACCUAAACAAACUUUGGCAUCUAAACCCACAGAGGAGGUAAUUAAUUUCUAGACUAGAUUAUAGAAGAUAUAGACGUCUAUUAGAUUGAGAAAGUGCGUACUGUCGUUACUUCAAUUUGAUUUUUGUUUUUUAUUUUAGAGAAAACAAAGAAGAAAAAACUUGCUUAAUAAUUUCUUCUCUGUUGGAUCGUCGGUUGCAAGGUGUAUGAAUCUGUUUGGACAAUUGAGAAUUGACUCGUCUUCUUCACCUACUGGUUUCACUUCUAUUUUUUUGUCGUUUUUCAAAAUUUUAAGCAACACGUUCCACGAAUAUUGACUUUGUGACGGUGAUAGUACAAUUUAUGGACGCUGCCCAGGUUAUUUGUCAAUGGUGCAGUGUUGUAGAACAUGGCUAGCCCUAGAAAGCAAAAGUAACAUUCACUCAUGUCAAGGUUAAAGACUAAAAAAUAUUCCAAAGUCCACGUUUCCUGAAAACUUGAAACCACAAUCAACCACAUGUAUAUUUAAAUCAUAGCAAACUAGACUGACCAUCAUGCCAUGAUGCAUAUACCCCACAUUUCCAGGAUUCCUGGGCUCUUCUGAUAGAUUCCAUCUCUUCUAAUUAAAUUAAUUCAAUGCAUAUUCGAAAACAUAAUGUUUAUUUGGUCGACAUCCCCAAAUAAGUUUCGAUUAUACUAUAACCUAUGUUUAUAGUUGAGCAGCUACAUCACAUGGAGUUAAUGUAAUAGCCAGGAAAGGUCUUUUCAUGGCCACCAUUUUGUCUUAUGCUAAACAACUGAAAUGGGGGACUGUCACCCAGCUUCGUUUACACGCAAUUACAGGGGGUUGCAUUAAGUUGCAAGUGUCUUUAUAUGAUAGAAUAGUAUAAUACUAUAAAAGAAGUUUAGUGACUUUUUACGUCAUUGGCAUGUACAAGUCCACCUUAUAGUCAAUGCUCCAUGGCUUCAUUUUGUAUGUUACUUUUUCAUUUUUACGAAAUAUUUUUUAAAAAAAUUAAAAUUUAAUUUAAAUGUAUGAAAUUGAUAUUUCAUAAAUUUUGAUAUUAAAACUGAAAAAUAAUUAAAAAAUAUAGAAAAACCUUUGUUAUUUAAAAAUAGGAUAUAAUUUUUGAACAUAAUAAAAAUUAAAAUAAGGACAAAAAAUGAGACGAGAGGAUUUAUGUAUGGACAAUUAAUUAAUUUACUAUAAAACAAGAUAUAUGACAUCAUUGAAGUUAAUGUAACUGAAUUUAUUAAGAGCUGAAAAAUUGUUGAAUUCAUGUUAUUUGACCCUUGAUCUUGUAUUGUUAGAGGACGAUUUCAGUGUAAUUAGGUGUUAUUGGAUGGAAACUUAUGAGGGUCAUCUUGGAGAAUUCAAUAGAAAAAUAAAAUAAAAGGAUAUGCUAUUUGUAGGGCUAUUGAAAUUAAAGUAGUAAAUUAAGCGCUAGUAAGAUAAAUGUUGAGGUCGAAACUCGCAACGAAUGUGAGGUACAAGCAGGAGACUGUGCAUUUGACAGGGCAUUGGUAUGGAAUUUAACAUCCCAAGACAAGGAGCGGUAAUUUUAAAACAUCUCCACAAGUGCAAAAGAUUGAACCAUUAUUCCCAGGUAUUCUGUGCUUUAAACACAGUCAACUCUUUUGACUUCACUUGCACUUUUCCAUGGUAGCCUCAAGUAUAGCUUGCAUUUAAUUAGUAAAAGUAAUAACGUCAUUUAAUAGCUUUAAAACAUCAGUAAGCUGCGAUGGAGGCUUCAUUGUUUUUGGCUAAAGUCUCGGGCUUUACGUUUUGUAGUAGGCUUUGUGAAUAUUGUGAGUUGUAAGUUCAGGAAUUUUUGUAGUGGGCAAACUGUUGCUGCCAGUAGUAUAGAGGAUAGAUUUGAUGCAAAUAACGCUGCCAAUUGCUUUUUGAGCGGCUAGCAUCUUUUGUAACUGUACAUUUUUCGGUUACCCUAGGUUGGAAGUGGCGUCACUAGAAGUUUUUUACAACUAAAUGUUCAAGACUUGGGAUGACAUAAUAGCUGUGGGUUCAUAAUAAAAUCUGUUUUGCAAAAUAAAAAUAAAAAUUUCAGCCCCUUUCUCCGUCUUUACCUUUUCUAGUCAUUCAUCUUUGUUGGAGUUUCAACAAUAAAACUAAGAAAAAUGAAUAAUAGAGGUUUUUCAGAGAAGAUGAAUAAUCGUGAAGGAGCUGUAAUAGAGCACCAAAAUUCAAGAAAAGGAAAAACUCAAUAAAUAUUCAUUACUCUUUAGUAUAUAUACUUUCCAUUACAAACUGUAAAACUAAUAAAGCUUCAAAUACGGUAUUAGAAAAUGAAAUCGAGGUGUGAAGAGAAUAAAAUAAUUCACUAAGCACCUGAUGCAUUGAGAACAAGGCAUAAACUUAUGUGCCCACCAACAACUAAUUUGGAAGACAUAGAUACGUGGCUUUCUAGCUUAACACGACAAACAAAACGACCCACAUUUGCAUAUAGAAAGAGUAAAGACAUAGCUUACGACACAAGCUGUUGCGUUUAGCUUUACAAGGCCUUUAAAACAACACUACAAUAAAAUGUUUUGUAACAACAAAUGAAAAAACUUCAAACGACACAAAAACUUGUACAUCACUAAACAGAAAUUAGUAAAGUUGAAACGUCUUCAUUUUAUCAUCAUAAGUCUUCUUCUUUGUUGUAAAAUUUCUGUCAGUUCCCACCUUACUUAUUUGCGGCAAGUAUCUUCAACCAGAUUAGGAUCAACCUUUCAACACUCCCCCUUGAUUUGGAAUCUAGUGGAUACCCAAACUAGAUAUUAGAAACUCGAACCUAUCUUUGCUUAAUCUUUUAGUGAGAAUAUCAACUAAUUGCUCAUCUGUGUGAUAGUACUGUAGCUGAAUUUCAUUCUCCUUCACUACCUCUUUUAAUACACAGUACUUAACCCUGAUAUGUUUGGUUUGACCAUGAUGCACAAGGUUUCUUGCCAUUGCUAUUGAGCCUGGUUAUCAACAUUUAGAAUAGUACCUUUAUCUUAUAUAAAUCCUAAGUUAAAUAAAAUCUUUUUUAACAACAGAAUAUGGUUUGCAACAAAAGUAGUAGCUAUGUAUUCAGUUUCUACUGAUGAUUAGGCAACAACAUCCUACUUUUUUGAAUUUCAGGAGAAUAUUCCACUUCCAAAUGAAAAACAGAAUCCUCCAAUGCUUUUUGAACUGUCCAAAUACUCUGCCUAGUCAUUAUCAUUAUACCCUUGAAGCUCACCACUUUUUGACUUACAGUACCUAAGGCCACAGUUUUAGGGUGCCUUUGAUAUAACUUAGGACUCUCUUAGCAAUUUUGAAAUGCAUUUCAGAAGGUUAUUGCAUAAAUCUGGACAGUAAGCUAGUUGCAAACAUUAUAUCGGGUCUAGUAGUUGAUACAUAUAAAAGAGACCCUAUCAUGCUUUUGUAAACUAGACUAUUUGCCUCAAUAGCCCCAUCAUUCUUGCUCAGGUUGUCACCAAUUGAUAAUAAAGUGUACACAAGCUUAAAUAAUUCCAUUUUGAAUCUCCUCAAAAUAUCUUUGGCAUAUUUAUACUGAUGCACAAAGAUCUUAUUAGAAUUUUGUAUGUACUCCAUACCCAAGAAAUAAGUCAUUUGUCUUAAAUCAGUCAUUUCAAAGUCUUUCUUCAUUUGGUUAUUGAAUUCUCCCAAAAAUUCAUUCUUUGGACCUAUUAUCAGCAAAUCAUCUAUAUAUAGUGCAACUAUAAGAAUAGCAUAUCCAUUUGACUCCCUCACAUACAGUGUAGGCUUAGUAAUGCUUCUAUUAAAGCUUUGUUUUCUUAGAUGUUCAUCCAUUCUCUCAUAUUAGGCUCUAAAGUCCUGUUUAAGUCCAUACAUAGCUUUAAUCAGUUUGCAUACCUUUCCUUCUAAGUCUUUCUCCGUAUAUCCUUCAAGUUGCUUAAUGUAAAUGUCUUUUGUCAAGUAGCCAUUAAAAAAAGCUGACUUGAUAUCAAGGUGAUGUAUCAUCUAGCCUUUUCUUGCAAAUAGUGUAGCAAGUAAUUUGAUGGUAUCAUGCCUUGCAAAUGAUGCGAAAGUUUCAAAAUAAUCAAUUCCAUAUGUUUGAGCAUAGCCUUUCACAACUAAUUUGGCUUUGUGCUUGUUGACUGAGCUAUCUAGAUUCAACUUUGUUCUAUAAAUCCAUUUGACUCCAACGAUAUUUUGUUCAUGUGGUCUAUCAACUAGAAUCCAAGUUCCAUUCUUUUUUAUCAUGUUCAUCUUAGCAUCUAUUGUAGCUCUCCAAUUUGCAUCAAUGUUGGCUUUAGUGAAGCUUGAAGGAUUAGUCACAACAACAUUGCACCUAUUGUAAAUGUCUUCAAGUGUUCUUGUCCCUUUUGCUACCAAGCUAUCAUAUUCAAUAUCAACUGAAUCAUUGUCUUCAAGCUGAAAUUGGCCAUCAUUAGCAAAAAUCAUAUUUCUGAACAAUUAAUAGUUUUUUUUUCCAAUUCCAUUUUUGCUCUUCAUCAAAAGUAACAUAUCUAUUAAUGAACAGCUUCUUAGCAUUGAUGUCAUAUAAUCUACAACCUUUAGAUGACUUACCAUAACCUAAAUGAAUAGCUAAAAUUGACUUAAAGUCAAGUUUAAUUUUUUUUUUCGUCUAGUAUUUUAAUAUAGCAGACACAACCAAAGGUCUUCAAAUGAGUUACAGAAGGUUUGUAACCAAACCACAUUUCAUAAAGUGUUUUGAGACUUAAGGUUUUAUUAUAUACCAUGUUUAAUAGGUAAUUUGCUGUAUUAAUAAUCUCUACCCCAAAUACCCUUAGUAUCUCUUUUUGGAACAUUAAGCACAUGGUUAUCUCAAACAAGGUGUUUUUUUUAUUUCUGAAACUCCAUUUUGUUGAGGAUUGUAGGUCAUUGUGAGUUGAUGUGUAACACCAAGCUUCAUUAAGUAAUUUUCAAACUCAGUAGAAGAAAACUUUGUGCUAUUGUCAUUUCUUAAAAACCUAAUUCUAAGAUUAGAUUGAUUUUCUACUAAUGCUUUAAGCUUAACAUAUGAGUUUAACACUUCAUAUUUCUGUUUUAAGAAAUAUAUCUGGUAGAAUUUAGUAAAGUUAUCGAUGAACAAAAUGUAGAACAAACUAUUGCUCAAUGAAGGAGUUUUCAUUGGAUUAUGUAUGUCAGUGUGCACCAACUCCAAUUUCUGCUUAGCCUUCCAAGUUCUCACUUUAAGAAAUGGUUUCCUACAUUACUUUCCAUACUGACAUGUUUCACAAAGCUUGUCUAGUUUCACUAUAGCGAAGAGGCCUUCAACCAAGUCAACAAAGGCCAUUUUCAUCAAUGAACCAUAGUUCACAUGCCCCAGUCUCCUAUGCCAAACAUCUGACACAUCUUCUUCACUUGCAAAGCCCUAUGUUCUAUUUCCAUCAAAUUCAAAAGGCAACAUUUAUUUUUUGUAAUGACCCUUCCCUAGUCGCUACCAACGUCUAAGACUUUUGAGGAAAUUUUCGCUAAGUCUCAAACAAGCCUCAUUUAAGACCUCCACUAGAUUCAUUAAAUACAUAUAAUCACGAGCGUAAGCGAAUAUUAAUAAUUAAAUUACUAUCUACUCCAUUCAAAAUAAUAACAAUUCACGUUUAUAAGUUAACAACAAUUUUCAACAUCUCACAAAUUUUAUUCCAACACAACCCUAAACAGCGGAGUGACUCGGAGUGGGGUUAGGAGAUGCCUUUACCUACUCUGCGGUGGUCCGUAUGCACCGAUGGUUACAUGUUAGACUGAUUUCUAUAUGCAAAAAGAAAAAAUAAGAGGGGUGUGAGUCUCAUAGACUCAGUGAUCAUCAUCGACCCCGUGAGCAGGCGAAGAGGGGAAACAAAUAUAAAGGUGGAAUGUUUAUAAACUCAGGAGUAAACGUGGAAAACACAUUCCAUAAAACUGAGAGAUUUUGUUUUUUUAUACCUUUCAAGUCUUAAAAAUAAUAAAUCACAAGUAAACAUAUAUGAAAACGGUUGUAUUUUAGGUACUAAAAAAUUCUUUCAACUUCGAUAUCUGGUCAACUGUAAAUCCAAUAGCAAGUGUCGAAUGAAGAGUCUCAAACAAAAUGCGAAAUAACUUAUCAACAAUGAAUAUGUAAAUUUCACUUGCCAUUUAAUAGUAAAUUUCAAGUAAUAAUGCCAUGCAUUGUGUAAUAAAAAAAAUUCAUAAGUGAGCAUCAUCAUCGAGUAGGUUUAGUAUAGCCCUUAGGCUUACUCUCUCAGACAUCAUCACCUACUCGUGGAAAUUUUCCACUUCACCAUAUAUAAAUCGGGGCUUCAACUCCCCCUUUUUAUUUACUCGUGGGAAUUAUCCACGUCACCAAAUAUAAGUGGGGGCUUUAAGUCCCCCUAUACCUACUCGUGGAAACUACCCACGCCACCCAAUAUAAAUCGGGGCUUCAGGUCCCCCUUUAUUACAAUCAAAUAUCAAUAAUCAACAAUUACCACUUUAUGCACAAAGACCACACUUAACCUGGUGUGGUAACAUGCCUUACCCAAAUAUCUCAAUCACGUUAAAAUGAAAAUCAUUGCAAUUUAAUGCAUUUGCAAAACAAGAUAGAUCAAAAGCAAUAUAAUCAUAAAUUGAAUGUUAUGCAUAAUUUAUUUCAAAGCAUGGCAUACCCAUCAAAUCAGCAUGAUAAGUGAAAUCAAUAAUAAAUUUUUUUUAUCAAAUCCCAUGAAUCAAAUAAUGACCAUUGGCCCAAACAUUACACAAGCUUGCAAGGUAUGAUUUUGAAGCGAAAGCCAUUGAAAGGUUUGUUUUCCCAUAAUUAAAACCUUAUAGAUAUAAACUUAUGUAUAAUAUACAAAAAACGAAUUUAAAACCCUUGAUUGCAAUCACAAACAACCUAGGACUUUCUACCAACUUAUCCUUUCCACAAUUUCGUCAACCAUCAAAUAUAACAUAUAUAACAUAUUUAUCGGGAUAUAGUUUUUGAAAUUUAACACUCACUCACCUCACAAUAGCGGGACACUACUUCGCUAUUGGUUCAUACGUGUAUCUAACUAUUCUUUCUUCCUUUCCCAUUUAUUUCUUUCUCUUUCCUGCUUCUUCUUUUUUUUUAAUUCUCUUUCUCUUUUUCUUUUUUUUUUUCUUUUUUUCUUCCUCUGGCACCGUCGCUGCUCCUUCUCUCUUUCUUCUUCUUUUUUUUCUUCUUCUUUUUUUUCUUCUUCUUUCCCUCUCCUUCUUUUCCUCGUCGUCGUGCUCCCUCUCCAUUUCUUAUUCUCUUUCUAUUUCUUUUUCUUCUCCUAGAGACGCAGCUCCCCCUCUUUCCUUUCUCUCCCCCGGGUCCCUCACUCUAUUCCUUCUCUUUCCUCUUGUCUUUCUCUCUUGUCUUUUCUCCCUUUUUGGCAGCUUGACUUUUCUUCUUCUCUCUCUUUUCUUCCUUCUUUUUUUGGCCGGCCCCCCCUUUCCUUCUUCUUUUUUUUUUCUUUCUUUUCUCUUCUCUUUUGUCUUUUUCCUUCCCUUUUUUUUUCUAUUCACACGCCGACCCCCACUUACUUCUUCUUCUUCUUCUUCUUCUUCUUCUUCUUCUUCUUCUUUUUUAUGAGUGGGGCGUUACAUUUUUCAUCUUGACUGUCAUCAACUCUAAACCAAUUGGAUCAUAAAUGGUGCACUACUUAUCUUUAAUAUAAUUAAGCAUAGUGCUUGUCUUCUAAUUGACCUACAUUACGCAAGUUUUUAUUAGCCUCAAUAACAUAAUGAACAUUAGUAAUGAAUUUCAUACCUAAAGUGGUAUUCACAGUUACUGCUCCAAUUCCAAAGAUUUUUAAAAACACACCAUUCCCAAUUUUCACCCUAGCUUUGAAACUUCUAUCAAGGUCAGGAAAUAGACUUUCAUUACCAGUGAGGUGAUUAGAGCACCAACCACCAAUCAACCAAGUAUUCUUUUCUGUAGCACUAUCACCCAUUUUAGCCAUGAAUAGCAACUCUUUUAAUCCACUAGCUUCCUCAGCCACUACAGCCAUGCUUUCAGCUUCAUUCUUCUUUGCCUUACAUAUCUUUUCCCCAUGUCUUAACUAGUUGUAAGCCCUGCAUUUCAAAUUUGGCAUAUUCCAAUAGUACUUAGAAAUGUAUUUUUCUUUUUACAAUGUGGGCAAGAAGUGCAUUUAUUAUAUUGUUUUCCCUACUUCCCAUCACCAGCUUUGUUGCCUUUAUUGUCAAGUUUCUUAGAGUCAUUUCUUUUGAUUCUUAAACCUUUAGUCUUAGCAGUUAAAGCAUUUUCUACAGAAUCUUCACUUUUAAUAGCUCUCUUUUGCUUUUGAACCAACAAGGCAUUGAUCAACUCCAUCACAGAAAUUCUGGUUUAGUCUUUAGAGUCUUCUAAAAUGGAGAUUUUUUAUUUAAACCUCUUUGGUAGACUUAUCAAGAACUUGUUUACAACCUUUCUUUCUAUUACUUCUUUUCCCAAUAACCUUAGUUAAUUAACAACCCUCAAAACGCUAUGAAUAUGCUUGAAUCUCUUCAUAAUCCUUAAUCUUCAGUAGUUCAAACUGUUUUGACAAAUUGAGAAUUUGAAUUUGUUUAGAGCAAUCAUUGCAUUGAAAUUCGUUUCUCAAAGUAUCCUAAACUUGCUUAGGAUCAUCAAAAUUUAUAAUUCUACCUAAUAUAGUGUCAAACACAACAAAAUGCAAACAUGAGAUAACCUUGUACCUCUAUGCUAACUUUUCACUGUGCUGUUUAGUUUGAGCCGGUUUGGGGUUAGUAUACCUCUAAACUAGUGGAUCUCUUUCUACGUUGACCACCUCCCACAAGUUAAAAGCCUUUAAGCAAGCUCUCAUCUUCAUGGCCCAGAUGGGGUAGCUUGAACUAGUGGACAUUAGAGGAGCUAAGGCACUAUAUCCAGCAAAAGCCAUAGAUGCACACCUAUUGAAGAAAUCAAACUGAAAUACUCAAGGUUGAAGAGCUCAAGGUCCCUUAAGAUGCAUAUAGCUCUGAUACCGUGUUGGAGUUUCAACAAUAAACCUAGAAAGAAGAAUAAUGGAGGUUUUUUAGAGAAAAUGAAUAAUCGUGAAAGAGUUGCAACAGAGCAACUAAAUUCUGGGAAAGAAAAAACUCAAUAAUUUUUCAUUACUCUUUGAUAUAUAUAUUUUCCAUUAAAAAGUGUAAAACUAACAAAGCUUCAAAUACAGUCUUGGAAAACAAAAUCUAGGUGAAAAGAUAAUAAAAUAGUUAGUUGAGCACUUGAUGCAUUAAGAACAAGGCAUAAGUUUUCAUGCCCAGCAACAGCUAAUUUAGAAGACAUAGAUACGUGGCUUUCUAGCUUAACAAGAUAAACAAAACGAUGUACAUUCUUACAUACAGAAAAAGUAGAUUAAAGACAUAGCUAAAAGACACAAGUUGUUGUGUUUAGCUUUACAAAGACUCUAAAAUGAUACAACACCAAAGUGUUUCGUAACAACAAAUGAAAAAACUUGAAACGACACAAAAACCUGUACAUCAUUAAACAGAAAUUAGUAAAGUUGAAACAUCCUCGUUUUAUCAUCAUAAGUCUUCUUCUUUGUUCUCAAAUUUCUAUUAGUUCCUGCCUUACUUAUUUGCAACAAGUAUUUUCAACCAGAUCAGGAUCAAUCUUUCAACACUCUCACCUCUUUUCUCCUCCUUUCUCAACCUAAUGUUGUUGGCUUCUCCUUUAUUCCUCCCAAUGACUAUAUAUUUGGACAUUCGUGAUUAAAGGUUUGGAUUUAAAAACUAAGAGAAAAGGUGAAUAUAUAUCUCAAAUCCUUAUGUCUUGAAAGAAACAAUAUGGUGGUGGUGUUUAGUCCCAGAAAAUCAUCUCAAAAUUUAUGUUGAAUUGCACUCAUUGAUUAGAUCGUUGUGUCACAUAAAAAUUUAGUGAUUUUACAAAAAUAAUGAUCUUAAACCAUAAAAAAUGAUUAGAUUAUUAUUAUGAGAGGUGAUCUGAUUUUCAUUCAAAAAGAUGAGAAACUUUUUCUUUCAUCGAAGUAUAGUAAUUUGUAAAUCAAUUAUAGGUAAUUUUUUAAGUUUUAACAUGUGAAUAAAAAAAAAAACUUGCUUUCUUUCCAAAAUAAAAAUAAUUUUUACUCUUUCAAAAAUUCUUUACAAUACUAUAUAUUUUUAUCCGCACUUUUUUCUUUAGUUAGGUAUAUAAUCUCUAUUUUGACAGCAAAUUCAUUAUUAUUUUGAUAAAUUAAAUUCAUUCUCAUUCAAAGGUUUUUCAUCAAAUUUAAAAGUUGAAAGUUAGUUUAUUAAAGAUAAAUAUAGUUUUUAUAUUUAUUUAUUAAUUUUAUUAAUUAUAACUUAUUUAGAUAUAAAAUAUUAAUAUUAUUUCACAAAUUCUUAUGUUAUGAGAAUAUUAAAAUUAGUAAUUUAGUAAAUUUUAAAACAUCGUUAUUUUUUUAAACUUGUUCACAAUUGGACAAGACUUUCUCAGGCCAGCCAGUGAUAGUAUAAUAUUAAUAAACAAUUAUUUUUAUUUAAUUUUAACCCUAGAAUAUAUAUAAAAAAUUAAAACAUUAAUAUGAAAAUAUUUUUAAAUAUUUAAAGAAUAAAAUAAAACUUAAAUGGGUUAGAUGAGCUAGUGCCUAGGUUUGGUAUUUAAUACAAAAUGAUAUUUGAAUUCUAUGUCAUAUAAUAUAUGGUGAUUGCAUUAUCAUACCUUGAAAAGGACACGAAAUGUUACCUAAAAAAGAAAAGAGGUGAGGAAGAAGAGAUUUUCAAUUAAAACAGAGGAUCCUCAAACAAACAAAUGCCACCGCCCAUUUUAACUUUAAGUAAAUUGGGCUUGCCACUCAGUCAAGCUUAUGUCCACCGCCCAACCUGCCCCAGCCCAUCGUGGCCCUCCACCAAAGAAAAUGCUACAACUUCAACUCUCACCGACUCAGUUCACUUUGACUUAAAUGCUCAACUCUCAACAGUCAACAGUGAACUCUAAAUCGAAUCUGAAGUGACGGUGCUCAUCCGCCGAAAGAGACAUUACGGGAGACAGAUGGCGUUCUCUAACUGGAACACUGUGGGAAGUCUGGUUACUCCGGCUGUGGAGAAAGAAGACUUUUUACCCAGCAAAAGAUCAGUCAUGGUUGCUACCAAGAUAAAGACAGCUUUUGUUCCUCUUCAGGUAUGUUGCUAAAAAAAGUUUGCUUUGGAAUUCCUCUACUUUUCAGCGUCUAGCUAAAUGUAGAGGAACAGAGUUAAAUUAAAAAAAAUUUUGAAAAGCUUUAGUUUAAACUGAAGAUCUUUCUGAAUCAAUGUCCAGCUUCUAGGCAGAUGGUCUAUGCACCUCCCCUACUAACAACUCUCACACACACUUAUUUUCCCUUUUUUAAACUUAUUAUUUAAUCAAGUUAUAAGAAGGACAAAGAUGUGAUGUGAUCAUUGAUUUGUUUGGGCUAGAAUUCACAUAUGCAUAGUUGCAUUUGUCUGUUUUUCAAUUUUGUUAUGAACCCAAGUUUGUGAAUCAGUAGUAUAGCCAUUUUUUUCUUUUUUAUGGGUUAUUUGGUGCAUUGGAUACCCAUCAAUUCCUUUGCGUUUCUUUUGAUUUGGUAGUUUUAGUUUGUGAUUUUACUGCUUUAUCUUAACUAACAUAUCUUAACUAGGGCUCCGUUUGCUUAUAGCUUUUACUAUUUGCUUUAUCUUUUUCAAAUUUUACCAGAAACAAAAAAAAAAUGGUGGAAAGAGAUAUCAUAAUUGAUUAAAAAUAAUCAAAUGACCAAAAUGCAACACCAAUUCUAGCAUAAUUAUUCUAUAUUGAAGCAAAAUUCAUGCAUUUUGUUCUUCAAAAGCUAAUUACUAAUUUGAUUUAAUUUUUAAAAAAUAUAAUUUGCUUUUGCAUCCAUAUUUUUUUCUUUUGCUUUCUCCUUACAGCAGUAAAAAACAAAUAGCAAAAGCAAUAGCUAAUUAUACCUAGAUGUGCAAUCAUCUGCUUUGCUGUUCUAAACUUGAGAUCUACCUCUCUACGACUUUGAUCUGCUUGACAAAGACAUAAAAUUUUAUUCAUUAUCAUUUGGAUCAUUUGUUUCACUUGUGGCUAAGUGAUUCUCAAGUCGUGUACUUCUCAUUGUGCGUGCUAAUUUUCUUAUGGUUGUCUGAAAAUGGGGUUAAAAGUUGUGAGGGACUUAAUAAAAAACCAUCAGGUGUUGUCUUCGCUUUUUGCCCCCAAUUCCCCUAUGUGUGCAAGGGUGCCUUACUUUUCUCUUUGCUAGUUAAGUGGACUAAUUUAUAUAAGGAUAGAUUCCAUUAUUAUUAAGAAGCACUUAAGUUUAUGGCAAUUAUAAGUGGUUUUGAACAUCUUAUUGGGUGGUAGAAUAAUAUCUUGAUGGAUUAUUAUAGUUAUUAUUCUUUGUACAUUUGCCCAUAUAUCUGAAACUAUAUCUGCAUUUGUGAGAAAAUCAUUUUAGUGUUUUUUAAAUAUUAGUUAUUCUUUACUCGCUCAUUUCCAUAAUUUCCUGGAAUCUUGAUAUUGUUAGUUAAGCUACAAAUCCUACUGUCAUGGCACAUUGUAUGUUAUAUGUAGCUUAAAGAUUGUUGUCUCUAGUAACCAAGAUGGCUAGCGUUAAAGAUGCAUUAUAUGGCAUACCAUAUUGUGGAUUAAUGAAAUUAGCCAAAUUUCUUCAAAUAGAAUGAUUAUCAGUAAUUAAUAUGUGUCAAUUACAUUUUAAAGUUGAUAGCUGCUUUGUUUAAGUUUUUGAUGCACAAAAGAUGGUCUGACCCGCAUAUAUCACAUUGAAGGUCAACCUAUAAGAUGUGAGAAACUCCUGUAUAGAUUGGCAUUUUCAGUGUUCUGAUUUCUUGUUUGAAUCUGUAUUCACUGACUUCCAGUUCGUUUGAUCUCCUUAUUCUUUAUUAUUCCUUUUUUUGUACAUUUCUUUUAAUUUUUCUGCUGAAGAAAUUGGUUGGGUUUAUGCCUGUGAACAUGACAAGGGAGAGAUAUCAAUAUGCUUUCUCUAAAUCAAAUGGUCAUCUUGAUAACUGGUGGGUCAUAAGGAAUGUGUAUUUUCCCAUGUUAAGAUUUUUGCUGCAAAAUCUGGCUGUUAAUUGCACUCUUGCUUCUUUUCUUCUAUAAUUUUUCUUUUCAGGAACAUAUAAACUCUCUUUUUUGAGAAGAGAGAGGACAAAGGGAUCUCAUAUACAUAAAUAAAAAACUUUAGAAUUCAUUCAGUUUACAGAGUGCAGUACAUAGACUUUUUGGUUUUGAUUCCAGGUGUUUGUCUCACAAUGCAUAAACAUAAUAUGGCCUGUUGGUCAUUUCGAUAAUUGAUGGUAGUAUCCCUGAAUUAGCCAAUUAUAAAUAUAUGAUGAAAAAUAUUUAAUUUGAAAAUUUGUUAGGUUUUUAUAACUAUUGAGAACUGCAGAAGAGAAUACAGAUACAAAACCUUACAUUGCUUUAUUUGGACAAAAGAACUGAGUUUAUUGAUAAGUUUCAGCAGAUGAAGGCAUGUUUUAGAACUAUUAAAGUUGGUGCAGAUUGCUGACUUGAGAAUUCUGUUUGGAUUUUGGAGAACAAGAAUGAAUCUUGUGAAAUCAUUGUCUUCUACCUUAUUUGGAUACAAUCACUAAAAGAUGACUUAGAGCGUUGCAUUUAGCAUAAGAGGAAAAAGAAAGGACCUACUUCUAGACACUACUUUGGCAUACCUCUGAACACAUUCCUUUGUCUCUUUUGCAGGUGAAGUGCGAGAAAAGACAUAAAUCAUUGACAACAAAAUGCUUUGCUGUUUCACGUAGAGAUAUGAUGCAAUGUCUAACUGCUGAAGUUCUUGGUCUUGCCCUUCUUCCAAAACCUGCCAUAGCUCGUGUUAGUAGACUCGAGAUGAGGAAAAAGAUAAUGGAGAAGCUUGAGGAGCUUAGGGAGAAGGCUGGGCUAUCUAAGCCAAAAACUGAGAAUGAGAUGAAGUCUCCAACAAAACCGUCACCAAAGGAUAAGAAGUCUCCAACUUUGCCACUGCCACCUCCAGAAAGCGCAGUUCAACUGUUGGUGGAAGUAACCCUCAGCAACAUCCCUCCUUCAAAUAAUGCUUUGUGAUAUUCUCAGUAACAGGUUCGAUCAUGGUGUCAAUUUACCUUCAGUUGCUCUGAAUGUCAAAAUGUCAGUUAAUACAGUGAAAGUAUGGGUCAUCAUGAAGAGUAGCCCUGGUUUCCGCGAAAGCCUGAUUAAAUAAAGACUUGAAUUUUCUGUGUCAAAAAAAGAAAAGACUACAAUUUCCUGGAAAAUAAAUGUAUGUAUCUGUCAAAAGUCCGGCAGUACUACGCCAGAAUUUCGUUUCUGAUGAAAAAUUAGUGCCAGAGUAAUCUUAAAGCUCGGAUUUCAGUCCUAUUUGAACCCAAAUCAUACGUGUAGCUGCAAUUGUGCAUUAACUCUACGAACAUAAAAACUUUAGAAUGGUAUUUGUAUAUAUAUGAUUUCUUUUUUGUCAACUCACCUAACGGAGUCGGUGGUACUUAACUAAUAAAACCAAUGGCGACUUCAUUAUUAGUACAAAUAUAUCAACUAAAUAAAAACAAAUUGCAUUCGAAUCAAGUGUCAAGACAUGCAUACCUUUCGGGUACUAAUUCCUCUUGUAAUUAGCUUAUUUCUAUUACAUGACACAUCUAAACCUCACACUUUUAAUUACGGUCAACUAAGUACUAUUACUGACACUAGACAAAUUGAAAUGUCUAAUUGAUUGCAAGAAUUGCGGAAUUGGGUAAGUGGAAUAGGGUUCAUCGAGUUUGUUAGUUCUUGGGUGUGAGUGUGAGCUAUUGGGUUAGUAUGUUUUCUUUAACGGCAAACGUGGUAAAGCUAUAUAGAGUGUUACAUUUCUUAUCUAUUCCCACUUAAAAUAAAAAUGUAGGAGAAUGCAUUGAGAUCAUGAAAGGAAUUAGUGCAAAGAGAGUAGCAUGUGGAAAUCGUCUUACAUAUAAAUUACAAAAAAUGAGACAAAGGGCAAGCAAAUCAAUUGAUCUUUUUGUCCAUGUUUUUGACAAGCUGCCUCAUUUGAAACCUCCAGAACAAGAAAUAAGCCAAACCCAACCCUACCAAAACAAAAACCCAAACAUGUUCCUCGCCGCUCUCCUUCUCGGACCUCACCUCCACUAUUUCAAACCUUUCCCUGCCUUCCCCGUUCCCCAUUAUGCCCUCCAUCACAUGCCCAUAUAACACGUACACCCUAUCCUCCUCUCCCAUCACCACCGAGGUAGCAGAGCCUUCCGCAUCAAGGGCAGUUUUGUCAUACACCACGCCUUCUGCCCAACUAUCAGCACUCUUCAGAAACCACAACUUUUGCGUAGAAACAACUAAUACGACGCCGUCCCUCCUUAUCGCUAUCCCAUCUGGCAUUACCAAAUCCUCGUUCAGCAGGACUACCCUCGCCGUCCCAUCGUCAGCAUCAACCUUAAACAUCUUGCCCGUAUUGGAUUGCACCACCAAUAAAUAACCCUUGCUGACGUAAGCGAUUCCAUUCAGCCCGCAAUCGUUAAACGGUUCGUUUUGAUCCAUGACAGAUGCGUAACGGCUAAAAACCGGAGAUCUUGAAAAAAUCGACGCCUCUCCGCUUUCGUUGACUUUCCAGAUGAAGUUUCCGACCGAAUUGGUGACGUAAGCGUUGCCUUUGAAGUCCACAGCGACGUCGUUGGCGACGUCCCUCCCGCGACCGAUGGAGGCGAUGUUGGAAUCGGGGUCGGAGGGGAGGAGGGAGAGGAAGAGACGUUGGCGGGUGCGGAGGUCGUAGGCGACGAGGGCGUUAAAAGGAGGGAGAGGAGGAGCGGAGUGGAGGCAAGCGAGGAGGCGUUUUUUGGUGGAAUCUACGGUGAGGCCUAAGACAGUGACGUUUUCUGGGAGGGUUGGAUCGGAGAUUACGGUUUCAAUAACGCCUGCAUCGGAAACGGAAUGGAUGGAGCGGUGGCUUAGGGAGCCCACGAUGAAGUGCUGGGCUGAUGGGUCCCAGGCCAUGCCUUCUGGGUAGAGGUUGCGCCAUCGGAAAUUGAUGACGUGGGGCUUUGUGGCUAGGGCUGGGGCUAUUAAAAGGAUGAUGAUUAGAAAAACAAAGCUGGGUUUGAUUGGAGCCAUGAUGGGUGGAUUUUUGAGUGGAGCUAACAGGGGAGAGAGUGUUUUUAGUUAGAUAAAGGAAUUUGAAUUUCUAAGUGAAUCGAUCAAUUUAACCUUUUUUAGUGGGCUUUUUUUUAUUGUUUUAUUGAUUUCUUGUCAAAAGGGUCUCAUAAUUCGGAUUUUCUUGUCAAAAGGGUUUUCUGUUUUUUAAUGUUACUAUUGAUUUCAACAAAAGAUGUUUCAGGCUUUUUCACUUUUCACGACGAAUUUCUGGGUAAAGGCUAAAGCAAAUAGAUUUUAGAAAUACAACUUGAUUUUCUUUAAUUCCGAUUAAUUUCCCAAUGAAUUUCUUUUCAAAGGAACACUAUGAAGCCUUGGCUUUAACUAUAGUUGUGGUUUAGUGAAGAAUUAUUUCAGUUGUACUCGUAUUCCAUUUAAUUCAACAAGAAAAGGAAACAGUCAAUGUUGCACCAUUGUAUUAGUUUUCUCAGUAAACUCCAACAGAGUCGAGGUUCUUUCUAUGAGUUGUCAUUGCUAUAAUUUCAGUCCUCAAUUUCUCAUGACAUGAGUUUCUAUUCUUUUCUCAUCAGAAGUGUAAAAUAUGAUUCUGUGUAUAUAUAAUUUUGAAUUACAUCAAGAAGGAGAAUUCAUGUUCAUUCAAUAAAUCUCAUCUUUCAUAAUCAUUUGUGACAAAAAAAGAAUCCAUGAUGACUAAUUUUCGGAUGUAGUUAUACAUAACUACAGAAGCAAUAACAAUGUUCCUUUGAAAUGAAAAUUGAUAUGGUACCAUCCUCUUCAACAUAGGAAAACUAGCUUUUAAAACUCCAAAGAUGGUUCAAGCACAUUUCUCAAGUUGGCUGAAUAUCUCUUCUUUUGUGUUAGAAGGAGUGUCACGACAUGGGGGUUCAAGUUAUACGAGUUGCCGAAUCAACUUCGAAAGCUGUCAGGUGCCGGGUUGCCGGACCAGUUGCACAUCUUGGUACACAAACAAACAUCUCAUACAGUCUUGGCAAGCCAGUAGACAGCUCAGGCAGCCUUGGCAACCAGCAGACAGCUCAGGCCAGCAACUUAGUCAGUCCAGACAGUGAGCAAGCCAGCAGCACAGACUGCUUAGGCAGUCCAGAUAGCUCAAUAGCACGAGGUUGAACUAAAGUUUGGCAUGUGACAGGAACACCAUUACGAAAAUUAGGCAAUGAAUUUAUUAAUAUACUAUAAAUUAUGAGAAAGAAAUACUAAGCAGGUGGAAAAUUCAUAUGAAUAGAAACGGUAUACAAACCAGGCCCGUGACUUGUGUGGUCUGAAGACAGUCACUUUCUACCAUAUAAUUCUAGCCCAAAGGAAUUCAACAAAGAAAGCACUCAAAGACAAAACACUAAAAGCACAAGUUAAAUUCACGAAGCACUAUGCUUGCCUAACAUAUGCGUUCAGAGCCUUGACCCUGUCUUCUUUCUAUUCAUUCACCAUCUUUCCAUCUGUUGCUUCCCCAAAAAGGAAAAGCCAUCCAUCCAAGAGGAUCAUCUCAAAAUCACAAGACCUGAUCCGACUGAAUCAUCAUGCAUAACAUUAAUCCCCAGAAUCAAUGACACAAAAUACUCAAACCCAUGCAGCUUAUCAACAGAAUUGAUAGCGGGGUGGAGGAUUGGAAACAGUCAACAUGAAAAUUCAAUCACGAAUCACGAAUAGGUUUACAACAAACUAAAGAAGACAAUAUCGCAUAAAACCAGCCUUUUACCUCUUGGACGUUUGAUAGGAAGGAUGAUAAUGUUAAGACAUUAUUAUAAAUUUUGAAUUAUUUGGGUUCGGGUUGAUUUGGGUUUAGAUUCAUUUGGGUUCGAGUUAAAUGGGUUCGGCUUGUUAGGCGAGUUGGAGUUUUAAGUCAGCUUUGGCUAGCAAAAGAAGAGAAGGGCCGGCAAAAAGGCUUUCCACGUGUCACAUCACAAAUCUUCCCUGAAAGAUCUCUAACUGCCGUAUCACCACCGCCUUCAUGCCACGUCAUCCUGAGCAAAAAAUAUCUCCUUUCUUCGCAUAUACACGUUCCACUCCUUUGUUAGCGUAGAGAAAGAGCUUAGAUUGUUCGCGAACGUUCCCGACGCCCAUCAUGCAUCAAACACUCAUCCUAAUCAAUGAAACAACACCCUUUAACUCAGAUAUUUUCUUCUUCUUCUUCUAAUCUACGUUCCAUUUCUUUAUAUAAACCCCUGCCUCUGCCCUUUGUUUUUCAACCCCCCUAUGUGCUUGCUUAACAGCAACAACAAUAUUGCGACAUUGACAGAGCUUGGGUUUUCACAACUGCUUCUCAGAUAUCGGGUCUUUUUUAUGUCUGUUUGGAAAUAAAAACUGGGUCGACGAUGGAGGCUGAACAUGGCUUACCAUCUUAUUAUAACGUUCUAGGGGUCAAGCUGGAUGCUUCUACCCUAGAUAUCAAGCGUGCUUAUCGAAAGCUUGCAAUGGUAACUUCUUUUUCUGCCAGGAACCUAAUAUAGGUUUUGGUUUUGGGGCAAUUUUUGGCUUUUGGUGUUGAAUUGACAGCAACUUUUAAUGUUAGAAGCAGUUUGAAGAGUACUAAGUUAUGUUUUUUAAUUUUUGUUGUGUAUAUGGUGGUGCAGCAAUGGCAUCCAGAUAGGUGGACAAGAACACCUUCUCUAUUGGGUGAAGCUAAGCGUAAAUUCCAGCAGAUUCAAGAAGCCUAUUCAGGUAACUAAGUUGACCGAGAACUUUAAUUUUAUCACGCAGUUUUAGCUAGGUUAAUUGCAGUUUGUUAUAACUUCAAAUGUUUUUUUUCUUUCUUCUGGCAGUUUUAUCAGACCAGAGGAAGAGAACUCUGUACGAUGCUGGGUUAUAUGAUCCUGAAGAUGAAGAGGACGAGGUGGCUUUUUUUUUUCUUUUUUCAAAAAAAAUUUGGUAUUUCUUGAUUAAAGGCUUUUGCCUUUCAAUAUUUUGCUAACAAUUGAAUGAACAAUGUUUUGUGUGCAGGGCUUUUCUGAUUUUGCAGCGGAAAUGAUCUCUCUAAUGGCGCAGACGAGGAAAGAGGUAAUGAAUUUGUCCUAACUUUCAGCUUGAGUUGAAUAAAAUAUUGGCAUAAUAGUACUCUUCUGAGCAACAUUUAAAAUUAAAGCUAGAUACUCUAUUUCAUUCGAAAAGACAAAAGAAAAUGUUGCUAUCAUGUUGUUAUAGUGCAUUUUCUCAUUGCCUACAAAAUUAAAAUUUGUUCUCUCAGUGGUGGUGAGGGAAAGAGCAGAAAAUUUAGCUGUAGAACUUUACAAAAACUUUAUCUGUAUUAAUUUGAUCGAAAAGAUGAAAAAGCAUUAAAGAUUAGGAUAGAUAAAUAUGAAUCUUCUGUAGAUUUAAAAUUUCAACUACACUUUUGCAUGAUAGAGAGUCAUUAAAAUGAUGAUCAGUUGUAUGAUGAUUGUCCCCCUCAUCAUCAAAUUCUUGUUGGCCUCUUAUAUGAAUGAUAACUCAUCUUUUAGGCUUGAUAUGAUGUAUCAAGCGCCUAGAAUGCGCCUGUUUCAACAUGUAAGUGUAACCAUGAGGGCAGCUGGUGGUGCUAAAAGAGUGCGCCUUCCAAAGAUAGCUCCUUAAUAUCUGAAAGGAAAAUUGGUAGCUCUAUCGAGUGUGGAGCUUUUAAUUGAGUCCCAAGUACUUUUUAAUAAGAUUUCUUGGUUUGCUAAACUGGCUAUUAAUGCAUGGAGGGGAUUGUCCAUAUAUAAAUGUAUUUUUUGUGUUGAAAUUGUUAACAUUCGUUUCUACUAUUACUUGUGCUGAUCAGGAUGAAGACUGCAGCCUUGAGGAGCUACAAAAGAUGUUCUGGGAAAUGGCACAAGAAUUUCAGUCACCUUCAUGGUUUUGUGGAUCAGUUCAAAAUUCUGGGAGCCCGAAGAGGACAAAAUGGGAUUCAACUCGGAUGGGUGAUAGACAUUCACAUGUAGGUGUAUCAGGGCUCAAGAUGUAUGAAACCAGAAGUUAUUGAAGUUUCUGCUUUAAUUAACGACAGAAAUCAUUUGGACAAGGGAAUGAUACUCAUUCUAGUACUUCAUUGAUCCUCAUCUCAAAGCAGACGAUACCUGAAUCCCAUGAGCUUCUCAAAUCUUUGGGAACAAGCCUAGAAUGAUUGGGUAUGGUUACACUUGUUGGAUUUUGUAGUUGGGGUUUGGACUUUAACUUUUGUCAUGGCAUGGUGCUUUGUGAGCGGCUGGUCAGAGUGCUUCCGGAAUAUCUACACUCCCGGAUGGUAAUGUACACACACUUCCUUGGUGUUCACUGUAUGUAUAAUGUAGUUGAGCUAUCGUGAAUGGACCGUUUUCUCCAAAAUUGACUUCUUGUAUCUGUUUGAUCAGGAUUGCUAGUUUCUGACUGUGUUAUUGUAGUGAAAAAUAUGCUUCUCUCGACUGAUUAAGGCAGUUAUAUAAGCCUAGGAAUAAUUUGACAAUCAUUGAUAACAUUUGGAAUGCUGAUAUAAGCAGGAAAUCUAGAAAUAGCUAGCUGAGCAAAGGCGGCAACAAGGUCUUGGUGCUAUGUGCAAAUAGUUACUAUCUAAUUGUUUGAUUGCCAAAACAUCCUAUUGUAUUAUUGAGGCAUCCUGCUUCUUCUGUUUUCUUAAGCACAGGGCAUUAGAAGAGGGGGCCACUCAAUGAUCAAUCUUUCGGAGGAAUGAAAAAAUUGAGAAUGAAAUAUGUGGUGGAGAGCAUUACUAAGGUUUUUGUUUCAUUCUCGGAAGUGGGAAACACAUGUCCACUAAAAUGGGGAAUCUGCUCCACUUUGAUCAUUUAAACCAAUAAUAUAGCUGUAUAUGUUCUUUCAUAAGAAAACGAAGGAAAGGAGUUCUAUCAUGAAAAAGGGAAAACUAGAGUAGGACCCCGCAAGCCCACUGAAGAGGUAAACAUCACUGACCACAUCUGCAAACUCGCCUGAAUGCAAGCAGCCCAUUUAUCUAAUCAAAUUGGGCUUAUCACUGCAAUUUUGUCUGAUUUGUAGACGAUAGAAUCCAAAUCUUUUUCUCAGAUUAGUGAUGGCAGUUUUGAAGGCACUUAAUUAACACUACUGAAUCAUUGAAACCAUGAGGAGCAGAGGAUUUUAAAUGCUAUAUUAUGUACAUAGGAAGGUUCCAAACCAAAAGCAAAGCUUUGGAGUUAAAAUUAAUUUAUGUGAUUAGGGAAGUUGACCAAAAGAUGUGCCUUGAAAAAGGAUGGAAGAUGCUUUAAGAAAAUGGGAAGGUGGCCUUUCUCUCUACCAAUCUCUUCUCAUUCACUCAUCUUCCAUUGUUUUUUCCAACUUUUGGCCCCUCCUUUUGCUUCCCUUUCUUCAAGGUUAAGUCUUCUCACUAGAUUAAUCUACAAAUUCUACGUUGGUUAGGCUGCCAAUUAAUUAUGACGUUCAUGUAGAAAAUUACAAUCAUCCACAAAAAUUUCCAUCUCCAUUUACCAACUGAUAAAUCUUUUUAAAAGCUGUACCUAUCUGAACGCCAAAAAACUUGUAUAGUAACAAUUGAGUUUGUUUCUAUUAACUGCUGGUUAGUUGUUGCAGUAUAUAUGUCAAAUCACCUAUCCUUUUGUCCCGUUUGGCCUCUGUUUUUGUUUGUUUGAUCGGUAAAUUGUCCCAUUAGGCCAUUACUACACUAAAAAUGUCCCAAACGUACGUCUUUUAUUUUUCCGUAGGAAAACAACAAAAACAAAAAUAAAAAUAGAAAACCCUUCAAAUAAAAUUAUAAAGUGGGAAAGAUAAAUUGUAAAAUUUAGAAGAAGAAAUGGAGUUUGAUUUGUCACAAAGAAGUAGCUGGAAGAAAGUGGUAAAGAGGAAAACAGGAAUCCUGUUAAGAUAACAUGAUAAAAGGCAAUGGAGCAUGAGUUGAUGACCAGGAAGUGACUUCGCCUCCCAGCUUGACUUGGGGUUCCGAAAAUGGCUGGUCUGUGCUGUGAGCGGCCACCGUCCCCAUGAUCACCUGCAUUUUUUUCCUGAUAAAUUGACUUGUUUUCUGGGGAUAGUGACAACUGUUUGUUUUUGUUUUUAUAUAUAUUUUAUAGCCAAUUUCUCUUAAACGAGUAGUAUAUUUACAACUUAUAAAGCAAAUAAUAUAAGUACAAUACGUUUGUGGGGCAAAGCUAUUGCAAUUUUAUUACGAUUAUAUUCCAUCCAUAGCCAUCUCUCACCCACCAUACCCGUUGUCCAUUGAUUGUGACAUCCAUGCAUAUAUUCCUCUUGGCAAAGAAUCAAACACUUGAUUUUCUGUAUUUGAUAUAAUUAAAGAUCAAAUCAUACAUAAAACUCAAAUCCCACAAAAUUCAUAUGUAAUCCAAUCUCCAAAUCAGAGGGCUCUUGACCUCUUUCAACGCCAGCUUCAACUCCAUUUUCCGUUUUCCCUUAGGAGAAAAUGAAACAUUUCUUCCUCAAUUAGCAUUUCUUUUCUUCAAAGAAACCCUCAACCUCAAAUCACCCUUGCCAUGACUUUCAUGCAAAUUUAUUAAUAUUAUUUUGCACGCUAGCUUGGACUUGAACAUGAAUAUAUAUAUAUAUAUAUAUGUACACUAUCUCUAAAUAUUUAUUGAUCAGAUAGUGACAAAAAUAUAUAUAUAUAUUUAUCAAACUUCAAUUAUUAGAUAGUUCUUUCUAAUUAUGCACCAAUCAUGUGCACAAACAUGGUGGAGCAUUCCGAAAUAGACUUAUUGAUCUUGAAUAAUAAAUGUUGAGGGUCUGAUCUGCAAAGUUUAAUUGUCUCCAACUGUUUAGGCGGUACACACAAUUCUCUCUUUACAUCUUUUGGGUAUACCGUUCCAUCAUCUUUGUGCUAUACAUGGUGAAAAACAGAAUUUACACUGAAUUUUAAAGAAGAAAAGAAAAACUGAGAAGUAUGCAAAAUAUAAGAAAUGUUAAUAUUGAUUUCAAGUUCUCAAUCACCCUGAUAACUCUACUUUUUAGAUUCAAGCGCCUAGAAUUGAGAGAACAAACUUAUGCAAGUGAAAUUCUCUUGUGAGCAAAAAUCCUUUUCAUCAACUCAAAUCAAUCAUUUAUGUCCUUGGAAAAAGAACAAUAAAUUUAUGAAAUGCAUAAGAGUUAUCAGAAUUUAGAACUUGGAAGAAACCCAUUUCUAACAAAUUAAAAAUAGUUGGAAAAGUGUGUAUGGUGGGGCCCCGAAGUUUUGGACCAUCCCAUCAUUCCCACAUGCGAUGGGAUUUCCUUGUUGCACAAGGCAGCCAGACUUUCCUAGUAGAAAAAAAAAACCGUAGAAGAGCCCAUAAGAAGACUUCUCAUUCACUCCAUUUUGCCCUCUAAUUUCUAGCUUAGUGUCCCAAUUUCACCAAAAACCAUUUCACUUUUCAGCCUUUCUAAGUCUUCAUGCACCGAAUAACGUAAAAACACCGCUCCUUACCAAGGUACAAACUCCUCUCUUCCAUCUCUCACAGAUUUCCUCCCAAAAUCUCUCCUCUCCUCUGUCUACGAAAUCAGUAUUCCUCAUCUCAGCGGACAAAAGACUUCCAGCAAUCGGAUUCACGGCCAUGUCGAUAAAAACGAACCGUUUCAAUCCUCAAAUUACAGCACUAACCAUAUUCUUUGUAGUCGCCACUGUUGCAUAUCCCAUCAGCAGCUUGGAAUCAAGGAAGCUUGACGAGAGCAUUGCGCCAGGAGAUCCAGGCGUCAAGUGUAACCCAUCAUGUAUACCAAGUCCUCCACCACCGUCGCCUCCUCCGCCAUCGCCUCCGCCGCCAUGUCCACCACCACCGGAGCUGCCGCCACCUACACCAAAAAAGCCGCCAACCAAGUACUGUCCACCGCCACCUAGUCCGCCAUCCUUUAUAUACAUAACUGGUCCACCAGGGAGCCUAUACCCUGUUGACCAAGAUUUUGGUGGUGCAAGCCGGAAUUUGGAAGUGGGGUUAUUGGGUUUGGUUUGUGGAUUCUUGAUCCUUGUUGCUUUUUGAAUGGGAUACGGAUUUGGAAAUGGAGGGUCCUAGGAUCUUGUGCGAUAAUUGGAUAUAGUAAGUACAAAGUUACUUUUUCUUCUUUUAAUUUUAGGACAAGAAAAUUUGUUUUUGUCCAAAGAAAAACUUGUUAGGACCUACUAGUUUUUGUACUUGCUGUAUCUCCAUAUUGUUCAUCAAUAAUAGCAAUUUUAAUGAUUUUCCCUUAUGAUUUUCGAUUGUUAUAUCAUUUUCUUCUUGAAACAAAAUGGAUCAAAUUAAGCUCGAAAGAAUAAGGUCUGUUGUAGUUCUGGUAAUGGAUCCCUGAUUCCAGAAUGAGCAGAGCUUUAACAUUGAAAACGACGAGUUACUUUAUGUGGGAAUCGUGGAUGAAGGGUCCAAGCAGAGCAGAAGCAACGCCACAGCUAGCGUCUCCACCGCCGUUAUUCAUUAAUUGGUGACGCUCUCAUGUUCGACUUUAAUUAAACACGUGGCUUACUCAUGUAACAUGUUUCGUGGAUUCCUACUCCUGCUUGACCUUUCAUGUUGCAACUCACCCCAUCAAUAGGCACUCUUGUUACCUAACUUUUGUGGCUAUAAUUCUUCUUAAGAGGAUAAUAGUUGUAGUUUCUUUUAUUAGAGGUCUGUGUUAUUCUUAAUGAUAAUGAAAUUUUCGAUUGGAAUAAAAUAAAAUAGAGAGUAUAUCAGUUGAAACUUGGUUGACGUUGGGAAGGCAAAGUCAAUUUAAUGGAAUAACUUGUGAAUGAGAAAUAAGUGAGCGCACUUGUGACAACCAGACAAAAUCGAUGACCCCAAUCAUAUUUUGAGAAAAUUGGAUAAAAAUGAGACACAAUUAGAGGAGGGAUUUAUCAAUUACCAAUAGGCAUAUCUUUUUAUGAUGAAAAGAGCAUUUUAAGAUAUUUAAUUUAUUCAGUCUAUGUAAUAGAAAGUAAUUGAUGUGUUUACUUGAUUUUAUGCAUAAAACAAUAACCAAAGUAACAACUUUUCAACAGUAUCUGUAAAAAGCUAGAGAAAAUGUCCUUAAAAAACAAAAAACUAGUAUGCCUUUCUCCAAAAAUAUAACAUGUUCUUUAGGGUUUCGUAAAAGUUAAAAAUGAUUGCUUACCAGGACCAAGACACAUGUUGCAAAAUGUAAAGCCAAGUGGAUGUGAAACAAAAGAGAAGAUUCUAACCUUCUGAUCUUGAUUUGAUGUGCGAUCAUAAUGUGUCAGAGUUAGAGUCGUUGUGAGUGGAUGAGAUCAACUUCGGUUUCACCAAAUGCUGGGUCCCACAUCAGUACCAUAACGUUUGGUUCCUGGACACAUCACCAUGCUCAUGGUAAGGCCAAGGGGGCUGCCCGAUGAGGACAGGAGGAGUUAGAAAUCAGGCAGACUUUUCAAUUAUCCAGAUUGGACGCCACUCUACGUGGCAUGUUAACGUACAAUUUUUUAAUUGGAGCAGCAUUUAACUGUUAGGGCCAAUGAACUUUCACAUAUAUAAUAUAAAAGUCAAUCUUCAUUUCUGGAGGCAAAGUUAUUUUGAUAAGAAUGUAAUCAUCAACUUGAUUGCUUAAAUUCAAAGAAUAGUAAGGAGUGAAAUUUGGUACCAAACCAAACUAAAGAUUCUUAAGAUGAUAAUUUAAAAAAGAAAAAUAAAAUAAAACAUGUUUAACUAUGGGUAUGGACAGUUACAUGACCCUUUUAAGGGGGAAAUCUCACACAUUUUAAUAUCUAAGAAGGUAGGGUUCCAGUUUCAUUGUAACCCUUUCAGAAAAUGUGGCAUACCAUUAAUGAUAGCAAUAAUUCGAAAAAAAUUAUACCUACUUCCUAAUUUCAAUAAUGAAAAACUUUAAUGAAAUUUUUCACAGUGAAAAACGUUAUAUGAAGUUCUUUAAGUUAAAUUUAUGAAAUUUUUAAUUAAAACAUUUCAAUGCAUAAAAAUUAAAGUUGUAAGUAGAUAUUCAUAGAUUGAUAAAAUUCAACUUCUACAAUAUGGAAAAAAAAAAUAAAAAAGCUAUGUAUUUAAUAGUUAAUCUUGUAAUUUAUAAAGCUAAUGAAUCCACACACAACGCUCAUGACCCGUCUCGGGCCUCCUCGUCUCUCUAUCGACAAGUUGAGGUUCGCACAAUGCCGACGUUGUGAAGGAAUGCAAGCAUUCAAAAAAAAAAAUAGUUCACACCUAUCUUAAUUAUGUACAUAUUUUGCAAAAGUCUCAAAAUAAAAAAAAUUCACUAAUAAAUUGCAAUUUUUGUUUGUCAAUUUCGAAUUCCAUCAUGUGUGAGUUUGAUCCAAUUUUAUAUCGGUUUAUCAUUUAUUUAUUUUAUUAAUUUUUUUUGUAUUGAAUGUAAUAAAUAUUCAAUAUGUUGAAAAUUAUUUGAUGGCAAUGUAGUUUCGACUUGUGAAUGUAAUUAACUCUUAUAAAAAAAAAGCUUCUAAUAAUAGACUGACAUCAUAGCAUCAUCUUAUCUUAUCUUUUGUUUUGUUAAUUUUUUCUUUUUCCUUUUCUGUUCUUUAUAGUUAAAAUGUAGGAAGACAGUAAGAAAGCUUUAUUUGUUUAAUCAACCAAUCAAACCAUGCAUGUGGCAACCUUGUUGAAUCAAAGUAUGCAAUUGUUUAUAGUGGCCGGCAUAGAUUUCUUUGUCAAUGUCAACUAGGUCAUAAAACAUAUGAAAUAAUCAGCUGCUGUGUAAGCAUUGAAAGGGAUAUGGUAAGAAACCAAGGUGCUAUUUGGGUCAAUAAUAUUUGUUUUGGUGACAGAUAUGGCCAAGUUUGGGAUAAAUACCCUCUUGUAUUUGAUAGAAUCAAGUGACAUUUCCAUUACAUCAGAUUGAAUUGAUUAAUGCUUUUGGAAAUUCAAAAUGAAAUAAAAGAGCUUGAGACUUAAACUAUGUAUUUAGUUAGGAAAGUAAAGGGAGUUGUCACGCCUAACUUUUGCGUACAACUAUCAUUAUUAUCCCUAUGAAAGGUAAGCUUUCCUAUUCAUUGAAAAAGUGGCUAAAGAAUUCCACUGCCCAAUUACUCGCCGCAGGCCACCUUGGAGUGGGACGUUGGGUUGGGUAAUAUUUUAAGAUGCUAAACAUGAUUUUUUUAAAAAAAAUCAUCAAAUACAGAUGAGACAUAAAAUGUGGUAGAAAUUAUUUACAGUAGGGAAAGGGUGGUCUGUGAUGCACCCAAAAAAAUUUGGUACCUAAAAAUAAAAUUAUUUGUUAAUUUUUACUAUUAAAUUUUGACUAUUUUUAAACUAAAUUAAAAGCUCAAAGUUAAAAAGUGUGACUAAUAAAUUUGAUCCACCACUUUAAAUAAAGUGAUAAAUUUGGCCCUUAUCACUCUAAUCUUUGAUAUAGCACUUGCAAAAUUUUCAAUCAUGCAUUUAGCUUUUCUCAAUUAUUUUUUAUUCAUUUUUUAAGGUCACUUUAUAGAAUAAUUUAUAUGUAAAAAGUACAUAUAUUAAAAUGUUAUGUGACCUAAAAAAGUAUUUAAACUUUGAGCAAAUGCAACCUCCUUUAUGUAUUCAAUAAAAACUGUUUUAAAAAAGUUAGUAUAUUAUUUAUAAUUAAGGUCUUCCACAGUCAAUCCUCAACAUAUUUUUCAUCUAUUUAAAAAAAAUGAAGGGAAAUAAAUGGUCAAAUAAUUUAUCAAACUAAGAAUCUUUAGUGUUGAAAUCAUUAAUAUAUAUGUAUAUUUUCAUCUAAAUGUUCCCAGUUGUUUAAGUUUGACCAGUACAAAAAAGUUUGCUUAAAUUUUCCUUGAUUUUAUGUGUUACUAUUCUAUACAUAUUUUUAAACUUCAUAUACUGAUUUAGAAAAUUAUCACAUAUUUUUUUCAUUUAUUGUAUUAAUAUAUUAUUUUUUUAAAAAAUAUAUUUAAUAUAGUAUGGGAUAAUUCUGUAAUUCUGAAGUUUUUAAAUUUUAUAUGAUGAAUGUGAUAAUUUUUUGUAAUAUAUAUAAAGAAUUUGGAGGAAAGAAAUUUAAGUAUCUAUAUGUGUAAUGUUUUAUUAUGGGUGUGGAAUCUUUGUUAGGUACAACAACUAGCACACGUCAAAACAAGUGCUUAAAGAGCAGUAGAAAUCAAAUAGCUCAAGUCCCUUAAUUAGUCCACCGACACAACGAAAUUUAGGAUAAAAAUCAAUUAAUUACACAUUUUGUGUUCAAGUUAUAUUAACGUGUGUUAAUUGAUAUCUAAUGAAGAAACUUACACAAUUUUCGUAAGUUAUAUGUUAAAUAAAAAUGCUACUUCAUAUUUUGUGAAAGUUUGAUGUGGGUGCCAUUUGGAUUCAAUGCAAUUUUUAUUUUUUUAAUCCUAAAAAACGAUUUUAAAUUCACGUCUCUUCCUUUGCUUUUAUAUUACAACACCAAGUUUUGGGUUCUUUUGUGACCCAGAGAAUUAAUUGGUGCAAAUAUAUUUAAGUCUAAAAAAUAGAAUUUUAUUUAAGUUUUUUAGUCGAAUUCAGGAAGCUUUCCGUUAAAAACAAUUUAAAUAAAAAGUAAAUUUGACAAUCAAUAGAGUUCAAUGAAAAAAAAUUAAUAUUGUGUAAAAAAAUUAUUAAAACAUUAACUAUAUGCAAAAUUUGAUCAAUACUUAUUGAAUAAUGGAAACUUGAUUCCAAAUUUUUAAUGAAAAUACUUAUCUUAAAAAAAUUAUUAAAACUUAUUCAAAACUUUUCAAUUUUGUACACUUGAUCUAUAUGGCAAGACUUGAAAAUUUAUUUGUUUGAAUUUUCGAUUUUUAUUUUUAUUUAAAGGUUUUCAAUAAAUAAUUUCGUGAACUUAACUUCCAAGUCUAAAAAAGAGUAUCAAAAUUUAUAGCCAAUGAGAAGAAGAAAUGCAAUGAGUUUAGACGUCAAUUUCACUCUAACUCCACGCUUUCCAGCUGUGCUUUUUGUAGUACUGGGAUUUCUCUCUUGCGUGAGGGUUCAGUUAAACAGAGGACUGAAUCCAGACUUCCAAAGUCAAGCACAAUAGGUCAUCGAGUUGGAUGGAUGCUUAAAUUUCCAACCUUUUCCUUGCCCGUUUGUCUCUUUCAAUGAUUUGUUCCCUUCACAAUCUUGAAUUUUCAAAAGCAGCAGAUUCGUUAGGUUCAUUGGACUCCAUGUCUACUAAACCCAUCUCUUAAACUGAAAUUUUAUUAAUUGAUUAAAACCCCAGGAUAGCUGCGAUUAAUUAAGUCAAAAUUUGUAAGAUUCCCAAGGCUGAAAAUCAUUAUUAAUUGUAAUUUUUUUAUUAUUGUCAUCAUCUGUAUAAUUUUUUCCUGCAAUUAUCUUCCUUCUUCUAACUACCGAAAUCACCAAUAGCCAGGGCCUCAUUAUGGGGAAAAGUUCAACUUGGGUAGGUAUGAGAUAAUUUUCACGCAUCACUAGCUGUCGUGGAUAUAGAACCGAGUAGUACCCUUCAUUAAUUUACUCCAAGGGGAAAGAAAUAUAUUAUACAAUUUCUUUUGCCCAUGCAUAAAUGAUUUAUAGAGUAAAUUAUAUCUAAGUCAUGAACUUUGGACUCGAUUAUAAAUUAUAUGAAAGAAUAUUUAUUGGAGACCACGUCCUGCAAAUUUUUGACACAAACUAAUAUUAUGGGUCUUAAAAUAAUUUAGAGACGAUGAUUGUUUGCAAUAAAAUUUCUUGAUUGAAGAAAUGCAUGGGGAUACAUGUUAUGUGAGGGGGUUUGAUUAGAGCUUGAAACUUGAAAGCAUUAUUUGGGAAUAUGACUCGUAAAAACAGAGCAUGAUUUCCCAUGUUAUCAGCUAACUCUCUGUUUCUGGGCAUCUUGGUGAUGUGUAGGCCAGCCACAAUCGCCAUCAAAAGCUGAAACUGUUUUUUGAGCUCUUCAAAAAAUUCAGUAUGCUUUCGGAUAUUCAGACAGAUGACACGAAUUCCAAGAAAUGCAUGCAAGGAGGCUGCCUUAAAACCCAAAUUAAAAGAAUAAAAAAAUAAAUAGAAUUUUUAUAAAACCCUACUCUGCUUUAAGAAGACAUUCCACUUCAAUAGCUUUGGAAAUUUUGAUUUCCCGGGAAUUGGAAUAUUCAGCUUUUUCUCAGUUCUAAAAUCAAUUUAAUUCUUCAAACCCUUUCUAAGAACCCAACCUCUCUGCUGACUCUUUGACCUCAUUUCCCUUGAUAUUUGCUGAAACAACCCGAAUUCAGGUUAAGCAGAAAAUUAAGUAGACAUACUUCAAAUGGAAACUGAAACAAAAGAAGAGGAAAAUCUUUUCCAAAUUGAAUCCUGAACGCCAUGCUGUCGUUAUUGUUGUCAAAACCAGGCCUCUGUUUUACUUAUGAUGAACUAUUCUCUGGCUCUAAGACUAGAAACUUCCCUCCCUCAAAAAAAGUCAAAUAAGAAAACAAAAAUCAAUAGGGUUCCCCAUGUGCAACUUUCAACAACUCUUUCUAACAAUAACUCAUAGUAAAGCCUUCAUUGCCAAGUUUCAAAAUGCAUGGGGUCCCAAAUGUGACUCUUUUUCUUUCUUUUUUUUUUUCAUUUUUAUUUUCCUUUUCAACAGCUAAAUGGAUUUUUGAGCAAUUAAAAUGAGACCCCCUUUCAUCAACUUUACAUAAGAGACAGUAGGUGGCUAGGACUUGGUUUUCAAUCCUUUAAUUCCCUUUGGGCUCUUUAUUUCCAACUUUGAGACUUGACAAUAAACCUUCAGAAAAGUCCUUCAACAAGGGUCAUUCCAUACAUAUCUCUCUCCUAUCCACUUUUCUCUUCUUCACUAAACUCUAUCCUCUGUUUUUCCUCUCUUUUCCUUUCUAUAUCAUGGCCAAUUCACUUAACCAAGCUAUCACUACCCUCUUCUUCUUCUCCUCCAUAAUUCUCAGCUUCUUUGUUCAAGCCAAGCAAGACAACCCUUGUCCAUAUCCAUGUUACCCUCCACCAACAGGCACCGGCGGUGGCACCCAAAUCGGCGGCACUGUCCCUCAAACACCUCCGGCUAGUUAUUCACCACCUCCUCCACAAGGGACGUCCUACCCUACACCAACAGGGACUUUACCAUACUACCCUCCACCACCUUAUGGUAAUUCUUUAUACGGUCAGCCCCCUCCUGACCCCAUCUUGCCUUAUUUCCCUUACUACUACAGAAAACCUCCUCACAAAACAGAUGAUGAGUCAUCAGCAACAAGUAAUCCUGGAAAAUCAUUGCUCACGAUUGCAACCACAAAUUUUAUUGUAUUUGUUUUCCUAGUUGUUUCUAGUUUAGGGUACUAGCUGAAAAUUUUUUGUGUAAAGUAUUUGUCUUUAAGCCAUGUUUUCAAUGAGAUGAGGGUUUGAAUGUAGGGACUUUUUAGUGUUUAAUGAGAGAAGAAAAAGAGGUUGGGAUGCGUUCUUAGUUGCUGAAAAAAGGUGUAGAAUUGGUGAUGUGGUGAAAGACAAGGGGAAUCGAAGAGGUGGUGGCCCCAGGCCAUUACUCUUUUGUUUGCUAAUGAAGAGAUGACCAGUAUGUUUAUUUUUGUUUCAUCUUCUAAUUUCCCUGUUUUGUGUUAAUUGUUCUGAUUAGAAUUUCUGCCAACCAUUCGACUGCAUCACCUAAUUUGGAUGAGUUCAAAAUGGACGGUACUGGGAGUUUUAAACAAUACGUCAAGGGGAACUUUCCUGACUGAAAGAAUUCUUUGCUAGAACUCAAAACAAAAAACAAAAAAAGAAAAAAAAGGUCCAUUUUAUCCUGGCCUAAUUUUACUCUUAUUUUUCCCUGUUGGCACUAUAACUAGAUUUCUCUUUAUAUAAGCAAUUUGCAGAGGUCUAUAUUGGUUCUGGGUACAACCCCUUCCAACGAGAAUGAUGUCCUUUAAUAACAGAAAUAUUAUCCUUGCCAACAUUGUUUGCCUAAGGAACCAUUCUCUAUUUCAGAGAAGAUGUCCUGACAAAGAAACAAAUUGAUAGGUAUCUGUCAAUAUCAUUGAUGAUUUGGUUUGAUUAGGUUGAGGGUCGUUGAUAUUUGAUAGCCAUUCUUGCCCAAAGGAAAGGGUUGGGGGGGGGGGGGGAGGGAAGGACGGGUUCAAAAUCAAAUUGCUGCAAUAUUGCCCUUUUUUUUUAAUAAUUUUCCUUCAAGUAAGUCAUAUCGGAAGUUUCCGAGUUUUAGACUAUUCAAAAAGUAGAUACCCUCCCUUUAUGAUGUCACCAACCAAUUACUAUUCGGAUAAAACGAGAAGGAAAAAGAUUUGUGAUUCUAGUACAUGUAAAUUAUACAUCCAGGGUCUCUUUACUGUAGAUCCCAUAAAACAAGUCUGUCUGUCGUGGGGCUCAAGUUUAGAUCCUUUUAUUUUUCGAGAAGAGUGCAUCUAUCGUUAAACUUUUCCAAUGGCGAGAAAGCCCUUGACAAAUUGAUUUUUUAUGCAUGUGUAUAGUUGUCACUGAGGUUGGUGGGGGGUGCAAAAGACUUUCAAGUUUCAAACCGAACCCAUCAUUAUUAAUUCACUAAUCCAGCUAAAUGUUGCAUUACACGCAGCAUAAUUUAAGUUGUUUGGAGUAACCAAAAUAACUACAAUGUAGGGAUACUCUAAUAUCAACAACCUACUUUUGGUCUUGCCAUUUCUCUGCUGCCUGGUACAUUUUAAAUUCAAUGUGCAUUGAUUAGAAUCGAGGAUACCUGUACUGGCUGCCUAGGCUUAAUGAGAAAGGAGAAUGGGUGAAGACGGAACACCAUGACAGAUCAUUUCAGGAAGCCACAACUGCCAAACGGCCCAUCCCAGAACCACUGCCAAUUCCAGCACUUUUCAUGUUCUUCCUCACCAUCUCACCACUAUUUCUCUGGGCUCCCGCUUUUGGCCUGCCACCAAUCUUAUGAUCUUUUACAACCUUACUACUACUCUCUGAUAUUCGAUGCUUUGGCAAAUUGCUGCCCUCUUUCUCUCGCUCUUUCUUCAAAAGAACCACAUUUUGUCGUGUCACGGAUUCAGAAGAGCUGUGGCCAUCAGUUGGUGGAGUUGAAGAUAUGGUGCCAGCUUGUGAUGAUUCAACUGUAGGAGAAUUCAACUCUACUACAGGUCCACUAGCAGAAAGGACUUGUUUAUUUGCUUCCUUGGAGAGUGAUGACGGUCUUGGAGUUACUCCUAUCCCUGAACUUGCUGACUUCUGUCGUACUUUAGCUGAUUUCAUGGUAGAUGAUGCAGGCUGAGAUAGAAAUAGAAGAAAGCCAGUGUUAAAUCUAGUAACAAAUGGAAUAAAAAUACAAAAUGUAGGAGUCGGAUUACCAUAGGACAAUUAAUCACAAGAAAAGGUAGCAAUAUAUACAGGUCCAAUCUAAAGAUAUAUAAGUGCAACUUCCUAUGAAAGAAGAAAAAGCAAAUUAUCAAUCUUAUAUCAUAUACUGAAGGUGACAGUCAAAAUAAAUGAUCAGCUUGAAAGGACAACCCAAAUAAAUGUUAAACCAUAUAGAAUGUAUUUCAGUGUUUCCAUCUUGAUAAGAAAGUUAGAGAUUAAAAUCAUUUAAAUUAUGAUACUCAAAAUAUGUAUCACCUAUGUUCUGUUACUCUCAGAGCAAUCCAAAGCUCUCAUAGCAUUAAAUAACACUCCAAUUUCCAUGGCAAGAAGGAAACUUGGGAAGAUCAAAUUGACGCACCCUCUGUUCUUGUGAGAGAUUAAGGACAAGGAUUAAGGUACAAGUGCCCACUCAACCUUGUGCUUCUCCAGUCAACUACCAAAGUGUAUCUCUUUUUCCCUUCUUUGAUUGUUUACUGUAGAUAAUCUACUUCAUUUCAGAUUCUCACAUACCAUAAAAGAAAGGUCUAAGGACAAGGAAGUUUCCUUAAACCAGUAUGAAACAUUCAGUAGAAACGUGAAGAAUAGGUUUGCAAAGAAGAUGCAAAAACCUCUAAUAAUUGUGAAAAGAACAAGCUUUAAAUAUUGCCCUAUCUCCUAAAGCUAUUGCUUCAGAUAACUAAUUAGAUUAUCCCACAUGCAAUGUCAAAAAUAUCAAGGUUCUCAAGAUAUUACAUAAGAAAUGAACAAGAGUAACCUAAAGCUAUUAUGCUAGAGUAUGAUUACAUAGGAGUCAACAUAAGUGUUCCAAGUUACACAUGCACUCAUGCGUAUGUGCUUUUCUGUGUAAAUAACCACAUCUGAAGACAUAUGACAGGUGCAUUGAGCUUCUAAUGUACCUUGUUUCCAGUAGAUCCGGGUGUUGCGGCAACAUGAUAGAAAGAAGGCAUGGGUUUUGCUUUGAAAUUAAGGCUUUUCCGCAAUUGCUUAAUCUCAGCCUCUGUCUUUUCCUGCAAUAACAGCAAAUGAAGCAUUCAAUUUAUUUGCAAAUUUUAGCAACCCAUUAGUCCAGAAAUGUUAGAGCGGCCCAUCUUUUCAAAUACUAAUAAGGAAGCACAUAGAGAAAAACCAAUUCAUCUUCACUUAAAAUAGUAAAUUCUAAACAUCAUAUGCUUCCCAUACCUGUGUUCUUGCUUGAAUCUGAUUCAUCUCAGCCUCUUUGGCAUGCAUUUUCUCUUCUAAUUUCAUGUAGAACUGAAACCAUUGUAUGACAAAAAGAACAGAGGAAAACAUUACUGUAUACCUUAAUCUAAAGAAUGAAAAAAAAUUUCAGAAUGACAGCAAGCUUGCUUGCCUCUUUUCUCCUUUCUGCCCGUUCAUCACUUUUGAAUUGGAAUACUCCAGCACUAGACUUUACAUCUGCCUUAGAUGAAUUGACAGUCUGCUUCAGCCUAUGUUAAAGUUACACUACAUUAAGGUUUAAAAGUCAACAUUUUGAUGCCAUAAAGCAAUCCCCAUAAUGUUGCUACACACCUAUUUGGUGUCUGCCAAGCAAUAGGUUCAAUCUUCUUUGAUGAAGAAGGUUGAGCUUCAAUUACUUUCUUUGUCAUUGGUCCAUUUAUACUGCCACAAGAAUGAAAUAAGCGUUUGAAAUAUCCCCUCAAAUGAAACAUACAUAUUCUUGAAAUGCAAGAGAUAAUACAUACCUUUUACUCUCAGCGCUUAAUUUUGCAUUGGAUCUUUCAGAAUCCUGGGCAAGAAAGACCAAUGAAAAGGAAAUUCAAAUUGCAACAAGUCAAAAUAAAAAUGCUUAAUAGAGAAUGGAUACUAGGGUAAAAUACAGAUGUUGCCUUUUUCAAGAUUUUUUUUUUCUAACUUCAGGUCAAAGUCAAAAUUCUCACCUCUUUUUUGGGAGAUCUGUGCAUUGAACGCCGAGUUGGAGUGGCAGUUUGUAAUGGCAGCUUUUCUGCUUUCAUUCUCCCUGAAAUUUCUUUUUCCCUUCUCACCUGAAUCUUUGCAGCUACUUUUGAAUCACGAGAAAUGUUUUUCUGGGAAUGAUCAGGACUCACUGGAGACCUCAACCUUGUUUUGGAAGCUUUACUUUCAAUAGCAGUCUUCGACUAGAAUGAAAAAAUUAAUGAGUAGAAGCCACAAGGAGGUAAACAAGACAAAAUUGAGUCUACUUACGAGAGCAUGCAUAAGAGAUAAAGAGAAAUAUACACAUCAAAUUAGAAAACCAUGUGAAAGACUCUUCCCAUAUAAACAUAAACCUGAAUCAACAUGACAGUUGUUUUUCAGAAUUUCAAGAACCAAUAUAAAUAUAAACCCAUACCUUUGGAGGAUGAUUCUGCCCAUUUUCUAAAUUAGUAGUAUCAACUUCCCAAGUGGUUCCAGUGUUAGGGGAUGCAUCCCUGGGCUUAAAUGAUUUAUCAAUAUUACCUGCAUCAUCAUCAUGGUUUUCUUUUACUUCUUCCUCUGGUUUAUCAUUGCUUAUAAGUGGCUUAUCACAUCCAACUUCACUUUGAUGGGUUUCCUCAGCCUUAACAUCUCCAGGGACAGUGUCCACCAAAACAUGAGUUUCAUGAGCAGAUAAAACACCAGAAUAUUCUCUUCCACAUUCCAUCAACGCACCCUCACCAAGGUAUUUUGAACCUUCAGGACUCUUGUCAAAGUGAGCAGAAUGGCUACCUUCAUAUGCAUGAUCAAACCAGUUCCCUUUGUUUUCAUGAUCAAAUGGGCUCCCUUCAUUUUUGCAACAAAAAUCUUCCUCAUAAUCUGCAUCAUUUAAGCCAUUCUCAUCAAAAUGAUGGCAGUGGUUACCUUUACUUAUAUGAUCAGAUUCAUCUCCAUAACCCUUGUUCUCUGCAGCAUCAUCCUUGCCAGUAUGAUAUUCAUCUCCACAACCCUUUUUCUCUGCAGCAUCAUCCUUGCCAGUUUGAUAUUCAUCUCCACAACCCUUAUUCCCUGCAGCAUCAUCCUUGCCAGUUUGAUAUUCUCUGUAACCCUCGUUCUCCACAAAAUCACUUUCACAGGUUUGAUCUUCUCCCCCAUUUUGGCCCUCAGAUGAACCCUGAAGAAGAAGUGCCUUCUUUCUGAAGUGAGCUUCAAAAUAAGCUUUCUUCUCAAUAACUGAACCUGGUUUUGAGCAUUUCUCAACCUCUUCAAGAUAUCUAUUGUGUGAGAAGGAGGACCUUCUUUCCCAAGCUAGGGGUUCGUUUUCAAAUCUUCCAAAUGAUACAGAACCAGAAUGCAAAGAUUCUGCCUGCCCAGUUCAAAAAAAUUAGAAGUUAAAAUAAAUGAAAUAGGUGGACAAAUUAUUUGCUACAAUGAAGUAAAUUGUAUUUUCUGAGACAAUUUACUAUCAGAAACACAUAAAAGAAGUUGGCAAUUAUAAGGUUUUUCUUUUUGGUCCAAUUUCAUCAGCAAAAAUGCUUCUGGAGGCACUUGGGAUACUGCGAGCCAUUAUAGUUAGUGACAAUCUUCCAUAGACUUUCAAUGUUUCAGAAUAAUAUAGUAGAACUUUCUAAUUAACAAAUCUGUUGCCAUAGCCAAUUUGAAAUCUAAAAAAGAACAAGAACAUAUAUAAUACUACAAUUUUAUCUAUUAGUGUCAACAUAAGGAUAAGAUGCAGUUCUUUGUCUAAAGCAGGCAUUCAUCUUCUGCACAUCCUGGCCCUAAUUUUUCGGUUCAGCUCCUCUAGAUUACUUUUCCAAGACACCAUCAUUAGGUUUAUGUGUGUGGCGUCCAAAUUAAUUUCUGGGACCCACAAUUGUGAACCUUGAUUAUGAGUUGUAAUCCCCCAUAAGGAUAAUACCUCUGGUGCAAAAGCAGAUAAUUAUGCUAUAUAGAAAGCAUUGACAGCAACUUACCAGUGUACAUGAUAACUUUCUAAUUGUAUCACUGUUACCAUAAAUUUAGUCUUUCCGCCCCCCCACCCCAACCUCCCCCACAAGGAAAAAAAAACUAGAAAAUUAUUAACGGAAGCAGAUAAUGAAAGGAUCCAGAGAACAUAGGAAGAGGUUAAGUAAAUCUUUUGGCCUUCUCUAUAUGAUGACAUAAGGAACAAUGAUCAUUAUCGACCGAUAACAAAUCAACCGGUUGAUUAUCAGAAACUGAAAUAUCGAUAAUAAGUAAACAGAUUGACGAAGCUUAAACUUCAAUCAUCCAAGGGGGAAAACAGAUAAAGAGUUUAAAAAAUGAGAGAGAGAGAGAGAUCAUUGUCAAAAAUUAAGACCAAAAUAUAGAAAAGAUGCACGUUCACUUUGCAAAUCAAGUGAACCAACCAGUAUUUUCUUUUUUGGCUCUUUGUUUUAGUCCAAAAUAAAACAAAUUAAAAAAAAAACUUCAUCCAUCAGCUUAUCAUUUCAUUAGUUAAAGCCAAGAUUCAAGAAUGAAUGAGACAAUUUAUCAUUUCUUAACGUCAAACGAUCUCACAUAUUCAGUAAGCACUACAAUAACUACACAAUUGACAAAAAAAUAAUUCCAGCUUAUAAAUCCAAACACUUUAAAAGAAGAAAAAAAAAAGAUUUGCCUGAAAACUAAUGCUGAAAGGCUCUUCAAUCUCUCCCGCCAUUUGCAACCAAAAUCAAGCUCCAAGCAUCAGUUACCUCAAAAAUCAACACUCAGCAGCCGACAUCCUUAACUCAUCAACGGAUCAAAUCAACCAAAUGCAAAACACAUUUCUUGAAAACGUCAACAGUAAUAAACGAAUCUUAACUAAACGUGCUUUGCGAGUAACACACUAAGAAUGAAAUACCAAAACCAGAGCUCCAAGAUUUUCUUUUCUCUUCUUUUCUUUUGCUUUUCUUUCUGAUCUUUCUGCCCUAUCCCUUUUUUUUCUUUUUUAAUUGCUUUUGUGAGUUUGUUGUGUUCAGUGUUAAGUGUAAAAAGUUUGCGAGGAACUUAAAAAGUUUAGACGAUCAAAACAUAUUCAUUAUAAUAAAACAUUUUAAAAAAAAAUUAUAUAUUAUCAUGCGGGGUUGGUUGUCUUUUUUGUCUUGUACUCAUCAGAUCACCUCAUUAAGAAUCAAACGGCUCUGAUUUCAGAUCAGAGGGAGAGGAUUCUGAUAUGAAUCGUGGUCAGUUUAAAACGGCAGCGUAACAGGGAUUGAACUAGUAGGGAUGUCCCACGUGUCACUUCAUUAAUCUGUUGACUUUCCCAGCAUUGUUUCCACUAUACAAUUUUCUGUAAGUGGAUCUAAUUGUAGGACCCGUUUGAAAACUUCCCAAAUGAGAAAUGUUAAAAAGAUGUAUUUAAAGACAAAAAGAAUCUGUUUUGACGUUUUACCAAACAGCUACCAAAUAAAUAUAAACUAUUUCUGCCUAAAUAGCAGCACCCAAACUAUAAUGUAAUCUUAAUUAACUAUUAAUUAAUGAAAGAAAUUGGAGGCUCUUGAUAUUGAAUGUGACAUUAGUAUUAAUAGUCGUUGCAAGCAAAUAUUUACUAUCUUUUGUAGGGCCAAGGGCUUGACUACAUUAAUAUGCAGUCCUAUUUCUUGUCCCUAUAUAUUAUUUUAUUUAUUUAUUAUAAUUUUAAUAUUAUACAUAAUAUUUCACUCAAUAUUAUGUACAUAUAUUUCUUGUUUUAAAAAAAUAGGUCCGAUUCUUCUAUUGUCGCAAAUAAAAAAUUGUUUUAACCAUGCUAAAAAGAAUUGCUAAAUUUUAACUUACUAUAUAUGAAUAUGAUAUGUACCUAACAAUAUUAAUUCCAGUUUAUUACAUAUUUGCAUCCGAAAUUUUUUAAAAAAAUGUACAAAUUAAUAUUUGAAGAAAAAAGUACAAACAAUAUACAUAAUUAAUAAAUAAAUUAAUUAAUUAAUAAAAAAAUUUAAAUGAAAACAUAAAAAUAAAUAACUAUAUGGUUCAAUGAAUAAACAACCAUGUAAUUACAUAAUCAAAUAAAAUAGUAAGUAAAUAUAAAUAAAUAUGUAACUAGAUGAUCAAAUAAAUUAGGAAAUAAAUAAAAAUAAUAUAUUCAUAAUUAAUUAAAGAAAAAAAAUUAAUACAUUCAUAAUCAAGUAUAUAAAUAACAUUUUAAUUUUUUUUAAAUAAGAUAAUUUGUUACUUAUAAAUAUGUGAAAUAUAUUAUUGACUAAUAUAUCAUUUUAUUUCAAUAUAUAGGAAAACAGUAAUCAUUUCAUUGAAUUUUUAUUUUAUUAUUUUUUUCAUUAAUUUAUUUAAUAUACAAUUAUUAGUUAACACUAAUUUCAUUACCAACACUAUUUUCGAUCUCACUGUUACAGCAUCACUAUAGUGUGGAACAAAGCUCAAAUCUUUGUUUAAGUAUCUUAUUUAAAUUUUAGCUUUUUCAUAAUAGCUCAAGGCUUUUGCUUUCUCAUGUUUUAGAAAGAAAUAAAUAAAUAAAACGAGAAUGGAAACUGUUGAGCACUUUUUAAAUUCAUGAUUGGAUAAUUAACAAGAGCCAAAGAAUGCAUAUGAUGUGGAUCUGAUCUUCAAGGUGGGGCCCUAAAACUUUUGCAGAGCUGAUGGUAAAGGUUUUUGUAUUGCUGCAAUGAUUGGGGCCGUUAGAUUAGGGAGGGAGGAUCAUGAUUAGACUCAAGUGGGGCUCAAUAAGCCAUUAAUAGGUACAAACGCGAAAUCAGGCCUUGCACGUGUAGGGGCCGUCCAUGUCAUUUGCAAUGCCGACCUACAUCGAUGGUACCGGGUCGCCUGAGUUCCGGUACAGAUGUCAUCAUCUCCUUCAUGUUUGACGAUUCUACACCCUACACGUCACACACCGGAUCCACAUGAUUAUGGCCAUGGAGGGAGCAGAUAUUGGUCAAAAUAAUGCCUCUUUUUUUUUUGUUUUUUGAUAAGUGAAAACAAAUGCCUUUAAAACUCUGCUAUUGCAGACAAGAGAAAAAAUUAUCUUUUGUUGUGUAGCUUAAAUUCAUUUGUUAAAAAAAAAAAACAGUCAAACUCAAAAUGCUACCAAAUUAAUAUCAACUAGACUAGUAGUAUAUAUAUUUGUAUCUUUUUCUUCGUGCAUACAUGUGAUUACUCCAAAACUAAAGAAAGCAUUUAGAACGAAAAUGAAAAAAGGCAAAUAAAUCUGAAAUAGACCCCACACCCAUGUGAAAUCAGAACCAUGGUCAAUGGACCCAUGCAUCUAACCAUCUAACUUGCAAGAACAUUGGGUGAGAGAUCCACAUCAAAUAGGGAAGUCCGUGGCUAGCUAGCUGGUUGAUUUAUACUUUAUAUCAUUGAUUUUUUUUGUAGAAAAUUGGAUCGAAGAGGACUAGAUUUAUUCUUGAUAGGCUUAAUUGGAUGAGAGAUAUAUAAACAUGUUAAAGAGUGUCACAUUUGAACAGCGGCCAUGCAUUUCAUGCAUUGAUUUAGGAAGCAUGAAAUUGGGGGAAGCAGGCUAGGCAGGCAUGCAUGUGGAUAACUCUGACAAUGCAUAAUUCAUGUGACUCCAUGUGUUUUGGUCUAUCUAUGCAUACCUUCUCAAACUUAAUCAAACACAUGAGAACGAUAGAGAGAGAGAGGGUAUGUCGGAAAUGUAGAUGCAUGUAAUCGUAACUGAAGUUGGGGUGUUAAUUUUGUGGCUAUUCCUUUUGUAGUCAAAUAGGGCUUUGCACGUGGAAAAGUAACCUUUGUGUGCUUUCAGAUGUAUGAUACUAGUACUACUGUAUGAUUACCAUCGUUUGUAAGUUCAUUUGUUUUUUCGGUCGAGUUUAUUUCGCAAGCCGACAAUUGCAUCAAUAUUUAUAUUUUCAUGAUCAUUGAUCAUGAUUCAAGACCUACUAAUUAUAUAUGGAGUUUGCUAUUUGUUAGCUCCUCUUGUGGGGUUGUAAUCCGAUUUGAUUAAUUAAGACUUCAAUAAUAUAUAAAACGUAUCGAUAGAUUUUCGUGGGAAUUUAAAAAUAAAAGCAAUAAUAUAUCAAUACAUCCACACAUGUAUCGAUAUAAUAUGACCGUUGAAGUCUAGAAUAAAAAGAAAUAUAACUAUUUUCACAUUUAAUGCAUCUCUAACUACCUCUGAAGCUUCAACAACUAUAAAUACAAGCUCCCACCACAUUUAUCAAGGUUGGAAGACUUUGAAACACAAUUUCGAGAGAAGAAUUCAACUCAAAUUAUUCAAUACUCUUUGUUCUCCUUUUUUGGCAUUUAAAUCUUCUAUUGUACCAUUUAUUGAGUUUUUAUUACUUAUUUUCUUUCUCACCAAACAUUGUACUUAAUUUACUACUCAGCCUUUAAGAGGCAUCCCAAUUGCACUUAUCUUUUUUUUUUUUGUAUUCCCUUGAGUGGUUAUACCUUAACCGAUUGAAAAAUGUAGUAUUUGUUGUAACGUGCGGGUCCGACAACUCGAUCGCUAGACAUAGGGAAACACUUAGGAGUCUCCACCAAUCUUUUUUUCUAGGUGUGAUUGGCCACCUAUUGACUUGAUUCUAAUGGACGAGGUCUUAAAUUGAUUUUAAGUCUGUCGAGAGAAUUUUAAACUAAUCUACGAUUCUGAAGAUUGGGUUCGAGAGUACAGUUAUGCCCGGAGAAGGAUUAACACCCUCGUGACGUCCGUUCUGUGAACAGUACCAUUUGAUUUUAGAUUAUCUUAUUGGAGCCUUAAUUCUUAAAUUUAUUAUGUUUUCUUAGUUAUUAUUCAUUUAUUUUAUCCUCUAUUUUAUUAAAAUAUUUUAUUUGACUUUACGGGUAUGAUGUGAACAUGAUGCAUUCGUGAAAUGCAUGGUAUAAAAUUCAAAUAAUGUCGAAAAAAUAACCUUUUAUUGAGGAUGUUUUCCGGAUCUGCCCCUAUCAUACUGGUGGGAUCCGGGGAUAUUUUUUCACCUAGAGAAUUAUCUGGGAAACUUACCUUCACAAAUUUGAUGAAUAAAUCUCAUCUUCGGGGUUAUCGUACACGUUUUAGAAAAAAUUAUAUUUUCGUGAAUGUAAACUUAUUACGAGCAAAAGCUUUUUUAUUAAAGAUAUUCCUCGAGCCCUCCCAUCGUACUGGUGAGACUCAGGGAUAUUCUUUCACAUAGGAAACUUUUCGAAGAAAGCUCGCAUUCGCAAGAUUUUUCAAAAAAUCCCAUCAUCGAGACUUAUACUCGUAUGCAUAAAUAUUUAUAUGCCAUGACAUGUACGAUGCAAUAAUGAUGCAUGCUAUGCUUAUGAAGUUCAUUAUUUUAUAUCCAAAUCUUUCUAUAUUUUUUGUUAUUUCUUUAAGGUUUUCCUCUUUAUUGUUUUCUUUAUAAAUGUGUAUAUUAUGAAUUAUAUAUGCUUCUAUAUUAUUUAGGUGUAUACCUGUUAUCCAAUGUUUCCUCUUUUUAUUAUUUAUCCUACUCCCUUUUUAUAACACCUAUAAAUUUAUUGUGUAUAUUUUAUAUAACCUAAUAUAUUCAUUAUUAUGAAUUUCCACCUUUGAAUAUUUCACUUAUAUAUUUAUUUAAUUAUUGUUAUGAGUAUUAUUUUACAAUUUUGUAUUUAUCUUUUGACAACUUAAAUAAGCAUAUGCCAUUUAUUCUUUUAUGUUUAUUAUAUUUGUAUUUAUAUUUUGAUUAAUUUAUCAUAUAAUAAUUUUUUGUUUAUUUAAAAUUAAAAAUCUCAGAAUCUUAAAAUUGAGACCCUCCCAUCGUACUAGUAGAGUCUUAAUUUGGAUCCCGAGUCUAGAGAAAAUUCAUCCGAAAUUGCAACUCCUCGCAUUCCGAAUGAACAUCCCAUCAUCUGUAUUAUUUCUAUAUCAUUCCUAUAGUUAAUAUUACAGUAUUUUAAAAUUCAAUUUUCUAAGGUUGAUUCUCAUACCUAUCUUAUUAUAGUUAUUUGUCUAACUCUACUAUUUUUUAAUACUUAACAUAAAAUUUUUCUUGGUAUGUUCAUUCACUAAAAAUAUUUUAUAAUCUAAUGUAUAUACAUAUUUUACAUGCUCUUUUAUAUAUUUUUACUCAAGAAUACCCCAUCAAUAGCCCAAUAAUUUCUAAUUUUUACUUAAUUUAAUCUAUAUAUAUUUUAACCUAUCAUCUAUUUCAUUCAUUCAUAUUUUUAUAUUUUAUUUAUCUCUCUAGCUCCAUCACUAUAAACAUAUUUCAUUUAGCAAUUUAUUUUCUGUUUUGCAUAUAUGCUUCACUUACCUAAGUUUAAAUACCUUUAAUAAAUAUUCUCCUACAUUUAAAUUCUUUUCUUACUUAAAUAUAUAUUUUUAUUUGUAUAUUUAUAUAUUUAUAUAUAUAUUUGUAUUCCUCUAUUUGUAUUAUUUUCUUAUACCUAAAAAUAAUAUCUAAGAAUUUUUAGAUCAUUAUGCUAAAAUAAUCUAAAACUAAUCCUACAUGAUUAAACAAUAAUCCUAAGGACAAUAAAGAUGAAUCAGCCCAAACCACAAAAGAUCCAAGGAAAAUGAUACAUGGUUUACCUUUCUGGGCUAGGCUGACCUAAACAAAUGGCCCACUUCAACCAAUCGGCUACUCCACAGCCGGUAAAUCUUUUACCCAAAGUGCACCGUUUUGGUGCACAAGCCACAGCCUUUCCACUUCAUAAAACUACGCCGUUUCGAUUACAGCCCCUUUUUCUCCAAAACGACGCCGUUUCACUCUAAUCCUACAUAUAAAAUCAUUCUUUUCUCUCUUCUCUUCGCAUUUUCCCUCUUCUAUUUCUCUCUCUAACUGCCGAUUCCCUUACUUCUCUCUAAACUUUUCCUCUCUUUUCUUUCACUCCCCCCUCGCAAACGAUCGGCAAAUCAUGUCCUUUUGCCGAACCACCAAAGAUUGCCCCCCAAACCACCUCUAAAUCUCCCCAAAAGCCGCAACUUUUUUCUCACCCUCUCCCCAGCGAACUGUAAGUCCUUCCUCUUUGCCGACCCACUGAAGAUCGCAUCCUAAACAAACUCUAAAUCUUCCCAAACUGCUACAACUUUACCUUACCCUUUCGUCGGUGAUCUGCAAAUGGCCCCCCCAAAAACCUCUAAAUCUCUCCAAAAGUCGAGACCUUUCCCCUCUCUUUGUUUUUAUAUAUCUAUAUGUAUUGUGUUUUCUGGCUCCUAGAUAUUUUUUAAGGUAUUUUUCUUGCUUUUUUUUUUUUUGCAGGAGGGUUUUCUUAUCUGCCCCCGAAUGCUGGGGAUGCAGCCACCUAGGCGGCCAACGCCUGAUGCGAAAAAAUCGCAUCUGGUGUGAUCAAUCCUUCCCUGGCUGAGUUUGUUUUUUCUGUGUACGAAUUCAAUUUUGCUAGCUAACUUUUCUAUUUAUUUAUUUAUUUGUUCUUCCUGUUUCUGGAACACUCCGUAUUUCAUUAGAUACUUAAUCUUUGAUUACUAUUUAAUCUGGUUUAAUUUGUUUGAUCUAUUUUCAGCCAAAUCAAAGUUGGGCUUGUUUCUAUUUAACAGACUUGGUAUAUUGCCAGCCCAGCCAAGCCUAGAGCUGUCUUUAGUGGUGAAGUUAAAAGGGAGAGGACAUAGGCAAUGAGGUCAUACUUGUAUAAAAUUUUUGUGUUGUUCAAUCUCUUCAAUCUUUUUAAUUUCUUUCAAAUUGAUUUUGUGUUAAUUCAUCUCUCUUUGCAAAAUUUUAUUGUCUUAAUUUAAUUCAAAGAAGAUCUUAGUCAAGAAAAUUUUAAAAUCUUUAUAUUGAAAGGGUUUUUUCAAAUCUCUUGGAAUUUAUAUUAAAAGGGUUUUUUCAGAAGAUUUGAAUUCACUCUUCUUGGAAUUGUUCACAUUGAGUUUAUUGCACUAACAAAACUAUUCAAAAAAGUUUUUUUAAAAAAUUCUCAAAUAAACUUUGCACCAAAUUAACAUAUAAUCAAGCAUACUUGAAAUCAAUAUCAAUUAAACAUAAAGUUUUCAUCAAACAACCUCAAGGAGGUUUUAUAAUACCAGUGUUAGGAAAUCAUGUAAUCAAAUUGACAUAAACGCAAUUGAAAAUUUUCCCUAAUGCAAAAUCAUUCUUUGUUUCGCUUAUUAGAUAACUCUAACUACAAGUAAGAACAUGAUACACCUUCAAACCUUGGGUAUUGAAAUUCACAAGGUUUAGAGCUUUAUUGCUAAAGCCAUGAAGCACUAAUAGUAAAAUUUUCGCAAAGUACAAGUUAUCCAAGUGUUUAGUCUUAAUUGACGAUUGACACGAAUAAUAGGUGAAAAAAUCUCUAAGGAGAGGGUGAAGUCUAGCACUAUAUCUAGUGCUCUUAAGAUUGCCAUAUAGGUUAUGUUGUAUUUUGUGUGGCCUAAGCUCUCAUAAAUAUAGGCAAUUUCAUUUAUCUUUACUAUAGUAGGAUGUGCAUAACUUUUAAACUACUUAUAAAAUCAUCCCAUUUUUAUUAAAUCCUUUGAAUUAAAUUUUUUAUAUUCUAAACUUUUUUGAAAUCAAGUCCAACUUAAUUUAUGAUCACAUUGUCACUCUUAAUGUGUGACUUUUUAGAUUCUUAAUAUAUUGACAAUAAAUAUAAAUGAUAAUCGUAAGUCGAAUAGAAUUAGAUAAAUCAAAUUCCUUUCCAUUUAUCAUUUAUUUUAAAUUAAUUUUAUCAUAUUUACAAAUCAAGAUUGGCAUGUAACAAUGUUUCAUAACCAUUCAAAUGUUAAAAAAAAAAAAAAUCAAUGUAGUUUGACUUACCUUUUAGCGCACUUUCUUACCAUGUAAUUCAAUCAUUUCAGCAACUAAUACACCGAUAGAACUAAUAUCCCAAAUGUUAAAAUAAUGAGUUAAUUAUUGAACCAUGUUGAUCAUUCAUCUAUAUAUGUCUUAACCAUGUUAGCUCUAGCUAUCAUUAAGUCUUUUAAUGAAAUUUGAAAACACCUUUUGGAAUCCUAGUUCUAGCUUAACCAAGAAUUUCUUGAGUUAAAACAUGUUAAAAAGCAAUGUGAUAUUCCCUUAGAAUCACUUAAGACAAUGAAUUCUUUUGUUGAUCAUUCAUCUAUUUAUGCUAUACUCAAUAUUUAUCUCAUUGUACAUCAUUGACUAGGACUACAUAAGACAAUAUUAAAGUAUAACACUCCAAACACAUGAUAACUUAAUGACCUCAAGUCUAAAGAUUAAUUACACAAUUGUCACUUGAAAAUUUGUGUUUCACAGACACUUGAAUGAGAUAUCAAAUAAAAUCCAUAAUAAGUCAUAUUUAGUGAACUUGUCCAUCAACAAGCACCUACAUGUUCUCUUAACUUUAUCUAUGUUCCAUCUCAAUAAAGUAUCGAUUAGGAACAAUUUAAAAUAACGCAUUGCAAUAAGAAUCUUAUAAUUAUAACAUUUUAUAAUUCUUUUUGCAAAGCAUGCAUGUUUAUAUCUUAGGCUUUAUGUUUAUAAGUAAAUAACAACAAUUACGUAUAAACUUAUAGAUAAAGAGAUCAUUAAUUAAUUAUAAUGUUUUUUGCAUUCGAGUAUGUGGUUCAUUAGUUAAUACAAGAUUCUCUUGUCUAAAGAGUAAGGGUUGAAUCCUCCUUUCCUUUAUUAAAAAAAAUUGUAAUGUUGCCUUUCAAAAAAAAAUUAAUUGCAAUGUAAAACAUAAUAAUAGUGUAUAUUUGUAUCGAAUUGAUUGCCUAUAUGGUAUACGACAAUUCUAAAAUAACAACCAAAUUUUGUUGUCUUUGAUUCACCACUUAAUUGUGUUAACUUAUUUGCAGUUUCUUGAUUUUUUUUAAAUCUUAUUUUUGUAAUUUUUUCUCUUCUCAAAAAAAUUAAAAAAAAACCAAAAUUAUUUCAACUAUAAUACAUUCCUCAGCCAAAGUGUGAUGACUUAAAGCAAUUGAAGGACAUUUUGAUCAUAAAAAUUUAGUAAUUAGCAAUCUUGGAGUUAAACGGACAUGAAAAUGAUUAAUAGUUAUUAUUAGACACUUUCUUUUGUUAUUGUUAGUAUUUAAUAUUAUUUAUUGGUUGUUAGAUUUUACUAGGGAAUUUGAUGAACUUCACCUAAGAAACCUCAUCUUUCAUACUUUGAUUAAAUAAUUCAAAAUAAAAAUCUUGAGUUUUGUUCCCAUUAAAAAAAAUUUAAUAUAUAUAUAAUCUUUGACUGACAUAUCUUGAUGUAUGGAUAGAUGAAUGGAAACAAUAUGAUUUACGCUUUGCAUAAACCAUGCUUUGCAAACAAAAUGUAGUAGUAAUAGGUAUAAGAAUGUUACAUGGCAACUAUAGUCAAAAUACCCACAAAGUCUCGUAUUCAUGCAUUUUGUUCAAUGUAGUCCAUAUACUCAAAAUCGAAAUAAUUUAGUUUCUUGAUUUUGAAAAUUGAUUCAAUUUAGUUCCUCUCUCUAACAACAUUUAAUUUUACAGUUAAAAGAGAUAAUGUCAGCACUGACAUGGCAUGCCAUAUGGCAUCAAUGUGAUGAUAUGAUAGUGUCGUGUGGCACUAAUAUGAUAACAUGGCACUGACACGUUGACGUGUCAAUGCCACGUGGCAUUCAAAAAAAUUUUAAAAAAAUGUGUGUCACGUCAUAGGGACAAAAUUGAACAAAAAUAUAUAGUAUAAGGACUAAAUUGAGCAAAAUUGAGAUGUUGAGAAACUAAAUUGAAAACAAUAUUUGAAAAUACAAAUCUUUAAUUAGAUGUUAGAUAUACUUAGUAAUAAGUCAAAUAUUUAAGUGUAAAAGAUUUAUGUGUUAAAAAAUAUAUAAAUAUUUUCUGCUUGAUUAUAUGAUUUUAAAAUUUGUAAAUUAAUUUAUCUUUUUUUGUAAAAAUUAAGUUUAAAUUCUCCUUUUAUAAAAAAAUUUUAUACCUAAAGUCAAAUUUAGAUGAAUAACUUGCAUUAUGUUGAAAUAAAAUAAUAUAAAAAGAUUAAAUAAAUUUUUUUCUUCUAUUUAUAAUAGUAUAAAAUUUUGAAAUUUAUUUGAGUUAAUUUUUAACUUGAGUUGAACUUAAAUCAAUAAAAUAGGUUGAUUUAGUUACAGCUUGUUGGAAUUAUUCAAUCUUUACCCAAUUUACUUUUUAUUUAAAUUUAUUCAAAGUUUCUUAUAAAACGAUUUUAUUUAAGUUCAAAUAUCACAAUCAAUUUUUGCUAAAUUUAAAUUUAAAUUAUUAAUUUGGAUCUACAUAAAAUUUGUAAACACAAAAUAAAAUAGUACAAAUAUUUACAGUUAUAUUUAACUCCAUCAACUAUAAAUGCAGUUUUUAAUCUAAAAAAUUGCAACUUAAAAAAUAUAACUUGAAAUAUCAAAUGGGUGAUUUUGGUUAUUUGCACUAAACCUUUCAUAAUCUCGAUUGCGAUAGAGAUAUGAAACAAUCAAGGUUGUGUGAUCUAGAAAAAGAAUUGAGAGAAAUAAUCUAAAGAAAGGUUAAAAAAAAAUUCUGAUUAUGUUUGAGAGGGAAUCUGAAAGAGAUGGAAAAGAAUUAAAAGUUAUGUGAUUUAAGAGAGAAUUGAAAGACGCUUAUGUAAAGUGUAAUCCAAAGUAAAAUUUCAAGAGACUGGCACACAUUAAUCCGAUAAAUUGGUCUUUAACUGUUUUGGAUUUUUAUUUGGUUGUUGUUGUUUUGUGGUCUUAUUGUUGUUUGUAGUCUUGGUAAUUUUACAUUAGUAUCGAUCAAUACCAUGUCACUUUAACGGAGGAAGUUUUACAGUGUUAACAAUUGAAUUAGCAUUAAGAAAUUUUGAAAUAUAAGAACUCGAUUAUGAAUUAUAAUAAAAAGACUAAAUUCAAAUAUUUUAGUAGAGUAUAAGAAUUGAAUCUAAUAUUUUUAUAAAGUACAAUGACUAAAUUUAUCAUUUGAUCAUUUAAAAUCCUCAAAAAUUUCACUUCAACACUGAUCAAUCAAUGUUAGCACUAAUCAACGUCAUGUCGAUGACUUUAACAAAGGAAGCUUGAUAAUGUUAACCAUUAGAUUGACAUUAAUAAAUUUUGAAAGCACAAUAACUCGAUUUUUACGAAUUACAAUAAAUAGACUAAAUUUAGCAUUUUAAUAAAGUAUACGAAUUAAAUUCAUAUUUUGACUUUUAUACAAUAAAGUUGGACGAAGGGGAUUUUUUUUUUGAAAGGCAUUGGUAUUCAUUAAAAUAAAAAUGGUGUAAAAAAAGCUUUAAUCCCAAUCCUAUGGACUCUAUAAGACAAAAAAGAAAAAAAACAAAAGGGAUUUGAAUAUUGAAUUGUCGAUUUUUAUUUUUUUCAAGGGUAUGAUUGGUAUAUAAUCUCUUCAUUUAAAGAGUAACAUUCGAAUUUCUUUCCCUCAAUUCAAAAAUAAAAAAAUAAAAACAAAUACCUAAAAGAUUAGAUUCCAAAAUACACAUCCUACUCAAUGCAAUGUAACAAUAGCACCUUUAAGCGGCUCACAACUAUAAUUCAAUAUCCCUCAAACAAAACAAUCUCAGUGAAAAGAAAGAAAAAGAACACAAACACAUAAACACAGCCUAGUAGAAGAUAACACAGAUUCGUAUUUAUAUGUAUUAACAUUUAUAUCAAAGCAUUUAAUAAAAACGGAUUAGUAAAACUAUCGGAUAAUUUAUUUUGAAAAAAUAUUGAACAUAAUUAAAUAAUAUAAAAUUCAAUUUGAACUGAAGAACAUUGGUUCCCUUUGAAAGAAAAAAUUCCUGACUUGGUCCUUGGGUUUAUACCUCUUAAUAUUUAUAUGCAUAUGUGGAAUUAGUAUUUAUUUCGUUAAUGAAAAAAGAGCAUAGCCACGCUUUCUUAGUCCAAGUUUUGCUUCGGUCUCAUCCAUUAUUUGCCCCACCACAACUCUGGUAUUGACCAUUUGUUUUUUCAUGGAUACCUUAACUUUAAAUUGGGCCUCAUUUUUUGACAAUUUUUCAUUGGGCCUUUUUGAAUUCUCUCUAUUCUACUGGAACCUGCCAAACGUUGGUAUGCACUUGGACUGGCCUUAUUUUUCCCGUUCAAGCCUUAAAUUGUGUUCCAACCCAUGCACAAUUAAUUUUAUUUUUGUGGUGAAUACAUUUUUUUUUUAAUUUUCAGAUUAUAAUAUUAUGUCAACUUCCAAAUAAUACUCACAAUCAUUUUUUCUCCAAGUCUUUACAGUUUCAAAUUAUUAAUAAAGUACAUGGUAAGUAGUUUUGUUUGUUAAAUUUUAUGUAUAAUUAAUUUAUAUUAAUUUAAAAUCUAUCAGAAUAGAAAUUUAGAAUAUAAAAACUUACUUGAUUCUCGAUAUAUAAUUUAAUAGAAAAAAUAAUACUAAACAGAUUAACUAUUGAGAUUUAGUGCAGUAAGAUUUUUCUCAUCCUUAAUCUAUUAAAUUGGAUAAGAAUCUUAAUGUUUUUGUGCAAAACAAUAAAAAAGAUCUAGCCUUACUUUUAAAUAGUGAAUCUUUAAUCUUAUCUAUUAUAAGCGUUAAGGUUUCUUACAUAGCCUUACCCUCUUAAGUCCACAUAUAAUAUUUGAGUCUAUUACUUUUUUAAAUCAUAUUAUGGAUUAUAAACUAAAUUAACUUAGUCUGAUUUUGAUAAAAUAUAAAAAUAAAUAAUAGUGUAAAUUCACACUUUGAAUUGACAAAAAAAAAAUCUAACAUUAAUUUCAAUAUCGAUGAUGAUUUGAUAUGGACGCCUUAUAUUUUAAUUUAGUUUCAUAAAACUUUAUAUUUGAAAAAAUUGUUGUAGUUAUGGAUAAAGGGAUCAAACAAGAACUUGAGGAAUAACGGAUGAGUAUUUUUGAGGCUUGUAAGAAGGAAUUUUUGUGGGAAUGGGGAGAAGGGAUUGCAAUAGCCCCUUAGACCAAUCCAGGGACCAAUAGUGUACCUAUUUUUGCAGCCUCAUAGUUGGGAUUUUGGGCUUUUGUCAUAUUAGAGGCUAAUAUAUUGUUUUUGAUGGUCAGUAGUUCAUAAACUACUUUAUGCAAACUUUCCUAUUAUUUUUAACAUAUGACCAUACAGUUUUGAAUGAAUGGUGUCAAUGGGUGGGAGCAAAAGAGUGGCAAGCAAAUAGCACAAUCUUUUCUCGUGUUCCUCCCCACUUUCCACAUGAUUUUGUGUUGGGCUAAUUAUGCAAAAGAACUUACCAAGGCCCAAGCACAUGGAUACACUGACAAUUGCUGGCGUACAUCUCUAAUCCAUUCUAAAAAGGGUAAAGGGUCAACGUUUUAAGAACCAAGAAAUGGUCCAGCUAUCAGUUACAAGCCCAAAAAAGACCCAUAUUCGGCAUCAUCAGUUCAUCACAACUCACCGAUACCUUUGUGUUGGGACCAAGUUGAGCAAAAUUCUUUGAGAGAAAGGCUCUUUUCAGGAAAAAGGGGUGAAAUGAAUUUUAAAAUGCAACAGGGAGAGAAAGAAAAAGGGUGGCUCAAACAGAAAGAAAGAAAGGAAAAAAAGGGACGUGGGUUAAUUGAGAAGACGCAUCCUAAAGUUUUGAAUUUGAUAUUGAAAAUGUGAAAUGUCAUGGCUUGGGUUGUAAAAGCAAUCUUCACCUUUGGCACGGUCUCUCUCAAAAGUCUAAUCCCCCCAUCACCCAAAUGGUCCCCUGCGCUUUGUCUCUGGUCCAUCUCUCCCGACUCAUGUCCGUGGUUCACCCGACAUCGACGAUGACCCGCCCUAUCUCUCCCUCUCAAAUGUCUUGAUUAGUUUUUGCUGGCAUGCAUUUAUUCCCCUUCGAGCCACGGAUUAAUUAAUUGCCCCCUGCUGGUCCAAGCCCCCACUUGCUCAACAAAUUUAAUUCAUCAAUGACAAACACACAAAGUUAAAAGUUCACAACACCAACUACUACUACAGCAAGAAGUUGCUAUAUAGUAGUAUAUCUUAUCUUAUAUUCUUAUCCCAUACCUGAUCUGGGUAUUUCCAUAAUCAUACCAAAUAUUUCACCUGAAUAAAUUUUAGGGGAAUUAUUAAAGGGAGGGGCUGUCUUUUUUGGGGUUUUUUUUUUCUUUUUUGCUUGCUUGAAAUUAAAUUUUGAGCCACUAGAAUCGUUACGUGGCCGAUGGCCCCAAUGUAUGCUGGAGAAUGAAGCCACGCACACGAGGACAGCACCAUAAGUUUCAUGCCCACCUAAUAAUGCAAUUAUUUUGAUUUUUUAGUUAUAUACCUAUUUAAUUUUAUAAUUAUAUGAUAAUGUUUACUUGGCUUGGGGGCUGUCCAUUUCAUUGUAUUCACGUGCAUGUGCUGUGUAAACAUAUGAAAAAAAAAAUUCUAGUACAAUAUUUGAUGACUUGAAGCUUAAAAAAAGUCUAAACUAUAAUGAUAAUAGUUUUAGUUUGUCAAAGUUUGCUUAGACUAGUCUAAUCUAAUCUAAUAACCUAAUAAUCCAUAACAUCAUCAUUAUAAAUUUAAUCACAUGUCUGAUCAGCUUUGGAGAUUUUUAUCUUCACAUGGAAAUAUUUGCAUGAUCUAUCCUAAAAUGAAGAGAUUAAGACUUUUGAUCUCAUGAUGUAGCAGAUUAUGCAGCUAGCUAGACAAACUAAAGCUGGAUUAAAAUUUAGGCCACGAGUAUGAUUUUUCCUUUUCCUCUUCUUUUUUUAAAAGAGUAAGGGAUGCAUGUGAAAAGGAAUGCCUGGGAAGAUCUAAAACUUGAUACUGCUGCCUAUUGUUUUUAUAGAUUCUUUAAGUAAGAUAUACAAACAAUAGAUACUCAAUUACCUAAAUUUAAAAAAAAAAAAAAUGCAAGUUGUAAUUUGCUCAUUGCAUUGAUGAUUAAAUGAUGUCAUUUUCCUCUAUGUAUAUAACUCUUAAAUAUUGAGCAACAGUUGGAGACAAGGGUCAAGAUCAGAUUGCUAAUUCCAAGUUAAAGAUUGUUGAAUUGUUGAAUUUCUUUAAAGCAAGUUUAGUUAUACCACAAAAGAGAUUAAAGUAAGCUCACCAAAUCAUUUUAUAUCAAGAGAAAAGCAAAAAAAAAAAAAAAAGAUUAGAAAUCUUUUCUUUGUUGUCGGUUAUGACAACUUAAUUUUACUUAAUUUCAGGGCUAAAUUAACACUGUUUCGUUCUUUGUUUCUUUUAUUUGUAUUUUUAAGAUAACAUUGUCUAUAACCAAAGUCAGCAAGUUAAGGGAAAUACCCAUACGAUCUAAUUAGGCAAAGACAUGACAAUAUUUCUUCAUAAAAUAUAGACAUACAGCAUUUAAAUAAGAUGGAAAAACUUGAUCCCAACAUAACAAAUUAAUUCUCCUUAAACAUGCAUAUUAUUUGGUAAAAGAUUUUCCUGCAAUUCUAAUCAUAGAAUCAAGUAUCAGGAUACACUUAUCUUUUCAUUGGUCAAUGCAUUAAUAAAGUAAGAUUGUGAUAGCCUUUUAGCUGUAACAUACCCCUAAAUUGAGUCACUCUCAGUCACUUUGUUCUGUUUUUUUGAGAGGAGGGUAAUGGAGCGUGAGAUGCUUGUAGUUUUUGCUCAAAGAUCACAUGGGAAAGCGAAGGCAACUUGCCAACUUUACAAGAAAGCGAAAAAAGAAGGAAAAGCCUUGCCAUCUUUCAUCAAGUACAGGUGUAGAAAUCCUAUCUUCUCUUUCCCUUCUACCCCUUUUUAUUGGCUAUCAAGUACAGGAAUUUGUGCUUUUAACAUAUAGUAAUGUUAAUUAUUAAAAUUUCAUUAAGUAGUAACCUAUUUUAACAUGCAUAACAAAAUUUUGCCAUUCAAUUUCCAAGCAAUAUGGGGACAAACUGAUCUCCCACCCCUUCAAACUCUAUCAUCCACGCAAAAUUCUUGCUAGGUAAGAGACUCUGGGGAAAGGCACAAGCCCAAGAAAGAAGAUGGGUCCAUAUCUUUGUAUUUUCAAAGCAGAAAAGAAGUGCAGAGACUUAGAGUUUGUUGCCAAACUUCAUCCUCAAACCACCUGUCCCUACCUUAGUUGGAAUUCCUAUCCUCUGCAACCUUCCUUUCAUUCAAUUCCUCCCGCACCUCUUCCACUUGCAAUAAUUCACUCUUUUGGUUCUUUCUUUCCCAUUUUUUAUUUGGCUUCAAUCACUGUUGCACCCCUAACACCACAUGAUUGCAGCAUGGGCAUACACAUGGAAAUUGGACCCACCGACGACUUUUUAGCCACGUGUUCAUGCAGAGUACUAUGAUCGAUGAUGGAUGAUGGUUUUUAACCAUGCAUGUGCCUAGCUGUCCAUGUCAUGGUGGAUUUCGGUCCAUGCGCCUCUGUUUGUCCGUACUGUAUUGGUUGACCCUCGCGUCACAUGGUCCGUCCGAUCAUUAUCGUGUGGUCCUUGUCCUUUUCUGUUUGGAUGCUCUUUUGACAUUUCAGCCAUUGCUGUAUUUAUGAAAGUAUAGAACCCCUAGCCAAUAGCCAUAGUUUUUGUAUUCUUAUUCUAUGCUUUUCCCAUUUGGCAUUUAACAGAUUCGGAACGAAAACACAGGGGAAAUACCAAAUUUAGUGUGUCAAAAUAUGAGGGUCCUCUGUUUUUAUUGAAUUUUACCAAGUUGAGAAAUGGGAAUACCAACAAAUAAAUGAGAAUGACAACAGUGAUGGGGACUGUGAGAGGGACGCAACAAAUUAUACAGUCCAAAACAGGCAUAUCUAGAGAUCAUAUGCCUAAGGUUGGAACAACAUCAAGGAGUUUGGCUAUUGGAAGCAAACAGGGAGAUGGAGACAUCAAUACUUUGAAUGAUAUGAAAGAAAAUGGAAAAGUUAUACCCUCUUUUUACGUACAAAAGAAAAUGGCUCGGAAACCUAAUGUGCUUCUCCAAAUCUUUGUCUGAGAGACAUGGAUAGUUGUACAAGUUGCCCCAUUAUUCUGAUCGACUUGUUUGUGUUAGCCUUGUUUGUUUUUGAAAAUAGAUGAUCCUCUCAAUGUUAAUACUAUAUCAAUUCAUACUAUUACUUUACCAACGAUUUGGGGUUUGAUUAAUAAAUACAUACAAUUUGGUCAGUUUUUGGUCCUAGCUAGCUUUUGUUGCUGUGCUGCAACGUUUGGACAAGCUGAUUAUUAUAUAUAUCAUAAUUUUUCUAUUAUGAUAAACUAAGUACCAAUUAUAUUCUUAAAAAAAUUAUAUAUAUAUAUAUAGUAACUAUAUAUAUAUAUAUAUAAAAGAAAUUUGAUGGAGAAUAAUAAUUGUUGUUAUGUAUGAUGAUAUAUCAAAAUUGGAACGAGACAUUAACAUUCUGUUUGAAUAGAGACAAAAUGCAUGCAAGAUAUUAAAGAAAACGAUGGAGAAAGGGUUGUUUUACUUUUGGGGUUGAAAGAAUAUGCUAUUCAUAAAUGAAGGGAAAACGAAAGAAAAAGCCUAAUAAUCAAUUGAAAUAGAUUGGCAAUUUCCAACUUCAAUUCUUCUCUCUCCAUUUUUUUUCUUUCUUUUGCUUUCUCUCAUGGCCACAAAAACAAGGCGGUAGAACUGAUCAAAUCACCACCAAGAUCAAAGAAAACGCCAUUCAUAUGAUGCGGGCCUGGCAUCCUUGAAGAUCAGUUUGAUUAUUGAUGGGCUAAGAGCCUAUAUCUCUCUACUGCUAGUUGACCAGAUUGGACCACAGGCCUAAUUCCAAAACCCAACCAUUUGGAAUUAGGAGGGUGACCACUUGCUGAUAACUAAUGGUCUAUUCUCCAUUGUUAACGUUUCUAAUUGUACCAUUAAUUGUAUAUUCUCAUGAUCAUGCAUCUUUUCAUUUUUGAGAAUAUCAUUCCUGAAAUUAGUGUGAUAGCAACAAUCUUUUCAGGUCACUGUAUUCAUCUAACAAAUGCUCAAGGUUAAAACAUCAUUUUCCACUCAAACUAUAUUUAUUUAAUACACAUAAGGUGACAUUUGCCAUGCAAUUAUUAUACCAAAUUCAUGGUACUAAUAAAGAUAUAUGAGUUAGCUUGAAAAUUAUAUCAAAUUAUCUUAUUAUACAAAUAUAAUUUAAUAAAAAACAACUCACCAAAUAGCGAGAUGCUUGGGUGAUCAAAUUGCCAAUAUCCUUGUCUACUUGUUCUAAUCCAAUGUAUAGAUCUUAAUUCACCACAUUCUUUUUUCUCCUUAAGGUGUGGUCCAAAGGUGAGGAUAGGGAUGGAUUUUGGGCGCAGUUAAAUAGAGCAGAAAAUGAGGUUGAAGGAGGAAGCGCACACGUGGGAGUCUGAGCCUUUUUUUGUUGCAAUCUGCUAACAAAACCAUGUGAGUCCGUACUAACCACGGUGAUUCAGUGUCUCCACGCACACAGACCCAUCGUUAUCUGGCGGGGCAUGUUGGUCUCGAUGAAAUUAAUACUGCCAAUAGACUUCUCAUUUCCCUGAUAAAUUGCUCUGCAAAGCCUAGCAUUAAAUGCCAAAGAUAGAUAGAUUUGAUUGAGAAAGAAAGAAGGAAGGAAGCUUACUUCAAUAAGAUGGACUUUAUGGGAUUGCUGAUCAAGUGAAUCGUUUGAGGAGUGAUUACGGUGGAGAGGUUGAGGUUUCGAAGCAAAUUAAGGGGUGUGGACUGGAGGUGCGUAUGUUCCCUUCCAGUACUACAGGCUGCAGCCAAAUUGAAACCUUGGGCCUCUCACUUGCUUUCUACUCACUAAAUGGCGUGUCGUUUGAUUGAAGAGAAUGUUGUGAAAGGUGCCAUCUCUUGUUGGUUGGAUCAAUUUCUUUAUGAUUUUCACAUUUCUUUUCUUCACUUGCAAGAGGGAAACUCAAAGUUUUUGUUUUAUUUGAGGAAAGGAGAUAACGUGAAUCUCACUCUUCUUUUUUAUUUAAAAAAAAAGAGAGUACAUGUAUCUGUUACUGUUUAAUUAAAUACUUGAUUGAAGCGAAAUUAAAAAUUUAAAAUAUUUUGAUAUAUAAUUCAAAUUUCUAAUUCUAAUAUAUUAAUUUCAUGAUUUUGAUUAGUUAGAUUUUGAAUUACAUGUAUAAAUAGAAAUUACAAUCAUAUAUACAAAGAAUCAACAAACUUAACAUAUAUUUGAAUUUAACUUACUAAGAUUUAAAUAUUUAAAGCACCCUUCUUAACGUCGAGGAGUCUUUAUUUUUUUCAAGUAUAAUUAUCUAAGUAUUUUUGACAUAAACAGAAACUAUAUUAAUGAAAUAUAACUACGAACUAUUAAAAUGUGAGAGCAGUCUCUUUUGUAUGCAUUUAAGGGAGAAGUCAACAUUUUCACCAAUCACUGAAACAUUUUUUUUUGACUUCAUUGAAAUAUAUAAAAAUAAUAUAUUCUCAUCAUUAAUUAUUUUCAAUUUGUUUUUUCUAAUCUCUAAAUUCCAUUAGGAAACUUAAAAAGGUUUAAAUUACCAAUACCUAGAGUUGGCAUUUCCAUCAGAUUAAUAAAAAAGUUGAGAUGGACACCCAAAGAGAGUGUGGAGGUCCCAGUCACCUUAAACACAAGCAUCUUUCAUAUCAUCUCAAUCCCAAUUGGAUCAUGAAAAUGAUUUCUAGUUGAAAUUGAAUCAAUUUCGAUGUUAAUUUUUGCAUAAAUCAACGUGGCAGCAGCCAGUAUUCCCCCAACACCCCCCAAAGAAAGAAGUUGAAAUGUUUGACCAAAGCCACCACACCCUAACUAGAAUGACGACUUAGCUAAAAGCAUAGCUUGAGGGUUGAGGGGUUGAUGGCGCAUCGAAAGCUAAAAGCAAAAGCUAAGCCUAGCUAGCUGCUUUUGACUUGAGCUUUCCCUCCUUUUCUUCUCUCCUUUCACCUUGAACAAAAAACACAAAAGGUCUCUAAGCAAAAAGGUUAAAAACCCUCCACCUAAAGGACCCCUCACUCUCAUUAUCUUUCUUCCAUAAUUUCGCCUUUUUCCUUUUUCUUUGCGUGAAAGUUCAUUAGAGGAACGUCUUUGUCUAAGUCAAAAAUCCAUCAUCAGUCUUUGUAAUUAGCAAUUAAAGGUGAGUGAGCAAUGAUCAAUGAAGUCCUUGGCAAACCAAAAUGAAAGACGACAAACGCAAAUAAUUGCCGGUUCUACGGACAAUCCGAAACCCAACACGAGGAACAAAAGAAAUACUAAUAGAAAAAUACAAAAAUAAAAAGAAAAAGGAAAACCCUUUCUUCUUCAUUUCAUUAAUCAUAUCCCUUGUCGCUUUGCAAUAUUAUAGACAUUAACUUUGAAAUUAAACUUUACAAAGCAUAAGGGAGAUGAAGAGAAUUAAUAAGAUUAUCAAGUUACCGCCUGUUUUUUUCCCCCUCGUUUUCCUCUUCAAUGUCUCCCUUGUGCUGCAGUGGCCUUCUUUUCUUUUUUCUUCUCAAAACUCUAGGAAAUUGGAUAAACAUGGCUUUUAAUGGGGGCAUGAUCCUUAUAUCAGGGUACCUUCACUAAGUCAAAUAUCUUAGCUAAGCUAGCUCCAAAAAUUUUGGAACCUUUGGCAAAUUCUUUUGUACUAACUUCUUCUUUACCGGAAAAUCCUCAUGUUAUAAUUAACAACAUAAUCAGGCUGUGAUCGGUACUCCCAAAACGUAUGACACGCAAUCACCACACGAAAACUCCCCUCGUAUUCUGCCUUGCUAUGGGAAAAAAAACCAAAUGAUCUUCAUAAUCCUAGAAGGACGUAGUACACAAGCGUUAUCGGUAAUGCUAUCAACAUCCCAAAGAUGACCCUGCAAAUAUUUACAAAUUCAGGCAUCAGCUACAGUUUUGAUUACAAAAUGGAAUUGAAUUGAAUUCUAGCGAUUAAUUCAGGUUUCACUUACGCUGUGCUAAGAAUUGCUGGGUGAACAUUGUAUUCUUUGGCAAACACAAAUGGUACAAUUCCCUGUGGCAGAGCAGCCUAUGUAGACAGCAAAAUUAGACAACACUUGAUUAGCAAAUACUUGUAACAUUCAAAGAAUACAUACACCAACCUGCAUAUAUAGUUAUUGAGGAAGAUAAUUAAAUUUUACCUGAACAAUGGCAACACGGAGUAGCGUGCCACGCAACCCUACUGCAAUUGAAGCUGCAGCCAUGACAGCCGGACCGGUCAAGAACCUAACGGCCAUGGCAAAGGCGGCCACAGAAUUCCCACAAGCGAUGAUCUUGGGUUGCAGAGCCAUAAACAGACCUUUCACCAUAUAACAACCAAAAUUAGGACUCCACCUAGAAAACGGUAAGUGGCAUUUAAACCCUAAUCUUUCAAUUCAACUACCUUCACUAACAUGGGGCCAAAAUGGCAUCUAUUACAACCAAUGCCCACCGACCCUGGACCGCUAGCCAACGUCGCAAGUCGACCCCACAUGUCGGGAGGUCAAUCCCAUUUUCAGUCCAAAGAUUAACCUCCAAUUUCUUGCGAUAACAAAAAAAUUAAAAAAUAAUAAAACAAAAAGGUGCAUGGCUGUGAGCUGUGCAACCAUGCCAUUGCUUAGACAGCGUAUACAUCACUACCAAACUAUAUGCCCUACCACACCUUGGUGUGGUCUAGCAAUUGUCACAGUUCCUGUAAUACAUGAUGUUUUUUUUUUCAUCUUCUAAUAAUUCCAGUCACCUUAAUUAGUACAUAAUUGCCUGAAUCCGGCCAAAAUAUCAGAAAUAGUUCAACUAGGUCAGUAAGGGUGUAUGCCUGUUACCUUAUAGAAUUGGUUUCGAAUGAUUACUAGAUUUAUUUAGGUCAAGUGCACUUCAAGCCCUUGGACUUAUUCACAUUACUGUUUUUUUUUUUGUAAAAAAAGGAAAGAGAAGAAAAGAGAAAGUAAUACUAAUAAUAUUACUUGAAGAUAAAGCAAAUAGCCCGAAAUGCUCACCUAAGCUAAACAUGGCCAUUCCUAGUCCAGCAUCCGACAGGAUGGAGAUAGACUUCUCUAUUAUUUUCGGCAUACGCACAUGCCACCUGCAAUGAAAACCCCAAACCAGUAAAUUUACUUACGACAUCUAAAUGCCAAAAAAGGGGGGGUUUGUCCAACCAAGUUUGAGCCUUGAUUAAUUAAUUACUGCUGACCUGAAAGCAAUUAGAGACCAAACAAGUCCAAUGAGGCUGGAGUAUGUGUUGGGGUUUCGAAUAAGCUUGCGCCAGACCAUUAUCAAGAUCAGGCGGGUCAUCACACUAGCCGGAGGCAUUUGUUUGCCAACGCCGGACUCCGUUGCUUCGGCAGCUUUAGGGUGCAGCUCAGCCGUCGAACUUGACCCCAACUUAUUGAGUCCAGCGGGCCCUUCUUUCUCUCUUUCCUCCUCCCCAUCUCUCCCAGCAAAGCUAAAGUUCUCUCCAUUAAAGUCACCACUGGCCGGCGCAGCUUCACACCAAAAGCAACAAUUCUAUUAUAUACUCCGUAGUAUUAAACAAUUUUGAGAAAUUCAAAACAUUUUACUAAGUAUCAACUUAAGUAAUUGUUAACUGAUUAGAUGAAUUUAUUAAUUAGAUUAUUAUACCUUUGUUUUCCCCGUUUUGAGGGUGAUCAGCAACCAACAUCCUGAUCUCUUUAGCUCCCUGAUCAGAUCGUCCAGAUUGCUCGGAUGCCCCAAAAUCUGUCCCACCAAAGACGUGAAGUCCACCGCCUUCUGAUACCGGCGAAGCACUGGAACUCCACACAAACAUGUGCAAUUCCUUUGCAUCGUGAUUCACUUUAUUAUUCUCCUUCUGCUGCUGCUGCUGCUGUUGCUGUGGUUGAACUUGUUGUUGUUGCUGCUGCUGCGGCUGGUUAGUUUUAGUGUUCUUUGUUACGGAUGAGAAUUCAGGAUUUGGAGCAGGGUAAGAUGUCGGAACUGUCUGUGCUGGAUAAAAUCCAAAUCUUGGAGACAUGACCGUACAAUUUUCCUCAAAAUUUGAUGGUCUUGGAGUUGGUCCUCUGGAGGAUUGAACAGAGUACAAAUCGGAUGGACCGAAAUUAGACUGCCUUCCAGGAAAACCUUGAAUUCCCAUCAUGGAAUAAAAGUCUGAGUUGUUAAAAUUCGAACCUCUUGGAGUCGGAUUCCGAGAAGAGCUCAAGCUGUAUAUCUCAGCUCCAGUAAGGUUCGAAGGCCUCGGAGUCAAUGCAGGAAGCGAGCAAGGCCCCAAGGACCUCCUGGAAGCAUUGGAUUUCCUCACAGUAACGUGAAGCUUUCCGUCUUCGCCAAUUUCAGCGUCGGUUUCAAGAAAAUCACGGCCAUCAAGUGACACCACAUCGGAAUCAACUUUGAAGGAAACUAUGGAAGCUGCAGUUUCCGGGAACUGCUCCAUGAUGAGUAUUUUGGCACCGCGGUACUCGAAAAGGAAAAGAAGAAGAGUGUACCAAAUAAUACACUGGAGAACCACGACCUGAACCAUUAGCAUUCCUGAGUAAGGACCGUACAUAGCGAUUAAUAGAGGAAUGCCCAUGACUAGAGUGUUGGGUAGAGUGGAUAGAGAGAAAAUGGUGAUCAUCCAUUCCAGGCUUCCGUUUCUAGUGAAAUUAGUCCACAACCCAAGAACAAAUAGCAUGAUGAUUUUCUGAAGGGUGUCGGCCGCGAUGAACCUGAAGUUCAUGGCGUAAGGGUCGUUGGUGGAAAUGAAAUGGAAAGACAAGAGGGGAACGGCAAAUAUGGCGACAAAGCGGUUGAUACCAGAGCACUGGUCAGGGGAGAAAAUUUUCCACCAACGGACAGAGCCGUAAGCUAAGAUCAUAGCCACGUACAGUGGGAUCACCGCUGUUAAAACGCUGUAAAGAUCCUUCCAGGUGAUCAUCUUUUUCUUUUUCUGGAAAGAGAUCUUAGUUUUAUGUAAAGCUGGAAAGAGUGUUAAGGGUGGGAAGAUCUAGUUCUGGAGUUUAAGCUUGUGUCGGAAGCAGAAGAAAGAGCAUUGAAAGGGAGAUGUUUUAGAGAGGGCAAAAUGGGGAGAGUAAAUAACCGUUAUUUAACUAACUUAAAAGAGGAUAAAAUCUCUGUGUUUCUAUGACAAGUGCUGCUGCUGCUGCUGCUGCUGCUGAUAUACUAGUUGAUAUACUGCAAUUUUUUGAUAAAUAUGUAUGGCUGAUGAAAGUGAGGAUAUUGGGAAAGAGAGAGAGAGAAAAUGAGAGCACAGAGAAAAAAAGAGUAUAAUUUACAAGAGAUGUAACUUUAGAGGAAUAUAUAUAUAUAGGGCCUAGGGGGAGAGAGACAGAGAGACAGAGAGAGAGAGAGAGAGAGGAGGGAAGAAGAAGANGAGAGACAGAGAGACAGAGAGAGAGAGAGAGAGAGAGGGGAAGAGAAAGAGAAUUAUAUAAGGGAGCCUUCAAAGGAGAGAGUAGCAGCGGAGGGGAGGGAAGGUCAAGGUGGGUGAUUGACAUUGUUGUUGUGUUGAAAUGAAAGAAGGGGUAGGGGACCAUUAGGGGAUUGGGAGAGUUUGAACGGUGAAGCCAGGGUUUCGGCCUUUAGCCUCUGGGGUUAACAAGUAACCAACUUAUGUGGUUAAGUUAACUACAGAGUAUGGUUACAAAUAAGUACAGGUGGCUGUCUCUCCAUGACGUGGACAGCCUCUCUCUCUCUCCCUCUUUUCAGUUCCCUCCUGUCCCUCCUUUUUACCAUCUAACUCUAAAUCCUCGUUUUCAAUCCGCAAAACCAUCCAUUUCCCUGUAUAUUUACAAACACAGUAACUUUAUACGACUAGCUUUACCAUUUAUGAGAAAGUUUGCAGAAACUCUCUCUUUAAAGUGUAAAACCUAAUUACUAAGCCCCAGCAGUUAAUAUAUCGUGUAAAUGAUAACUGAUAAGUUAAGGGUGUUUAAUGAUCCCUAGUAGUUGUCUUAUUUUUGUAUUGAUUGGUUUUUAUCUUUUUAAUUGUAUCACGGUAUUUAAGAUUGACACAAUUAACUUACCAACAAGAAAUAAAUAUAAUGCAUGUAUCAUCUAUUACCUUGGAUUACUAUUUAUGAAUAAUAAAAAUAUUAUUAUCAUUUAAACUUAUUAAUUAUUCCCAAUUUCCUCCGUACAUGUUUUGGGGGGAGAAAUCAUCAUGUCGUUUACAUAGUUACAUGUUAAGUUCUGUGUAUCGACAUGGAAACCUGUUUCUAACAGCCAUCAUGUUUAUUUUUUGGACUUGAGUUUGGUGUGGCUAAGAGCUGAGAGUUGGAAAUUUAAGCAUCUCGGGUUUCGAUUUUGACCCACGCCUUUUGAAAAGUCUCUGUAUAUACCUGCCAGCCCUAUCUGUCAAACCUUGGAAUCCUUGAGAAGUUGUGAGGAUUUUAUACUUCUUCUUCUCCUCCUUCUCCUCCUUGUGACUUAUAACAAACUUUGGCUCAUUAGGCAUAUAUUAUGUCCUCAAUAUUCAACUAUCAAAGGGAAUUGCUUCCAGAUAAUCAGGGAGGAUUUGAUUUGAAAUAUAUAUAGAUAUAUAUAAUAUUUGUUGAGAAAAAAAAUAAUUAAAACUCACACCGAUUAAUGUUUAUCUGUCAAAUAUUUUUUUUGAAAGGCUUUAUCUGUUCAAAUAUAUAUAUAUAGAUGAUUAAUUUUUUUGAAAGAAUAUUAUAUAUAGAUUAUUAAUUUAGCCUCCUAUUUGGUUUCUGUCCUAAGAUUACUUCAAAUAUACUUAAUAUAUAUAUUUUUAAUUAAGUAAUUUUAUUUUCUUAAGAGAAGUAGGCCAUAAAAAAUUAUAUUUUCUUAAUUUUUUUUUUUCAAAAAUGCUUGUCCUAUAAUGUUCUUCUCACAUAUGUCCAUUUCUAUGCUUGAUUAGUUAAGAUAUUAAGCAAUAAAUUUAGAACUCGAAGUGAUUAAAAGAGUAUAUAGCAGCAGAAAAAAGUGCUUAUUAAAUGAAAAUUAAAUGGAGCGGUUAUGUACUUACAUGCAGCAGUCCAAGCAACAUACUUCUCUCACGGUCGUUUCCAGAUAACUUUGUAAAGUAAUAAUGGUAUAUAUCUUAUUCUUCAGAUUCAGAAAAAAAAAAAAAGGUGUGGUUUUGAGCUGUAGCUGGUCCAAUCAAGGACCAAAAAUGGGAUGGAAUAGGUUGAGUGCAUGAAGGGAAAAAUAAUUGAAUGUUACAUAUCUCUUACUCUAUAAAAUCAUCAUAAAAAAAUUAUUAGAAAAUUAUUUUUCAUGUAUCUAUCACUUGUAUAAAUUGUGAGUAUUCAUUGCAUAAUCAACAUUUCAUGAUUGUAUGAUUAGAACAGAGAAGAGUCACGAGUGAAUCCUUGGUUGUUGUCUCUAUCUUUGACUGGCACUACUAAAUACAUGUAGUUAGUCCAUGCUAAUCUCAAUCUUACUUAUAUAUUUACUCAAUUUUCUUUUUUUUUUUGAAGCGAACUUUAUUAAAUUCUAAUUAAAUGAGAGAAAUUAAUUCCCAACAUAUCGUUCAUGUAAAGAAUUCUUAUCUCUACAGGGGGCAUUGUAAAAUCUAUACUCCUCAUCUAAGUUCUAUUAAUUCCUAAACAUUUUUAAAGGGAAAUGAUUAAAUGGGUGCAUCCAAAUGAAAGAUUUAUCUCUUCUUUCAAGCACCAAAAACUAUCACCAUUUGUAUGGAUUAAUAUACUAUUAGCUUGAGCUACUAUCAGCCUCAAUGCUUGAAUAAUCCUUUAAUUAAAGCACCUUAUGAGCUUAAUUAAAGAUUGAAAACCGAGUUAACAUCAUGUGUAAAAACAUAAUCACUAGCCUACCAUGUUGUACAUGUUGGGCAUUAUUGAUUAAUUCUGUGGGCUUAUCUUUAAUUAAUUUCUUGGAAAACAAUUAUGACUUCCAAUAAUCUAAUCUAUUAAUUACGUUAAUUAUUAUAUAAGGACAAUAAUGACAAAUAUGCUUGCCGUUUGGUCCAAACUCUAAAUAGAAAGAUGGUUUCAUUUGUCCUAACUCCAUUUUGGGUUUGGCCUCAGUCACUAAAUAACCCCUUUUAGUUUCUUCCCUAAAUCUAGUGUCUCAGGGUGAAAAUGAAACAAAAAUGAAUUAAAAAAAGAGAGUAAUGCACUACUCUAUUAUGUAUGAUAAGCUUGGCUAGCCAAAUAAUUGGCCUUAAAGCGAGCAUUAUUUUGUCUCCUUUCUACUUUCUUUGUCCCAUUUAUUCUUCUUCUCAAUAUUCAAAAAAAUAAAAUAAAAUAAAAAUGUCAAUUGUAGUUUGUCGAGCAGGGAAAAAUGUUAAAGGAUAAGAAAUGAAACAGUAGCAGUUUGUAGUUUUGGCAGAAUAUUUAUUCAUGAGGAAAUUAUGAGAAAUGACCUUCAUAGUAAGGUGACUUAAAAAAUGACCGUCUCUAUAAUUUUAACUAUUUUUAACCAAUUUUUGGCACGACUUGAUAAGAAUACUCUUUAAUCCAAUUAAUCCAAAUGAAGGCGCGUCUCAAUUUCUUUCUUUCUGCUCUCCCGCCAUUCAGCUUAAAAUUUCAAAAUUAAAUCUCUAUUUAGAUUUAGCUAUCCCUCGGUCCAGCUCUCCAACGCCAUCGAGGUCUAUAUCGGCAGCCAACUUUCUCAUGAUCCCAAAGUGCAGAGAUGACAUCAAGGUAUUUGUUAUGGGUUCUUACGUUUAUUUAGGGUUAUUCAUAGAAGGAAAAAGUUGAUGGGUAAAUUAUAUGAGUUUGGAAACUUAAAUCUUGAUUGGGGUAGCGAAAUCAAUCAGUUUAUAGGCGAUGCGUGAAUAUUUGUUAGGUAUUGAGUCACUAGAUAUUAGGGUGUGUGACUGGAUAUUAGGAAUCAUUACUUGUUUAUUUGGCAUUAGGUGCCUGAAUAUUUGUUUAGCAGUGUGUGAGUUCUUUAUAAGCAUUACGUGACUGAAUAUAUGUUGAGUGUUGCGUGACAGGUAAUACGUGAUUGAAUAUUACCAGACUAAAUAUUUGUUGAGCAUUACGUGAGUUCUUUAUAGGCCUUACGUGGCUGAAUAUUUGUUAGCGUUGCGUGACAAGGGUUACAUGACUGAAUAUUACGUGACUGAAUAUUUGUUGAGCAUUGCGUGACUUAUUUGUAGGCAUUGGGUGACUUUAGCUACCUAAUGCUGAAGGUGAUUCUCUAUUGAUUAUCUUCAAUAGCCUAAUAAGCUCUAAUGUAAUUCUUGAAGUUUAUAUAUAAUUUCAUACUUGUAUAGUAGCAAUAGUAUUAGAUUUUGGUUGGUCUACCAUGAUGCCUAAAUUAAAAAAAAAAAAGAAGAAGAGAAAAGAGGAAAUGAUAACGAAUUUCUUGGAAAAGAGAAAAAAGGUAACAUUAAAAUCCUUUUUGAUUAGUGAAAAAGAGAGAAAACCUUUAAGCUACUUUUUAUUAAGAAUUUCUUAGAAAAUGAUGUUUGGUUUAACUUUUGCUUUUAAGAAGUAGAUAAGAUGAAAAGGCAGGCCGAACAGGUACUUAAUAACCAAUUCAGCGCCCCUUCAUUGCACUGAUAUGGCUGUAGAAAACGAAGAGUCAGCUUUCAUGCCUAUAAAUAAAGAGAACCAUUAACCAUUUGAAUCAAAUUCAAUUAUCUUAAUCAAUCUCAAAUAAUUGAAAAAUGACCUCUAGAGAUCCAAUAGUCGAGAAGGGGAAAGAGGCAACCUCCGAAGAGGAGGAGGUGCCUUUGAGUUUGAGGGACUAGUUGCACAUAUUCUUGAGUGUGAGGGACCAGUUGCACAUAUUUCAGCAGGAUAUGCAAGUCCUCAUUGACAACCCGACGCAAAGGACUUUUGACCUUGAGGCUGCCAUCCUGAGCAACGAAAAGAUUCUCGUUGAGAUAGAGUUCAACGUAGAUGAACUUAUGAAGAAAUGAACUACGGUUCAUUUUUUUUGUAUCAUCUCCUUGUAUUUUUGAGGGGGUCUUUUUAAUAAAAUUUGAAUAAAAUUUAUAGUAAUUUUUAUUUUCAUUAAGCACAUAUUAUGUUGAGUUAUUUUCUUCAUUUAAGUUAUAUUAUGCUGAAUAACUUUGUGAGUGGAUGUUAGGCAUUAGGUGACCUAUUAUUAGGUAUUGGGAAAGUGGGUUAUACUUGGUGCGUGAAUUGUGCAAUGCAUAUCUUCUGUUGAGACAUUGCGUGAGUGGUUUGUAUAUAUAUGGAAUAGAGUACCUAUGGUGACGUGUUGUUAUGUAUUGCGUGACGUUGGGCCAGUACGUGACUGUUUAAGUUGGUAUAACGUGAGUGGAUAUUAGGCAUUGAUUGACUUAUUAUUAGGUAUUGCGAGACUGAUGGUGCGUGACUUGUGCAAUUCACCUCUUGUUUAGAGGCUUAUUAUUCAUUGAGUGACUUAUUCUUAGGUGUUGUGAGCCUGACGGUGCGUGACUGACUUGUGCAAUUCUCGUGUUAUUUUGAGGCUUUUGUUCAGCAGUUUUUUAGGCAAUGCGUGACUUGUUUUUAUAUAUUGUGUUACCUGUUAUAGCGAGAGUGGUGGCACGUGACUUGUGCAAUUCAUGUAUUGUUUUGAGGCUUUUGUUCAGUAAUUUUUUAGGCAAUGCGUGACUGGUUUUUAUAUAUUGCGUUACCUAUUGUAGCGAGAGUGGUGGUGCGUGACUUGUGCAAUUCGUGUGUUGUUUUGAAGUUUUUGUUCAAUAGUUUUUUAAGCUUGCGUGAUUGGUUUUUAUAUAUUGUGUUACCUGUUGUAGCGAGAGUGGUGGUGCGUGACUUGUGCAAUUCGUGUGUUGUUUUGAAGUUUUUGUUCAAUAGUUUUUUAAGCUUGCGUGAUUGGUUUUUAUAUAUUGUGUUACCUGUUGUAGCGAGAGUGGUGGCGCGUGACUUGUGCAAUUCAUGUGUUGUUUUGAGGCUUUUGUUCAGUAGUUUUUUAGGCUUGCGUGACUGGUUUUUAUAUAUUGCGUUACCUGUUGUAGCGUGAGUGGUGCUGCGUGACUUGUGCAAUUUGUGUGUUCUUUAGAGGCUUUUGUUUAGUAGUUUUUUAGGCUUACGUGACUGAUUUUUAUAUAUUGCAUGACCUGUUGUUAUGUAUUGCGAGAUUGGUGGCACGUGACUUGUACAAUUCAUGUGUUGUUUUGAGGCUUUUGUUCAGUAGUUUUUUAGGAUUGCGUUACUGGUUUUUAUAUAUUACGUGACUUGUUAUUAUAUAUUGUGAGAGCGGUGGCACGUGACUUGUGCAAUUCGCCUCUUGUUUAGGGGCGUUUGUUCACUAGUUAUUAGGCAUUGCAUUAAUGUGUAUUAGACAUUGCGACACUUAAUUUCUGUAAAAUUUCUGCGGCCAGCCAAAUGUGACUUGGGCAUUGCAUAAGUGGUUUCUAUGCAUUGAGGGGCUAUUUUUGAUAAAUUGACUGAUCGUGACACUUAUUUUUUGUUAAAUUUUAGCGGUCUGCCAAAUGUGAAGCUUAUGAUUACAUACGGUGGUCAUUGGGUCGAUGACACUUACAAGGGUGGUGAGACACGAGUGAGGGGUGUUGGGAGUGAUUUGUCAUUUUUGGGACUAGUGAAGCUGGUUGAAGAGGUUGUUUUGGUCAACUCACAUAAUAAUGAAAUCGAACUACAUGCAUCGCUCAGCCAUGCCGUAGAGGUUUCGCGCGUAGUUAUCAAGGAUGAUGAAGAUGUAGCGAGUAUUCUGCGAGAUGAGAGGGCAAUUGUUUUGUUUGUGACAGUUAAGGCAGGAGAUGUAAACUAUAUUCCACAUGACCACGGUAUCCAAUAUAGUAAUCACCAAUAAUAAAAUGUUAACUAUUCUUACAUACCACACCAUGCAUUUCCUAACAAACAAUCAUGGCAAUCACGUUUGAUGUAUCCUUAUGAGUUUUAGCAGCCCGGCGCACACAUGAGGUGUCUACAAAUGAUGUCUGCACAAUUUUGAUCAAAAUGUGCAUUGAACGAAGUACUCAGUACUUUGCAACAAACACAACUGUCACUCGAAAAUGCAUUGGGUCCAUUGUCAUUAGCAAACGGCAUUGUGAUGAUUGUGAGUGAUGAUGAUGCAUCUGAUCAGAUUGAAGAUGAUGUUGAAGAGGACGACACGGCAGAUUGAAACAAUGAGUUACGUUAUGACUGUGAAGAUGAUUACUUUUGCGGCAUGAAGAUCGUUCAGAGGACGACAGGGUUGAGCAGACCGACAUUCUUGAUUGUAAUCAUGCAGAUGGUGGUAUAGGUCAUACCACAACUGUUGUGUUAGAAGAGGUUGAGUUGGACGACCAUGGCAGAACCGUUGAAUUAGAAGAUGUUAAGGGUGCAGACCCUAUUUACGAGAACGCCAUCGCACUUGAUAACGACAUUCGUUCGCUUGAUGACAGUGAUCAAGAGAGGGUAAAUAUAAAGGUAUCUCGUCAAUGGAUUAUUCUCGGGCUAGAUAUGAUAUCCUUCCAAAUAGUUGGGAGUGAGGAAUCCAGAUCAAUGGAUGACCACUUAUAUUGCGAAAAAGUGUUUGUAUCGAAGGCUGAAUUGAAACGAGCUUUGAGCAUGUUGGCACUAAAAGAGCAUUUUGAGUUUAGAGUUAAAAAUUCAUGUCACGCUUGUUUUGAGGUUGGUUGUAAGGAUAAGGCAUGUAAGUUUGCUUUGAGUGCAACGAAGUUGCCUGAGGGAGAAUAUUGGCAACUUUAGACGUUACAGAAGGUACACACGUGUGCUGUUGAUGGUUUGUAAUGUGGGUACCGAACUGCUAACGCUAGGGUAAUUGGUGAGCUUAUCUCCAGCAAGGUGCAAGAAAAUUGUGUAACCUCAUUGAGACCAAAAGAAAUAAUGGAAAAGAUGAAUCACAAGUAAGGAUUACAAUGCCUAUAUGGUAAGGACUGGUAAGCGAAGGAGUACGUCGAGAGUCUUGUGUUCGGUCCGUCGAAAGAGUCAAUCCAACUCCUCCCCUCCUAUUUCCAUAUGUUGGAACGUGAAAAUCCUGAUACUGUCACAUGUGUCGUUACUGAUGGGGAACAAUGAUUCAAAUAUUGUUUCUAAGUGUUCGAGUCAUAUAUUCGGGGGUUCAGUGUUGUAAUGCAGCCUGUAGUCGCUAUCGAUGCCACACAUCUGAAAGGCAGAUUUAAGGGUAUUCUGUUUGUGGCGGUAUGCAAAGAUGCGAAUGAGCAGAUAUAUCCACUUGCAUUUGGCAUUGGCCAUUUCGAAGACGAAGAGUCUUGGUUGUAGUUUCUUAACCAAUUGCAUCGUGCGAUUGGUUGUCCUGAAAAUGCAAUGUUCAUUUCUGAUCAACAUCUUGGCAUUAAGAAUGCAAUUGAGAAAGUGUACAAGGACGCUCAUCACGGUCUAUGCAAUUACCACUUAGGGAAAAACGUUAAAAAUAGGUUCAAGUGCGAAGAUGUUGUAGCGAUUUUCACCAUGGCUGCCAACUGCUAUAAGGUCACCGAUUUUGACAGACAUAUGAAUAAGCUGAAACAGCUUUGCAAACCUGCUUAUGACAGCUUUAUGAGAUUAGGUCCUAAGAGAUGGGCAGGUGCACGGUCAUCAGUAAGGUGAUACAAGUUAAUGACAUCCAACACUGCGGAGUGUAUUAACUCUUGCUUGAGGCAUGCAAGAAAAAUGUCAAUAACGGUGUUGAUCGAGUGCAUCAAAGGCAUGUUUCAACGUUGGUUCCAUGACCGGCACCAUGAGGCAUUGAAUUUGACCACCCCCUUUAGCCCUUGGGCUACCGAUCUAUUGAACAGACGGUUCAAUGAAGCAUGUCACUUUUUCAUACAAAGCAAUCGAUCAGGUGGAGUUUCAAGCUAUAGGCGGGAGUAAGGACAGAGUGGUGAACCUCUCCACCAAUGAGUGUUCAUGCGGUGAGUUCUAAUCCGAUCUACUCCCCUACACGCAUGCCAUGGCAGCAAUAAGGUAUGAGCAAUCAUGUUCUGUUAUAUUCUGCAUGAUGAAUUGAAUUUUUACAUUGUUCGUCAAUUGUGAUUUCAUUGCCUUGGCAGUAAGUGCAAACGUGCAGCCAUUAAAUUUUGCUCGAACUAUUACAAGACUCGAUCUUAGGCGGAGGGAUAUGCAAUUCCCAUUUGCCCGGUUGGGCAACCUAAUGAGUGGGACAUCCUCGAUGACGUUCAACAAAUUAUCGUUUUGCCACUAAGUUGGCGAGGUCAAGCGGGAAGACUUAGGAGGAAAAGGAUUCCAUCAGUUGGGGAAGGCAGCGGACGACGUAGAUGUUCACAAUGCAAGAUCUAUGGUCAUAAUAGACAAAAUUAUCGGACUCCGUUUACAGCUCCACUGACAAAUGGGGAAACAUCAUUUGCUUAGCCGAUAGCUCAACGACGUCGACCCAAGGCAUGUGCAAUUUGCAAACAACCCGGGCACACACGAAACCGCUGUCUAAUGCGGACUACAAACUCUGAUAACAUUUUAGGUGUCGUACUUGAAGAUAAUGGCCCUUCAGACGUCAGUUGUUAGGGAUUGUUUUGAAGUGGCCAUUGAUAUUUGCAUUGAAUAAUACUAUUUCAACUUGAGUUUGACAGAGUUUGAAUGAAAAGUAAGAUACACAAGAUGUCCAUAUGGAAGAGAAAGAUCUUAUGCUAGUUAUGGAGGUUUGAAAAAGUGUACCAAAACAUGAGAAUUGAAGUUACUUUGAGAAAGUUAUGGAUGUUUUAAGGGAUGGCUUCCAUGCAACAUGAAAAACGUUUAUUGAGGAAGAAGGAUGGGAAAAAAAAGAAAAAGCUUUUGGAAGUGAGGAGAAAAUGCUGAAAAAAAUUAGAUAUUUAUCCUGUAGUUGACUACAGUUCUCAUUAUUUACGAAACUACCAUUGCAUAGUUGGAUCAUCAAAUUCCAAUUAUAGUACUUAGCCCAUUUGUUGUAUCAUCAAAUUCAUUGUACUCCUUAAUAAUUUAUAUUUCUUCGUAAACCAUUAAAUAAAGCACAAAAUAUUUAAUUUAAUAAUAUUUACGUGAUUGAUUAGGCAUCCUGCUUCAUAUUUUUGCCAAGAAAAUGAUAUAUAAUAAUAGUAAUAGUUGUUCUUAAUGUCGACCAUUGUAAUCAAAAAACAUAAAGGGCAUAAGAUAGCUUCCAACCGUUUCUUUCAUAUUCUAGUCUUCCCAGUAUCUAUCGAUAGUUGCCGUUUCAUCUUUCAACCAUUCCAAACUUAGUUUAAAGGUGAAGGAAAGUUGAACCACUAAAGAUGAAUGGUCCUGCACUGUCUUAAGUAAUGGCCGCAUUUUCGAGCAGACCCAAUGUCCAUGACAAUAGUGACCAAAGUAUGGGUGAUGAUGAAUACUCUAGCCUACGAUCAAGGAAGAAAUGGAAACUAGAUCUUCAAUUGCCUACCGCAUCAAUUGGUUUUUCAAUUGAACCAGGUAAUGAUCUGUGCUCUCCUUUACGGUUUAGAGACAUAUCACAUGGUAGUAGGUAUUGGAUAGUAGAGAAUGUCAUGAUAUCGUGCGGGAAAGUGGUAGAUUGGGAAAGCUUAAAGGAAAACAUAUACCUUGAGGGUGACAUAUCUUCAUUUUUCGAUAUUUGUAAACUUAGGGGUCUAAGUACCUUUCCAUAUUUUGAUUAUAGCCUGACUCUUGUUAAGGAAUUUUACUCAAGCAUUCGUUGGAGUGAAAAUGAAUUUGAAAAUCCUAGAGAUUUUGACCCAUUUGUUUUGAACGUGUUUUUAGGAGGAAUAGAGUUUACAGUGACUCCCUUUGAUAUUGGGAAGCUCCUAAAAACGGAGUAUAGACAUGAACAAUGCAGACCUCCACCAUCAUAUGACCUGUCUUGCAUGUGGGCUCAAGUGACAGGUAGAAGAGAACCAUACACCACAGAGUCAUGUUCUGCUCGUCAUUUGAAUUCUGCACCAGAUAGGCUGGUACAUAAUUUUCUGGCGUUCACAUUACAGGGAAGGAUCAGUCGUUUAAGAUAUGUUAGCGCUGAGGAUCUGUGGAUGAUGGAAAUAAUUGGAAGCGAGUUUGGCGUGAAUAUUGCAGAAUAUAUGAUCAUGAGAAUGAGAUAAGUUACCAUGAGGGAAGAGACGACCUUUCCAUACGGGAACAUCAUAUCAACUCUAGUUAAGAGGAAAUGGAUAUGAAGCAAUAUGUAUCUAGUUGAUUGGACCAGUCGCAGGCCUCGUAAUCUCUCGUUUCGAUAGCUCGUGAAAAGGGGAUAUGACUUGAGUCUUGAUGAGCCAUUGAACUCUGUCGAAGGAAACCCAGUUCAUCCUGCCCAUGAUACUCCAUCCAGACAACCGUCUAGAGUUCCUGUUUGCAAUGAUGUGAUGUAUAAUAUGCUUCUAAGGAUUGAUGAGAAACUCAGUAAUCAAACUACUACAAUGCAGGCAUUGGAAUUGAGGAUAUAAAAUGUUGAGAAUCUUCUAAUGCAAAGAAUAGAUACAGCUGUUCUGGUAGUAGAAGCGAGACAGAAUUGACUGUCCUCAUAUGAGUUUCUUUUACAUUAACCUCAAAGAAAAAGGAAGUCAGCUGUCAUUGGUCUGGCUGAGUCAACCAUACGAGAUGAACAUUCAUAUUUGAGAGUUGUGGGUUAACUAGAUUAUGGAUACUGUAGUUUGUAUUUCAUAAUUCACUUGUGGUAUUUUGUUUUCUUUCACUCGAUAUUUUGUUAUGAUGGUACUUGGGGUUGAGUUAUGGUUUGUUAUUGUCGAUGAUAAUUGGCUUACCCUUAUUCGAAGAACAUGACACAAAAUAGGUGAGUCACGCGUGCAAGAUCAACUAGUCACGCGAUCCCAUAUCAUCUAGUCACGCGAUUCAAUAAGAAUUUGUAACACCACUCCAUAUAUACUACUCACGCGACUCCAUAUCAACUAGUAACGUAAUUCCAUAAUAUCCAGUCAUGCGAUUCCAUUUUUCUACUCAAGCAAUUUUAGAAUAAAUACUCACGCCAUUCCAUAAUAAUUAGUAACACGACUCCAUAUAUAUUACUCAUGCGAGUCAAUAUCAACUAGUAACGUGAUUCUACAAAAAAGUCAUCUCACGCGCUUCCAUAUUAACUAAUAACGCGAUCGAUAUUUACUACUAAUGGGAGUCAAUAUCAAAUACUCAUGCGAUUCUAAAUCUUAACUAGUAAUGCGAUCCAUAUUUACUACUAACGGGAGUCAAUAUCAAAUAUUCACGCGAUUCUAAAUCUUAACGGUUCACGUGAUCCAUAGUUACUACUAACGAGAGUCAAUAUCAAAUAUUUAGUGAUUCUAAAUCUUAACGGUUCACGCGAUCCAUAUUUACUACUCACACGAUUCUAAGUGGAUUAAUAACGCGAUUCCAUAUUAACAAUUGACGUGAUUCAAAAUUUAGUACUCGCGUGACUUCAUAACAAAUACUCUCGCAAAUCAAUAUCAAUUGGUGAUGUGAUUCCAUCCACACCAUUCACGCCAUUCAAUAGCAACUUCUUACAACCCUAUGUCACGCAAUGCAAUUCAACAUGUCAUAUAGGCUAUAAAGUAAAGAAGCAAAGAGGGGUUAGCAUAUGCAAACGAAUGAUGUUUGGCCUGGCUUUAGCUAUUAAGAGGUAGAUAAGAUGAAAGGGCAAGCCGAAUAGGUACUUAAUAACCAAUUCAGCUCUCAUUCAUUGCACUGAUAUGGCUGUAAAAAACAAAGAGUCAGCAUUCAUGCCUAUAAAUAAAAGGAACCAUUAACCAUUUGAAUCAAAUUCAAUUAUCUUAAUCAAUCUCAGAUAAUUGAAAAAUGACCUCUAGAGAUCCAAAAGUCGAGAAGGGGAAAGAGGUAGCCUCCGAAGAGGAGGAGGUGCUUUUGAGUUUGAGGGACUAGUUGCACAUAUUCCAGCAGAAAAGCAAAUCUAAAACACAAGAUGUGUCUCUGAAAGUGGAUGGAACUUGUAUGAAAGAGCAAACUGAAUUGUCUGGUUGAGAAUGAAAAGUAAGAUACACAAGAUGUCCAUAUGGAAGAGAAAGCCUUUAAGUCCAAUAGUGGGGCCGUUGAAACUAGUUGGAGAACAAUAGAGGUCCAAAACAACUGAACAUAGGACUUGAAGGUUUUCUCUUCCAUAUAAACAUCUUGUGUAUCUUCUUUUCAUUCCCUAACCAGACAGUUCAGUUUGCUAUUUCAUACAAGUUCCAUCCACUUUCAAAGCAGCUAUCUAUAUAUUCAUAAGCUAUUGAUACUCAAGUAGGUCUAGAACAACUAAACGUUUAUUGAAACAGAAGGAUGGGAAGAAGACGAAGAAAAAUUGCUAAAAGUGAGGAGAAAGUGCUGGAAAAAAUUAGAUAUUUAUCUUAUAGUUGACUACAGUUCUCUUAAUGUACAAAAAUGUCAUUGCAUAGUUGGAUCAUAAAAUUCCAAUUAGAGUACUUAGCCCAUUUGUUUAUCCUAUAUUCAUUUAACCUAUAUUUCAUCCUCGUUAAACCUCGCUUUUGACGGCACGAGCUGACAAAGUACCCCGUCCGAUGGCAUAUAAUGGGAAACAAUGAUGUUAGUGGACUCAUCUGUUUAUCAUGCAAGCUAAAAUUCAGUGCUUCUUUUUUAUCGUACGAUGAGUCCACUAACAUCAUAGUCCAUUUCAAUAAGUUAAGGUGCACUACCACCCAAUGGCCGUUGAAAAAGCACGGUACGAGAAUUGCUCAACCUCAUGCCAUGGCAAACCCCACGAAGGUCUCUAACCCUUUGCAUACUCAAGCAGAUCGUCUGACGUAACCUCCUCACUCGACUUAAAUGUCUUCUCGGUGGGGGAAGGUUGCAUUUCUUCACUCAAUUGUAGCAAAAUAAGCUGUCAAUUACGUUAUGCACAAUAGUUAGAUGCAAUUAAGUAACCCUAAACCCUAUACAUUUGAAUAAUUACAACUUAGUAAAAUAUAAUAUACUUACAUAGAAUGUGGUGUCAACGAUCAAUAUUCUCUACUUAUAGUGUUGUGGAUGGUGCUCGCGCGCCUACUUACACAACACACUGAUGCAUGCAUCAAUUUGUUGGGUGUCCAUCAAUUCUGUCGGCAUCUUUAAUCAUCGAAAAAAAUCAAGGCCCUCCUACCUUUCGAUGCCCAGAAUGUUAACCCUGCAAAUUUAAAAUAGUGUUAUAUUAAAAUUAUAGUAUUACGGAUUGUUUAAUAAAUAUCCUAAAACCGUUAACCCUAAUAUGGUCUACUGUUUUCAUUUUACCUAGCUUGGUUGUUUUUCAAGAAGGACUUAUAUCUGUCCUUCAAAUCGUCCUUCGCUUUGCGCUAGACUAAUAGCGGGUUAACGUACGAGCUUCGAAGGUAUUUACUGGCCAAGAUCACACGUGCAUCUUCGGGCUCAGGUGGAGGUGGAGCCUCAGCAGAAGGUCUGAUCUCACCAUGUGGGGGGGGGGGGGGGGGGCGUCUGUUGAAGUUGGGAUAGGAGCAGGAUGCGCAAAAGUUGUAGCUCCACUACUCGUAGGAUGAGGUACCUCUUCGACCUCAAACAGAAGAGGUGGAGCCUCGGGAGAAGGUGUGGGCUGAGAAUGUUGGGCUGCCUCUAUUGGAGAUGGGAUAGGUGCAGGAUGAUGUUUAAUCGGGCUACUAGGAGGUGAGCUUCGAACUUAAACGAUCAAAAAAAUCAAACACAUUAAAAUAGUGUAUACAUCGUACAUGUUAUAACUCACGCGAUGAAUAACCUAAAACCUCAUACCUCAAAACGAUCGAUCAGUCGACCGACAAUCCGAUCCUUCAGCCCUUGCAGUGAGUGUUGGAUAUGCUCAUGUAGUGACUGCGUCUGCGUCUGCAUCUGCAUCGCCCCCUGGAUCUCCAACUGCAUUGACUGUAUCUGCAUCUGCAUAUUUGUCUGCAAUGACUGGAGGUUUUUCUUCCAUUGUGUUAGCAUCUUUUGCAGCUCUCUCUUAAUGCUCGUAGUCAUUUGCGGAUGCAGCGUUCGGUUGCGAUGCUCAACAUGAGGGGCAGCACCUGAAGUAGAAUGAGGGGCAGCAGCAGAAGCAAGAGGAGGUGCAGCAGAAGUAGCAGCAUGAUGACCAGUAGAAGAUGCACCAUGAAGAGCUGUAGGAGGAGAAUGAGGUGCCUCAGUAGCACCGAACUCGGAAUGGACCUCUUCGUCAGUGGUGCGUCUUCGCUUAACGGCUCUUCAUAUUGGACUUUUCCCUUUACGGUCCAUUAUUUUCCUCCUUUGUUGGGGACCAAAUUCUAGGCAACCCUCCAACUUCCAUAAUGGAAUGUAUUGUUGCCCCUCGGAGAUAUUGACCUCAAUGUCCACCCAGUAUGUGGUCAACAUCUCUUCUGUCGUUGGCUCCAACAUCCUUACUGCCCAUAAUUGCACCAAAACAUACAUUGCCAUUGGGUAUAACCCUUGUUACCCUAUGACAAUAAAAAUAAAAAUUAAUAAAAUAAAAAAAUAUGGUUUCUUUACUCACCUUUCCCUAUCUCUCCAAACUUGCAAUAUUGGCGUGGAAGCUUGAAGGCUUCUCGUCACAUUGCCAUUUCAGCAUUCUUGGCCAAACCUGUCCGAACUGUCACUGCCUUUCGAACAAGCUUCUGAUUUCAGGUAUUGCUUCUAACGCCCAAAACUGCACAUCAAUUGUGUAACAUUUUUACUCACCUCAUAAAUUCUUAUGGGAAAAGAAUAAUGAUAAUGAUAAACAUUAGGCUAUGGCAGACUACUUGAAACACCCAUAUGAAUCCGUAGAUGUGGUAGCGCUUCUUCUCUGCUUUGUCCGUAACAAGAGGUUCGAAACCCCUCCGCAAGUAAUCCACGGUCAGACUCCACACAUAUGUGCCCCAUGGAAUGCAUUCCACUCGUCGAUGUUCUCAACCAGCGACAACAACCAUGGAACCACAGAUCGUCUGUAGUCUUGAUCGAAUAAAACAUUGGUCGCUAUCAAGACAAGGGCCAUCUUGCUCGCGUAUCCCUCCUGCUGAAAUUGCCCUCCCUUGAACGUAUCUAAAACCUGUUGGAUCUUUACCUCCUUCCCCGGUCCCCAAUAUCUUAAGUGAAUUCCUCCAAGAAAGGCCUUGUACCGAUUGACAAUGAGGGUCGGUAGGGGACCAAACUUCAAUCCUAUCACCAGACAAAACUCCCUCUUAGAAAAGCGGGACUUCAUUUUUCCUAUUGUGAACCAUAACUCUGCCUCCAUGGUGUCAGGAUCGUUGAUUUUGCGCAAUAUUAGAUUGUGCACUAGACUGGCGCAGAAUAAACUCUUGUUUGCUUCGACAUCCAUCAUGUGCCCAAAGCAUAUUCUCUUAAAGUUUUCCAGCUCGUUCACUUGACACAGCAUCUCAUGUAUGACAUGCAGAUGCGACCACUUACAGUGGAUGCUAAUGCCUGCAUUGAACCCCUACCGGUGCCUUGGCACACAAAGCAAGGACUCCACAUUUUCCUGCUCUGUUCCUAUGCUGGCCAUGUGCAACAUAAAACAGAUAACAUUCCCAUUUUAGUCAUGUCAAUACCAUCAUUGUAGAUUAACAAAAAAACUAGAGGAAUUUUUGAGAAAUAGCCCUCCUCAUAAGCUCACUCAAAAAAUAACCCUAACAAUAUUUUUAACUGUUUUUAGACAUCCCUGAAACAGAGUAAUUAAUCCGAGUGUGGAGCAUGGAUUAUUAAGUAAAUCAACAUAUACACAUUGAAGCAUUACAGUUGACCCAAAAUAAUACAGAAUGAACCCAUGCAGAUAAAUUUCAUGCAGUUAUGACACUCGUGCAAUUUCCUACAACAAUAGUCACGCAAUGCCUAAUCAAUUAGUCACGCAACGAUUUAUAAACAAGUCAUGCAAUUCUAAGAACAACUAAUCGAAUCACGCACACACUAACUGACGCCAUGCCUGAACAAUAUUCUUGCAAUAACAUAAAAACCAGUCACGCAAUGACUUGUCAAUCAGUCACGCUAAGUUAAGCCCUUUUUCAAUCACGCAACCCCAACGUGACCCCAUGCCAAAAUCCACUCACGCAAAAGGUGCCAACCACUUAAGCACGCCCUCACUCACGCAAUAUCUAAACCCUCAACCGAAUUCCUAACACAUACAUAUCAACCAGUCACGCAUGACCGGUCACCUUUUCACCCCAACAACACCAAUAAUACCACCUUCAUGUUUAUAUUCAAAAAUUCCAAACAACAAAAUAUCAAUAUGAACAUGCAAUAUGUAUAGGUUUAUGCUCAAAAACCUUAACCCUAAACAUGAACAAUAACCAUUCUGUCAAAAACCUCCACAUGGUUCAAAAUAAAAUAAAAUAAUUCAUAAAAAAUAUUAUACCUUUCUCAACGUAAUGUCAACUUCCUCACACUGCUCAAUAUGUGAACAACCUUUGUGCGAAUAAUAACCACUCCAAAAGGCUCCUACCAUUGCCAAAAUGCUUGGAAGUUGAACUGUUGAUGAAUGCUUUUGCAGACUUGUUUCUGAGGAUAUGUACGGUCUCUCGAUGAAAACCGAAGAGUUGUGGUCCAUAUAAAAGACAUACUUGACCCGUUAAUAUGUUUCGGGUUGAGGCACGGAGCCUAACGAAUGGGUCGGUUUCAUUAAGGACAAUUUUGUUCAAUUUUUUUUUCUCUUGGCUAACAAUAGUUAAAAUUAUAAGGAAGGUCAUUCUAAAAAACGCCUUAUGCUUGAGGCUCAUUUAUGAAAAGUACUCUAAAUUCAAGCUAUAGCUUAGGAAGGUGGUAAUUAGCAUGGAAGUGGGAGGGGCCUGAGAGAAUUCAGAUGUUUAUUCUUCAAUGCUUACAUAAUCGACUUUUGACAAAUGAAGAAAGGUGUCAUAGAUAUCUUACUAUUAUUUCUUUAUGUUUGCAAUGCGAGGUCGAAGAGGAGACCAUUAUUCAUGUACUUAGGGAUUUCGCUAAAGCUAGUGUGACACAAUUGCGAUUAUUACCACCAGUUGCGUAUCCCAUGUUCUUCAAUCUUUUUGCUGCAAAGUGGUUUUUGGCUAAUUUGGACAAAGCUAACGUGAAUGAUAAUGGCAUUCAAUGGAAUAUUAUAUUUGGGACUACUUGUUGGUUCCUUUGAAAAUAGAGGAACACAUUCGUUUUCGAGAACACAGAAAUUCCUAUUGAACGACGAUUGUCAAUGAUAUAUAGUAUGGUCUCUGCUUUGCAAAAUGUUGAGGUGGCAAACAUUGCAAAUGGGGGAUGCUCAUCUAGUUCUCAAGAAGAAAUUUUGAACGGUUGGAAAGCUCUUUCCAUUAGUUGGAUUUCAUUAAAUUAGGACAGUACCUAUAGUAGUUGACAGAACAAGCAGCAACUGGUGGUGUUUUGAGAGAUUCAGUUGGUCAAUGGAAUGGUGGAUAUGCAACGAGACUUCGUAAAUGUUCGGCUUACAGAGCUGAACUUUGGGGAGUAUACAGAGGGCUUAAAUAUGCAUGGGACCUUGGCUCUCAAAAAAUAGACUUACAAGUUGGUAGUAAGCUAGUUGUUCUAGUACUUUCUUCUCAAAUAGAUCAUCCAUAUGCAAAUUCAAAUUUGAUUCAAGUUAUUCAAAGACAUUGGAAGGUUCAGAUUGGUCAUGCGUUUUGAGAAGGAAAUAUAGUGGCAAACUUUAUGGCUAAUGAGGGAUUCUCUAUUAUUGAAAACUUCUUAAUUUUUUCUAGUCCUCUAGAGAGGGUUAGAAGUUUAUUAUUGAAUGAUGCAAUAGGAGUUUUUUUUCCUAGAUUAAUCAGACAACAAUAAUUUAUUCUUUCUCCAUAAAUAAGAUUUAUAGUAAAAAUUCUAUAACAACAUUCUCUUUGGCUUAAUUUGGCUUCCAAUUGGCAAAACAAUUUUUUUUUUAAUUUUCUCUGUUGCAUGGUAUGGAACAAUUAGCAUUUAGCUAAAAAUAAAAAUUAGUGAUGACACUUGAAACUCCAUCCAUGAUGAAUACAACCUUUUUUCCGGAAUAUAAUUAUUUUAUAUUUAUUUUAUUAUGUUUAUUAAUUGUUUUUUCUUAAAACAACACUAUGGAUUUACAUGAAAAAAAAAGGACUUAGGCUAAAUAAGUAAUUAGCUUCAAUUUGCACCCAAUCUUAAUUAAUGGCUCUUUCACUUUUCCUUUUUAUCUUUAUUUUUCCUUAGCAUCAUCUUAUUCUUCAAGUAUGCAUUGGAGUUUCCUGUUCAGAUACUAUGUAUCUAAUUUCAACAAUCAUGUAGUUGUUUGAUUGGAAAUUAAUUCCUUCCCAUGACAGAGACAUAAGAGGAAAAAAGAGUCAAAGUGAGGUACCAAAGAAAAGUUGCAUGAGGGAAUCAAAUAAAACGAAAAUUCAUCCAUCUGUCUUCCUCUAUGAAAUUCUUAUAUUCUAACUUAAUUAGAUUUCGAACUUUUAAUUAUUCAGCAAAAGGUGUGUGUUGAAAACCCAUUUUUUGAGUCUUAUUCACUUUGACCCAUUAGAAAAUGAUUAGUCAUGGUUACGUGGAAGAAAAGCUUACCUCUGUCUACCACCCACAUUUCAGACUGCUUAUAUUAGCUUCAAAAUUUCCCUGUCUUUGGCUCAUUGAGAAGAUUAUGAACAAAUUUCUGAAAAAUCAAUUUGCUUUAGCGAGACGGCAAUUUGAGUGUGAUAGUUGUCUAUCUAACCGUCCAUGCAUGCAUGCAUGGAAUUAAACAGACAAAUUCCAAGUCUUUAGUUAAGUACGAUUUAGUCAACUAAGGAUUUACAAAGAUUAGCUAGAAGAAUGAAUUUAUGAGCUAAGGACAGAUGAAAGCCAUAUAAUUUCUUUGUGAAAAAGUUUUCUUUCUUUCUUUUUUCCUUUUGGAGGAACAUUUUUUGAUCCUUUUGAUAAUCUUCCUUUCUACAUAAAGUUUGGACUAAAUAAGUGAGGCAGUAUUUAUAUGUAUAUAUAUAAUUAAGCAACGUGAUUGUAUUAAUACUAAUUAAUCAAAUUAAGAUUAAAGCUUGAAAGGGCUAAAGUAAAGAGAAAUCCCAUGAACUAGUGACUGGGAUUAAUCCAUACCAAAGGGGAAUAAAGGGAUAUGGAAGUUCUUGAGUUAUAAACAUCAAUCACAUUCACAUACCUAAAAUAUCAGUCUGCUUUUGCCCCAGCAUGAUUGAAUACAUUAUCACACAAAAGUAGCGACUUUUGGCAGUGAGGCUUACCCACCAUAAAAUUCUUUUUCUUUGUAGAUUUUUUUUUUUUAAAAUCCCCAACCUAUAACCUAUUUAUUAGAACCCAAAAAUAUUAACUAGGUUAAAACUAAAAAAUAGUAGGAUUUUCUGGGGCGAAAAUAGUUACCUUCUAUGCAUUGUGUUGUUCUAAAUCGUAUAGGUUUUCAUAUGUCAAAAAAGGAGAAGAAGAAGAGAAACGUUGUUAUUUGUGGGUUAAAUGCUUAUUUUAGAAUUUAAGGUUUGCCAAAUUUAUAUUUUAUGAUUCAACCUAUUAUUUUGUUGAAAUCUAGAUGUAACCUUUUCAAUUUUAUCCAUUUAACAAAUACUGAUAAUAAAAGUUGAUAAAAUUACCAUUAACAGAAUUAAGCGAUUUCAAGUUUAUAUUUGUUAAGAAUUAUGUUUACCAUUAAUCCUAUUAACUCCCUUGGCCACCUUUUAUCAUCGUUUUAUUUUAUCAUGAAUAAAAUUUCGAAAAUUGCAUCCUAAUUUGAACAAAAUAAUAUAUAAGUUAACUUAUGAGAUAAAAGCUUAAGAAACAUUAACUCUAAAAUGGAGCAUUAGCUAUUUAUGGCAUGCAUCUGUUGUUGUUAAGACUAAAUGGAAAAAACCUUUGAAGAUUUCCUAAAGAUCAAUAAUAGAGAAUCUUCUAAAUUAAAUGAACCUUUCUCUUUCAAAUAAAAAGUGGGUUCCAUCUACAUAUAUAGGGUUGCUAGCAUCUGAAUAAAUCAGAGUUAAAACUGUGCUGCAGAUGGAAUUCAACGUCAACCACCUAUCCAAUAGCUCAGCCGCAAUUCUGAACCAAAAUAUGCAGGAAUUGAGCAGUGGUUGUAAAGCCUGGUUAGAGGCGCAUGAAUGGCAGAAAUGAGUGCCAGGACUCAAGACUGCGCUGGCCAUAUGCCGAUGGAAAGGUUUGAAUCAAAUGCUGGGGGUCCAUGUGUACUUGAUCAGGAAAAAGAAAAAAAAAAGGCGUAAAAGGACCCCAAGAAGCCUAAUAAAAUUUGAAGGGAGAAAAACACUGGUCACACUGACUUUCUAGCAAUGUAAAGUUUCUAUCAUAAUAGCACGUGACAAUCCACAUGCAGAUGCAUUCUUUCCGAGGGUCACCACACACGUGCACAUCUCUCAAACUAAAGCAGCCCUCCCAACCCUAUCUUCUUUCUCCUUUCUCGUUGGGAACUCACCACUUCUCUUGGACUUGGAGUUCGUAUAUUUUUUGUUGGUUUUGAGUAUUUAGCCGUGGCAUGCCGCCCACUUCCUCCAUUUGCUACCCCAAACACAAAACGAUUUAAAGAGUGCAUAGGACAAACAGCAUUUAUAGGCUAUAGCGAUAUUCAUGUGCUAACCAAUACCAACGGUAGGUCCCCUAGCUAGCUAGUCGAUCCAUAGCUAAUCUUCUUGAAAGAGCCUAAAUGUUGUGUGCUGGCCCUUAAUUUGAGACUUAUUUUACUCGGUAAUUUCUUUUAUUUUCUUUAAAGAAAAGAAUUAUUGAUCACUUGGAAUGUUUGAUUUCCAAAUUUCAAGCUAUUUAUAUAGUUCAAUUUCGUGGGAUGAGAGUGCAUGCAUCUUCUUACUUAUAAUUACAUAUUCGGUCGUUUGCUAAUUUUCUUAUUAUGCAUUGAUCAAAAUGUUAGGCUUAGAUCUCCAUAAUAAUCGAUAAUCGAUUUGAAAGUGGAAGAGAAUGAUUGAGAUGUGAGUGGAAAAAGCAAGGGAAAAAGAGAAAGGGGUUAUAUUAAGGGUCCAAUGGUUGAAUGGUUCAAAAGAUGACACUAUCAUUUUGCGUAGAUAGUCAUAGUAGGUAGAAGGUUAAGUUCGGGAACACAACAGUAUAUAGUCUAAAGAUGCGAGGCUGUCGGCCCAUUGGGCUUGUCCCCCACCACGCCCCGUCGCACCCUCGUGCUCGUCCCCAUCUAACCACGCGUGCUGGAGCCCCCAACCCCAUAUCUCCCCCCCCAAUGCGCCUGAAAAAUUAAGCUCGAUGCUCUCCCACACACAUGCCCAGUUCCUUUUCUUUUGUUUCUCGGCGAUAAUGAUAGAAACCUGUACAACUGGCAAGAGUUUGUGAUUGAAAAAGUUCCUUCCAAAAGGCCAUUCUGCACACUGCCAAACUCAACACUGAACCACAUGCCCCAAAUUGGUCACAUGAACCACAUUCUUUACAUUCUUCGUAGUAUGUGAUAAAACUGUCCAAGGGGACUAACUUUGUGUAUAUCUUUAGCUUUAAAUCAAAUGAUUCUUAUUAAAUCUUAUGGUCGAUGUAGCAUUUUAAUAUCACACUCCAUUCAUUUGUCUCCUUAAAGUACCUUUUCUCUUUCGCUACUUUAUUUAUUUAUUUUUAAUUUUCAUCUUUCUUUGGGGAGGACAAGGUACCAAUCUUUAAACCCCACACAAGGUUUUGGUGCUAAAAGGUUCACAAAACCUUAAUCAAGAACAAGAAUCUAGGACCAUAGUUCAACUUGGUGGUGGGGAUGGAUUGGCUGUUAAAGAGGCUUACCAAACAAUGUGGUAGGGUUUGAGACCCUGGACGCGUGAACCAACAUAAGCAACACCUUAGUCAAAAAGUGUGCCCUUGAUGCAAUUAUAUUUGAUGAUGCUUGGUUGAUCUAUUCAUAACACCUAAAAAGGUAACUUAGAUUGGGCUCAGAAGAACAUUACUAAGAUUCUCAAGGAAAAUAUCAACAAACUUUCAUUUUUGUUAUUGAGACAUGACAUGAUUAUUGUCUAAUUAUUACUACAAUUUUCCUUUUUAACUUCUAACUUAACCAGAAAUAUAAUUAUAUAGUUAGUGCUCCUAGUUAUAAUAGACUAGGCAAGGCUUCUUUUUCUCAAGAACUAUGAUGAUAUGAAUGUUUCUUCUCAAUUAUUCUCAGCAUUGACUACUCGUACUGUUCCAAAUCAAUGUGCCAUUUUAGCAACCGAACCAGCCAUUGCAAUGCCAACCAACACUUUCUUUCUCUCUGUCUGAUCCAAUCCUCAACGAAGACCAAUUUCAUCCAACAAAUGCACGUGCAAACUGCAAACACCAUCGGCCCACCCGUCAAGGAACGGAUCCUUCCAUCAUUGGGCCUUGUACAUAUUUUUGUUUGGACCAACGACGAAGUGGCCCAAUUUUGAGGAUUCCCAGAUAAAAUGGUACCAUAAAUUGGAGUUAUGUAGCAGACUGAAAACAAAAGCAAGGAAGCCGCUCCGUCCGAAUACGACAACUCUAACUUAAUUAUACACUUCACAAUUAAAGCAACACAAAGAUUGUUGUCAUGUUUAGGCAACGCUAUGUUUUGGACCAAACCUCAACAUUUUCACAUGCAUCGUUACGUGGACAGUUAAGCCAGCAUUAGCCGUUGGACACGUGAUACGUGGAGUUGACUCCAUUAUAAUGGAUCUCAAUCUCGAGCCAUGAUCAUGCUUAAGAUAAGGUUUAAUCAUCACUAGAAAUAAUUAAAGAUGAAGGAAUGAUGAGAUUAAUAAACUUGAUUAGCACCAAUGAAGAGUUUUGUACAAUUAGUGAGGUUUGGAAGGUUUCGUGGUGGUGGAGCAAUGCUUGAUUAUAAUGAUUGUUUAUUGAGUCCAAAGCCUUCCAUGUGAAAGAACAUUCUUUUUAAGAUAGUGUCACUCGAUCACAACAAAAUCCCCCCCAAUGGCUAAUGCUUUCCAUACUCCCAUAAGCAUUUUGUCAUAAUUAAUCUCUCUUUGUUUCUCCAAAAGGAGGAGCAAUUUCCAAAAGACAGCUAAGGCUUGCAUUGAGCGAUCUCAAUUCCCCUUUGGAGUUUGGACUAACCGCUUGGAUUUAUUGAGAAAAUAAGGGAGCAUAUUUGAUGGGAGUUGGGAACAUGUUGAGUUCAUGCUUCUGACAGAUUCUGGGUUGGGAAGGAAAUUUGGUGACAAGUUCUCUGAGCAAUGUGUCACCGCUGCCGCAGGCGUACCCGUGAGCAACCAUUUGCGGUUGAGUUUGAGGCCCAUGUGAUUUGGUUUAGCACUUGGAAUGGAUCAACUUACCUCACAAAUGUUCGGUUGGGAGGGAGUCCACGUUAAUGCUUAAUCAUAUUCAUCUAUCCUCAAAAGAAAAAGAAAAAACACCAACCCUACUUUUCUUUACCCUUUUUUUUGUUAUUAUUAUUAUGAUAAUAUUUUGGAGAAACAAAAUCCAAAUCUCACUCCUUAAGGGAUGCAUAUACCUAUCGAACCAAUCGAAAACAAGCCCAGAACAAGGAUCAGACUCCAUAUGCCAUGAAAAUCAAGCAGAGCUUUGAUUUUAGGCUACAUGCCCCACAAAAAUAAGAUCUGAGUUGUAGGGGUUAGGUCUUUGUCUCAGACAGGGUCAUAGCGUGUCUCCUUGGGUUUAUGUGAAAGGGGGAGAACCCCUCCUGUUUUCCUAGCUGUUGCCCAAUUGGCUUCUGUUCAUCAAGAUUUGUCCGUUCCAUGUUCAGCAUCCAUCAGCAAUUUUCAAAUUAAGAAAUUUCAAAGACUUGCAGUAAAUUCAACAAGGUCUUUGCACACCUCCCAUGCAACCCCCAUAAGAAAAUCUCUAGCACUAUUCUUUUUUCUGAGACAAAAUCAGGCUUUGGCCCAAUGCUACUUUUAUCCAAGCGUUUGGGUGAAUAUAAAGGCGAAGCUCCAAAGUAGGCCUUGAUUCAAAGGAAGGCUUUGGUCCAACUUAUAAACAGAUCUCUUUACGCACCCAUUUUUAAAACCAAGCCACUCCCUCAUUUCCAUGUGAAACUUCGUUAUUAUAUAAUGUGAAAGUUAAAAACCUUCUCGUAAUACGAAGUUUAUUUUCUACUUAUAUUCUGUUUAAAAUAGUACUUACUCACAUACUUGAAAUAUUUACAUUUGGCGUUGGGACUUGGUUUUGUUCUUUUACAUCCCCCCGAUAUAAAAAGGUUUUACUCAAGGCUUUUAAUUUUGAAUAGGAAAUGACUUCCCCAGAGUGAAACUUCCAUUUUGUUUUUCUUUUGUAUGUUAGGGGAUUGAUUGGAUCUUGAGUUGUGCAAUGAGGUAACCACAUAACUCUUUUCAUCUUAAAACGCUCAACCUCAAAUUUCUUAUUUAAGGUUUGACGGUUGUAUACUUAAAGAGACUUUCUCAAGAAUGUUCCCCUGGUUGUGGACAAAAACAGGAGAGCGAAUGACUACGGCUCGUGAGAAAACAAUUCUUGGUAGGAAUUAAUGGUGUUAUUAGAAUGACUCCAUGAGCGCGGUUAGUUUGGCACUUGUAAUCUCCACACCACUCCAUAUAAGAUGAGGAGUUGUAUGCUGCACAUGGAGACAUGUAAUCUGCAAAUCAGAUCUUAGGGAAUUUAUCACAUUUAUUUGGAACCAAAUGGGCUAGCUGAUCAACUGGCUAAGCUUGGGGUAUAACGUCCUCAAGAUCUACUGUUGAUUUGGAGUAAAUGAAAACUACUGGGGUAGUAGCUGCUGUGAUAGGGACACUAAUUUUGUAGUCCCUUAUGUAUAUGUUUAUGUGGGUUGUUGCUAUGCUAGUUUUAUAGUGUGUUAUGUUCAUUCUGUUGCGUCUCUUUUUUGUACAUGCCAAUGACUACUGAUUGGUUUUCACUUGUUGACGAUGUGGUGGGUCUGGGGUAAUUAAGCAGCUUGUUUUUUACUAGUUUGGUCUAUUGGCAGACCUUGAUGCCCUGUUUAUUGGGUUUUUAGGUUCUAGUUAUCGAAAGACACUUGUUAUAAGGUUCAUUGGUGGUGUGGAACCUAAUAGGGUAGUAAAUGUUAUAGUAAUAAAAUCAUCUUGGCUUUUUUUUUUUUAAAAAAAAAAAAGAGCUAAAGGAUCUCUUGUUGUUUAUUAGGAUAGAUCUCACCAUUUGAGGGAUCGAUGCCCUUUUCAGAAAUUUUUGAAUUUCAGGUGCAAAGAUCGAUCCCAAAGGUAUCUAUUGGCUGUAACAAAGGUGGAAAUUUAGCAUAGCAACGGCUUGUUUCUUAUUCAAUGGUAUACAAGGAUUCCGAUAGGAUUUGCAAGCAUAAACACGCCAUCUUUGGAUCAUUUUUGCAUAAGAAUUAGAGGAGAAACAAGACACAUAUUAUGAGCAAACAUUUUUCACAUUCUUCUAAGUAUUUCAAAGCAUUUGAACCUUCAUUCAUAUUCUAUUAUAAUCAUUUUUGAUAUUAUAUAGCUUAUAUUCACUAAGCAAUAUCUAACUAUUAAAGGAUUUCUUGCUUGUAUAGGUUAUCAAAUACUCAAAAGCUUGAUAGAUAGGGAGGUUAUACUUAGCCUUCAAAAUGUAUUUGUAUUGGUUGAAUUCAAUAGUAGACUGAACUCCUUAGCAAGCUACAGGAGAGGACGUAGGCACAAAGGGAAAAGAUCGAAACCUCUAUAAUUCUUGUUUGCAAUUCUCUUUAUCGUUUACUUUGUAUUUUUUUUUGCAUUAAUUUUUGAUUAAAUUUUUAUCAAAUUGUUAUCAUUUUAAUAUUUGAUAUAUUUCGUUUGAAAGUUUAUUUUUUCAAGGAGAUUUUUAAAAAUACAAUUCAAUCUCCUCUUGGAUUAUUCAUUAUAAGUGAGCUAACAUAUAAAUUUUCAUAUGACAGUUGUGUAAAUGAUCUUUAAAUUUAAGAUCAUUUGGUUGAUUUUUGUGAGGAUUGGCAUAUUUUGAUAUUAUCAUUCACAACAAGAUGGAACUUAAGUAGGACAAAGUAUCGAUUAGUUUUGGUCAUGAGGGAGGCCAUAAUCGACCGAAAUCGACCAAGCCAAGAGAGAAACUGCCUAAAUCUUAAUUUUGAAGAAGGGUGAUUGUUGUCUGCGGUUGGCGGUUGUAGGAAGAAAUGAAGAAGGGUUAAGGAUUUUUAUAGGGUUUCAACUUAUCAGGAGCUUUGAGGGGACUCGGGGAGGUGGUGGAGGCGGUUAGGGUUGUAAUUCCCCUCCCCUCCCCCCUAUUGAAAAUAAUAUGUACAUUAAUUGGUUAUUUGAUCAGUGCUGGGGGAAGGAUUUCCCAUCGAUGAUCGAGCCAAGAAACUGUCGCAAUCAGUAGCCUUAACUAGCUCCUCAACUGGACCAUUUUCGGUUAAAAAUCAUCUACACUUGUCGAUUAGGCAAUUUCAACCGCUCAUUGCUCACCCCUAAAUUCAAGUAUAGUAUGAAACAUAUGGAGGUCAAUAAAUGAUUAAUAGAGGAUUGAUUGCUCUAAGUGAUAUAAAAUGGAAUGUCCCAUUACGUCUUGAUAUGUAAUAAAUCAAGGGAGUCUUUGACCAAGGAAAAUAAGGAUUCGAAAAAAAGAGUUUUUUGAAUCAUAUUAAUAGAAUUGAUUACAAAUAUCAAAAGCUAAAAAUGAUAAAGGUAAUAUAAAUUAAGUAGAUAACAAGCGAUGCUUUAUGUCUUGCUGAGAUAUUAGAUUGAUGAAAGAAUAUUAAUUAAACGGUAAGUUGUACACGGAAGGAUUGAGUCAAACUAUUAUGACUCUUUUUAAUAUUUGGAUAGUUAUAAUGCAUUGCUAGAUACCAAUUGUAACUUAUAAAUAUAAAUUAAUAACCUCAAAAUUAAUGUUGAAAUCAAAAGAGUUUGAUUCAUCUAAUCCUAUAUAUAUUUUUGUUGAAAAACUUAUGAAUUAUCAUUGAUAUAUCUUGACAAAAUCAGAUAGUGGCUAACAAAUAAAAAAGGCCAUUGCCAAUACCUAAAAAAUCCGCAAAACGGAGGGAGCUUAGCGCGACCACCCUUUCUAGAUAAGCAACAGCUCCAAAAUUUGACACUGUACAAAGUCAGAUAUACAACAAUGCUAUAAACUUUGAGAAUCACACAUUCCAACAUCUACUUACAGCAUUCAAACCAUUGUUAAUUCACAGCAAACUUUGAGACCUCUACACCCCAUCUCUUGCUAGUGUGGAGUGCAUCUCAUCCUUUCUUCCUUGAAUGUGAUUCCUGCAACGUGGAUAGUUGGGUCCAAAACCCGUUUGAAGUUCCCUGGAGAUUGAGGUCACAUGUCAUUCAAAUAUCCAAGCUCCUCGAUAUGUUUAUUGUUAACAUGUUAAGAACUUAAUCGGUCAUACACAUAAUUGCAUGGUGAGAAAGUAAAAUGGAGAAAUUAAGUUGGACUUAAUUGCAUGGGAGUUAUGAACUUGAAGGAUUUAAGUGAAAUGCUCAUUAAAUCAUUUAAGUAAAAUGGAGAUGAUGUUGUUUCUCCCCUAGUGUUCUAUGAGGGCCCUAACAUUGGCACAAUCCUCUCCCCUUAUUCGACUCUGCCUCAUGUGGUCCUGUUAUGGUUAAUGCCACUGCUGUUUCUCUCUGAAGUGCUACAUCAACGGAUUUGUUCUGCUCCCAGUUGCCCGCAGCUUUGAUUCUGCCCCAUCAAACGUCUCCACGUCAUUUAGACUUCAUUCUCCUUGUUUUUUUCGUCUCUUGUUUUGCUGUUUUCUGCUGGUCUCUCAUGUAACACUGCUUUCAAGCCAUGACCCCUUGGCUUUUCUCAGAGCUCUUCUGCCAUGAGCGAUAAUUGCUUACUUUCAUAUAUUUAUCUUUUCUUGUCAAUAAAUAUCUAUCUCUUUGACUGAGAAAAAAAAAUCAUUGAGACAAUUUUGCAAUAACUUAAGAGUUAAGUUAACCUUAAAUUGCUCAUAUAAAUACUAUGCUUAAGGGAAACCUAAUAACACAAGAAAAACAAGUGACUAAGGCCAAAAAUUGAAAGGUAAAGGCAGAAAAGAAAAGAGUGAAAAACACAAGUCGGGAGCCCUAGAGGAUAGAAAUCGGCUGUUUAUCUUUUUUUAUAUAAUUGAGGGAACGAGAAUUCGAACACUACUCUUCAAAACAAGAGAAUUAUACAUCAAUUAAUGAAUUAAAUGCUCAAGUGCAGUUACCCAUUUUAUUCAACAAUGAAGUCGAUUUCUCUCUUCAUCCUCCUUGCUUUGAGAUUUCGGGUUUUCCUUUUGGAAGAGUGUAAACUAAUAGUCCCUUGACAUUGGUAGCAUAAGAGGUUCGAUCAGCACAAGCAACUCUUUCCUCCUUGGAGUUUUCCUCACAAGCAAUUCGUGUGACAACUCUUAGAGGCUGAACAAGUGGGCAGCUUGUGGUUUAGAACAAGCAAAAUUUAGUGGGUUGGAGAUUUUGGUUUCUUGAUUUCGACAUCAAGGGUCCAAAAGUAUACCAUUUUUUGCCCCUUAAUUACUGUUUUAUUUUGAACGAACCCAAAGGAUGAUCUUGAUUGAAAAAAAAAGUUUGGAAUUUCCAUCACUUAAACAAUAUGAUGGCAUGGCUUUUCCCAUACGGAACAUACUUUCCAACAGUUAGGUAACUUUGAAGUAUGGAGCCAGUGAUUAUGAAAAGUACUAAAGCCAUCAGGUGUCAUCCACUUUUUCUUUGUUUCCUUGUUAAUUUUGUUUGAUUCUUUUACCGCCAUUCUUUUGUUUUUGGUUGAAGCACAUUAUGAGUAUUUUGGGUAGUGACAAAAGUUGACAUAUGAAAUGAGAUAUUUAAGAGAGCUCAUUCUUAUAUUUUUGAAUGAGUUUUGGGAGUUUGGUUUUAAAAUGCAAUGACAGUGAAGAAUCCUUUGUGGAUUCUAUUUAUAAUUUUCGAUAGAGUUAAAGUGGACUGUAAGAUUAUUGAAAAUAAAUGUAUAAAGGGUUUUGAUUUUGAUUCGAAUUAUCAAAUAUAGUGAUUUACAUGUACUUCUAAUUUUUUUAUAAUAAAGAAUUACUUUACUUGAUAGACAUAGAUAAAUAACCAAACUACAUAAAUAUUUAUGUAUUUUGUCGCUUGAUUUCACUGCAUUGCAUUUUGCUAAGCUAACAUGAGGAAACACGUUCAUUGGAACCUUUGUAUGACUUACCGUAUACCUUCAUUAUUGCUGCUCCUCCGGUAGAUAUUGAUGAGUAUUCGUGCCCUAUUACUGGGAUCUCUACCUAGUCUAUAACUUCUACUUCUAGAUCAAUAUAUAUGUUUGCACUUGGAUACCGGUCUAGGAAGUGCCACCUGCGGUUCAGGUCUUAGACCAUGAACAGACACCUAAGUUGUUAAUACAAUUUUCAUAGGGUGGCGGUUCUGGUCAUGAAGCUCUCAUGCUUUGGUGGAAGGAAGGCAUGAUUCAAAACCAAGUUUUGAGUAGAAUUGACCAACCAAGAUAAUUAGCCGACAAAGUUGAAGGGUUAAAACUGUGGGGAGGUAUCAUGAUCUAAUAUAAGCAUUUGAUAUUAGGGUUAAACCUACCACGCUUUUAGCAUACAUAGACCACGAUGCGAGAGGUGUGUCUACCAAGUUCGCGCACAUUAGUGUGUUUUGUUUCUUCUGGCAAAAUCAUUUGAAAGUGACCUUGGUGAACUUUUUGCCACAAGUCAUUAUGGUGAUGCCAACGAACCCCACCCCUUCUUUCAAACACUUACAACUGAACCUUUUUUGGAUACCCAUUGGUAAUUGCUCAAAUGCUCCUGCCUUAGCAAUCCAGCUCGUGGUUGCUACCUACGUACCGCAAUCAGAAGGUAUUCGCUAACCAGACAUUGUUCACUUGAGCUAGCUAGCAGUUUUUGACUUAAUUAGGAUGCUUAAUUGUAGCUUCAACCUUUGUUGAAUAUUGGCUAAAGGCGGCACAAAUUCAUCUUCAUUCGCAGCUAAUAACAGGAUUUUGACUCGUAUAAUUUCCACAAUUUAAACUACCUUUUUAGCUAUAUAUUGACCUUGGAGCCUUAAAGUCUCAUCAUGUAUGUGUUGGUUUAAUUUUGUAAUAAUAGAUAUGUCUAAUUACAUGUUGAUUUGUUUGGCUAUUUCAUUGAUUUCUUAUAACAAGAUGUAAUAAUUUACUUGUAAGUUGUAACUUAAAAGAAAAACCAAUCUUUUACUUUUUUUUUUUUUAAUUUUCAUAACUUAAACCAAUUUAAUUUCUCUUUUCUUAGAUCUUCCUCCCGUUCUUUUUCUUUGCUUUUUCAGGACAAACAACCACAAGAAAAAAUUGCGGAUUUCCAACAACUUUUGCGGUUGGAAAGAAAAAAGAGAUAUAUAGUAUAGGGGCAGGCAAUAAUAAUUAAAGAUUGAUCGAUAAAAUAAAGACAAAGCAAAAGCAAAGUAAAAUCCCUAUAUAGAUUAGAUACCAACAUAUUGUAUCUAUCCCUUACAUUUUUUUUGUGUAGACUAAUAUGAACAUUCCCUAAAAUCAUUUCCUUUUAAAAACUCUUAAAGUGGGUCAUUAAGCCUGACUAACAAGCCGCCGAAGAUGGCCUUGAUUGGAGGGCCGAUGUCCCAACUUUAGACGACAAUGUGGUGGCAGUGGCGGUGGCGGCGGUCAUUUUGGUGGGGCCCUUGUCAAGGGCAGUGGUGGUGACUCGCUCGCACCGAGGGCACAUUGUAAGGGUUGAUGCUGGGAGAGGCUCACAGCUGUGAGGCGAAAUCACGGUUGGUGGCCCUACUUUCAUGGCCCUUAGCUCCUCCACCUCUCUUUGCAGCCUCCUGUUCUGUUCAGUCAGUGAUCCAAACCAUCUUUUCAGGUACUCACACUCCAUCUCUGUCUGCUUCAACUUGCUCCUAUACCAUGUUAUUGUUUAUUUGAUCAACAUAAAAUAUAUACAUAUAAUAUCCGAAUCUAAGUUGUAUCAAAACUAAACUAAACUCUUAUCUGGCUCUUUGUUUUAUGAUACGGUUUUUUCCUUUAGCUAUGCACGAUGUACAAAUGAGAAACUCAUACCACAGAAUUUUAAAACUUUCCCAAUCCGGUACGAUAUGCCUUUGCACAAAAGAAUUGGUACUAAUUUCAGCACGAUCAGGGAAGCCUUGCUAUAACUUUUUCUUUUUGUUCUUAUUCCCUUUUUCAAGUCAUUGUUUGAUUCCAAGGGGAUGACUCAAAGAAAUUUCAUGCUUACAGAAACAUGAUAAACACUGACGUGCAAGGUCUUUACACUUUCAUGUGGCGUGACCAACCUCGCUUAAGAACUUGAGAACAGAUAUUGCAUUUAAGUAUCAAAUUCAUAAAGCUCUUUCUUAAAUAAGUGAAAUCUUUCUGUAAUUAUCUUUUCCUCCCUCGUCCCUUUCCUUUCCCUAAACUGGUUAAUGAAGAGUAAUAAAUUCAAACUUGGAUUUUAUUCAUAUCUAAACAUGAGUGCAUUUAUUAUCAUAUUAAAUGCUAACCAUUACAUACUAGCUAGCCAAUGAUCUAUAACCCAAAGAAACAGCAAUUUCUAUUACAGUCAUAAUGCUUUAAUCUGUUCUCACUGCUCAUGCAUUGAUAAAAAAGAAAACAAGAACAUGAUUACAAUUGUAAAAAAUUAGUUUAGGUGUGUCCUUCCCCUUUAUUGAUUUCAUUCAAUAAUGUAAUACACGAAUGUAAUAAUUCAUAAAUGCAUGGCUAAGUCCAAAGAAUGAUGGGUCAAAGCAGCACUUUAUUAUAGAGGGUGAUGAUCUGACUAGCACACGAGGCCAGAAACAGACAUGCAAUCUCAAUUGCUGCUAUCAUUGUUAUAUUGAUGUUGUUAGACAAACCAUCAUUAUUUUGAUCCUCCAACCUCAGCUCAUGAAAUAGAACCACAUCAUUAAUUCUUCAUAAAUCUGUUCAGCUACUUGUCGGUCAUGUGUCCGUUUUCUGCAACCUGUUAUAGGUUUUGUUUAUUGUUCGUGACUGUUUUUCUGUCUAUGAAAUAUUAAGAAAAGGAUUUAAUAAAGUGUUCUAUCUCUCCAUAUAUCCUUCCUUGAUAUUCAUCUAAAAUCCGCGCUAAGUUUAAUAAUGAGAAAAUUAUUUCGAGAGUCUGAGAGGAAAAUUAUAAACUCUCUCUUUAAUUGACAUUAAUGCACAUAGUAUUAUAUCAUAUGGCACUGCAACUUGAUGUGGCAGCAUAUAUAUCAAAUCCUAUGAAGUAUUCUCUGAAUGAUAAGUUCUACAAGAAAAGCAUGCCCGUAAAGCUAACAAAUGGCAAGAUAUUUUUCCUAUAUUAUUAGGUCCUGCAUACACGACCAAAAAGAAUAGGUAGGAAAAAAAGGAAAAAAACGAAGUAGUUUCCCUCUAGCCUGUUAUUCCUUGUUCUUAAGGUGCCUCAAGGCCCUGAACAACUGGUUUGAUAGAAUUUUACAGUGCAAAACGUGGUAUUUGACUUGCUUUUACUCUAAAAUAUAAAUUAUGAAUGAUAGUGAUAUAUCAACGUCCGAAGGCAACCGUUUUGUCCGGGAAAUGACUAGAGAAGCCCAUAAAAAUGAAUCAAGUUAUGGUAGCAUCAUAAAAUAUUAUAUCCAUGUAACUAAAACAUAGAAAGUAAUUUGUUUUUUAAAAAAAUCUAUUGUUUCACUUUCUACUUUACAUUAUUAGUGUACGAAAAAUAUACGGGUAGAAUCUGAUUCAGAUUAUACACUUUGUGAUAUUCUGUCAACGUUUCGAUAUUACUCUAAGCUACUUUUAAUCCCAACAACCAACAAAAUAAUAAGGACCCAGAAAAAUGAAAAGAAAAAAUCUAUGGAGAAAACUGGGAAUUCUUUUAAAUGAAUAUAUAUAUAUAUAUAUAUAUAUAUAUAUAUAUAUAUAUGUAUAUGUAUAGAUAGGGUAGGGUAGAGUAAGUAGUACCUGGCCCUACGGUUCUGGAACCAAACUUCAACCUGCCUUGGCCUCAGCUUCAGCUGCAUAGCCAAUGCUUCUUUCUGCUUCUGCAAGCACAAAACUCCAAAAGGCAUUAAAUAAAGAGAUCAUCUGAUAAAUUUAUUGGCUAUUUUAUGUCCAAAAAAAAAAUGUUGGUGUUUGGUGUUAGUUAAUUGCAUAGGUAGUAGUGGAUGGGGGUUUUGAAUUACAUACAGGGUUUAGGGUAUGGUUUUGUCUGAAACUUUCUUCAAGAAGGCGAGACUGUUCUUUUGUAAGACGAAGUUUUUUGCGAGGAGGGGCUCCAUUGCAGCUUUCUUCUUCAUCCUCCAUGCUUGCUGUGAUCCAUUCAUCUUCUGCUCCUCCCGAUGGUACUUGGUUUAUAUCUAAAUCUCUCACCGUACAACCCCCUUGAUCACCUUCGGUGUAGUAUUUUCAUUCACAAAAACAGAAACAAAGAAAAAUAUAUCAAAUUUGAAUCGAAAUCAAUCAAUAUUCGUCAAACAUGAGGAUGAUCAUAUGAAAAGGAAAACGAAAAGCAAAAAAAAGAAGACCCUUUUGGAAACCAUGCAUGGAAUCGGGGUAUAGAAGAUCAAAGGCUGAAACUUCUAAAACAUGGGAUUUCAAAAAGAAAAAAAAAAAGGUUUGAUAUAUAUCUUAUUUAAAUUAAGAAGCAAUAAAGAAGAAAAAGGGUAGGACAAAAAAAAGUGAAGAGAAAGAGAAGGAAAGGGAUGUUUCUGUUGCUUACCAGAAGAAGGAAGAGAAGGGGAAGAAGAGAAGCCGGGAACAGAUAUUGUCAACUCCAAGUUAGAAGAGCCGGUGGGUAAAACCGCCAUGUAAGUUGCAGAAGCAGAAAGAAGAGAAAGAUAACGAUUGAUUUUAAGGAGAGAAAAGGUAAAGUUUUACAAAAGAUAAAUAAAAAAAGAGAGGAAACAAAAGGAGACAAAUGAGAGACACGGAGGAAUAUGAUAUGAAAUGAAACGAAGGAAGGAAGGAGAAAAAAGAGGUGUGGGGGUGUGAUGGAUUUUAAGGUCAAAGUAAUUAAUAGAUAUAAUAAAUAAAUAAAUAAUUUUUAAUUAGGAAAAAACAGAAGCAAGGAAGCAAAAUAAGAAUUGAAGAUCUUGAGAGGAAGUGCUAAAUAGCUAGGGUUUUUGACUGUGGUCAUCAAGUCAAAGGGUCUGACCCAUCUGAUCUGGGACACGUGUCAGAAGAUUGAAAAAUCUUGGUGGUGUAGGAGAAUAACCGGCAGGUUUUCUGUUUAUAAGUGGUGAGUCUGAUUGUCGGUUCAAAGGUCAGCUGAUGAAAUGAUUGGGAGCUUGGGCUCGGGGAGGCUUUGGGCAGCGCAGGGCAGGCAACCAUCCCAUUCCCAUACAUACCUACAGCUACUGUAUUAAUAGCGCCCUUUUUCAUUUUUCUCCUUUCUUUAAUGCGUGACCCUUGACCUUGAGGCUUCGGCUUCAAGUUCAAGGGCAGGGGGGGUUUUUACAUCCUACAGCUCAAUCACAUUGCUUGUGAUGGUGCUUGGGGCAUCUGGGUCGUUCACUUUUCUGACUUUUGGUGGAGAAAUAAUGUGAAUGGUGUCAGAGUGGUGGGGUUGCAUGGGGAAAAUGUUGGGUUAGGAUAUACUAGGUAUUACCAUUAUUAUGAGAGAGUUAAAAGCACAGAAAAAGCGUCCAUGAAUAGUUAUUGCGUGGGGAUGCUGAGGAAUUUAAUGCUGUUUUACCUGUUGACGGGUACACAGGAAUUGUAACGCCCCCCAUCUCACAUUAAUGCAAAGGGAUGGAAGUCAUAAUUCAGGGAUGUGGAGUUUGGACAAUGGACAUUUAAUGGAGGAAGAAGGCUAUGCCUGUCUUCAACCUUUUUUCUUUAUGUUUUUGGGAUCCCACUCUUCUUUUAUUUAACCUUUUGGACCAUAUUUAAGGCUACAACAAUAUCUCGUCGUUUAUUUCUCUCCACCUUACAAUUUAUUUGCCAAAGUUUGAUGCAUAACAAUAAUAAUAAACAAGGAAAAUUUAACGUAUCCCUUUUUUUUUCUUUUUUCUAAAAAAUAUACUAAUUUAUUAUUAACUUUAUUCUAAUUCAAACAUAUGUUCUAAUGAUAGCGUCGCAUUAAACCUAUAACAAUUUCACGGUAAGAGACUUCAAUUAGUAUUUUGAUGCUCCUAUUCAACGUAUUUAUAAAAUUUAAUGACGACUUGCAUGUGUAAAGUCUGAAUAGGUGUUUCCCACCAUUUUAAUUAAAACAAGUAAAGGAGGUUUUGUUAGCGAUAAAAAUUAAUCUUAUGGUUUGACUUACGAAUAUUGAAAGGAAAUUUUGGUCCACAAGAAAUGGGGAUGAACCUUGAUGUGGCCAAAUUUGACCCGAACUCCCACCGCCAAUCACAAGUCAAGAUUGAGUCCAUUGCACAUUCCAGGGGUUGGUUUUCGGUUGGGACCUUGACUGCCACGUUUGUAUGCAUAUCGCCAAGCGGCAGUUUCCUUCAGUUUUCACCCCCAUUUCCAUUGCUAUUAGUUAUAAUCCCACACAAAGGAAAACCUUUGUUUAAAUCAAGGGUCAAAGAAAGGCAACAAGGACACCCCCCCUUCUGACUCAAACCCCUACACUGUUUUUCUUUUCUUCUAAUUAUACUAUAAAUUCUUCGAUAAUUAAUGUCACAUAAUGUUUAAAUAUUUUAAUUUAUAGAUUCCAAUACGAGGUCAAGUGGUAAGAAUAUGGGGUUGGAGAAUUAUUUAUAUGUCAAUAAAUCAGGCAUUUAAUAAUUUGGGCAGGAACAUUUAUUUCCAAUUAAACUAAUUACUCAUCAUGACUUUUUGAACAUCCCUACUUAGAACAACUUGAUGCAAAAUCUCCUGAAAAACUCCAUAAGAUUAAUGCAAAAUAACAACUUUAUAAAUAUAUAUUUAUAUAUUUAUAUAUGUCAGUGCUUUCCGGGUGAUUUACAGAGCCAUGCUGACUCUUUCUUUCCAACUGCCACUGAUUUACACAGCUCAAAACUUUUGAAAAAUAUCACAUAUGCAGGCAUAGUUAUUCCUAACCACCCCUUGUUUCCCCUAUCAGAAAACUGUACAAAAAUCCUGAUUUUGCAUUGAUAGCUUUUGCAGAAUCUGGUAACCUGUUUUUUUUUUUUUUUUUAUAAUUGAGGGAGGGGAUUCAAAUUUUACUUUUUAAGUAGGGGAUAAUACAUCAACCAAUGAGUCAAAUACUCGGAUACAGAUGGUAACCUAUAUUAUUUGUAUUUCUUUUCUGAUAUACAAAACAAAAAUUGGAAGAAAUUAGAUAUUUUAAUUUAAAAUUUUUUUUUUUGGAUGAAAGGUGUGAUCAGCACUAUAUAUUGCACUAAACUGUAUAUACUUAUUUUCUUGUACACAGCCAACAAAAAGCUUCAGUUUCUCAUUUGUUAUCCAAUGUAAGAAUAAAAUUUCAUGGAAUGGUUAAGUAUUUAGCCGAAGAUUUAUGUCUCAUUUAGUUAAUAUUUUUUAUUUAAAAAAUUUAUUAUAAAGCAAAAGCAAAAGGUAAAAUGCAAGAUCAUAAAUUAGAAGUUUAUGAGUUAGGUUUGGGCUUAGCCUCAAUCAAAUUUAAACUUGGCCCAAUGCAGGUAUUUACAUAAUAUUUUAUUAUAUUAAAAUAUUUUAAAUGAUUUUAUAUUAACCAUUUAAUACAUUUAAUAUAUUUUAAGUCAAAAUUAAAUAAAAAUAUAUAUUAUUCAUCAAUAAAUAAUCUUUGAAUCGAUCUAAUCAAGUUAGGACCUUAAAUAAUAUAUAUUUAUGUCUCAACUUAAUCUAAGUUGUACUACACUUAGAUGAGCAGCUUAGUUCUUGGACACCUUUUAAUUAUAAUCUUAUAACAAUUAUCAUAUGAUUAAGUCAUAUAAGAGUAGAUCAUAUAUAUGUUUUGUUACAUAAAAAAACAUAACUUUUUAAAAAUAAUAAUGUUUGUUUUUGUAUAAUUCCGAAUCAAAACUAGCAGCCAAAUUAAGGAGGUAAAAGGUUAAAAGAUGUGCAUCGUAGAAGCUUUUUCCCACUUUUUGGGCCAUAGCUAAGGUAGUAUUGAAUCCCUUAUGACAUGCAAACUCAUAAAUAAUGCACCCACCACGAAUGUGAUGGAAAGCAUAGUGCCAUUGAUGAAGUUCCAAUGAUGCAGGCAAACAUUUGGCUUGACAACAACACCACCACCCAGCCCCUUGCCUGGGUUUACAUACCCCUGGCCUCUCUGUAUAUAUCUCAUGCCUAAGUUAACUAUCUUUCCUUUUCUUUUCUGUUUUUUGAAUAAAGGAAACUCCGAUUAUAUGUAUAAUGGACUUGUUUAGAGUAUUCACUAAGUUGAGUCUAAUUAACCCUAAGAUAUGGUCUAAGGUCUAUUUUUGGUCAAAAUGAGGGAAUUGUAGCUGAAUACCUCGUAACAGUUGGUUAUGCCCCAAUAAUUGGUUUGAAUUCUGAAGAAACAGAGUCUGCACUUUUUCAUUGGAAUAUUAACUUAUACCAGCACGAUUUAUGUGGUGGAAAACCUUUUGUUGAAUGUCAUGUCCUUGCAUGCCCUCUUAAAAAGACUAGUGUAGGCAGGUAAAUGUUUGAUGAGUACAAUGCCGACACUUUGGUCACUAAAGUAAAAAAAAAAAAAAAGUCAAUCCAUUCUUUCAUUAUGCUUUGAACUUGUCUCGUACAUGAAACAAAAUCCACAGUGAAUUUAAUGUAUGCAAAGCUUUUGUUUCUACUGAAUGAACAAUGAUUAUCAUUAUUAUAUAUAUUUUAAUAAUUGAUCAAAAUAUUGGACCAAUUAGAAAAAGAAAAAAAACAUCUAGCCUUCUUUUUUCUAUAUUUGCCCUCUUGAAAAAUUGAAAGGUGAAAUCUUAUUUUGAAUUACUUUAUAACCUCUGAUCAGCAUCUUUUUCCCAAUUAAAAGUUGGUACAAAAAAAUUGAACACUUAUAGUGGGAAUAAUUGUAACUAUUUGACAAAUUACCAAUAUAAGAAUGAUAGUGGGUAGAGGGAGUUGUGGGCUUGAGGUUUGAACCCCUUAGCAUUAACAUCGUACCAAUUAAUAAACUUUGAUUGAUUAAACACAAAAACAGGAGAUGAGCAAAGGACAUCCCUAUCAAUCACGGGUGAUGCUUGGUUCAAUUGACGGAGGGGGAUAGGCAUUCAUUCCAUCAAAACAUAAAUAAACAGAAAAAAAGCACUUGAUAUUUGUAUUCACCAUAUGGAAGUGGGGGAGUGUGACAAUGACAAUCAUAGCAUAUAGUACUAUGCAUACUAGCUAGCUAAUCGAUUAUUUUAUAAAGCAAAUGAUGCAUUGAUUUUGAACCUGGUUUGCUUUUCUGUAAAGUGUUGUUUAAUACUCCCAGGCAAAAAGCAAAGGGCAAACACAGCAAGCCCACCCUUUUUUUUGGGUUUUUCUACCCAGUGUGCCGUAAAAUGUCAUGCACGCCCGGACUCAACUUUUCCACGGGGAGGGGGCAUGGGGAGGGAUGGGAAUGGGAUGCUACUGAUAAGGAGAAAGGAGAUCCUUGGAGCGGAAGAGUUGAGCAAAUGUAUGGCAAAAGCGUGGGCUGUGGGAGUCGAGGGUCCAGGCUGGGGCCCACGACGGAUGAUGAUUAGGUUUAGGGACAACACAUGGAACAUGGGAACCUAGUGGGUCCCAGCCUUGAUGAUUGGGUAGGGAACCAAGUGUGGGCUCCACUUGUCUGCUUGUCCUCACCCUCCCGGGGAUCCCUCAUUGGCUCGUCAUCCACAUCCCAUGUUUUGUAAUCUCAGUGGAUAACAUGUGGGACCCCUCUUCACUGCCUCCCGGCCGAAUAACUGUUUCAAUGGCCACAUGUGUGAGGAUUAUCAUUGCGGUGAAAACCAGUACAAACAAGAAAGCAAUUUACGUUACUUUUUAAUUUAUUUUUAGAGUCAGGGACCCCGAAACUUCUGAAAUUAAUUAUGCUUUGAUUGAGAGGCAUUAUUGCUAUAGUCAAAGGGGUUUGUCGUUUGUGUACCACAACCAAGAUGAAGUGAGGGGAGGGCACACUGUGAUGUAACACAAGCCGUGUUAUAACAACAUAUGAAUGAAUGGAUGAAUUAUAUAGGAUAUUGUUCCAACAAACAAUCCACACAUGCAUGUUUUCAGCUCAAAGACAACCAAAAAUAAUCUGAAUUCAUGUUUGGUACAUGUCAUCCUAAUAUCUUAUCACCCUUUUUAUUCAUAUUAUUAGGGUUUUGGGUUUACAGGUUUUGGGUCAAGCUGAAAGGCAACUCAUUUCCUUUAUAUGAUUGUGAUUAGUGGUAAGAAUGUAGACUAGAUUUCCUCUUUUGAUACUGAAAUACAUUUCAUGAUUUUUUUAAAUUUUUUUGACAUUAAAAAUUAUAGAAAUAUAAUAUUAUAAAAAAUUAAUAAAUUAAUUUUCACGAAAACCAACUAAGAACUAACAACUCGAAAACAAUAAUACAAUUCUAGAAUAGAACAAUAUCAUUUGACACUUUCUAAAAACAAUGUAUAUAGUAUGGGAUGUGAAUAACAAAAGACUAGUUCCUUUUCUUUGACUUGUUCCAUGUGAAUCCAAGGUGCUUCUUCUUCUUUUCUGUUUUAUUUUUUAAAUACAGUGAAACAGAGCCAACGAUGUUGUAAUGUAUUCACAAAGUUUAAAGUUUUAAGGUUGAGCUUCAGAUAUACAGUAAUGGGGACUGGAAAGGAAGGAAAAAGUAUAAAAUAAAAUAAACAAGAAUAGAAAAGUCAAAGGAAAGGAAGAAAAUUCUUCCUUGUAUUAGUGUAAUUAAACAAAGAAAAGUUAUAAACACAUAUAGUAAAAAAAAUGUAAAUUUCCUUGGCCUGGUAGGAAAGCGAAGAGAGAAGAAUAUAAAAUAAAAUCAUGAGCCGUACUACUGUUGGAAGAAAUAAACAACUUACACAAUUUGACCGUGUCACCUGAAUUUUCUCUUCUAAAUUGAUUGUUUACAGGUGCAGGUGACAAAAUGACUCUUAACUACCUAUAAACAUUUCCUAUAACUUUUUCCCCUUGUACCAAGCAGUACUAGUUUAAUUUUCCCAUCUUUACCAUUCUCACACCAUGCUACUUUUCAGCCACAAACAAGUCAAGCUGUCUCAGAUAGCACGAAACAACAAAAUAUUUGGUAGAAUUGACAAUCAAAUUAGUCAAAACUAACCCAACAAUCCGUUUGAAUACUCGAAAGCAAAAGAAUCAACCCUGCUGCAAUUUUAAAGAAUGCCCGAAUCCAACUCUUACUCAAAGUGGCUAGAUGCUGUGACAUGCCAGUAGUAUGAACUUGUAGAAUUGUAUUUCAUCCUUUUUCUUUUAAAUGGAAAAAUUCAACUUCAUUUAUUCACAGCAGAAUAUACAACAUUGAAAACUAUACAGCUUUAACUAAACGAUUGUGGAUUUACAGCACAUCGAACGAGCAUACAGCCAAAAUAGCAAGUAAUCCCCCUAAACAGAAUGCUAUAAGAGGAAGGUCUAAGUUCCAUGCAAAGACUGCAGCCUAUGUUCAACAUAAAUUAUGAUAACUUGAAUUUACCAUGCCAUAGCUCAAUCACCCAGAAGACAAAGUGGCUGUCGCAUGCUAAGUUCUGCUUUGAGUGCUGGAAAACGAUCUAAGUCAUGAGAAUCACUCAAGAUUUUCUGCAUAUAGAGAAACCAGUGUGUGUUAUAGAUGCACAAAAAGUGCACCAGAAUUAACAGUAGAACUCAUUCUGAGGGGCAAAUCAAUGCAAUAUGGUAAAGCUUAAAGCCUAACAUCGGAAUUCCAGAACAAAGACACGGCAUUGUCAAUAGUCGAGAAACAGCUCGAUAGCACUAUUAUCAAGAGACUAUGGUUACUUGCAUAGUUUUAGAUUUUAUUAAUAGUGAUUAUACUGCUAGGAGUGCAUGUUUGAAUAAUUAUUUCAUGCAAACAGUGAAGGACGUAAAGCAAACACCUAUAUAUGAGACAUCCCUCCAUAGAAAUGCAGAAAUCCUAGGACAUGCAGUGAUCAAUUGUUUAAAGAAAACUAGCAUCUUAAUCAACAACAAGGAUACACAUAUUCCCUGCAAUGGAUAACUAUUAACAAGGAAAACUAUAUGCUAUAGGAAGACAUGCAUAACUCAAAAGAAAUUAAACAAAAACAAAAAGCAUUUAAAUAACAAAGAGGGAUGACAUUUACCAAUGCAGCAACAUGUGCCUCUUGCAAAAUAUUGCCAUCCAUUUCCAAUCUGGCAAUAGGAAACUCAGGAAGGUGUCCAGACUGUUUUUUGCCAAGUAAAUCACCAGGUCCACGUAGAAGAAGAUCCACACUUGCUAAGUGGAAGCCAUCUGAUGACUUCUCAAGCACGUUCAGGCGAUUUAGGCUACCAGCAGUAGAUGCUACAAAUAUACAUUUAGACUUUCUUGUCCCACGACCAACUCGUCCUCUAAGUUGGUGUAACUGAGCUAUUCCAAAUCUCUCCGCAUUCAUAACAACCAUCAUAGAUGCAUCUGGAACAUCAACACCAAUCUCAAUUACUUGAGUGGAAAGCAGUAUAUCUGUUUCUCCAGACCUAAACCUUCUCAAGGCUUCUUCUUUUUCAUCACCCUUCAUUCUUCCAUGUAACAACCCACAGUUAUAAUCCUGAAACCGAUCUGAUAUGGUCUCAAGAUCUGCAGAAGCAGCCCGAAGCUGAGGCAAUUGCUCAGAUUGUUCAAUGACUGGAUAUACAAGAUACACUCUUCCUCCUGCUUCCAACUCCUCUAGCAUCAUCUGUUAGGAAAAAAAAAAGUUCAAAAUAAAUUAUUGGAAUCUUCACCAGUUGAAAUAAAAAGCCAAACUGAAAUUCAUGCACAACUUAACAAUCUGCAUUUUGUUGAAGGAAUAUUAUAUAUAUUUCUUGGUCUUGGCCCUGUCUCUUUUUAUUGCUCUGAGAACUAUAAUAAAUAAUUUCGUAAUUAUACACAAAUCAAGCAUUCAUUAUAAUAAUGCAAGGCAGGCUCAUAAGGAUUUUCUACAAAAUAUAAUAAUAACCCACGCGAAUAAGAGAGAAUUUUUAUUCUACUGUUCUAGUUUUUCUCUCUUCAAUUGACUUCUCCAAUAUGAAAUGCGUUGUUAGCAUUCCCAAGCAGUAACUACUACAGCGGUAGUUUUUUUGACUCCAAAAGCACAAAUAAAACAUGCUUGUGAAGGCAACCAAAAUGAUGCCAAACACAUUAUACAACUAAGAGUAUACUGUAUCACAUUUCAGUUACCCAGAAAUCAUCAUUCUUUUUCCCUUUAAGUAAGACAGAAGCAGACACAUGAAGAGUUUCAACAGAUUUUUUUUUUGGCCAAAAGUAUAUCAAUAGAUUCAAACAAGGAAAUGCUUUACUGCAUAAAUAUUCUCAAAGCCCUUGUCAGUUCCUUCAAUGACAUGUGUUUCAACAGGUAUUCUUCCAGGAGGUAAGUCUGUAAUCUGUCAUUACAGGAAUGAGAGAAUAAUCAUUAGCAAGAAAUGAGCAAUAUAACUGUAAAUAAGUCCCUCAAGUGCACUAUUAAGUUGUCCAAAUUAUCCUAAGGGUCUGAUUCUGUAACCCACCUCAAUCUAUCAUUUAAAUUUUUCUUCUAAUUUUCAGGGAUUUUUUGUUGAAUAUUAGAUGCUGUAAACUUAGACACUCCUUUCUUUCCUAGUCACCUUGUAUACUUCCAUGUAUCAUGCUUCUAUUCUUUUUUUUUUCUUUUUAUUGUAUAAAUUUUUGCAUCACUAAAAGAUAUAUUCAAGAACAAAUUGAGCAGAAUCAUGACAAAGUUUUCAAUAAAGAAAUUAACAGAAUUUGAGAAUGUAUUCUAGAUUCUGACAGGUUGUUCAAUACAAAGCAUUUGAAGGAUUUCAUCUAAUUUAAAUGCAACUACAGAGAAUUCAAGCAACUGGAAGUAUAGCAAAUUGUACAUACAUGUGUCAAGGACAUAUCCCCAUACAAAGCCAGAGCAAGGGUCCUUGGGAUAGGAGUAGCUGACAUGGCAAGAACAUGAGGAGCCAUAUGUGUGUCAUGUUUAGAGGAAACAUCCAAGUCAGCCACUUGCAUUCUCGAGCUUGUAGAAGUAUAAUAUAGCUGUACGGUUAAGUUUUUCCAUUAACUCAUGAUAUAACAACAUUUGCACAUAACAAAAAGAGUAAUUCCUGCUAAGCUAUAAAGAUGGAAUAAUCAUGUCUAGCAAAGCCAAAUAAGACAAAUGACACCUUCACAAACAUUCAGGGUUAAUCAACAUAUUUCAUUAAUCAGACUCCGGGAUAAAAACUUCCCUUUUCCUGCAUUGUGUUUGGGGCAGGGGCACCUAGCAGUGUUUCUUUCUGAUGACCAGCAUUCUGGUAUCAAAUGGUAGUUAACUUGUAGAUAACAAUCAUAAUUCAGGAGUCAAGCAGUGUUUCUUUCGUGAUUGCCAGCAUUCUAAUGUCAAUUGGUAUUUAACUUGUAGAUAACAAUCAAAAUUCAGGACUUCAAGAAGUUGAUUGAUAUGUAAAUGUAUUGACAAACAUGUUGUAUGUUAAGGUUAAAAGUGACAGCUGAAUAAGAUGUCAAUUUGUUAGUUGACAAUAAUAUCAAUCCAACAUAAAUAUAGCUACACUUUCCAUGUAUCAAACAUUUCAUGAAAAUUGAGCCAAAAAACAAAUCAUGAGAAUGUUGACAAUGCAAUGAAACACAAGAUUUUAGGUGAACAAGGUACCUCACCACUAACAAAGCAAAAGGGGUUAAUAUAUUCCAAAUGUAAUUCAAUGAUUAGAAGAUAAAACUUAUAUAACUGUUGUGAUAUAUUUUUAUCUCUUCAAAAUGAUACUACAACUCCACAGACUAAAAAACACAAACACCCACACAAAAUUUGGGUAAGAAGACAAUAAAAAAAAACAUGAAGCAAAAAUUGAAACUUGAUUGCACAGAGCUCUUUUGUCAAACUUUGUAAUCAUUAAGAGGGCAUAAUCAACUUUUCAGCUUUGUGAUAGUGAGAAGUCAACGUAUAUUUUACAAGACCCAGGAUCACACAGGGACAACAUACAAUGUGAUCACUUCUGUUAGAGGAGAAGAUGGAAAACACCAACAUAAAUAUAGCUACACUUUCCAUGUAUCAAACAUUUCAUGAAAAUUGAGCCAAAAAACAAAUCAUGAGAAUGUUGACAAUGCAAUGAAACACAAGAUUUUAGGUGAACAAGGUACCUCACCACCAACAAAGCAAAAGGGGUUAAUAUAUUCCAAAUGUAAUUCAAUGAUUAGAAGAUAAAACUUAUAUAACUGUUGUGAUAUAUUUUUAUCUCUUCAAAAUGAUACUACAACUCCACAGACUCAAAAACACAAACACCCACACAAAAUUUGGGUAAGAAGACAAUAAAAGAAAACAUGAAGCAAAAAUUGAAACUUGAUUGCACAGAGCUCUUUUGUCAAAAUUUGUAAUCAUUAAAAGGGCAUAAUCAACUUUUCAGCUUUGUGAUAGUGAGAAGUCAACGUAUAUUUUACAAGACCCAGGAUCACACAGGGACAACAUACAAUGUGAUCACUUCUGUUAGAGGAGAAGAUGGAAAACAAGAAAAGAAUCACGUCCAAACUAUUAUUAUCCACCAUUUUAUUGAUGACUAAAACACAAUCUCAAGAUAUCACAUUCAAUAAGAAUUCAUCAUCAGCACAUAUAGCUCCUUAGAUAAUUGCAUAUUAUGUAUGAUUUUCUAGCCCAAUAAAAGUGGACAACCUUACUGUUAAACUUUCCUCUCUGGAUAACACCAAAACGAUGCUGCUCAUCCACCACAGCAAUACGUAAAGAAGAAAACUCCACUUUUUCGGCUAUUAAACUAUGGGUUCCAAUGACAAGAGAGAUAUUCCCAGUUUGGAGAUCCUGUAGCCUAAAAGGUUAAUGAAAUUCAAGAUGGUUACACACAAUGUAAAGGCAGCAGAUGAUGAUACAUGCCUUAUGAAUCAGACGUGAUUGCUUCAGUGGGGUUGAUCCUGUUAGUAAAGCAACAGAAGGUUUACACUCAACCUCCUCCAUAAUCUCUAGCAGAUUGAUGAAGUGCUCAUAAUGCUGGAUUGCAAGCAACUCAGUAGGAACCAUGAAAGCUGCCUAUAAAUCAGAUAAAGUCAACUCAAAUCAAUAAUUAUAUGCUAUUAAAACCAGUCAAGAAUAGCACACCAGGGAACACUAAUAAUAACACAAACAAGAUUACCUCAUACACUACCAUAAUUAGUGAAGUUACCAACACCAUAUAUAUGCUUAGCAGCAUGUAUUGAUCAAUUUUCAAAAGUUUUAUAAAAGAGGUUUGAGCGUGGAAGUAGCUUAAAUUUACCAACCUGAUAACCAGAGGCAAUAACCUCCAUGCAUGCCAAAAAAGCUACCACAGUUUUCCCACAUCCAACAUCUCCCUAGAAAGAGCAUCCACAUAUAUCAAGGAAGUUUAUCAGUUUCUAAGAAUAACAGUUACAUAUACAACAAAGAUCAGAUAAAAAUCUAAUCUCAACUCUCUUUAUAUAGAUUGUGUUCCUCUUCCUUUCAGGUAAAAAAUUGUUCUUUGUCUAUUCAAGAUGAAGCUAUUCCUUAUAAGGUAAAGUCACCACUACAAAUAUAUAUCUUGCUCUUAAAUACAAAAACAAGCACAUAUAAAAGUUCAGGGUUUCUAUGAAGAUUAUAUGUUGCCAUUGGAUUUAGUAUUUUUAUAUUUAUUGUGUCAAGGAUCAUUAGUAAAAAUAUUUCAGGCAUGAGCAAGUUGUUGAGAUUGAAUUUUCCAAUGUAGUUAGUGCCCCAUUAUCUCAUUCUGGGUGGUACAGAUUGUCAUACCGUCAACAAAUUCAAGGUUCUAGAAAAAAUCCAGGUUCUCAUAAUGUGACACCUCAAAAUCUGAAUCCAUAUCUACAUCUCAUAGUAAACUAAAUCCCAUUUGCACACAAUAGUAACUUGUUGAAUAUAUAUUUAUUAUUCAUAUUUAUAUCAGCCCUAGAUAUCCUUCCUCUACUGCUUCCUGUUGUUUCAAUUAAAAUUGACAUUCUUAGUUCUUAGCUCUUAUUUGCUAUAGCUAUUGUCUCUUUUAGAAAUUUUAUCAAAUACACAUAAACAUAAUGGGACAACCAGAAUAUCAAGGAAUAAAAAUGAAAUAUCUCCAGCAGGUAGAAGAACCCAAAACCUAAACCACUAGAGGCUAGCCUUAAGCAUUGUCCUAAACUAAAAUUUUGGGCGGAAAAUAAUCAGGAAAGACACAAGCAAGUUCAAACUAAUCUUUUUAUUUUUAUCAGGAACUAGUCAAACCAGUAAGCUUUUCUACAUUCCAUUAGAUUUGCAAAACCUCGCAGAAAGUAUCAAGAAGUCUGCAACCUAAAGCAAAAAGGAGAUUUACCAAUCCUUUCCUCUUCAAUAAUCAUAGAAUGAUAAGUGAAGCAGAUGAAAUGCAAGAUCAAAGAGAUUUUAAAAUUACCAAGAAUUUGCUAGUAAUUGUGGCAGAGUAUCAUAGUCUUAGAAGGGAGGUGCACAUAUAUCAUUUUGUUUUGGAGGGCUGAUUUGGAAAUUCAAAUUAUUGGAUGUAUUUCUUUAAAGGGAGUUAGGGUAGAAGGUGAGGGGGGAGGCACAUGCAAACCAAACAGCACAUUAUAAUUGUUGACUCAUAAACAGCUCAUCUAUACUUUUGCAGUGAGAGCAAAUUCGCAAUCAAGAUUACAAAUAUUAGCUUCAGGAACAACAGCUUUAAAUAUAAUUUCAAAAGAAAUAUGCAAGCCUCAAUACAACUAGAAACAGAUUGUAGACAGUUGAAUAAUGAAAGAACAGUAGCAUUCAUGCAAAAUCCAGAACCUGUAAGAGUCGAUUCAUGGGGACUGGCCUCUUUAGAUCCCAUAUAAUUUCUGAAAUAGCACUAAGUUGACCAGAGGUAAGGGAAUAUGGAAGAGCUUUCAAAAAUUUCUUGGUCAGACUAGACCAUUCUUCCAUGUAAGCAGCAUUCACUUCAGGUUUUCUGUACUUGUCCAGCAAUCCAUCUUUUUCAAUUUUUGUGCCAAGACCUUCAAGCAUUUGAAAUAAGCGUCCUAACUGCAGAUAGGAUUAUUUUUCUGUUGAGUAUUUGUGCAACUCAUGCAAAAUAUUAAAGACCAAGGCAUUACAAGCAAGAAAACAGUAUGAUAUUCAGAUAUGAUACCAGGAAUGAAGACAUCAUAAAUUUCUAAUUUAUCUACUUAAUCACAAAUAGCCAAUAACCCUUCCAACAAAUUAUCCAUCAAUGACACAAUUGCAUUCUCAUCUAAAACAAUGUUCAUUAACAAGAAUCUCAGACAGGACAUUCUACUAAUGCAAAGAUAUCACAACUGUAUUUUCAAGGUGCACAAAGCACACCUAAUAACAAUGUCAUAAAAAAGGGAUAUCUCUUUUUGCCCAUGCGGGCCCCAUAUAGGGUUUGAUUAAAGUAAACUAUGAAGACAUAAAAUAAAGAUAAACUAUUACAUAUAAAAGCACAGAAUCGCAGCUUUUAUCUUAGUUGAAUCACUUGAUAAACUUGGAAAGAAAUACAAGAUAAUCAACCAAAACUGCAGCCAAAAAAGAAACAAAAGAAAGCAUGUCUAAACACAAUGGCAGCAUCACACAGUGCUACAGUUGAAGAGCACACUCAUGGUCAAUGAAAUCUGUAAAUCAUGCAACGCUGAGUAGCCAAUGUAUGCCUAAGCUCACUCAUUUGCAAGUAAUCUUUCCCUGAGUUCAACCCAGCCUGAUAUCACCUGACUCAAGUAUAGCCCAUUAUAAGGAAUAAGCUUCAGACAGAGUUGUAUUACAUAUCAGCAUUCAAGUGCCAAAAACCACAUCUCCAACAUUUCAUGUAAAGAAACAUUUUCCUUACUUUACGUAUGACGAUACAAGUAGAUGCCGUGAUAGUGCAGAUUCACCACUAAAAAUAAGAAAUAAGACAACAUUUCAAGAAUUCAAAAUAUCUUGAAAUUCAGAGAAGUCCUCAAAAUCAAACUUGGGAAGAGACAAUGAAGAAAAUGAGCUAUCCAAACUCCUAGUUUAAAAUCUGAUGUGUAACAGCCAGGAGGUUGAGGUUUAUAGCUGUUUUGUAAUCCAAAUGCUUGAGGAAAAUAGGAAUGUUAGAUAAAGAAAGAAGAUCCUAAGCUUCACCCGAAGGGUUCCUCAAGAAUCACACCUAAGGUUGAUUACAUCACAACAAUCAAAAAGCAAUAGUGCUGGCAAUAGACAAUAAAAAAAGGAAAUGAUCACAGCGCGGGAAGGUGGUUGCAGCUAUGGACAAGAGACAAGAGAAAAAGGAAAUGAAACAAAAAGAACAAAAGGAAGAAAAUGGUCUGACAACUGAGGGAUGAGGGCAAAAUGGUUCAAAAAAUUUUGCUUAGGAUUCUCAAGUUGUGCAAUCUCUAAAAGACACCUGUUUUGAGGGGAAUUGAAUUCCCACAAGACUUGGUGGUCUGGCCCACUCAACAAUCAUUGAUGACCCCUUCAGUUAGCAUGUGAGUAGUUCUGGACUUUGAGAUAUUUCAUGGUUCCCAUAUAAUUCUCAGGAAUAAUAUCUGAAUCCCCCAAAUCCAACACACCCUUAAGUAUUAAGGCAAUCAUCUUAUAAAAUGGAGUACAUGGAAAGGAAUUUCAACAACGACAGAAGAAUUGGCCAAUAAAACAAACAGACAAAGCCAGAAGGGGUAAUAGAGUAGUAGUGAGAACUGAAGAUAAAUGUGGUAGUAAGUAUCGGAGAUCAAACAUUGGCUCACCCUUUCAAAGGAUGGCACAACUAAUGAAAAUGGCAAGCAUAAAAAUAUAUGUAGGAGGUAUGAAUUGGCGAAGUGCAUCUGGAGUCUAGUAUGACUGCAAAGUACCACUUAAGAAAAAAGCUUUAAGGACAUCUAACACUAGCAAUAUUUUAUGGCACUAUAUAUUAGGCAGUUAAAUAUCAACAUGUACAAAAAAAGAAACGUAGCCGAGAUUAGGCUGCUACAACAGAUGUGUGAGUAUACAAGAAAAUGACUGCUAAGGCAGAAGGUGCAUCGUAGAGUCAGUUGAGAAUAAAAUGAGGAAGAAAUGCAUAAAUUAGACUACAUGUGAGAUAAAGGCUUAUGUACGGUCCUGUAAGCAAUGCUCCCUGGUGGAGGAUGUGUAUGUCAAAGCAGAAAGGGAAAGACUAAAGAAGAUGGGUGAAAAUUAUUUGAAGGAAAAAUGAUAAAAAAACAAUGUUUUUUCAUGAUCUCACAAAAAAUAUGAUACGAAAUAGGGCACAGUGAACUUAGUAUGAUUCAACUAGACAGCCCACAAAGUGGAAAAAGGCUUGAUUCUUUGUUAUUAUUAACAUAAUACCACAAAAGUACUAUAACAAUCAUGUACACAUCUCCUAAUAACAAUACAUGUCUACCAAUACAAUACAAAAAGAAGUAAUUAACGACAACUAAAAACCUAAACAAAAGAUCCACACUAAGUUUCCACGAAAAAUUAUAUUAAUUGCCCCUCAACAUGCUUUCUACCACAAGACAAUUUUAAAAGAAUAGCUACUUUAAACUGCCAAGACUCUGUCAAAAGUCAAGCCCAACUUUAUAGCAGAAAUCUACAAAACAAUUUAGCUUCCUAUUCUUAAAAUGUAAAGUGAAUCAAUAGAAGGGCCAAACUGACAUGAGGUGAUAGCAAGAAGUGCCUCAGCAGUUCCAUUUUCCAAUACAGCACUAAGAUACCACAAUGCUGGUACGGUGGUAUUUUGUGGAAUGUGGAGGUUUUUAACUAUGAUGGAAGUAAAUCUAAUUAAUUGAAAGAGAUGUCAUCCAAUAGAAACAGAUGCUAAAGAAAAAAAAAAUCAUAAUGGUAGCAAUAAAUUAAUAAAUAGUAUAAUACUAACAUCUAGCAAGUACUAAAUCACAAAUGAAGAUUACCUGUAGAUAGAAAAACUCAUCAAAUAUGAGCCUUUUGCGAGCUAAAUCAGCCUCCUCUAAAUUCUUUGGCUGGUGAAUCCCACUGUAUGCCUACAAUGUUAGCAACACAUACUUAGCUUGCCAUAGAAAAAGAAACAACCAAUGAGAACAAACCACAGAAAUACUGCUAAACAAUGGAACAUCAAAAGGUAAGAGAUCGCCUGACCAUUUAUCUUUCCCUUCCCUUGAAAGAAAUUUUGUUAAUUUUGUACUAAUACCAAAAUCCUCUUUUUUAUUAUUUUUUUCUAUUCUAACUCCUCAAAAACUAUAUAAACCACUCUUUUUUAUUAUUUUUUCUUUUUUAAAUCCUAAAACUAUCAAAUUAUCUAGAGUGUAAAUGGUUUCAAGUGGCUUUCAAUCUCUAGUUUAAUGAUGACUUGAAACUCAUAUUUUAUACUUUAGAUUUAAUCUCAUAAAAAUCGAUACUUGAAACCAUUUGGACUAUUAAAUACUUUAUAUGUUCUUUUUAUAUAUUGCUAAAGGCAAUACUUUAUAGAGAUUCAUAAAUACACACACAACCUACAACAAAUAUACACAUAUCUAUAGACACAAACCUUGAUACAUACAUACACGUGUCUAUAACAUGCUAUGUUGUAUAGUGCUGAAAAAGCUAAAAUCAUAUAUGAAACAACUGAUACCACUGCAUAUGAACCAUAUUUAGAAACACUGAAACCCCGUCCACUACAAUACUAACAACCUUGCUUGACAAAGCUGAAACCAUGACAAACUCAUUCAAUUUCACUCCUAUUUAAAAAUUCUUUUUACCUUUAGUAGUUUCAGUACCUGCACAAGUCACAAGUCCUCAGUGUAAUUCAUCAAAAGAUUUGCUUUGGGCCUUGUACUUGGGGUUUUUGAAAUUUGGGUAAAGUUUCAUAGACAUGCUAGGGUUGUGGCUGGUUUCUAUAGCAUAUCUUCUUAAAUGGUUUGAUUCAUGUUUGCUUUUUCUUGGGAAUUUAUUUGCAAUUAACUUAGGUGUUGUUAGAUAGACCAUUAAAUUUUAUUUUUCUUUUGAUAGACCAUUGUGAUGAUUUUCAUUUCUUUGAAAAUUCUUAAUUUUAAUGACUUAAUCUUUCAAUGCAUUUGGUUACCCAUUUUAAAACCAAAGAAUAGAAUAUUUUCAGUGGAAAAAGUUCUUGAAAGGUUACUUAAUACAUUCAACGGUAUUUUAAUUUUUUUAAUCAUUUGACCAUAUAAGUUUCAUAUUCUUUCCUUCUUAACUUUAUAUACUCUCUUUUCUUUUAACUUUUAUUAGAUGUGGAAUCUUGUAUUAAAUCAUCUCUCUUUUUGUAAAAUAAGCAUAAAAAAUUCCAUUUAGUAUUUGAUUGUCAGCAACAUACUAAACAGUUUUAGAGUAUAAAUUCAGUGCUUAAAAAUUUCAAGACUGAAUACUUAGCACUUAAUUUUUUAGCAUUUAUUCAUCAAACAGCAUCAUAGUUCCAAAGUUUUAUAAAUCUUUUUGAAAAAUAAAAAUUAACCAAGUUACAUACAUCUCUACAACUUAAUCAAUUUGUAGUCACUCUUUAGAAUGACAAUCUCUUUUCUUUUUUAUUAAUAAAUGAUUUAAGAUGUUUCGUACUUCUUGGACCAAAUUAUUUUUGACACAAUCUGUGACGAUUAAUGGAACCUUAAAUAAAUUAUUCCAAAAAACUGCAGAUAAUUCAGCAAAUCAUUGAAUUUGUAGCAGAUACCGUAAUCCGCACACAAGCUCCCACUUGAACACAAAUUUUGUUUUACAAGCCAGGCUUGCCAAGUGCCAACCAAACCUAUAAGUAUGACCAGUGUCCCCCAAGACUGGUCGACAUCAAUAGAAAGAUUAUUUUGGGUCAAAGCCAUUGAACCAAUAGUCAGUCAUGAUGGUCAUUUAUCCCAUUCAGGUAAAGAUUUUAACUUGAAAACAUUGUGCGUUAAAAUUUUUUAUAAAUAUAGCUUCAAAUUUCAGUAAUCAGGAUAUCAAUAGCUUUUGCUGUCAAGCCGGUCCUGUUAUUAAAGCAUAUUUAUUACUUAUCAGAGUCACAGAAUAUAUGAUUUCCAGGGAUAGAGGACAUAAGCAAAACAUAAAAUUCAUAAAAUAAUUCCAAAUGAGAAUAUUGCGGUGAAUGUUUGAUAUUUGGAGUAAGGGUCUGAUUAACAGGUGCCUAUAGGAAUUUAUAAGAUCAGUUAAAUUUUUAUUUUAGAAAAUAGUUUUUCACUUAAUGCACUUUACUCACCAAAUUCAAAAGAAUCAAUACAUUAAUUAAAAAAAAUACUUUCUAUGAGUAUCCCCUUAACCAGUGCUUAUUGGCAUGGAUAACAUUUCCCUCUAGUAAGAUAAAAAAAAAAAAGAAAUAAAGCCAACUGAGAAAACGUGAACACCAACAUUUAUUGAGGAACACAUAAAAAAUGGCAAAUUAGAUGGUUACAGGUUAAAUUACAAGAUAGGCUUACAGGUGCAUGUGUAAUGGUUGAAAGAACAAAGAGGGGUAGAUGUCAUCUAGAAAGAUUUGACAUCUAACCAUUUCUGAAGGAGUACGGAUUAAGAUAAAGGAGAGGAAGGAAAAAACUAAUGUAACUGUCCAAACUAGUUUGACAAUAGGCUUAGUUGAAUUUUGAGGAAACAGUCGAGGUGAGUAGGGCUGAGCUAAGUUUUAUGGGAAAUCAAGUAAAAACUCUUGCCUCUGGGCUUCAAAUAAUGCCCAUCUUGGGAAAAAGUUCAAUAUUAAUAAUCUGAUACGUUAGCCAAAGUUGUUCCAGUAUUUUGAGAAGUAAGAUUACAAUGCAACCACCAACAGAUGCUUUGUAUUGCACCAGACCAAACUUGUGGGAAGCAAUAGUUUCAUUAAAUAAAAAAACAUGAAGCGUCAUGAGUGAAGAAAAAGUCACUUACAUCAUGGAGACAUAAAAGUCCAAAUUCUUGGAUGAUUUCUUCAGGUAUUGGAUCAAUAUUGACCGGCAAGGCUUGUAAAGCCCUAAAAGAUUUAAAGGAAUAGCUCUAUUAUAAGUUAAGAGGACUAUUCAAAAAAAUAAUAAUAACAAUAAGUUAAGGGGCAAAACUAAAGUUAAGACAAACGAUUGCAGAUUAGUUAAGUAAAUUAAAGCAAAUGCGAUGAGUAAAAAUCAAAUUUUACUGCAUAAUAGAAUUUAUAAUUAUGCCAUGAAGGAAAGCAUCUCAUAGGAUUCUCAUCAUUGACACAUUGUACAUUGAAAAUCUUAUUAAAUAAUUAGAGUCUAAACAGUUGGCUUUUGUCCAAAAACAAGAACCAUUGUACCCGCUGUACAUCUUUCUUCCUGAUCAGUAGCAUUUUAUGGUGAACAUACUUUAAUUAUGUUGUCUAUUUGUACUUGAGUUGUUAAACAUAAAGGAAGUGAGACGCUUGAUAUGGGAAACAACUACAACCAAACAGCAGCAAUCCAGUUAAUGAGCUGAAAGAUCUAUCUAGAAUAAGCUCAAGUCACAUGAUUGUCAUGAUGGUAGCAGUUUAGACCAUAAGCUAUAAUGUCUUCAGAAAAUGUAUUAGUUAACGUGGACUACAAACCUAAAUCACUUACAGUCCUGCUGCAUUCAUCAAAGAGGCACAUGAGGACUUAAAGUUUUAGUGCCCUCACCACCAACCCUCAUUUCUACCUCAAUGAGGCAUCAGUCAACCGGUACAACAACAUAACUCCCAGGACAAAGUAACACAGAUGAGUUAAUGCUACACUGCACCAUUCUGGUCAAGAUGUUAGGACAUUAAAAGCAAUCAUGAUUCAACUAAAUUAUGAUGCAAUUGUUGACUCAAAGAUUAACAAAACAAAAAUUUCUCCCAAUAAUCUUUUUGGCCAUGAUCAAAGGCAUUAGAGGAGAGUGCACUGGAUAUGCUCCAGGGUUAGGCAUUCUCCAAUUGCAUUGAGGCACAAGAUUGCUUGAUUAAGCCUCUAACAAAAAGCACAAAGACUGAAUACAAUUCUUCCUUUUCCUGUGUUUUGAAACAGUGAGAGCACCUCUGAUUUGUUUUAGAAUAAAAAAAAAAAAAAGAAAAGUGAAGCACAGUGCUAGAGUUAUAUUAUAAAAAGAAAAAGAAUAAAGCAGUGGAGGCUGAUUAAAAAAUUUUAAAAAUUAACUCAAUGAUUUUGAAUUGUUAGUCAUGGUGUUUUUCAAUUCACAAUGUUUAACUAAUUACAUCAAUUUUUUAAAUAAAAGAUACAACCUAAGAGCCAUAUUCCCAAAUGCUUCAAGGCAUACAUCUCAUCUAAGCAAAAGUAAAACACCUUGUCCCACUCUUUCCCCUCUGAAACAUUGAACUGAAUCAAAGGAUCCACCCAAGAUGAAACACAUAUACGUGCACAUCUAUCAAAAACCCACCAGAAAAGCAAACUUUCCAAUAACUAGGUAUUCAAGUAUAAACUGGCUCCAAAAACAAUUUUGUUUCCAUACUCAGUCAGGUAGAUAAUAUUCAUAGCAGCAAUAAACACUAUUACAAUAGUUCAACUCAAAUUACCACAGAAUAGAAAUUUUUCAACACAGAAACAGAACCUUUAUGGAUUGAGACAGCUUUACAGUUCAUAGACAUACCUAGAUAUUAAGAAAAUUGUUAAUUAAUUAAUUAUACGUACAUACAUACAUAUAUAUGUAUACAUAUAUAUAUAUACAUAACAUAAAAACAUAUAAAGUGGAAAAGAAUUAGUGUUAGAAAAUAAAAUCAUGCAGACAUAAGCACUCGAGCACUGAUCUAAUAACUCUUUGUUGAAAUCCACUGAUAGAAUAAUGAAAAAAAACAUUAAGAGGGACAAACCUUGCAAUGAUGUCUCUGAGAAAAUUAGGCUUUAAGCCACCUUUUGAAGGAUAGAUAGGAUAAGGCCUCCCUUUUGUGAGAACGGAUGAAUCAUUUUCAUCUUUUAGCACGUCAAUACUGUAUUCCCUCAUUUCAUAGUGAUCUUUAGUACCCAUAGCCCUCACCUAGAUUGAAAACAAACUAUUUGAAAACAAUUUUUGGAUGAAACAUUCUGUAAGAAGUACAAAGCAAUAGUUAAGGAUGAACGAAAACAUCUUAGAAAUGGCAUUCGUAGAAGUUUUCGUUCUUUUUAUAUAGAUGAAAAAUCUAUAUGAAUCAGUGUCUAUUUUACUAUGCUGAUAAGAAAGCCAGUCAAUACAAUAGAGACUCCUUCAAAUCAUGAAAAUUACAAGUGAAACCUGAAACAAUAAGCUCAGUAAUCCAGAAUCCCCCUAAGUAAAUGUUUUAUGUUCACACUCCUGUUACAGCAUUUGCUUCGCAACACCCCACCAAAAUGAUCAAAAACAUGUUUGCCAAAAGAGUUAAGGUAACUGAAGCAAACAAUUAAUUAACAAAAAACAAAUCCAUCAGUACUGAUGGCCAUAUAGAUGACAAUAAAGCAGUUUCAGAAGCCAGAAUUUAGCCUAUAUAUGUCAACCUUUAUGCAUGCUAUUACUCUUUGAAAGAAACAACGUGUUGGCAAGGAUAUUAGCCAAAACAUUUUGAAGGGUAUGAAAGAAAAAGAAACUCACCUUACCACUAACACAUACAAAUUCUCCCAAUUUAUGCUUUCCUUCAAGACUUCUAAGAAAAGGUUGAGAAGCAAAACGAGCACCGCGGAAAAACUUCUUCAAAUGCAAAUAAAUAGUCUUCUCCUCAGUGUCUCUAUCAUCAUCAUAUAUGUGCCCCAAAGUUGGUUCAUUAUUUGCAACUUCACAACCCACAACCACCUCAAGAAAUGAAAAAGAAUAACUGGCUCGAAUUCCCCUGCAGGAAAAAUGAUAAACAUGAACAACCUAGAAGCAUCAGCAUAUCAUUCACAAUUGAGUAUUUCAAUAUUUAUUUGCUAUAAAUGUUAAUCUGUGUUCUACUAAGAAAUUUACAAGCUAUGGUACAUGAUUUUUCCCAAUCUCAUGGUUUAUAUUUAUCAUUUGCUAAACUAAAUUGUACAAACAUAUUUUUAGAACUUUCAAAAGAUAAGGCCAAUUUCAUUUCAAUAUGCAUUUUUGUAUGUACGACAAUUUUUAAUAUGUAUUUAUGUAUGCAUGAGAACAUUUUCAGGUUUUUGGGAUAAAUAAAGACUACAAGGUCAGGUUUAGUUAAAUGCUGUGAUGUUAUAUGCCAAGUGGGCUUCUCAUCAAAUAAUAUGCAAGCAUAUCUUGUCAUCAGUAAACAACUUCACUUCAAUGCUUGAUCCAAACAAUUGCAUUCUGAAACAUCAUAAUUCCAAAUACUUUAUAUGUUCUGGUUUUGAUUUACCAAGUAGACGAAUAUUAGAACCAUAGAAGAGUUGGCACCCUAGGUAUAUCGAGGCACUUCAAUUGAGGCUUGAACCUCAUCUCAUCCUUAAUGUAAGGUUAGCAUCAAGAGCAGCUAUAGAAAUAGUAAUGAAGAUACCUAGUAGACCAAACAUAGGCCUAACAAUUAGUGCCCCAGUCAAGAAAAUGAUUAGAAUUUCGUGAGCAAGUCGUUAGUCACCUUGAAGACAAAAUUUUGCCAACAAAAAUCAAGUACUGCCCAUCAUUGAUCUCAAUUUGCGCAUUCUGUAAAUCUGCAUAAGUCCGAGGAAAAUGAUGUAACAGUUUCCGCAACUGCAUGGCAGGAGGGUAAAGAAAAUGUAAAUAAGGUGAACCAAGCUUGUAUAAACACAAGAACCUCCAUCAACUGUGGUUUUAACAUAAUUUCAAGAGAACCUACAGUGUAAAAGCCACAUUCUUCUAGCUGGUGAGAGUGCCUUUUACUUAAACCAGGAAUGCAACUGAUGGAUCUAUCAAGAAAUAAAACAAAAGUUGCAGUAUCUGACUGUGGUUCAAUCCCCACUUUGCUAGAGGAUUCCUCCUCAGUAAGACGAUCUGACUUUCCUUCAAAUUCUGAAGUCAUGGACCAAGAAGAUUGAUGCAAAUUGCCAGUACUUUUUUCCACAGUAACUAGAUGACCUGUCUUAUCUUCAGAUUCCAAAGUUGUGGACCAAGAAGACUGAUGCAAAUUGUCUGUACUUUCUUCUACUACUAUAGAAGAACCAGCCUCUGAAAGGGGUUGAUAUAGAGAGGGCCAUGUUUCACACAGACCAUUUGGAUUAACCCACUUUUCAUCCAUAGAGUUAGAGAAAAAUCUUUGAGCAGCUAACAGGCCCCUGAUUCGUGAGCUACUAGUUGUCUCAUCAUACAGUUCUACUGGAGGGGAACUACCCAAAGUGAUGGAAGGAAAUCUUUUACAUGCCAAGGAAAGUUCAAAAUCAUCUGUGGCAUCUUUGAGAUUUCCAUCAGGUUGCUCAUCAGGUCUUUCAUUCUCAAUUAAAUCAUGAAGACCAUUAUAACCCAUCAAAACUGAUACCUGUAAGCAAUGAAAUUUGGAAGUUUUGAAUGGAAAAACUCCAGAUGUAUACAAGGGCAGAGCAGAGGAUCAUUUCAAAGUCCAUAAGCAAACACCAUCAGAUUCGUUUACAAAACUUUCAAAUGCCUCAUUACAAACUGAAAAGAAACAUUUUAAAUACAUUACUGCAAGCUGCCAAGAAAUUCUUGAGUGCAAAAACAUAACUUAUCCCAGGGAAUGACUCAGAAGAUAUAUCAUAAAUUAGUAUAUCAGCAUCAAGUAACAGACAUAAAAUUCAAGUUCAUAAUAUUAACCAUAAUCUUAAGAUAUUGCAAAAGCCAAAACUGAACUUUCUGUGCAGCAAAUUCCAGCAAACUGCAUUCUUGCUUGCGGCCCCUAUCUUGCCAUCUGAUCUGAACAUAAACUCCCAUUUCCAUCUAUGAUACAGGAGCCCAUUAGCCUAACACCCUAUUUUCAUACGUUUUUGUAAUUUUUAUUUGUUUAUUUUCAUUUCCUGAUUUUUUAUUGUUCAUGAUUUGUUUAAGAGUCAUGUAGCACAAACUUAAUGAACUUGGAUGGCUAUUAACUUAGAUUGCGAGGAUAUCAAGGGCUGAGAUUAUUGGGCUGCCAUAUAAAUAAUCUUGUAAUGCCUUGUUAACAGUGUUUUGCCAUAUAUUAAGAUUUAUUCAGUUGAUAAAAAGCCAGACUUUUAGAUUUGAUAUCUUUGGCUGUUCUUCUCUUAUGUACUCCUUCUAGUGUGAUUACUUCUAGCACAACAUCAAUCUAGGAACCCAACUCCCUUUUCUAUACAAAAUCAACCUGUAAACCCUUAAUUUCCAAGCCUUGACCAACUGCAAGAACCAAAGAAGUAGAUUUUACCCAAACCUGAUUUCCAUUAAAGACACCCUGUGAUAGGUCAGAAGAACCUAGCUGCAGACAGCUGCUUGUAAGCAACAACCUAAAAAACUUGCCCAGAGAAACGGCAAACUAGUACAAAGAACAAGCUGAGAUUGGAAAUAUAUGAAUGGAUUUUUAUCCAAAACUGAAAAACGAUAAUUUCUUACACAUUUUGAGAUUGCAGAAACAAUCGAUAAAUCAGAACAGCCCCAUUUGGCAGAACAAGGAAUAGGUGACCCAGCCUGUGGGCUGUUUUCAUAAUUUCAAACAGAUCGUUGAAUACUACACAGUCUACACUUUCCAUCUGUUGUGGUUUAAGAAAAAAGCACUUUCAACUUGGUGGCUUCAACUUUCUGACUUGGCACUUUAUUUUGCAGCAUUUAACAUCAGGGAGUUAAGCUCUUAAUUUGUAAAUAAAUUUACAUUAACACCCACUCUCCAACUAUAACAUGUAUUCUCCAUUUUAUAAAUUUGUUCAUUCUUAAUUUAACCGCACAAGUUUUCAACAAACUUGAUAUCAACCAUUAAUAUGGAAAAAUGUGAGAUAUAGAAGUAUUAAAUUUUGAUUCUCAACACAUUCGCUUAUAUCAAAUAUUAUUAUUGUACGAUUCAAGCCCUCACUGGCCUUUUGAACUACCAAAAAGAAAGAAAUAAAGAAAAUGUAAUAUUAGUCAGGAUUAAAUACUAUAAUAUAUAAUAAAAUAAAUAAUUUCUCAUGAAGAAAUGGCAGGGAAAAAAACAGAGAAAGAAAAAAGACUUUAGAGAUCUGCUUCUGCAUGGUAAGGAGUAAUAUAAAGUACUGCAUGUUACAAUGAUAUAAGCAUUAAUAGUCUAAGAGUCCUCUUAACUCAAUCAUCAGGGCAUCAGUAUGGAUUUGAAGAAGAAAAUAGAGAGAGCAUAAGAGAGGAGAGAGGGAGAAAUUAUGAAAGAGAAAAGGUGGAAAAUUUUUAUAGAGUGGCAUUGUCAUUAUUUUAUUUUAAAUUAACAGCAUAGACUCCUACUAUUGGACAGUGCAAACCACAAGAUAUCACAUGAUAAAACUACCACAAGGUUUAAAGUUAUUUUAUCUCAAACCACAAGGAUUGAAAUUCUAAUUAGCCGUGUAUGAAAAUAUGAGAUCUUACCAAGGAGCUAAUUAGAAUGUUCUUUUAGGGUAUAUAAAUUUGAAUGUUGAGAGUUAUGGAUAACAAAAUCUAGUCACCCACCCAAUUAAUCUGCAACAAACAGUACAUUGGAAUAACAUUUUAACAUAUUAAACUCCUAUAACUUCUUGUUAACUUUGAUAGUUAUUAUAUAGUAUGUGAUUAAAUGGAGACUCAAUAAAGAUAACUCCUGUCCAGGUUCAAAGAGUGUAGAUGCUACAGAGAUGAAACACAAGAUAUAACCCCUUAUAGAUGAAUGCAUAAUUUCUUAUGAGUGAAAGCUUUAAACAUCCAAGCAGUCCAACAAAGAACCAGAAGUUUUAUAAUCCUUGGAAUCACUCACUCAAAGGCUUCAUAGCUUCUUUAUCCAGUCUUUAUGCAAUAAUCUAUUACCUCUUCCUGAGGAACAUCUCCAAUUCACUAGCAACUCAUUAACAUUUUAGAAAUCACAGUUGAUAGAUUUCCCAAAGUUAUAAUUACCCUGCUGAAAAAUAUCACUUGUAAACCCAAUAAAUUCACUAGAUACACUGUGUAAAUUAAUAAAGUCAAGUAUGGCAAGCCAGGAAUCUGCCUAGUUUAAUAAUCAAUAUGAUAUUUGGAUUUUUACAAAAGCAGACACAUAUUGUGAAGAUUCCAUCAGGCCUAGGAAAAAAGCUGAACUGGCAAACUGAUAAUAGAUUGUAUUUGAUUUUGUAGCAUCUCAGCAUAAUGAAGCGACAUUACAUAUAUGCCCAUUCAACAGCAAAACAUGUACAAGUCAAGUUACUUGGCUACGGAAUGUUCGUUUCGCACCCCUCCAUUAUUUAUUUUUAACCAAUAUUAUCCACUGCAUAAGAUCCACAAUUCAUGUUAGGGUAUUAUACAAUAUGGUUGGUAACAAUGAAUGUAUUGGAAAGUAUUGGUCAAAAAAUAACGAGGGUUAAUCUCAACCCAUAAAAUGCAGCUUGCUUUCAACAAGUAAAAUAAAAUAUGAACAAAAAAAUGACCACAAAACAAAAAAUAUAUAUAUAUAUAUAUAUAUAUAUUCUACACAAUGCAACAGAUGUAAAACAUAAUGUAAGCAUAGAAACUGAAGGAAACAUUUAUUUCAAACAGAGAUACAAAGAAAACUCUUUGAGAAUUACAAGCAACAUCCAAUAGCGAAAACUUGUACAUAGGCAUCUACCUUAUUUAGCAGCUUUGAGCGAUCUACGAUACUGGCUGUAUCAUAAUUAUGUACUUCCUCCAAUAACUUUUCUGGAAACUUGUGCUUGGAUCGAGAACAAAUUUUUGAAACUUUAUCGAGGAGAAAAUUAUUAAACCUGAAAUAAAUUUGAAGGCAACUCAAAGUAACACACUCCUCAAUCAUCAUGCUUUAAGCAACCAGAAAGCUGAAUGUAGUGCAUUACCUCAUUUUUCUUCCUAAAGCAUUCCUAUAUCCUCUCUCUGCUUCAAAAACUAUAGCACUUCUCAACCCUUGCCCACUAAAACACUGAAAGAAAAGGAAGAAAUUUCUUUAAAAAAAUUUACAUGUGACAAAAAUUCAGUAUCAACUGCCUCAUUUGAUGCAUAAGAUGCUAAAAAGGCAUAAAUAAAAAUUCUAUAAUGGAAUAAAUAAAACUUGCAAAGUUCUCAGAAGCAUAUCUAAGGACCAGGCAACAUGCUUGGUUGGAUAAAUAAAACAACUACGAAAUAAGUUAAGGCAAAUAAAGGGGUCUGAGCAACAUGCAUGCAAGUACCUUGACAUUGGCAGAAAAUGGCGGAAGAGAAGAAUCAAUUUAUGUCAAUGAAAAGUGCUAUGAGUUAGUGAGAGAGAGAAACAAAAUUUCUAAUUUGGCCCAUCAGAAGCAUAUCUGGUUCUUAAUAGGAGGAAAAUUAAUGAACAAUGGUAUCGAUGACCACAAGAAUGUUUAAAAUAUACUCAAAUUUCCAUAACAUAAAUUUGAUUUAAAAACUUUCGAGAAAAGAAAUGCAAGCAAAUAUAGACACAGUAGAUAGAAAGACAAGAAAAAAAGCUCUCUACUUUGCCAAGACAUUGUACAGAGAGGAGAAAACAAUUUAAAAGAAAAGCAAAAAAAGGAGUGGGAGGGAGCAAAAGAGAGAGAGAGAGAGAGAGAACCUUAACCAAUGAGCAAAAUAUAAAGGUGUUGAACAAACAGUUUCUUUAAUAAGACAAAGAAAGAGAGCUCGAUAAAACUUUCCAGAUGUAUAAUUUAUUUAAAACAAAAAAAUCUUAAAUAAUAGUAAUAAUAAACAUAUUCCACAAUCAGCCAAGUGAAAAUUCAAAUUGAGGAGAAACCAUGUCUUUAACUCACUUUAUCAAACAAACACGUAAUAUUUGUGUCUAAAAUCAAGGGAAGAAGAAAAAAACUUCAUAUAUGCAGUGAAACUUUAAUCAUAAGUUAUAGAAGUUAUUUAACAUAAGAAACGAAUGGGGCUAAUCAGAAAGCCUAACUUAAAGAUCCUAGAGAAUGGAUAGUUGUUAUGCAUGAUUUGAAAUAAAAAAAAGAGCACAAACCUUCUUAAAACUAAUAACCAUCGGGAGCCUAGUUUCCAUAAUUCGCUCAAACCCUUACAAAUUUGGAAUUGGAUCGCAGGAUCCUAAUCCUGGAUAAUUUGCGAUCCAAUUUAGUAGUUUCUGUAUUAUUAUUUUAUAGCUUAAAGCUGAACUAGCAGAGGCAGCUACAAUAACAACAAAAUUACUAACAAACACAUAUGUAUUUAUCGCUUUUUUAUUUUUCAAGAAACACUACUAGAUAUUGUUAUUAGUUUUGACAAAUUUUAAUUUUAAUUUUUAAAUUAAUUUAAUUAUCUCAUUAAAAAUAUUUCUAAUUAAAUUAAUAAAUAAACAAGAAGACUACCCCUAUUGUACUGCAUUCCAUAUAGAUAAUAGAUUACAUUUUGGUUCCCAUUCCACGAACCAUCUAUGUUCCAGGUAACUUUAGAUCAAGAGAUUACAUAAAUAAGGUCAUUGAUGCAAAUGUGUUGGAUCUCCCAUAAAAUUUGGGAACGUGGAUGAGAAAAAAUCAAAUUUCAUGCUCUUCAAAAUUCAUAUUGAGAUUUUGAUAAGAACAAAAUAAAAGUACCGAACACAAUUAUUUCAGCAAACCAGGCAAGCAAAGAAGCUUAGAAAAUUUGAAAAGAUCAUUGUCUGUAAAAAGCCAACGCAGAGUCAUCAUCACAAGAACCUUUACUAAUGUCCUCUCCAAAAAAGCCAAUAAUGAGAAUUUGAAAGCAUGCAAUAAGCUGGCAGGUAAGAAUUCCUGAUGCUUGUUAUCUAAUUCAUAAUUCUAAUAAUGUGUCUGCCAUCAGAGCAACCACAUAGUUUAAGAUUGUCUCCUUUCCGUAAGCCAGCAACUAAAAGAAAGGGAUGCUUGUGUUGCAUCUCUGAAACAUUAUCUUUCAUGAUCCAGAUUGCAAAUGCACUGCUGAUUGGGAUCAUGCAAUCUAAAACAUUAUUCAACAGGGAGUGGGGAAAAUUAGCCAACUCAGGUCCUUCCUUUCCCACUCAGUACUUGGUGGAUGGUUUUGUCUCCAAAACGAUGUGGGGAGAAAAGGAGAAAGAAAGGACAGUAGAGAGUAGAAACUAGAAUAAACCAUGCACUAGCAGUAACUGCUCAGUAUUUUAAUAAUCGCAUCAUCUUUUAUUAUCCAACACUAAUAACAGAUAUAGAUACGGGAAUGGCUUGAUAAAGCAGUCUCCCUCAUCUUCUAGGGCCUCAUUGGCAUCCCAUUUGCAGACACUAUACCGUGAAGCAAUUGUUGAUGGUCACCUUGAAACCACUCCAUUUAUGUUACUCCUUCUAAGUUCAAAACAUUAUCUCACAUUGAAACUAGAUCUAUAAAUGCAACUCGACCAUUUAAAUAUACAGUGUGAAUAAAUAAAACUGAAUAGUCCAAUAUUUCUCUAUUCUAUAAUGGCCAGUCUCACUAAACCCUUCAAAUUUGCAUCCUAUAUUUAAGAUUGUUAGGAUCUAUAGACCUGGAAGAAUUUAAGAUUUUCAUAUUAAGAGAAUAUGGUUGAAUCUGAAUCAGAUAUUUCACUUUCAAAGCAAAAGAUUUCAGGAUUUAAACUCAGCAGUUACCUUUCAACCUAUGAGUUUAACCAGGUAUUACAACUAAUGAAAUGGAUUUGCCCAACAUUGCUGUCUUUGGCAGUGUUUCCACUAGUCAUUUAUCCUACUUGGUUUUUCACCUGUAUUUAUAUUUUUACUUUACAGUAGCCUCUCAAAUUUUUCAUACACACAAAGACACAUGCAUUACCGUUCAUCGUUCUACUCUAAGUCUCACAACUUCAUGGCAGAACCUUAGCAGAACCUAAAACAAUAACAAUCUAAAUUGACAUAUAAAUGCAUGUUCUAAUUAUUCGUUUAAAAAAAUGAGAUUGGUGGCACUGUAAAGACAACUAAAUUUACUAAACAUAAAUUUGAUUCAUACCAUGCCACAUGAAUGCACGAUUGAGACCGUCAGUGCCAUGUGAAACAAACUUACUGCACCAAAAGAACAUGCCUAGCCCACCAAAGCAUGUAUAAUCCUGCAACACAGCAUAUGAGAUAGAAUCUAGAGAAUCAAAUCAACUGCCGCAGCCCAUACAAAAUGAAAACAUAAACAAUGGGAUUUAGAAGACUUGGGUUUCAUUCAAAUCAAAGAAAAAUACAAGUUCUCGCUCUCCUGCUUCAAUUCUGGAAGGAAUUUGAAGCUGUGACAAUUGAACCAACGAAGUUUAUGCAAGGGGAGUUUGUUUGCAUGCAGUUUCUCGGCAACCAAACAUGGAAAAUGUAAGAAAUGCACGCAAAGCAAAUUGAAAGAUAAAAUAUGGAUGGAGAUUAUGAAAUUACGAUGUAACUGGAUUUUGCAACAAGAUUUCUUGUGUAUGUGGAUGUCAAUGCUUCCAAUGGCUAAGAGUAUAUAAUAAGUUCUCAACGAAAUUUGCUCAGGAAAGGCGAAAAAAGGAAUAUAUCAAGAAAAUUGGAAAAAGAAUAUACCAAGAGACUUGAGAAUAUAUAUAAGAAAGACUCAAACAAAGCUUCCGUGUCUGAAUAUCAUUUUUAUGCUCGGUUGGAAACUGCUACUGCUUGACGGAUAGAGAUGUUCUGUUCCUUCUGCUACUACUCUCCGUCUUACCCUUUUCUUUCUAACUCCAAACAACAAUAACGAAAUUAAAAAAAAAAAAAAAAUCAACCAUGAAAACAGUAACAUAUAUCACCACGUGAGCAUCACGUGACCGAUUGCCCUCGUUUGCUCAAUAAAUAGACCGAGUUUUAUCACUAGGGUUUAUUCAAUUUCAGCCGCGAUGCCAUUGCCAAGCAGUACUCAGGAGAAACUGCAGCAAUAACCUAGGUCAGGCCUUCAAUGUUCAAUCAUAAAGUUUUCAUUGUUUUCCCAUUUCCAAAAGUUCUAAUAGAGAGAAAGGGGCUGAGGCGAAUAGGGGAGAGCAGCAUUUUCAUCAGUGGCUCUUAAAAUACCUGUGGGUUCUCUACAGGCUGCCCUGCCUUUCCAUCGGCCCUGCACAUCAAACUUUUUCAAUGGCAUCAUAGUACGGGUUUUGUGCUUUCUUUUGCUGUUGGGUUUUGGUCGUCAGAAUGGGAUCUUUGGUUUUCUUUACCAAUUUCCCUUCUUUGACCUACCCAUCAGUUUCUUUCACCACAAUCCCGCCUCCAAACGCCAUUACAUCUACAUGAAUACCACUGCUUUAAAACCUCUUUUGAUUCUCCUUUUUCAGAAUUUGAAAACGAAAAAUGGGUUUGAAUUGGUUAUAUAUGAAAAUGGUUAUGGCAAAUUUCAAGGGCUUUUCUAGAUUUGCUUGAUAACAAAUAUCAUAAUUUUAUUUAAAGUUCUAGCUACUGAGAAUUCGUGGCUAGGGCGGCUGUUACUUGCUCUGGAGCUCUAUUUUUAGUUCUGAAUAAAAUGAUCAUGCCCUUGGAUUAAGUAAAUGGUUGAUGCUAAAAAUCGUUAAACUGUUGGUUCAAUAAUAGGUAAUACAUUUGAAUUGGUUCAGUAUAGUAUAAAAUCAGUAUAAGCCUAUAAGGUUACGUAGCUUGAGUCUGCUAGUCACUACAAAGCACAAAAACGAGAACCAGUUUCCGAGGAAUAAAAUUCAGAGUUCCCCCAUGACAUUUGAUUAUGAACCUUUUUGCUCCCAACCAAACUUGCCCUUCUCCAAAGCCCAAUCCUCAAUCAUAGCCUAAAGCACAUAGCAAGCAAGCUCCCCAUUUACUUUCCAAACUUUUCUGUCAGCCAUCAAGAACUUCUCAAUUCCUUCUCAUUUUCAUUGUCUUCACCCAUGCUUCUGUUGACACCACACCAUCCUGUAAUCAUAGAGCCCUUGAUACAACAACACCUUACUCUUCUUCACCAAGGAUUCCAUUAUGUACUUCACGCUCUUCAUCACAUCUUCAUGCAAUGCAGCCCUAAGAACAUCACUGCACUGUCGACAACCAUUGACUAGUUCACUCGUAAUGCUUUCUUUACCUUAGCUUUGUUUCGAAACUCGUCUGGUAAACUUCUGUGGUAGGGCUUUCUCUGUUUAAAGUCAUGCAAAAGUGGCCAAACCUGUCAUUUUUUACAACAGAUUCAACCCCUUGGUUCUAGGCUUCUAGCAUCUGUUGCCUCACUCCAGUUCCCCAUCUUAACCAAUUUAGCUCCCUCCCAUUGUGCUUCCUCUAGUUCUCCUUUCUGCCUCUCAUUAACCAUCACUAAAUAGCAAGCAUUGUCAGCAUAAUUUGCAAAUUGGGUGAUCGGGUCCGUUAACCCAUCACCUAUAACAAGACCUCUCAGGUUCACUCGUUUUGAAACUGGCAGAUGCAGAUUUUUGUUGAAAAUGUAAUAUACCCAAUUGCAGGAACAUAAUAUCCUGCAUAACUCUCACCGGUAACAUAAAUAAGACGAUGCUUAAACGAAGGAUCUAAUGAGAUAAAACUUGUAAUUACAGCAAAAAGAUUCUUAGCAACAUAAUCUUGGUCCUGAGGAUGUUCUCAUGCCGUUGAAGUUAUGCUAAACUCUAAACCCUGUUCCAAUAGGAUUAUCAAGAAAAAGAAACCAAAUAAGCGAUUCUAAGCCUGAAAUAGCUCAACAGACAAGUGCUCCGCAUUUUGCCCGUUAGAAGAAACAAAAUGCCAUGGCCCAAGCUCGAAGAAGUUUCCAAGGUGCAGUCAAAUGAGAAAUCGUGCUUUUGCUAGGGGUGAGCUGGGAUUUCUAGCUUCAUAGGUGUAGAAAAUAGCAGAACUAGCAGUAGGAUUGACUGGGAGGUAACCCGAUUUAGUGGGACGGCUCCUUUGGGAAAGAGAGGAGUUGAAGUACUGUGAUGAAGCAUGGAGAGGAGGAAGAAGAAGAAAGCAUUUGUUGACUCCCUUCCCAUAUUUGUUAAGUGCUCCUUAACUUUUAGUGAUGGUUCGUAAUGUUCUGAUACACAUAAGAGCUAGUUGCUUAAGAGUGUGGCAACACCGGAAGACUCCUUGGCUUCUUUCAUGUACACGUCCUGCCCUGGUAGUGCAACAAAAGAGAAGUUGAGAACUUUAAAAGCAGUGGUGGACACUUCAGAAUUGAGCACCGCUGGAGUUUUUUGUUAGUCUGGGUAAAUUGAAAUCGUCAUUUUCAAUUUGAGUUACUUUUGAUUUCUUUAUCUUCUAAACUGUGCCUAAAUCAUUUCAUUUUUAAUAUUGUCAAACGCUUGUCAUUUAAUUUUAUUUUCCAUUUUUUUCUUUUCCUCUUUCAUCAGCAGUUGAAUCAACAAUUUAAUCAUUCCAUAAAAUAAAAACGAGGUAACAAACAAUUCUCUUUGCUAUAUAGCUCAAAAUGAAACAGUCAUCAUAAUUGAUUAAGUAGCCAGAAAAGGUCAUGGAUGUAUCUAAGACAAAGAACUCCUUCAUUUCAAAUUAAAAUUUCCCAUUUGAUUUUGAGAUAUUCCAAACCGCUUAAAUUUUUAGUUUUGUUAAAUAUUGAACUUUUUAUUGAAUGAAAUUGAUCACGUAGUUUAAGACUGCCAGUCAAUAGAAAGCAGAACAACAGGAACAUGUUUUAGAGCAAUACAAUUCAGAGUGAUCCUCUGAAAUUUGAUGUUGAUGAACCUUUUUUCUGUCCACCAAACUGGCCCUUCUCCAGAACCCAGUUCUCAAUCAUAUCCUGAGAAUUCAAAGCUUGGUCGGCAGGCAAAAGAUGCCCCGCCCCCAAAACCACAACAUGGGUUAAGCUCCCCCACUUUUGCACAUAUCCAGCAAGCUCUCCGUUCACUUUCCAAAGCUCUCUGUCAGCCAUCAAGAAUUUCUCAAGUCCUUCCCAUUUCAUUGUCUUCACCCAUGCCUCUGUUGAUACCACACCAUCUCUUAAAUCAUAGAGCCCUUGAUACAACAGCACCUUGCUGUUCUUCACCAAGAAUUCCACCAUGUACUUCACGCUCUUCAUCACAUCUUCAUGCAAUGCAGCCCCAACGACGUCACUGCACUCCUCGAAAACAAUCGAUUCAUUCACUCGCAAUGCUUUCUUUACCUCAGCUAUGUUGAGAAACCUGGUUGCAAACUGUGUCUGGUAAGGCUUUUUCUUUGUAUAGUCAUACAAAGUGGCCAAACCUGUCAUGUUUUGCAGCAUCCUCAAGACCCUGGACCUAGCAUUUGUUGCCUCACUCCAGUUUCCUAUCUUAACCAACUCAACGGCCUCCCUUUGUGCUUCCUCUAGUUCUCCCUUUUGCCUCUGGUUGAUUAAACCAGAAUAGUAAGCACUGUCAGCAUGAGUGGCAACCUGGGUGAUCGGAUCUGUUAACCCAUCACCUAUAGCAACACCUCUCAAGUUCACUCUUUGUGACACUGGCAAUUGGGGAUUUUUAUUCAAAAUGUAAUACCCAAUUGCAGGAACAUACUUUCCUGCAUAACUCUCACCAGUAAUAUAAAUAGGACGAUACUUAAACAAAGGAUCUAAUGAGGUAAAACUUGUGAUAGCGGCAAAAAGAUGCUUGGCAACAGAAUUUUGGUCUCUAGGAAUCUCCUGGGGCGUUGAAGCUAUACUAAACCCUGUUCCAAUAGGACUAUCAAGAAAAAGAAGACCAAAUAAGCGGUUCCAAGAACCUGGAUUGCGCUUGAGAGACAAGUGGUCAACGUUUUGGUUGUGAGAAGAAACGACCCACCAUGGUCCAAGCUCAAACAAGUUGCCGAUCAUGGAGGAGCAGCCCGGGCCACCUUGGAGCCAAAUGAGAAGUGGGGUGUGGGAGAGAGGGGAAGUGGGGCUUUGAGCUUCAUAGAAGGAGUAGAAAAUAGCAGAACCGGUGGCAGGAUUGACCGGUAGGUAGCCUGAUUUGGUGGGGAGGGCUUCUUUGGGGAACAGAGGAGUGGAAGAACUGCGAUAAGGCAAGGAGCAAAGAAAGAGGAGCUUGAGGAGGAAGAAGCAAGCGUUUGCUGCUGUUGACUUGAUCCUUGCCAUAAUCGUCACGUGGUUGUAAAUUGGAGCCUCUGCUUCUAAUAUUGUGAUGCAUACUAUAGCAGAAUCUUUUUCCUUUUUUGUGCUUAAAUAAUAAAAAAAAAAACCUCAGAACUAUUUAUGUCUGUUUGCAACCACGUAAUUCCCCUUACUUUAAUAAAGGCUUCGUAGGCUAUGUGUGAAUAGGUUGGACUACCCUAUUGGCUUGUCUUGGAUUAGUGACUGUAUACAUAUGAAUUUGAGAAUAUGCCUAUGUACCGUGUAUGAAAUUCUGGUAUUUGACAUGCUUAAGGGUUAAUAAAUGACUAUGCAUAUGCAUAGGAAAAUAAGCAAGUGGAAUUGUGUCAACUAUGUAUAGACACUAAGGUAUGAUUGGUAAUGUGAAUUUCUUGAAGUUUGGUAAGGAUUUAUCAUUUUAAAUUGAAAUCAACAUUAUGAGAAUAAAAGUUCAUUUGUUAACAACAAAAUAACUUGUUGAAAGAAAACUUUUUACGUAUAAAAGAUUUUAUAGAAAAAUUUAAUAUUUUUUAUUAUUUAAAUAAAUUAUUAAAAAUAUUUUUUUGUUAUUUGAGUUCUCUUAUGAAAAAUAUUUUUUACUAUUCAUUUUGAAAAAAAAAUAAUACAUUAUCAAUUAAAUUAAACUCAACAAAUAUUAUUCAAAUAUAAUAAAAAAAAAGAAAGGUUACUUAAAUUACAUACAUGUUAAAAAAAAACUUAUUUUUGAGGGAUUAAGUAUAGUUAACUAAUCUCUAAGCUUCAAACUAAUUCAAACUAAUAUGAUAACUUGAAUUUUGGAAUCUAAAAAUCAAAGAUCUGCUCUAUGGGUAGGUAGUACUGCCUUUGAUAGCAUCAGUUGGAACUUUCUUGAUCAUGUGAUGGGAUUCAUAGGGUUUGGAGUUAAAUGGAGGCGCUGGAUUAAGGACUGUAUUUCCAUAGUUAAAAUUUCUAUUCUUGUCAAUGGUUCACCAUCGAGACAAUUCAAUAUGGAAAGGGGCCUCCGGCAAGGAUGUCCUUUCUCUCCUCUCUUGUUCAACAUUGCAGGUGAAGCCCUCAGUGCCAUGCUAUGUAAAGCUGAGAGUAUCGGGAUUUGCAAAGGAGUCAUGAUUGGGAGAAAUGGCUUGUCUCUUACACAUCUACAAUAUGCAGACGACACAAUCUUGUUCUGUGAUGCGGACCUUGAAAGCUUAUUAACUCUGAAGAGGAUCCUUAAAUGUUAUUAAAGUGUUUCUGGCCUUAAAGUCAACUUCACAAAAAGUCAUCUUAUCGGGAUUGGGAUUAAUCUGAUGUUGGUGGGAAGAUGGGCUGAGAAGAUCAUGUGCAAGGUAGGAUAUCUACCCACCACCUAUCUCGGGCUCCCCUUAGGUGCCAAGCAUAACUCAACUAGAUUUUGGGAUCUAGUCUUGGAAAAAGUGAGGAGAAAGCUUGCUAGUUGGAAGACUAAAAUGCUUUCAUUUGGAGGCAGGAUCACUUUACUCAAAUCUAUCUUGACUAGCAUGCCCGUGUUCUGUAUGUCCCUAUUUCAAGUUCCUCACAAGGUAAAGAAUGAGCUUAAAAAACUACAACGCAAAUUCUUGUGGGGAGGGGAUGAUCAAAAAAGAAAAAUCCAUCUUGUCAAAUGGGAUAAGGUUUGUAACUACAAGGAUUGUGGGGGUAUUGGUAUUACAGAUAUUGAGAUUAAAAAUCGUGCUAUGCUUAACAAAUGGAUUUGGAGGUAUGGAAUGGAGAUUGACAGUCUUUGGAGAACGGUGAUAGUCGACAAAGGCAGCAGCAACCCUUCUAUUCUUUUGCCAAACACGAGUGUAAACAAGAGAGUUUCCACCUUAUUGAGGCACAUUAUUAGUCUCAUUUCCCCUUUUAACAAGUUUUACUUGUAGGUUGUUCCUAACUUUGGUUUUGCAGUGGGUAAAGGUGAUAAUAUGCUCUUUUGGAGUGACGAAUGGAUCGACGGGAUCAUUCUGAGUCAAGCUUUCCCGAGAAUUUUUGCAGUGACUGUUAAUAGGUAGUUAAUUUCGGACAAUGGGAGGAUGACUCUUAGGUUUGAAGAUGCAAAGAUGGCUUUUCGAUUGGGAAAAUGAGUAAUGGGAGCUUUUAAGAUUUGUUCUAAAGGAAUUUCAGUUGAGUAAAGUGUUAAAGGAUGAAUUAAUCUGGAAAUAUGAGGUCGAUGGUGUGUAUACUGUCAAAUCAUUUUGUAAACAAAUCAUGGCUCCCAAAGAUAAAAUUGAGAAGAUAUGGAAGUAUGUCUGGACGAGACUGGCGCCUUUUAGAGUGGAAGCGUUUUGUCUGGUUAUUGAUGCAUGGUAAGAUUAUUGUCAAAGAUGAGCUGGAAAAAAAGAUAUGUUACAAAAUAACCCCCUGCUUUGUGUUCUAUGUAAUCUCUAUAGAGAAACUUGUUGUCACUUGUUUAUUGAAUGCAAAGAAUCAUGGAAAGUUUGGGUUGGUUGCUGGAAGCUGUGCGGUUGUGAAUGGGUUAUUCCCAUCGACAUCAGAACCUUUUUUGAAGUGUGGAAUAAUUGUAACUGGGCCAAUAUUGAUGUUAGAAUUUGGAAAAUGGUGUUUUUUGCUAUUAUUUGGUCUAUUUGGAAAUGCAGAAAUGAAGUCAUCUUCAGUGGCAAGGAAUGGAAUGUUGACCAAUGUCUUGACUUAGUUAAAGUGAGAGUUGUUUCUUGGUCUAAUGCCAAAUGGCCAGCUGAUUACUCUUCAGUUCUGGACACUUACAAGGAACCGUUAGCUUGCGGUCAACCUAGGAAGAAUAGGAAGAAUAUUAAAAACAUCUUGUGGACUGCCCCUGAUGAGAGAACACUGAAGUUUAAUGUUGACGAAGCAACUCAAGGAUGCCCCGGACCUGCUGGUAUAGGUGGCUUGUUACGAAACUGUAAAAGGGAGGUCAAAAUUAUUUUUUCCAAACACAUAAGUGAAGCCGACUCUAACCUUGCCGAAUAUAGAGCUGUCAGGGAAGCUUUUGCCAUCUUUGUUGCUUCUAAAUGGAAGGAGGAUUACAGCCUGCUAAUUGAAAGCGACUCAUGUAAUGCGGUUAAAUGGAUAAAAGCCCUUGCUUCAGCACUUUAGAGACUUAAGAAGUGGGCUUUACAGAUUGAGAGAUUUAAAGAGAUUAUUGGCAACUGGAGUAUUGAGCAUACUAAAAGAGAUGCCAAUCAAAAAGCAGACAAGCUUGCAAAGAAUGGGGUCCAUCUUUCACAUGAUAUCCUCUGUGUUUUUUAGUAAAAAACUCUUUUCCCUUUUACUUCCAGUGCCUGUUUUCAUCCCCUAGAUGUUGGUUCUGCUAGCUUCUACGACUUCUUCCUGAAGUGCUGAUUUUUCUGAAUGGUUGCGUAUUGCUGGCUCCUGUCCCUACAACAAGUGGACUACAACCCCUUUAUGCCCAUUGUGUACCUUUAGGCUGGUGGAUAAUUGGAGGUGCUUUGGACUGAUGGGUCUCACAAGGCUGAAAGAGUGGAGCUCUGUGUUGUCAACCAAUGACCAAAAGAGAUGAUUAAAGUGUAAAGGGGAGUUUCUAUACUUUUGUUUUUACCUUUGCAGAUUUUGUUUAUGAACAGCUUGAUUGUUUUGAUGUUUUGUUAUGAGAUAUGUCUGUUUGUUUGUGGUUGUGUUAACCUCCUUUUGUUUGAUGGGGGAUGUUUAUGCUACCUUUGUGGGGAUGGCAGGGGUGGUGUCGAUGUUGUAGAUCAGUUUUUUAUUCCUCUGUAGCCUUUCCUGUUGGAUUGGAGGUUGGGCUUCCUCCUUGAUGAUUUAUAGCUACGCUUUUUUUGUUGAAUGAACUAUCAGCUUUUCAAAAAAAAAAUUUAAAGUAUUCAUGGUUGGCUUUGAAUUUUUAUACCAAACUUUUGAAACCGACAACAAAUCUUGAGAGGAAAAGGUUAUUGAAAGAAAAAAAAGUUUUCUUUUGAGAAAAAAAAAGGAAAAAAAGGAAAAAAAUAGGAAGAUAAAGAAAAAAAAGAGGAAAAGAAAGAGAGUGGGAGGUGCAAGUCACUAAUGGCCGCUACAAUAGGAGAGAGAGAAAGCGUUUUACUAACUAAAAAGAGAAAGAAAGAAGGAAAGAAAGCAAAGGUUGUUGGUCAAGAAAACUUUCGAUGCUACUAGCAAUGGUGGAAGGAGGAAUGAGAAUUAACAGAUCAAGUGAGAGAGAAAAUGGAUUGGGAUAGGGAGGGUCAUGACACAGGGAAGGGAAAGGAAAUGGAACGUCGAUACAAAGAGGGAGCUUAUGUUUUGAAAAUUGUCUUAUGCCAUUUCAAAACGUGAGACAAUUUACAGGAUAAAUGGGUCUUUUUCCCAUUGACCCGUAAAAUGUUUUCAAUUUUGAUUUUGUUUUCAAUCUUUCAAACAACCUUUGCUCCUGAAAAAGUUUUUCGGAAAACAUUUUACUGCAAAACAAACGGAGCUUAAGCUAUGUUUGUUGACUUUUGGAAGUUGAACGAGGUAAAAAUGAGUUUGGAAGCUUAGGAAGAUAAAGUAAGCCUAAGUGAGUAAAUGUUUAAGUGUUUGGAACCAUGAAAUUUCUAGAAAAUGGAGCAUGUCUUGAGACCAACCAAGAGGGUCUCGAUACAUAAGGCAUGGCAUUCUGGGAAAUUGACCAUGGGACAUGAUGUCUCAAGACCCUAAGAAGAGGUCUCGAUACAUGGAGCUUAUGCUUCUAGAAAUAGGCAAAUUGCAUGCAAGUUUCGAGAUCAAGGGGAAGGAGUCUCGAUACAUGGCUACAUGUGUUCUAAUUAAGGGUGUUCUAACCUUAAAGUUUUGUAACUUUAACAAUAGGCAUCAAGACCUACAGUGAGAUUUGAAAAAAAAAUUUAUAAAGCUUUGGGUAAUUUGCCCAUUUAAGAAGUUAGAGGAAAUAAGCUUUGUAUUUCUGCUAAUGUACUCCCAAGCUCUCCACUUAUGCUUGGACCUCAUUUGAAGCAUUUAGAAGCUUAGAAAUCCGUAAUUAAGGUAAGAACAAGCUUCCUAGUUGCUUAAACUAUGCUUUGAUUGGUUGUAAGUGGAAUUAUGUUUAUACUUUAACUCAGCAGCAUUCCCCUUGAGUUAAUGGAAUCCUGAAGUUAAAGUUGGUUCAAUUUGACUAUCAAGAUAAGAAUCUAACUACCUUGAACACUAGAACCCUUGGUUUAAGAAGUUGGAAGCUAUUAGUUGGAUUUGGAAUCUGAUCUAAGUUUUAAAUGUUGGCAAUAAUUUGAAGUUAAUAAUUUAACUUUUGUAUUCUGUUUAGGGGAAAAUUCAAGCUCAAGAUUUGUUAGUGAGCAAGCAAAGCUCAAUUUGCUUAGCUAGUGGAGAUCACUUGUUACAGUGAGUAGGGCAUUGUUUUAAAAUUUGUUUUUUGCAUAUAAACUAAGUAUGUGAAAAGUAUUCUUCCUAGCACCUUAGGUUAGAAGUAAUAUGCCUAGCCUUAAUAUUGUUAUGACGAUUGAUCUUGACUCUGUUAGAGAACAAAUUCUAUUUUGUACGAAAGCUACAUGUAUAUAAGUGUGUGUGCGUGUGUGUAUAGAAAUAUCUUGAAAAUGGAAACAAGCAUCUUAAAAAAAAUGUUUAACCAUCAAGUGGUUUUCAAAAGCAUCCUGCUAUGAUUUUAUGAAAGCCACACAGUGGCAAUUGGGCUUACUUUUCUUUGAAACCGAGGCUAUGGUCUGUCGGUCUUAAUAUUCUGUUUUGAACUAGCCGAAAUAGCUUGUUGUUCUAUACUAGGAAUAUUGGAUGAACAUUAUUGCUUUUGCCUCUAGAUAACCCAUUGAGAAUUAUUACUUUGUAUUAAGAUAGAUGUUGAGCUAUUUGCCUAAUAAUUAUGCAUUCAGAGAUGCUAAACUUCUGAAAUGAAUACUUGCACAUAAGAUAAUAGUUUAUUGUGAUUAAUGAUCUGAUUCCUUCUGAUGGAUAAGAUUCUGGGUGAUAUUAUAGCCAUGUUAAAGGGAGUUCCUACCCCAUAAUCUUGUUUACCAUCCAUGGCUUCGGCAUCGAACAUGUCUUGUUGCUCGAGAGGCUUCUUGUUAUGUAACCAUUCAAUUUUGCCUCGUAGUCUUGUUUUACCAUCAAUGGCUUUGGUGCCAGAUGUGUUUUGUUACUCAAGAGGAUCCCUUUUAUAUAACCAUUCAAUUUUGCCCCGUAGUCUUGUUUUAUCGUGGGUGGCUUUGGCAUCAAACAUGUCUCGUUACUUGAAAUGAUCCCUCUUAUAUAACCAUUCGUUUUUACCCUGUAGUCUUGUUUUACCAUCUAGUGGCUUCGACACCAAACGUGUCUCAUUACUCAAGAGGACCACAUUAAUUGAUCUUGUUAAUUGCCCAUGAGCAUUUGAUACUCGUAGUAAGUAUACACUAGUUUUUGAGUUGUAUGCCCAAGAGAGGCUUCUUGUUGAUAAUGGCUCAAUGAUUUCAGAAAAAAAAAAAGGUAAAUGACCUCAUUUGGUAAGUGUCGGUUCUGGACCCAACUUGGAAAAUUUUAGCUAAUGGUGGGCCUCCUGGUCAACCAUUAUUUGGUAUUUGUAUUGGAUUACGUAUAGGGAUACCAAUGAGUAUCCUAUUACAGGACACCUAUAGAUACCCAACUUAGAAAUAUAGAGUUAGGUAUCUUAUAAUCAAGUUUGGGAUGUGUUUACAUAGUAAUUUCACUACUCAUAUUAGAUUGGGUACUAUCCUUUGGGUACUUGAUACCCAAACCCGAUUAUGUUUAUAUUUGGGUUCUUCGAGUACCCAAACUCAACCUGAACUCGAUACCCAUUUAUAAAUAUUUUUAUUAUUAUUUAUAUAAUAUAUAAUAAAUAAUUAAAUUAAUAUUUAAAACUUUACAAACAAUUCAUUUUGUUAGAAAUUAACAGACAUAUGGGAAGUAUCGUUAGUCAAAUUAUUAAUGUGAUAUCAUUAAUAUAUUUAAAUUAAAAUGUUAUUAGAUUAUUAUUUAUGUUUAAAUAAUAUGAAUAUCGUAUCAUAUUACAAAAGAAUAUAAUUAUUGUUAUAUAUAUACUUUUGAUAUAAACAUAUUUAAUUUCUAUUUUGUGUUAAUGUUACAAAAAUUAUAACGUAUAAAAUUAUUAAUUAUAAUAUAUAUACCUUUAUUUAUAUAAACUUAUAAUACACACACACACCUAAAGAAAAGUUAUGAGAUUAGAAUAAAUUUGAAACUUAGCAAUUUUUUUUAAUUCCAUGUAAUUAAGGACAAAUUUUUAUAAUUUUUUAAAUUAAUUCAUGAAACUAUGAUUAUUAAUUAAUGUGUAAUGUCAUUUAAUAUAUAUACUAUCUAUAUUGUAUUAAUUUAUAAGGAAUAUAAUUACAAUUANNNNNNNNNNNNNNNNNNNNNNNNNNNNNNNNNNNNNNNNNNNNNNNNNNNNNNNNNNNNNNNNNNNNNNNNNNNNNNNNNNNNNNNNNNNNNNNNNNNNNNNNNNNNNNNNNNNNNNNNNNNNNNNNNNNNNNNNNNNNNNNNNNNNNNNNNNNNNNNNNNNNNNNNNNNNNNNNNNNNNNNNNNNNNNUAAUUAAGGACAACCCUAUAUAGUUUAUUAAAUUAAUUCAUGAAAUUAUGAUUAUUAAUUAACUUGUAAUGUCUUUUAAUAUACAUAUUUUAUAUAUUGUGUUAAUUUAUAAAAAAUAUAAUUACUAUUAUAUAUAUACACUUUAAAUAUAAACCUGUUUAUUUUCUGUUAUGUGUUAACAUUACAAAAAUUACAACUCAUAAAAUUAUUAAUUAUAAUAUAUAUAUCUUUGUUUAUAUAAACUUAUAUAAUACACACACACACUUAGAGUGAAAUUGUGAAAUUAGAAUAGUUUUAGAAACUAACUAUUUUUUUAAUUAUAUGUAAUUAAAGAUAAACCCAUGUAGUUAAUUAAACUUAUAAUGUUGUUGCCUUGUUGUUAUAAACUUGUAAUGUUUAAGUUGUUGUUUCAAUAAUUAUUUUUAGUUAUUUACGUUGAUAUUUGAGAUAUUUGUUUUUGAUUAUUUAAAUGUAAAUUUUAUUUUUUGUGUGCUUUUAUAAAUUUAAUUAUUAGUGAAUUAUAUAGGAUAUGGAUGAGAAAUAUUAUUGUAUAUGAAUACAGAUACAGAUUUGGGUUCGAGGUAAUUAGGUACCUAUGAAGAGUAUUUUAAUAAUUUUUUUACAUAAUCAGGUUUUUAAACAAAUUUGUAUAAUUAUCGGAUAGUGGAUAUAUAUUAACGUUCGAGUUAAAGUAGUAAAUUUUAAAACUAUUUGUGUAGUUGUAAAGUUUGGGUAUCUCAUUUAUUAAUUAGAUUCAAGUUUAGGUAUCUCAUAAUUAGCGGGUAUCCUAUUUGUUGACAUCUCUACUUAUAUAUGUCACAUUUAUUGUAAAUUUGGUGUAUCUCACGCAUAUAUGUACAAUUUGCUUAUUUCAGAACCGUUGUUUUUAAAAAUUAAAAAAAAAAAACUCUUCUAUUUUACGCUUGUUUCCUUCCACUCUCACUCACCAAGUCUGCGAGACUCACCCCAAUUAAUUGUUGCCUUGUGUAGAUAAAUAGCUUUAUGGGGGGUUUUCUUGAGGGAAGUGAGUGGCUAGCGCUCGUCUAGUAGAUCAACUUGUUUGGGCAUCUAGUAGGAACCUUGACCUGAUGAGUCCAUUCCACUGGUUUGGUAUUAGUGUAAGUUGUUUUUGGUUUAUUGGCAUCUAUGUUGCCACUAUGAUGUACAAACUUUAGAUUUGUUUUGCAUGGGCUUGAACCCAGUUUGCUGGCUGUAAUAUGGCUCUAGUAAAUAGUACAUGGAUGUACUCUUGAUGGAUUAAAUGUUAAGGGCAGUUUGUUAAAACAUAUUUGAACCUAUGCUAUAAAAUGAUUUAGUUAUGUUGUAAAUCUCUACAAAUGAUUACACUUGUUUAUUGGUUUGUCCAAUUUGUUGGAGGCUUUUUUUUUUUUGAAAGGUAAUUUGUUGGAGGCUUGCUUGGGACUCAUGCGUUGGCCACGAUUUUAGAUUUGGGUCAUGACAACUCAUAUAGUUUUAUUAUAUUCAAUUAAAUCUUUUUUUUCUUAUAUGUAUCCAAUUGAUUUAUUUUACCUAAUGAAAUUCUUAUCGCGUCUUGUAAUGAAAGCAUAAUUAAAGUUAUUUUCAAUGUUAAUUGUUAAUUGUUAGAAAUGUAAAAUCUAACAUGAUGUAAUAAUUAAAAAAAUAUUAUAUGAAAUUUCUUGUAACAUGACGUACCACAUCAGUUGUUUAAAUAAGAAUUGAUGAUGUAGUGUGCCAUAUUAACGAUUUUUGUUUUAUCUAAUCAAUAUUUCAUGUCAAAUUUCACAUAUACAUAAAAUGAUAAUUAUUAUUGAAAAAAACAUUCAUUAUACUUUCGGAACGAGAUAAGACUUAAGUUGAAUACAAUAAAAACUUAAUUGAAUAUAAGUAAAAGAAAACAAAAACUUAAUUGAGUAUGAUAAAAUAUAAUGAUUAAAUUAUAAAAAUGCAUAUAAUUCAAGAGCAUUUUUAUUAUUUAAACCUUUCAUUUUUUUUGCUUCAAAACUUGAAUUCCGGUCAUAUUUAGUUUGGUAACUAAUUUUCUUAAAAACAUGCUAUUCAUAAAAAUUGUACCUGUAACUUUAGGUUUUUUUUUAUAAUAUAUAAAAUUAAAAUAAAUAUAUUUGAUAAAAUUAUUUUUACUUGAAGGAAAUUGAGCUGAAAUUCUAGUUUUAUCUAAAGGUCGUUGUUAAUUGUGGCAAGUGGCAACGAAAGAAUCUUUAGUUGGUAUAGACAAACACGUAGGCUUAGUUUUACCUUGUCAUUUUAAUCACUGGUUUUUAUACAAAAUUUGUUUAUAACACCGUUGCUCUCAAAGUAUCGGAUACGGGAGAAUUUUAUUUUCAUGUGUUAUUUUGAUAUAAAUAUUUUAUUUUAUUUUUUUUAAUUUAAAAAAACACUCUUUCAAAACUUUUAAUAAAUUAGUUUUCAAAUUUAAAUUUUUAUAUAAAUAUUAUAUAUUUUUAUUAAAUUUUAAUUUAAUUAAAGUUACCAAGGUCAAAGUAAAAAAAAAGACCCUAAGAAGUCAAACUAAAAAUAAUAGAACAGAGUUAUAAAGGAAGAGGAAAAAUCUUCGUUUACUAACGCAACAGCCACAGCCGAGCUGAGGGUCCUUUCCACCUCUUCUUCAAAGAACGCACGCCACAUGUUCGAUAAAAUGUCUCAACAAUAAAAUAGGUUCCAUCUUAGAUAUACUUGAAAAUUUCAGAAACGACCAUGAUGCUCUACAAUCUUUAUGACGGCUUUAAGGAAAUUCUCAAGAUUCAAAAGUUCCGUAGAGUUGUUUCCUACACUGGAUUCUAUUGCUUUGUUGCUGUUUUGAGCUACGCUUAUACAAGCAACACGUACGUUCAAUUCUUAGUUUGGAUGCAUUUUCAUCAUCUUUAUCCGUUUUCUUUUAAUGGGUUUUCCUUGUUUUUGGUGUUUAUUUUGCAGAACUAGAGCUGGGUAUUCAAGGGCUGAUCAAUUCUAUGCUUCUUAUCCUGCUGGAACUGAGCUUUUAACUGACACUGCUAAGGUAACCCUCUUCUUUUUUUGUUGCAUUCCCAGUAUUUAAAUUUUAUAUAUUUGAUUAGUAUUUGCUUACUGUUUGGUUUGGAUAGUUAUAUAAAGCAGCAUUAGGCAAUUGCUUUGAGUCCGAAGAGUGGGGUCCGAUUGAGUUCUGUAUCAUCGCUAAACACUUCGAGCGUCAAGGAAAAUCACCAUAUGCCUAUCAUGCGGUAAGUUACAUUUUGUGCAUGUGCUCGCACUCUUUCACUAAUCCACUUAAGAUUUUCAUUGCUGGUAUGCAAGAUAAGGUUAUGUUUUCUGGUGUUACUUGAAAGUUGAGACCUUAAUUAAAUUGUGAUAAUUUUUGUGUGCAUGGUUCAUGCACAAUUUGGUUGUUACUUUAGAAAUUCAAGACUGCUGACUCUAUGGAAAUUUAAAGAUAUUGCAGCAAAUUGUGUCAAUUAUUUUUCAAUAUAAAUUGUGCCAUGCUUCCCAAGUUCUUGCUGGUCCUACUUUAGAAAAUGAUAUAUUGCCCUGAAAUGCCUUGUAAAACAAUCUGCCAUUACUUUUUUGAUCCUAUGGAGGUUCAAGCAGACCCAACUAAUUGACUUCUUAAAAAAAAAAAUUUGUGUGAUAAUAAAAGCAUGUUGUAAUUACAAUUCAAUGGUAGUAAAAAAGGUCAAAAGUUGAGUUUUGGGGUGCUUGAUUACAAUUCUAUCCAUAGACAGCAGUGUCAAUUGGGUUGAACAGAGGAAUAUUUCUUUUUUGUAAUUUCAGAUCGACAUGAUACUUCUCAUCUCCUUCUUCUGUCCCUUUUAAAUUUCACAAUAUCUAUUGUGUUUAUUCAUAAGAGGAGUUGCUCAACUUCAAGGCACCAAGGCACUUUGUCUUGGGACAGGUCAAUUGUCACCUUUGGGAGUGAAAGAACUUGGCUGUGAUAACAGGGAAAUGAUCAUGAAUAAGAUAUUGGAUUUUCAACUCAUCCAAGUUCUGCCUUACUGAAUGGGGAAGAAACACCACAUUGAUGACAAUGGGUUGCUGUAUUGAUUUCAGAUUGCAACCAAGGGGUUCAGUUUAUAUUUUCCGUUUCAGCUGGCCUAAGGUUUAUUUAUAUUGUACCUCUCAAAACUCUUUCCCUUGUUUUUGAGACACGGUGGUUUCUUUUCUCAAUCUCUCUUUCAAAUAGAUAUUAAGUUGCGUUUACAUUCGUUUGUUGAAAGGAUAGACAUCAGUGAUUGCUAUGCUGUUGUUUAGGCCUUAAAUCCACUCACAUAUCUCCCUUGGUCGUACACUAAUAUAUUGCCUCCAACUCUUUCCUCCUAUGUUUUAUUUUGUUUAUGACCUAAAACAUUCUAGAGAGAAAGAUCCUCAGCUAUUACUGAAAAAAUUGGGCUGCUGGGAACAGUGGCAAGUUGAGAACUCUUACACAGCCUCAGAACCAUCAGCUUAAAAUCUACCAAUGCAUCAUCCUUGGACUUUUUUGUUUGUGAAGCAAAACCUGCACGCUUAAAUCCACAUAAGGUCGCCCUUCUCUUGUGCUUUUUGAAUUGCUCCAGUGCCUCCCAAAAUUUUCCGUACAAGUUUGCUGGUUUCUUUAUGUUCAUGCAAUACAUCAAAAGUACUUUAAAUUGUUUUGACUUUAUAUAAAUUGGAAGAUGUUGGAUGCUAAAUUCUGAGCUUCUGUUGCUCACUAAGUCAUAUCUUGUUAUCUGGUUGCAGCAAUACAUGGCACACCUCCUUUCUGAUGGUCAACUUGAUGGAAGUGGCUAGAACCUAGAAGCGGUAAAAUUCACUGCUAGACGAAUGGAAACGCAUGUGCAAUACACGUGAAAUGGACUCAUGGUGGUCCUUAUACCAAUGAGGAGAACAGAAAUUAUCUUGUCUGUGAUGCCUAGUGGUUUCCUGUUCAACAUAAGAACUUGUGCUGACACCUUAAAUUAAGUGCCAUUGCACUUAAUCUUGGUUCCUUGGGAUUUUGGUUGGCUUUGUUUAGACUUUAGAGGCUAUAAUUUGCAGCAUUUGGGAAUUUGGCUUUCCAGGUUUUGCCGUCAAUGCCUAUAACAGCAGCCUAUAUUCUAACGCUAUCUGCAAUUUGCAGCAUUUAUUGAGGAUUACUUCAAACAACAAACAUAAUAAUAACAAGGUUUCGGUGGAAACGUGUUCAAUGAUUUCCUUGCAGUGAACUUUAUAAAGGAAUCAUGUGGGCUAAGGGCCUCGUGACCAUGGAGUAUGAUAAUGGGUUUGUUAUAUCUGGUAAGAGAUUGAUCAAAUAUAAGAACAUUAAAGAUUUAUCCAAUGUUCACCUUAUUAUUUGUUCAAAACCGGACCCAUAAAGUCAAAGCAAAAUACUUUACUUUUCCAAAACUCUCUACCAUUUAAAAAAUCAAUAUUUACUUUGAAUGGAGAAGAAUAUUAUAAAGCACUAAAUAUUAAUAUUAUUAAAAAAUAAAAUUUUAAUAUUUAUAAUUAUUACCUUCAAAAUUUGUUAAAAUUAGAGAUAUUCACCUACAAAUGAGCAUGUAAAAUUGUAAUAUUGAAAAAGCAUUUUUCAUUCUGAAAAAGUAAUUGUUCUUUUAAAAUUUCUAAAAUAAUAAAUUGAACAUUUAAUUUGAAAUGAAAGCUUUAAAUACAUUUAGUUAAAAUUAUAAAAAAAUAAUAAAUAAAAAUUAUACACUGUCAAUACAUCAUAUAUAAAUUCUUAAUUAUUUUAUAAGGUACAAGCUAUUAUAAACUAAUAAUUUGUGAUAGCAGUUGAUUUUGUUGUUAUUUUCACAGGACCCAAUCUACAGAUAAUUUCUCACCUUAUCAAACAUCACAUCAAUGAAUGAAGUUUAUAAAUGGAUGCAAAAAAACCAAAUAUAUAAUCACUAGAAGCUCAAGAUACAUGAGUGGGCUCUUUAAUGCAUAUCCAUAUCUGCCACCAAUUGAGGUAGAAAUGAUAUUGGAUUCACAGAUACAACAAAAUGCUAAAAAUGUUACUGUAAUUGAAUAUGCUUCAUUUUGAAUCAUGUGAAAAUGUCACUGAAUCCUAGUUAACUAUUGAAUAUUGACAGCAAAUAAGCUUUUAUCUUUACAGUAAUGGCCCAAUUCAUGACCACAAGAAUUGCCUCCCUAAAGUUGCUGCCAUUGAGAUGAGUAAAUAAUUUGUUAAACUUAAAAAGGCAAACAGGUAAGUAACUUCCUCUGAAGAGUCAUAAAUAACAGCUACAUGCUACAUCAGCAGGGUCACCACAUACUAGUUCAUUAAAGAGCCAAUAAUAAUUCAAGAGCUCGAGCAACUUUCCACAAUUUUAUGGCCUAAAAGACAGAUUAUGAACCUUCGAAAGAGAGUUGUUGACCUAGCAAAAGAAAACAAAGCACCUGCAGAUUAUCUUUGUCAAGCGCACAUUAUCAAGCACGUUAAGCCCCCACUUUCUGUACUUCAUUGUGCACCUGAAAAAGGGUUAGAGACAUAAGAGAGGAUACUAAACCCCUUUGUGAAGUGAAACAUUGAUAAACAGCCAUCCAAUAUAUAGUUCGGGAAUACAUACCUCACGAGGUUUUCGAAUGACACCAACACACCUUGAAGCACUGAUGCUAUCACUUCUCAACAGGCGACGAGCACUGCGUGUAGGUUUGGCAGACGCUUUAUGAAUCCCUGAAACAUUUGGGUUUGCACAUUCCAAUUCCCCAGAUCCUUGCAACUUUGCAGGGCUUUGAAGUGUUGCACGGUUAGCAGAAGCCACUGUACGCUUUUUUGAUUGAUCAUCAGUAUCUUCAUUGCAAACUCGCUCUCUGAGAAACAAAAGGUCAUAGCCAGUAUAAUAAAAGCAUGCAUUUAUACCAAGAAAUUGCAAAUAAGAAAAUAUUCCAGUAAUUCACCUAGGCAAAGACGUAUAUUUCCUUUGGAGCAGAAUGCCUCUUUCAUUUUUGCCGUAUUCCUCAAGACAGGCAAAUUGUCGCCUGAACUGAUCAACUCCGCUGGGUUGACAUAAAACACUUAAUUGAAUUAAUAUUCAAUGCAUUUAAAAUAAAGAGGGACACAAACAGUAAGUAAAGAUGCAAAGUUCAGGUAAUAUAAUCAUAUAACUAGAAGAUGAUAAAUCCUAUUAAAAUUUAGAUGAAUGGCCAGAAGAUUGUUGUGUUAAAUCAACGUUAAAGUUGUAUUAUAAUUCCUCUCUUGUGCCUAAGGUUUGCUCAACACUAAAGAUGCUUGCUGAAACGCAAGAAGGUUUCAGAAUAUUCUUUGAUGCAACAUGCUUAAAGUGGAAUCAAUCCCCACUAUUGUAAUUCGCAUAAUAAUUUACUAGGACUGAACUAACAAUGCCAUCUCACAAGUUGGAGGUGUAUAUGCCAGAAUAAGCUUUCCUAUGUUGGGAGAACAAUGUAGAGAUUUAACCUGAACUUAUGACAAAUAUUGCAGUAACAAGAACACAGACUGAUACUUUGAACAAUGAAAAAUGCAAAUUAGUGUUAAUAAUAACAUCAUUUCAUGGUGGAUGACAGUGUUCUCAUCAUGACCAUCUUUCAACAUAGGUGGCACUCCCUGUAAGUUCGUGCUAUCUUUUAUAGAAAAAAAGAUUUUUAGCAUCACUGUCAGCUCUGCAUCUAAAUUAACAAAUGAACUCUUUGAUGGAAAUAAUCAAAGAUAAUAAUUCAUCACUUUCUAUUUCAAACAGCUGAGACCUGGAUUCUUACUGUCAAUCAUCACAAUUACAAGGGUUCGAUCUUUAUGAUUUAUGUUUUCGGUAACUGUUCUAAACCAUCAUCAGAAAAAAUAGAUAGAUGCCUGACCUUGGAUACAUGAAGCUAAUUUGAUCUUUGCCUUGAAGGUACUCCUGCAACAUCUGUGGAUGGUACUCUAAUAUCUGUUUGCGUUUUAAAAAAUAAGAAGCAACACAGUAAACAAUAGUGAAAGAGAGCAUCAAAUUGACAAUAACAUCACUCAGGCAAGAACUAGUCUCUGAGUACAUGCAUACCUCUCUGUAAAUUAGCUCUCUGACGUCAUCUUCUGUCAAUUUCCUUCUUUCAAAUUCAAACUCAAAUUUUGAAAUGGGUUUCAGGGAUGGUUCAUUGUCCAAAUUUGCCAAUCCAUGGAAAUAUGGAUCAGCUAAUGCCUGCAUAAAGAAAAAUCAGUGAAGUUGGUAAAUCAUAGAGUAUGAAGUAAAGAGAUCCAAAUCUUAAACUAUCAGAACCCAUAUAGUUUACCUCUUCAGCAGAUGGACGAUCAUUAGGAUCAAAUGCAAUCAGACGCUUAAGCAAAUUUAGGGCCAUUGGAUCAGCAUUUGGAAAUUUUUCUGAGAAAGGAAUUGGUUUCUUUUUUCUCAUGCUAUUCAAAUAUUUUCUAGCCUUUUCAUUCCGAAUCUGCAGAUAUUAUAAGAGUCAAGAUGGUUGGAAAACAAGGUCUUGGCGACAUUUAGAAUAAAGCUACGAAGUAACUUAAAGAGGUUCCUAACAAGCGCUGAUGAAAAUUUUCUCUAAUCACAAAGGAGAUAGCAGACCCUUGCAAUUGUUUCAGCAGAGGGAGUGCCAAGCAAAUCAGUGACAAGAUCCAAUUGAUCCACCACAUUCUUCCCAGGAAACAAUGGCUUUCCCUUAAGCAACUCAGCAAAUAUACAUCCGAUGCUCCAAAUAUCAACAGCAGGGGUGUACUGCAGAAAACACAGGUUUUGAAUCAAUUAAUAAAGUACUUAAAGGACUUCAGCUCAAAAUUGUUCACCUGAAUAGAAUAUAAAGUAAAAUUCUAAAAGCAGUGUAUGUGUGUAUGAGAGAACAAAAAAGAAAACAGAGGAUUAGAAUUCAAAGAUAUGCUGAAUCAACAAACUCUUGCAAAGAAAGCAAACUGCAACAUCCACAUUCAUCAACCCAAAAAACUUAGAUACGCAAGAAAGCUUCUUCUCACCCAAGCACUAGCUAUUCUACCCCCUCAAGCAACCACAGCCACAAUUACACAACAACAUGAACUCAAAUAUAUAUUUGCCUGUAGCAUAAAAUCCCUAAACUAAACUAAAAUAAGACAGUUUAAAAAAAAACAAUAGAACUGACUAGCAAUUUUUAAGUGAAGAUCAUUAAUUGCAGUAAGAGAAAAAAUGAUAUUAUUACCUUGGAGAAAAAAGAACCGCACAAUUCAGGAGCCCGAUACCAUCGAGUCGCCACAUAAUCCUUGAAAUGUAAAUGUGAUGAUCAAAUGCGAAGGAUAGCUAACUUGGUAUAAACAAUGCCAAUGAAUAGCAGACAAGUCGUAUGGCAAGAAGGAAUCACUUACAGUCCAAAAAAUAGCAGAAGGAACAUCAGUAAAUGAUACCCGAGCGAGUCCAAAGUCACAAAGCUUCAGUUUGCAGUCCGCAUUAGCAAGUAUAUUUUUUGGCUUUAUAUCUCUAUGGAAAACAUGUGCUGAAACAUUGAAAGGAAAAGGUAAAAAAGUGCACAAAUUGGAGAAAACUCUACAGCAAUUGAUAUGUAAAAGAAAGCAACCUGUGUGAAUGUAUUUUAAACCUCGAAGAAGCUGGUACAAGAAAAAUUGAUGAUGUUCAGGGGUUAGAUCAUCAUUUAACUUUAUAACACGGUGAAGAUCAGAUUCCAUCAACUCAAAAACAACAAAUAUAUCUUUAAAUUCUCUUCUACAUGGGGGAAGCAUUAUGUGUUUUAUUUGAACUAUAUCUGGGUGUCGCAGCAGCCGUAGGAGUUUGAUCUCUCUAAGAAUGCGUGUAGCAUCAGAGGUGUGCUCAAAGAUAUUGGUCAUCUUCUUAAUAGCUACCUUCUCUCCAGUGUGAGUAUCUAUUGCAGAUGCAACCACACCAUAACUCCCUUUGCCAACUACUUCCUUUAUUUCAUAUUGACUUGCCUCACCAUAUUCAGUGAAAAAAUCUUUGUCAAACAUUUUCUGAUUAAAUAAAAUAACCAUUAGAUUCCCUCUGAAACAAAAUCAAUACACAAAACUUACACUACAAGUGUGCUCACAGCGUACUUGAAGUAAUACAAUGAAAGUGCGAAACCCUUAACAUUGAAUAGAUCUCAACCUUCUAAACAUUAGUUAUUCAGGGUUGCAUUUGGGAACUUGAUGAAAGGUGGAUUUGAAUUUCAAAUAUAGCAUAAGUUGUGCGGUAAUACCCAUGAAUGUAUAAGAUUUAUGAUUAUGCUCAAAUCCAUGGAUUUUGUUAGAUUUCUAUUACGUAGUGAAUUUGUACUACCGAGACUGGAAAAGUGAAUUUCAAAUAUAUCCCAUUACACUCUUUAAAAUGUUUAGGUGUAUGGAAGUUUUACUAAUAUUUUUAUACAGCAACUACACUCAUCUUCAUAAUUUAUGGAGAAAAUCAAAUCCAAAUUCACUACCCGAAAAUCUUGUUUCCAAACAAAGAACUAAAAUUUUAACAUCAAUAUUAUUCAAAGAUACGUGUUCAUGCAGACCUCUAGCAACACCAGCUAGUAAAUUAGAUGCAAACUUUAGCAUAUAGACAAGAUAAGGACAAAAACAUACACAUCAAAAACGAUUUUUUCCUAUCUAGUUAUAAAAUUUAGAAAUGUAAGAAUAAACUCUAUGAUUGGUAAAUGUUUUGAGACUUUAAAAAUCCCCAAGCAGACAUAUUACUUGUUAAAAAUCAAGAAAAGAAAAUCGACCCAAUAAGCUUGUAGGUAUUACCUUUAUUAUUCAAGUCCUUUUCAUCCUAAAGGCUAAAACAUCAAAAUUUCCAUUCUAUAAGCAAAACUUCAAAACAAUAUCACCCAUCAAGCAGAUAUUUAAACUCCACCAAACAGGGAAAAAAAAAACCCUAAAACUCAUUAAAAUAUAUAUAUAAAAAUAUUAAGGAGCAAGAAGAAAGAUUACUCUUUUUUUUUUUUGUCGGCGAACGACUCCAAGCCAGAAGCUGAAAAAGCUUGAAGAUUGGAGACACGAGCUUUAAAUAAUCACGGAGAGGAAGAUAUCAACUGCUCAAAUAGCACCUCCAACACCUCAUACGUAGAAAUACACCACGUAAGCGUAUAUUUAUACGUAUGUGCGCACAUAUCCCGAAUCAAGCGGAAGCUGACCAAACUUGAACAGGUCAAAACUCAACUGCUGUCAGAAACCCAUCGUUACUAUUUAUAUCAAGAUAUAUUAACAAAUGGAAAAAAUGGGAAAGGAAAAACAAUUACUAGUAGUAUUUAAAAAAAAAAAAAGAGAGAGACAUUACCUAAAAGGGUUUUUUGGGUCUGCUCGAAAUUCAAACCUUAUCUUAUCCCCACAUUUGCGGAAGCUAUAAAGAAAGAGGGAGAGAGGGGAUUGGAGGUAGGUGAGGUGAUGACGUCGUUUCAAUCAUACUGGAAUAAGAUCGCAAUUAAUAUUAAAUUGAUCAGAAGGAGAAAGCAAAGAGGAGGAUUUGGGUUUUGACGAGGCUGCGUACCACGCAAAACGCUGCUCUCUGCCUUUGUUAGGCUCCCUUCCUCCCAUAGCCAUUCGCCUAUUCGCGGCCCAUAACUCCAGUUUAACCGUGGCCAAUCGCCAGUGUGACAUGUCAUCGGACGAACGAGGUCGUGCCACGUAAGCCUUAUAUUCGUGUGUUCAGUGUUUAUUGCAUUGCAACGUGGAAGGUGUGGACCGGAAUCUGUUUGUUGUCGGUGUUAAGCGACAACAUGAUCUCGUGGGCACCAAUUUUUUUACGCGUGAUCACCAAAUUUUGACGUAAUCAUUAUUCGAUUUAAUCUUCUACACAUUUUUUUUUAUUUUUAAGAAAAGAAGGCACUUUAUUGAUUAAUCAUGCGUGGGGAACCAGCUCCCAAUUUGUCAUUUAACAAAAGAUGUGCUACAUCUGCAGGUGGGGCAUCAUAUGUAGCGAAAACAGAAACUAAAUCAAAGCCUAAUUUGGCCAUGAAAUCAGCGAUUUUGUUCCCUUCCCUGUAAAUAUGACUUAUGCUAACCUCCUAUUGUCUACUCAGCAAGUCUUUGAUUGCUCUUAUCACAUCUGAAUUGGAGCAAGGAUGCAUAGACUGAGUAUUAAGGGCGUGAACUACUGUCUUGUUGUCUACCUGCAGGUUAAUUCUUCGGUAACCGUGUUCCCAAGCCAGCUUGAGUCCUUGAAAAACUCCCCAUAACUCCGCACGGUAUGCUGUGCUUGUGCCUGAGUUACAUGCAUAUCCCAUUAUCCAUGAACCAUCUAAGAGUCGCAGUACUCCUCCAGCUGAAGCAACCCCCCUUCUACUCCUGUAUGCCCCAUCUGAGUUCAAUGCUAUCCAAUCCACUGGUGGGGAGACCCAGCCUACUAAUAUUCCUUCUUGCCGAGCUGGUCUCCCAUUUUGUAAUGGACAGGUUAACCGGUUAUUCCACGUUGCCACCGCCAUGCUUUUGAUAGUACUCAGCUGUCCUCCAAUGGAUAUUUCACGACCUUCGAAAAUGAAUGGGUUUGUCCACUUCCGAACAUACCAACAAGUUGUGCCGAAUACGAUGUUCCAGGGGACUUCAAAGAUGGAGGAAUUUUUUUGGCUAAGAUUAACGUAGAGCCAUUCUGGAAAUGUUGCUUGAAAGAAUUGGUGUGUAUGAUUUUGAGGCAGCAGACGCUUCCAAAGACCCGCUGCAGUUGGACAAUCUCUAAGCAAAUGAAGGCUGGUUUCGUCAAAAACAUGACAUUGCGGACAUGAAGUGUUAUGAAAUUAAAAAUUUUAUAAUCAUGAUUAUAUCAGUCUAUAACAUCAUUGUUAUAACAUAAUUGUUGAAAUUAUUCGCAAAUUAAAUGAAGUUAUAAAUUAAUAUAUAUAUAAAUAAAUAGAUUUUUUUUCUCUUCAAAUGAAAGUUGAGUUUUCAAUACCUUGAAUUGUCAUGGAUUUUAAAAAUAUUAAUGUAAUUGUCAUAUAUAUCAAGUCAAUUUUUUGCAUUGAAAAUACAGACUCUAAUAAUUUAAAUCAAUGUGAUAAAUUCAGAUCAAAAUGAUUUCCUCUCUAUGAGUAAAAAAAUUCUUACAAAAAAGCAACUGUCAAUAAAAAAUUAUAUAGGUCUUAAAGAUUAUAAAUAAAAAAUUUUUCUUUACUUAAUAUAUAUUUUGAUUGAAUGUGUAGACCUAUGACAGUAUUAUUCCUUGAAAUUAUUCCUUUUUUGAAAAAAAUCAUUUUCAUAUUAAAAAAUCCACUUUUCACUAAAAAAUUUCUCUCAAAAUUUUUUAUUUCUCAAAUUGAUAAAAUAAACAUAUUGCUCACCCUUUUGGUACGGAUUCUCGGUUCUUCCGUGAAAAUAACGCAAGUACUAUAUUAUAUCAGGGUUGACUUUAGGACAUGGAAGUAAUAAUUUAACGUUUACACGCAUACUAAUUUAAUUUUAUUAAUAAAAUUAGUAGCGAAGGAAUAAAAAUCAACUCUUGCUACUUGUUUUUAAAAGGGAUAGAGUCAAAUUUAAAUUCUUGUUAUUUUUAAUAAUUUUCAUUUUCAAUUGUAUCAAAACAAAAUUUGAACUGUCAAUAAAUACAUAUAUAUAUAUAUAGAUGACAUAAUAUAUCAAAUAAAAGAAGUUAAUAAAUCAACAAACCAUAACAAAUAAAACUCAAUAAGUAUUUACUUGUGUAUAUAAUUAUCUGGAGAAGAAGAAAAAAAUUCAAAACUUGAAAACAUUCACAAAAUACAAGGAUAGAGGUCAUACCAAACAAUUCUGCAGCCCAAUUAGGUCUGAAACAUUUUUCAGUAAACAACGAGAUGAAGGAAUCUUGGCUAAUCUAGAUACUGAUAAACAUGUGCUGCAAUCUCUCACCAAACGCUGCUAUUUGGACGACAAUUACCCAAUCCAAUGAAUCAAAAUGGAAGGAGUGAAGUUUGACUCCUACUUUUAUGUUGAAGAAACAGAAACACAAGUGUUGAGGAUAAAUAAGAUGCAUAACAGUAAAGAACUAUUGAUACUUUAGUUAACAAUAGAUUCCAUCAAUAAAUUCAAACCUUUGGUUAUAUUAAGAAGACCAAAGAUAUGGGGACAAGGAAAACAAACUUUUCCCUUUAAGUUUGAAUGGUUGACAAUAUUAAGACAGUAGAGAAUGACGCAAGUGAAGAGCCAGUGCCAAUAAAAGUGCACCAGUGCAUGGGAUCCUUGAACAGAGACCUGUAGCAUUAUAUAACAUCAGUUUUAAAGAAACCUCAGGUAAUAAUUUCUGCAAACACUAUUCUAAAUUUCUUCUUGCAAUUCCCUGAUGGCUGGGAAUUUUGGCUUCUCACUAUCAUCAAUGUCGCAGCUGAGCUUAUCAACCCCAAAACAGUAAGCAGUUAAGCUAGCUGAACAUAUAAGUGCAUGCUUUAGAGAUAAGACCACUACAGGGGAAAGGAAAACACAAAUUUUGGAUGUCCUAAAACUGUGAAGCAAGAUAAUGAGAAAUCUUGUAAUCUGUUGCAGAUACCAAAGACACUUAAAUGUGAAAUAAUACAGCAUGGAAAUUAUCUGCUCCACUAAGAAUCAGUAUAUGAUCAAACAUAUCAAUGCUGUCAAAAAAAAUGUAGAUACACUCAGGUAAACUGCAAGCAAGCAUAGAGCUCUAAAACAAAAUAAAUAAAGGCUCACCUUGAGACUAUAAAAGAUUUAGCCAGCAAGACAGCAUCAAUUCCCUCUCACUAGGAAGGCUAAUACGGAUGUGCCCCUUUCUUUACUGUUAAUUUUAAGUUUUCAGCAGCCCCCUGAUAGCUUGCGUUCAAUGAGAGAUUCAACCUCCAAUUGCUAUUUCUUUUCAAGCUAUUCUGAAUUUGAUGGAAAUAUAUUGGAAAUUUCUGGUUCUUUUAGCUGGGAUUUGCUCACAUUUCUCCGAACAUAAACCUUUAUCUGCCUCUUUUGGUGUUCCCUUCCAUGCUGCUCUAGAUCCAAGGGUGCAUUCAUGGAAUCUUUCACUUCGAUUGAUAGGGAUACAGCUGCCUCCUCACCACCAAAUUUUGCUUCCUUGGUCUUGCUUUCUAAUUCUAGAAGCUUUUCUGGUUUCUGUAACUCCUCUUCUUGCUUUUUCUCAAGCUCUUCUAUAUUUUUGGACAUACCAAGGUAAGUUUUUACUUUCAGCUGAGAAUUUUGUACCUCUCUCCUAGUAUAAAUCUUAGUUGGCUUCUGCUUGCUUUGAGUAAACCCCUCAGAUGUAGUUACUGGAAGUUCUGAAGGCCUUUGAGGAGAAAGCUUAAGUUUCUUAACAAGGAUCUGCCCUGACUCCCUGGAUUCACAAGAUGCUGAUAUUGAGUCUGUGUGCAACUUAUGUGCCUUCUGGUAAAUAUGUGUCCUCAAUUGUGACUGCUGUUGUGCUUGCAGAUCACAGACAAUAAACAAAUCCCUUUCUCCUUGAUGAAGCUUCCUUCGCUGCUGCCCUUCAUGCUCUAAAGCUUCCAUCUUUUCCUCUUCCAAUGGAUGCAUGGAACAUUUCCCAAGUGGAGUCUUCAACUUUUCUCCAUCUUCUCCAUCACAAAGGAAUACCAUCUUGCUUGUGAUGUCAACUUGCUGGUCCUGUGGGAGGCCUUGUUCACUACUCAUCUUACCUCGUUGUGGUUGCUCUUGUUCACCAAUCAUUACAACAUUAGAUUUCAUUACUCCAUCAGCACCCUUUGUUUGAUGUAGUUGCUCAACAUAUUUCUUCUCUUCUUUCAUCAUAUGCUGGGGAAUAUCAUCCUUUAAUACCUUUUCACUCCAUUUAAGCAUUAAGUCUCAAUCAGCUGUUUGUCAAAUCUUGUUGCACUUCAGUCACAAAUAUAUUUAACACUUGUGCCAACAGAAAAAUGUAUGAGCUAGUGUAGCUAUCUUUGUUUACAACUACGAAGUUAUAAAACCAGAGACAAAUAUAAAAUGCUCAAUUUGUAUGAAUAAGAAGUGCUUAUUUGUUCAAAGUUGCAAUAUGUGAUAUGAGUAAUCAUUUUGUUAGGUUGCAGUUUUAGGGAGUGUAUUUCAGGCACCAGCUGGAGUCUCAGUAGACCAUGAAAGUCAGAACUACAAAAUUAUCAUUCAUUUAUUUUCAUCAUGAAUUCUCUGGAAAAUAUUACGAUAGUUGCAAUUUUAGAACUUAACUAACAAAACAAGGAAACUUUUUCAAAUAAUGUUGAAUCAACUCAUCCUAACAGAAGCAUCUUCUUCUACCCAUAAUUAGGAUUACAUUAAGGGAGAGAUAGAGAGGGAGAGAUGCUUGUUGCCUGCCAAAAUAGAAGAAUAGAAACAUUAUACCCCUUGAGCCAGGGUAUUUGGAUUAUGUACUGCAGUUAUAUGUGUUCGAGAAGAACUGGCUCUUCCAUGUAUGAUCAAUAAAUAGAAUUUGUUACAAGGAGUACCAAACUAUCUUUUCAAUAUUUCCUGUUGCUUCUGCCAUAAAUUCCAUAAAGAUUCUAGCUCACUGCAUCAUUCCCGCAGAAGAACUGAAUUUAUUACCUAAGCAGAAUCACAUAUAAAAAGUUUCAGGUCCAUGCAGCCAACAAAAGAGCACUGGCUUGUCCUUGAAAGUUGAUUAAUAUAGUGCUUGACAUAUUGAAGGAGGAUUUUGAUACGAUGUUUAAAGACAAACACUACUACAUGGCACCAGAAGUUGUGUGCUUUUAAAAAGGAAAAUAGGCUUUUGGUAUCAUGGUUAAGACCAGAAUAAACCAAGGUUUUUAAUAAAGGGUUCUUAUAAGGGCACAAGUUAAAGUCACUAAUUUUAAAAAGAUUCUUACACUUAAUGUAGGUGGCUACCUUUAUAAGGUGAUUGCCAGAGCAUUAAUUGUAUAAUCAUUGCUGAAAUGGUGUUCUUGAAAGCCUUAAUGAACAAUAGACUUCAUAAUUAAGUAGACACUACGUUCAGGAGGAACCUAGUAAAAUGAGCAAGGAUUGUAGGAAAGAGUUACAGCAAAUCAGCAAAUAUCACUUCUGUUCAAAUGCAGACAAGUAAAUCAGACUUCUUGAAAAAUUACACAUCAUUUGUGGGGAUAUUAAAUGGUGGAAUAUUCUUCAUUAGAAUCCACAAAGGAUGUGUAAAAAAACAAGUUGACGCAUUUAACAUAUGAUUAUGUGUCAGAAUUUAAAUGGAAGUGAUUUACUGACAUGAAGUAACCAUUAAAUACAAUCCUUUCUCGCACUAAGGAAUCGCAACAUUACCAUUGAGCAGAAUUCUUAGAGAAGUAUUAUAAGCCUAAUUACAGCAAUUCAAGUUACUGAAAACCUGAUUCAACCUUUAGUCACCCAACUAAGCCCAACGACAAUAGUCAUAUUUAUGUGUGCUGUUUAAAUUCUUUUUACUGCUACCACAACUAGGAGGAAAAAAGCUAUUGCGAAUUGCAAUAAUAUAAACAGUUAAGAAAAACCACCUUAAUCUGUUGUUCAGUCAUCUCUGGUUGCUUCCUCUCUUCUGCCCUUUGUUCUUGAGCCACCUCAGCUGGCAUUGCUUUUGCUUCAUUGACAUCUUCAGCCACUUCAAUUUGUCCAUUGAAGUUUUGACUUUCUUCUUGAACCUCUUCAAUCAAUCCUUGUCUGCCUUCCUUUUGUUCUUCAAAUCCCAGAAUUCUCUGUUCACAUGCUUUAAUUUGCCCAUUUCCUUCAACACUCUGUCUCUUGCCUUCACAUUGAUCCUCAGAUUCUUCAGCUUGAUAACAGUUUACCCCACUCCAGCCAUCAAUAACUUCAACUUCUCUCCCCUUGACUUGGACAAAGGUUUGAUCUUCCUUCCCAUCUCUAUUUGUAAUGUUCAAUAUAUGACUCAUUUUCUCUUCCUCAUGCCCCAAAUCACCAUCAUUCACUUGGAGUAUAAACCGCCCAUCAUUAACACAUAAAAUAUCUCCAUUCCUACAAACCUUCUCCAAAUGAUGACUCAAAAAACUAGCAUGCCCCCAUGGCAAACCCUCAUACUCCUUCUCUAUAAACCUCAAUAUUGCCUCCUCACUUGACCCACCUUCAUUAUUUAAUUUCAAAAUUGCUUGUUGUAUCAUCUAAACCAACCAACACAAAAAAAGGCAAAAGUGAGAAGAUAAAUAAGCAAUAAGAAUCUAAAAAUGACAAUGUUCAGUUUCUCCCAUUGCUAAGCUGCAAUCAAGAUUUUCAUUUUACUUUAGAAAGAAAUGGCAGCAUAUCCGUACAUUUCUUGCCAAAUGCAAUUGCUUUGUUAGCAUUUUUUGGCUACAGGCUAGACCCGACAAUUUUAGAUAUGAUCUACUAACACAACAGGAACAGGAAUUUAAGCGGAUAUGAGUAAUGUAUAAUUACAUUCGUAUCAUAAUUGUGUAACUUGUUUACAGUACAAAAAUAUUCAUGUCUUACGCAGAUUGACACAUCUUAUCCGUAUAUGACACCUUCACACACGUUUAAUUAAUCGUAUUUAGACAUUAACUCUCAUUACUCAACAUAUCUAACUUAUACAUACUUAUUUAUUGAAUUAUAAAUAUUUAUAAAAAAAACAUAAAAUACUUUAUUAUUCAUGUUUAAAUAGAUUGGUCAUGUCUAAAUCAGCUAACUUUAUUGUGUCUGAGUAGAGUAAUAGUAUCUAAACAUGUUAACCAUAUCAUAUCAUGCAACAUGUUGUGUUAGUUUAAAGGACUUUAAUUCUGAGUAAUUAAUCAUGCCAUAGUCAUACCCACCCAUUUGCAGCACAAAACAGCUCCAAAACAAGCAUUUCGGAACUCGUUUUCUUGCUUCUUUUGUCGCUUCCAAAACGUAACGGUUUGUUAUUAAUUUUCCUACUUACUUUUUAUUUCCGCAGGCAAAAAUACAUUUCAAUACAAAUAAACCAAUAAGAAUGAAAGAUGCAAUCGAACGAAAAACGUGAUUUUCCCUUUGUACAUAGCAUCUAUAUCCAUUUUGAAUCAAUUUAAUUUUGUUUUAUGAGUAAAUAACAACUAUUGAAGAAGAAAAGAAUAAAUAGCAAAAAUGGAACUAAAAAGAAAUAAAAGAGGUGAAAUUGAUAGUUAAUUACCAAAGAGUAAGGAGGGUGAAUGGGAGUGUGGAAAGUUGGAAAGAAUUGCUGCAAGCGGAGUUGGAUGAGGUCGGGGCUAAUGGGCAUUGAGGGGUUUGAAGCAGCAAGUUGUGCGAGAAUUGCGUCUUUAAGCUUGCUGCUUAUUUCCGCUUUAUUUCUAUUACUAAGCAUUCCCUCAGCUGCUGGGCUUAUGGGAUUAUCAACAACAGCAUCUGAUUCCGCCAUUUCCAGCGGUUUUUGCUUUCCCAAAGACUACACUCUUGGCCGAGAGACAAAAGAUAGGAGCGCCGUGAACUUUCAGGCCUUAGUGUGAGACUCAACAACUGCAUGCGUACCAUAAGAAACCAACCUUGUUUAAAAUUAUUACGUCAUUAAACUUAAAUUAAUUAAACAAAUAUCUCUCUAUUAGGUCAUUAAUUAAAUUGUUUUAAGAUUUGAAUGCUUAUAAUCUCUCUUCCUUUUUCUCUAUUAUCCUCUUUUUUAUUUUUAUAUAUAUAAUAUGUNNNNNNNNNNNNNNNNNNNNNNNNNNNNNUUUAUAUAUAUAAUAUAUAUUAUAUAUAUAUAUAUAUAUAUAAUAUGCAUAAAAAAAACCAACAUAUUGGGUAAGGUUAAAUAAAAAAUUUGAUAUAAUUAACAUUAAUUUUUAAAUCAAACUAAUUUUCUUUUUUCUUUUUGGUUAUUUCCUCCAACUGACUCAAUUGGUUUUGAUUUUAAAAAGAGAUAAGGUACAAAUUUAUUAUUUUAUUUAAGAUAACAAAUAAAAUAAAAUUCAUCAUGUUACCCUAAUUUUGUUUCACUUUUUGAGAAAUGUAUCAUGCAUGGGUAUUUUCUAAAAUAUCUUUUGUAAAUAACAUGUUGAAAGCCACUGGAGGAAAUUUCCACGCUAUGCUACACGAGAAGAAACGAAAGAGAUGAAGCAUAAGAUGGCUCAACUUGCAAAACUCCAAUCAAAAACCAAGAGCAUGACUUUUUUUAUUAUUAUUACAAAGAAACAACCAUCUAAAUUUGAAGUUCUAACUUCCAUAUCCAUUUACAGAGAGCAAAGAUGGAUGAAGAGAGUCCAAAUAUAAUCACUACCAACAAAAAGGAAAAAAAGCCCAUAGAGAGAAACCUACAAAAACACACCAUAGCAUAUCACCAUUUUGUCGAUUUACAUUUUGCGGCUUUGCUAUUGUCACUAAAGUAAGGCCUGAAGGUCUUCAUAACUUCUUCAUAUGUCGGCCUUUUAUAGUCCACUGCCUGCAACCCAUUUUGUUUAAACAUCUUAGUAAGCCUUAUACUCACUGGUAAAACUUAUAUGAUAGUAAUUCAUAAUGCUGCUACUGCACAAUACCUGCUCCACAACUUCUUCAGGGGUUGCCCAUUUCCACUCAGCAAAUUCUGGGUCUGCCUCUCCAUUUGCUAAGUUGAUCUCACUCUCAUCUUUUGUUAAUCUCAUAAGAAACCUGUCAAUUGUCCCUAUCUAUUGUGAGACCAUAAGUCAUAUGAAAACAAGACAAACUCUUAUUAUUUCUUCCUAUGCAUUUCAUGGCCUUAGGUAAAAAUGACUACAGCCAUCAAAUUGGGAACAGCAUAAUAAUGAAAUUAAAUAAUUAAAUUAAAGAAGCAAACAGCUGUUUCUAAUUUUAAAGCACAGGCUUCAUGCACACGUUUUCACAAGGAGAGGGAGAAAGAAAAUCGCCAGAGAUUUGUAGAUUGUGCUGAUCAUAGUUUAAAUACCACAUUAAUCACAAACAAGCAUUUCAUGCCUCUCAACUGCUUUGAUAACUCAUGCAGUCGGUCUCUCUUCCUUUCAGGAGAAAGAUGCAAGCAUAGCACACACACACACAAGCAUCAAAACUAUCUGACAAAGUAAUGAAACAUACUUCAAAAAUAUUAACCAAAAUGUUUCCAAAUUUAGAGGGCAUAUGCAUAUGCUAGCCACUAACUCCAUAUGAGGACAAAAAGCAUAACUAAAGCUGCUUUUCUUAGCUGAUACUGAUUAACUGCUCCUUGCAAUUCCAUACAAAAAUCCAAUAUAAGAGAAUUUAAUCAUAAACUAGUCCUUAGUUCAAUUAUAGAGGUUCUUCCGACUCUUAUAUAUUAAUUGAAGCCACUCAUCCCUGAUAGAAAAUAAUUAGUGUUUUGAAGCUUGGCUCACUCGCUCUCUUUCAGAGUUACCAAAUUUACUAGAAAGAAAAAGAACAAAAGUUAUAUCAUAUCUCACACUCAUUCCAUUAGCGCACACACAAACGGACAACAGAAUCCAUAAGCAUUUCUUAUAUUAGCAGCUCUAGCAGGAAUGAAAUUCAAAACAUUUUACUUCAAUAUAUUUUAUAUGUACCCAUAUCCCACACAUAUGAUAUCACUCCCAUCAGAUGAAAUAGAACAGAAUGUUGCUUCAAAUAGGAUAUUGAGACAUGAGAGUACCCAUCAAAACAACAUUAUUUCUCUAAGGUUCUAAAGGAAGCAUGCGAGCUAAUUCAAGAAACGGUCAACCAUUACCAGAUAACCCAUGCAAGUAUCCACAUAAUUCAUCAUAUAGUUUCUGUUUUUCAGUUGUAUGGCACUGUAGGCAUGCCCUAAAUGCACUGAAUGCACUGAGAAUUUUGUGGCCAAUAGCCUAAACUAUAAAACUACAUUGGAUGUGGGUGGUUGGACAAAGGAAGACAGGAAAAGGAAGAAAGGAGGAACAAACCACUUCUGUGCCUGCCCAUGCCAUUCACCUCCCCAGAGUCGAUUCACUUUGGCCUUUACAGCAGGAGGAAAAUCAUAUGUCAACCAAUUAGGAACCUGCCAAACCAGGAGUGUUGAUUAGAUGUACAGCAGCAAUUGGGAAAAGAAAGAAGGAAGUAGCAGAGAAUGGAGGAUAUAGUAUAAACUAAAGUCUUGCUUGGAAUAUUACAAAUACUGCUUUGAAUUUUUAGUAGGAAAUUUUAUAUCUAGUACCUUUAUUGCAGUGAUUGUACAAUUUGAAAUAACCAUGUGUCAGGUUCUCUUAUUUCUGUAGACCAUACAUGAAGAGAGAAAAUGUUGUUCUAUCCUCCUUUUCUUUAGCUUGAUCCAAACUUCUUUGAUUUUUGAAACAUGACCAAGACUUUAAAUAUACCAUGCAAAACUAUGGAUGAAUAAGCAGUGACUUUGGAAAUAAUAAUUCAACUCAAUGGUCAAACCUCUGAAGUUUAAAAUGACAAAUUAACAAAGACCAGAAUGACACGCAUGAUGUGCUUCUGCCAAUAGCCGUGUAUAAAAAGUCCUGCAUAAAAAACUGUAGCAUAACAACACCAUCUUUUUAACAAACCUCAGCAAUAAAUUCAGCAGACGCUACUCCAGUUUCUUCUCGCAAUUCCCUAAUUGCUGCAGAUUUUGGCUCCUCACCAUCUUCAAUACCCCCCUGAGUUUGUAAAAUACCAAACUUUAUAAUCAAUUAAGCUAGCCAAAAUAUACAUGCACUUUUUAGAAAUAAGGUCAUCACAGGUUAAACCAAAAUCAAGUUUUUGAAUGUCACAAAGAAGAAAAAGAAAAAAAUGCGCAGUAAGAUAAGGAAGGAAUCGUUUAUUCUGUUACCAUGAAAGAUCUUGAAAGACAUUCAACUUGGAAGAAAAUAAACACAACUGACUGGCAAAGCAUUUCUUUUAAAGAGUCAUAUGCACACUCACAAAGAACUGUAAAUACACUUUCGUAAAACACAUAGAAGCAUACAGUUAUGAAACAGAGAAUGAUGAAAAAAGGGCUCCACUUGGAAGGCAAAAAAGUUGAAGUCAGCCAUACAGUAAUAGUGUUCACCCAUUAGGGUCUAGGAAGAGUAAUAUUAUGGAAAUAAAUUGUGUAAUUACUCAGAACAGCCAACAAGAAAAAAAAAAAGAAAAAGAAAAGUGCUCUAGUUUUAACUAAGAAUUGAAGUUUUCAGCAAGCAAUGAGUCCAACAAAAAAUAGAACAUCUAACAGGGUAGUACCUGAGGCAUCUGCCAGGCUCCUGGAACAUUCAAUCUGGAAGCUACAAAAACCUGCAAGCAGCAAAAUGAAGAAUUUUCAGCUUUCUCUACCCAUAUAUUCUGCAGGAACAAACCUCAAACAACCAUUAAAAAACACAAAUUUCCAUAACAAAAUGUAAAUUUAACUUGAAUUAAUUUAAGCUCAGGCUCCCAAGUCCAAGGCCCAGAUGCAUUUUUUUUCAUAUUCUACACAGUUUGAUAAACAAACAGUACAUCUCUAUCAAUUAUCUCCAAAUAAUUUAUCUCAAAAAAGAAAAAAUCCAGAAAAUCCACACACAGACAUCCAAAUUUGACUUUCGUUAAUUAGAUAACUUGAUUUCAACUCCUCUUUUUAUUAUUAUUUUAAUUUUUCUGACUGUCUGAUCUUUUCAGGCCAUUAGCCAGCUCAAUCCCCUCUGCUUUCAGAAGCUCAGAUAAAAAAAAAAAAAACCAACCAAACAAACAAAAAAACAGAAAACCAAAAAAAAAAAGUAAAAGGGGUACCUGAUUAUCAGAGUUGAUUAGACAGACACCAACGUUGGGGCGAUAACCAGAGGGCAGUCCCUCCAUUCUUAAUUCCUACUCUACUUCUAAUUAGUUUUCUUUUCAGAGAGUAAAUGCAGUAUUCAGUCUGAGGAAUUCAGGGAGAGAUCAGAGACGGAAGAAGCUGAAGAAAAAAGAAGUGGGUUUUUUUCUUUAUAUUUUAUGAUUUUGGAAGGAGGGGUGUUUAUGGGAAUGAGUGACGCUGACCUUCAGAAAAUGGUGAAAUUGGGUGACUCUGUUUUAUAGAGGGGGAAGAGUCCAUGGACUGCUGACUCUUAUCCUGCGCACCCCCCUGUUCCCAGGUUGCUUUUUGGCCCUUUAUCAAUUCUUUUUAGAUUCUGCUAGCAAUGUUAUCAUGUCACCCUCCAUUUCGUUCCAUCAUGAACUCCACUUAUAGCAUUGAGACACGUGUGCCAGUCAAAAUUCAUUUAAGUUCAUAAUUGGGAUUUUUAAUAAAAUCACGUCUUGAAAUUGAUACUAAUUCAGUGCAUUAAAUCUUGCUCAUUGCUAAUUAACAUUGAAUGCAAUGAAUUGCCUUCAAACUUUUACUACUUUGCAUUCAAUAACAUUAGUAAUUAGUGUACCAAAACCUAAAAAUGAGCCAACUUGUGUGCCACGCCUAAUAAAUUUAUUUAAUUUACAAUUGUAGUUCAACUCCCAUUUUGAUAAUAGUCCUGCAUUUUAGUAGGCAAAAGAGAUGAACCGACCAUAGUUAUUGCAAAAGAAAAAGGAACGGUGUAUUCUUAUGUCCUUAGAGAGCCCAUCACAAUCACCACACAAAGGGAGGUGAUUAUAGCAGGGUAGGAAUGGACGAUGAUGAGAGUGAGGGGCAGUGGGGGUCUCGAGAGAAGUAAAUGAGAACGAGCACAUAGAAUAAGAAGCCGAGGAGAGAGAGAGGCGGAGGGGUGAGCAGUGAAAGAGCAAACACGCGGAGGGGAAAGAACGAUUGCUAAGCAGCACUGCACUAAAUGACAAAAAGUUAAACAAAAAGUAGUGGGCGAGAGAAAGGCGUUGACUUUGCGUGGAGUGAGAGAGAGAUAAUUUUGAUAAUAAAAGCAUCUUUUUCUCCUUUUUCUUUUUUUAUUUUUCUUUUUUAUGAUGAUGCACAUUGAUCAUCAUCCACCCUCAGGAGAAACAAAAUCCUUUUAAUAUUUGUCAUCAUGAGAUCCCCCUACUCGCCAAUCUCUGGAGCGUCCUGUCCACGCUCUAUUGCUCGAUUUCCCAACCCAAGUUUAAUCUCACCCUUACCGAACGUGGAUUCUGUUCAAUUUUGUAUUAAUUUAUUGUCUUUUUUAUUUUUAUUUAAGAAAAUAAAUGUGUUGUUGGAUAUAAAAAAUAAAUAAAAUUUUUGAAUGAUGAAAGAUAUGAUAUUAAUUUAUUUAGGCUAAAAUUAUGUUAUAGUUAGUAUUAUAUUUUAAUUAUUUUUCCAUUUUAAAUCAACCAGUACUUGUUGUCCUACAUGUGAAUUCUUUUUUUUAUUUCUUUUUUAAUAAUAAUUAUAUUUAAAUAAAAACAUUAACUAUAAAGUUUGAAGUGUAAAUAAUAUAUAUUUUGUAAUAUUAAUUUGUAGAUUGUUCAAUAUUUAUUAGAAUUAGGACAAACAUUUUUAAUGAAAGUAAUUCAAUGUAAUUAAAAUUCUUUAUUUUCAAUUUAGAUAAAUUUUAUUAAUAUUUAUAAUAAAAAUAUUUAAAAUAGUAAUUUAGAAACAAGAUUAGACUUUAUCUCAUUGCUAAUUGUGCUUACUUUUUAAUUUGAAUUUUAAUUAUUGUUUGAUACUACUAUGUACAAUUGUUAAUACUAUUUAUACAAUAACUAAGAAUUAUUUAAAUUGAAAAGUGAUAAUUUAAUUAUUUAAUAAGUAAAAAAUUGUUUAAUUAUAAAUCAAUUGAAUUUUAAUCAUAAUUGUAAUUACUAUUGUUACGUAUCACUUCAUAAGAAAAAAAAAAUGAAGAAUGAUUUAAUCUAAGCUUGUCGAUGUUCACACAUACAUUCAAAAUAUUAAAAUUGUCAAAGUCAUAAAGUUUAAAUGUAUAAAUUCUAUGUGACGAAUGUCAAAGAUUCUUUUUAAUGCACAAGGUCUAAAUUUUGUACCAUUCUUUCGUUGUACAAGAUUCCCAUGUGUUAGUACAUUAUGCGUUGGAAUACGAUACCAUAAAAUUCUAACUUUAGAUUUAACUUUUUCAAAAUAAAUUAAAUUACCUUUUUAUGUUCAAACUUAAAUAUAAUUUAGUUGUAAGUAGCAAAAGUUACAAUCAAUUGGACAAAUUUGUUUUAUAUAUAUAUGGUAUGAAUUUCUUUUUCGUCCAAAUUAGAAAUUCUUCUUACAACUUAUGAGAUUUUCAUUUUUAAAUAUAAGACAAAUUAACAUGAGAAAUUAAAAUAAAUUAAGCAAAGCCAUCACUUAUAUAUAUACAAAUACAUAUAUAUAUAUCAUAAAUCUCAAUAAUUAUAUGAUUAUAUAUACCAAUAAAUGAUAUAAUUUGAGUUUUUAUUCCCUCACCGCAAAACUUUUGAAAUUCCAAAUAAGUUUUGAAUGUUUAUAACUUGAUAUUCAUAGGUCGUCUUCUCACUAAUCACGUUUCAAUAUGGUAAUCAUGACAUUCCAAAAGCAAUUUAAUAACUUAUUAUUUUUUGUCCCAUUUUAUUUAUAUCUCUUUCAUUGUAAAAAAUAUAUAAAAAUUGAUAUUCCAUGUUUUUUUAAUAUUAAGUGAAUAUAUAUAAUUUUAAAAAUAAAAUAUUAAUGUAAAAAACGUGAAAUCAUUUUUUAAUUUCAUUAAAAUCAAAUAAAAAAAAUAGAGGGAAUUAUCCAUUAAGCUAAUGAAGCCCUUUAUUUUUUUUCAAAGGCUAAGUUAAUGGAGCUUUAGUUAUCUUCAACAUGUGGAGUUAUAGUAUAUGAUUUGACAUUUGACAAGGGCUAAUAAAUAUUUUAUGAUAAUUUAGGAUGCAGUUAACAGUUGCUUUGUAGUUGGUCUUUUUAAGAAACAAAUUUUUAUUUAAUGUCCUUUAUUUUUCAUGAAAAAUACUUGGUUUCUGAUUCAAUGCAAUUACAUAGUAAAAGUUGUACCUAGCUCUUGAGUAUAAGUAAAAAAGGGCAACAGGGAAAUAGCGAGUUUGAGGUAGCUAUAGGGAUUCGGAAUAUGUUAGAAAAAGUCAAUCGUUACAAAGAUGUUUGGAUUGAUUGAGUUGCCAACUGUCCUCCUUUUUCAGCUUUCUCAUCACAAUUUUCUCUUAUUUUCCUUUUUACUAUUUGUUUUGUACAAGUCCAUGUUAAAGCAUAAUUGUGUACAUGAUCUCCCAUCAUUUCUCUCUUCUCUACUUUGAUUUGAUUACCAAAAUGAAAUAUAAAGAUCCAGAGAAAACGUUGUUUCAGCACCUACAUACCCUUUACCCUCUUUUAAUUUAAUUAUUUAUGUCCAAUGCUUUGUCUCAUAUUUAAUUUAUGAUAAUUAAGAAGUUUAAUUAUUGAAUUUGAGCAAUUGUAAGGAUGAUGAUAAUGAAAAUAUCAAAAGUCAACUUUUGAUUCAAAUCAAGAUCUAAAUACUUAAAAUCAAGUUUCAAAUCAUGAUUAACUUGCUGGAAUUGAAUGUUAAAAUUAAUCAAAAUAAUUUUGACAAUUAUAACAUACAUGUCGAUUUGAAUUAAGGUUUUAAGGAAAAUUUUAUUUUUUUAUAUUGGCAACAACUAAACAUCAUUCAAUCCAAAGCAAAUGCAAGGUGGCUUUGAUACCAAUGCUAGAUUUCGACCAUGCUCAGAGAAAAGAACAAAAUUCAAAAAUUAACAAUUAAAAUUAAAUAGUGUAAUAAAAAUAAACAUAGAAAAUCGAAACCUCCAUUUCAAACAAAUUAGAUGUUCGUAAUUUCUCUCUCAUGCCAUCCAUAACACUACCUAUCUAGCUUUUUCAUGCCCUUUAAACCAUUCAAAAUCAGAACAAUGUUUUUUGUUAACUCAUCUUCCCUUCUAAAAAUCUUAAUAAUAAAAAAAUUUAAAUAAGAGAAAGCAAAAGAAUGAUUCAAGAUUUUCCAUUCAGCUUGAAAUAAACAAAAGCUUUCAAUUUUUUUUAAUUUUGGUGCAAAAUUGAAAUAAAGAGAAAAUGAAAAAAGAGAUGGAAAAAGAAAGUGAAAAAGAACUGCAGGGAAGAAAACGGUUUUCAAGUUUUGGUUGCAGAGGGAAGAAAAUAAAUGGUUCAAGAUUUUCCAUUCAUCUUGAAAUAAACAAAAGGUUUCAAUAUUGUAAACACAAAUUUCUCGUCGAAAAUUCUUGACUUGAAAAUUACGAGACAAAUACAAAUAUUUCAUGAUAUGAGUUAUAAUCUCUGAAAAUUUAUCUGAUUAAUUUCUUCACUUUGUCUUCAAAAGUCACGAAUUCGGACUUAGUUUUGAUCACGAACUUCACUUGAUCUUUGCUUCUAGGGUCUUGGCAACUUGAUCUUAAUCGCAAACACUUGAUAUCUUGAUCAAGAAUUUCGCUUGAUCUUCGCUUCAGAUGUCUUAACGACUUAAUCUUAAUCACGAACACUUGACAUCUUUGCUUUAAGGGCUUUGACGACUUGAUCUUGAUGAAGUAUCUUGACGACUUAAUCUUAAUCACGAACACUUGAUAUCUUCACUUCAAGGAUCUUCACGACUUAAUCUUUAUCACGAACUUUGCUACCACUUGAUCUUGACUUCAAAAAUCUUUUACUCUUCUCAAUCUCCGAAAUGCUCUCAAUCUUCGAAUGCCUCCUAAACUUCGAAUGCUUCCAAAUGAAUCAAAAUAGCUUGGAGGAGUCCCCUAUUUAUAAUGUUAGGUGGGAGACUUUGAUGAAAAUGUAGUCUCUUUGAAUUAUCUAUAAAUUAUUUUAAUUUAUUUAAAGAUAAAUUAUAAUGACUUAUUGAAAGUCUUUUGAUUGGUCGGAUUUUGAAUUCUUGAAUUUUGAUUGGUCAAAGUUAAGUGUUAUCUCUAAAUUAUCUUAAUUUAUUUAGAGAUAAAUUAAACAAUCCAAUUUGAUUUUAAUCUCUAAAUUAAAAUAAUUAUUAGAGAUAAAUUAAAUGACUAAUAAUUAAAUUUGAUUGGUCAUAAAUAUGAAUAUUAUCUCUAAAUUACCUUGAUUUAUUUAGAAACUGGAUGAUCAAUAACUAAAUUUUGAUUGGUUCAAUUUAAAUAUUAUCUUCAAAGUAUCUCUUUUCUAAUGUUUGAUUAGUUCUCUUUUUUUUUUUUCUUCCUCUCUCUCUAUUGUCUUGGCUAUUUUUGUUUGUGACAUUGAGGUAUUUUUGCCAUUUGUUUCAUUGUUAUGUUCAUUAUUUGUUUUGUGAUUGCUUCUGUAUUAUGGGUUUUUACUAUUUGUGUAGGCUUUUUUUAUAAAUAAAUAAUAUUUGAUUUGCUUUGUCUACAAAAAUCAAUACGCUAAUAUCGUUGAUUGUGAAAUUAGUUGUUUUUCAAAGAUUUGUUGCAUUUUUGUUUUGAUUGUUUGAACUGUCACAAGUUUCAUUUAGUCUUUUCAGCAAUAGCCCUUGCCUUCAAAUGGCAACUGAAUUAUACUUUCCCUUCUUUUUCUUAUAACAUGCUUAUGAUAUGUUAGAAUAUAGAUUCUAAAUGGCAAACUUUUCAAUACAGCUUGCUGUCAUACAAAACAUAUACUCACUAAAUUUGAAUUUCAAUCUUAUGUUAACAAAUCUUCCAUAUCUGUAAACGCAAGACUUGACAAACAAAAUUUAAUUAUACAUGUAUUAUACUUUGAUUUUUGCAUAAUCACUUUUGUUCUUACAUUGGUCUUUGAUUUCAUUAGUAAUUGAACAUUUUUUUUCUAUCCUCUAUAUGUAUCCAACUGUUACAUAAAUUUUUCUCUUCUUCUUAACAUAAUAGCGAAAUUGAUCUUGCACAAUUUCUUCCAUGUAGAAAAUCUUCCAAGGCAACCCAUCAAUCAAAAACAGCUCUACUCAUGAAUACUUGCCUAAUCCUUAAUACCAAUGAAUGCUACAAAUUGAUUGAUAAAUUUCAUACAUAUUGUUAGUAUAAGCUCUGCAAGCCAAUAGGUUUUGUGCUUGUAAAAUAUUAUAUUAAUUAGUUAUAUUUCAUGUUAAAUACAAUAUGGAUAUUUUAUGUAAUGUAUGAGUUAUUUCUUUAUCCAUGAAUUUAUUUAUAAAGAGUUAUGAGAGAUUUAUGUAGAUAAAGUCCUUGGAACAUAAUGACUUUUUAAAGAUAUUAUAAAGGUUAUAAUUAUGAGAUUCUUAUGCGUCGAAGCCUUGUUCUUAAAUAUGUUCCUGAUCAUUGUAUUGUUAAGAAUAAGGACAUCGGCAAAGCUCAAGGACUUGUACAUACUAAGUCUCUUUAUUUUGGAAGUAAGUAACUAAUCUCAUAGGUUGAAGUAUGCGAGAUACUUGGGGAUAGUAUGUGGGUGCUUGUUAAGGACCAAGUUCUCUAAAUAUGACCCGCUAUAAAAGUUUCAUUUGAUAUUUCACUCAAGUGUGUAUGAAAAGAGUCUCACAUGUCAAUAGUGUAAGUAAUCCUUAGACUUGUGAUACCAUGUCAUAUUGUAUGCGAAUUGUCAUAUUUUGAUUUCAUUCCUACGGGUUUAGAGAGGAUCAGAUGCCUAAACAAUGUGCUUUUAGAUAUGAUAUAAAGCAUGUGAAGAUGAAUGAGUAGUGCAUAGAGGAUUCAUCACCCUAAAUGAUUUGAAGGGGACAUAUCUCACUUGCUCUUAGCUUAUAUUGACAAAGUCCUUGGCAGAGGUGAUCUUAAUAGGUCAAUAUGAAACUUUAGGACUAAUAUGGGAUGUCAUAAGUAAACACCGUGUGAUGCUUUAUGACAUAUCCGAUAUAUUUGAUGAAAAGAUCAAAUUACAAUGAAAUACCGUACACUAAAAGGCUAGUCAAACUAUAGUGACUCUCCUAACAUUUGGGUGGUCAUGAUGUAUUGUUAGACACUACUUUAAUGGGUCACACACAAUAAGGUGAUAAUGUGAAAUUACAAUGGGAUUUGUACUCAAUUAGAAAUUUGAAAUUUCCAAUAUGGACUUAAUUAAAUGGUUUAAUUGAGUACAACGGUUAAAUUGUAGUUAACCAAAAGUUGGCUCAGCAAUUUAACCUAACUAUAAAAUACUUGAAUGUGGAUGCUGCACCAUAUGAGAAGAAUUAGCGAUGAGAAACACUUGACAGAAAAUGAAAAAGCCUCCAUAAGCCUAAGAAACUUUAUUUUAAGAGGAUUCCAAAAAUCGUUUUUCUUUGUCAUCUUUUCUACCAAAACCGAUUCUUUGAAAGGUAAGAUUUAUGAAAUCUUGGCCAUUAGUAUCGGUUCACGGUAUAUACAUAAUCCCUACCUUAAAGAAGGCUUUCAUCUAUCACUUGUGUGAAUCACUGUUAUAGGCUGGACACAUGGACAGCUUUGGUUUGCGACAAUUGAGCUUUGGUAUGCAAUCAAGAAAAAGGGGAAAUGACUUGUGAUUUAUUGAAAUCACUACGAAAGGUAUGAUUUUGAUCAUUUGCUUGUAUGUAUGAAUUUUAAUCCGAUCAAGUGCCAAAACAAGUGAUUGAACUAUUAACUUAAAUUAAUAAAAAUUGAAAGAAUCCAAUAAAAUUGGAGUAAUUCCAUCAUUUUUUGAAAUGGACUUUAUGGGUCAAAAUACUUUGGAGCUUUUUAUGUACAUACAUUUUGUUUAAUUUAGUCACCGUAUUCCAAUUUGAAGCAAUUUAUUCCUUAAUUGUUAAAUAAGAUGAUGUUAGGGUUAACGUGGAGCUGACGUGGUACAUUUUCACUGAUGUGGUGAGUAGAUGACAUGCUAACGUCAUGUUAAGAGUGAUGUGACAGUAUUAAGCUAGCAUGUUAGAGUGAUGUGGCAUGUUAAGAGGUUACCAUGUGGCAUGUCAUGAUGCUGCCACGUGGCAUGUCACGAUGCUGCCACAUCAUGUCAGUCUCUUUUUCUCCAAAAUAUGACUUGUUUUUGCUAGGAAUCCAAGAUCUGUAGCAAGUAUACCAAGGUACUUGUUCAAUUUUUUACCCACGUAAAUGUACGUAUCGCAAAGAAAAUAUAGUAAUAGGUAGAGUGUUGAUCCCAGAGAGAAUUGAAUUACUUUUUCCUGUUAACUACUAAAAUUGUAACACCUUAAUCUUAUCCAAAUAAUUAAAUUUAAAAUUAUUAAAAAGAAAAAUUAAACUAACAAACUGAAACUAAAAUUAAAUAGUAAAUUUGUUUUAUAAAACUCACUUAACUAUUAGACCUAAGAUUAUGAUGUCCCUCAAUACUUCAUCUAAUUAUUGUCUUUCUCUCUCUUAACUUAGUUUAAUGGAUUAAGUUGCUAAUCUAAAAUCCUAAAUUAUUUACAAGUCUCUGUCGAGUUUCUCAUAAAAAUACAUUUUCCAAUUAAUUUACUAUAUGUCUAUGCAAAUUAAAUCAAAGAAAAAUUCAUUAAGUUCAUGCUCUAAUUUUUGCUACGUAUGGCUUAUAAGUAUAUAUCUACCCUAUAUGCAAAUUAGAUCACCUAAUCAACUAAGUGUAUUCAAUCAUACGCUAUUUUAUUUAAGGUCUAUCUAAAUCUCCUUCGUCAAGGUUUAACCUAGGUUUCCAAUUCAAUCUAAUUGGUGAUCAGACAAUUAGAAGCAUUAAGAAAAAAAAUAAAAUAAACAACUUAAAUCCAUCAAACAUAAGUAAAAGAGAGAUAAAUAAUUCAAACUACAUAUUGAGUUCAAUUAUAAUCUUAGAUUAAUGAAUUAGUUACUUAUUAAGUCACGCAUCAUCAUUGAAUAAAGCGUAAAUAUUAAAAACAAAAUCAAGAGAAUAAGAGAAUAACAAAAAGAUAGAAAAAAUCAAUGAUUGUAUUCUUGAUUUCCAAAUCUCCUUCGAUCCUUCGAAUUCUUCUUAGCUUUAAUAACUUUGUGGCUUGACUCUCAGAUGUUAAUAUAGUAUUUUUGUUCUUUUUUAUCUCUUUUAAAAGUCCUCAAAAGGUUAUUUUUAUAGGACUUUGAAGUUAGGUUAAGUUGGGUGAAGAAAGGAGUCAAUUCCAAUUAAGAUUUUCUUAUCAGACUAUGUAGGUCAUAGUCUUACCCAAUUAAUUAACAAAAAUCGUAAUUGCUUUAAGACUAAUAUAGUAUGUCAAAUUCAACAAGAUUUUUGAUUUCCUUCCAAGCUGAACUAAGCAAAGUGGUAAACAUAAAAGUUGUAGAGUUUUCUUUUAUCUUUCCAAUGGUUUAAGAAUCAUCUCAUUUAGAGUUCUAUAGAGAGAGUUAUAGCUAAAAUACCGAAAUAUGUGCAGUGUAAGUCUACAUCUUGAAAUUGCUCUCAUUUUUUCAUUAAAAUUCUUCUUUCAUCAAACACUUACAAAAGUACAAAUAAAUCAGUAACAAUUUAUUUUAAUUACAUUAACACUAAAUUAAGUAUAAAAUUAACUAAGAUUAGAUUGACUCACCUAAAAUAUCUAAUUUAAAAUAAUUAAAUAAAACUUAUUAAUUUUUAUGUAUUACUACAAGAAUUACGCUAAAUUAUUAUCUAAAUUAAGUACAAAUAACUCUAUAUUUGAGAGUUAUCAGUUCUUAUCAUCACACUUAAGCUGUUGCUUUUAAUAAUUUUUUUACUUUUGUUUUUUUUUCUCUCUUUUUCUUUCUCAUUUUUUUUCUUAAAACUACAUCAUUUUGAAGCACUCUUACACCCUCAAAAACUCUAGUUAUAAAACCCUAGCUAUAUGAAAGAGAGAAAAAAAGGAGGUAGAGAGAGAAUGGAAAGAAAAAAUGAGAAAAAGAUACUUUUAUAGUUGAGAUUUUUGAGAGUGUAAAAAAACUCCAAAAUAAUAUAGUUUUUUUUAAAAAAAGAUAAUAAAUUAUUAAAAGUAAAGAUUUGAACAUGAUGAUAAGUACACAUUAUAUUUUGAAAAAGAAGAGAAUGACGUGAUAGCAUCCUAACAUAACAUGUUAGCAUGUCAUCUACUCACGUUGUUAUAUUAACGAAAAUGUAUCACUUCAAUACCACAUCAGUGUUGAUGUUAUCUUAUUUAUCGGUUAACUUAAAUAUUCGAAGAAUUAAAUUAAACAAGAUAUAUAAAUACAAAAAUCUCCCAAAUAUUUUGACUAAAGUUGGAGCGAGCUUGAGCUAAGCUCGAGCAUUGAGUUUAUUGAUGGAGGUGGAGGCUGCCAAUCUGUCAAGUCGGCUCGACUGAAUUACAUCCAAUUAAUGGAGGUGGGUCGUGAUGAUAGUGGCUUUUGAUGACAAGAAGGAAAAAAUUGACGACUAGAAUUGAAUUACUUUCGACCUUUAGCCAUUCAGGCGGCUGGUGGCAUGAAUUUUCAACAAACCUAGGAUUUUUACCUACUCAUUUACCACUUUACCUUUAAAGUUUGAAGCAUCUCGUGAAUUGGGUUGAAUAUCACUUGGUCUUUGCUUUUGUAUGCCCACGCUUCUUAAGGUGCAAUAUUUGUCAACAAAGAAUACAAGUGCAAUUGAAUAAGACUAGAAAAUAAAGUCUAAACCCUGUGAUGUUUGAUAAUCUUAAAAUAAAUGCUGCCCCUUUUCUUUUAAAAAGAAAGUCAAAAGUGUUGACUUUUAAUUUAACUAUAGGAAAUUGUAGUUUCAAAUGAAAUGAAAUGAAGCUAAUGCGUAUAUAUGAUCUGAGUUAGGACUUAGUCCCUUUAUGUAAAGUAAACAUUACAGUAAUGGUAUCAAUGUUGCAUGGCGUCAUCGUUACUUGGCAAAACGAAUGCCUAGACAGAAGAUUCAUUCUUUGUAUUGUUCGCAAGAAUCCCUUGUGGAUGUUGGAAGCCUGUUUUGAGACUGAGUUUUAUUGAGUUUGUAUGUUUGCAUGUUGCUUCUUAUUAAUGGAACUGCUUUUGUAAUUGGCCAAAAAAAAAAUUAUAAUAUAUACUAAUAAUUGCUCAUUUCUCAAAAUAAAUUCAUCCUAAUAAAAAUAUUUUGUCAAUGAACUUUAUUUUUUAAUCAAGCUAAUAAGUAUUUAUAGGCACUGAAAAAGUUAGUUAAAAUAAUAACUAUUUUUUUUAAAAAAUCAUUUUUAUUUAAUAUACUAUUUUUACUAAAUUUAAGAACAGAUAAUAACGUAGUAAUUAUACGCUUUUUCUUACCAAUAUUAUCUUCUAACUUUUUACUAAAUUUAAGAAGAGAUAAUUUAUUUUCUCAAAUAGCAUAAACAAAAUAUUUUUUUACUUAAUUUGAGUAAUAAAGUAGUGUUUUGCAAUUAGUUGAUAAUCUGUUCUCUAAAAUGAAAUUUGUGUUCAAGUUGAAUUGAUUUGAUAGAUACAGUUACAGAGUGCUCAAAGUCGUAUUAACCACCCACUCUCUCCAACUGUCUUUCCACUUCACUGUGAGUUGAGUUACAAGUAUGGUAAAGUUUAUCUCAUUUACUUCAAUUUUUAUGUAAAGUACAUUUUAGUGUGAGUUGAAGUUACGAGUAUGGUAAAGUUUUAUCUCAUUUACUUCAAUUUUCAACCGGAUUUGAAAAUAGUUAUCGUUUUCACCUAAAAAUGCAUAAUUAAAAAAUAAUCAUUCAUUCUAUUUUUUUUUGGCCGGAUAAUUAUUCAGUUUAUUGACAAACAUCUAAAGACUGGUAAUAAUGAAAAAAAAAUCCGCAAUAAGAGAAAAAGAGGAGGGGAAAGGAAAAUAGCGGGAGCAAAUAGUGGCGAACAAAGAAAAGCGUACGUAGAAAGAAACAUAAAAGGGAAAAGAAGAGAGCAACCCACAAUUUUCAUUUUUCAAUAAUUUUUUUUAUUGUUCUCUCUCUUCUUUAAUAAGAUUUUGAUUGAUAAUUGAUUCCUCCAAGCGAAGUAAAGAACAAAAGUGGAAAGCCGGUGUUGGGGGAAGAGAAAAUCCUGUCAUUUUUGAUUAUUUUUGAGCAAAAAUUGAAACAGAAAUGGACGAUGAAGUAGUACAAAGAGUAUUCCAAGAAGGAGGAAGAGACUAUUUCCAACAACAACCUUCAACUUCAACUUCUUCUUCUUCUAUUCUCCAAUCUCUCCCUCUCCAUGUGGUCAGUCUCCCCUCUUUUUUUUUAAAAAAAUUUUUGAGAGUAAAAAAUGGUUUUAUUUGUUGUGAUUAUCUGGAUUCUGGGUUAUUGGGUCCUUUUUAUUUCUUUAAUGAAAUUUGGGUUAUGAAGAAUUUCUUUUAUUAAUGGACAUUUCUUUUUUGUUUAUUUUUGCUUCUCAGACGAAUUGGGCUAUGCUUGCAUGAUUUGCAUUUGUCUAAAUUUGCCCCCAUUUUACUUUUUUAUUUGAAGUUGCCCAUUUUUUCAUUGCAUUUGUUAUGAUCAUGGUUUAUUAGGUUCUGAAAACAAUUCUGAAACUUGGGUAAGCAAGAAAUUCGGAAACAAAUGCUUUUUAAUUUUUUUUGCUACAUAUAUUCUUGAAUCAUGAUGAAUAUUUGCAUUCUUGGUGAUUUAUCAUUUAUUAUUUGUUAUAUUUUUUUCUUAACUGUUUUUCUGUUUUAUAUGUGAGUUGAAUUUGUUAUUGUUCACAGUUCUCUCAUUUUACUUGAUUACUUGAUGUCAUUUUGAGCUGUUGGUAUGUCAAACUAGCAUUGCAGUUUUUGAUGCUGCCAUUUGGUCAUUGAUAUUUGCCCAAGUUUGCUGAUUGAUAUAAUUGAUGGUUGUUUCUGUUAUUAAAAGUGACUAUUAUCUCUAAAUGAUAUGUUAAGCUAAUAACUGGGCUGGUCUUCCCUGAAUUCAACUCCUGACUUAAUUGUGGGACUCUCUAAAUAUACUGAAUAAAUACUAUCCAAAAUUUAUGGUAAUUAGGGUUGAAUAAGUGGCUUAAGCAAGAAAUGGUCUCGUCCAAAUUGCGUCAAACUCUCCCUUUGUUUCUUUUCUUAACCUCUAAUAGUUCUUCAAAUUUCAUAUUGCAAGUUUUAAAAGUUGUCAGCUUCCUUCUUUUUCUUUUUCUUCAUUUCUAUUGUUGGUGCCAAAUUUGUAGUUUGAUAACUUGCUUAAUGAAUUUGGGUCAGCAUAUGCAGUUGUUUUAUUGGUUGCUUAUGUUUUCCAUUCUGCUGCUUGAUUUCCCAGUUUACCAAUUUUUUCUGUUUCAAUUUCAAACUAUAUGGUCUAGCUAGUAAUGUUUGGCCUGUUUUUAAUUUCUAUGUUGCACUCUGUUGAUCCUUUGAGUUUAUAAGCUAAUGACUGUUCCAAGUUUUACAUUGAGCCUGAUGAUUGUUUGGGUUGAAAUGAUACAGUCAUUUGAUCAUGGAUAUUAUUUGCUUGUAAAAUCGAUACAAGAACUCAGAGAGAAAAAGGAGGGUAUUGUCACAGUUGGCAUUGGUGGUCCCUGUGGGUCAGGAAAAACAAGGUAUAUAUGCUAUUAAGAUUUUUGUUUUGUCUUCCGAUGUCUCUCCCUCUGUACUAUCUAUCUAUCUAUCUAUUUGUGUUUCAAAAGAAAUUUUGUGGGAAUUAGGAUAAAUCGUGCUGCAUGCUUUCUUUGUUUUAUCAUUCUAAAAUUUUUGGAUUUAUUUGGUGACCCCAAAAGCUUAGCAGAGAAGGUAGCAUCUGUUAUUGGCUGCACUGUUAUACCGAUGGAGAACUACCGUGACGGGUUUGAUGAAGGGAAUGAUUUGGACUCGAUAGAUUUUGAUUCAUUAGUUCGAAAUCUAGAGGUUUGUAUCUGGCACUCAUUUCUUUAUUAUGGCUCAAUCUUUAUUUAUUAGGUUAGAUUGAACCAUCUCAGAAAUUGUACAGUUCCUUCAAUAUUGUUUUGGUGUUUUAAGAUGUGGUAGAAAAAAAAAAGGGUGGUUUGGAAAGUGUUCUAUAAUCUAUGAUGUAUACAUAUCAAAGUAGGGCUUUGGCAAAACUUUUAGACACUGACAUGAAUUCCUAAAUUAUCAUUUUAUAAUCAUUAUUCAUCGAUUCUAUUGGUAAAAACCGUUUUAUUUGAUUAUAUGUUUCCUAAUAUUAGUCAAUUUGUGUUUCCUCAUUUUAACAACAUUGAAUGACUUAUACAUUGUACCAUAUUUGAGUGGUGUCCAAGUGUUAUUGAAAAUUAACUUUGAUUGGUCUUAGGAUUGUUUUCUAAAAGCAGUAAGCCAGUUUAUUUUUGUUUCGUAACCCAAAUUCUAAUAUAUUAUUUAUGAAUUAAAAAUAAAAUUUCAUUAGUUUUUUCUCAACGUCUAUAUCUUUAGAUUUGUGGUUUUUAAUAUUGAUGUCGGCUAGUUUCUGGUAAAUGCAAUUUUCAGUGAAAAUAGUCUGUGUUUGUGAACUUGUUCAAGUUAACAUGUAACCAAAUUGUUGUUUGAGUGACACAUUCAUUUAAUUAUUGCUUAUGGAAAUUGUUUCUACAUCUCAAUGUGUUUGGGGUUGUUCUAACAUGUAUACAUCAUAAAUGAGCCCUUUGCUUUUUGGUUGAGUGCAGGAUUUGACAAAAGGUAAAGAUACUAUGAUACCAGUGUUUGAUUUUCAACAGAAGAAACGUGUUGGUCCCAAAGCUAUAAAGAGUACUUCAUCCAGUGUGGUAAGCAAGUACAAACUAGGAUAUGUUUUUAAUUAUGGCUGCUUUUUGGAGUUAAUAUGCUUAUACAUUUUUAGGUAAUAGUUGAUGGUACUUAUGCUCUGCAUGCAAAAUUGCGCUCUCUGCUUGAUAUCCGGGUUGCAGUGGUAAUAUCUUUUUCCCUAAGAGCUAGGUUUGAGUAAGGCUUGGUGGAGUUAUCAGCUUUUCAUCAGAUAUUGACAUAGUGCUUCUGAAUAUGUUGUGGUGUAUCAGGUUGGUGGUGUUCAUUUUAGUCUUCUUUCUAAAGUUCGAUAUGAUAUAGGAGAUUCUUGCUCACUGGAUUACCUUAUUGAUAGCAUAUUCCCUUUGUUUAGAAAGCACAUUGAGCCAGACCUUCAUCAUGCGCAGGUUUUUUGGUUUCUGUUUUUUUUUUCCUUUUUUAUGUUCUCACUUAUUGAAAUUUAACUGCCAGUUCCUCAUUAAUUGGGUUUAUUAUGCAGAUUAGAAUUAAUAACAGCUUUGUAUCAUCAUUUAGAGAAGCAAUCUACAAGCUGAAAUGCAGAAGUGAGGCAUGUGAUUACUUCUUAUCUUAUUGUCACAUAAAAUUCUAGGCAUAUUUUCAUACAUAGAAAAUGCAUAGAGAGCUUGUGGGUCUGUUUAGAGCCAACAAAGAUAGUGUAUUAUAUGGUUCAUUGUCAUAAAUACUAUCAAAUUAUUUUGAUAAUAUAUGUUUUUGUUAUUAUUUUGCGUACUUGACUUUGGACUUAUUUGAUCAUUUAAUCUCAAAUGUAGCCAAAAUUGCUCUCUCUCUCUCUGCUAUUUGUGUUCACUUGGUGAGGACAAUGAUGAUGCAUCUAGGUAUAGUUACUUGGACUUAAUAUUGGGUCACGUUUGUAGGAGAACGUAUUGUUUGUCAACUCAUACUAUACUAAAUGACAUUCCACUAGUGGAAAUAAUUUGGCAGGCAUAAUAGUUUACACUGUAACUAUCAAAUAUCGAAAGUUUUUUUAGUGCCCACUGUUUCCAAGUUGGAACAAUGUCCCAUUAGAAGACCAAUUGAACCUAAUGUUUUACUUUCAAAAUUAUGAUCUCUUUCCAAGAUCCAGAAAAGGGCAUCUUAUGUUAAAAGUGUAUGUUUUAGUUCAAAUAAAGGUUGAUAGAGUGUCUAAAGUUCUCUCUCUCUCUCUCUCUAUAUAUAUAUAUAUAUAUAUAUACGCCAUGCAGUCGUUNUCUCUCUCUCUCUCUCUAUAUAUAUAUAUAUAUAUAUAUAGCCAUGCAGCUUGGGUAUCUUCUCUUUGUGAAGUUUUGUACUUUGAAUGGUAACAAGUGCAGUUUAAGUGGUGAAUAUCUGAGCCUGCUAAAGUUUUCUUGAUCUUGGAAUACAGCUUUAAAAUUGAGUUGCAUAUGGCAAUAAGCUUUUGUAGCCAUUGUGAUAUAACUAUUGGUUUGACAAAUUGUCAUAAAAACAUGAGACAAUGUGAAAGGACUGAAGCAAAAGGUGUAACUGGCUUGCUUUAUUAAGUUGAUGACGGACACACACACUGAAAGAAAUUUGGAAGAGUGGACACAAAAAUGUAGAAAACUCUUAAAUAUGUUGCGCCCCACCACCCCCCUUUAAAAAAAAAAGAAAAAGAAAAUGAUUAAUUAAGUACCUGGGCCUGCCUUGAGUGAAGAUCCUGUUGUUUUUUGAACCACUAGAUAUUCCUUGUCUUUUAUGCGUAAAUUUUGCAGUUAAUUAUUUGUGUAUUAUCAAUCAGCUAUACCUUCAAAAUCUCAUUGAACAUUGUAAUGUUGAAGCAGUCACCUGAAGGACAUUCUACCUUUUUCCUUAAAGAAAAUGAAGCACAAACUGAUAAGUAAGUGGUUCUGACUAUUACUACAUAUAUCUAUGUGCAGAGUGUUAGUUACAUCUGUCUCUCAGAGCUUUUUCCUUUUAAUUUUUUGGAACUGAAAUGAAAAUCUUCAUCUUGGUUUCAGUUUUAUUGAGAUGUACCUUAGGCCCCCAUCAGCUAGUGAGGAAGCACGGAUAAAUGAUUGGAUUAAAGUGCGGCAAUCUGGUAUUAGAUAUUAUCUUUCACUUGGGGACCAGAGAAUUGUGGACAAAAAUUUCAUCAUCAGACCAAAAGCUGAAUUUGAGGUUAGUCUUUUUGUCCUUGUUAACUAUUCUAGUGCGGCCAUUGUUGUCAAGCUGAAAUUAAUACUCUGUGAUUGUGUCAUAGGGGUUUUCAUUCUCAGUUUUACCUGUGUGCUGUCAAAAUGUUUUUACAUACAACUAUUUAUGAGCUUUUUAGGAAAUAAACUGUGUGAUUCUUUUUUUAAUAGAUGAUGAAGGUUGGACUCCUGUCAUAUUUGUAUAAUGUGAUAGUACCUCAUUCAGAUGUAACAUGCUUGAGACUAAUCCAGAAUUCAACAUGUUGAAAAAUGCACUUUAAGUGUUUAUUGGCUUCUGGAAAAGUUAAAACCACAAUUUUUUAUCGAACUGUAGUUAUCCUGUGCCUUUUAUCCCCAGUUCCCCACUUUGGUAUCUCUAUUUCAACAAAGUCUGGCCAUUUAUGUCAUGUGUAGUAAAAUUGUUUCUAAAUAUUAGAAAUAACUUAAGAUGGUUUUCUUUACCUGUUUUGUCACCUAAUCUUGAACAGGUUGGACGGAUGACACUAGGUGGAUUGCUGGCUUUGGGAUACAAUGUUGUAGUUAGUUAUAAAAGGGCAUCAACAGCAGUUAGUGUUGGCAGUCUUUCCCUGUCAUUUGAAACAAUUGAUACUCUUGGAGAAACGUUCUUGGUGCUGAGGGGCACUGAUAGGAAAGUAUGCACUUUUCUUCCUGAAAGAAAGAUCUAAGAUUUUCUUGAAUGUCUUAUAUUUUCUUCAAAGUUUGAUGCUAAUUCAGGACUAGGCAUUUGUCCAGGUUUACCAUUAGAAAAUAUUAAUAUAUAUUGCAGUGAUUGGCAGAAACUCAAGUAUAAGAUGCCUGGCUUGAUGUAUGUUGCAUAUCUGUCGGUUAUUCAUAGAUUAUGACUAACACUCACAUGUGUGCAUGUUUUCAUGUCAUUGAUAUUUGCUUUUAGGAAAAGUUCUGCAAAAAAUAAUCAUGGAGAUAAUUGUGAAGAUAAAGAGGAGAGAAAAUAGGAGAAUUUUUAGGUGAAAUUUCAUAUAAAAAAUUGAUAUUUAAGAGAAUGGGAAGACAGGGAGAGAAAAUAGGAGGAUGGUAGCUUUUAAUGAUUAAGUUUGAAGUUGAGAGAAAGUAGGGAGAGUGGGGAGGAGAUGUCCGAGUUGAAUGAGAAUGUCAACUCAGAAAAAAAAAUUAAAAGAGACACUGAGAUGGUGAAGGACCAACUCAGGCUUUCCCGUUAUAUGUUAGGAAUUAGGAUAGGUUCUUCCUAGAAAGGAUACUAAACAAGAGCUUGAUGAUUUGCUUGAUAAACAAGUUGAUUCAUAUCAGAAGCGUAAAGAGACAGGGACCUGUUAGAUUGCAUUGCUAAAUAAUAUGUGUCUCAGAACAUUGAGUAAUGUGAUUUUUGCAUUUAAUUUAGGGAAGUCACUGACAAAUGUUAGAUAAUCAUACAAUUAUCUUUCGACAAUGAAUAUGUUUAACUUGGAGCUAUUCAGAUUAUUUUGUAUCCAUUAGGCAAGCUUAAUGAGUGGAAUUAUCACUUAUCACCUAGUGGCUUUUCAUUGAGAGCUGAGUUUAAAAUAAACUAAGAUAGGUGAAAGGAAAGGAUUGUUAUAGGACCUGCUGCGACCGGUUAAAAGGUUGUUGCUCUGGUUUGGUUCUGCAUUUAGUGAGAGCAAUCAGAUGCAAUUGCUUAAGUAUCAUAAAGAAAAUUUAAAAUGGGAACCAGUGUUGACAUGUGCCUGGGCUGCCUUGUACGUACUUUUUUCUUUUUUUUCUGCUGCAGCUGUUCUUGUCUUCUACUAUAUGUUAUUGCCAUUGUCCUUGCUUCCCCAAAAGUUUUCUUUCUGUUUUCAUCCUUUAUUUUAAUUCGUUUUCAUCUUGUGUGUUGAAUCUCCUGUGUAAUUAAUCAAGAAAACAAGAUCAAUAAGAAAACUGGAAGAAAUUUAGAUGGUCUCAAAAUUUCUUGCUUGCACUCUUUUAAAUGGACUUAUUUGGAUGAUGCAUAUUGUGGAAUAUAGGUUGCUUGAACUUGGGACACUGAUAUUUCUUGAAAUAAAAAUGACAACAUUUGAUUAAACAUCAAACAAUCUUUCCACUUGUAAGCUGGGGUAGAGUUUAGAAGGUUCCUGCUAAGCUGGGGGUACUUGCAUGUAUACCUUGGGUUCAUUAUUCUGUUAUCUCAUCUCUCAAGACAAGGAUGUUGAAUGCUUUUUCACAUGCCGAAAUAUGAUCAGUGAAUCCAUCUAUAAUUUACUUACAUGUUUCUUUUUUUGUUUGAACUAAAAUUUUGCUUUCUGCUUUGCCACUAGUUUAUUUUUGUACUACUGUACAUUACUUCUAAUGAGGGUCUCAUUCUUUGCUGUAUGCCCUUAUUCAUGUUCUUCAACUCUGUUUCUUUGAUUUCAAUUCUUUUAGCUUCAGUUCUGAUACAAACUAGAUUUCUCUUCUGUUUUAUUGUAAACAUUUUGAUGUUAUCGAAGCCAAAUAUAUAACUCUUGUUUUUUCCUUGCACAUUUUCAAUCUUUUAUCCAUCAUUUUUGGUUCUUUGUGGUAAGAAUUUGGAUUAGUGAGUCUAAGAUUAAACUCUUGUCUUCACCAUUCCAUGGAAAAACAGUUGAUGAAAAACUUAUGUUCAUGUUGGUUGCUAUACUGUUGCAUAGACAGUUGGAGCAGAAGCGUUGCGGAUGGGUAUCACUGGACCAUGGCUUACUAAAUCAUAUCUGGAAAUGAUACUCGAAAGAAAAGGUUGUCCACUUGACAUGAUUUCUGUCUAAGCAACUAUUGUUGUUUUUCUUAUUGCUUAAGUUAAUUCCACUUUCAGGUGUACCACGCCUCAAUACUCCUCCACUUGUUUCUACUUCGUCUGUGCCUAGUAAUCAAGAAAAAGUGAUUGCAGCACCAAAGCCUAUCCGUACCACUCCAAACCUUGUAACUCGACUUGAGGAUUUAUCUCAGCCUUGGACUCGGUCUCCGACAAAAUCUCAAAUGGAACCUGUAUUAGCAACAUGGCAUUUUAUCUCAUCAGAUCCUUCACAUGGUGAUGCCAUUAUAGGUAUGUCUCCUCUAUUUGGACACUUAUAAACUUUUCAAGCACUUCUUUUCUCAACUAUAUCAUGGAGGUUGUAAUUAAUUUCAUGCAUAGACUUUCUCAUGAAGCAGCAACAGAUUCUUCUGCUUUCAGGGAUACAAUGAAACUUGCCCCAAUGCCUGAUUCAUAUGACUUGGAUCGGGGCUUGCUUCUUGCUGUUCAAGCAAUACAGGUAAUGAAAGGAAGAACUCUUAUACUGAGAAGGCCUGUAAUGGUAAAUAGUUUAUCAGAAUAUUCAGUCAUGUCCAAAGCUGAUGCUUUUUCUCUCUUUUUCCAGGCUUUGUUGGAGAAUAAAGGUGUUCCCGUUGUAGUUGGAAUUGGUAAUAUCAAAAGCAUACAACUCUCUCUUUCUUGCUUGGUUGGUCUGUUAUUCGUUUGCCAUGUCUCUCAAGUUUAACUACGUGGAAAUGUGGACUUCUAUUCAAGUUUGUUAAUAAUCAUUUUGAGUGCUUGAAACUAGCCCUAAUAGGAUAUUCUUUUAUGCAUAAAUUUAAUGUCUGGCUGCUAUUGACUUGUGAAAGUGUGUGGUCUAUUUGUUGCUGGUCAAACAGUUUGGUUAGCUUUUUUUUGGAGUACUGCAUUACAAUAAAUUCUUUAAUUGUUAUUAGCUUUAAAUAAAACAUGGAAAGCAAUAUUAAUAUGCCUUUACCAUGAUUGUGAAAUUCUACUUGCCUCUGUCACAUGUUGAGAACGCUGCUCUAUUGGUCUAGGAAACAAUUUUGAAGUCCAAUUUUUUUUUUCCUAUUUCUGUGUUCAAGUGGCUAAGUCAAAUGUGUUAAUCAGAGUUUGAAGCUUCUAAUCCACCCUCCUUCCUCUUUCUUGGUUUACCUGGUGGAUUAUGAAGUUACAUAAAUGACUCUUAGGUCAUUGUCUUAUAAAACAAGAAAGAAAUAACUUCAUGUAAUUUUUCAUAAUUUAUUAUCGAAUUUGUUACUAUUUCACCCUUCUGAUUGCGAAACUCAUAUGCUGUUGAUGUUGCACCUGCUUUUGCAGGUGGUCCUAGUGGAUCUGGAAAGACUAGUUUGGCACAUAAAAUGGCAAAUAUUGUUGGUUGUGAAGUAGUUUCCCUUGAAAGAUACUUUAAGUCUGAGCAAGUUAAGGAUUUCAAAUAUGAUGACUUCAACUCUCUUGAUUUGCCUUUGCUUUCAAAGGUAAGUGUCAAUUUUAUCUAUAAAGUUGGUUUAUGUGCAUUUAAAAAAGAAAAGAAAAGAAAAGAAAAGAAAAGGUGUUUUAUGUGUUAAUCUCUGAUGAUAGGAUUGGGGCUGAAUGAGGCAUUUUAACUUUAGUUGAAACAUAGUGCUGGUAAAGAAUGCACCUCGAAAACUAAGCAGAAACUAAAGGUUUGUAAGGGUUAUGAUUAAGUGGUCAACUUAAUUCCUCUACCAACCGCACUUUAUUUUCAUACAAUAGUAGUGCAGGAAACAUGGUGAACAAAUUCCCUGAAUGCUGCAAAUUCCAUGUUUUCAUUUUUUCAAAUGUCAAUUAUUUGAAUAUUGUUCUUUCAUAUGUUUCUUGAACAAUUUUAACCAACUCUCAUAGUUCUCUAAAAUUUUAUCAAGUUCUCUGAAAUUUUAUUGGAUUCUCUAAGGACUGUUUUGAGCCUCACCACCUGAGGAAUAUGAUGGCUAAUCAUUGUAAGUUUUGAAAAAUAUUUUAUAGAGCUUAAGGGUCAUUUGUUAACACCAAUUUUCUGUUUUGACAAUAUUAAUUUGCUCGGUAAAUAAUGGAUAUGUAUUGCUUAAUUUUAGGACAAUAAAAAAAUGUUUUAUAUAGAAAAUAAUAUUUGUAAAUAUAUACUUUUACCAUAUGGAAAAAUAUAGUAAAUCGUAAGAAUAAUAAAGUAAUAAUGUAAUUAAAUAAGACUUACAUUUACAUAUUAAAAUAGUAAUUAAAAAUUUAUUUUGAGGAAUACUUCAGUUAUAUUGCUUUAUUUACUAUAGUAGAUUGUGGAUUUUGUAGUACAAACAACAGAUAACAAUAUAAAAGUCUAUGUUAUAUGUUUUAUAAAAUAUAUUAGUUUCAAUAUUGAUAGGUUUUUAUUUGAUAUUUCAGAUUAAAUUGAAUAAUUUAAUGGUUAUAAUUGUAGAAAUUAUAUAAUUUUAUAUGACACCCUAUAUUUCUAUUUAGAAAAUUGAUUUAUUAUAUUUAUGUCAUCUAUAUUUUAAUUCUACUAUAUAUAUUCCUUGUAGUAUAUUUAUAAAUUGUAAUUGUAAGUUUUUACAACUUUGAAAUAUUCAUUGUACUUUUAUUGUAUAAAUAGUGUUAUAUUAAUAUAAUUCCUUUUAUAAGUAUCAACAGGAGAGGAAACAUUGUUUACAAAAUCACUGGAAGCAAUAAUUUCUUGUUUAUAACAUUUGUGAAAACUUUGUGUUUACUUUUGCCUUUUUGAAAACAAAAACCAGGAAAGUGUUUUUAUUGCAUCUUAAAAAUAGAAGAAAAACCAAAAUAAAAGAAAAGAAAUGAACUCAUUCAUUAAGGGUAGCUUGAUUGUAUUUAAUUUUGGUACUAUAUGUUAUAUAUAAAAGAAAUGCAGAUUAUAUAUUUUCAUACCUUGUAGUUUAUGUUUGAUGUUGAUUGGAAAUUUAAUCCUAUCAAUAAUGCCUUGCUGUUUCAAUUUUUUCUUUUGCAGAAUAUUGGUGACAUAAGGAAUGGCCGAAGGACAAAAAUACCUUUAUUCGACUUGGAGACUGGUUCUCGUAAUGGGUUGAAAGAGCUUGAAGUGUCUGAUGAUUGUGGUGUGGUCUGUUACAUAUUCAUUUCAUUGCUGUUAAAGCUUGCUUUUUUUAAGUUAUUUAUUAUAUUUUUCUUCACUGAAAUGCAACAAGGUAAAUUAAAGAGUUAAAGACAAAAGGUUUAGAAAAUGAAAGAUGGAUUGGAUUGCUAAGGUGAACUAUUGGUUCUUUCUAGAUUUAACUGACCUGAUAGUUGUUUUAAAGAAGGAUUUUUUUUUCCAAUCAUAAAUGUCACCUGAUAUAUCUGCAAUGAAAUCCUUGCUCAGUGGUGCUAGUUCAUUUGGAUUAAAUACUUGUAACAUUUUAGAAUUUAAUUUGUUUAUUCUGACCAGAUAAUUUUUGAGGGGGUUUAUGCUUUGCAUCCUGAAAUCAGAAAAUCCCUUGAUUUGUGGAUUGCUGUUGUAAGUUGAUUCUCUAAAUUAUCUUUGGGUCUUGAUUUUCUUGUAUUAUAUAUGUAUUAUCUUGUUUUCUUUGAGAAAUAUAGGCUUUUAUUUUGGUUCUUUUCUGUAAAACCAGGUUGGAGGUGUUCAUUCACACCUGAUUUCUCGAGUUCAAAGAGACAAAAGUAGAGUGGGCUGUUUUAUGUCCCAAAAUGAGAUCAUGAUGACAGUGUUCCCAAUAUUUCAGCAGCAUAUUGAACCGCAUCUUGUUCACGCACAUGUCAGUAGUCUUUGAAUAUCUCAAACUUUUAGGACACGGAUGUGCUUAUAAGUAUCAGAAUACUUUUGAUACUCUUUCUGUUUAGAUUUUGUGUAGGCACACGUGUUGAUACCUAUUGUACUUUUUGUGUGUGUUUAACCUAUGCACGACAGUAGAUUUCCUAUUUAGGUUAGGUAUGGUUCUUUGAGAUAUUCUGACCAUUAUUCAGCAGUAACUCUGAUCACAAGGCUAACUUUGUGUUUCAAUGCUUUCUUAUAUUAUUGCAGCUGAAAAUUAGAAAUGAUUUUGAUCCUGUUCUUUCUCCUGAGAGUUCACUAUUCGUUUUGAAGAGUAAUAAGCAAGUAAGUAUCAUAAUGUUUCUACCCUAGAACUUACCUGCCAUGUCUUGAUUAUGACAAACCAUUCUUAUUUGUUGUUGGUAUCAGGUGGCCUAUCAAGAUAUUUUAAAAAUCCUUGACUCUGCAAAGUUCUGUAGUUCUGUUCAGAAUUUCAUUGAUAUAUAUUUAAGGCUUCCUGGAACUCCUACAAAUGGGCAGUUAACAGAAAGUGACUGCAUACGUGUCAGAAUAUGUGAGGGCAGAUUUGCGCUACUGAUACGAGAGGUUAGUAGAGAAAUUUAUGUAAAAUAUCUUAUAUCCAUGCAAUACUGUUGCUUUUUCUGAAACUGUAGUAAAUAGCUGUUAUUUUGAUUUCUUGUCAAUUAUGUCUGUUAGCCAAUAAGGGAAGGGAAUUUCAUCAUUCAGCCCAAAGUGGAUUUUGACAUUAGCAUUAGUACAGUUGCUGGCCUUCUUAACCUUGGGUAAGUGACAUAUUUAAUGUUGAUAUAUUGUUCACUAGAGUUUUGCUAUUGUGGAAUGUCAUUUUGUUGUAGGUAUUUAAUUAAAAAUGGUCAUUUUUUUUUUCAAAAAAAAAAAAGGGUCACUAGUUAAUCUCUUGUGUGAUGUUAAAGCCUCACAUUGUCAAUUGCAAAUGUAUACAUUCGAGGUUUGAGCAGCCAUUUUCCAGGAUGAAUCCAAAAGCCUUCAAGUUUUCUUUCUUUUUUCCUUUUUUAUUUUCUCCUUUUUUUCGUCCAGAAGAACAGGAGUGGGAAAAAGGGCGAAGGGAUUGAGAGGUACUGUUGAAAAAAAACUUUUUCUGUUAAGAAUUGUUAUAAACUGCAGGACAUCAAUGUAGUUAAUUAAUUUAAAUAAUUGCUUUGUGAAUGUUUUAAGGGAGGGAAAGUUAAGAUGAUAUUCUUAUCUGAGUUUCAUAAAACUCAAAACCUGGUUUUAACAUGUCCUUUCAUGGGCGAUUACUUCUUAAAAAGCACAUAAAAAUAUGCAACUCGAGGGACCUUUGCCAUUAGCUCUGCCUUGUUUGUUAUGGGGCUCAAACAUAUAUGUCAGCUGUGCUGAUAUAGUUGGUAGUCUUGAUUUUUGAGAGCCUACAUAUUUGAAGAAUUAGUCUAUCGGCCAUAUUCUGCUGUUUUAAAUUUUUUCCCUUCAUGCGUUACUCAGUGAUAAGUUAAUGUUCAACUGAUUGGUAUCAGUUUUAUAUUCCGUUCAUGAGUUUUAUAUUCCUUUUCAUGGUGUCAGGUAUCAAGCUGUAGCCUACAUUGAAGCAUCUGCACUCAUCUACCAAGAUGGCAAGGUAACAUUAGUUUGGGUCUUAAUACUUGUUUUUGUUUUGAGGCUACUGGCUUUUGGGUGUUUGCUUCUGAAAAGUGAUUUUAUGAAGAUUGGUAGUGGGAAUGAACUACAGGAGUUGAGGAUGGCAAUUAGUGGUAUAUUUUGGUCAUUAGAUUUUGAGAGGGGGGUUGCUGGAAGGAUCUAGAUUUGGGGUGGUUCUGUUAGGUUUUCUUUGUUCUGAGAUAGACUAGGGUUCUCCCAUUGGAUCUUUGGUGCAGAAGAGGCUUGGAAUGUUAAGCUCUUGUCUUUAAGGUUGGCUUUGGGGUAGGCAAAGAUUUAUGAUGCUACAUCAUACUGUAGCAAGAAGUUUAAAGCAGAAUUGCACUACAGUUCAGUGACAGGACAGUUUAGGUGCUUCUUAAAUUGAAGUGACGUUAUUCUGAGCUUUGACUUCUACUUGUGUUAAAUUGAUCAAGAGAUAUUUCUAAAUUAGGUGCUUCAUUUCUGGAUUAGACAAGGAAGUAGUGGAUCAUUUGGUAAAACUUACUGCAAAAGCCUGUUGCUGUGGUGUUAAUUUUGCUACUUGUUACGUACUUUAUGCUGGGUAAUAACGUGAUUUGAUAUUUGUUUCCAAGUUAAGGAUGUGGCAGUUAAGGUUCCAUUAGAUACUAAUCUCAGUAUGUCUUUCUUGUGAGUAGAUCUUAUUGGUUCACUUGGAAAGAGUGAAGGAUUUAACGGCUAUACUAUUAUUCAAUUGGUAACCAAACUGUUAUUAACUGUUUUGGAUAAAGACUGCUGUUCAACUUGAGUCAAUCACCUAAACAUAUACUCUUGGGGAGGGGGGGGGGGGGGGGGGGGGUUGCACUGUAAUAUAUUGGAAUGUGAAAACUUUUGGAAUUGAUGCAUUGUCGAUCUUCUGCUUGGCUAUUAACGAUUGAUUUUGGUGCUGUCUGUUAGAUUCUCAUUGAGGUAGAUCAUCUACAAGAUGUCUCUAGCCCUUACCUACAGAUCAAAGGGGUCAAUAAAGAGGCUGUGGCAGCUGCUGGUUCAGCAUUGAAACUGGAUGGGUCAUACACGACAAAGGUUUGGCCUUCGAUUGUGUGCUUAUGAUAGUGUGAGAUAAUUCAGUGUCAUUGCCACUUUUGUCUGUUAAUUUAAAUUUAUGUGACUUCUAUUCAUCUUGUAGAGUUACCUCCAAAUAAUUUUGGAAAGACUACCACUGGUGGAAAGAAGUUACAGUGGAAUUCACACUCAUCAAGCUGCAAGGUUGCAGGAACUUGUGGACUAUAUACAAUCCCAGGUGUUCACUGUUAAAUAAAAUUAGGCAAUAAACCUUUGAACAUAUUGAUAUGCUAGGUCGCUUUUAAUGUAAGAUGUUUAAUAUAAUGUCUAUGUUGGAUGAAAAUCAGAUUAUAAUCAUGGUGCUAGUGUCUGCAUAUUUAUGGUGAUUAAGAGUCUGCAUCUUAAAAAAAUUUCACCUUUUUAUGAAAUAGAAUUGGGAGGAUGAAAUGCAAAAAUCAAACUAGACAUGCCAAUUUUAUAUUCUUGAUAAUUUAGAGUCCACAUUUUAAUGAAGUUCUUAGUUUUUGUGCUAUAGAAUUGGAUGUAAUCAAGGUUUAGAACACAGUUUUUAACACUUAAUAAUGUUUUGGUGGACCAAACAGGGUGGCAGUACACCAUCAGAAUCUUCACAGAGUAGAGAGGCUUCUCCAAUGGAAGGCAUAAUAGAAGACAUGCAGUCCAGGAUUAGAAGGCUUGAACGGUGGCAUACCAUUAAUACGGUACUUUCCCUACUGUUUCCUUUUAAUCUUAGCUGGUUUGAUUUCUUCCUUCUUUUGGAAAAUUUAGUAUUUUUUUAGAAGGUGGAAUUGGAUUACUCUGGAAUAGUAAUAGAGUUUUUAGAUAAGCAGAUGGAACUCCCAUUCCAAUCCAUGCAAAUAUCACAUCUCAAAUGUUGUUUUUACUUUUUAACUUGAACGAUGUCAUUACUUGUUUUGGGCACCUUAGUUUAUGUACUUGUUUUGUGGCAGGUGCUAUGGACGUUUCUGAUGUCUGCCCUUGUUGGGUAUUCCCUUUACCAAAGAAAGCGCCAAUGACAUGGCCUUUUACUGGUCAUGACUGACAUUUGGGGGCUUGUUUUUUCAUUAUCUUGAAAUUGCCAAUGACAUGACAUGGCUUCCUGCAGAUUUUCUCCCCCUUUUUGCUACAGCGCCAAGUGCUAGAAACUGACUAACCAAAACUUCAUACAAAAGUCAAAUGCGUGUCUAGCAAUCAACUCAUAGGUUUACUACACAAAUUACACUUGAAAGUCUAUUGUUCUAGUUCCCCCAUUUUGAUUUUGUAAAUACUUGCGUUUGGAGGAAAUCAGAAGAUACGGAGAAGAGUUGAAGCUUCCUUUCUCUUUCUCCCAUAUUUAUUUUCACUUGGGAUUAUUGCAAUUUCCUUAUCCAUUUCUGUCAUACGCUUAAGUGAUAUAUUAAAAUGAUCCACAACUUUGUUGUAAAUCUUUCCCUAGCAUGGCAAAUUGCAGUGUAUGGCGGGUGCAUAAAUGAUCUUAAUAUUCUUGUCCGUAAGAUCGUGCUACCGAGUUCUUGUCAUGUGAAUGAUGACUGGAAAAUGAGAAUGCAGAAAUUUACAUAGCAGGUUAAGGUCAAAUGAGAACUUAUACUAGAAACAAAUGAUUAAAUGGAAACGAAAAUAUGCGCUGGUUUCCAAUUUGUAUGCACAAAAUGCCUAUAAAUGCAAAUUCAAAGUGAGUAUCAUGCGCUACGGGUUACUCAUUAGGCAGGGCCAGGGGUUGCGUGCGACCCAGCCACCAUCCGAAUCACAACUCCAUAUCAUAUCACAUUAAUAAGAAUCUAUUUAAGUUACUCUACCAAUUUCAAAAGUUUAAGACACAAGUAGUCUCACAUUUUAGAUUCCAAAAUUUAGUAGCCUGCUUUAUGGUAUGAUUCCUUUCUCCUUCAUAAAAUACACAGCAAUAGCGAGUAGUAGUACAAUAAAUAUGAUCAUCCAGCUCAUUCCACCUGUAAUAUUAAAGAGAAAAAAAAAAAAGUUAAGACCUUUUAUGUACCAAAUGAAUAUCCAAAGUCUAGAUUAUAAAAUAACAAAUUUGGCCAAAGCCAUCAUGCCGCAUUUAAGCUUGGAGUUUGGAAUUCUCUUUGGCUGUUAUUUACAUGUAUUAUAUAAUGGUUAUUCCCCUGCUAUGCCUAAGACAGACUAACAUUAUGUUUUAUUUAUCUUGUCAUCCAUGACCAACCAUAGUUCAAUCCUAUAUCAAGUGAGAUUUAUUUAUCAUACAAAAGAAUAACUAGUUAUACAAAGAACAGUAGGUUUAGCCCCACCAAGUGUCCUUGGUGCGGCUCGAACCCCACACCUGACAAGCAGGACACAUGAGUGCACAGGCUGCAGUGAACCAGCCAUUUUCAAUCCAACAAGGUUCAUAUGCACCUUUUUAGAUAACAAAACAGAAAAUUCUGAAAGGCACAUACCAGUUUUUGUCUUGUCCUUGAUUAGUGUCACCCUAGCACUUGAGUCCAGUGAUGCAGAGAUCAAAGCCCUGUAUUCAAAAUUGCAUUCCUUAAUAUCAUACAUCAUACUUAUUCUUAUAAGGGGUACUGCAGCAUAAACAAUUUGCAGAAAUCAAGAUACAAUGCAGAUAUAUUGUCAUAAAACCUUGAAUCAUGGGAGAAUGUCAAUGCUGUAACCAAACCAAGGUGAGCUUUUUUCACCAUCAUUUGAGCUCGCAUAUUGGAAGAAUUUAUGAUAAAAAGGUCUCCUCCAACCGUUCCACUGCAUGUCAACCAGGUGAAGAAAGAUUACUCAUUUUCUAAAUGCAAAGGCUUGUGGAGUUUCAAGACUUCAAUAGAUCUAUUUACUGACAAAAGGGAUCUAGCAAAUGCAUUGAAACUCCAUCUAAUAAUCCAAGAGGCAAGAAACAAUCUACCAUAAAGUAAAAAAAUUAGAAGGGGAAACAGGCAGGAUAAUCAUAUGAUACAGUCAGCAACAGAGAGGUCUUUGGAGGAAUGAAAUUUAUUGUAGCCCUAACUCUCUUGAGAAUUCAGAUAUAAUCAUUUGAUACAGUCAGUGUCAGAGAGGUCUUAGGAGAAAAGCUCACAAUGGGUCUUAAUUACACCUAUACUAAAGUUUUAAGUAUUUUUAAGUGAAGGUAAUAAAUUGAAGCGAACAAAGUAAUAAUUCUUACACUGCAAGGAACUUCCCAUCAGCUGAGACAUUGAAUGCAGAGAUAGCUUCCCGGACUACUCGAUUUGAGCGCAUUCUCUUCCACGUGGUUGUGUUCCAUGUUAAAACACUCCCACCAUGGUCUGUCAAAAUGAAGUUAUGAUGGUAAAUUUACAAGCUAAAUCAGGGUUUCUCUUUUAGUACAUAGAAAAGUUCAGGAUCCAAUGCUAAAUAUAAAAUAUUUACCUGUGACUGCAGCAAUAUACAGAACUGGAUCCUUAUCAUUAAUUUGAGAAAAUCUGCAGAAGGCAAAAACCUCAUCCUGGAGUGUACAUAAGCAAAAUAAAUCAGCUCAAACCCAAUACAUAGAAGAAUGGUCAACUCAAAUCACCAGAAAAACCUGACAAUUCCCUUAUUGUUUCAUAUCUGCCAGACAAAUGGCAAAUAAGACUGACUAAUUCAAUAAAUUAAUUGAUGGCCACAAAUUUAGUUAACACUUUGUUAUUUGUUUGACGACAUCAUAUAAAAAGAGAGAGAGAGAGAGAGAGAGAGAGAGGGAGGGAGGUAACACAUAAAGCUAAUAAUCUGGAUUCUGGACAACUCUCCUCAAUGGUAUAGCUUGAAAAGCUAGCGUUAAAAGCACCAAAAGUUGUAAAACCUAUAGAAAAGGCUCUGUUAAAAAAUUUUGAUUCACUCACUCACAUUUCCCUUUGCCAGAGAAGCUACAACUUUUGAUGACUCUACAUCCCAAAUCCUACAAAGGCCACUUCCCAAUGAGACGAGAAAUUUUCCAUCACAGCUGCAAUACAAACAAUAAAGAUGUCAGCAAAAAUGAUUACUAAGGAGAUAAAGUUUCCUCCUGUUUGACAACCUCCUCCCUUGAAAGUAUAAGAAUAAGCAGGGGAGAAAAAGUUUGCAGGUUCAGGAAUAGAUAUUAUUGUUAAUCCCAGUGCCACAGACCUAAAAUCCAAGUCCUUAACAGAAGAAUGAGCUUGGGCUUCAUUGAGAAUUAUUUCCAUGCUAGGCCACUUGAAAACCCUUAAACUGCCAUCCUGUACUGCAACAAAAUCAGAGCAUCAUAUGGCAUAUUGCUGCUGAAAUGAAAAAGGUAUAAUGCAUGAGGCACAAAAUGGAGAAAUUGAACAAGUGAAACAUAACAUACAGAAAUGGAAAAGUUGGCUCUUCAAUCCAAAGAUGAGCUUCAAUGGAAGAUCCUAUAACUUGCUACUAUCUGCCUUUUGAAAUUUGAAAACCCCUAUGCAGAAACUAUUACUUCCACGGUGGCACCCAACAAAGACAAGAGUAGAAUCUACGGUAUUAAAGGGUACAAAAUAAAGGUCAUAACAUUGUACAUUGUUGAACAAUGGGUGCCUUUUAAUAUCUUUGGCUUUUUUUUUUCUUUUUUCUCCCUCUCUAUGUCAAGAAAAUCACAUUGGUAUUCCAUCAUGAUAAUAUAUCUCUGAAAUCCAAGUCGAACCAAAAAGACAACCACACUGCAUAAAGUGAUCUAUCAUGUGAAAAACAACCAGCAUAUACUUCUUAAAUUUACAGGAACAUGUACAGCUUGACUUGAGCAUCACUUUCAGAUAAUUUGAGCACAUAGUGAGACAAUAGUUUUUCCCACUGGUGUUGUAAUGAAUCAUGCAACAGACUUUUUCCACAAAUGGAAAAAAUGAAAGGGAUGCUCUACCUCACCACCAACAGCCAGUAUGGAACCCUCACUGUUAAAUCUCAGUGCUAAUUGUUGUCCAACAUCUUCUAACUGGGUCAGAACUUUCUCUGACACCUUGACACCCAGGUUUUGUACUUCAUUAUCCUGUGGUUCUUCCCACUCAAACAACCUGAAGAAGAAAAACAAUGGAAUAUGGUACUCCUUAAACUAGAAACAAUGACAAAACUAAUUGUGCAACAUAAUACUAAUCUGGAUGUAUAUUAGAAUUGAGUGAGUCAAAAAGGAGCACAGGAGGGAAACAGAAUCAGAACCAAGGUGCUGCCGCACAAAUUAUACAGGAUACCUGACCAUUAAAACAUGAUCCUUGGUGCACAUGUGGUUACAUCUUUGAAAAUUAUAUUUCACAAUAAACAGCUGCACAAGCUCCUUGACUAUAUGCUAGCAUAACUUCAGGUACACCUUUAUAUUAUGGUACAACUUCUAUGCUAUUACUCUUCCCUUCAGUGUCUAGAGUUUCACACUAAAGCCAGGGCAUUUUUAUUACCUCCAAGAGAGGUCGUAUCUAAUUCAUAGAAAAAUGUAUUGAGGAGUUGCACACUCUUUAUAUAAAUAGAGUGGUUGAAAUUAUGAUGAACAAAUUCGUAUCAAGAAAAGAAAAUUUGAUGAAGAAAUUGAUUUGAAACACUUUCUUUUGGGCAUAUAGAAAGGAACAAACUGUAUCACGCAUUUUGUCUGGCUGAUUUAGAACCAGAAAAUUUUCAUUCUCUUCUACCAAACACUCCAUUUUCCAAAAAGCUUUGUAGCAGUGAUGGCUUUGAGAUGAUUCAGACAAAAGCAUCAUAGAGAAAGAACAGCAUCUUUUGUCAAUAGAGAGAAUCAUUGGUUAUACACUCAUGCUUGCCUCUAUCAAUCUAAUUAGUAAACAACAGCAGGCAGCUUAGAAAUCCACCAAGGAAUAUUCAAAUUCACAUUUCACCUAUCAAAUUACGUUGCCUGUGCUAAAUUAUGUCAAUAUCAAUGCUUUAAGCCAUUAAAAUUUUCCAAUUUCAGAUUCGAAAAGCAAAUGAUAGAAACAAAAAAAAAAGUAACUAAAGAGACAAAAAAGAAAAAACCUGCAACUCUGUUGCAAUGCACAGAUAAUGCCAUCUCCACGCGGAUGAACAGUCAUUCGGUAAGGCAAAUCAGAAUCAGUUCCCAGCUUAAACACCUUUAAUGAUAACAAGAAAAUACAAUAAAUUAUCAUAUCAUAUUCCAUGUGAAUUUUAUUUUAUUUUUGAAAAAAGCAGUUGCUUACAGCACUUACAAUCACAAAUUUGAGAACAUUUCCUUAAUUCAAAAUCGCUGAUCUAAAAGAUUUAGAUUUCAUACUUUUAAGAAUCGUCAACAUAGAAUCUAUAAAAUUAAAAAAAUUUUAAAUUGAAAUUCUUGAAAUCUACAUACAGGCUGUUCAGAUAGAGAAUUAGAGGCGAAAUCGACAUGCGAGACGACGAUUGCAUUGGGGAUGCCGCUACGGCCUUCACCACCACCGCCAGAAAAUACGACGUAGUUUUGGGAGGUGCUAAUCUCAUCAUCUUUGGAUUGAGUUGGUUCUUUGUCUUCAUUUUCUUCAUUUUUUUCUUGUGACGCGAGCUUGGAUCUGAUGUGGUCGUAAGGAACCCAGCCGGCUCCGUAAAACGGCACGCCGUAUUUUUGGAGAUCGGAGGAGGUGUCUGAGCUGUUGCUAUUUGUCAUGAUUCUGAAAUUUGUGCUUCUGGUCUGGUGACUGAGCCGAAACAGGCAGCGAGUCACGCUUAUGCCUUGCGUAUGUGCUGCUCGCUCUCGGUCAUAUAGGGUAUAUAUAACUCUGUCGUGUUUACAAAUUUUUACUUAGGCUUACGAUGUCAAGCCAGUGAUUGGGUGCCACGUUGAGAGAAAAAACAAAGCUUUGGAUAGUAUUCAUUUUGUUCUCAAAACUUUAUUAAAAAAUGCAAUUCAACUCUCCAAAAGUAUUAUAUUUAUUACGCGUGAUGGUAAAGGACGUUUUGUUCGUGAAAUAAGAAAAAAAUAAUUAUUUUAUGAAAAUAAAAUAAUUAUUAUUUAAUUUAAUAUGAUAAAAAGGAUAAAGUAAAAAUUAUUAUUAUUAUUUAUUGUAAUGUUUGAUUCAUAAAAAUAACUUUAGAGUAAAAAAAAAUGAGAUUUUAAAAAAUAAAAAUAUUUAUUAUUAUUAAAAUAAUAUAUUAUAUUAUUUUCAUCAAAAUAAUAUAAUGUAUAUAUUAAUAAAAAGGAAAAAAAUUCUUGAGGUUUGUAGAGAUUUAUCUAAAUAAUAUUUUUUUAAAUAAUAUUAAUAUACAAUAUUUGAUAAAAAAAAACUCAAAAGUUUUUACCCAUCAAACAUAAUGUUAUGCACCUUUUAAUAAUUUUGAUCAGCUCAAUAAAAAGAUUUGCAAGCCCAAAACAUUAAACAAAGAACAAAAAAAAAAGUAACAACAAAUUAAGCCCAAAACAUCAUAUGAACAAACAAAAUAAGAUACUUGAGUUGAGCAUAUUCAGUUUAACUCAUUUUCUUUUCCAUUAGAUAAGUACCUAAUCACAGGCAGAGCGGAAGACGGUAGAAAAAAACAAUGCCAUGGGAAGAAGAGGGAGAGGAAGAAAAAGAGAAAAAAAUGAUUUUAUAUGAACAAAAUUGUAAUUUUUUAAAUUUAUAAAGAAUAAUUUCAUCUUAAUAAUUCUUAAAGUUAUUCCAUGUCAUACAAAAAAGCAAAUAGUAAUUUCGAGAAAAUAGAUAAAACUUGAUCAAACAAAAAAGCCAACGGUAAUUGGGAGUAGUAGAGCGGGCGCACCAAACGAGUUGUAAGUGUAUUAUUAUUCUCAUUCUUCUAAUUACCGCUUUUACUAUUAUCCCCUUGCACUCCUGCUGACCUCGGGCCAAACAUGGUGUUAUUCGAUACCCGCCUUUUGCUCUUGUUCAUUACAGCAUUUUUAUUUUUGACAUUUCACUUAUCUGCCAAAAUAUCUGGGACCUGUAAAUUUAGGAUUUUCACCAUUUUUAAUAUUCUUUCUAUUUUUAAUCUGUAUUUCUCUUCCCCAUCGAAAGAAGCCGGGACCUCAAAUCAAUUAAAUUUAGAGGUGUUUUUCUAUAUUCCCGUCUUCUUCUGCAAUUCUCUCAUCCCUGAUUUUAGGUAAAAUCCCGUAAUGUUUUUAUCUGUUAUUACGUGUAUAUGCAUGUAUAUUAUAGUUGUUGUUUUAUGAUGUCAAGUUUCUAAUUGUGAAAAUUUGCGUUUUAUCUUCAAAAGAGAUGAUUUUAUAUUUUUAAUUUGGUUACGAAUCUUGAAUGCCUAGUCCAUAGGAUUAAAAUUCUGUUCUCCUUAUUAUGAAAUCUUGCUAAAGAGUGAGAAUGAAUUUUCAUUAAUUUUUGUGUAGUUCUUUUGUGUGUCCAUAAUUUGUUUUUUUUUUUUUGAAUUAACAAAUCACUUCUUUCAGAGUAUAGAAUUUUCGCGUUUCAUUUUCAUUUACUUUCUCGGUACAUACGAGAAGGUCCAAUGGAGAAGGGUUUCGAACCAUAUAUCUUAACUUCUUUGAUAAAUUCUGUCAGAUCAAAUCUUGAUUCAUUUUGAUUACUGUGACUAGAAAUCCAUUCAAAGUUAAUUUUCUUUUCUUUGAUUAUUUAAAAAGAAAAAAGAAACCCAAAGUUCAGUUUUUUUUGUUUUUCUUUUGCCUAAAAGUCUUUAACUUGAUAUUUUGUAAUCUGAACCAUGGUUGAUCUUCAUUUUUGAUACUUUUGGCAAUUCGUAUGUUAAUUUUUUUUUUUUUUUUGACUUACUAGAUGGAGGAUGAUCAAAGGGAAGAGUAUUCUAGGGAUCGGAUUAGUGAGUUACCUGAUGAAAUUCUAUUUACAAUUCUUUCCUUUUUGACCCUUAAGGAGGUAGCAAGCAUAUGCUUUCUUUCCAAGAGGUUAAAAAGCUUGUGGCCAAACAUUGUUACUUUGAACUUUGAUGCUUCAUAUGCAUUAUGUGAACUUCGGAGGAAUGGCAGUUUGAGGAAAAAGAAGAGGUCUUGGUACAUAAGCUGGGUGAACCACAUCUUGGAGUUGCAUAAAGGUUCUACUUUAAAUGAAUUUAGAGUUUGUUUUGACUUGGAUUGGACUUGUAGGCAUGAUAUUGAUAGUUGGUUUCAUUUUGCAAUAUCAAAGAGGGUUCGGAAGCUUGAGUUGGACUUCGAAGAAGUGGCAGAAAAAACUUGGCCACCAGGUUUAAGAUCCUAUUCUUUAACAAAAAGUUGUUAUGACUACAUUAGAACUCCUCACGGUUUAUCCUGUAUUACGUUGUUGACUUCUUUAUGUUUGAGAUUUGUAAAAGUAAGUGGUGAGGUUCUGGAGCACUUCCUUUCACAUUGUCCUCUUCUUGAGAAGUUAGUUGUGGAGUGGUCAAAAAAUUUAGUGAGACUUAAAGUUGCUAGUAAUUCAUCAGCUUUGCGGUUGAGAUACUUGGAAAUACACUCUUGCCUUGCUUUGGAAAAUCUUGAGAUUUCUGCACCAAAUUUAUGGUCCUUUAGGUAUUAUGGACAAAAGAUGGCAUUGCACAUUGAAAAUGCUCCGCAUCUUGCUGAUGUGCUUAUAGGUGGGAACUUAGAUGAUCAACCAGCUUUUGCUUUUUACCCUCUUUCAAGCUAUCUUUGUCAGCUAGAGACUCUUACGUUAGAGAUGAGUGCUGUAAGUGUUUGCUACAUUUUUUAUGUUCUUAGGUUCCAAAUUUUUUGCUAUUGGGUUUCUCAUUGUAAUUUGUUUUGCAGUAUAAUAUGAUGUUUCCAAAUUUCCCCCAAUUGACAAAUCUUAGACACUUAGUAGUAAGUGUGUAUGGUGGAUAUGAUGACAAUCUUCUUGUCUUGACUUCUUUGAUUGAUGCAUCUCCUUCCUUGAACAAACUCUCAUUGGAGGUAAUGUUAAUUAUGUAUAUUCUUCUUGAUUAAGAAUGUUGCUGAUUUCUUCAUAUUUGUUAUUGACUGUAUGGAUGACAGAAAUUUUCAUCAGCCUUUGCAUGCAUAGCACAGUCUUUUAUAAGAGGCUGGUUAUGUUAUUUUAGUAUCACAUCAUUUGUUCUAUUUAUUGACAGUUUGGUUUUCAUUUUCCAUGAAACUGGUGAAAAUUCUGGAUGUAUGAACUAAUUGUUCUUCUUUUCCUUUCUUUGUUGUUUUUAUCAGUUAUCUUUUUAAUUUUUGGCACUACUUGUUGUCCCUCUUGUUUUCUCAUGGUUAUCUUAUUGUGUUAUCUUUAACAUUUUGCAGUUAAAAAUUUGGAGAUCCUCUACAUACAAUCAUGCUCAUAGUGCUAGUAAUGCUACGGGAAAACCCAUCCUGAGUCUUAAAGUGGUGGAGGUGGUAGGAUUUAGAGGUUUUAAAAUUGAUGUGGAUUUUGUUACAUACUUACUUGAGCAUGGCAAAAUGAUUGAGAAGAUUACAAUUAAUUGUUGCCAUCCAAGUUGGAUUGGGCAAAUAUGGGAGUGCGAGUCAAUUAAAGAAAGAGAGAAGGCAAGAAUGCAUGCUUUACAACUGAAAUCAAAAGCACCUGCAAUAACAGAAUUUGUAGUCGUGUAAAGUCAAGUCUAAUGAUAUUUUUCAUUUAGAUCCUUAAGCAUGAACCAUCUGUUGAAUGUUUAAGUCCUGUACAAGUUACUAGUUUUGUGGAAUGUAGUGCUGUGGCAUUUUUCCAUUUGAUUUGUGGUUUUCUUUAGAGCUCAAGCAGUUAAGAAUCAACAUAUCAGUCAUUUUCCGAGAAGCUCCAAUUGGUAAACUCCCCACUGCAAACAUUUUGUUACCACAAAUAAGAUAACAAGGUCUUUAAUCAAGGUUUCUUUCUUUCCCGUGGUUUCUUGGGUGACUUUUCUUUCUCUUCUGUUUCUCCUUUCACAACGAGGGGAAAAAGUCAAGGAGCUUGGGGCUCAAUUUAGGGAUGGAAUGGGUACUUUGUUAUCUAAUAUUCUGCAUUACUUAACUCUAUUAAGUAAGAUUAGGUUAACCUAUAAUCAGGUUCCUCUCAUUUUGAAAGGAUUAGAUUUGGAGGAGAAAACAAAGUACAAAUGGAUCCAUUUUCCUUCUAUCCUCUUACCAAACAUAGUACUAACGUUUUAUUGGAGAGUAUGGCCAAAUGCAAGGACAUUGCAAGCACUACUAGUAAGUUUUAAUGUCUUUGCAAGCACAAACCAGUGUAUCUGAAGCAGGAGAGCAGCUAUGGACUAUGGUAAGCAGAGGAAGAUAGUCAACAAGGAGAAUGUGGAAAAUCAGAUUUGGCUUGAUUUUUAAUAUUAUCAAAUACUUCGAUAUUCCCACUGUAAAACCCGGAACCGAUAGCUAUAUAUGUCAGGUAACAUUCUUCAUACUACAUGAUUUGAUGAUUGGCCUUUUAUUGUUGAUGAAAGCGUAGUGACAGCCUCCCCUACUGUCAAGAAUAAGCUGUCUGGUCCCAUGAAAUCACCAGCUUCGUCCGAUUUUUGCAAUUUUUCCAUCACCUCACCCAGAGGAUUCACCAGCACAAGCUGUGAUGUCAAUGAGAGCAUUAGAAUUUUGAAUAUAUAAAGACAUACAUGCAGCAAAAGAACUAGUGAUGAAAAUGUUUGUUCAGAUUGGAGACUUAAUUACCUCAACGCCCUUCUUUUCCAUUGCUUUCUUCAGUUCUUUAAUGAGUGAUACACCACUCGUGUCUAUGGCACUCACCGCUGGACAAAACACGGACAAAAAGCAUGUUGGUUACAGAGUAUGUUGAAUAGUAGGGAACAAUAUGGAACCAAUAAGCAGAUUGAGACAAGACUUACCUGACAUCUCUAAAAUCACAAAUCGAAGGCUUGACUGCUUUUUAAGAUCUUCUUCUGCUUCAUAAUCUUCAACCCAUCUCAAAAUCCUUUGGAAGGGAAGCCCAAUCAUAAAGCGAAAGAGGUACACAGAAUAAACAAUCUGAAGACAGUAAGGCAUUCUCUACAAACGAAGUCUGUGAAGUGAUAACCAACCUCUCAUUCAGAUAUGUUGAAUUAGCAAAGUUGAUUGGAGCUUCGACGCUUAGAAUGAGGAAACCAGGGAUCUUCAUGGAUUCCUUGUAAUGGUGAAGAUUACGGUAAAUAUCUGUCCCAGGAAUGUUCCCUAGCAUCACUGUCUUUGGCCUAGUAAUUUGCAGGAGGAUCUUGAAAAUGGAGAUUCCAACCUGGCCAUUAUUCAUACUCCCAUAACUUUAGCUUAAUCACGACUAAAGAAAUUCAUUCAGGCAUGACUUAUGGAAUUGCAUAUAGACCAUCUGAAGGUGUGAGAAGAGAACUUACUGCAAUGGCAAGACCAUCUUGGACAGAGAUAAAGAUAACACCAAAGAACGCACAUAACAUCACAAUGAAAUCAAAUUUGUCAAUCUUCCAAAUUUGAUAGGCUGCUGGAAUGUCUAUAAGGCCAACUACUGCUGACACAAUGAUAGCUCCCAGCACGACGUUUGGUGUGUACUGGAAUAAAGGCAUGAGGAAGAGGAGGGUCACCAUAACCGUAAUUGACAUUACUAUGUUAGAGACCGCAGUUUUGGCUCCUGCAUUGUGAUUAACAGCUGAUCGGGAGAAAGCACCUGAUAGGAAAAUUAUGUAGAGGUUAAUUAGCUGCUUAAGAAGAAGCUUUUUGUAAGAUUAAUAGCCUGCUGGAGUAGGUGUCUACCUGUUGUGACAUAGCAGGAAGUGGAGGAGCCAACCAUGUUCAUCAGCCCAAUUGCCAUCAUUUCCUUGUUGCCAUCCACUUUGUAAUUCUUAAGAGCAGCAAAAGUCCUUCCUACUGCAAUGCCUUCCUGUUUAAUACCAGGUUGAAUUAAAGCAAUGGCUAAACAGAUUUCUGUUCUUUCCGAAAUAUUCUUACAAGUAAUUUAUCUUUCAUUUUAAGUAUAGAUGCAGGCAUGGUGUUGUCUUGUUUUAAAAAAUACUGAACUUGAUUAUAUGAAGUUUUAUGCAAAAAAAAAAAAAAAAAGCAUACCAUUUUGAUUAGAGGUUUUGGAACGAUCUUUAAUCUGUUUUCAAAAUAUGAACUGGUUCAUUUUGGCUAAGAAGUCCAUGCUCUUAUUCUACCCCCUUUAGCUUUUCCUUCAAUAAAUUUCACUAAAUUUUCAUCAUCUGCAGGUUGAACCAGUAUCUUAUCUUUUACUUCACUGUGAAAGUUGCCAGGCCGCCAAGGGGUGUUCAUUUCACUCGAAGAAGUCGGUCCUUUUAACUUUACCUCCUUUGUUAACUUGUUCAACAAUCUGACAAGCCAGCUAUUGGCUCAUCAAUGUAUAUUACCGUAAGGAUGUAUCGUGGUCUGCGAAAUUUUCUUCAGCUCCGACUUCAAAAUAAAUUUGCCGUGGCCAACCGGCCAUUUAAUUAUUGUAUGCAUGUUUCCACUGUACGUCAAGCUUUAAACGGUUUGUCUUCGAUCUGCCAAUUGGCUUGAAAUCUGUUUAGGUUUAAUAAAGCUGUGCCUACUUACUGAUAUGCAAAGCUUAAAGCAUCAGUUUAACAACUUGUUGUGCAACUCCAUACAAAUCAAGGUAUAAGCACGGGCGAAACCCUCUCCUGAUAGCGUUUGAUACGAAGGUAACAUGGAAAUUUUGUAAAGAACUUCUCCAUUUAGUUUAAUUGUGAUUGGCGGACUCAUUUGUUUUUUCUUUUCAAUGAGGUGUCAAGUUAAUUAUUGAAAAGAUUCGGAUAAAAAGGAAUUAAGACAACUUACAGUGAGGGAAAUAAUUCCAGUAACAAGGCCAGCUUUAAUUGACAGUCCAAGGUGGCUUCCAUGAAAUUGCAGCAUAUUCCAUGAAGGAGGAUUUAAUCCUUGUUGCAAUUUUCCAAUCUAAGUGAGUGGAGCACACCAAUUAACUGUAAGAAACAAAAAAGGGGAGCAAUAUAUACUAGGAGUUACUAAGUGAGGGACCCAGGAUACUUACUAUACUGAUGCCAUGAUGCUCAGCUUUGAAUGCAAAAACCACGAGUGUAGAGAGGAUCACAGAAACAAGAGGAGCCCCAGCUGAGAUCCAAAACAGAUUUGGUCUUCUCAUGCUCUGCAUGGCACACACCCCAAGUUUGAUAGUCAAUGCAAUAACCAAACUGUUGUCAGAGAGUAUUCUAUUAGACUUUCAUGUGGGACCAACUAUCUGAUGUGGCUUGCAUUGCAUCUGAGUCAACUCUGCAGGGUAUCAAGGAUUUAACCUAUGAUUGGAUCGUUAUCAUAUGAGCCUGUGGCUCAAAUUAAGAACCAAGGCCCUUUUGUGUGCAAAAGUCACCCGCUUAGAGUCUGUUUGGAUGUGCGGGACAGUGCUAUCACGACAAGUCUAAUGCUGUUUAGGGGGUCAGUGUAGUCGGGAGGGAUCCCACCGUACUGCCCCGCACAUCCAAACCAGCUAUUAAUCUUAUGAGGGCUAAAGGACUAAAGGGCUAAUAGAGCCCAUACAUGUUAUGCUGAUAUGUCCAAGCUGAAAGUUUAAGCCUCCCAGACAAGGUUUUUUUCAAAUCUCGGCUUCUUUUCCUCAAGUUGCAAAUGGUCAAUAAUCCAUUUAAUAUCGCUCUCAGGACUCAGGAUUGGCAGGGUGUCCACAUAGAAGAACUAAAAAGAAAAAAAAAACGUAAUAUAGUAAUCAUUUGGAGAAACUAUGACCACCCAGACCAUGGAAAUACAUGACACAUGUUAUCCAUGCAGGCCAGAAAGGAGUCAAAUCAUCAACAUUAGGCUUUCUGGUUGGUAAAAUAUAGCACCGGGGACCAGAUGUAAGAAAAUAGUGAAUGUAGAUGAUUGAAACCGUCCACAAUGAAAUUAACGGGGGGUUUGUUUUUGAGUGAGUGAUAGGUUCGAUUGUUAGGCGGUUAAGAGCGUCCUUUUGAGCGAUAAAGAUAGCAGAUUCCAUAUGGGACUUGAAGACAAAGAGAGGAGGAGUAAUAAGACGUACAACAUGUCUUGCCACUAGCAGGAACACUAGAAAGCAGAACCCCAUCAGUAUUGUUUGCCAUGACCACUGCAUGAGAAGCAAGAAAAAAGAAACACCACACAUAAAUUUAUGAUAAGAACAAAUAUGAGCAGAGGUUAUGGCAAGCCACACAUGAAUGAGUUGGCUGCUAACUGCUAAGAGAUAAGAAGUUUUAGUAAGAGUUAUCAAGUUACCGAAAAAAGCAGAGGUUAUGGCAAGCAGUAGUUGGCUACAGGCAAUUACCAUGUAAGUGACAUUUACAUAUACAGAAAAGAUUAGUUCAGACUACAGAGUAAAAUACAAUACCUCCUUUGUAUUGUGGAAAACGGAGCUCAAAACAGGUACCAAACCCAUUUGUUUAGUAAAAUGAGUGAUUCCAAGAAGGCUUUUCAGCUGCUGCAAAGAAACAAUGAUAGCAGCCCCAGCCAUGAACCCGAUAAGAGUAGCCUUUGAGAGAAAAUCAAUGAUAAAUCCAAGCCUGCUCACAUUUCACCAGAAAUCAUCAGAAAGGUUAUUUAAUUUUUUUUUUAAAAAAAGCAAAGAUGUGUUUAAAACGAAAGGACAAGUUCACCUUAAAAAUCCCAAAGAAGCUUGGAAAAAACCAGCAAAGAAAGUUGUAGUAAAGGCUAGUUGCAGAAACAAGACAGGAUCAUUGGCAGGGGAUACUUCUUGCCGAAGCAUGGAUCCAAGUAUAAGUGAAGCUAUGGAAACAGGCCCUACUGCAAGGUCCCUGGAGCUUCCAAGUACAGCAUAUACAAGAGGAGGCACAAAGCUGGAAUCUAGACCAACAAGGAAUAAACAAGCUUUACCAAAUGAAAAUCCAAUCAAACAGGAAAUUUCAAAGUUGCAAAUAAGCUUACUAAAAGAGCAGAGUCACUCACAGAGACCAACAAUUGGUUGUAGACUAGCAAGCUUAGCAUAACUGAUACCCUGAGGUAAAAAAUUUGAGAUCAAAUGAAUGGAUAACCAUUCUAAUUACCAUCAGAUAAAGAGGAAAAAAAACAAGAUUUUUUUUGGAGUGACCUGUGGGAUGGCUAAGCUGGCAAUGGUAAGUCCGGCAACAAUAUCCGAUUUGAAGAGUUUGAAGCUAUAAUUCGGACCCCAUUGGAGAAUAGGGAAGAUGUAUUGAGCUGCAAGAAUCCAUUUCUUCCUCGUUGGCUGUCCUUUGAAUUGGCGCAAAGGGUCAUCAGGGAAGAAAGUUUCUUUGAGCCUUGAUUUAAGCUUGUGAAUGGUGCUCUUAUGGGGUGGUGGGACAACUUGAUGAACCUCCAUGGUUAUUUCUAGGCAGGUUUGAGGGUGCUGCAUGGUGGUAGCAUUAAGCUCCAUGGUGGUGGAAAAAUAAACUGAAUUUGGUGUAGCUUGUUUUGGUUGAGGAAUGCUCUAAUUUAUGAGCGUCCCUUCCCCCAUCAAAUCAACUUCUCCAGAGAGACCGCUAACAAACAAACUAGUACUUGUCUAAUAGAGAACAACAGUGCCUAAAGAGGAAGAGUGAUAGAGAGAGGCGAGCCUUAUCAAUAUGGCAUUGUUGGUGAGCCCACCUACCUCUUUUCUUCUGCGUCUUGCACAAAAAUGCGCACAUGAAUCUACAUGCAGCCAGUGGUGGGAGAGACACAGUCUAAUAUCUCUCCUUAUAAAAAAGGAAUAACAAUUUUAGCAAUUUUGCUCAAACUAUCAACAAAAUUUUAGGGAUAAAAUGACAUGAAGAAUAUUAAAUAGUAUGAAAGUGCUUGUAAUUAAAAAUUAAAAUUACAUGAAGAAUAUUAAAUAUUUGUUCAUUUUCAGCACCAAAAAAGGAGCACCAUUAUCUAUCUUGAGUACCCAUCUAGAGAAACAAAAACAAAAAAGGAAUGCCAUUUCAAUGAAGUAGAGCUUGUAAGCUGUAAAGUAGAUUUAUAGAGAAAAGGUCAAUUGCAUUUUGAUUAAUGGGUUAAUUAAUUAUAAGGUCUAACAUUUAAAAAGUUUUUUUGUUUGAAUUGCACAUUAGAUUUUUUGAACUACAAUAAUUAAAAUAGUGACAUAUAUAUAUAUAUAUGUAUAUAUAUGACCGAAAUAAGGAGAGACGUAAGCAAUAAUGCAUUUUGCACUAUUAAUUGCUCCCUCUGUCUCAUAGUCUUUGUCCAUCUUAUUUUGGAAUGUUUCAAUUAAAUUGUCAUAUUUUCGUAAGUACCUAUAUUCUAAAAUUAUUUUUUAUACUAAAAACCAUGAACACCAAUUUUACAGAAUAAAAUUUUUAAAUUUUAACAUGAAAUAUAAUAAAUUAAUCAAACUUUUUGAAAAUAUAUAAUUUGGGUAAAAGUUCAAUAGAGGCAAUAAAAAAGAGACCGGACAUAAGUAGUUUGUUUUUUUGCCCUCCACGUCUAGUUGUAAUAUUUAAUAGGACAAUGGGCAUGGAAUAAAUUCAUGAGCGAAGCGUGGGAGGAGGUGGCUAUUUACGAAAGUAUUAAUCAAGUACGUCAAGUAAAUUAAGCAUGCAAAUAGUUUGUGUGCAAAAGUGAUGAGGCAACUAAUAUAUUUUCAGCUGCCAGUUGGAUUAAGCUAAUUAGUUACAUAAAGGGGUGUGCCAAUGUCAUGCAUAUAUUGCAUGUUUCGAAUGCAGAAUAUGGAAUAUAUGUUCUGAGCUAUACAUGCACCUGAUCUCUCCAUUUCCACUUCUUAAUUUCUGAUAUAUUUGUAUAUAGAGAGAGCUAGGGAUGGUGGCCAUGGCGGCCUGCAGUCACUUUCCAGAACUGCUUGUUUAUGAAUCUGAUGGGUAGAGUAUGGCUACAAUUGCAGUCUUAUUAGCUCUUGAGGAAAAGGAGUAUAUGGAAAUUUUGCACAGCAUUAUAUAACUAGCUGGUGAAGCAAAAACCUAUAUCUAGUUUUGGUGCCUUUUUUAUUCUUCCUGCUUACAUAUUGCCUAAUAUUUGUUCAGGAUUUUAUAGGAGGAAUGAUUAAAAGUUAAUCAUAUAAAAUUAUGAAUUAAAUCACUACCACCCCACCACCUUCGAACUGCUCCUGCACUUAGUCAAGAUAAAUCUUUCUUUCUUGGACCCCACAGAUACAGUGUUAGAUGACUUGCAUGGUCAAAUGUUAAUCAGUGCCGUGCCCUCUCAGUGAUGACUUACAAACAAUUAGAGAUUACUUGUUCACGGUUGUGCAGAGGGCGGUUGAAUCAAAUUAACCUUAUACCACACCGGACUUUUUGAACUCCAAUAAUUCAUCAUCAAUUGUGCUAAAGCACUUUCUAGAGUAUUUUAUCACCAUGUUGGAUAAUUUAUUUCAAUCGAAAAUCUAGACAAAAAGCUUACUCAAUAAUCGGCUUUGUGAAAUUGUAUUAUUCCAAUCUAAUACCAACCUCUCAAAAAACCUUGCGGAAUCUUGAUUCCUUAAACAUAUUUUUAAUAUCAUUCACACACAAAUUCCAUUCGUAAAUCAUUAGCAUCAAACGUGUGUAAGUAGGUCUAAUCAAUGCAUUGAAAAAUUGUAGUGGUUGAGAAUAUGACUAAAAGGCAAAACCGGUCCCCAAAGAACUGUGUCUUUUUCAAGACUCUAAUGAUAGCCUUUUAAAUGGCCUAAUUCGUAUCAUCUAAGUGGGCAUUUGCUCUUCUAAUUUUGAAGAAUCUUUAAAGCUAUAUAUAUAUACCUUUUUAAUUUUUCCCUCAUCAAGAUUCUCCAAAGGAAAAAAAAAAAAAAAAACAAAGGGUUGCAAUUUUCCAUUUCCUUUUCAUUUUCCUUUGCAUUUAGAAUUUAUGAAUGGAAGAAUACGUGUAGAGAAAGAGAUUGGUCCAAGAAUGAAAGGUAGAUAAUCAUUUGGUAAAGGAGAAAAGGAAUGUUUUGACAUAAAGACAAGAAGCCAUAUCGUCAAAGGUAGGAAGAAAAGAUAAAAAGAGAGUGUGAAGGGAGUGAUGAUUAAUUUUUGGAGGUUCUUAUCUUCAUUACUCGAGAUCAAACACAUCAAACUUUAUUUAAUUGGUCCACCGCCCUCUAAUCUUGAGUGGCAACCGCGAAAUUUUGGUUGCAGUCGGUUGCUUUUUGUUGCCUUGUGUAUGAUUGCGGCCAAGCAUUCUAUGAAUGGGGUUGGUCACAAGGUUACAGUAUGUGAAAGAAGCUAGUUGCUCGUCUUCUGCUUCAUUCCACCACUUAAACUAACCCCCCACGUGACAGUUUGGUGUUUUCCUUUUCAUUUUAUAUGUUGUUUUCCCCCAAAUUUAUAAGGGAACGCAGGGAAUCUGGUAAAAGCUAAUUCAAUGUGAAAAUGCUCUCCAGCUUUGAAACCCCAUAGUCGUAUAAAUUUGAUGGAUAGUCCGAAUUAAUCAGACAAGACAUACACACAUAAAAAGUAUGUUUAAAAUUGAGUUAGAUUGCAAUCACUAUCAUUGUCCGUCAAAUUCAAGUACUUUGAAUCCCGUAAGACUUAACUACGUAGGGAUCAAGAAAACAAAAGGAAUUAGUCAAUGUGAAAUGUUGUGGAGGUUAAGAUUCUUUGCCUUUAACACCAUACCAACCAACAGUCAUGAUUGGUAUUACUAUAUAGUUUAUGAUAAUUAGAGAAAUCAUAAAGUAUUUGAUUACUUAAAAAUAAAUAAGAAAUUUAUGAAUACGUUAAAUUAUUUUCUCAGUAUACUCUUUUUUGAAGUAAUCAUACUUUUUGACUAUCGAAAUAAAAUAGUAUAUAUUUUACAUACCGAAAUUGAUAAGUGCAAAAAGGUUUGGAUGGUUUAACAUGAAUUCAAUCCUCAUCUGUCGACGGGCUUCUAACAUGCGAAAUCAAUCAAAUUGAUUAAACAGCAGCUUGAUUGAAAAGCUGAUGAUGUUGUAAGUAGGUUGUGUUCAACUUUGUGAUCGCUUCUCUUCUUUCUGCAGGGGAAGGAAGCAUAGAUUCUAAAGUUAUGCGGUAAUCAUAUUUAUCUACUUUCUCUGAGAAAAUAAUUAUUUCCAAUUGGGCAAAAGGGAAUGGGUGAACCGUUUUUGAUAGGCUUCAUCUUCCCAGAAGGUAAAAAGGGAAUUAAAAAAAAAAAACCAAAAGAAAGAUUCCCAACCAAACAAAAAGGUCUAAAAAUAAUAAGAAAAAAGAACGUUGGUGUUAGGCUUGAUCUUUCAAGAAGGUAAAAAGGAAAUAGGCGUGGGCGGCAGGAUUCGAACCUGCGCGGGCAGAGCCCACAUGAUUUCUAGUCAUGCCCGAUAACCACUCCGGCACGCCCACCCUGCGGUAACUUCCUCGUAAUUUAAAAGUUCUGACUUCAUUAAUCAUUUUUUCCCUCUCUUCCUAUAAAGGAAAAAGAAGGUACCAGAGAGCUGAUUGAUCCCAUACCAUUAAUAUAUAGAGUAAAUAAAUGAAUUGUUUGUAUAUAAGAAAUUGAUUACCUCAAUUGGAACUGUAUAAAGUAGUGAAGUCAAAUUGAAAUUAUUGUAAAUUACUAGGACUGUUGUUGGUCAAGGAAAUGUAUAAAACUUGUCCAUAUAUCAGCUUUUUUUUUCGAAAGCUCAAUUCUGAAACUUCGGCUUUUAGCUGCUAGAAGGUCAAUCUCAACGUUUAUGGAAGCUGGAAACUGAUUAGCCCUGCUUGUAUUUUGGGGUACAGAAGCUGCCCAAAACAAGCACUGAGAGCAGUUAUUGCCAUGAUGGGUUAGGAGGAGGGACUAGAAUUCAAGGCAUUGGGUGAAAAAGCGCACGAAUGCCAAUUCAUUAUCGCUCUCCACUCCAGCAUCCACGGCUAUUACCUAAAAGUUGAAACAGGACCAGAGACCACCUUCAAGAGGUCCUUCGUAUCUCAGACUGGACCCACUUUACAUAACUCAUCAUGAACAAAGAAGCAAAAAAGCACUAAAGCGACUUUCCAUUUGGGACUAGGAGAUUUCCCCUCAAAACCCUCAAGAGUCUAAAGGGCUUUGUUAAAAAGCAAAGGUUACUUACAAAACGCCGUUAUAUUUAGACAAGAAAGAAAACUCCUACUUGAAACAUACCCGUCCCAAACUCAAACUUAUGGGCAUGAUUUAGGCUUGAUAUCCUAAAGGAUUUGAGCUCAGGAAUUAGAAAAACAGAUGAAUACGUAAUUGAACAACUUGUGCAGCAGCAUCCAAAAGCAAAAACAGUUACAAAUAUCUUAGAUUUAUGGUGGGUAAAGCUGUUACAAAGAUAGAUUUGUAAAUGCUAUCAAUAUUACGGCAUGUGCGCGCUGAAGGAAGCAAUCGGUAAGACAGGACAGGCAGGAAAUGCUGUUACGAAACAAUACAUGUUAUUAACUGUCCCCCAUAAAACAUUUGGUCGAUUGCUUGAUAAAAGAUAAAUUACUAGUACUACAAGAGAUGUAACAUUGCUUGUUGAUAAUAUUAGUUACAGUAAGACCUUAAGUUGGAUGUUGGGUUAAUUGCAGUAUGAUUACCAAGGAGACCCACUGAUCAAUAUCACCGUCUCUUAUUUGACACGAGAAGCUUUUUUAUUUUUCAAUAGGAUAAAUAGGGAAUAUAGGAAAGAUGUAUAGAUGAUAUGCCUUGUGUAUGAGGAUAACUUUGUUUCUUUUUCAUUGCGAUAACUUAAAAUGCUAGGAGUUAAGCCCAAAGCUGAGUUUCUGUUAUAGAGAAUAACGCAGCAUUUGGAGACAGUUGAGUUAGUUAAGUGCAAUUAAAUUAACACUGAUAUCAAACUGUUGAUGUGAUCAUAAAGGUGUUUGAUGCUAUAAACACAUCUUUAUCAGCCAUGUGAAUGAGACAGUGACACCGAUUCUGACUCACUGUUCCAUGCUUUAUCACUCUGAUUGAAUCUGCAGCCACUUUCAGCAAACUCCUGGCUUGAAUUGCUUGCAACACCUAAAGCUGACUGGUUACUUUGCUGCAUGAUUUAACAUUCAAAGCCUAUGGUUCUCACUGUUUCUUUUAAAGAAAAGAUAUAUAUGUGUGUUAGAAAUGUUGGGUCCUGGAUGUAACUUCCCCUGAAGGACUAAUUCUUGAAAGAGAAUUUUGUAAAAGCUAGCAACAAAAGUAAACGCUACAAAAGGUAGGCGCCACCCCACUUUUAAAAGGUUUCUUUUCUAGAUAACACUAACAGGGUUCUGCAAGAACAGUUUUGUGAUGAUCCUGAAGGCUGAAGGAAAAUGCAGUUUUUCCGUUUUAUUGGAAACAUUUUGAACCACAGACAGGCAUUAGCCCAUCCACAAUUUGGAUGGCGAAGGCAAAGCUGGUGCUGGUGAUGGAAUAUUGUUGACACGUAAAUGUGGCCCUAGCAAUGUCAACCAUACUUCAAAAGGUAAUUGGAGUUGGAUUGUAACACGACCCCUUUUUCUUCUAUAAAACAAACAACUGGUGGGAGAGAUCAUGUUCAACAUGGCUUUGCUUUGGGUUCCAACAAGUUGGUUCCAUCACACAUGGUCUGGAAUUUUCUCUUUAUAUCAAAGAAAACUGCAUGCAUGAUAAUGUCGGCCUGGUUAAGGUGAACCUCUCAGUGCCUGUCCACUUUAUUUUUGGUAAUCUACAUGCAUUGGAUAUGUUCAACGCAUAUUUCUUUUCUUUUGAGGAAAUUAGCAAAAGGAAAAUCAAAAUUUACUUAUAAAAGAAGUCAAGUGCCUGUAAAUCAGGGACGAGAAGGAAUUGUAUUGAAAUUAUAUUACAAAAAUCAGUAUAGAUUUAGUAUGAUGGGAAAAGUUGGUUCCUUCGGGUGAGAUACACACUUUUUAAUUCAAAAUUAUAUAGGUUAUUAGACUUGACACCCUCGUUUUAUGAGGAAAAAGAAAUAUAUAUACUUGGGAUUACCUUCAAAAAUCUUUUCACCAGGAUAAUAUUGCUAAGCCUAAAAUUCUUAUAAAUGGCAUGAAUAUUAAAUAAUAAAUUCAUGAAUAUGUAUUUCUUACAAGUAUCUGAAUGUUUUGAGUGUCCAACACUUCGAUAUUUUUGUAAUGAUAAAGAGUAGAAAAAAGAAAUAAUUUCCGCAACAGCACAAUGAACAUGGCAGUCCUGAUGUGAUAGAGGUAUGGGUUGGACAUCUAAUUUAGCCAAUAAUUCUACCACUUUCCUGCCCAUAUCACCCAGUAUAAAUAUAUUAAAUCACGAUAUAGAUCCCUCCCUUAGCCGGUCGGAAUUGAUGAUUUAGAUGCUCAUCCUCAGUGUGUCUACAUACAUUAUAUCUUAAAGCAUCAAAAAAUAGGUAUAAAAGAUAUUGAUAAUGGACGUGGUGGACUAUUGUUCCAGAUAGAAAGGCAUACAUUAACUGUACCCAGAGAACCAAAAGACAGGUGCAAUAUGUCUAAACGUUGAAGUUUAUGGUGCAUACUUAUGAUUUCUUUAGCUGAUAUCGCAUCUGAAAAAGCAUCACCUGUUUAUUUAUUUUUGUAUGGUAAUUAAAAUUUAAAUACAAUUUAAGAAAUAAGAAUUUAUUCUCAAUUUUCUGACAACACAUCAUCUUGAUUUGCUGCAACUCCAGAGUAUUGGUAAGAGGCCACAUCCACUCACCAUUCUUAUACACAAAAAGCCACUGUAGCAUCUUCAGGAAUAGGAAUGAGUUGUGAAGUUCCUUCUGCCAAACUUAGUUAGGAAAGCGCCAGAAGAGAGGCAAUCAUCAAACUAGAAGAAAAUAUUUUUACUAUGUCCAACCUUAUGCUUAAUAAAAGCUCUGGCAGUACCCCUCAGUGCCAAAGCUUCCUCGAAACCCAACUGCAAUGUUGAGGACAGCUAAUUUGCAAUAAAACUUCUGGUUUUUAAGAGAUAGGCUGUGAUCCUAGCAACCCAAGGGGAGCCAGCUAGAGUAAAUAAAGCCCCAAUUUGCUCCAAAACAUAGGGCAACAUUCCAUAUGAAAAUAUGUUUAGGUGUAGGCCACUUUUUUUUGGAUAAUAGAUUGCUUGCUGUCCAACUAACUUUAGCUCCCCUUGCAUCUACUUCUUGACCCUUCCAUAAGAGAUAAGAACAUAGUUGAACAACUCUUUUUCUAACUUUCUUAGGAAGAAGGAACAUGCCGCAAUAGUAAUAUGAAGGUUAAACACAAGAGACUAAAUCAACUGUAGCCUUCCAUUAUAGGAUAGUCUCUGAGCUGCCCAGCAAUUGAUCCUAACACGGUGAUUAUUUAAAUCAAAGGCUGGCAAUCCUUGUCACUUAGCUAUCUAAAAGAAAGGGGCACACCCAAAUAUCUUGCAAUUGUUGAAUUUCCAACAGCUCACUACUAGACAUGUUUGUAUGAAAGAGCUCACUCUUAGCAGGUUCAGUUAAAGGCCAACUAAUAACUGAUAGAAAGAUUGCAAAACAUUAAAGACUUGUACCAUUGAAUGCUUACAUCAUUUCAUAAAAUCAUCAUAUCAUCAACAAAAAUAAAGAUGAUUAAGCUUGAUUCUACUACAGCAUGGAUAAUAAGCAAUGAGGCCUUGUUCUAGCGGAAUUUAACAUACAAGAAAGAACUCCCAUAACAAGAACAAACAAAUAAGGUAAGAGGGGAUGACCUUGCGUCGUUUCAAGGGGGUCGAAGGAAUGACGCAAGGUCAUCCCCACGAAGUAGCCCACCAAGCCACCAUUAAAAAGAGACAUUGGAAGUCUUGUAGUGGUGAUUGAUAAGGGCUUUGAGAUCAAGGCCUAAUUGAAACCUCGAGUCCAGUCUCCUAACUGUAAACGUGGGCUUUAGUUGUUUAAAUUGGAUAUGAGAUUGGGCUCAACUCAAAUUGCUCCGGACUACAUAUCAUAACAAGAAGAAAAACACGAUGCGGUCCAUUCCCCUCGAUUUCUUAAACCCUGAGAGAAGUGGACUCCUAAAACCCUAACGCCUAGAAGGUUCUAUCAUCCUCCAGAUCUUGAACCCCAAGCCAAUAAGCGAUCCCUCCUCCUCGUCUCAUUUCUCCUAUAAUACUAGCAAUCCCAUCUUCAUUUCACUUACACCAGUGAAAGAAGAGAGUACACCCAAAUUAAGCUUCAAAUGGCGAAGCGUUUGAUUCCAACCUUUAACAGAGUUCUGGUUGAGAAAAUCCUUCCUCCUUCCAAAACCACCGCUGGCAUUCUCCUCCCUGAGAAAUCCACCAAGGUAAUUUUUUCACUUCAAAUUUUCUUACUCUAUUUUUGCUUUUCAUUUUUUUGUGAUUAAACGGUUUUGGUUGAUUUGAUUAUUAAAAAUAACAAAACAGCUGAACUCCGGGAGAGUGGUGGCCGUGGGCCCAGGAACAAGAGACAGGGAAGGGAAAACGAUCCCAGUGCCUUUUAAAGAAGGUGACACUGUUCUUUUGCCUGAGUUUGGGGGUUCUCAAGUCAAGCUUGGCGAGAAAGAGUAUGCUCACAAAACUCUGUUUUUGGUUUUUUUUUUUCCUUGUUGAAAUUUUUGGUUGGUUUGAUAAAAUGAACUGUUUUUGGGUUUUGUUUUUUGUUUGCAGGUUUCACUUGUAUAGAGAUGAGGAUAUUUUAGGCACUCUCCAUGAAUAAUUGGUUCAAUGAUUUAAGUUUAUGAGCUUUGUCAGUGUUGGAGGGGGUUAGCUUUGGGUCUGGGGGUUUUAAUUGAAUUGGAUGGAACUGAUUAAUCAUUAGAAUUGGAAUUUGCUAAUGGAAACACUAUCCUUUUCUGCUCCACUGUAUUCUUGCUUGAUUGAUAAUACGUCGUUUUCUUAAUUGAAUUAUAAGAUGGUUACUGUGGUGCUACCUUGUUUUUGAUGAAGACUUGGUAGUCAUCGGCUUGCUCUCUGGUGGAUGUUAACUUGAUUUGGAUGUUGAUUAAGGAAGUGAUUUACCAAUUGUUAGUAUUAUUGUUAUUCUGCUGUGUGUAGUUGCUGUCAAUUUAAGUAGAGCAGCCAAUUGGAUGGAAUUGGGGAUGAUUUGUCCAAUCAUGUGCCGAAUUUAAUUUAGGACCAUAAUUCUUCAAAUGAACAGUGCAAUGACAAAGAUGCAAACGGCCAUACUUUUCAUAUCAAACAAUUGAUGGCAACUCUCACUCUAAAAUCCUUUGUUUUUGUUUAGUUUUGGAAAUCAUUCAAAUGAAGUUUCAACUUGUCCAUGAUAGCAAAAUGAGGGAAAUUCUUACUAGGUUUUUAUAUAUGCUUUUAUGUCCUAAGACACAACAAAUUAAACGAAUGUAAUAAUGUAUGUAUAUAUACUAUUAAUGUUCCUAAUUGAGUUUUGUUGUUAUGGAUCUAGUUAAAUCCAAGGAAGGGAAGCUUUUUUAUGUGGGAAGCCAAGGAUGGGUGACAUGCUUUGAGGGAAGUCCAUGCUCUUAAAAUCAUAUCUUUGGGCUGCUUCUUUUCUCAGUAUCCCCGUGGAAGUUGGGCGCUCCACUAAAUUAUUAUAUUAAACAGAUGAUAUAAAAAAUAAAUUAAAAUUUCGACACGAUUUCAGUCUCACAUGAUUUGCCAACGAGUGCCAUGAUUAGAUAAUGAAAUGCACUACACCACAUGGUAUUAUGAGAGACAACUGCUUUGGCUCUUUCCUUUUUUAUUUUAUUUUCUGAUGGCGAGAUGCAAGUGCAGAGGAUAUCAUCAACUUUCGGUUCUAACUCUUCUUCCUUUAAGAGAUGAGUACCGAACCAAGAGUUCUAAAACAUGUGAUUCUUUUCAUCUUUUUGAUAUGCAUAUAUAAUUUAUGGAAAAAGAAGUUGUUUGAAAGGAAAAAUCAUAUUGAUUAGAAUUUAGAAUUUUAAAUUUUAAAUUCAAAGUUUCGUAUCUAAAUAUUAAGAUAUGUAGGUAGAUGAGAUUUAUAAUGUUUAUUAUAUAUAUCAUAAAAUCAAAUUUAAAAGUUUUUUUAAAAAAUUAAAAUAUUUUCUGAAAAACAAAAUACAUAAAAUUUUAUUUACUCGAUACUCGUGGAAAUAUUUAUAUUAUAAAAGUAGGCGGCGAGCACAAGUUGCAACGAGUCGCCAACUCGUGGCUGGGCAAUAAUAAGGUGUUACGACCCAACUCAAUGGCGUCGCCAAACACGCCCCCAAUCCUGGGCACGAAAGCGCCAACCGGUACACGCCGGGUUUAUUCUCUGUGGCCAGCGCACGUGGCCCCACAUUUUCCCAUUGGCAAAUAUGAAGAGAAGAGAAUCACUAACCUACAAAGCGACUGCGACCUCCUAUUUCAUCAUCUUUAUCCUACAAAAAUUAUAUAGGAUAAUAUACCGUCUUAUUUGCUCUUAUUAUGACGCCACCAUCACUUUUUUGGAUAAGAAUGAUAAUUAUAGUUGAUAUUAAUUUUCUUUGGGAUUUUUCAUGAGGUGAUUGCGCCUUCUCUUAGUUUUCCAAGGCCACUCUUUUAAUGACAUGAUCAAAAUUUGUCUACCAAAACUAAUCAAAUCUCUUCAGACGAAAAUUUUUAUCAUUGAUUAUUUGUAUGAUCGUUCUCAUGAAUUGAAAUAUUACUCGCAUAUACUAAAGAUUAUUGAGUUUGAAGUAAGGUGAUAACUUGAAAAAUUUAGUAGAGAUAAGUUCACUCCAAUUACUAGUCUGGUUGAUAUAAUGAAACAAAAAUAUCAAGAUGAUCCUAAACCAUAUUUACCUUAGCAUUUGUAAUACUAAUUUUUCCCAUAUAUAAUAAAAAAAUAAAAGAGCAAUCCAAGGAUGCGUGAAUCACCAUAUUGACCAAAAAGACCAAUUAAUUCAAAAGGUCAAUAAAAAGAAAGAAUAGAACAAUCCAUCAUAAAUAAAAUGAAGAAAAACAUACGCGUGAUAUUUAUAAGUUGAACCAACAAGACAAAUACUUUCCCUUCCAAACACACCUCCUAAUCCCUCCUCUCUUUCCCUCCUUCUCUCCCAAACAGCACGUGCACGUGCACGUGCUCUCUCCUCUUUCUCUCCCCUCUGUUUCAAUCACUACGAACAAAAAACAUCUCCUUUCUCUCUCCCCCAUUCGCAGGAGAGAAAAGAGAACAAAAAAGGAAAAACACUUGCGGAGCUUUCAUCUUCCUCUAUGACGUAGCCAACAAGAAAAAAAAAAAAAGAAAGAAACUCAACGGAAUAAAAAAACCCCGAAGAAAUAUUUGUUUGUUUUUUUUUCAAAUGCACGCGAAAAAUAGGAUUCCUAGUAGCGGCCACAGCACCCCAUCACCUCCGGCAUCACCAUUACGGUCACCGAGGUACCGCCACGGAAGGAAGUCGGGUCGGUUUGGUCCGUUCCAACCUGGGCGGACCAUAGCCCAUCGACUUGCAUGGUUACUUCUCUCUGUUCUUCUUCGUCGACAAGGGAUUUUCCUCUUUGCUCCUCUCAUUUACAUCUCUGGGAUGCUUCUGUACAUGGGCACCGUUUCGUUUGAUGUGGUUCCCAUUGUUAAGCAUCGACCCGCACCCGGCUCUGUUUACCGGAGUCCCCAGGUUUAUGAAAAGCUUAAAAUCGAUAUGUGUGGCGAUAAUUCCUCCGCUGAUGCGGUGAGUUACUGGUUUUUGAUUUGUUCCUUUUUAGUCAAUUUAGAUGGGUUCUUGGAUUUUAUGAAUGCGGGUCGGACUUUUUAUGGUUGUCUGUUUUGGGUCGGAUUUGUUUGUUGAAUCAUUCCAAAUUUUGAGUUUAAUUUUCAUAUUUUUCUUCUGGGUUUGGAUCUUGGUAGAAUUUUGAGGAAUUUGGACAAUGUAGUUAGUUGUUUUCUUUGCUGAUGAUUUUAUGUUAUGUUAUUUGUUUGAAUUAGACUCAAGUAAAUUUGAAUAAUUCUCCAAAUUCUUGAAAUUUUAAAAUAAAGUAACGAUUUUUAUCUUUUAUCUAAAUUUGAAGAACGAAGAAAAAUAGAAUGCUGAAUCAAGGAAUCACUUUUAGCAUUAUUCUUUUUUUUUUAAUUUUCACUAUUGUUUCCUGAGGAAGUAGACCCUUGUGUCUUGUUGUACAUGCUUCAUUUCCAGCUGUAUCAAUCUUUGGGGUUGUAUCUGGAUCUGAAUAACAUGGGAAAUUGCAUCGUCUAGCCAGCUGUCUUUAUUUUUUUUUCAAAGAUAUCUUGAUAAAGAUAAUUGUACUGGGUUCCGUUGGUAGUACAGUUAAUUGAGAUCAGAAGCUUACUUUGAAUGAUUAAAUCUUAAGGCUGUACAUUACUGGUGAUUUAUUGAUGAGUUUCUUCCUCCACACUAACUUGAUAAUUUGAUAAUAGGGUCUUGUACAGUAUAGGUAUAAGAUUAACAUAAUCACUUUGUUACAAGAAUUCUAGGAUGGUAAGCAGUUGCCAUGGUAUCAUUUCAUAAUAUGUUUAGUUGAUUAGGUGCCUUAUAUGCUCUUUUUCUUUUCCAGCUUCUCUCAUUGUGAUUGUUAAGAGCAAUAUGAAUUAUAAUAAAAUCUGAUUAUAUUAUGUGAAUUUAUUUUAUCCAAUGGUUAACUCCUCUGAUGCUGAUUUAUGAUUUGUGAUUAUAUCCACCCUAAACUUUAAUGAAUUUCUUGUAGAUUUCGACUAUUUGGAGAAAUUCCUAUAAAGGAGGAGAGUGGAGACCAUGUGUAAACAAGUCUUUUGAAGGUAGGAAUUUAUUCCCUUUAUUUUAUUUUAAGCAGUUCAUGAUAAUGCUUCUAUUACUUCAUUGAUAUUAGCAUUACUUUUGGCAAAUGAGAACAAGUUUGCUUCUUUUUAUUUUGUAUGUACUCUGUUUGUUGUUGAUGGUAACUUUUUGCAAGCAUCAAUAGUUGACUAUAAAAAAAUUGGAAGAUUAUUCAUUUUCUAAGUGAUGACUUGGGCGUGUAAAUAAUAAGGGAAACCAAUAUGUGCGCACAACUGAGUAUUAAUUGCUGGUAGGCUGCCAGGCAUAGGUCUCGAAUCUAACCACAAAGGAAUUGGAAUCAGACACUUGCAUCUUUUGUUGUUACAUCUGAAGGGAGUUAAAAUCAUUUGCACAGCUUCCUGGCCCUUCCCCAUUCAUACAAAUCAUAAAUAUUCAACUCUAUAUUUCUAGAUUACAUGUAGACAUCGUUUGUUUAAAAAUUCACACUACUCAGUAAGUUGAUUGACUAGGUUGUCAGGCUGGUGAGGUCAAUGAUCUUGGGGUGAUAAGCAUUGCAAUUGGGUUUUUAUUCUAAUGACAGUUUAAAGAGUAUGUCUUUUAUUGUCACAUGCAAUUUGGUUAAGUUUUGCCAUAACAUUUUGCCAUUAUGUCUAGGAGAAUUUAUAGCAUUAGAAGCUAACUAUCCUUCUGUUAAAGCUGCGUUAAAAGCAUGUUCCAUACCAACACCUGUGUCAUGUUUGGUUGAUAUGAUUUCUUUCGCUUAAACUGUUGAGCCUGAGUAACAGGGUUUGAGAGUGCUAUUUCAAGGAAUAGAGUGAGAGAGGGAGGGAGGAGAGAAGAUGUGGAAGUCUGGCUAUGGGAGAGAGCAACUCAUUAAAAUUUUUCCAGAAUCCUAAUACGAGUGAGGGCCUCAGGAGCCCCACUAACAUGUUAGUGUAAAGUUCACACAUUUAGAGUUGUAGGUGUCAUUUCUGGCGCUUUGCACAUUUGAAGUAUUUGCCAUGCUUGUCUUCUCUACGUGCAUGUGUACAUGCAUGCUUCAUGUUUAUAUGCACUGAGUAUGGUUUUUGGAUGUUGACUAUUUCCUUCAAAAUUUUCUAAUUCAGCUGUUUUUCUUUUGACUACUAUAGACUUACCUGAAUCGAAUGGUUACAUAUAUGUUGAGGCAAAUGGAGGCUUAAAUCAGCAGAGGACAUCGGUUGGUUUUAUUCAUUAUUAGUUUCUAUUACAUAUUUAUGAUUUACCUUGUUUUUAUAAUAGCUUGCCUAUUUUAUGAUCUCGUUAAUUAUAUUUUCUCUACAUGGCUGUUUUGGAUACUUUGUAGAUAUGCAAUGCAGUUGCUGUGGCAGGCUAUCUUAAUGCAACACUUCUAAUCCCUAAUUUCCAUUAUCAUAGCAUAUGGCGGGAUCCCAGGUUUGUGAUCAUAUGUUGUGUCAUGUUGGUUGUGUACCAUUAAGGUUAAGUGAUAAAAGUCCUAGUAAUCAGUUCUCUGACAAAUAAAUAUUUAUUGGGAAGCUUAAUCUCAUAAAUAUCAUAUGACCUGAUUCUGGUAUGGAGUGGUACGUUACCUACUUCUAAUUUGUGCCCUGAUAUCUUGAUUUUAUCUACUUAUACAAAUUUUCUGUAUUGGCAGCAUUAGGCUGUGAAGCCUCUUUUAUUAAAAUAUUACUGAAAUUAGCUGUAUGAGGGAAAGGAAAUUUUCAAGGGAAGUGUUAAAAUGAAAAAAGAAAAGAAAAGAAUAUGCAUUUAAAGAAUUUAAAACCAAACGUAGCCCUGAUUUCAAAUUUUUAGGUCCAUUUACCUCAUUUUUGUAGUUUUACACAUCAUUUCUUUCUUUUAUGCAUUACACCUCUUUGUUCCUUAUAAGCAUGGGUAAAUUCAACCUAUAACCCAUGGCUUCAGCUUUUCCCACAUAGGAGUCAUUUGGUAUAGUGGAAGUGGGGCACUUUCCUUGUAUUUUAAUAGGGUGUAAGGACAUUCCGAUGCUUGGUGUAAAAAAUACCCAUGGGAAUGUCCUUCCAAUGACCAAUGGGAAUGUGAUUCCCAUUGCUCAUGGAGGGAGUGUAACUUUCCCAUUGCUAUGGGAAACCUAGCUCAAUCCUUAAACGUUCUAAACCAUUAUGGUGGCAUGUAUGGCUAAAAAUUAGAGCAAAGUGGAUUUUCCACAUAUUCUGCAAUGAACCUUUUUUUAACUUUUGCUAUACCUCUAAAAUUUCCCCUCCUUAAUUCUUUAUUUUAAAUCCUUUGGCUUUGUUUGGUUCAUGAGAAAUUAAAGAAAAAACUCAAGAAAACAAAACAAGCAGAUGAAAAAGGAAAAUCUUUGUUUUCUUUGGUGAUACAAGGAAAAUCGUUCGAGGUCAGUAUAGUUGUCGUGAAUGUCUUUAGUGCUGCCCAUGUUGCCUAAGAAGUUCACAUAAUUAAAAGCAAUUGCUACUAACUUUUAAUAAAUAAAAGCAAAAAAUCAUUACCCAAAGAAGUUCAAUGAUAAAAAAAAAUUAGAAAACUCUUUAGAUAACAAUUUUUAUUAUUCUUGUAAUAUUCUAGGCAUUAUUACAAAAAAUAAUUAUUUUUAAUAGUUAUAGGCAUUAUUAUAAAAAAUAAAAAUUUAGUAACUUCACAUAUUUUAAUAUUUAAGUAAUUAGUAUUCAAAUAUUAUGUUAUUUUUAUCAUGUUAUUAUUUAUUAUUUUAAGAGAUAAAGUUUGAAAACUUAAAAAUUUACAUUAAAAAGAAUGUAAGUUUAUUCAACUUUAUUUUUCCAUACACAAGGGUAAUUCUGUAAAUUAAUACUACAUUUCCAGUAAAGUGCUUCCAAACCAAACAAUGCAAUGUGAUCUUCUUAGGAUUUUAAUCAACAAUUUCACGAUGCAAUGCUAUCUUCCUAACAAGAACAUUCAGAGCAAUCAUUCUCAGUAAAAUACCAACUGCCACCAUAGCACCUUGUGAUAUUUUUCUCAAUUAGCACCAUGUGAUUAAGUUCUAUUCUUAGAGAUUGAUGCAUUGUUAAUAUCAUGAAGUAAAAUUAUCAAAAUACCCUCAAUUCAAAAAGUAUCUUGUUUGUUCACUUUUAAGGGUAUUUUCAUAAUAUUACUAGAUAAUAUUAAUGGCAUAACCUCUUAUGGGAAUGGAACUUGACCACAAGGUGCUAUUUAAGAAAAAAAAAAAAAAAUCAGAGGGUGCUAUGUGGGAAAAGUUGAAACCACAAGGGCUGUAGGUAAAAUUUACCUUGUAAACAUUAUGUGAUAUCAUGUUUUGCAAGUCAUUUUGUUAUUAUAUUGACUGAAGUUUUUACUUUUCCAGCAAAUUCAAAGACAUCUAUGAUGAAGAUUCUUUCAUCAAUGCCUUGAAGAAUGAUGUACGGGUUGUUAAUAAGAUUCCUGAGUAUAUAAUGGAACGAUUUGACCAUAAUCUGACCAAUGUUUACAACUUCAGAAUUAAAGCUUGGUCAUCCAUUCAAUAUUAUAGGGAUGUAGUUCUACCCAAGCUCCUUGAAGAAAGGUGAGUUUGAACAUUGUCAGUUGCAUAAUUGUUUCGUUUUAAGUUUAGCUUGUUUACUUGAGUGACAUAUGGUGACUCUAUGCAUAAUUGAAUCACUUAGGAUCAUAAAGUGCACUGUUUAUUUUUUUUUGUUGUUUGGUUUUGUUGAGAUCUUCACUGUUUGUUGUUGUCUUAAUUUAAGGUAAUUGGUUUCUGAUUGAAUGACUCAGGAUUAUAAGGAUUUCUCCUUUUGCAAACCGCUUAUCAUUUGAUGCUCCUCCAGCUGUCCAAAGACUCAGAUGCCUGGCAAAUUAUGAAGCUUUACGGUUUUCAAGUCCAAUACUAAGUCUUGGAGAAACUUUGGUCACAAGAAUGAAAGAGCUCAGUGCAAACAGUGGCGGCAAGUAUGUUUCUGUACAUCUUCGCUUUGAGGAGGUUAGUAUUUUUUAAAUAGAAAUGUAUUAUGAUGAUAUCUUUUAAUAUAAAAAAAUUACUGUUAUGACGGUUAGUGGUGGUAAAAUUUCCCUGGUAGAAACUAAUAGCAUUAUUAUCAGUUCCAUUUGUGUAAGAAGUGUAUAAUAUACUCUUUCAUGUGCAGGACAUGGUUGCUUUCUCUUGUUGUGUAUUUGAUGGUGGGCAGCAAGAAAAAGAAGACAUGAAAAAAGCAAGGGAAAGAGGCUGGAAAGGAAAAUUUACAAAACCUGGCCGAGUUAUACGCCCUGGAGCAAUCAGGAUUAAUGGGAAAUGCCCACUCACUCCUUUAGAGGUGUGUUUGCACUUUUGUUGGUUAAUAAAUUUGCUUUCAUUGAAAAUUGAACUUGAGCAAUCUCUGCCUGGUGAUAAUUUUACUAUUGUUAGAUUGGGAUGAUACAUGGUAGAUUAGGGUUGGUAAAGAACAGCUUCAGGAAUGGGUUUAUAGGUUUUCUUGAUUAGUUCAUUGAUAAGUUAAGGUCUUAUUUGCUGAUGGUAGUCAGAGGCUCUCAAAUUGCUCUAAUACAUAAUGAAAUUUCUCUGUUCAUAUUUUAAAUGUGUUGUUAUUUGGCGUCGAAUGUUUUUAAAAUAUUAAUAAAAAGGGUAUUAAUAAAAUGGAAAAGGAUAAAAUAGAAAUGGAAUAAAAAUAAUAAAUAUAUGGCAUAAAAAUGAUUAAUAUCAAAAUUUAUUAGAAGUCACCAUUGCAUUAUUUAAAUGUCAUAGCAUGAAUAUUUUAUAUUUCUACUCUAAGCCAAGAACAUUCCCAAUUUUUUAUUAACUAAUUUAAAAUAGAAUGAAAACUAGAAUUUUCAAAUCAGGCAUUUAAGGGUCUAGCAUGUGUCCCUGACAAAAACAUUUAUUAUGUCGUAAUUAUGGAACUUUUUUGUUUUUCUGGUUCAGUGGUUAUUUGUUCUUUUCUUCCUUUACCUGUUCAUAAUAUAUAAUAUCCUAGUACUUUGUUGUCCAGUGUCAAGCAUUGUGGACUAGUAUUAUGCUGAACUGAUGUAAUUGUCAAAUGCAUGAUGUGGUGGCUUGGUAUAGCUUUCCACAUUUAAGAGUGAAUUUGCGUAAUAGCUUCUUUAUGUACUAAAGAUCAUGAAGUGGAUGAAUUUGCUCCUUUAUUGAAUUGUGGUGCUGCUUGAAGUUGUGGAAUCUUAAAAAAUAUAACUUAUUGUUGCUCUUGUACUGGCUUAUAGAAUUUCCUUGGCUAUUUGACAGUUUCAUAUGUCUGUUACCUGACCUUGAUCAAAAGUUGGUAUUUUUUUCUUUUAUAUAAUUGGGGUACGGGGGAUUCGAACCCUGCUCUUUAGGCAGGGGGAUAAUGCACCAACCAAUGAGCCAAAUGCUCCGGUGCAAGUUGGUAUUUAAAUGAUAGAUUAAAACAAAAAUUCACACAACAUAGGUGAGUUUGCAACUGCUAUAGCUAUGGUGUUCGUUGUUAAUUUAAGUAUUCUCAAGGUAGUUCAUAUAUAUGUACACAAGAUAUACACCAUUUGUAUCAAUGAUAAUUCAUUUAAUAUUUUCUUGCACCUGUUAGGUUGGAUUGAUGCUUAGGGGAAUGGGAUUUGAUAACAAUACAUAUAUAUUUUUGGCAUCUGGAAAAAUAUACAAUGCUGAGAAAACAAUGGCUCCGUUAUUGGAAAUGUUUCCAAACUUGCAAACAAAAGAGAUGCUGGCAUCAGAGGAAGAACUUGCUCCAUAUAAGGUUGGAAGCAUAUACAAGAUUUCACAACUCUGUUAUUUCUUGUAGUCCUUCGAUAAUAUUGUUCGAGAUUUUUUGAUUUUGUGUCAUGUUUUUGACUUGAUUACUGGUUUCAGAACUUUUCUUCCAGGAUGGCUGCCAUAGACUAUACUGUUUGCCUUCAUAGUGAGGUAUUUGUCACAACUCAAGGUGGAAAUUUUCCUCAUUUUCUGAUGGGCCACAGGAGAUACUUGUAUGGAGGACACUCCAAGACAAUUCGACCAGACAAGCGAAAGUUAGCAUUGCUGUUUGAUAAUCCUAAUAUCGGGUAUGGAUUUAUCUUAUGCUAAACCUAAACUAUACUUUAGGUUGCCUGUUUUUCCUUGAAGGAUAAAAAAUGAUUGAUUUAACAGAAGCGAAAAAAGAAAAAGGAGGACCAAAAUGAUUGACAUUAGGUGAUUUCUAUCAGGAUUCAGGCUAACAAGGGAUUGGUUCCUCCCCUUGUUUAUUGGCUGUAGUAGGUAGAAAGACACAUUGGUGGUGAUAAACAUGAAGAAAUACAUCUUGAAACAGCUAAACUAAACACUUUACUUCAGAUUUUAUAUUUUAGUUUUCUUCUUUUGUGAAGUACAUACUUUAUGGGGUGGUUUGCAAUUUUUCAUUUUGGAAGUGUCCUUGGGGAAAAUCUAGGGAGAGUUGCUAUGUUCUACAAUGAAACACAUAUCUUUGUGUGUUGUUUUAGAAUGCUCUUGUUUGUGAUAAUUGGAAAGAAGAACUGCUGGAUUCAAUUUACCUUCCUUUUUAUUCCAGAUGGAAAAGUUUCAAGCGUCAAAUGCUGAAUAUGCGGUCUCAUAGUGACUCGAAGGGAUUUGAACUGAAAAGGCCAAAUGAUUCAAUAUAUACCUUCCCAUGCCCCGAUUGCAUGUGUCGUACAAACAAAUCAGAAGAUUCAAGAUCAUCAUCAGCUACGUGAUCUGCUUGGAGAGGGAUUUUGAUGGGUGUUUCUUGUUCCUGUAAUGUAGGGAGCAAAUCUUGCUGCUGACCCCUGUUUUAUUUGUGUGUCUAAUUCUUUCAUUUUUUUUAUCCUCCUCAAUUUUGGGAGCUUUGAGGAUUAUUUCAGAGGUCACAUUGAUCUAUUGAUCUAAUUAUUUCACCGGGAUUGAGUUGAUGAGGAGUUGCAUCUCUUUGUAUAUGACGCCAGAGAACACGGAAUUUGACAAUUUUGCCAUUGGAGGGAUUACCCCAACAUUAACGGGAGAUUGUUUCACGAUUGCUGCAGCUGCUGCUGUACCUAACAAGCUGUGGAUAUAACACGUCGGAUUCUUUUGCACCCUGGUUUUAUGAUUUUUGUAAAUUAGUUGCAGUUGGAAUUGUAAGGCAGGAAGAAAGUUGGUGUACAUUUCGCAGAAAUCAGGGUAUUGAUUUUUACUGUACAAUUUUUGUUCACGCUCUUUACGUUUUCCAAUUUCAGGAAUUUCUUUGUUAGCAACUCUUGCUGGAUUGUAUAUUCCUUUUAAUCAUUUUAGUUUUGGGCAUGCAUGCUAGUUACACAGACAUUGUCCUAUCUCUGCGUUUCUCUGUUUGUUUUGCAUUAUGCAUAUCAUUGCAGAAACAAGGAGCAUUUCUCCUUCGCAGCAACAAAACUUUGGGACGUGACAGCUCUUCGACUUGAUAAAAUUCAAGACGGUAGUCGGAGAGCGCGGCCCCGAACUACGGGGAUUGGUACUGUUCUUUGUUCAUGGCUGUUUCGGAAUGGGUUUUGCUUAGUCUUGUUUGCCAAUGAUGCGGCAUCUAAUCACCCACUUGCCUGUUUAAGUUUUCUUCUCAGCGACCAAACACAUGACAUGACAUAUUGGGUAUCCUCCAUAGGUGGCAACUCACGAGGACCAUGAAGGACGGAUAACCCAAAGCAAACCCCAACCAGAACUCAUUUCACAUUGGGGACGUAAACAGACGGGGAUGCUCAUAAAAGUUAAGAAUAAUCUUUAAAAAUGUUUUUAAAUUAUUUUAAAAAAUUUAAAUUUUUUUAUUACAUUUAAUUAAUUUUUUUAUUUUUAUUUUAAAAUAAAUAAAAUGUUCUAAUUAAUAGUUAAUUAAUUUUUAUUAAUUAAAAUAUUUAUUAUAUUUUAUAUUUAUAUGAUAAUAAUAUAAGUGAAGAAAAAAAAAUAUUAUAUGAUUAUGUUAUCAUGAUAAAUUAAUAUAUCAUAUUAUUAUUAAUUUUAAUAUAUUAAUAUGUCAUAUCACCAUCAGUUAUAAUGUAUUAAUAAAUCUUAUUAGCACUAGAUGUAAAACGAUAAAUGAUAUUUUAGUUAAUCAAUUAUUGGUUAUAAAAAUUUAUUUGAUUUAAAAUAAAAAUAUAAAAAUUUAUUUAAUUUAAAAUAAAAAUAUAAAGGUAAAUUUAAUAAAAAUAUAAAAAUUUAUUUAAAUAUUAUAGUUAAAUAUUAUAAUUUUGAUAUAUAUUUAAAUAAUUUACCAACCUCCUCCUUUUUUUGACACUUAGAAAUCGACCCAAUCUGCUUUCUAAGUUGAGCAAGUAUAUAAGAAGAAAAUAAAACAUUUUUCACCAGUGACCAAGAUUGAUUUCUUGGACUGACUCUUAAAUUUUAUUUAUUAGACAUAAAUAUUCCAAAAAAAAAAAAAACAGGCAUUUUAGAAUCCUUUCUGUCUCAGUAGCAUAGCCAAAAGCAACCGCCAUGGGAAUCGUCGGAAAUCUCUCUCCAGAGCAGCUCCACUCUUUCAACUCUCAAGGUCACCGCCACCGCCGCUUUAACCAUAACUAUUUUCUUCUACAAAAGCAAUAGAGCUGGUUCUUUUUUACUCCGUUCUUCUAGCAGAUCAAGUUCAAAACUGUCUUUUUUUUUUUUUUGCAGGUUUUUUUGUGAUGGAAUCAUUUGCGAGCCCUGAAGAAAUUGGAGCUAUGAGAAAGAGAAUGGACGAAUUGCUUCAAGACUUCGACCCCUCCACCACCGCUUCUAUUUUCUCCACCAAAAAUCAGGUUCUUUUUUCUUUCCUAGCAUAAUUGUAAAUAAUUUGCCUUUAUUUGAUUGUAAAGCUUAGAUUUUGAUAAUUUCUCAAUUUGUUUAUUUUGCAGCUAAAGUUGACCAGUGAAUACUUCUACGAAAGUGCUGAAAAGAUUUCCUUUUUCUUUGAAGGUAUAUUUAUAAUUAUUUGUGCUUUCUGCUUUUCUUCACUUUUUCAUUGUUUCUUCGAUUACUUUUUUCUUUGCCCUUAAUUUUCUUUGAGAAAAUAUCGAGAAUUGGGCCUUUUGUGUAUAUGAACUUCUUGUUACGAUUGAAAUUGAAAGGUUUGAAUGUUAAUGAACUGUUUACUAAAGUUGUUGAAUAAGUUAAAUUUAUCUACCUUUUUACAUUUUAAAGCUUGAUUUUUUUUCCUUGCUUUUAUAUGUUGGCUAUUGUAUAAAAAAAACUAGCAUUUUGCUAAAAAUGUUUAUUAAUGCGGAUUACGCAGGAGAGUCAACUAUUUUCUUUUUGUAUUUAACUUUUCUGUUUGCUUUUGAUCACUUAGGUGCCUUCUAGAGGAUGGUGUUAGUUUUCUUUGCUAAUGUAGGUACUUUCUUUCUGUUUUUUCUUUUGGCAGAAAAAGCAUUUGAUGAUGAUGGAAACUUAAAGCAAUCCAAGGAACUUUCUAUUAAUAAAGUUGGGCAUGGUAUGCAAUUUCAAAGGCAUUGCAUGGUUUAUUGUUUUCUUAUUAUUUCAACAUGCUCUUGUAAAUAGGUUAGAAAUAGGUUUGUGAAUACUAUGAUAAAAAUUUCUAAGUUUACAAUUUACCGAAGCUAAUCCUUCAAUGAAUUUGUUGGUGCAGCAUUACAUGAGAUUGACCCAGUGUUCAAAGAAAUCUCUUGCUCACAAAAAGUUUCUAGUUUGCUAUUCUCCUUAGGUUACAAGAGGCCAGUGAUCAUUCAGUCAAUGUAUAUUUUUAAGGUAUUAAACUUUUUUUUUUGCCCCUUAUAUUGUAGGCUUUGUUUCUCUAGUACAGCAUCCUUUGCUACAAAUUCUGAGAAUUUCCAGUCCAAGUUUUUGAGAGAUUCUGAUUUCAGUAACUUGAACAUGUUACAGUAGAAGGAAAUGGUGCAUUUUGUAAUAUGUGCUAAGGUUGAUACUCUUUUUUUUUUUUCUUGGGGGGGAGCGGGGGGUUGGUUGUGGUGUUGUGAGAGUGAUUGUGUAAGAUUUGCAAUGUUAUUGCUUGGUGUUUGGGUUAUAUCUUUUUUUUAAGCCUGUGGACAUUUUGCAUUAAUGUUUCCUUGUAAAGGAAAUUUCAUUUGGCUUGUAAUAUUAGCUCAUAUCUCACCAUACAACUAACUGGCCCUUUCAAGGUGUGGAAGAUUGUACAUACAAAGCAUUAAGAGUGAGAUGAAUGCUGAUUGAAUUGCACCUUUUUAUAACCCUGGAGUUUCUUGAUUUUUUCUCUAGUGUCUCUUGAUUUGUUUCUAGUUACAUGCUAUGUUCAUGCUUAAGUAUUCAGGUUUUUCGUUUCUCCUGCUACCCUGAGUGUGUACCCUACUAGACCUUGCUAUUGCUGCACUUUUGGUAACAUUUAGGAUGGUAUGAAAAUUUUCUAUUUCAUGUGAAUGAUUUAUUUAUCUGAAAUUUAGAGUAAUGAGGUUCUGGGAUUAUAAUAGUUAGUCUGAAUUAUUAACAGUUGGUCUGAAUUAUACCCUACUUCAUAGGAUGUGAUGGCAAAUUGUUUCAAUACUUCUGUUUUUUCUCUAAAAAGGGAGCAAACACUUUGUUUCUCCUCCAAAACAGAAACACACACAUUAUGAAUCCUGUUCACAAAUGAAGAUUUGAACCCAAUGUAAUUUGUAGUGGAGUUCAAAUCCUUUGUCCUGCCUUUAGAAGGACUUGCUUUCUUUCUUUCUAUCUUUUUGAUAAUUUGUGCGGUAUGGGAGAUGUAUUCCCCCUCACAUUGCCUUAGACAAGAGAAGAGGGAAAGAGGAAAUUAGAAAGAAGCUGAUUUGGAUUUUGUUGAAUAUUUAACUUCUCUUCGUUCUGCUAAAAUGUGAGUCAUUUUGACAGCAACCAGGUAUAGGAGGUGAAGUAACUCCACACCAGGAUAACUCUUUUCUUUAUACUGAACCUAAAAGUUGCACCGGGCUGUGGCUUGCUCUAGAAGAUGCAACAAUUGUAAACGGCUGCCUUUGGGCCAUUCCUGAAUCUCAAAAAAGUAGCUUUUGUACUUUUUUCCCAUCUGUGAACUUUUAAAAUAGAUAGAUGAUGGCUUAAUUUGAUGUUGCUCUGUUUUUAUCCAGAUGGCCUUGUUAGAAGGUUCAUUAGGGGUGAAGAUGGAGUGUACUUUGAUCAGCCUUCCCCUUCCUAUGACCAGAAGGAUUUUGUGCCUAUUGAAGUGAAAGCUGGGUCUUUGGUUGUAAUUCAUGGUGAUCUUAUUCAUCAAAGGUUAGUUUAAAGAAUUUUAUUCAGAGCUCAUUUAGUUCAAUGGUCUGAUAACCAACUAUUUAUUUGUUUCAUUUCUUAUGCUGGUACUGUAGUUUUGAAAAUCAAUCUCCAAAAUCAAGGCAUGCAUACAGCUUGCAUGUGGUAGAUACUGAUGGCUGCAAGUGGGCAGAAGAUAAUUGGUAAGUACAUGAGCAUUUACGUGUAUCUUCUCCUUAAUGAUGAGAUGGUACAUCUUUUUGUGCUACACAAUUUCCUUCUUUUAUUCUUCAUAGGACAACAUAUUAGUACUAUAUUAUCUUGAACUUGUUGAUAAUGGACUUUUUUUUUUUUGUUUAUGAAUCCCAUUUUAUAUGUAUGAUGUGUGGUCAACAGGCAAUUCUAAUGUCUCAUUGUUACCUGAAUUCUUCUGCUACCAUCAGCAACAAUAUUUCCCUUGUCAUAUUGACAUGCUAUGGGAACCUAUAAAGACCUUUUGCUUGGUAUUUAUAUAGAGUUUAUAACCUCACAUGGAAUCAAUAUUUCGAUUUACAAAUGGAAAUUGAAUUAGUCACCUCCUGUUGGUGGAGAAUCUAUGAUUUUCCUUUCCAAAAAAGUCUAUAAAAAUACACUUGUUACCAUCUGACAUGCAUGGGGGAGAUGCAGAAAGGAUUCAUUAAUGUUUUGGUCUAAUGGUUAAGAAACCCGUAAUUUCUAGUAAUCGUUGAAAUUUUGCACUAUUUUUGUUAUAUUGGCAAUAAUUGUGAUGCCAUUGAUGCAUAAUGAUGGAAAUGCCCUUAAUUUAUUCUUUAACAUAGUUAAGUGAAGAUCUAAUCGGUAAUCUUCAGUUAUUGAAAGGAGAUAGGCAUGAGUUGAUCUGUUACUGUUGCAGUAGAAAUCUGCUGUAGAUAUCAACGGGUAGAUUGUUUCUCUGAUUGACUUAAUUCCUGGGCUUUGAGCCCUCUAUCUGGCUUUGGUCUAUAUAGAGAUCAUUUUUGAAUUUGAUAUUUCCUCCUUUGCAGGAUCAAAAGAAAAGUGGAGCCAGAGCCCCUCUACGCAUCUUGAUCAGACUCGAGAGUUUUUAUCUCUGGUUGUUGCGUGGGGCGUUAAUGCAUGUCUCUAAGCAAAAUUGUUUAUACUAAGUUCCAGUUUGUGUAUUAUAAGAUCGUGCUCGCCACACACUUGCUACUGAAAAACCAAAAUGGCCGGGCCCUUUUAAUGUUCCUUCAGCUACAUUUCGAUGUUUAUUGACAUCUCGACAAAAUAAUAAUACACUUCACAAAAAUUAAAUAGCCAGAAGCCUAGCUUGAAUGCUUUUUGGUGUUUGGUUUUGCAUGAUGCUAUAGGCCUUAUGUAUUCUUUAUUAGAUGAAAGGCUUUUUCUUGCUGUGAAGAGUUGAUUGGCCAUUUACAAAUCAUUUCCAGCAAACGAUCUUAUCGUGUUACCAAGUUAAAAUAAAACAUCAAUGGCAUUUCACAUGUAUCAAAAGAUAGAAUUCACUUAUGGGAUGUGUGAUCUUCUGCAUAGAAAAUUUACUAAGACUUUUUCCUGCCAUAUGACGCGUGGAUAUGGAUGAGAUACCCGGCAACCAAGAUUUGUGGGAAUAAUCAUUUCUUCUGUUAGUCGACUCUUGUUCCCUGUUGUGUGGUUGGGAAGGUGAAAGGGAAGGAAAGGAGCCAUGAAGAAUGCAAAAGGGAGGGAAGUGAAAUUGAAAGCGUGGUGUGCAGGUGCAAUAUGACAGAAACUUGAUUUCAGUGUUAUGGAAAAGUAAUAUAACUGCACGUGAACAUGGCAUAAUUUCUUUUGAAUGUUAGACGCAACAAGACUAAUAAUUGUGAAGAGUGUAUGGACUUUACGAUAACAAAGAACACAGGCUAUGGUUUGAGCUAUUGGCUUGAAUUUUUGAAACAUUGGAGGGAGGUGUGUUUCUUUAUUGAAGGAUGGGGCUACAGUGUCGCAUGUCGUACAGCAAAGAGAUUUGAAGGAACCAACUGUUACUACGUUAUUUGUGGUUUCAGCUGUGAGACCAUAUUUGUCUUUAUUGAGGCAGAGCAGGAUACAGGGUAAAAGGAAAGCAAGGACAAUCCCCAGCCUCUCUAUUUUUGGCCAAAGGCAAUUAAUGCUGGCUGCUUCCAGACUAGGAGUUGGAUUUUCACUAGAUCACGGUCGGUUUUCUUGGCAAUACGCGCUUUCUUUGUAUUUUGUUCAUUUCUUCAUCACUUUUAAUUCCAACACUGUUUCUCGCCCUUUCUCUCUCUGCUGCCUGCUUUUUCAUUAUGCACCAGACAUUCAGUGAUGAAAGCCCUGCAAAAGUUUCAGUGACAACUGAGAGGCAUCUUCCUCAUCUCUCUCUCUCUUCCCCUCAUUGUGAAAGUUCUGGUAAUAUUGCAUGGCUUUGGUUUUUAUGCAUUAUAUUUAUUAUCACAGGCAAAUGUUUUACAUUUUUCAUGCGCUAAUUAUAAAUGCUUUUUUUAUGGUGGAUGUCUGGCUUUUUUGAAGAGGUGAAAGGACAAGAUUCAAACAGGUGGCGUCAACCCUGGGUGAAAGGGGUUUAAGGCUUUUAGCUGUUUUUGACCUUUUAUGGGUAAAAGAACAGUAAUGAGCUAUAAUUACAGAUGUUGCACAUGUACAACCACUGCCAAGUUAGAUUAUGCAAGAAACUUAGACCAUAGGGUUAAUUAAAUCCUCUACAACUCUACCACACUGCCAUAUGUAUGAAAGACUAAAUAUUUGUGGAAAGCGUAUAGUUAAUAAGCAUUGUUCUAAUAUAUAUGUGUAUGCAUUAAGGUAACAUUGCCAGAAUAUAUAUAGUUGAGAAGAGAACAUAAUUACCGUCUAGUAACAUCCAAUGGAUAUAACAUUGCACACAUGAGAAGAACAUUUACUUAUUCAAUCUUAUAGAUCAUUCUGUCGUUCAGUGAAAAUUAUCAAUGUUGUUGAGCAACCAUUGACAAUCGAGCAAUGUCCUUUUCUUCUGAUUAAAGUUAACAACUGGUGGGAAUAUUCAAGAGCUUAAUGUUGAAAAGCUGACAAGAAUUUCCUUCGAAUUUAAUUAACGUACUAAGUUUUUUCCUUUGAAUUUGAUACAUGAAUGCAAGUCUUCUUCCAACCCCGAGUUCCCUAGCUAUGACAUUUCUGUACCCUUUGUUUAUCUGGUUCUUGUUGUUUGACAGGGAUUCAGGAAACACUCAUGGAAGAGUAUUCUUUUGAGUUUGGCAGCUAGAAAUCCAAUCAUGCUUUAUGGACAUAGGCCUAAAUGCCCCAGAUUUCCCUGAAAUCAUGUGAAUUCCUCGACGUUUAAACCAUAUGAAUUAUUAACCAAAGUACAAAACGUCAUUGAAAGAUGUUUCUUUUUAUUUAUUCUUUUUAAUCCUGAAACGAAUGAUUAAAUAUAUGCAUUUUUCUGUUUGUACCAUGCAUUGCAUUUUCGAUAAAUGGAGUACUGGGUUUCUCAUUUACCAUUUCGUUGAAUCCAAGCAGGAUUUGCUGGAUGUUUUGGCACAAUGUAUAUAUUCGCACUUGGAACCUUUGAUGUGCUUUUGAUCUUCUUCAUUUUAUUAAUUAGUUCCAAUGCAUUUUGUCUCCAGAGGAAAGGAGAUAAUCAUAUUGCACUACUGUACCGUUAUCCAGUAGUACAAAUUUACUUCCCUAGGAAUAUAUGGAAUUGAACAUGCAUGAGAAAAACAAAAUUUUACUGACAUAUACCUGAAAACCCCAGAUAUGUCCAGUCCAAAUUUUAGGUCACUUCAACAUCAAACUCUUUCACGACCUUCUCCUGUUCUAUGUCUCCCUUGCCUUCCCUUCUGUCUUUCCUUUUGUACCGUUCAAUGAGUUGUAGGAAAUGGGCAAAACAAAGAAAAUUCUGCAAUUGCAUCGUUUAAAGAAAAUGAAGGAGCUCUACCUUGGUUUAGCCAACAUGGUCCAAAUGCGGUUUAAGGCAACCCAAAAUAACUACAUGUCCUUAUCUUACAGUUGCUCCAUGCGUGACAGACACAGAUGAAACAGUCCUAGUUUCCUACAAAAAAACAAACUAAUACAGCUUAUCUAUCUUUACUUAAAUAGCAAACUAGUAUCUAAUUGCAGCAUUAAUUUGUAGCCACAUGCUAAAGCUACCUUCUUCUUCAGUUCUUCAGAGGAAGAAACUCAAAAUACUGGUUUGGGGUGAAGGUUGUAUUUAAGGCUGUGAUGGGCACUUGGGUGGUGUCUUUCUUGCUGAUAUUAAUGCCGUUGCGAUCGUUGCUUCCAAGGGGAAACAGCUCAAGGGUCUUAUCUUCUCUGUUUUCAUCUUCAAGAGUGGUAAUAUUUUCUUGGUGGGGUUUGAGUGAGCAUAAAUUUUGAGUGUUGGAAGCCCUCGCAGUGGCCAAUGAAGUUGCGGUCAUGCUGUUUAUGAGGUAAAUUGGUGAACAGGACAAUUCCAUAGCUUGCCACGUUGAAACUCUCCCAGCUGUACUCUUUGUCUGUUGCAAUUCCUUCUCCUGAAUUUGCAUCCACUUAUUUGGUCCACUCUCUGCUGCUGCUACUCCAUGCGUUAAAAUGAGCUCCUACGAAAAUAGACAAGAGUUAUAAUUAGUUUGAGGUAAAAUAGAAAUGAAUUAAAGCUGAGCACACAAGCUCACACCAAGUCCGAAAAAAUUCUGAGCCCUUUCAUUACAACAGCCCCAACAGAAAGUAAGGCAAUGCAGCUUUUGCACCUCUUCUUUUCCCAACAUAUUAACAACAGCUUUUUCGUAGCUUGCUCAAUUGUCUUUUUGCUUCUUUUUUUCUUGACUUUCUUUUGAACCUUUGACCUUUUCCAUCUAAUAAUAAUUAGCCCCUAUUAUUAUAUAUGCCUUCUAAUUUUCUUCUGAGUCUUUGGCUCUGCUUAGCUAAUCCCCGUUAAAGAGCAUUAUUCCAUGAACAAAGAAAAAACGCUGAUAUACAGACCUCUGAACGUUUACUGAAGUUUGAAGGAGGACCCUUGUUCUUUGUCUGUUCAAUUUCACAGCCCGUGGUUGCAGACCCUGUUGGCAAUGAAGACAAAACAAAUCAAACAACUUUCUUUUUUGUUUGUCUUGCAUCUAAAACAAUCAAAGAAAAAAAAAAGGAAAAGAAAAUGAAGCUUCUCUCUCAUCACUCUCUUUUAAAACAUGGCUUGGCAGAAGUUGUAACUGUACUCAAAAUAUGAAGGAUUUAAGGAAAAUGGUGUUGGAGGUUGACACUCAAAUUCUAUAUAGCUUACCUGGUUCCUUCUUUUCAAACCUCUCAGUGUCACAUUGUUUUAGUUCUUGUUCAGUCUCCAGUUCGCGGCGGCGUUUUUGACGUUCUCUUGCCUUAUGGUUUUGGAACCAGUAAAAGACAUUCUUCCCUUCAAUCUUACCAAACCUCCGAAGCCGCGUAGCUAUUUGUUGGAUUUGUGCAGCCGAAGGCGUUCGUGUCCCACGUCGAUAGAGUUCCUCCAGGGCCAGUAACUGCUCUGGCGUUGGAUUCCAACGUGAAGUCCCUAAGGGAUGCUCACUCAGUUCUGCCUUUCUUAUAGCUGCUACCGACAAGAAGAAAAUAUCAGUGUUGAAAAGAGAUCAGUUAUUAAACUAAAUGAAGAAAGAUGAGUGAAGAGUAAGGCAGAGUAAAGUGCAAAAAAAAAAAAAACAAAAAGUAGCCAAAUCACCAUGGCAAGGAGAGGGUGCAGAAGAGAUAAUAGUAGUGUUUCUGGGGCAGGCAGGGUUAGGCUUUGGAAUCAAGGGUGAAGGCUUUGCAUUGUUGAAUGAAUGAUGAGACAAGUUGAGGUCAGUAUUAUGGGGAUAUCCCAUGUUGAAGAAGCAACGAAGCAGGCUAUUUGCAAAGAAUAUACGAUGAUAUAUAUACAUACACACACGAUAAGAUUAAAGAGAGGAGUUUAAAACUCAAAGUUGGUAAAGGGUGGGAGAGAAAAAGCAAGCAUUGGGUUUAAAUAGAAAGGCUACUUCCCAAAUAUCAUCUCUUUUGCUUCCCUAGCGCGCGCACAUAGUCGCAUCAGAGAAGAAGAAAAAUGUGAAUAAAAAGUAGAUAUGGUUUCUACUUUCAAAAGGGGCAGCAGCAACAAAGUGAAAAGAUAAAGCAGAGUGAGAGGAAACUGAGGAAGACAAACGGCAUGUUGACUGUGUCUGUGUUGCUAAUAUGCUAUAACAUCUACGCACAAAUAUAUAUGCAUGCCUGAAUAUUUCGUCUUAAUUUGUGUUCUUAUUCAACGAGAUAGAUCAGAUCUCUACCUUCUUUAAUUUCCGCGAACUUGAUAAAAACAAAAAUAGAAAUAUUUUGUCAAUUUUGUUACUUUAUUUGUCACAUUUGAAACAUAUAAAUAUAAUAUACACUAAAAUACAAAAUUCCUUUCUAGUGGGUCUUUGCCAUUUAUAGUCAGUCUUUUUAUCUUUGAAGUACUAGCUAUACAUGAAGGAACAAGAAUAGGAAGAGGAUAAGUACUUCCUAAAAUAAAAAAAGGGUAAUUCCAAUUAACGUUAGAAACUCAAAUCAGACACAUAGGAAUUGAAAUUAAACAUCAACAAAAUAGAUCAACAUGUAUGCAGCGGUUUAAGUUCCAACGAUGAUUAAGUAGCAACCAUAUUAAUAUAUAAAACAUCCAACAUUGGUCAAUUCAAUAUAUAAUCUGUAGAAUAAAGAGCAUAAUAUUUGUACACGUGGUAUCUAUGAAUGAAAUUUUCUUUUAACAUUGGAUAAUUAAUUAAAACAACAUGAAUGUCAGUGGUGGGCUUGACAUGCGAAUUUACAUAAGUGUAAACCGGAUAUUGAUCUUGAAAUAUAGAUUGUAAUAAGUAAAAACCGCUAUUAAUCAAGUUAUAUUGCGAUAAUUUAAAAAUGAAAAACAAUUUAUCAAAUUGAAGUCAUAUAAACCUCAGGUAGAAAGCAAAGGGAGGCUUGAAAUUAUGAAGAGAUGAGGAGGCGUGGGAUGAGAAAGCUUGGCACAGAAAACGACUUCACCAUGGAAAGAUAUAAUUGCGUAUAGUCAAUUAAAAGCUUAGCCCAUCAGUCCUGAUUAAGGUUCCUAUUGCACAACCAUUGCACGCCCAUAUGUAUCUCCAACUUCUCCUUCUUUUUGGCCAAGUGCGUUUGUACAUUUUCACUUCCAUUCUGGUUUUCAAAGUGAAUAAUGUACUUUUGGUCCAUAUUAAUUUUUGAUAUUCAUCUUUCAAUUGGUCCAAAUUUACCGAUGCACUCCUAUUUUCUUUUUCAGAAUAAGUAUAUAUGUAUUGAUACUUACUGAUAAAAAUAAAUAUUUUUUAUAACUAAAAAUUUGACAAAAAUAUUUAUAUUUGUUGAUUAGUAAGAAAUUACCGAAUUUAAUUUUUUUUAAGUACCUUAUUACGAAAAUUUAAAACAGCAUUGAGAAGCUAAACGAAAAUUUGUUUGUUGCAAGUUUAAUGCUUUUGCUAGCACUUGGACGGUUGAUUCAAUGUUUUUCUUUUUUUGGAAAGUGAAGCAAGUUCCUAUUAGGCAAUCAGUGUAUUUUAAACAGCAAAAGUUGUCUAGGGAAAAAGGCAAUAAAUCACCAACUUUAAUGAAGAUUAAGGAAUAUAAAUGGCACCUGUCUGGAAAGGAGAGGUAGAGGCAAACUCCAUCAAAGAAUUUGUGGACCUUCAAAUAAAUAAAUUUUCACUUAUUCAGAACAUUUUAAUGGGUAUAUACUCCAAAAAACUGUGGGGGAGACGAUGAAUAAUCUAAAGGUCAUGUUAUGGUUUGUAUACAAAUCAUUUCACUCAUCUACGUAAGAAUCCCAUUGCCUGGUAGACAUUAUUGAGAGUAGCAUCAGCUAUAGCCGCAGCUUUCUCAGGCCCUUCUGCCAAGACUCUCCAUCCAAAUAAGCUGGAUCAGAAAUAAUGUCCUCAUACGUACCGAGCCCGGAUAGGAUGCAGAUGAUCGACCAAUUCAUCUGUUAGGAGGGUUUUAAAUCAGCCCCGGUUCAUAUCUUGGCAUCCUUGUUCAACUUCCUCUUGUGUCUUGCUUGAAAUUAUCUGAAGAAGAUUGUUGCACUCAGGACGUUCAGGGUUGUCAAAUUCCACGCCUGGGACGAUUUAUCUUGUUUGCUAUCUGUCACGACUCAAACCUGGGACCGUGACCGACACACAAGCCCCGUAGACGAAGUCCACUUGUUCCGAACAAGUCUCAAUUAGAUCGGAUAGACCAAUAAACAAAUAUAAUCAUUUGUAGGAAUUUACAACUCAACUAAUUCAUUUCAUAGCAUAGGUUCAAAUAUGUUUUAACAAACUGCCCUUAGCAUUUAAUCUAUCAAGGGUAUAUUCACAUACUAUUUACAAGAGUCAUAUCUUGACUAGCACAGUAGGUCCAAGCCCGUACAAAACAAACCGGAAGUCUGUACAUUGUAGUGACAUCAUGGAUGCCAUCAAACCAAAAACAACUAACAUCAAUACCAAAUCAACAGAGUGGACUUGUGAGAUUAAGAUUCCUAUCAGAUGCCAAAAGAUGUUUUAUUUUGAAAGACGGAUCUUAGCUACUCAUCAAGAAGCUGAUGCAAAAGACAACGUAAAGGAAACAUUCUUGAAGUGUUAUUAUGCUUGAAGAUCAUUUGCUCCUUAGCUAGAGCUUAAAUUGCCUAAAAAAAAAUAUUAAACAAUGAUAUGACUUGAUCCUUCAUAUUAAGAGGUACUUAAGCAAUUUGGUCUUAUUGUCAAGUUUAGUCAAACAAAAAAAAAGUCUCUUGAAUUGAAGAUGAUCUAAUUCUUUACAAUGAUGAAGCUAUCAUGGUUGAAGAAGAUAAGUUGUUUGAAUUAAAUCAAAAUAGAAUUUGCCAGAAUGCCAAAAAUGAUUUUCUUCAUCUCACCUCUUCAAUUUCGACUCCAUGGUUUGCCAAUCAAAGCAACUUUAAUUAGUCUCAAAUUUUUACUAAGUCUAGCCAACAUGGUUAUACAUCAUGCGUAAAAAUAUGAGAAUCAAAUAAGCAAGAUAAGUUGGUGAAUUAAAUAAAGACAGAAGCUAGUCAGAAUCAAAACAGUUUUGAAAAUUUUCUUUAAUCUAAUCUUGCACUAGGGAAGAUGAAGAAUUUAAGCAAAUGUUGGUGCCAAAGCAAAUUAAAUUUCAAGACUUGUCCAUGUCUCACAUUCAAAUCAUGUGUGAACAAGUCUUAAGGGACAUUUGUAGAAAGAGAAAAAUUGUUAUCCAAUUAUAAAUGCCACAUCUCCAAGAUUAGUAAAUUGAAGAAAAUUUUUAAAGACAAUGCAUGUGCUGCCAUGUGAACUUGAAGACAUUAUUUAAGAUAGUCAUACAAUUAAUUAUAAAAUAAUUAAUUUAUUGAUUAUUUUCUUAAAGACACAUAGUUGAACCAAUUAAAAUUUUUCUAUAUGUCAUGCAUUUAUCUUUUGAGACAAUAUAGAGAUAAUGUAUUAAUUGGAUCAUUAAAAAUUCACCUAUUGGUCACCAAGUUAUCUCUAAAUAAAUCAAGAUAAUUUAGAGAUAAUAUGUAAAUUUGACAAAAUAAAAUUUACUUAUUGGUCAUUCAAUUUAUCUCUAAAUAAAUUAAGAUAAUUUAGAGAAAAAUCCAAACUUGGUCAUCUAAUUUAUCUCUAAAUAAAUUAAGAUAAGUUAAAAAUAAUACUCAAAUUUAGCCAAUCAAAACUCAAAGACUCAAAGUUUGACAAAUUUAAAGGUCAUUUGUGAAUUAUCAUGAUUUGUCUCUAAUUAAAUUAAAAUAAUUUAGAGAUAAUUCAAAAAGACUAAAUCACCAUAAAAGUCUCUUAUCUAGCAUUAUAAAUACAGUGCUCCUUCAAGCCAUUUGAUGAAUCACGGAGAAAGGAAUGAGGAAGAAAGAAAGAGAUUUUGAAGAUCGACAAGUCCAAGGCCCCAGAAGAUUCUGAAGAUUAAAGCCUCUAGAUGGAAGAAAAAAUCAAAGCCUCUAGAAAGAAGAUUAAAGCCUUUCCAAAGUGGAUUCAAGAACAAAUCACAAGACCUUUCUAGAAGGAAGAUUAAAGCCUCUCCAGAGUGGAUUCAAGAACAUAUCGCAAGACCCUUGAGGCAAAGUUCGGAGUUUAAGAACAAGUUGCAAGAUCCUUGAAGCAAAGUUCGAAGUUCAAGAACAAGUCGCAAGACCUUUGAAAUGAAAUCUCCAAAUUGUUAGAUUAAGACAAGACCUUUGAAGAAAAGUUUUCAAAUUGUUUGUUUAUUCAAGAUCAAGUCAUAAGAGCUUUGAAGCGGAGUCUCCAAAUUGUUCGUAAGAACAGGUCACAAGACGCUUGAAGCAAAGUUUGAAGUUUUAGAACAAGUCGCAAGAUUCUUGAAGCAAAGUUCAAAGUUCAAGACCCUUGAAGCCAAGUUCGAAGUUCAAGAACAAGUCGUAAGUUGAAGUGAAGUCUCCAAAUCGUUCAAGAUCAAGUCAAGACCCUUGAAGUGAAAUCUCCAAAUGUUCAUUCAAGAUCAAGUCAUAAGACUCCAAACUGUUCAUUCAAGAUUAAGUCAUAAGACCAAAUCGUUCGUUUAAGAACAAGUUGCAAGUUGGUUGAAGAACAAAUCGCAGGACCCUUAAAGUGAAGUCUCCAAAUCGAUUCAGUCUCCAAAUCGUAAGUUCAAGAAUAAGUUGCAAGACUCUUAAAGCGAAGUCUCCAAAUUGUUCAUUCAAGAUCAAGUCAAGACCCCUAAAUCGAAGUCUCCAAAUUGUUCAUUCAAGAACAAGUUACAAGACCCUUGAAGAAAGUUAGAAGUUUAAGAACAAGUCACAAGAUCCUCGAAGCAAAGUCUUCAAAUCAUUCGUUCAAGAUCAAGUCAUAAGACCAUUGAAACGAAGUCUCCAAAUUGUUCGUUCAAGUUCAAGUCAUAAGAUCCUUGAAACGAAAUAUCCAAAUUUUUCAUUCAAGAUUAAGUUAAGGCCUUUAAAGAAAGGUUUCCAAAUUGUUCGUUCAAGUUAAGGUCAUAAGAUUCUUUAAACGAAAUCUCCAAAUUGUUCGUCAAGUCAAGGCCUUUGAAGAAAGGUUUCAAAUUGUUCAUUCGUUGAAGCGAAGAUUAAAGAAAUUAAUAAAGAGGAUUUUUUUCUGGUAAAAAAAUCCAGCAAUUGUAAAUUCAUGUCUCUAAAUUUUUAAAUAUUUGAUGCAAAAUUUAUGUGUACAUAUAUUAUUAAAGAUACGAAUUUACUCAAAAGUAUGAACUUUCUUCAUCAAACGUAUUUUUCUUCGACACUUAUUGGUCUAACAACUUCAAGGUAGAUUCAAGAUAUUCAAUAAUGAGUUCGCAGAUAAAAAAAAUUAUGAUAUUUAAUGGUUUCGUUAGUCAAGAAUUUAGAUAUUUAUACCUAAAAAAAAAGAAUUUAGUAUUUGUCUAUGAUAUGAUAAAACAUUGUAGUCUUGAUUGUUUAAUAGUAUCAAUGUACACAACAAAAUUUACCAUUCUUUCUCUUUCUCUCUAUCAAAACAAAGUAUAGGUUCAUUGUUUGUUAAAAAAAUGUUUAAAGAUACUGAUGAUGGGGUUUUAAAUUCCUGUUUUUUUAUUUGUUAACUUUAUCUUAGCUUUAUCUUCUUUUUGUAUUAUAUCCUUCUACGUAUUUGAUUACCCUAUUUUUUUUAUUUGUUAACACAUCUUUUCUGCUAUUGUUUUGUAAAUUUUUUUUCCCUUUCGGUUCAUAUCAUUUAGUAAACCUUUUAAGAUCAUUGUUGCUUACUCAAACAUAAUAUAUUUAUUAGAUUAUUAGUAUUUGUUUUGUUGGAAUUAUCUUCUCUAUGUCUAAUAUUACUACAUUGGAAGCAUAUGAAUAAAGUAUCUUUUUGAGUAUAUUGCCUUAAAAAGAGUUACCAAUAUAUUUGAAACUUUUUAUCCCCACGUGACAUUAUAGUUCAUAUGAGAAAUAUAGUAAUUAAUAAGUAAGCGAGUAUAAAAGAAUUGAAAAAGAGAUUAAAAUAUUAUUAUAAAGAAGAAUAAAAAUAUUUAUUUUGCGAAUUUACCAACUUUUAUUACCUCAUGCAUCCCAGAUGUCAAAAUUUCAUUUUAAUGAAAAAAAAAGAAAAGAAAGAAGAAAAAACCAGAAAUGGAGAUACCUCUCAUAAUUGUCCAUGAACAUCCAAAUGGAUAAAGAUUUUUGGCAAGAGUCAAUUACAUCCCUGGUUUUACCUAUCUACUACAUUGGUUGACAUAAUGAAUAUACAUCAUACUACAUCUGAUUUAGGGAAAUAAUUAAUAAUAAUAAAAAAAGAAAAAUAAAAGGACCCAUUUUGGGUCAAGGUUCAAUAAUGCAGCAUGUCAUGCUGAUCGAAGACAAAAAUUCUACAUUCUACCUUAUUUUAUGCCUGAUCGAACAAAGCAAAUUUGUUCUCCCAGCUCUCAGGAUAAAUGAAUAGUAAGGAAUGAAUCAGAGAUAUAGGGAUUGACCUGAGAUAUAUACGCUACUCAAGAAGCUUAUUACACGUGCCAACACCAACAGCUGCGGCAAGAUGCCAUGCAGCAUGCAGGAAAGGAGUACUAGGAAACACAUCAUCUGCAAUGAAAAGAACACCUCCCAGCAUUGAUGACAUCUUGUGCACAUUGUGAACCAUUCUUAGUUCUGGAUCUUUUAAUGCUCUUUUUGCAAAUGCUACCUGGAAUGGAUGAAUGGCAAGGAAAAUGUUUCAGUAUACAAACAGUUUGAGCCUAGAAUGUAAUUUUAUCAAUUAUAUUGUCAAGCUGGCACCAUGAUUGGGGAAUCAAAGAUUCAGACAACAAGAAGUUCACACAUAUAGUGCCUGGAAUUAUUAUCCACAUGAAUGUAGUUUUAACACUGGGUACGCUUCCACUGAAAACCCAAAAUGCUUAAUUCAAAUUUUGACAAUUAACUUCGAAGCUUAAUUUAAUUCCAUCAUGGAAGUAAAUUAUGUGAUGCCAAAGAGCUUAUUUGAUAACAACCAACCAGUUGCAUUUUGAACUCCAAUGCAUCAAGGAAUAACUUAUAUUGCCCUUUCAAAUAUAUAUUUUAUACAUGAAGGAGAAUAAAUAUGGAGAAGUUAGCAAUAAACAUUAGAAAUUUGAUAGCUCUUUUGACCCCAUCUAAUCAAUUGCAAUAUGUUUACAAUGGAAAAAAUAAUAGGAAUCCUAGGUUGCUGUUCAUUUAUUAAAGUCCAAGGAAAUAACCAGUGAGUUACCUCCAUCAUUCCAGUGUGAACAGCUGAAACCAUCAGAGGCUGGACAGGUAGAAGUAAAGCAGAUGCUGCCAUCAGUAACUUUGGGUUCUCAUUUCUAAGGGCUCUUGAUAGACACUGCACAAAGGAUUUUUAGUUUUAAAAUUUUGAACCUAAGUGAGCAAUUUAAAAAUGUAGAACUGUAGAAGAAAAGUUUCAGCAGGUAGCAUUGUGUUCUCAAUCAAGUCUACAGAUAGAGCAUAUGAACAAUGCUUAAACAUAUAUUUGUGUAAAGCAUCAAUAAAGUCAGUAACAUAAACAAGUAUCUAAACAGAAGCAUCUUAUUCAGGUUAUUAGAUACCAACACAACCUGUGUGAGGAUUAUAAAAGUUCGCCAUAUUUUCAAAAUUUAUGCUUGUUGAUAAUUGUAGGAACAACUGACCCAAGCAAAUUAAUAUGACAGCAAAUAAAUUCAUCAGAAAAAUAAUCAAACAUGCACAAGAAAUAAUAUGCAAAAGUAACAAUAAAAAAACACUGGGAUAUAAGUGAUUUGGCACAAAGCCUACAUUCAUGGGCAGAGACAAUGGGAAAUUUCUUACGUCUCUGCCCAUGGAUGCAGGCUUGAGCUGUAUCAAGUAAAUCCCGAUGUUUCCAUUGGUUGUUAUUUUAGCAUAUUAUUCUUGUGCAUGUUUGGUUAAUUUUUUGAUGAAUUUACUUGAUGUAAUAUAGACUUGUUUGGGUUGGUUGUUCCGACAAAUUUGUAUCAGAGCCAAAGGCUCGACUAGGGUGAGGAAAAUAUGGUGAUGACGUAUUUAUGAAAAAAGCAAGAAAGCGGUGCACUAGGACAACCUUUGGUUGAAUGCAGGGCCUAAGGUGCAUGAGCAGCUUGGAAAGAAUGCAAAAAGUGGUGCGUUGUGGACAACCAGAAUGUAGGGAGGCAAAUGGAGGUUGAGUGCUAAUCCAAAAAUGCAUUGAUAAUUAAGAAAAAUAGCACGGUUAGCUUGCACGGGAAGCUGAUCACAACUCACAAGUGAAAGGGAGAGAUUUGUUGAGGUUCACAUGUAAGUGUGAUAUGCCACAUCACUAAAAUGUGAGAUGUUGAGGUGGUAUAUUUACAUUGCCAGAGUAUUAUUUUUAAAAAAGUUAUAAAUCAUUUUGAACUUACCACUGUUGCUGUGGCUAUCAUUGUAUAAUCAGCCCACCUUAAAUACUUCCUCAGCUUUCCUCUAGAAGAAUGAUACAAAGUAGAUGUAACUCCAACUCCAAUGAGUGAAUUAGCAUACAGCUUAGUGUUCAAAUUUUUCCUACAUCCAAGUAAACAAAGAAUUAACAAAACAUGGUUAAUGAUAUCUUGUUUAUUAAGCAAAUUAAAGAGAACGUUACCUUGGGGCCUGGAUCCCAAGAGCAAUAAAAGGAAGUGAUGUUAACACAUUGGCAACUGUCUCUAGAAGAUUCUGGUCCCCUAAGAAAGUUUUAAAAGAUAAGCAUAGACAAAGAAUGUUACAUAACAGAAUGGAGAGCUGAGACACACAAAAAGAAACACAAAACAAGAGAGAGACCACAAGAAAAUGAAGACCGUUAUUACUUAUUACCAUACCUUGCAUACAACAUCUUACAGGCCUUAAACAAGCUGGUCUCUGCUGCCAUACUCUGAAAAACAUGUGUAAGCAGUAUGUUAUGGCGGGUCACAGGCAACAAUAGUAUAUGCACGAGACUAGCCACAAAUAAUUGAUAGAUAGUAUUUAAAAAGAUCAACACUAGCAACCAAUAUUUUGAACAAGAAGUUUUGAUGGAUAAGUUUUUUUUUUAACUUACUGAAUCAGUAGUGGUUGAUUUGCUGUAAUAAAUGAUUUAUCAUGAGUGUGCUGGAAGUCCCCAUGUUGGUUAAUCUCCUCCAAUGCAAAUGGUGAAUGAGAAACUACUUGCACCCCAUGUACAUCCUCUAAGGCUUUACUAGGUUUCAAUGCCCUUUGGGAACACAUAAUCUUCAAAAGUGUGCGCAAAACGGUUUACCUGCCAGCAAGAACUUGCUGGCAACCGUUGGAAGAAGAGUGCAAGGAGCAACUUCUAUGCUUAAUCUAUGUAGAAUGAAAAAGCAGCAAUGUUAGAAUUAAGCAGAAAUAUUGGUGAAAUCACAUUGGCAAUAAAUUAAGCAUAGGAUAAGGCUUCUACCAAACACUAUUUUGGAAAAUUUACAAUGUCCUAUAAAUUAUUGGGAGAUCUAGUUGGAUGGAAAAUAGUUCAUUGAACAUCAAGGGAAGAUUAAUUACACAAAUAUCCUCUAAAACAAAUGACGAAGAUAUUGUAUCCCAGCUCCAGAUACAAUAGCCCUUAAAAAAAAGCAGCACCUAUUUGUCAUAUGGCCUUCAUUCAGAAAUAAAAGCAAACAUUCGAUCAACAACUUCAAUCUAUGAACCUAUUAGAGCAUCAUUAAGAAUUCCACCCAGAAUAGCAAUCAAAACACCAAAGUAACACAACAAAUGAAAUAUUGAUUUGCAUAUUUUGCACUGCGUUUCAUGGUUUGGAAAUCUACUCCUAAGAUAUAUGUCUUUAACCAAUCGAAGCAUGAUUAGCCUCAGUCAUUGCAUAAAUCCAAAUACGAACACCUCACUGGUUGUGCUCUAUCUACCUAUAAAAUUUUAGAAAUCAAAAUACAACUGUGUCUGGUCACAAGAGCUAACUUUUAGGGUAUAUGCGUAAAAAAGGAAAGGAAAGCUUAUGAAUACCGAUUAAGGCUGUCCUGGAAUUGACCAACUAGAACUAAUGACACCUUAGAGGCUAGUUUCACACUUUUAUUGAGUUAAAUGAUUUCAACUGAAACAAGACAACUACCCCAAUUUCUUUUUAAACAGCGAGAAAAGAAUGAUAAUGUCUCCCUAUGGCUAAAAUAUACACCCAAGCAUAUUCUGAUUAAAAAAACACUCAUUACUAGUAGCAGAUUACUCCUACUGAAAUAAGGCUGAGCUCAUAUAAAAGGUCAUGGCAAAGAAAAUAUCUUUAUUUAUUAACCCAAGAUGUUCAAUAUUGACCACACUCCACAGAGCCUGAAGUAAAGCCACUCAGAUACCUAAGCAAAAUUUUUGUCCAACAAAUUCGACAUCAACAGUCCCAUGAAAGGAAGCUCAAGUCUAAAAACCAAAACAAAUCAUUCAAAAAUCUUCUCCUUAAUCCAAGAAUUUUCAAGCAUAAAAGACACAAACUCGAAAAUGGGUUCUGAAAAUACAAGCAAAAAUAGCAACUCCACAUCAAGAAAACGGAAAUUAACAGAACAUUUUGGAGACUAAAGCAAUGACUCCAGCAGACAUAUUUCAAAAAGCUUAAUAACUAGAUGCAUUUUUCAGAAAGAGAGAUGGAUAGAUGUAAAAUAUAGAUAAACAAAUAUAAACCUGGAAAGAUGUGGCGAGCAGAGAAGUGAAGGGAGGAUAUAAUAAUAUUUAUAGAAGAGGCAAGGCAGGAAGGAAGGAAGGAAGAGGAGUUUAGUUUGAUUUUCAGUUAGAAGGGGAGUUGCCUCAAGGCAACAAGAAAAACAGCAUCGGGCAGGGGGAGAUGCGCAUGACUCACGAAUCUUCUUCAUUUGACCGUCCGCAUAUUCCCCUUGCCCAGUCAAUAUACGUCACCUAUACUCGCUUCCCGUGUGCAACUUGUAUGCGCUUGACGUGCGGGUAAAAUUAAAAAAAUCUCUAAAAACAUUUCAAAAAGAACACUUUCAUCUUCUUAUUUUCAAAUAAUAUUUUUUAUUUUUUAAUUAUUAACAUUGUUAGUUAAUAAAAAAAAAAACUAUAAUUAAUAUUAUAUAAAUAUUUUAAAAUAUAAAUACUUUAUUAAAAAAACUGUUAUGUUCUCCUCCAAAACUUAAUAAAAUUUAUUUUGAUAUAAAUAAAAUUUAAUAUUUAACAAAAAAAAAGUAAAAUUUCACAAAAUUUUAAAACGAGAUUUUUAAAUACAGUAAUUUAUUUUAUUUUGAUACUUAAUAAAAUUCAAUAUUUGAUAUAGAAUAAAAAAACUUAAAAUCUUUUAUAUACUUAGUAAGUCAAAAUUUUUUAUGUCAACUUAAACCCUAAUUCCAAAAAACAAUUUUGAGCAAAAUUAUUUCAAUAAAAUUAGUAAUUACAAGUAAAAAGUUAAUUUUUUAACCUGACACCAUCAAAUUUGAAAUAUCCAUCAUUAAAUAAAAAAUUUACUUUUGUAAUAUAUUUUUUUCAAUAAAAAAAAUCUUAAACGGUUGGAAAAAUAAAGAAUUUGAUGACAAUAAGCUUUACCCUAAGAAAAAAGUUUGUGGUUUUAAGGUAAAUACGAUUUUAAAUUUCCAAUCCUUCAAAUAAAAAUGUUUUACGUUUUUUUUUCUGAUUAAAGUUUUUAAAGGGAGAAUGAGCAUUUUUGUUCAAAAGAAAAUAUCCUUAAAUUAUAAAAAUAAUAUAAAAGAUAUUUAUAUCUUAAAAUAUUUAUGUUGUAUUAGGUUUAAUUAUUUUUACCUGUUGACUAAAUGUAUUAACAGUCAAGGAAUCAAAAAUAUCAUUUUAAAAUAGGAGGAACCAAAGUGUUAUCUUGAAGUAUUUUGAGAGAGCUUUUUGGAUUUUACCUCUUGACAUGUCUAAGUAGUUUAUAAAAGAGUUUUUUUUUUAAUAAUUAAAGCAAAAAUAAAGUGUUUAAUUUUAAAUUUUUUAACUUAUGUGAAAGGUUUAUCUGAAUUUUUAAAAGAAAUUUAAAAAUUAAGAAAUUUUAAAAAAUGCUAAUGUACAGUAAUAGUUAUUUGAUGAGAUUAUGGUGAAAAUUUUAUCUCUUUCACCUCAACAAUCAUUCCAAAAAUGAGGGUUUAUCAUCUUUUAUAGUUUUCAAAAUUUGGAAGUAGAUAAGUUACUCAAAUUCUCUAAUUAGGGAUAAAUGUUGAGAAUAACUUUUUUUUAUUAAAUAGUAUCAAGAUUAAGGGUGAAAGAAUAUCUUGCAAUGGGCUUGUGAUAAUUAAAUGGGCUGAGAAAGAAAGUUGGUAGGCCUAAACUGGAGCUUUGAAUAAACGGGGACACCCUAAAAGUCUGAACCCUCCUUGGCCUGGAUAUAUGGCCUAUGAGGCCCACUUUUAACCUACCAUUGGGCCUGAUUUCCUCAGCCUUUGAUUCAUUGCCAACAAUUGAUACUUCCUUUUCUUUUGUCAAUGACAAUAACCUCAGGGGUGAGACAGAGUCAAACAGAUCCCAGGUUCAAGUUCCAUUUUAUUCAGUUUUUUUUUAGUUUUAUUUUGAAUUUUCUCCGACGAUAUGUUGAAUGGUUUAUUUAUUGUUUAGUUAUUAAUUAAUUUAUUAUUUCAGAUUUAUUUGAUUAUGUUUGAAAUAUUUACUUUUACAUAUAAUGACAUUUAUGGUUAUGUGCGAUGCAUAAUGAAUACCCCCUAACUUUUAGUUAUAAUUUCAAGUAGGUUCAUUAGUUUUUAAAAUGAAUACUCUGUCCCAAAAAAUAUCUUUCGCUAGACAUAUACGUCCAGUCGUUAGUCAACUAUUAGUAUUUUCGUUUAUUUGAUGACGUAGCAAUAUUGAAAGACAAUUUUAUCUUUUAUUAAUUUUAAAAAUUACUAUUAUAUAUAUAUAUAUAUAUUUAACAAAAGGAGCACUGAUCAGUGCUCCUUUCUCUGGGGUGCUCCCCUCCCUUGGGGAGCACUUGAUCGGUACUCCCAUCCUUGGGAAGCACCUGUAGUGGGGUGGUCGGUUAGCCACAUUAUUUGAGAGAAAAAAAUGAGAGAAAGAAGAAAAGGUAUUUUAGUUAUUUUAUUAUUUCUGUUAACGAUGUUUAUAUUUUUGAAACGGAGUGUUCACUUCGAGAGCAAAUGGACUUGUUUGGAAUUAUGAUCAAAAGUUAAGGAGGUGAGCGUAUAUUACCCUUAUUUUUAAUAUGUAUUUAAAUAAUAAAUUUGUAUAUAUAAAUAUAAAAGUUUCCAAAACAUAAACUCUAAAAUACAAAUAAUUGAAUUUUUUUCAAUUUAGAAGUAAUUUAAUAUUAUAAGAAUUAAAAAAUUUUAUCAACUACAUUGCAACUGCAUAUAAACAAUGGUUAAAAUACUUGGGAAGUCCUUGAAUUAAGGUAUUUUUUUCAAUUUAGUCCCUCUACUCAAAAUUGUAACAUUUUAGUCUUUUAAUUUUGAAAAUUGCUUCAAUUUAGUCCCUCUAACAUUUGUUGUUUCAAUUUAUCGUUACGAUACUGACGUCAGUGCUGACAUAACACUAACAUAGCACCUAAUGCUUACAUGGUAGUGCCAUGUCAGCGUGUUAGGGUGAUGUGGCACUACCACAUCAUCAAAAAUGAUGUGGCAUUGCCACAUCACACUUUGACUUGACAUGUUAACGUGGCGUCAACAUUUUGGUCCUCAAGAUGCCACAUGGCACAACAAAAGGUUACCAUGUGGCAUAUUAAGAGGUUGACACGUGGCAUUAUUAUUAUUCAAAACAAAACAUGCUCUUGUUGUGACUCGAACUCAUGACCUUUAUCAAGUAUGCUAAAGCCUUUACCACUAUACCCAAAAUUCUACUUGCUUGUUUCUUAUUUCUUCUUUUCUUUUCUUUUUUUGCUUUCUUAUUUUUUCUUUUUUUUUUUCUUAAAACUACAUCGUUUUGGAGUCUUCUUUUUUAGAGAAGAAGGCUUCAAAGGGUUUUUGAAAGUGUAAAAAUACUUCAAAACGAUGUAGUUUUGAGGAAAGAAAGAAAAAAAAAAGAAAGAAAAGAAGAAAUAAAAAACAAGCAAAUAAUAAUUACAAGUUAAGGUUUGGGUAUGGUGGUAAAGGCUUUAACAUACUUACUAGAGGUUUUGAGUUUGAACUAUAGUAAAAACAUGCUUGUUUUGAAUAAUAAUAGUGCCACGUGUCAAUAUCAUGAUGUGCCAUGUGGCACCUUGGGACCAGAUGCUGAUGUGGUAGUGCCACGUCAGCAUUUGAACUUAAAAGAGUUACGUAGCAGUGCCACUUCACCCUGACGUGCUAACGUGGCAUUGCUACGUCAACAUUAGGAGCUACGUCAACGCCACGUCAGCGUUGACGUCAGCAUCGUAACGAUAAAUUUAAACGAAAAUUGUUAGAGAAAUUAAAUUGAAGCAAUUCUUAAAAUUAAAAGACUAAAAUGUUACGAUUUUAAGUAAAUAGACUAAAUUGAAGAAAAUACCCUAGUACAAAGACUUCCUAAGCAUUUUGACUAAAUAAUAACACUCUUGUCAAAAGUGGUGAUAAAUUUAUUAUAUUUAUUAUAUGAAAGAAAUAUAAUAAAAUAAUUUAAAAAAAUUAUUACAAAAAAGAAAAAGAAAACAUAAAAGGUUAUUAUAAAAUAAAUGGAAAAAAGCGUAAUAAGGUAAGAAAGUCAAAAAGUGUGGCUAUUGAAUAAACCAAUUGAAAAGGAAAAAGGCCUAGUGCGGUUUAUCCACUAAACCCUUGGUUUCAAGGACCAUGAAUCCAUGACUUGUCUAGCUCGAUAGGAAUAUCGGACCAACAACAGACAUCAUUGAACCAGCGAUAAUUGGGAGUUUUCGAAUGCACUACACGUCACCAAUGUUGGACAGUAAUUUACUAGGGUUAGAAUUCUUGUGCAAUGUUGUCAACAAAAGUUGUGGCUAAGUUAGUCUAGAAUUUUUGGCUAGUUGUGUUCUAUUAGGCAUAGAACAUUUACCUUAUUUAUACUUUCUUUCAUUGUUAUUUACUUUACUUACACUUCAAGUAGGAUUAGAAUUCUCUUAAGUUUAGAAAAAGUUAUCACUAUAAAUAGUCCAUUUUUAUUUCAUUGUAAGGCAUCAAGUUACCAACCAAGCUAAUUAGAAAGUUAUCAAACAAUUUGCCUAAGUCUUAGCUAUUUUGUUUUCUUUGAAGAAUGAUAUGCUUACUAUUUCUCCCAAUUUCUUUCUUCAAUCGUAAUAAUACAAAAGCGCGAGACAAUUGAAGAAAAGAAUUAGGAGAAACAAUAAGUAUAUUAUUCCUUAGACCUAAACAAAUUGCUUGAUAGCUUUCUAAUUAGCUUAGUUUGCAACUUGGUACCUUACAAUGAAACAUAAAUGGGCUAUAUAUAGAGAUAACCCUUCCUAAACCUAAGAGAAUUCUAAUUCUACUUGAAAUGUAAGUAAAGGAAAAAACACAGAAAGAAAGCAUUGUAGACACCAUUUUGUGUUCGACCUUAUCUUUAUUUCGUUUAUCUCACUAUUAAGUUAUUAUUGGGUUCAAUUUUCUUUUGGGCUUUUUAUUGGGUUAAAGCUAAAAGAAGCCUUACUUUCUUUUAAAUGGGCCUCUUAGUUCGUCAAGCUAAAGGCCCCCAAUUCCAUUCAAAAAUCCAAAAAAAAAAUAACAAUAAAUAAUAAAAAAAGAAAAAAGGAAAAAGUGAAGAAAAUUUUAACCUUGCGGCCAUGCUUGGCAUGGUAGCCUAGCCAACUUAUCAUGGGCCGUAAAACCAUGACAUGCACAACCUACAAGACUAGUAGGGACAGCAGCACAAAUAAAUGUCUCACACCUCCCAAGAUCAGAAGUCGACCUUGGGCCAACAUCGAUUGGAGCCCCACCGACAAUCAAUGGACCAUAGACAUACCAAGCCACCCAGUCUUGCAGGACUAUGGGCCCAACGGCACAGGAAGUUCGCAUGAAGAACCUAGGGUUGAAUAGAGUAUUAUAUAAGGGAAUUUGUGUAAGGUUCUUGUGUAAUUAUUUAUUUUAUUUGCACUAGGACUUUAGAUAGUCAUAGAAUAUUUAUUUACUUUAAUCUUUUGUCACCUAAUUUAGUUGUACUAGACUACUAGAAGUAGAAUUGUUUUAGGAUUAGGGAAAAUCUAUUAUAAAUGGGACCCUUAAGCAUAAGUUCUAGGGCAUCUGAGUCAAUUGCUCAAGUGGUAAUAGGAAUUCAAGCAUUCUAGCAUUCAUAGGUUAUUUGCUUAGAAUAUUAGAUAUUUGUUUUCUCUUGGGAAUAAUAUAAUUACUUUUCCUCAAAUUCUUUUCCUCAAGUUCAAUUAUAUUUGCUUCCGCAUUUUUGUGUAACAUUUUGAGUUACGUUUGCUUAGAUUUUCUAUCCCUAAGCCUUAAAGGCUGUGCGAAUCUUGGCUAAAGUUUAAGGGCUGUGAUAGUUAAUAUUAGAGUAAUGCUUCCUGAAGCUAGAUACAUUUGCGUAACUUUUCAAGAAAAAGUUGGUAUCAGAGUAAUGCUUCCCAAAGUUAGGUACUACAAUCAAAACCCUGUUGUGUUUUGACAUUCCUUAUCAUAGCAAUGCCUUUCAAAGCUAGGUAAGAAUGACAUUACCAUUGUUUUAGGGAAAUUUCAAGCCUAUCGCACAUCCAAAGGGUAGGUUAGGGCUAACAAACAUUAAGGAAUCUACAAUAUUGUGAAGCCCCAAAUUUUUGUUAAGUUAGGUUUUAAGGUAAGUUUCCCUAAACCUUGAAGGCCACAAGGAAAAGAGAAAUUUAUUUUGAAUCAAAGCCACAAAUUUUGGGAAAGAAAGAAGAAGAACAAAGACAGAGGAACCAUCAAUUGGUGACUAGACCACAUCACACUUAAAUACCUUGGUUCAAGGUAAUGUGAGCGCUACAAAUCCUGCACACAUACAUGCCGUGGAGCGUUAAGAGUUUGAGGACUUAUUGCAAGCAUUGGAUAAUUGCGUAUUUGAUAACUCUCUGAUAUAAAGUUAUUUGGAUUUAAUUUUGAUAGUAAUUUAACUUAGUUCUUGUAGUGAUGCAUAGAAAUUAGUAAGUUUUAUUUAAUUAUUUUAAAUUAACUAAUUUAGGUGAGUCAAUCUAAUCUUAGUUAAUUUUAUGCUUAAUUUGGUGUUAAUAUGAUUAAGAUAGGUUAUUAUUGAUUUAUUUGUACUUUUGUAGAUGUUUGAUGAAAGAAGAAUUUUAAUGGAAGUAGAAGAGCAAUUUCAAGGUGUAUACCUUUACUACAUAUGUUUUGAUAUUUUGGCCAUAACUCUCUCUACAGAGUUCUAAAUGAAGUGAUUCUUGAUCAUUGAAAAGUUAAGAGAAAAAGAUACAACUUUCAUGUUUACCACUUUACCCAGUUCAACCUAGAAAGUGGUAAAAAAUCUUAUCGAAUUUAGAGCACUGCAGGUGUCUUAGAACAAUUACGAUAUCUGCUAUUUAAAUGGUCAAGGUCGAGGCUUUGGAGGAAGUAGGCCGCAGCCCGCGUAAUCUGAUGAGGAAAUCCUGAUUGAAAUUGAUUUCUUUCUUCACCCAACUUGGCUUAACUUUAAAGCCCUAUAAAAACAACAUUUCGAAGUACUUUUAGUAGAGAAUGAAACACCAGAUUGAGAGUUGAAAAUCAAGUCGCAAAAUUAUCAACGAAAAGUCUUAUUGGUGCUAAAGAAGAAAUUGAAGAAUUCAAAAAGAUUUGGACAUCAAGAAUUCAACUCUUGGGUUCCUUUUAUUUUUUUGUUGUUAUUUUAUUUUCUUGGUUUUUGUUUUGAUGAUUAACUUUAAUUUGAUGAUGAUGUGUAAAUUGAUGGAAAACUAAUUCAUUUAUCUAAGAUUAUGACUGAACUCAAUAUGUAGUUUGAUUUGUUUAUCUCUCUUUUACUCAUGUUUAAUGAGUUUAAGUUGUUUAUUUUAUUUUGUUCUUAAUGCGUCUAAUUACUUGAUUACUAAUUGGAUUGAAUUGAAAACUUAAGUUAAAUCUUGACGAAGGAUAUUUAGGUAGAUCUUGAAUAGAAUAACGUAUAAUCAAAUGCACUUAGUUGAUUAGGUGAUUUGAUUUACAUAUAGGGUAGACAUAUACCUAUAAGUCAUACAUAGCCUAAAUUAGAGUACGAGUUUAAUGAAUCUUUCUUCAAACAUAUACCCAGUAAUCACAUUUCUAACAAUUACAUUUUCAACAAUAUACCAAACUUAAUCAUAGUUACAGACUUACCUUGCAGAGAACAGUCCCAUAUAUCUAUUCUUGCCCAUGCAAAUAGUUUCAUUCCACUGUCAAAGAAAGGGUAAAAGUUAAAUAGUAAAAGGACACGAUGUUAAAUACUAGAAGGUGAAUCCUCCGUCAUAACUCCCAACUCGGAAGGAACAGUCCGAUAAAAAUGCUGUUCAUAUUCAUCUAUCUAUCAUUCUAUCUAUGUUAAUAUAAUAGCAGUUGACAUAAAAAUGUGAUCCAACUUUGACAGCAUUAAGCAAUCAUCACAGUCGAAUUUUUGGAUGAUGAUGAAGCAAAAAUGAUUUUAGCUGUCAUUCCCCAGUCGCCAUGGCAGCUAUAGGUUGCUGGGGACUAGUCCUUAUCUCGCCGUUUUCUUGAGAAUUGAAUGUGAGUGAUGAUCACACGCUUUUGUAAUAACUGUAUGAAGGGGACACCUAGCUAGCUUAUGGCAUGUCAAAACAGUUACUUAUUCCAUGAGUCUAGGCUGUCCAUUCCUAAGCUAUCCCAUAAAAUUCGAACAAAAAGUAUUGUCUGAGCUUAGACAACAUGGAUAAGAGUAUAUAUUCGUAAUUUUACCAUACCCAAUUCUCAUGCAAAAAUAUUCGUGAUUGUUUAGCACACGUCACUUACUCUUAUUAGCUCUUGUUUAGAAAUUAAAUUUGUGCUCAACAGAUAUUUUUUUAGGUCAAGAAGAGUGGGAUGGCAUAUGAACCUGGCCCUUGGCUCACCUACUCCCUUUAGGGCUUGGGGUUAGUAACUCCCAGCUCCGACAAAUAUCGAGGGGUUUAUGCCAUUAAAAAAAAUUAAAUCAACUGCACCAAAAAAGGAACGAGAUGAUUGAAUCUUAAAAUGAUACCUGCCAAUCUAUCUUACCAAUUAUCUGAUCGUGAUUGCUUUGACAUUAAUGUUAGGUUGUCUUAUAUUAGAUAUGAAUCUACAUAAUUACAUACCCGAAAUUCUUAUACUAGGAUUUUAUGCUUAACUAUGACCAUGCCGUCAUUGCUCAGUGUAGGCAAGUGAAAUUGGAAAAGAAAGCCACUUAAGUUGGGUGACACAGGCAAGUCAAACCAUAUAGCUCAAUAAAGAAAUGGAAGCACAUGAACAGAAAGGGUAUUUCAGUCAUCAUAAGAGAGGAAACUUUGAAAGUAAACAGAAAUCCAUAGAACAUUAAAACUAGUUGCUGUUACAAAAGCAACGGUGGCACUGGUACAACUACAAGAGCGUCGAGUUUUGUUUUACCAAUGCUUUUUGUAUAAAUUCAUCUAACACCUAUUUUGAAUAUAUUCCGCAGACAACGGCUAUUAAUACUGGACAGUCCCACAACACCCUCUCCCAGCAGCAUGAGUGAAUUAAUAUAUAUAUAUAUAUAUAUAGAAAAAAAAAAAGAAAAAAAAAACUAUAAAACUGAUGCCUAAUAGCAAAGAAAAUGCGAGCAGUGGGGGUGGUGGUGAGAGAGUAAAAGGUCCAAAGUCCAAAGAUUCAGAAGGGAAGUAAGAUAUAUAUAAGAAGGUUCCAGGAAUCAAGGGCCAAGAUCAUGUGACCAGACCCAUAAGACAAGGAAGCACCCAAAGUUUAAAAGUUUUUCUCUCAAUUUCUCCAAUUCUCACACAGAACUCGUACUCAAAAGAGAGCUAGCUUAGCAAUUAGCUAACCAGUUUCUGCUACUGCUUUGAGAUUCAGGAAUUAACUCAAAACCCACUCCCAUUUACACUAUAUAGAGCAAGUUAGGAUAUCCCAUUUGGCCUUUUAUGGUCCUUUCUUUCAGAGUCUAAAACUCCAAAGCACUGCUGUUUUUCCAGUUGCGCGCCACCACAAUUGAACUCGGUGCAAUGACAAUUUUUACAGGAGUCAAAACAAGAGGGGGCAGAAGCAGAUGUAGUGUAGCUAGAGCUGCACUUUUCUUCUUGUGGAUCAUCUUUAUUUUUUCUCAGUUUGGUUUGCAUUUCGCUGUUCAUGAAGAAGCCGGCCAUCAGUAUUUCAGGUCUCCACCAAGGAAAGCCCGGUUUUUCGACACUGCUUCCUUUCAUGCUCCAUCAAGCUCUGUGGGGAAUGAAGGUGAUCCGGACACUCUAUAUGGAGAUGAUAAGAGGAUAGUUCAUACAGGUCCUAAUCCUCUUCACAACUAGGGAGCCGGUGGUAGGAUAUUUUUUGGUCUUUUUUUUUGCCCUUUGUACUGUGUAAGUUACAUGUUUUUAAUGCUAGAAUUCAAGAAAGAAAAUGACUGGAAGAACUUUUUUUCUGUUACCAGCUUUUGUUGCUCAUUUUUGUUUCCUUUUGAAUUAUUACUGUGAAUGAGAGCAUUGGCUUUAGCCUUUUCAGUGAUGUUUAAUGAGGUUAUAGGGGAGUGUAGCUUUAGCAAUGGUUAUGAGAAUGAGAAAAGGAAGACAGGGAAAGGCUAGUGUUAAUGCUCUUGUUUCUUUUGUUGUGUUUUCUUCGUCUGUACUGCUCUGUUAAUGCUGAAGAUUCAAUUGUCUUUUGAAUUAAAUUGGUGCAGUUACUUUCGGUCAUCUGCUUUGCCCUUGUUCUGCCAGCCCAUAGCGCAGGUUCCCCCCCUUCCGACUUCACUUGUUUCUCUUCCUUUCUGUCAUGGGAUUGGAGAGCUUCAAUUUGCAAAACCCUCCCCAAAGUUGAACUAACAUAUGCAUGCUCCGCGUAAUGGCUAAUUUUUGCUUUAAUUGGAUCAUUUAAUCUUAAGAGUGCAUAUGAAAACUGGGACAACCGAAACGCAUUUUUUUUCACUCUGCAAACCAAUAUUAAUUCCUCAAAAAGGCUAAGCUAAAAGUUGAAACAUGUUGGAGCUGAGGCAUUCUGACACUGAGAAAUACUACAAUUAGGGGUUUCAGCCUAGGGUGUAGGUUACAGUUUUGAUAAUCCAAACUGUAUCUUAGUUGAUAUAUGGUACUAAUUAAUAAAGUGUGCCAUGUGGGUUUAUUGACAUAUAUAUAAUCUUAAAUUCUGAAUUCUACUAAUUACAAAUCACCCUCGUCAUCUAACUUGUUAAGUAUAUAUAAUUUAUAUGAUUCUGAAUUAUUGAUCAUCAAUUAGCAUAUUCUCCAACAUGAUGCUGAGAGUGCCAGAGGAUCCGACAGCUACUAGGUUGGCCACGUAGCUUGUAAGAGAAACUCAGGUCAGGAGAGAAGUGGGACUCCCUCUAGGGCUUAAUUGUUUGCAGGGGGGAGUGAGACUGAGGGGCUCUUUUUGAUUGAUUAUUCCUAGAAGUCCCGGCCACCUGGCUUAUUGACUUAAAUGCGUCCAUUUUUCUCAAUGAGGAUGCCUGUCUCGCUGGGCCAACACGCUUUCUCAAGACUUAGGACACUGCACCCUUCCAACAUAUAUUAAUUGGUACAAAUUAUAAGGUGUAAUUUAAUAGUAAAUACAAAAAAAACUUUUGCAUUCUAGUCAUUUGAGCGCUCCUCAAUUUUCACGUCCUGGGGAUGGGGUGCACUAAUAGAAUGUCUUUAUUGCCCUUUGUGGUACUCCAAGUCAAUAUAUUAAAAGAAACUCUCUCUCUCUCUCUCUNUAACUACUCUCUCUCUCUCUCUCUCUCUCUCUCUCUCUCUGAACAAAAUAAUUAAAUACUAAAUAUUAGUACUUUGUUUCAAUAUGUCACCUGUGGACAAAGCAGAGUUCAAGCUCUCAAGGGGAGAGACCUAUAAAGAAGCCAUAGAAACUUCCUUGGAAUCAGUUUUGUCAACUAAACCCAUAAAAAAACAAAACAACCUUAUUAUAAGUGGCUGGAUAAAAGAGAGAUCUUUCUUAUAAUGUAUUAGGUUUUGAUAAGUUCAAAAGAUUCUGUGGGAGUAUGCGAAGAAGCAGAUAUGGAGGCAAGCUACUAGUUUCUGCAACGAAAAAGUAGUAUUCCCCAUGAAAUGAAUGUUUGCUUGGGGGCCAUUAUAGAGGGCAUUUAAAUGAGUUAAAGAGGGCUUGAUGAGAGUGCAACUACCUCAUCUUCUCUCUCUUGGUCAACUUCCAUAAAACCCCUUGUUUAUUGCUACCACCCACCCCCCUAGUUCUUCUUGCUAGCUUGCCUUGGUUUUUCCCAUUUCCUAAAAUUCUGGUACCCAAUUAUCUUAUUUGCAUUGCUAUCACCGUUUUUAAUUUUUAUCACCAAUAUAGAAAACCAUGGCUAAUGAAAGGAGGUCCCACAAAAGUUGCACACUUAGCUGGAUGGCUAAAAAAUUUAUCACAAUAUCAACCACCCAAACACCUUGAAUUAAUGUUAAUCAAUGUAGGUCGCAUUCAUGCUGCUCCUUGAUGUUUGCAUGCAGUGGUGGUUGAUUAAUCUUUUUUUUGUCAUGAUUCUUUUCAAAGGGAUAUUUUUAACUCAGCUUUUUCAUGAAAGAUCUAAGUUAUUGACGAGAAUGUUCCCUUUCUGUUGCCAAGUAUUAUACUUUGUCAUCAAAGGUUCGGUAGACAAUGAUCGAUUUGAUGUGGCUGUUUACCAUGUAGCUUCACUCAUCUCCAAACCAACCUGCAGCUUCGCUUAAACUUUUUUUUUUUUAAAAAAAGAUUGCUUUAAUUAUUAGCUUGCUGAAAAGGUGUUAUAAAUUCUCGACAAGUAGACUUGCGAAUCCGAGGAGCUAGCUAAUUUCCAUUUCUUAACUAGAAUUCACAAGAGAUAUAUAAGUUAUUGUAAAUUUAUUAUUAAGGGUUCCUUGUAAGUAUUUAGAGAGUAACAUUUAAUGGGCGUAUGAAUUUCCUGUUCAAAAGCUGAGUUUGAACUUUAAAUCCUCUCUUUUCUAAAUAAAUAAAAAAAAAACGAUUUAAGACUACUUGAAGUUGAAUGUGUCCUAACCCCAUGGAAACCGAGCUGGGCUGUAGGCCCUCAUAGAUCUGCUUUUUCUUAGCUCAAAUAUAAAUAUGUCAAGCGGCAGCUCUGUAUAUUGACCAAUGCACUAUCAAACAAAACAAAUAUUACAGAACAAAAACAUUACUGUAAAGUCCAUGGGGACUAUUUUAAAAUCCGAGGCAUCGGAAUUCAGCUGGUUGACCAAGAACUCUGUAUUUUAUUCAAUGUGUCUCACAGCUUUUUAACGUCAGAAAACAAGCUGGUUUUGCACUUUCGACUGAAGAACCAUAAACAGAUGCACUGGAAGACUUCACAAUGAGAACCAAAACUGGCACAUAUAUGCAUUUUCUUGAAAAAACUUCCUUUGACAGAGUAAGCUUGAAAAAACAAAAACCAAGAAUAUUGAACUGUUGUUAACGGCGAUACAAAAUGGAAACUGGAAAGCGUGUUAAUUUAGUACUCAGUGACAGGACAGAUUUAUAUACCUGUGUGCGUCUCAGAACUUGCUAAGAGUUGUUAAAACUGGAAAGUAGGCAGCUGUUAGGAUCUUCAUGUGUAGUGACUAAACGAUGUAUUUAUAUUUUAUAACCAGAAGUGGUGGCCCUAUUCUCUCAAUAUGUGAAGGUCUUUGGUUUAUUAACUACUCAUAGCUUUUCUCAUUAAACCUUUCAUGGCAACAUUCAGGUUUCCCUGAUAAACCCAAUAUUCAUGCAUGUUUAGAAAAACUAACGCACAAAAAAAUAAGUACUAUAUAGUAAAAUAAUAAGGAUUCCAUGUUUGUAACAGAUUGACAUGCUAGAACAUGUACAUGCUAAUUCCGAUGGGUAAAUCAGUACAGUAAAUUUGAAUCAUUACUAAUUGCAAAUGCAGUAGGUGCUUCCCGCGAUACACUUCUUCCCAUGGCCAUGGAUAAAUAGUACUACUUUGAUAACGCAACUAGGAAUUCGGGAUACUAGUCUAAAGUCAAAACGUGAUAGGGGCUUGUGCAUUCGUAAAAAUCAGUUACUUUGACACCUCGUUGUACCAGCAUAUGCUUCAGAAUUAGCCCUUUAUUGCCCUGCCAGAACAGCUUAGAGAGCCAACUACUCGACUGACAUGCCAGUAUGAUUUCCUCUCCGUGACAGUUUUCCCUCCUGGUGACCGCUAAAAGAAUAAACAGAAACACAAAUUAAGGCAUUGCACAUAAACGGAAAACAUUAUUAAUUCAUUGAUCUGAUUAUUAUAAGCCUCUGCUAUCUGCCAUCUGCCUACUUAUUGCUUGAAGCCUUGAACUCAAAUCCAUAUCCAUGGUGAAGAACCCAAUUUAAUUUGGUCCAACAGUUCUCAGCCCCUAAAAUGGGGAUUAUACAGUCAAGUUUGGGAGUUGGACUUAAGCAACUCCGGGGAAGUUUGAUAAAAAUAAUAAUAAAGAAAAGAGUAAAAAAACAUCCCUACCCGUGAUAAUGGUGUUCUAAUUUGAGAAAUCAAUGUCCUCAUGAAAUUCAAAUUUGGAUUCGUUUAUCUUGUGUCAGAAAGAUGACAGCCAAGACAAUAACUUCAGUGGGCCUAAUUAGCAAUUAUAUUCUCCUAUCGCUUGCAGUGUUUUAAUGUUGAACCAUGCAAUUUUGAGAUCCGAAGCAUGUGUACCAAACCACUCACAAUUGCAGUUAUAUACAAAAGUCCGGAAAGGGAGUAAUAACUAAGAAAAAUCCUCCUAGGUUUGGGCACGAUGCCAAUCUCUUUGAAACUGUAGAGAUGCUGUAAGAAAAUGGGAAUGUAAGCUGGGAAUAGGGGGAGUGGGGUUAAGUAAUUCCUGAGAAGAACAUGGCUGGCUUGGGACUUACGACAGACUUCCUGGUCAACAUUAUUUUCUUACUCCUACUAGAUAUAAUAAGGGUCCACUCCCAGAUAUGGUAAUGAUUUUUCACCUUUCUCCGGCCUGAUCCUUGAGAAUUUGACUUAAAUGGAGGUUUGAUCUAACAAGAGGACCACUUCUGAUACUGAUACUAAUUAAAUGACCUUUGUAUUUGGCUAUAAAUCAAUGUCACGGUAGUAAAAGAUAGAGAAGCUUUUAAUCCAGGGUAAAUUAUUUAUUAUUUUUUGGAUAUAAAUAUGUGUUGUUAUUGAGAUUUAUGUAUGUACAAAGAGAAAAAAAAACACCUAAAGAAUUGGCCUUCAGAAACCCUUAAUUAAAACACCUAAAGAAGUGUCAUGGUCUAACUAUAAAUUUCAAUAGUUAGUUAAUUUUUCAAUUCUUUUUAUUAGAGUUUUAUUCUUGAUUUUCUUAUUCGCAUUUAAUAAUUUGUGUCUAACUUAGUGAUUUUUCUUAAUAAGUGGUGUCAGAGUUGGGUGUUUUAGAACUUAAGGUCCAUGCUGAGUUGUAACUAUAAUACCUUACUAAGUCUGCAAUUAGAUCAUCAAUGACUACAGAUUCAAAUCGAUAUUUAUAUAAUUAUUGUCAAUAUUUAUUUAAUUUUACUUUUUAAAAAAAUGAUACUAGAGUUAUUUGAAACGUUAGAUAUCAAGAGUGAAGUUUAAAAUUGAGCAACAAAUCGUUUUAAUUAGUUUCCACUAAAGUAAUUAAAUACUGCAAUUGUCAUGCUAAUACGCCAAAGAUGAGAUUGCAUGAAGAGGAGAAAUAGUCUAGGGUGACAAAUCGGGAGCGGGAGUAAGUGCAAUUUAUUUAGCUCUUGCAUCUAAAGUUAAAUAUGACGUAUCAAAUGCCAAAUACAUAAAGUUAAAUAUGAAGUAUCCAAUGUCAAACAUAUGAAAAUAUUUAUGAAUGAUUAAGAUAGAAGAUGUUUAAAUUCGAAAUCAAUGAAAAACAGGUUGUAUAUGAGAAUGAAUUACAAUAUUAUAAGUGAAGAAAUGAGAAUGAAAUUCCCUAAUGUAUACAUAAAAUGUCGCAUUUACUCCAACAAAAAAAAAAAAACACUUACAGUUUAAUUCAUAAUAUCGUGAUAUAUAAUUUAUUAAAAUAAUUUUUUAUUGAAAUCGAGGUUUUAUUCUAGAUUACUAAAAAAAUUAAUCUAGAUGGCAAAAAUCUCACAUGGUAAAUUAUUAAAUAAGUUUCAAUGUAUGGGAUCUGGACCCAAGAAAGGAAUAACAUUUUUUUAAUUAUUAACAAGGAAAUCUAUCUCAAAAAAAAAAAAAAAAAACAAGGAAAUCACAAUUCACAAUAUAUACAUAUGGUUUUUUCAGUUUUUUCUAAUUCCCUCUUCUAGCAUUAAUGAGCCGCAUUUUUGCUGUCAGCAAUGGUGGCUGGACUUCCAUCGACCAAGUUAGGUCUAGCCCCAAGAAGGUUGAAUUUUGAGCUUGGAAGGCCGAAUCGGAUCUGGCCCUUAAGAGGUUAGAUCUUGUAGCAGUUUGGUUGGAAAGGCUUAAAAGUUCGACCUGUUAAGGCCAGUGUUGCUCCGCUAUUAUAGGGUAUCAAUAAUGUAUAAGCAUGUGAUAGUCAUGUGCUUUGAGUUAGUUAAAUCAAAGUCAACUAUUUUCCAUUUAUGUUAAUUAAAUUAAGAUUAGUAACUAAUCAUUCUUGUAAUCAAGCUUUUGGUUUUUUCUUUCUUUUAAAUGUAUAUAUACAAACUUGUAAUAAUUCUUGACUAAAUAAUACAACCAAUUCAUUUUAUUUCCAUUUCUUAAUUGCUUACAUGGUAUUAGAGCAAUUUGAUUACGGUUCUUGUUAUGAUUUCCUCAAUUUUUUCUAGCCUUAUUCUUCUUUUGAGAUUGAAAUCACAAUUCAAUCAAUUCUUCUUCAUUAAUGGAAAGCCUAUCAUUGGCAAGAGAGCAGGAAAGUGGGAGGUGGGGACAAGAAUGACCCAUGGGUGGUGGUAAAAUGGAGGAAAUCCUUAUUCACUAUUUUCAUUGGUAAUUUGGAUAAAGAGGUCGAAUGGAGGCCAUUGAAGAACGCUUUUGAUGAAUUUAAGGUGGUCAUGGACGUGUUUAUCCUAAGACAAAAAGGCCGAAAUGACUCCUGCUAUGCUUUCGUAAGAUAUAAAGAAGCAAAGGAAAUGACAAGAACAAUAUGGAUGGGGCAUGGGAGGAGAUUAAAUGGGAGACGAAUUAGGGUGAUGGAAGCUGACAAGUAGAGGACUACAUAUGUUAACAGGAUGGGUUUUAAGGGUGAAAGAAAGAUGAAUGAGCUCAGGGAAGGAGGAGGGAAAACGUAUAAAGAAUCAUUAAUGGUCGACAAAAAAACUGUUAGAGAGGAAAAAAAGAAGAGUACAGAAAGUCUUAAAAAUAGCAGGAAUAUCAUUGAUGGUGUAAAGUAAGAGGGUAAACAAAGUUACCACAUAGGCAAUCAGAGAGGUGGGCAAACAAUUGUUAUUGUUGAGGGAGAGUUGGAAUGGUUAGGUAGAAGUGCAGUGGACUAUUUAAGGAGCUCCAUUAUUUGUGAGUCUAUUGAAUGCUCUCUUUUCAGGGAAAAAAAUCAUAGCACAAGUCCAAUCAAUAGGGGGCUUAUACGUUAUUGUAACCUUUGGUGAAAAAGAAGAAAUGAAAAUGUUGCUUGAUGACUAUAUGGACUUGUUUGAGCCAUGGUUUCAAAGCUUAACUCCUUAUUGCGUUGGUAAGGAAGACCGAAGGUACCUAGUGUGGGUCAAAUUGAAGGAAGUUCCACUCUAUAUUUGACAUGAAGAUGGGUUUAAAGCUAUAGCCGGUACUUGGGGAAAAUAUAUCAAAUUGGACAAGGAUACGAUGGAUAAAUGGACGUUCGAUCAAGCAAUGAUCCUGUUUGAAGUGGAAUCUUUGAAAAAUAUAAUGGCCUUCACAUGUUUAGUGGUGAAUGGGAAAGAUUACUUCGUAAGGGCUUCUAUAGUGGACAUUGUCAGAAGUGAGGCUAGAAUCAGGAUUGACCAUGCAGGAGAAGACACAUCGGAGGAGGAUCUAAGUGAGCAGUGGCUAGAAGAUGGUGAGGUACAAAGGUGGGAACAAGGCUUUAAUCCGAUGGAGGGUGAGGACGUUUCAAACAAGAAUGAAGGGGCAUGGCUGGGUGUUUAGAACGUAGAUGAAUCCAAUGACGGGAUGAACCAAGAGGGGGAAAUGCUAAAAGGUGAAAAACCAGGGGAUAAAGAAAUUGCUCAAAGGUCCGAUGCAAAUGAUGGUAGGGAAGGAAAUUUAAAUUUCAAAUUGAUAAGAAAAGAAAACAGAGGCAAGGCAAGCGUUGAAAAGAAAGAGACAAAGCAUUGUUAUGAAAGCAAAAACAACUGUAAUGAAAGGCUCAAAGAAGUUAGAGUGGGCAGGCAAGAGGGGAGUAAGGUUAGAAUAUGAGAGUGUGGGCCCAAUAAUAAAGGGCUAAUUGUUGAGUUUCAAAUUUUAAAGAAAACAGAAAGGCUUAAAGAUGAAAACCAAGGGGAAAGUGAAAAGAGAGUAUUUAGCCCAAUCCAGAAGAACACAAAGAAUGACAAAAAGAGAAAAGUUGAGUCCAAAUAGAUAAAAGGGUUAGAGGUGAAACCUAAAGAGAAACAUGAAGCCCAUCUUACAAAAGGGGUAAAGGUUGAGUUGGAUGGGAAGAAAAGGGUCAUAAAAACUUCUUCAGAAGAUGGUGUAGAAAAUGAGAGAAAAAUAGAGGGGAAAAAAAGAGAACCAGUAUUUAGGAAGGCGAAGCGUGUAGAAGAAAAGAUUAGUCACAAGGAGCGAGAUUCAAAUAAAAACAAUAAGGUAGUGAGUACUUCGUUUCAUAGAGGUGCUCAAACAAUAGAAUCGAGGAUAAAAUCCAAAAAAAUGGGUCGAUUGAAAGGCAGAAGACUCCAAGCAAAGGUGUACGAGGAAGAGAGUAAUGCUGUGGAAGAAAUAGGUAGAUUAAAGGAUUCUGAACAGGUAAUUUCAGAGCAAUGCAGAGGAUUCAGGAGAAAAAGAAAUGACGAAGGGGAUAGUGGGAAAAUUGGCAUGGUUAUCAAGUUAAUGAAGAGGUUGAGUUAAAGAGCGAACGAGUCUGAUAGGGAGAAUGGAUGAGUUACAAGACAGACGAGGAAGAUUCGAAGAAGACUAAGACUGAGAGAUAUCUUUAUAAGGUAAAAACACAAACAAAUGGUGGUAGAGUGGGGGGAGACAACUUGGAGAGGGAAAUGGGACCAUUGUCGAGACAUAAAAAGUCAAUAAGGAAAGAAAUUUGAGAGAGGCUAGAAAAAAAAUAGUUAUUUUAGGAAGAAGAAGGGGAACCUAGAACAGCGAACAAUGAUGGAGGAUAGAGUAAGGGAAUUUUAGAGAAAGAAGCAGAGCAAACAUGGAAAGUUAACAACAAAAUCUUGAUGGAGUUCGUAAAGAGAAGAAAAGAAGUGAUUGACAUUUUCAUUGAAAUGGGAAAGGAAGACUGCAUGUUGAAGAUGAACUGAUCAGGUUUGUCUUCCCUUUAUUUACAGUGAGGUUGGAUUUUAGAUAUGAUAAUUAUAACAUGGAAUGUAAAGGGAUUGGGGAAGAAUGAGAAAAAAAGGGCAAUGAGAAAAGUGGUGCAGAGGCACAAGCCAUACAUGAUUUUUAUUCAGGAAAGUAAGCUGCAAGAAGUGGAUAAAAAAGUCUUUGAAAGGUUAUGGGGGGAUGAAAAGAUGGUGGGGAAGGCAGUGCCAUCAGUAGGUAGGUUUGGAGGCAUUAUCAACAUUUGGAGGGAGGAUUUAUUUGAAAUCACUGAGUAUGUUGAGAGAAGAUAUUUUAUGAUGCUUGUUGGGAAAGUUAAAAAAUUUGAUAAAGUGUGUGGGUUUGUGAACGUUUACGCCCCCAAUGAAGAGAUUAAAAAGAGGAAUUUCUAGAAAAAAUUGAGGGAGAAGAUUAGGGAAAGAGAAACGGUGUGGUGUUUAGGAGGAGAUUACAACAUGAUUAAGGAAAAGGAUGAAAGAAUCGAUAGGGGAAGUGUGGAUAGAUUAGCUGUUGCGUUUGCGAAUUUUAUUAAUGGCAUGGCCUUGGUGGAUUUACCUUUGAGGGGAGAUAAGUACACCUAGUGUGGAUACAGGGAAGGAUGGGCUUUUGGCCGUUUGGACAGGUUUUUAUUUGAUAUUGAAUGGCUUCAAAUGGAGCAAGAUUUGGUACAAGAAUGCUUACCAAAUUCCUUAUCGAACCAUAAUCCAGUGAUUGUAGAGAAAGGAUAAUGGAAUGGGGGCCUAAACCUUUCAAGUUGUUUAAUGUCUAGCUUGAAGAAAAGAGCUUUCAGGUCCUCGUGGCAACUUAUUAGAAAAAAGAGGGAGAGGCUGAAAAGAGCAGGGGAGGGGUUUGGAGGAAAAUGAGAGAUAUAAAGGCUGUAAUUAAAGGAUGGAAAAAUAAAAAACUAGGAAGUACCCAACAUAAAAUUCAAAUACUGGAGGAUGAAAUCAAAUUUAAGUGUAUGGAGAUCUAAGAAAGAGGGGAAGGGGAGGGGUUGAGAGAUGAGCUAAUUACAAAAAAAAAAGAGCUAUGGGCUUUAUACCGAAAAGAAGAAAGAGAAUGGAUGUAAAAAUUAAGAACUUAGUAGGUGGACGAAGUAGACCAAAACACAAGAUACUUCCAUGCAAUGGCUUCAUCAAGAACGAGAGUAAACAGAAUGGACAAAAUAAAAAGGGUGGAUGGAAUAAAGGAAACACUAGAAGCAAUCAAAGGUGAAGUGGAAAGACAUUUCCAAAAGCUGUAUAGUGAAAAAGAAGUGUUGGAGUUGAUAAAUCUUAACUGCAACUUUGAGAAACUGAAAUUUGAAUCAACUAGCUUCCUUGAGAGGCCGUUUGAGGAAGAAGAGGUGUGGGGUACUUUCCAAAGAUGCGAUGGGAAUAAAGCCCGAGAUCGGAUAGGUAUAACUUAAAUUUCUUCAAGAGUCAAUGAGAAGUGGUGAAAGAUGACAUUAUGGACUUCAUGAAUAAAUUCUACCAAAAUGGACAGUUAGGAUACGAGGUUAAUUUAUCUUUCGUUACUCUAAUUCUGAAGGUUCAAAAUCCAAACACUUUGAGUGAGUAUAGGUUGAUUAGUUUGGUGGGCAGCUUAUAUAAAAUUGUGGCAAAGACAUUAACAAAUCGUCUAAGAAUGGUCAUUAAUGAAGUUAUCAGGAAAAACCAAUUCGCCUUCAUAGAAGGAAGGCAAUUAAUGGACUACUAUUUUAUUGCAAAUAAAAUAGUGAAUUGGUUGAGAAAAGGAGCAGAAGGUGAGGUGAUCUUAAAAGUUGGUUUCGAGAAAGCAUAUUAUAGUGUUAGUUAAAGAUUCUUGGAUCUUGUCAUGAGUAAGAUGGGAUUUGGGGAAAGAUGGAAUAGUUGGAUUAGAGAAUGUAUCACCUUAGCAAAGAUUUCAGUAUUAGGAAUGGAGUUUCGACUACGAAAUUUGAUAUGAGGAGGGUACUUAGGCAAGGUUGCCCUAUAUCCCUUUUUUUUUUUCAAUAUGGUAACGGAAGCCUUUAGUUGCUUAAUAAGAAAGGCAGAAGUAACGAGAAUAUGUUAAGGGGUUAAAAUAGGAAGUAAUGGGUUGACAGUCUCACACUUGCAGUAUGUAGAUGAUAUGAUUUGUUUUGGGACCAAGUUUGGAGAUUUUUCGGUUGAUGAAAAGACUGCUAAGGUGUUUUCAAGGUGUAUUAGGGUUGAAAAUUAAUUUUUAUAAAAGUCAACUAAUUAGAGUAGAGGUUAGCCAGAUAGAGACUGAAGGAUGGGCUAAUUGUAUUUCAUGCUAGGUUGGUAAACUACCCUCCACUUAUUUGGGAGUGCUAUUGGGGGGUAAUUAUAACUCCACUAAACUUUGGAAUUUAGUCAUUGAGAGAGUUAGGACUAAAUUAGCUGGAUGGAAAGUCAAAAUUCUAUCUUUCAAGGGUAGAAUUACUUUAUUGAAAUCAGUUUUGAGCAACUUACCAAACUUCUACAUGUCCCUUUUUUUCAGAUUCCAAGUAUUGUGAAAAACAAGCUUGAAAAAUUGCAACGAGGGUUCUUAUGGGGUUGUACUGAACAGAAAAAAAGGUUCACUAUAUCAAAUGGGAAAAAGCUUGUAAUUAUAGAGAGUGUGAAGGUAUUGGGAUGACGGACAUGGAAGUCAAGAACAGAGCCUUACUCAACAAGUGGAUAUGGAGGUAUGAGUGAGAAAACGGGAGCUUAUGGAUGGAGGUCAUUGCUGAAAAAACCAAAAGUGAUCCUACAAACCUCUUGCCAAACCAGAGCAAAAAUAGAAGAGUGUCUACCAUAUGGAAAAGAAUUAUUAAUCCCUUAUCCCUGGCUUACAAAUUUUUCUUGCAAGUGUCCUCUAACUUUGGUUUUAUAGUGGGGAAUGGUGAAAACAUAAAAUUUUGGAGUGAUGAGUGGAUGGAGGGGGGAAAACUAGCUCAAAGGUUCCCAAGAAUUUUCAGUUUGGCCAUUAACAAGAAAGGAAAGAUUGCGAACUUUGGGAUAUGGGAGCAAAAAAACUGGGUGUGAAAAGUUGAUCGUAGGAGACAGCUAUUCAAUUGGGAGAUAAAGCAAUGGCUGUUUAUGGAAAACCUGCUCAAGGACAUUCAAUUGAGUAAAGUGAUGAAAAAUGAAGUGACUUGGAAGAGAGAGACUAAUGGUGUCUACACCACAAAGUCCUUUUGCAAAUAUACUCUUGCUCCUAGUGAAAAGAUUGAUAAGAUUUGGGAUUAUGUAGGGCAGGUUUGGCUCUUUUCAGAGUUGAGUGUUUUGUUUUUCAAUUAAUUCAUGGGAAACUAGCUGUUAAAGAUGAGUUAGCUAAAAAGGGAGUGGUACAAGAAAACUCCCUGAAGUGCAUACUGUGUAAUAGGGUUAAGGAGACUAGUGAUCAUUUGUUUACUGAGUGUAAAGAAACUUGGAAAGCAUGGAAUAAAUGGUUUAAAGAAUGUGGAUAUGUGUGGGUUUCACCAAAUACAACCAAAUCCUUUUUUGAAAUAUGGAAUGAAAGUGACCAAGGAUCAGUUGACAUGAGGAUUUGGAGGAUGGCAUAUUUCACAGUAGUCUGGACAAUUUGGAAAGAAAGAAACGAGGUGACCUUUAAAGGAAAAGAAUGGAGUGUCACAAAUGUGUGGAAUUGGUGAAGUUCAUGUUGGCGACAUGGGUAAAUGUGAGACGGCCAAGGGAAUAUUUUUCUGUGCUCGAUUCUUACAGAAAACCCCUUGCACACAGUAGUAGGAAAAAAUAAAAGAGUGUAUGAAGAGGUGUUAAAUGGGAAGAACCAAAAGGAGGUGAAUUAAAAUUUAAUGUGAAUGGGCAGCUAAAGGUUACCUCGGGCCAGCAGGUAUAAAAGGUUUUUUGAGAAAUGAGAAAGGGGAAGUCAAAGCAAUGUUCACUAAAUCCAUAGGCAAUGUUGACUUUAAUGUGGCUGAGGUCAUGGUGAUAAGGGAAGCCAUUGUUAUCUUCUUGGCUUCAAAGUGGAAAGAUGAAUACAAGUUGGUGAUAGAAAGUGACUUGAGUAACACGGUUAAAUGGAUGAAAGCACUGAAUGAAGCACCAUGGAGAAUGAAGAAACAAUUUUUACAGAUUGAGAGAUUUUUGGAGAAACUGGGCCCUUGAGAGAUAAGACAUAUCAAAAGAGAGGCUAAUCAGAAAGUAGAUAAUCUUGCAAAAGAAAAAGUCCAUAUGCAACCAGGAUUCCUACGAGUCUUUCAGUAAGGAUCCCCUUCUACAGUUAGCGUCCUCUUUCGAAUGUGCCACUAAAAGGUAUUUCUGAAUUUCAUGAGUCAAGAAGUUAUGUGUUGGGCAUUGAAUGUUGGACGAAGAGUUGAUUUCAGUUGAGAUUUAUGUUGAUGGUUCUUUGGAAAGGGUGAAUGUUGUUCAAAUUGUUGACUAAUAUUGUGUUGGUCUUGUGGUUUUGAGUUUCGUUUUGUUUUGUCCCCAAGGUGUGUGGGUUCAAGUUGAAAGAUUCAAGAUUUUUGUUGCUACAAUCAUAUGUAAAAAAAAGGUUCAAAGCGAUGUGAGGAGCUAUUGUUUUUUUGAACAGGAGUAUUGGGAGUGUAUACCGUUACAGAUUAAGAGCGUAACAACCAAUAAUCUUGUUGUUCGUCCUGGUUGCUAGCCACGGUUCUUGUAAAGGGGAAAACCAAAUUCCUAGCUUUUUAAUGAUAUUAUUCUUAUAAUUUUCAAAAAAAAAAAAUGAAAAACCUAUCAUAAAAAUCAAUCAUUUUAUCCUUAGAGAAUCCACAUUCCCAUUCUUCCUUCACCAUACAAAUCAUCAUGGAUUUGUAGUUGUAAAUAUAAAACUUGCCUCAAGUAUUUACACUUUCUAGAGCUAAUCCUUCUUAUUGGCUCUGUUGAUUUGAACCAAGAUUGGAUUUCUUGAUGGUACAAACCAAGAACCAAAGGCUUCAAAUGAUCUAGAUGUAGCAAGUUGAUUGUGGUUUAAAUGUUGGAAUUAAUCACAUUGCCAAUUGUAACCAUUGUCUUCUACAUGAACUCAAUUUCACAAAUCACUAUAUGCCUUAAGCAUGCCUUUAGGCAAUGGAAGUUUAAGUUCAUAACUUGUUUGCUUAAGUUUAGGUUUUAUCAGUUAUAAUCUGGCUAUUCAUUAUUCACCAAAAAUAUAGAGAAAUGUGGUUUCAUUGCAUUAAUAGUCUAUAUUGAUGAUAUAGUCAUUGCUAGUUCAUUUUCUCAAUUAGCAACUAAGAUGAGAAAGUAGUUGCAGACACAUAUUAAACUUAAAGACCUAAGGGCACUUAAGAAUUUCCUAGACUUAAAGAUUGCAAGAUCAAAUAAGGGCAUUAUUGUCUAUCAAAGAAAAUAUAUUUUGAACUUUUUGAGUGAGUAUAGUUUGUUGGGUGCUAAACCACCUUUUACCCCCAUAAAAUGCAAUAAAAAACUUUCAAAUGGUCACUGAUGAUAAGCAAUUGACAAAGGCCUACAAGUAUAAACAAUUGAUUGGUAAGUUACUCUACAUAACUUUCCCUAGACUAGACAUAACAUAUGCUAUGCAAACACUAUCAUCAUUCAUGCAAAGCUCAUAUGAAGCUUAGGUGGACGCUUCCACACAAGCUAGCUAAGAACUCGAUUAUAUUUGAGUAAACAAAAAUUAUAACUAUAGGUUAGCUUACGAACAGCCAUAGUAAAAUCAUAGGGUAACGAAUGCCAUAUAUGGAACUACUAGUUCCAACUAAAGGAAAAAUGUUAUAUUAAUAUUAAAAAGGGAGUACAAAAGGACCAAGAGUAUAAAUGCACCAUUUUCGGCUUAUAGGGGCAGCCUUAGAUGGUUAGCCACAAACAUACCUUAAUCAAUGUGGUAGUCCAACAAUUCGUCAAUUGCUCACCCCUUAUAAAGAGCUAACGAGCUAAUGAGCUUUUACACUUAUGUCACCACGAACAAUUACAAUGUGUGAAAUGGGGAUACUCCUUCCCUCAAUGGCCUUCUCCCUCAAGACUUAACAAGUUCUUAUAAGUAUGCUGCAAAUUAGCAUUACAUUGUUUAAAAUGGGGACAUUUCCCCUUAAGGCAACUUAAUUUCCUAGUUAGUUCUACGCCGUCAUGGCCUAUACAAAGGUUGGCUCAUGACACUAAGUCUUUAUCGUUUACAAGCUUUUUUUAGAGUGUUAAGAAAUCUUAAGUCAACGUUAGGACAUGGGGUUAUGUUUUUAGCUGCAUUUUCUUUGAAUUUAAAGGCCCAUGCAGAUAGUGUUUAGGUGGGGUGUUGUGCUACAAGGAGAUAAGUGGUAGGUUACGUUGUGUUUCUUGGAGAUUCAAUUAUUAGUUGGAGGUCUAAGAAUAGAAUGUUGUUUCUAGAAGCUCAAUAAAAGUUGAAGUAGAUCUAUGGCUAUAACUUGUUGUGAGGUAAUGUGGUUGAUAUUUUUGCAUCAAGACUUUGGUAUUAAACUUUUAGUAGUUGUGGAUCUUUACUGUGAUAACUAACUAGCUUUGUGCGUAUGCAAAAAUCCAACCUUUCAUGAAAGGACAAGCACAUUCAGAAUUCUGGUUGGGUUAUUCAUCCUAAGUAUGUUUCUACCAAUCUACAGAUAGCUGACUUGUUUACCUAAUCGUUGUUAUCAAGACAAUUUAGUUUGCUGUUAAGCAAGAUGAGCAUAUUGAAUAUACAUGCUCAUAUUGAGAGAGGGAGUAUAAAAAAUGUAUAAGCAUGUGAUAGUCAUAUCCUUUAGAGUUAAUUAGUCAAUUUGGUCAAAGUAAACUAUUUUCCAUUUCUGUUAAUUAAGGUAAGAUUAGCAAUACUCAUUCUUGUAUGGUUUCUUCUUUCUGUCAAAUGUAUAUAUACAAGCUUGUAAUUAUUCUUGAAAUAAUACAACCAAUUUAGUUUAUUUCCAUUCCUUAAUUGCUUACAUGGGGCUUGAUCAUUACAAUAUUUAUAGAUGGAUGCCGUUGACAAGCUCUUUCUUUAUUAAAAUUUUAACUUUUUUUACAUGAUACUUUGUGAAUUUUUUCUAUUUAAUAUUUUGUAAAUAUUUUUUUCUCAAUUAGUAUUUUAUAAAUAAUUUUCAUUCUCACAAGAGUUAAAUUGUUAAUUUUUUUAAUAAAAUUAAAAAUUAAUCUAUUUUUUCAUAAUUUAAAGAUAUUUUUAUAAUUUUAGUGAGCAUAUAAAGUUAGUAAUUUAACCUUUUAUGAGAAAGAAAAAUUCUUCACAAAAUGUUAAUCGAGAAAAAAAAUAUUUAUAAGGUGUUAAAUUAAAAAAUACAAAAAGAUUGUCUUUUCUUAAAUAAAAGAUUUAAGAGUCAAAUGGUAAUUAAAAAAAAAAUUCUUUUUUCAUAAUUAAGAAAAACUAACAUUUCUUUGUAUAUAAAUAAUUAUAAGCAUGGUACCAGACUCCCAUUAUUUUUAUCCAUUGUCCCAAUUUGAAAUUCCCCAUAGAUUAAUGGGGACAAAACCAAAACAUAUGAUACAUUACUGGUACUACUUUUUACAAGCAUGAUAAUGACAAGAACUUAUGUGGAUGGGAUGGAUGUAACAGCCACUGAAAUUUUCACGCAUGAGUAUUGUUCGUGAAUCAUGUGUCAGCCGGUAAGGGUAUAGUGAUAUUUAAAAAGAUUUCAUAAAAUACAGAAAUUAUAAUAAUAAUAAAUAAGUGAAAUUCUGUAAAUACAAGUCUGAAAACCAACAAUAUUGAUUGAAGUUAAGAAAACAUUUUUCACGUUUAUUAGAGGUGUAAUCAAGUUUGCGCUGAGCUGGUAAACAAUAUUGAUUAAUCUCACAAGUCACAAGGAUGUUAGAUUUUUUAGUAAAAUUAAUGUGCGGAAUUACAUUAUUUAUUUUUAUAUUUUAUUAAAAUUAGGUUAAGAUAAUUUGAGAGAUAAUAUUAUAGUUCAUAUUAUGAUCUAAUAAAAUGGGAUUUUAAUGUUAUUAGUAGGCUUAAAAGAGUAAGUCUAUGUAGGAAACCUUAAACCUUAUGAUGAGCAAGACUAGAGACUCACUAUAUAAAAGAAAGGUUAGGUCCGCUCUCUUGUUUACAACGAUAUAAAGAUCUUACCCAUUGGAGAGCUAUAAGAAAAAAGGAAGAUUCUAAUGCACUAACUAUCAACAGUUAAUUUGGUCAGUAUUAUUUUUGCUAUUAAACUAUGGAUCAAAAAUUAGGUAUGCUCUGUGUUCUAAAUUCCUACUAUAUUAAAUCUUGGAUUAGUAUAAAUUUAUUUCUACAUAAAGUUUAUCAAUUGGUAUCAAAGCCACCAUGGUUAGGAUUUAGAACCCUAAGAAAUUAUAUAUUUAUUACAUAAAUCAUGACUACAUGUUAAGGUCUUAUGUGGUACUUGAAAUUUAUGUAAUUAUAUCAUUAAAGUACAUAAUUAUCUUGGUAUAAUGGAAUAAGAUCUUGAGCAUGCUUAAUUGAUUAUAUUAUUAGCCAUAUGGUUGUUUGGUUGAAUUAUAUCUAUACAAUUGAAUGAAAUUGUAUUUGAUAAAUUGGGUUUUUCAAGGAUUGUGAGUUUUAACAAUUUUAAGCCAAGAACAACUUGAUUUUAUGUAAUUUUGUUAAGUUACCUUGGAUUUAUUGUUUCUUGAUGAGUUAAGAUUGUUAAUGAGGCCAUAAAGCUUGAUUAAACUUAUUGAUUUCAUCAAAUUAGGACUGUUAUGGGUCUUUGGAUUUGACAUAAAUUUAUUAUGUUAAGUUAAGAUCUUCAUGAGUUUAUAAAUUUAAUUUUGGGUUAUUAAUUUUAUCAAUCUAUUUAGGGUUUUUGUCUCUCUUAAUACAAGGAUUAAAUAUGUAUAUAGACAGUAACUUGAUUUGGCUUGUAUUUAGAGAAAUUAAAAGUUUAAAGUUUUGGAUUCAAAGUUGAAACUCAAUUCUUCAUUUGAUUAAAUCCCUUAAGUUUUUAUGUGUUUAAGUUCGAUUUUAUCUCUACAAAUCACUUGUUACAAGUUAUAGAGAUGGAUCAUAUAUUACAAAAAACCUGGCCUUUAUCGACAAAAAUUUUUCGUCAGUAAAAUCCAUUGGUAAUUACCCACUGAAUACCAAUGGAGUUAUUUCCUGAGUAUUACCGAUGGAACUCAAUCCAUCGGUAUUUUGUUGACAAUACCAUGGGACAAAAUUAAUGAAGGGUGCACCAAGAUUACCGACCAACAGAUUUCAUUGGUAAUUUCAUUAUUGACGGAAUUUACCAACCAAAGUUACUGAUGGAACAUCUAGUCGAAGAAGAUAUGAAAUUGCCGAUGGAAACUUUGUCGGUAAUGCCAUUGCACUUAGUUAAAAAGUUAGUGACAAAUUUGUCAAUAGAAAUUUCAUCAGUAGGUUUAUUUUUUUUGUUAGUAAUUUCAAAUUAUUUCUCGAUUGAGAUUCCUUUUCCCCCCUCCCCACCUCCUCUUUCUUUUUCACUCUGCACUUUCUCUUCCCUUCUCACCUCUAAGCCCUUCUUUCCCAUUUCUUGUUGACUGGCCAUCAUUCCCUCUUCUUGAAGAGUCCUCGACGCCAGCUACCUUCGACCCACCUCUAUUGACAGCAUCUCUCCUCCGAUCUCUUUCAAUAGCCUAGGCAAGCUUCCAUCAAUUGUUUAAAUUCUGUCAAAUUCCAAGAUCAUGCUAAUAAAUUUUAUAUAAUUUAUGAGAUCUAUGUUUGAUAGUUUUCAAUUUAUUUAUGCUUGAGUUGGAUUACAAUUUAUUUAUUUGUGUUGAGUUGAAACUUGCCUUGCUAUUAACUUCAAACUUUUUCUGUUAAAUCUUAAGCAACUGAAAUAAGGUCUGUGAAUUUCCAAUCCUAAUUAGUUGUCUCUCUUAUGAGCAUGCUAAUUGUAGUUUGAGGUUGUAGUUGAGUUAAUCUACAAGACAAGUUGAUUUUGUUUGUCCCUCAAAACAAAAAUUCAUUAAAAUUAAGGCAUGAACAAUAGUUCUACAAUUUUUGAACUUUUGUGCUCCAACUCCGAGUCACUUGCCUGUUGGCUCUCUGUCUUGAGGUCAUGGGUUACUCUUUUCUUGGGCUUGUUCAUUUAAUUGUUGAUUGAGUUGUCUUAUCAAAAGUAAUGGUUAGAAAGAAAUAGAUUGUAAAAGUUCAUUAGCAGCUUAAUUUCCUUUCUCUUUUCCUUUGUUGGGGUGUUGAUGUUUUAUUAUUAUAUAUUUAUCAUCAUUUUUGUACAUAUAUAUAUUUUUUGGAUAUAGGAAUCAUUUACAUGGACUAUUGCAAAUGCAACAGAGGCCCGCAACAUAUGGGAAAAGAUUUCCAAAGACCGUUUCAAGGAUUUAUUAGGAGAUGAACAUGACAAGGCCAAGAAGGAUGGGGACAACCUCGAAGGUGACAUCUUAUUAGGGAAGAGUAAGUCGCAACCCUAGAUCACUGUAGAGGUAUGGGACCAGUUAGUUGAUAACGUAUGGUCCUCACCUGAGUGGCAGGUAUGUGCAUGCAAGGCCUAACAAAUUUGCUUGAUAGAGAAAGAUGACAGCGUAGCAAAACAUAUAGGCAGUUCCUUACCUUUUGCACUACAACAUAAAAGAAUGGUAUGUGUUUUUAUUAUAAUACUACAAUGAUGUGUUUUUUGUUCUUAUUGUCUUUUCAUGAUUAUAGUUCGAGUCCGUACAGAGACAAGUGACAUUUUAUGAGCUUUUCAAGCACACUCACAAGUGGUAGAAAGGUAUCGGAGAAUUUAUAGAUAACAGGUCCAUGGUUAUCAGUGUAAGUGAUAAUAUAUGUGUGUAUAUUUGAUAUAUAUGUUGCUUACCAAUUAAAUACCAUAACAAUUUUAAUUACUUUUUUAUAGGAAUUAUACAUUGUGACUUUACCAUUGAAGUACAAUGAUGUGAUAACGUCAUAACUGAAGUUUGAUCCUGCAGCAUGGGAAGAGCCAAUUGGAAGGCCGAAGACUACUUGAAUCCACGUUUACAGAUUUAGCACCAGAGUCCCCGCUUUUACUAUUUUAAGUCCGGCAAUGAUGUCUGAGUUCGCUUAUGGUCCUAUGGCUGCAUGACCUCCUUUGCCUUCUAUGCUUGAGCUUGAGGGUUAUUAGUAAUUAGUUAUUAAUGUUGAUCACUUAAUGACAUCGACGGGCAAUACUAAUGACUUGUUGAAGGUCAUUGUUGAGGGGUUACCACCUUUAAAUGCCUUCGCAUCUUCCUUAUCAUAGUAGUCGGCUUUUUCGCCUCCACCAUAGCAGCAACAAGACGAGCAGUAACCCCUUCAAUGAUCAAGUGUUAUAUAUGCUUUUUUGUAUUUCGCACUUUUCAUGGAUGUUUACAUUGAUUUUUUUCAUUUGUAUUGAUUUUGGUUUCUAUUAGAUUUUCAUAUUUUUUUAAUGUCAUAUAUGUUUCCUUUUCAAUAACAGCAUCAUAUAAUAAUUAUAUUACAAACAAGAUAUGUAGAAAAUUGAAUUUUUAGAAAAAAAAUUGAUUUAAUAGUUAUUAUCGAUGAAAUUAUCGACUUAAUUCAUUCAUUACCAACGGAGUUCAUUAGUUAUCGACGGAAUUUAUCCAUUAUCGAUGGAUUUCAUGACAAAAAUACUGACGAAUUACUGGUGGAUUCUAAGGCAUUACCGAUGGAUAUGGCUUUUAAGCUUCAAAAUCGACUUCAUUAGUGUUCUGUUGGCAAUCUAUUGGUAAUGUCGUUGCUAAAAUACUGAUGGAAUUGCAGAUGGAUUUAUUCCAUUGUCGCUUACCAAUGAAAAAUACUGACAGAUUCGCAUUUGUUGACAUUAUUACCGACGAAAAUUGCUGACGAAUUUUUUCAAUUGUCGAUGAAUAUAUCAAUUGACGGAUCUAAACUUUGCCAAUAGAAACAUUGACAAAAUGUUUGAUCAGUACUUUUAUUGACAGAAUAUUCCAUUACUGACGAAUUUACCAUUACCAACGACAGUUAUGCAAAUGGAAUUUGCUAUUAGUAAUUUCAUCGGUAAUGUGACAUACCGACUUAAUUAAAAGUAUUACCAAUGGAAUAUUUUGUUGGUAAUACCCUGUUUUUUGUAGUGAUAAGUUUUGAUUGCAUAAAAAUCAGGUAUAUGGGAUUAAAUAUUGAGGAAAAAAAUCAAAAUGGGUUAUAAAUGGGUAUGAAACUCGAAAAUUUACUCUAAUUAUCUUGAUUUAGGAUGUUUUGAUGACUUCUAAUGCAUGUGUAUUAUUAAACAAAGUCUUAAUCAAGAUUUGGAAGGGUCAAUUUCAUCAAAAAUACUUGCAAAGUUGAGAAUCAGAGAAAACUUGGCGUAAGAAACCCCGUUGGGCUGGAUUUGACCCAACUAAUGGUAGAAAAAGGAGAAAAACCAGUUGGGUAGCAAAGCCUACUCUUAGAUGUGGCGUGUAAGGUGCUUGAGGCCCAUUAACCCCAUGUUUUUCAAAAAUUUUUUUUGGUAGUUCACCUCCACUCGCCCAACUCUGCAUGUUGUGUUGUAUUUAUGAAUUUUUAAUGCAUGUUUAAUAAUUAUUUAUUAUUAUGUGUAUUUAAUUAAUUAUUCUAGAUAUUUUUGGUGAGAUAUUUCUACAAUGCAUAUAAUAGAAAUAUGUUGACUCCUUAUGUUUUUGAUGAUAACAAAGCAUUUUGCAUUCUUUGAUGUCUAACUACAUCAUUUAUGUGUGCAAGAUUAAGAUUGAAUUCCUUAAUGAAAAUGUUGUUUGAAAGCAUGCUAAGAAGCUUACCAUGAUAUAAGAAUGACUAAUUAGUUAAAGGAACAAAGAACAAAGGACUAAGCGAUAAUAGAAAACUAUUAACUGGUUAGCAUGUGGCAUUAAUUAGUUAAGGCAAUUCAUGGCUAUACAUGAGUACAAAAUUGAAGCUUUUUAAUCAGUUAAGGGUAAGGAGUUAACUGGUUAAAGGUUAAAGUUGAAGUUCCAAAAAACGCCAAAAUUCAAAUUCUAAAUAUUGAUGACUAUCCAAGGCGACAAACCAAGAGAUUCAAAGUUGAAAACUUUUUUAAUCAGUUGGAGCUUCUUUCAAUCAGUUAAGGUAAAGAAAGAGAAGUCUUCAUCAAUUAAAGGGAAGUCAAAUUAGUUGAAAGAAGGCUAGUGAGAAUGCUGCUUGAAACUAAAAUGUUUUAAUCAGUUAGAGCUACAGUUAAUUGGUUAACAUAGGAAAGCAGUUUAACAGACAAAAAAGGCUUAAUCGGUUAAAGCUAGUCUUUAACCGGUUAACAAAACACUGCCAACACAUUUGAAUUUAAGCACUAAAAGAGAAAAUAAUAGCUAGAAUUGGGCCAGAACCGCUUCCAACAGGCAGAAUAUAUCUCUAAUGGCCAAAUGUGAUCUUCCAAAUAUUUAAGGCAUCUCCAACGGUAGAAAAUAUAUAAAGAUGUUCCAAAAAGUUUGAAAGAGCCAAAAAGAGCAAAAACCUUCUCUUGUACAGUUGUUUUUCACUCUUACCUUUUGUAAAGUAUUUGAGCUUAAACUUGUACAUCUUAGAUUAGUUAAGUGAUUAAUUGUACUCCAUCUCUUCUUUAUUUUUUGAUUAAUUAGAGUGUGCGAGGCACUUUAAUGGUUGCUGUAAGCAUCUAAAACUUGGGUUAGAAGUUCACCUUAUAAAAACUUAGUGGAAGUUGCUAAUUCCAUUAGUUUAAUGAAGUUGGAUCGAAAAACCUUGAUUGAGAGGUCAAGAUAGUGGAUGUAGGUCAAGAGGAUUGAACUACUAUAAAUAUUUGUGUUGUGUCCACUUUUUUUUACCUGGUGUCUUUUAGCUUCAACAAGUUUUAAACCUUCCAUUUCAAAUUAUUCAGAAAUUUUUAAAGCUUAAGAGCUGAUUUCAAGGUAUCUUUUAAGUGCUAUUCAUCCACUCAGCACUCUAUUGGGACCAACAAAAAAUAAUAUGCAUAUGUUUGAGUUGAAUGGUAACAUGUCAUCUUUUAGAUAUUUAUGUAUUUUAAAUACUCUCAAGAUAAAGUUUUAGAGUACAAUUGAUAACUAAAAUGUAUAAAGUAAUAUUUUUCUAUUUUUCAAUGCAAUAAGUUUGUUUAGUGACAUGGAUAGAGAUAUAAUGACUAAUUAUCUCAAAAGGAUAUGUCACAUAUGAAGGUAUGAUUUUAGAGUAUAAUGCCCCAUACGUAUUAAGUUAAUGAUAAAGUGAAUAAAAUCAUACCAUUAAGUUUAUAUGGGUAAUAUAAAGUAAUAUCCUAUUAUGGGAGAAGUUUCAUUAUGUCACAGCCCAAAUUUUCGGGCCAUGACUGGCGCCAUGGGCCCAAUAGGCAUAGCCCACUAAACCCAAGCAAGCUUAUUUAUGUGACUCCGUUCAUCGAUUUCAUCACUCAUUCUUACAACCGUAUUUCAUAAUUCUUAUCAACAAGUUUUUCAAUACUUUUCCAUCGAAACCAUAUGUUCACAUUUAUGAUUCAAAAUAAUGUCAUUCGUGCCAUCUCGUAGUGGCAACAUAAAUCAACAUAAACGUCUAUUGCUUAAGAUAUAUAUAUCUUAACAAUUUACAUUAAGGUACAUAUGUUCAACGAAAAGGACUCUAGACUUCUAGCGGAGUGACCAUAGUGAAGGUGCAGCUACUGAGAUGCCAUAGUACCUACCAAGAAGACGAGCAUAUGUGUGCGACUCAAACUAGGUUCCAACUGCCUCCAAAUUUGAAAACAUGAAUUUUAAAAACGUGAGUAUAAAACUCAGUGAGUGAACAUAAGAAGGGAACAAGCAAUCAAUAGGAAGAAUUUGGAAAUCAUGAUGCACUUGUUUUGAAAACAAUGCAAUUUGGUUUAAUUUCUUUCUUAAACCCCCUUGUUUUGGACAUUGAUCAAUGGACUCUUAGUAUUGCAAAGACCUAUGCUCAAUCAUGAAGAUAAGGGAGUGAAGGAAAUUAUAUUAGAACCCGAGCAAGGUAGCAACGUGACAGCACGUUUCUUGCUGAAGCAAAAGGCAUUCUUGGUUUGCAUACGGUUCAGUUUUUCAAGCAUAUGAUCCACUACAUGGGUCCAAUUGACAUGCUUGUUAGGUCAUUAGAAAGCUAAGAGGCAGGGCUACGACUUUAGUUUUAACCACUUUGUCCAGUUCUGAUCGAAAGGUGGUCAAAAUUGCUGUCAAAGUGACAAUAUUGCACCACCAUAGAGUUUCUAGCGGCAGCGAGAAUCCAUUUCGCUACAGCCAAAUUCCUUGUUGCAAUGAACACCAAUUUGACAAUACUUAGCAACUUUCAAAGUUCAACAUGCAAGAUUCACAUAUGCAAAACCAUAUACCAUACUCAUCAACUUUGAUUUCAUAAACAUAGAUGUAUAUAUAUAAAUGCAUAGAUAACACCAAUAUCAGCAUAAUCACACUCGGCUCAUGUACAUCCCCCCACAUCGUGCACGUAGCCGGCGCCAUCAUGUGCAUCCCCCCACAUCGUGCACAAUCAGUGCCAUUGUGUACAUCCCCCACAUUGUGCACACGGGCACUAUCAUCUUCCAUCUCCCACACCACCAUCAUCACCGGCAUGUGCAUCCCCCCACAUUGUGCACACACACGAUUAUAGUCAUCAUACACAAUAUCAAUUAUCAUGCACAACAUAUAUAUAUAUCAUCAUAAUAAAAUGGUGCAUGAGUCAAUAACAACCACAUAUCACAACAUAAAACCAUUUAGCAAAAGCUUGUUCUCAAGACACUUGUUUUAAGAUAAAGUUGUAUAAAAUCAUUCAAAUGCUUUGUACAAAAUAGUCACAUUCCCAAAAUGAUUUUGAAAUGCAGUUCACUCACCUGACAAAACUAGUACCAACAAGGUCCCAAUCCAAGUAGUCCCGAAAUACCAUUAAAACCUGGAUGAGCUUGGAGGCAUGAAGAUCAACCAAAAACCUAAUCUUUCCAAGAAAAAUAAUUUGAAGAAAUUAGAGAAUAAAUCUGAAAAUAUAACCAUAAAUUCAAAAAUUCCAAAGGUUAGAAAUAUAUACCUUUCAACCUUGAAAAUGAAGAUUUGAAGCCAAAAAUCCUUGUAUUGUUGAAAGUGAAGUAGAAAUAGAAAAUAUAAGAAACAAGGAGAGAUUUUUCUCUCUCUCUCUCUUAGGGUUUAGAUGUGCUGAAAAUUGGGGUUAGAAAUUGCAAAUUCAGUGCCCAAGAAGUUAGGAGAAGGAAGGAUUAGGAAAAGAAAAGAAAUAAAAAGAAAACAAGGAAAAAUCACAUGAAAAAAUUGAUUUUCAUGGAGGUGGAAUGAAAAAUGGCAUUGGAUAGGUGAGAAAGAAGAAAAAGUGGCUGGAAGCUUGAAGAAUCUGUUGAAAAUUUGAAGAAGUUGCUAGAAACUUGGAUAUUUAUACCGUAUAUUUAUCCAUUUUCUCACAUAAUUACCAAAAUACCCUUAACAAGGUCAUUUUGUCUUCUUCUUAUCCUUUGUGCAAUCUUUUUACUCUUUUGACAAUGAGACAAAAUCCAUAAUAGUCUAGAAAUACUCGAGUUCAUGAACACGUAAAAAUUUAGACCCGAGAUGUAGAAUGACCAUUUUGCCCCUAUCGUGAAAAUUAUUAUUAUUUUUAAUUUUCUCAUUUAUUUACCAUCAUAAACAUCAUUUAUUCAUUCCAUAGGCCUAUUUAGACCUUAAUAGCAUAAAAAAACCCACUCGUAGGAGCCUACCAAGAGAAAUUAUGAAAUUACCCCUGGUCCGCAUUAUCGCAUUUACUUUUAGUUACGUAUUUAUAGAGGUCGAGAUUUUACAGGUUCACUUCUGAAUUGCCCUUUUAACUUAGUAAUCAACCUUAAUUGGCAUAUGUAAACUUUAUUAGCCAUCGUAUCAAAAUACAAGGUACUACAUUCUUCCCCACUUAAAAUGUAUUCGUCUUCGAAUUCAAAUCAACGUAGGGUGAAUAAUCAAAGUUCUAAAGUUCUGUCACAUCACUCUCGUCGGGCAUUCUUAACAUAGAAUCUUGGUUUAUGCAUCAUAUCGACUUCUAAUCUUAUAGAAAACUCGACAAUGUCAUAGUGUAUAGUUAUGUAUACUACUCUUGUUGGAUCAAAAUAAUAUCAUUCUUUAUCUUAUGAAGGGAAGUCAAAUACGCUAUUAACUCUGGUCACACCUCAAUCAAAUCAUCCUUAAAUAAUCAAUCAUGCAUGUUUACUUAACCAUUCGUAACUCCUCUACCUUGCUCCUUUAUCAACCCUUCCAAUAUUCAAGCAUCUAUUCCACCAUUGACUAUGGGUCUAAUUUGUCAAUCAAUCUCUAUUUCAUUUUUCAUUUUUUUUCAUUCUCCCAUACAAAUUCCAUUUAAGCAUUUCACACUACAUAAGGAUCAAAUGCUCUUUAUUCAUUUCAUUUCUGUUUUAAUAUCAAAGAUGAUUCAAAUCUAGUAACCAUUAGUCAUCAUAUUCCCAAAAACAAACUCCAAUACUUUCAUGAUCCAGUGCUCACUAGAUAAAUCUCAACUUAUACCACAAGGCAUUUCAAUAAAUCAUGACUUCCACAUACUCCUUUAUAAUCUUAACCAAUCUCUUUAAUCAAUAACUCAACCUUUCAAGAUUAAGGUUGCUCAAAAUCUUCCCUUUAAAGUUUCUUUCCAACUCUCAUUUUGGUUACUAAUCAUUUCUAUAUUUCCAAUGUCCUAGCUAAUUUGCUCGUCAUCAAUCACCCACAACAUAUCUAACUUGAUAUUUCUCAAAUUUACUCCAAAUGUCAAAUCCAUGGCCUCAUUAGUUUAUCAAUCUGAAGAUGAAAUUAGACAUUAAUCUUUCCUUAAGUACAGUUUAAAAUCAAGCAAUCAUUUACUAAGAUCUUUCUGAAAUUAACUUCAUUUAGCCCUUUUUACCUUAGAAAAUUAAAUCCAUCAUCCUUCAUUAUGAAUCAUGGGCUUUAUGCUAAUCAAGGUAGAUUUCACACUUUUACGUGCACAAAUUCAAGUGCACACCUUCACGCAUACGCUAUAAACUUUUCCCCACAUCUUUAUAUAUCAAAACUAUAUAUAUUGAAGCUGUACCAAAACAGAUACAUCAUUUUCCAUUGCCCCUUAGGAUAUUAAAUUCAUGUCAUGCUUCUCUAUUUGUGUACUUCAUAAUAACCUAACAAUUUCUAGCUCACAGUUAAGCUAGUUUAUAUGCCAAGCCUCUCAGGCUAUAUCAAAACACCAAGUUUGAUCACAAUAUAAUAGAAUUUGAUGAACUUAUACCAAAAGUAUAAACACUUACUUUUAAGUUAACAGCAUCAUAAUCAACUUGUUCACUGCCAAAAUCAACGAUAAAUUAUCUUAAUCAUUGUCUAGCACUAUAACCGUUGAUAGAAUAUCAUCAUUGAAUGAAAUUAUAACUAACUCUGCAUAGGCUUUUAUUCCAAUAUGCAACAUAUAUAUCCAUACAUAUAUAUUUCUAAAAAUUUUAACUUUGAAUAGCCUUAGGCAUAUCAAGCUCAAUAAGCCAUCUGUAAAACCAAAAUAACCAACAAUUAAGUUUAGAAAUCAUUUCUUCUCUUGGUUGGUUAGAUCAUGCUCCUCAUUUGUGGUGAAUACACAAAGCUGAUUCCAGUAUUCCAUUCUCAUACAAGAGUUAACCACUAAUUGGCACUAUCUCCAAACACCACGUGUUUUAUAAGUUGAUUUUCUUUGUCAAAAUUUAUAUUGUAGUAUUCCAUCUCUAGGUCAUGUCUCAUUACCAAAUCUUUAUUUGUAUAUGAGUAUUUGAAUUCUCAAAUCAUCAUCUCUUUUCCCAAGUAGAUCUCUAUGAAUCCAAUUGAGUACUUUUAUUCCCUCACCAAGGGUAAUAUUGAUUAACUAAAGCAUAUCGCCAUUAUUCACUAAGCAUUUAAAGCACAGUUCAAUCUUCACUUACCUUUAUCUGGUAUGCUAUCUUGAUAACUACUCAAAAUGAAUUGAAACAUGUGAGGGAAGCACUUUUUUUACUAUUGUAUGCUCUACCUCCAUAAGCGUAUCAAGACCGUAUUAUUAUCAGGUCUACAUAAUGGCAAGGUAGUCAUUACCUCAAAUCAACAUUCCCAAGUAUUCUUAGACUUGCAGCGUACCUUGGUACUACGUGACAUAUCAGUCACGAACAUCAACAUCACUAUAAAACUAUUAGCUCCUCGAGCUUUAAUGUUUUCUUGUUGUGAAAAAUCUCUCAAAUUUAUCUUACCAAGGUGUUCACAAGGUGGAUACAUGUUUGUAAUUUACUGUUCAAUGCCUAAAGUAGUGAACACAGUCUCAUCAUUAAAGUUCUACCUUUAUCUAUCAAUCAUAGCUCCCUUGCACAUUUACCUAUAUAUUGUUGGGUUACUCAAUAGCCACACAUGGCCAUCCAAAUUUCGACCUCUUAUAGCAAGUCAAGCUAAUAUAUUUUCUUAUGCUUUUUCAUACACUUCCAAAACAAUUAACCACUUUCUUUAAUAGGGUUCCAUUAAGAAUUUAAUCAAUUAAAGGCUUAUCUUCAAAGCCACUCAUAACUUUAAUCAUUCAUUGUAUGCCCGAUAACACUUUAGCUCACUAACCCCACUGGGCAUUAUUUUAAAACUCCCAAGGUAUUUGUGUUCUUAGUUCGGAUCAUACUAUCUAACUUAGUAUAAUUGCAUUAAUUACGGAUUGUUGUAGGGAUAAGAUGACCAAGAUAAAUGAAAUAGAUCAAAUAGAAAGUUUUGAUUUAUUAUAACUCACCUACACUGACAUAAAUAGACCAUGUACCCUUACUAUCUAUAGUCAUAGAUAUUUUGUGACAUUUAUUAAUAUUUUUUCUUGUUCUGGUUAUAUGUUCUUAAUUAAAGAAAAGUUUGAAACUCUUGAUAAGUUUAAGGUCUUUAAGACUAAAGUUGAGAAACAAUUAAGAAAAAUCAUUAAAACUGUCAAGUUAGACAAUGGUGGUGAGUAUUAUGGUAGACAUAACAUAAGUAGACAGCAAAGGUCAGUUUGCCAGUUGUGGAAUAGUGUAUUAGGACACUAUGUCUAGUAGUCCUAAACAAAACAGUGUGGCUAAAAUGCAGAAUCACACCUUUAAGGAUAUGAUGAGGAGUAUGAUUAGUAAGGCUAUUCACUAGAAUUUUUGUAAGAAGAAGCAGUCAAAAUAAAUUUGCAUAUCUUAAAUAAAAUCCCUAUCAAAUCUAUACCUAAAAUCCCUUUAGUUUUGGACUUGAUGGAAAUCUAGUUUUACUCACUUUUGUGUUUAGGGAUGUCCUUCAAAAGUGUGUAUAUCAUUUCACUUAUUGCUAUUUUAUUAGGAACCCAAAUCAUUCUUAGGAUUAUAAAUUUUGUUGCUCAAGAAAGGUGGUAAAGUUGUUAAAGUAAAAAACAACUAAGUUUCUAGAGUUACAUAUGACUAAAUAGUAGUUGUUCUCACAAUAAAGAUAAAGGAAAACAUAUUGAGACUGUCGUUACGUGUGGGUCUGAGAACCCGUCCGCCUAGAAGUGAAAAUUUUAAGAGUCAUCACUUAUCAUGAGCCAACCUUGUAUAGGGCUAUGACAAGGUAGAAUUACAUAAGUGAUUAAGUUUUUUGUACCUAUGAGGGAAAUGUCCCUUUUUUAAACAUUGUAAUUGCAUUUGGUGAUAGUUCUAGAAAUAUUUGUUAAGUCUUUAGGGGGAAGACCUUUUAGGAAGGGAUAUCCCUAUUUCACACAUUGUAGUGGCUGUUGGUGAAAUACUUGUAAAUCUUCGUAAACUCUUUGUAAGGGGUGAGCAGUUGACAGACUGUUGGGCUACUUCACUAGUAAAAAUAUGUUUAUAGCAAAUCAUCUAAGGCCGCCUCUAUGGCUCGACGAUGGCAUGUCUUGGUCCCUUUGUACUCAUUUUCAUAUUAAUAAAAAUUUUUUCUUAAUGUGGCUCUAGUGGUUGUGUAUAUGGCAUUUGGUAUGCGCUACGAUUUUGAAGUUUGUUGGCUUAAUCUAAUUUGUGGGUAUUGUUGAUAUUUAUUCAUAUAUAAACAAGUUAUUGGCUAGCUUGCAUGGAAGCGUCCAUUCAAGCGCUGACGGAUUAUCGCAUACUUUACCGAAGAAGCAUAGUUAGUGAUAGUUGGUAUUAGAGCACUGGAGAGACGUCUAAGUGAAAGAACAAAUAUGGUGACCAUGCAGAGUACACCAGAGGUCCAUCAGAGAAUUGAUGAGUUAGAGGCCGUAGUGGUCGCAAUAAAAGCUUAAAUAGUUUCGCGAGAACGGAUAGAUAAAAUUGAGAUAGUCUAGCAUGAACUGUUUGAAAUGAUAAAUACCUUGAGUGAGGAGACCAAGGAUUGGUUGAGCAUUCUCCAAGGCGAGUUUGGAGAAUUAAAAGCUCAAGUAAACCUCUUGAUUAUUGCUAUAGGUAAUAACAGUACAAACCUAGCAGAUCGAGGGAAAAUGGCUAAAAUGCUAGAGCUUAAGCGAUAUGAAAGGGUUAAAGAUGCAAAAGUGUUAGAGAACUUUCUUUAUGAUAUUGAGUAGUACUUUCGAGUUGUGCGUAUUGAGUUAGAGGAAGACAAGGUGGUGAUGGCUGAAAUGUAUCUUGUAGGGGAUGCCAAAUUAUGGUGACAUUCUAAAUUUAAAUUUAUCAAUGGUGAGUGCCACAUAUAGACGUGGGUAGACUUGAAGUGAGAAUUGAAGAAACAAUUUUUUUCUUGAGAAUGUAGAGUACAUGGCUUGGUGAAAGUUGAGAGAGCUUAAGCAAACCGAGUCAGUACAAUAAUUUGUGCAGAACUUCUAUACCUUAAUGUUAGAUAUUAGGGACAUGAUCGAGAAAGAUAUGUUGUUUUAUUUUCUCGAGGGUCUAAAGCCAUGGGCGUGGAUAGAGUUAUAGUGACAAAAGGUAUAGGACGUGGCUUUAGCAAUGGCGGUUGUUGAAUGACUUAUUGAUUAUUGUGAUAACUUUCAUAAAUGGAAGGACCUUUUAGUAAGAACUAGUAGCUUAAGCUCCAAUAGUGGGGCAAAAUUUUCAAGAGUUAGCAGACCCUCGAGUGGUGGAGGAGAAAGGAGACCACCUGCUCAAGACACACCACAACUAAGAACAACUAAGUCAUGAGGCUUCAAACCUUAGGCCUUAAUAUCUUGUUUUCUCUACAAUGAACCUCAUCGGAUAGUUGAAUGCCCACAUCGAGCAGCUCUUAAUGCGAUAUGUACUACUAAUGUAGAAGCACCUCGAGCCUAAAUCCUAAUUGAGGUAGUCAAAGAAGAGUCAGCAUGUAUAGGUUAUAUUCGGUUCUUCAGUGCACUACAAGUGCAAUUAGAAAAGAUGAAGAAAGAACCUCAACAAGGUCUCAUGUAUGUAGAUGUGUUGGUUAAUGAGAAAAAGACCAAAGCCAUGCUCAACAUAAAGGCCUCCGAUACCUUCAUCACCUUAGGAGAGGUAGAGAAAUAUGGUCUCAAGGUUGAGAAAGACUUCGAACAGAGGAAAACAGUUAAUUCGCUAGCUUCAGCUAUUGUGGGGAACUCUAAAGACGUAAAGGUUAAAAUUGGUUCUUGGGAAGGGAAGGUGAAAAUGACUUUAGCCACCAUAGAUGACUUGAUUUUGUCCUGGGCUUCGAUUUUAUGAUGAAAGCACAAGCCAUCCCAUUCCUUGCUGCGAGUUGUGUAAUGUUCUUCGGGGAACAACUAUGUCUGGUAUCGGCUGUAAUUCUACCUAAGAGUGGGAAGAGGGUUAUAUCAACUAUCCAGUUCAAGCAAGAAAAACUCUCAUAUGUGGCCAUGCCCAUCUACAAAGGUAGAGAUAGUACAUAUCCAAUACCCAGGGGAGUGAAGCUAGUUUUGGAAGAAUUUCAAGAUAUGAAGCCGGAAUAGCUACCUAAAGUUCUACCACCUUGACGAGUUGUUGAUCAUGAGAUAGAAUUACUCUUAAGCAUCAAGCUUCUUGUAAAAAGGCCAUACAAGAUGGCUCUCCUAGAGUUAGCGAAGCUAAACAAGCGAUUAGACGAGCUAAUUCAAGUCGGAUUCAUCCAACCAUUAAAGGCACCUUUUGAGGCCUCCGUACUCUUUUAAAAAAACCAAGAUGGGAGUUUGUGGUUGUGCAUGGAUUACCGGGCUUUGAACAAAGUAACAGUCAAAUUACUAAUGUGUGUGGAUUACUCAUUGUCAUAUCAAUAAAACAUUUUUCUUUAUGUGGCUCUAAUGGUCACGUAUAUGGCAUUCGGUAUGCCCUAUGAUUUCGAUGUGCAUUGCCUUAAUCUAAGUUAUGGCUAAUGUUGAUAUUUGUUUAGAUAGAAAUGAGUUAUUGGUUGGCUUGCAUGGAAGCGUCCACUUAAGUGCAGCAUGGAUUAUCGCAUACUUAAGCUAAGGAGCGUAAUUCAUGACACCACCAAUUAGUUUUUGUCUAGGUGUGAUUGGUCAUCUAUUUGAGUCUAUGUCUUUAAAAUGUUGUCUUUAGCUUAACUUGAGUUGAUUUCAAUGAAAUAGACUCUAGUUAACAAAACAAUGUUCUAGUUUGGGAGUACAGUUACACACAAGGAAGAUAUUAACACCCCCAUAACACCCGUUCAAAGAACAAUACCAAUUAAUCAUGUGUUAUCCUUACUUAGCCUAAAUUCUUGAUUUUAUCCUAUUUCCCUUAAUCAUUGUUUAUUGUUUCAUUUAUUAUAUUUAUUUUCAUUAUUAUCUUUAUUUUUGUUGACACAUGAAUGAAAUCCUUAUAUUGGAAAGCUCUCCUAAACUCUCCUAUCGUACUGGUGGAAUUUAGGAGGUUUUUCCCCAGUUAGAGAAUUCCUCAAGAAACUUAUCUUUUCAAGAUUUUUAAGAAGCUCCCAUCAUCAGGAUUAUCAUUCAAAUAUCAUUUUAGUAUUUUUUUUAUGCAUAUGAUGCAAUCAUGGAGUGGAUGACAUAAAUUUCGACUUCAUUAAAUAACAAAUGAAAACUUUUUAUUGAAAACAUUUCUUGAAUCCUUCCAUCAUACUAGUGAGGCUUAGGAAUAUUUUCUCACCUAGGGAACUCCUCGAGAAAGCUCUCUUUCUCAAGCUUCUCGAAGAAAUCCCAUCAUCAAGGUUUUCCCUCGUCUUUUAAAAAAAAAAACAAAAUGAAUGCAAUUCAUGAAUGAAUAUUGUUGAUACAUAAUGAGCAAAAUAAUUAUUAGUUGUUUAUUUUAUGUAUUUAUUUUAUUUCCAAAAUUCAUUAUUAUCCUUUUACCUUCAACAACUCUACAAUUUUUAACCUAUUUUAAAUAGUCAUUUUUUUAUUUUAGAAAUUUUUAUUUACUUAAAAUACAAGUACUUGAAUUAAGAAAUAUUGGAACAUAAAAUUAAGACUCUCCCAUCAUUCUGGUGGAGUCCUAAUCAAAUUCCUCACAUAGGAAAAUUAAUUCAAAAUUGUGAUUCUUCACAUUCCAAAUAAAAGUUCCAUCAUCGGCUUAAUUCAAAUUAAUCAUAUUUAAUUAUAUAAUUUCAUGCUAACUACACUAAUGAAGCAUUACAAAAUGAAAUAGACUUAAAAUAAAAAAGAGUCUAAGAGACUCACCUUUAGUGGACUAGGUAAGAACCCACUAUUGGGCUUUCACGAGUUUGGGCCCUUAUCCUCUUCUUUUUCCCUUUUUUUUUUCACUGAUCUUUUUCUUUUGGACCAUCUCAUUCUUUUCCUUUUCUUCCCUUUUUUGUUUUUGAAUAUUCUUUCCACUUGGGCUUCACCUUUUAGGCUAUCUCAUUCUUUUCCUCUUAUUUUGGUUUUGUUUCUACUUGGGCUUCACCUUUUGGGCUAUGUCAUUCUUUUCCUUUUUUUUUUGGGUUUUAUUUCUACUUAGGCUUCACCCUUUGGGCAGCCCACUUUCCAUUUUUCUUUCUUUUCUUCAUUCCUUUAUCUUUUCUUUCCUUUUUCUCUCUUCUUUCUAAGAAAAAAAAAAAUCAACCACUCUCACCAUCUCAAAUUUCGACUAGUGUCCACUAUCUAUACCACCACUAAUCGUUGCUCAUCGAUGUCGAAAAAUUCCCCUAAAAAACCUUUCCUUUUCUCCUUGAUCUAAAAAAACGAGGCUAAAAAAAGUCUAGAUCUAUUAUCAACUAUCGUUCCUUUUUCACCCAAACAAAUUAUUUUUCAUUUUCCUCUCCACCUUCUUUUCCUUUUCACUGAUUAAAAUUUCCAAGAUUUUUCAUUUUUUUCUUUGGUUUCUGAUUGUCUGUUUGUGUGGGUUGUUGACUGCUAUAGACUAGGGGUUUUUUUUUUUCCUUUUUUGGGUUUCUUUCAUGGUUUAGAAGCGAGUGAUUGUAUUUUUUUUUUCAAGCCAAAGAAGGUUCUUCCUUCUAUUUUUGAUCUUUUUAGAUUCUUAUAGAAUCUGGUUGUCCAAUCUUUUGGAUAAUAAGGAAGGAGCUAAUCAUGCGUUUUAGGCUAAAGGUGGGUUGGAGAAAGAGCCGAGAAUAGCUUUAGGCAGAGAAGGGAGGUAGUUAUUUGAAGGGCUGCUUUUGAAAUUUUUAUUUUUUUCUUUAUUUUUUUUUGUUUUUUGGAAAAUUUUAAUUUUUUUUUGGGGUUAGGGUUCUUCAGGCUUUGAGAUUUAAAAGCCUAGAGAUCUAAUAAGAAAUUAAACUUAAGGUGUCUUUGGAUUAAAAAAACCCAAACUAGUCAGAUCCAUAUCCAACAUGACCGAAUAUUAAAUAAAUAAAGGCUAAUAAAUGAAACAAAAUAAAAAUAAAAUAAAUAAUUAAAAAAUGAAAAAAGAAUCCCUUAAAUUGGCUCGAACAAAAUAAGGUGUCUAUAAAGAUUUAUAUAUCCCUAUUCCAAUAUAAAAGGAUAAUAUGACACAUACACCAAUUGGGAAACAAGAUAUAAGUUCAACUAGUUCUUGAUAAGGUCCCUUAACACUAAAAUGUUGUAUAAUAGAUGCCACAAAGAAGAUCCAUAAAGGUAAGAAAGUAUGCUCUUUCCUUAGACAUCUAUGAAUUUUAUCUUUAAGAGGGUAAUUAUGAUAUUGACCAUGUGAUACAUCUAGUAGCUUUUCUAUGAGUUGUUUUAGGUCUUAAAUUAGAUCUGUGGUGAGAUGCAAUGUGGGAUAAGAUACAAUUCUAUGUUAUACAUUGGUUUAUGUAAGCUUGUUGAGCUAAGUAAUGGUUGUGAACUCAUUAGUUGUAAACAAGUAUACAAGACCAAGAAAAGAUUUUAAAAGAAAGAUUGAGAGGCUUAAAGUCAAGCUGGUUGCCAAAGAUUUUAAUUAGAAUUAAACUUUUUUUUUGUUGUAUCCCACUAAGAUAUUGUUUAGAGUAUUUAUGGCAUUAAUAGCUCAUUAUUAUUUAGAACUACAUCAUAUAAAUGUUAUGAUUGCCUUUCUAAUUGGGAAUCUUAUUAAAAAGGUCUAUAUAUUGCAACCUAAAGAAUUUAAAGAAAAUGAUAAAGAUCAUCUUGUGUGUAGACCUAAAAGUCUAUAAAUGGGUUUAAACAAGUUUCUCGGUAGUGAUAUCUUAAAUUUGAUGAAGUAAUAACCUCUUUUGAUUUUGUUGAGAACAAGGUAGACUAAGGCAUAAAUUUUAAGAUCAAUGGGGAGCAAGUUUAUUUAUCUUAUUUUGGAUGUUAAUGAUAUCUUACUUGCUAAUUACGUUUAAGGAAUUUGACAUGAAAGAUCUUGGGAAAGUAUCUUAUGUCCUUAGGAUUGAAAUUCAUAAAGAUAUUUCUCAUCACUUGUUAGGGCUUUCUCAACAUGCAUGCAGUGGGUUUUUUUGGGAAGAUAUUUAUCGAAUCUCAUUAGAGAUCAUUAGGAAGUUGUAGAGAAUGUGAUGAGAUAUUGGAAUAGAACUAAGGAUUAUAUAUUAGUUUAUAAAAAGUUUAAGACCUUAAACUUAAGGGUCAUAGAAAUUCUAACUUAACCAACUAUUUAGGUAAUAAGAAGUCCACCUCAAGAUAUAUUUUAUGUUGGCAAGUGGUGUAUAAUCUUAAAAAAGUAUAAAGGAAACACUUGUGACCUCAUUCAUUGUGCAAGCAAAAUUUUUUAGCAUGUUGUGGCGUAGCUACAUAGGCUUUCAAGUUAAGAAAUCUCAUUAAAGAAUUGUUGGUGGUUGACUCUAUUGCUAGACCCAUACAAUUGUUUUGUGAUAACAUUGCAAUGGUUUUAUUACUACUAAUAAUAAAAGUAUCACAAUAGUUAAGCAUAUAGAGAUAAAAUAUUUGACAAUUAAAGAAUUUGUAGAAAAAUGUGACAUUUUAAGAAACUAUAUUUAUACUAAUGAUAUGAUUGUUGAUCCUUUGACUAAAGGACUGCGCCUUAUCAAUAUUAAGAAACAUAUUUUGACAUGGGUUGUGAAGUUUAUUGAUGUACUUGGUUAGUGGGAGGAUUUGAGAUUGUUUUGUGCUUUGUGCAUAAUUGUUUGGAACACAUCCUUGAUGAUGUGUAUGGUUUUUUUUUGAAUAAUGAUUAUUCAAUUAUAUUCAGUCAUAAAGAUUUUAUGUACGUAUAUACAUAUUUGCAUCUAUGAAGACUUAAGAUGUGUCAGUCUUAAGCAUACGUUGGGACAUAAAUUUACAACCUUAAGAGUAUGUCUUUAACACAUUUAGUAUAUCUUGAGAUAAGUAAGGCAGACAUAAAAGUUUACUAAAUAAACCAUAAAGUAUUUCUCUUGUAAGCAUGGGCUGCAUAAAGUGACUAACAAAUGAAUAAACACAUGAAUAUAGAUCAUUAAGAAAGUGUUGUUAUUCAUUGUUAUACUUGUCAUAACGUAUGAGUCUUAAAACUCAACCUUUUGACAUAAAAGAAGUUGCCAUCAAUCUUUUUUGUUUAGGUGUGAUUGACAACUUAAUUGAAUCUUUUUUCUAAUGAGGUCUUAAGCUUGACUUAAGUUCAUUAAAAAAAUAUGUUCCGGUCUACGAAACUGAUUAGGUUCAAAAGUACAAUUAUGUGUAAGGAAGGGAUUAGCGCCCUUACAACACCCAUUAAAAAUGGUACCUAAUUAAUUAUGUAUUUUCUUUUUAGCCUUAAUAAAUUAAUUUAUUUUGAUAUCCUAGUCUAUUUCCUUUAAUUAUUUCUCCAAUUAACUUUUAUAAAGAAAAUGUGCUUUAAUAUUGAAAAUUCUUCGUAAAUUCUCAAACCCUUUCGGUAAAAUUUAGAAAGAUUUUCUCGCCCAAAAUUUUUUAAGAAAGUUAUCCUUUAUAACAUUAUCAAAAUUCCAUCAUCAGAGGACUUCCAUUUAUGUUAUAUUAAACAUUCAUUAUGAAAUUAUAUUUACAAAAUCUAUCGUAUUUAUUUAUUUAUGUUCUUAUUAAUUAUUUAUAAAUAACCCUUUUUGGUAAAAAUAUAUGGGAUUACCCCCAACCCUUAUGGUAAGGUUCCAUAAUUAUUUUUACUUUGAAAAUUUUAAGAAAAAUUGUCCGUUACAACUUUGCUUAAAAAUUCCAUUUACAAGAUUUUUUUUAAAUAAUUACAAAUCGUUGCUAGUUUUUACUUUUAUAAUUUUAUUUUACCAACUAUGGUGAUGAAAAUUUCAUUUUAACCUAAUUAUGGCCUAAAACAAAAUGUUAUUUUUAUUAUUUUAUGUAUUUUUAUUAAUACCAAUAACAAAAUAAAUAACAAGAAAAUAAACAUAAACAAAGUAAGAUGAAAGUUUAAGCCAUACCUAGUUGAUGGAAGAAAAUUUGAAUGGGAUUGUGCCUUGUCCAAUGCAAUCCACAAUCAAGUAAUCCAAAGACCCAAAUGAAACGGGCUUGGACAAUAAACUAACCAUCCCAAAAACCAAAGCAAACCUAAGUAAGUUAGCCCACAGCCAAAACCAAGCCUAAAUAUUUGAGUUUCCUUCCUUCCUUUCUCUCAAACAUUUUUUUUCUUUCACCAAGACAUCAUUGGCCGCCCUUCAUCGAUGCCAAAAUCUCACUGAAAUUCACCCCCAAAACCCCUUCAAGCCGAUUUAUCUUUUAAUCGGACUCGUUUUUUUCUAAAACUUCCCCGAAAUUCCUAGAUCUAAAUCUAAAAAUUUCAAAACCUAAAGAAAACAAGAACACUUUUUUUGCUCAUUUUUCUUUUGUAAUUUUUUUUUCACUUUUUUUCUUCCCUCCUGUUAUUGUGUUUUCUUGGGGUUUUUAUAGGUCUUUCUUAAAUCUUUUUUUAAUACUGGAAAUUCUCGCAAGGCCCACCUACCUUGUAAUCAUUUAAUUAAUAAUGGGAAAAAUUAAGUACAUAGGGGAGGUGGACAUAAUCCGAGCUUCCAGAAUUACAUGAGUUUGAGGAGAAUUAAGAGAAUUUCCUAAAAUGGAGUGUCUCAUUUUACGUGCAUAUUUAUGAGCACAAUCAUAAUAUUGAAACACUUCCAUAUUACAAGAAUCUAAAUAAUCUACUAAGUAAAAAUAGCAAAAAUAAAUUAGGAGUACUACUCCUUUAUAAUUAUUUGAAACGAACAAAAGGUAAAUUUAUUUUAUCUAAUUGAAGAAUACCUUUGAGCUUACCUUCGACUUGUGACACUACAUGCAGGUUUUGGUGCAAAUGCCCUUGAUUUGAGAGAUGAUCUGCAGCCUGGUUUCCUUCUCUAAGAAUGUGCAAAAUCUGAUAAGUAAAAGCAUUCAAGCAUUUACGGAUGGAUGCCAACAAGUAUCUAGUUUGGGAGGACCCUUUAUGUUUCGCAUGUAUCAUUUGUACUACUGCUUUCGCAUCCAUCUUUAUCCAAAUUCUAGACACAUUGUACUCAAUACAUAAAAGCAAACUUCUAUGUUACGCCAUUAACUCUGCUUGUAAUGAAUUAUAAGGUCCAAAAUUUUCAGAAAACCUAAAAAUCAUGGCACCUGUAUGAUUUCGAAGAAGUCCACUACCAGCAGCACUUUGACAAUUAUGUUUGGAACUACCAUCAACAUUUAACUUAAACUCACCUGUUAAUGGUUGAUGCCAAGAGAAUAUUUUUGGCAGAGGUGGGAUGUUUGCUGAACCAUAAAGUCCCACGCUUUAGCAAUCUGUACAUCUCCCCUCCAUUGCCAUUGUUUGAACUACCUCCCUUGGAAUAAUUGGUUAAUAAGUUUCAAAAUUUGCCACACCACUCUGUUCGAGCACAUGCCUAAGUUUUUAUGCUUUGCAUCAUUACGUUCAACCCAUAGAAACCAAAAAAUAAAUAGGGGUAUUAAUGUGCGAAUGUGCCCUUUUUUUGCAUAAUCACUAGAGUACAACCAAGCCCAUAUAAUCUGAGAAGCAUUAUUAAGGUGAGUAAUGUAGAUCUGGAAGAAUUUUGCAAAAAAAUUCCAAACCUGUGUAGCUAUAGGACAUUCCCACAUGACAUGUAAAAGCUAUUCCUCAGAGUUGCAAUAUUGACAUUUGGAGGUGAGUUGGAAUCCUUUAAUUUUCAACCUCAAAUCAACUGGAAUUCAAUUCUGUAAUAAUCUCUAUAGGCAAAAAGUAGUAAGAGGAAUGCAUUUAUGCCAAAUUAAAUUAAAUACAGAGUUUACCGAAUCUCUUUGCCGAAUUAUCUCCCAUGCUGACUUAGUAGUGAAAUCACCAUCUGAAGUGGGGACCCAAUAUGCCACAUUUGUUAUAGAUGUGUUAAGUGGAAUUUUCAGAAUUUCGGCAACCAUUUCCUCUAGGAGCACAGUAUUCAACUUAUCCACAUCCUAUUCAUUAUUGUUAAAGAAAUAAUAAACUUGUGUUAUAGAUGAUGAAAAUGCAGGGAAAUGGUUAAUCAAUGGUUCAUCACCCAUCCAACAAUCAUGCCAAAAGAAUAGCUCACCUUUCCCAAUCUUCCACUGCAUUUGUUGUUCCAUAAUCGGACAGCAAGCUAACAUUCAUUUCCACUUUUGCGAAUCAUGGCGUUUCGACUAAGUGUACCUUAGUAUUCUACCACAACAGUAUUUAUCCCUCAUGAAUUUUGACCAAAUGCUGUUACAAGUCUAGAAUCUCCACCACAGUUUCAUACUAAAGGCCUUAAACACAUAUCCCAAGCCUUGAAUAUCUAACCCACCUUCAAAGGAUGGGAGAGUAAUCUUAUUCCAAGCUGCCCAAUGAAUUUUCUUGGAGCUUGCCGAACCCCCCCAUAAAAAAUUAUUAAAUAAUCGUUCAAUUUUUUCAAUAACACAAAUAGGGGGCUUUAGGACCUGAAGCAAAUAAAUGGGCAAAGAAGAUAAAACACUUCUUAACAAAGUAAUUCUACCACCUAGGGAAAGCAUUUUAUUUUCCCACCCUGCUAUACGUGCCUGUAUCUUUGUCACAAGAUCAUAAAAAAGAAUUACCUUUCUCGGCUCUUUAUAUAUAGGUGCCCCCAAAUAUGUAACCGGGAGAUAUUUGUGAGAGAAUCCAGUAGUCUAAGUAAUGAUUUGUCUUUUGGAAUUAGCCACAACCUUGUGCGUAAUGAAGCAACUUUUUUGAUGAUUUAUUCGUUGUCCAAAAAUUGCCUCAUAUUCCUGUAAAAAUGUUAAAAUUUUCUGCAAUGUAGAUUUCACACCAUUAGUAAAUAUAAUCACAUCAUCCACAAAAGCCAAGUGACUUACUUGUGACUUACUUGCAUUGAACAUCCCGAAAAAUACUGAAUGGAAGGAUAUUGGGCAAACAAGGCAUUUAAGCCUCGAGAUAAAUAUUCCGCUACCAAAAUGAAUAAUAAAGGAGAAAUGGAAUCCCCUUGCCCAAGCCCCUCUCUGAUUUAAAAUACCCUAUAGUGCUGCAAUUUAUCAAUAAAAAAAACUAACAAUUGGAGAUGCAUCGUUUAAUCAUAUCAAUCCACUGAGAGCUAAAACCAAAUUACUGUAGCAUUCAAUAGAGAAAAUUCCAAUCAAGUCGAUCACAAGCCUUCAUCAUAUCAAGUUUAAGAACCACAUUACCUCCACGAGCCUUCUUGUCAAUCCUCCCUAUUAAUUCUUGAGCCAAUAAAAUAUUAUCACUGAUCAAUCUACCCCCAACAAAGCCACUUUAAUUGUCUGAGAUAAUGGAAGGGAGUACUUUUGCAAGCUGGAUAGCCAAAAUCUUAGUAAUAAUUUUGUUCAACGUAUUACAAAGACUUAUUGGCUGAUAUUCACUCCAUUUUGAGGCUUGAUUAUUUUUGGGCAAAAGGACAAUUGUUGUAGAUGUGAUUCCCCGUGGAAGUGCCGCACCUUGAAAAAAAUCCACUACUGCAUCCAAGAGAUCAUUUGCCACAAUAUCCCAGCAUUGUUGGUAGAAAUAUGAAGAAAAGCCAUCAAGGCCUGCCACGCUGUCUUUGUCAAUAUUAAAAAUUGUCUCCUUCAGCUCAGUCAUAGUUGAUACUGAACAUAAAUUAGCAUUGUCAGAUUCGGAAAUGAGGGAAGGAAUUAAGGAAUCAUUAAACCUGGCCAUUUCAUUCGGUUCACUCUUCAUAAGAGAAGAAAAAAAUUCAACAGCAGAGGCCUUCACAAGAUCCGGAUUGUCCGCCCAGCUCCCAUCAGAAUUUUGUAUCUUGAAUAUGUGGCUUUUUAUUCUCUUCUUUUUAACUCUCAUAUAGAAGAAUUUAGUGUUACGCUCCCCUUCCACCAACCAUUUAAUUCCUGAUUUUUACUUCCAUAAUGAUUCCUCUGCACUAAGUUGAAGAUUAAGUUACGCAUAAGCUUUGUUCAUGGAUGCUAGGUUUUCCACUGUCUGCUCCUGUUGGAACCGCAUUUCACAGCCUUCAGCUCUUUUUUCUGCCUGCUUCAAAUUGUGGAAUAUAUCUCUAAAGACUGUUUUAUUCCACCAUUUCAAAUUCUUUUUUAAACAUAGUUGCUUACCCAGAAGGCCACUAUACCCGAACCACUGCUCAGCUGGUUCCAGAUCUUCUCCAUAAAAUUUUUAAAGUCAUGAUGAAGCACCCAUGCGUGCAAAAAUCGAAAGGAAGAAGGCACUUUGGUUUGGGUCCUUGAGCACGAUAUUGGGAGCGGACAAUGAUCCGAACCAUUUUUAUUUAAGUACUGAAUUCUUGUUAUGGUGAAGAAUUUCACCCAUUGAUGGAUAUAAACCAUUCUAUCCAACCGUUGAAACAUAAGGUUUUUUGUCCAUGUGAACAGGUUGCCUUUAAAGCCACCAUCUAUCAAACCACAGUCCAAUAAUGCUGUUGCAAAGUCUUCCAUUGCACCACCAUGUGGCUCAGCCCUAAAUAACCUCUAGUCUCUAUUCAAAAUGACAUUAAAGUCACCACCCACAAUCCAGGGAAGUUGGAUACCCUGGGCUAAGCUUCUUAAGCAAUUCCAAAGCAAAACACGUUCGGACUGAUGCAUUUUGCAUAGACAAAAGAAGCAUAGAAAGGCAGUUCUAGCCACGACACAGAGAGUUUUACAUGUAAACAUUGCACAUGAUCUAGCAUAACUUCACAGUUUACAUCAAAAGAGUGAAAGAACCAAAUUUUAUGAAAACAAUUUGUAAAAACUUUUUCAAACCCCAUUUUUCUUCUAAAAUAAUCAGCCUUUGUCACCUCAACCAUGGGCUCCAGAAUAGCAAGAAAUUUAAUUUUAUGCAUGAGCUGUAGCUUUUUGAUUCUUCGUUGUAUAACAUUACCUGAGAUUCCUCUCACCUUCCAUACAAGUGCACUGAUCAUGGAUAAGGUCUGGCAGGAAAGCACACUGAGAUGGAAUCAUUAUUCGGAUCACCAUCUGUUUCCCCCAUGCAUACUGCAUCCUCCGAGGCUGAGCUGACCGUUCUCCCAAGUGGAACUGCACCUUUAGAAUUUCUCCUGUACCUCACCCGAAGAUGAACAUCCAGCUAACCAUAACGCAUUCCUGUAUGUAAAGGAAUAUUACUCAAAUCUUUAUCACACAGAUACUUACCCAUACCCCGAUCCAAGUUUGACCGGUUUGCCUCUCUGCCUUGCAUGUUUUCACGUAUGCAUGCGGUUGUUGAAACAGCUACUAUAUUUCCACCUGAAUACUCAGUCUCUAACUUAUCAUCCUCCCCUUAUUUACUUCUUCCAAGCUGAUUCAUUUCGUCAUCCACCAGAGACAUAUUUUCCCCACUUUCUUCCAUUAAAUCAUCACUCGGUAAUGUAGGAACCAUCACCAUACGUUGACCGUCUGAUCUAGCAAGAUCAUCACCAUAUAUAGUCGAUUCCAUGACCUCACCACCGGCUUCCUUUUUUUCUUCUGUUUUUGAUCCGCAAUAUUCCGUGCAGUCGCCACUCUUUCCAUAGUUUCACCCUCAAUCCUCUUACUGUCAUCAGCUCUUACAUGAAAAGUUUCUGGGCCUAAUGUCGCAGAAAACAUUGUUUCUCUGUCUUCUGUGACCCCUUUAGACAGAUUCUGAUCCCCAUGCACAUGGUCAGAUUCCUGUAGCACCCUCUCCGGCUCAAUAGUCAUUGUGGUGAGUGUAGCCACCUUGUCAAGUGCAACCGGUUGCUCUUCAUUAUCAUUGAAGACCUUAUUGCCCAUUCCUUGACCAUCUGCCUCCUCAUCAAUCUCAACUUCCUCACCUUUUCACCCUGAAUCUUCACCAAGCGGCUCAUUCAAACAAGUUUUCUUUCCCGCUGAAUCAUUGUUCAUAUACUCUGUUUGCCCCUGUUUUUCAAACCGAUUUUGUACUCCAUCUUCCUCCCCCGAGAUCGUAUUAAAUCUGUUAAAAAUAGGAACAUUGGCAUCCUUGGAACCCUGAUUUGAUCUGAUUUCCUUGCCUUGCAGAUCCUUAACUCCACUUAUACCUACUUUACCCACUACUUGCCAUCGCAGAGACUAUUUCGCUGGUUCUUCUCGGCGCUGAUUUUCUUCUUUUUCCAGAAUUCUUCCAUUACCUCCUUCAAACCCCGCAACCUUCUCCACAUCUUCGGAUCCUGUUGGUGGCGCAAUAGAAGACUUUUCAUUACCCUUAGGCUGCGGUUUACUCGAUCCCGAUUGCCUUGGCUUAUUCCUCAACACAAUACAUUCUGCUUCUUCAUGUCCCACAUGACAGCAAUGUAAAUAGUAGUUCGACAUUGUUGAAAAUUCCAGCCUUUGCGAAUAGCCGCUAGUCACCAUGCCUAUAUUUCUAUUAUGUAUUACGAUCCAAACGUGAUCCACUGGAGGCUUCUUACAAUCAUUCUCGACACAUACACGAGCCACACUCGAUCGAGACCCCUUUUGCUGUGGCCUUAUCUACAAAUAGAGGCUUCUCAACUGUCUUGGCAAUCGAAAGCAGAGUCGAUUUCUCGUACAGGUGUGCCUUCAGAUUCGAAAACGAGAUCCAUACUGGUACUAUAGGGGAUUCCUUUUCCGCUUCAAACUUCAGAGACCAUUUGAAGAUCCGCAUUUUCUGGUUAGCAAUGAACCAAUGCUGUCUUGUCUAGAUGCGGUUAAAAUCUUGGUCAUUUGACAAUUGAAUAAUGACAUGUUUAUAGUCCAACCAUUUGAUCUCAUAGGCACCAGCAAGGUCGAUCCUUUGAAUGCAGUUCUGAUAUCUUGGAGUUUCGACGUACCUGAGAACUUACCCAGCAGACAAAGACUAAAAGGCUGUGCUAAAGUCCUGAUUUCAUCCUCAAAAAACGCAUUAGCAGGCCGAUCCUUAUAUACCAUGGGAUCUCGGUCCAAGGGAAUCAUAGGGGGUUUUUCUCCUUUGGCAAUAGACACAAAGGAUUUUCGUUGAAACCUAGGAGAGGUUGGCGGCUGGCUCUGAAGGUCAAAAGCUUGUGGGCCAUCAUUGUUGAUUGGCUGCACAUGACUUUUGGCUUCAGCAGUGAGAUGCAUGGGUCUCGACUGCAAAGAGGGGAAAGAACCAAUUGGCAACGGAUUUGGCGACUGACCAGCAGCCAUCCCGUGAGGGUUAGGGAGGGAGGGAGGGAGGGGAAUUGUAAAAGGUUGAGAGCGUUUUUUACUUUUUUUUUUAAAUUAAUGUUUAUUUUCUUAAAUCUUGAUUUAAUUGUAAAUCUUUGAUUUUAUUUUUCCUGAUUUGAUUUUAUUUCGUGCAAGGAUUUUUUUGUAUAACAUCUUCUGAUUUGUAGGAUGAUUUUAGGGAUUCCAUUGAUCAUUUCUUUUUUUAAUUAAUCUUUUUUUCUUUUAAUUUCCCCUUCUUUUUUGUUGUUUUUUUUUUGUCAAAUUUUCUGAUUUUGAUUUGCUUUCCUUUUUUAUUUUUUUGAUUUUUGUUUAUGUGUUUUUACCUUACUUUUAUUGUUUGUGGGCUUACCAACCCAAUACCAUUUCCUUAUUGAAUUUUGAUCCAUUUGGAUUAUAAACCCAUCAUUCCUAAGGUCCAAAAAUUAAUCAAAAUAAAAAUGAAAAAUAGACCAAAAAUAAAAUAAAAAGAAAAAAAGAAAAAAAAAAAUAAAUAAAUAAACUAAGUUAAAUCCUGAACAAAUAUGGUGUCUACAAUACUACCACAUUGAGUUCAUGUUGAUAAAAUUGAGUAGUAAUGUGAUUAUAGUUGGUGUUAUAUCUAUGUAGAUGUAGUUAUUGCUAUUUUUCUAUAUCAAAAAAUGUUAUUGGACAGAAUGGUACUUAGAAUAAUCUCAAGAUCAAUUUUUUUUGUAAAAUUGGGCCUAUAAAGUUUUUGGUUGUCUUAGCCUAUGAGCCAAUUUCAAGAAAUUUGCUUUUUAAAAUUUAAAAUUAAAUAAUGUAGUCUAGUGGGAAUAUUGUUAGAUUUUCUAUUAAAUUCAAUGUGUGGACUUACAUUAUUUAUUUUUUUCAUUUUAUCAAAAUAAGGCUAAGAUAAUUUGAUCUUGAAAAAAGGAUAAUAUUAUAGUCCAUACUAUGAUUUAAUAAAGUCGGCUAGACUCGAAUGUUAUUUGUGGGCUUAAAAGUGUAGGCCUAUGUAGGAUGUCACGAGGCCACAUUUUCAACCAAAAAGACAUGUUGAUAUGUGGUGGAAGGCCCAUGUUUAUAUACCUAAGACCUACCCCAUUUCUUAUUAAUGUGAGAUCUAUGACAUUUUAUCCCACCCAAUUGUCCAACGCCCUCGUUGCUCUCGUUACAUUAGCUCUUUACCCAUAGAGGAUAAGGACUCUUACACUAGUUCGAGUCUAUCUCGAUCUUUGUAUAUCUCAUGAGGCCCCACAUCAGUGAAGAUUCAGAUUUGCUCUGAUACCAUUUGUGAUGGGCUCAUAUUUUCAACCCAAAAGACAUGUCUAAUAAGUGGUGAAAGACCCAUGUUUAUAUACCCAAGACUCAUCCCAUCCCUUAUUAAUGUAGGAUCCAUGAUAUAGGAAAUCUUGAAUCCUAUGAUGGGUGGGAUUAAUGAUUCACUAUAUAAAGGAAAGGCUAGGUCUCCUCUCUUGUCUACAAUAACAUAAAGAUCUCAACCAUUGGAGAGUCAUAAGAAAAAAAAGAAAAAGAUACUAGCGCAUUAAGUAUCAACAGUAAAUCUGAUCAAUAUUAUUUUCGCUGUUAAAUUAUGAAUCAGAUAUCAAGUAUACUUUGUGUUCUAAAUUCCUACUAUGUUAGAUUUUAAAUUAGUAUAAAAUUAUUUAUUCAUAAAAUUUAUCAUAAAUACUCUAAUUCGGCUACACUUGCUACUGAAAAGAUUAGAGAUUGAGCUUAACUGCAUGAUAAUACAAAAUAGGUUCAAUUCAAGUAUUCGUCUAGAUGAUUCACAUAACCUCACUUAAUUUACAUCCCAUAAUUCUUAGAGUUGUAAACAAUUUUAUAAAUGGGCAGAGCUAGCCAACUUUUGUUCGGGGGGGCCAAGACAAAGGAAUAAGGGUUAAAAAUUUUAAACAUUAAUAUGUUAGACUUAACCAACAAUUAAAUGAUUGAUAAUAGAAAUAAUUUUAUAUAACAUGUAAAUCAAGAAAAAAAGGACUUAUAAUAGUCUUCUAGGAAAAUUGUACUCGACCAUGCUUCUUGGAUUCAAAUUCAUCAAUUAUUGAUUAUGCAUUGAAAAACAUCCAUUUCUUUAAGAUUGAGUCUUGGAUGUUUUGAUUUACAUUACUCUUAUUCAUGAGUUGAAGCAUUGAGGAGAAUCAUUUAGAUGAUUUGCAUACUGUUUUUAAAGAAUUUGCCAAUUGUUUUUAACUUACUUACACUUAAUCAAACCCAAAAAAAAAAAAAUGAAUGCAGUCAACAUCCAAUAUUCCUAUUUAACUUAUAAUACUAAAUAUAAAACUAUAAUGUAUAAUAUAUAAAUAGUUAAAUAUGAUAUACAAGAUUAAUCAGUUUCUCUUAUAUAAUCAGGAUUGUUUAAAGACUAUAUAUCUAUGAUAAUUUCCUUUCAACUAAAUAGAAGAUGUAAAGCAUAUAAAAAAGAUAUACUCAAGAUAGUUUCCUCUUACAUAAUUUGGAUUAAUAAAAAAAUGAUACAUUGAUAAAAUUUUAAACAACAGUGCAACGUUACAACGUAUAUUUGAGAACUAAAUGAUAAUUUAUUAAUUUUUAAAGAUUAAAAUCAUAGAAAAUAAAAUCCAUGUAAUAAAAAAAAGAACAUAACAAGUAAAAGAUAGAACCUAUAUAUGAUAUAACAAAAAAGAAAGAAAAAUAAUAUAGUUUAUAGUUCGUAGAAAUUUAGAGAAGAAAAUUAAUAGAAACUUAGAACAUAUAAACAAAUAGAAUAGAAAUGAAAAAAAAUAAACAAAUAAAAAUAAAAAUUAGAUAGAAUAGAAAUGAAAAAAAAAACAAAUAUAAAUAAAAAUAAUAAUAUAAAUUGAAAGAAAAAACUUUAAAGUUGAGUUAGGCAUGUGGGAUAUUUUGUUAAUCUUUAUUUGUAUUAAUUAUUAAAAAAAAUUAUUUUGAGGAGGUCAUCAAGAAUAUAUAUAAAAAAUUUUAAAAAUUUUAUAUGAUACAGAAAAAAUUUUAAAAAUUUUGGGGAGCCACAACUUGUCACAGGCAGCAACUUAAGCCUAACCCCAUGCGACUUUAAGCUUUGAAAUAGAGAUUAAAUAACCUAUAAAUCAUGGACCUAUUUCCCAACUCAAAAAACAUGCUUGAUAGGUGGUGGAAGGCUCAUGUUUAUAUAUCCAAGAUCCAUCCUAUCUCUUACUGAUAUGGGAUCUGUGACAUUCUACUUCAUCCAAUUGUGUAAUGCCCUCGUUGCACUGGCUCCUCACACAUUGCCUCUUUCACUUUCUAGAAGGGUUGCUGGUUCAUUGUAUUCCACUCUCAUGCCUUUCUCUGCCUUAACAUGUCAAUUAAUGGUGCAGUGAUAGAAGAGUAGCCUCUAACAAAUCUUUGAUAAUAAUUAGCAAGGCUUAAAAAUGAUUGAAGUUCGUUACCUUAGUGGGAGGUUCCAAAUGAAGUAUGGCCUUCACUUUGUUUGGGUCCAUUCAAAUCCAUCCACCAAUAAUAAUAUGUCCUAAGAAAAGGUAACUCUUGAAGGGUAAAGGUACACUUCUCUUUCUUCAUGAACAAUUCAUUCUCCCUUAAUGCCUUCAUCACUUGUUUAAGAUGUACCAUAUGCUUCUAUAGUGUUUUGCUGUAAAUGACAAUGUCGUCCAAGUAUACAACCACAAACUGAUCGAGAAAAGGUUGUACAUUACCAAAAAACAGGCUUUUUCCAAUGGAAUUUUUUGUUGAAAAAAGGUAAAAUUCCAUUGGAAAUACCUUUUUCAACAGAUUUUCAACAAAAAAAUACGUUGAAAAUUUUGUCGAUAAAAGCCUCAUCGGUAAUGCUUUUCGUUGGAAAUCCGUUGAAAAUUUUCAACGAAAAAUUUCGUUGGAAAAAAUGCAUAAUCUGUUGGGUAUCCCAUUGUGAUUCCGUUGGAAAUUUCCAACGAAAUUCCUUUGGAAAUUUCCAACGAAAUUCCUUUGGAAAUUCUUUUCAAACGGAAUUUCAUUGGAAAAUAAAUUCUGACUGAAAAUUCCAUCGAAAAUGAUUUUUCAACGAAAUUUCAUUGGAAAUUUCCAAAGAAAUUUCGUGUUGGAAAUGGUUUUCCAAUGGAAAAUUCCUGUCACGACCCAAAUUUCGAGCCAUGACUGGCGCAUGGGCCCAAUGGACAUAGUCCACUAAGUCCAAGCAAGCCUAUCAAUUUAUCCUACUCCUCAUUCCAUCAAAUAUUGCUAAGUCACGAAUUAUAACUUUAAAUUAAAAUAGUAAUAGACAUUUCCAACUCGUAUUGGCAUUACUCAUUUAAAAUAUACAUACAUCGUCUAUAGCAUGUUUCUUAAUAAUUUACAUCAAGUUUGUCUAUACAUCUCAAAAAGAAGACUCGAUUUCCAACGGAGGGACUUAGACGAAUGUACAGCUACUGAAUACCGAGAAACCUACCAAAAGAUGUGUACAAGUCUAUAAGGACACCUUAUCCUAGUUAUCGGCUGCCUCGUGAUCUGAAACAUGAAGUUGAAAAUGGUGAGUAUAAACCCAGUGAGUGAACAAGGAAGGGAACAAGCAUACCAUAAGGAAUCUUUAAUGAAAUCAUGAUGCAUUCUUUUUCAAAACAAUGUAAUUUGUUUCGAUUCUUACUAAAAACCCCUCACCAAACCCUUAAUUGAUUGAUCAUUUGAAAGUCAUGAAUCCAUACACAACGAACCAGUUGAAGAAUGAAAGCUUCAAUGAUACGUAAGCAAGUCAAAUAUGACAACGAAUCUUUGGUUAUUAGUGAGAAUGCCUUUCCGCUGUAGCGACGUUGGGAUUUGGUUAUUAGCCGACCGAGGGUUUCUCAACUGGUCGAGGGUUUCUCACUAAACCUCCUCAUUUUAAACUAAACUCAUUUAAUCCUUAAUGUAGGAAGUCCAUGCUCUGAUAUGGUAGUAAAUAAGUGAAAGAUAGGGCAGCAAUUGGACAAGAUAGGAGACCAAAAUAGAAGAUUUUUCACUGCAGCGAGAUUCUUUAUCGCUGCGGUGAAAUUGUAACCCAGAAACAAAAGGUUUCUCACUGCAGCAAAAUUUCGCUGAUGAAACAGAGAGUUUUUUGCUGCAGCGAGAUUUCUUUUUCGUUACAGCGAGAGGUUACGGUGACUAUCUCGCUGUAGCGAAAUACAUUCUCGCUGCAGCGAGAACCAGUUCUGGUGAAGGUUCUCAAACCCGAGAGUUUCUCGCUGCAGCGAGAAUGAAUUUCGCUGCAGUGAAAACAGAGCAACAAGAGAAAAGUUUCUCCUCACUCAACAAAAAAGGCCAUCCUACUAAACCAACAAAAUCAACAUACAGCACAUGAAAAUUCCCAAAGUACAAUGUAUCAAAUUUCUCAUAUAUGUCAAUCAUAUAUCACAUUCAUAAGUUUUCAUUUCAUAAGUCUAGAUAUGCAUAAUUACAUAGAUAAACAUCAUCAUAAACACACCCGGCUCAUGUACAUCCCCCCACAUCGUGCACAAUCAGUGCCAUCGUGUACAUCCCCCCACAUCGUGCACACGGGUACUAUCAUCAUCCAUCUCUCACGCCACCAUCAUCACCGGUAUGUGCAUCCCCCCACAUCGUGCACACACACGGUUACAACCAUUAUACACAAUAUCAUUCAUCAUGCACAACACACACACAUUUAUAUAUCAUCAUACUACAAUAGUGCAUGAAUCUAUAGCAAUCACAUAUCACAAUAUAAAACCAUUUUGCAAAAGCUUGUUCCCAAGGCACUUGUCUUUAUGAAAAACUUGAUAAUUCAUUCAAAUGGGUGGCAAAUACAUUAUAUUUCCCAAAACGAAUUUUGAAGGCAGUCCACUCACCAAUUGAUUGUAGAGCCUUUAGAUGACUCCAAUUCCCCUAAUUGUCCAAAUGAGAUGAUGGGGCUUCCUUAGAACCUAGGAUCACAUUAGCAUAAGCAAUAGGUCAAUUUACACACUAUGAACCCUAAAAGCUAUCUUUUAGCUAGCUUUCAAUUGCCACAUUAAAUGGCCAUCUAUGUUCACUAUCUAAAUCACUAAAAGUAAUGAACAUAAUCAACAAUAAAACAGCUCAUAAAUCCCAAUUACUAGCCAUUUUCUGCAGCUAAAAACCAAGCUUAAUUCAUCACUUACCCUAGGGCUCAUUUGUAGUCAAAUUCUCUUCCAAUUGCUUCCAAAUAAAUGGUAAAAUUUUUUUUCUCUCUCUAAAACAUCCAACUAGUGAGAGAAAGUACAGAAAUGAGAUUUAUCAAGGGUUUUGAAGUGAGAGAAUGAAAUAGCACAAGGGUUUAUGGAAGGGUGCACCAAAAACAUGUAAAUUGGAGCUAGAGAGAAAAAGUUAUGGAAGCUUGAAGAAAACUCCCAUGGAAGAAUUGAAGAAACGUGAGAGAGGAGAAGGGAAGAAGAAGACAGUUGCUGGAAAUUUCAACAAGCUGCUGGAAAUUCAAGAUAUUUAUAGGCCAAAUUUAUCCAUUCUCUUAAAAUUACUAAUUUGCCCCUUCACCAAUUUACAUAUUCUCCUCCAAUCUUUUAUGCAAUCUUUUUGCUCUUUUAACACUGGGACAACGUCCAUAAUGGUCUAAACAUACUCGGGUUCAUAAAAACUUAAAAUUUUAACCCGAGUUAAAAAAUGACCAUUUUGCCCCUAUUAUGAAAAUUAUUGAAACUUCUAGUUUUCUUCGUGUUUUCAUUAGUACCCAUCAUUUAUGCAAUCUUAUACUUAUUUAGACCUUAAAAUAUCAUAAAACUUUCUUCUGGGAGCUUAUUAGAGAAAAUGAUGAAACUACCCCUAGCUCGUAUUAUUACAUCUAUGCUUAGUUACAAGCCUAUAGAGGUUGGGGUCUCACAAUUCCAUUGAAAAUUUGCAACGGAAUUUUUCGUUGGAAAACCAUUCCCAACGGAGAAUUCCGUUUGAAAUUUCCAACAAAGUUUUUGUUGAAAAUGCAUUUCCAGCGGAAUUUUUCGUUGGAAAUGCGUUUCCAACGAAAAUUCUUUUACUAAUUUUCAAUUGCAUAUCAUGUUAGUAAUGCUUUUUCCACAAAAAUUACCAAUUAAAAUUUCGAUAAUAAAUUAUCAAUUGCCAUCCACAAUUGACUUUCAAAUAUAUAAAAAAAAACACACAUUAAAAACCAAGAUUCAAAGUCAAAUUCAUACAAUUAAAAAUUGUCAUAAACACACAAUAUCUAAAAAUGUUAAACACAUAUGAAUAUAAAGUAAAUGUGUUAUUAAACAGCUAUACUAAAAAGUAUCCAAGUGUAGUAGUGAAAAAGAGACAUCACAUCAUGAAAUGUAUUGUUCUUACUUGUCAAGAUUUGAGCUUGAAGGUCCCGCAUUUCCUUGUUUUGAAAGCACAUUACUCAUGAUCAUGGUUUUCAUAUGUGCCAUAAAUUCACUCAUGCUUUCCACCAUUGCAUUCUUAAUUUCUUCACGUAUUUCCCCACAUAUUUCCUCACGUAUCUUACCCAAGUUUUCUGAAAGAUUUUUCACUUUUUCUUCUAAUGCAAUUGUAGGACUGGUAACGUUUGAGUUAAUAGGGCCACACGCAGACUCAGAUGUUGCUACAUUGCUAUGUGUUCUAGUAAGUAAAGCUGUAAUAGGCACCCGAGUACCAAACCCAUACACGUGAGUGCGUGUAGUCUCCAUCCCUCUAAUUUAUCCAGUCCAAGCAUAUGGAUCGAAUUCUGGCUGAGAAGAUGAAUCUUCAUCAUACUUCUGUGAUAAUACAGAAUUAUACAUUUCUACACAAAAAAUUAAAUAAGAUUAUUAUUCAACUAGAUUGUUAACUUUGAAGUAAAAAUUAAUCAAUUUUGUACGUACACUCAUGGACUUAGACUUGUUAUCUAUAAAAUCACCAUGUCCCCCUCAACACUUAUGAGUGCGGUUGAACACUUCCAAGAAGCUAACAUCUUGUUUUAUCUCAAUUGCUUGCAUUUAUUUACAACUAUAUAUACUCAAUCAUAAUUGAUAUAUAUAAACAACAUGUAAGGAAAAACCAAAGUCAAACUACUAAAUAUACAAUUUAAAUUUAGUUUGAAAGAAAACCAUACAAAUAAAAGUGAAGUAAAAUUACUUCAUACCAUCACAUUUGCAUGAACAACAAAUGGAAUUGAAUCGUUAGUGUGCUUUGGAAUGCUUCCUUCUUUUGGCGUUAAACGAUUUUACCUUGCUUUUAUUGAUUUGUUUUGCCAUUCUUCUGUACCCCAUGCUGUAUCGAUAAGGGCAUCCUAGAUUUCAUUUGUGAUCCAUUCCCUUGACAUGCCUUUGCAAUCCCUAAUGUUGUUUGUUCUGGCUUCUGUCAUUGCUUUAUUCCUUUCUUUUGAAAGCAUGUCUCUUAACCGACUGAAAAAAUUUUUAUCCCAUAUUCGUCGAACCAAAACAUCUUGAUUUGCAAACCAAACACAUUUUUCCUACAUCAAAAUAAUAGAGUAAGUAAAAAAAUUGAUACAAAUUAAUUGAAAGCAAAAAGUUAUAAUUUAAUUGAAUAACAAACAUAGUACCUGGAAUUUUUAAAACAUUAACUGUUUUAUAUCAUUAGGGACUUUCCUCCAUGUCGUCCAUGGACCAUGGAAGAGAUUUUUUAUGAUCCUUGUUAUUAUAGUUGUGACCCCUCGCUCGAAAAAAGUACUUGUCGAAUAUAAAAGAAAAUUUUUACAUAUUAAAAUUUAUAACAAAUAUAAUAAUUUCAUUAUAAUACAUGAUAACAUACCUCUCUCCAAUAUGAGUUAUACGCAAUCUGUUAGAUGGAUCUACAGGAGUCUGUAAUCCUCCACCAAGCCCCCUACCCCUUGACCUUGAGGAUGUAUCAUCUACACUUGCACCUAAAUCAAUAGAUUGGGAUCUACGAGAAUCAUGAAUAGAUAUCUCAUUUUCUACUUGCACUGCAGAUGCACCUAACAAAGAAGGUGGCUCAAAGGGCACAUCAUUAUUGACCUACUGCAUUUGUGGUUGAACGGAUAGAUCAGCAAAUGCACUAGCAUUUAUAGGCAAUGACAUACUUCCAAAGGCAUUUGUUGAUCUAGGUCUUGGUUUUAAAUGCUUCCCUUUAACCACUGUUCCUAUAAUAUAUGUUUGUUAAAAUUCAUACACAAUUUUUUUUUCAAAAAAUUGAAACAAAGUAUAAAAAUCAUCAAUUUACAACAAUCACAAGUAAUUCCUAAUCAUUUGUACAAUAAAAGAAGUCAUUAUAUAGUAUUCAUUUCAACAUUUAUAAAUAUAAACUAUAAUAAUUUUUUAACAUGUCAAGAUCUUUUAAUAUUAUAAAAUUAAAAUUAAACAACUAUGUAACAAAAAAUAUAAAACCAAUAUCAUAUAUGUCUACCAUCAUCAAUCACUUUCAGAAUAAGCAGACUCAUGUUCUUCAUUAUUAUCAUUAUCAUCACUAAAAGUUUUGCAAUAGUUGUCUUCAAGUUCAUCUUCAUCUUUAUUUUCAUUGUCAUCUCAUUCCAUGUCAUCUUCUUCAUCUUCAUCUCUUUGCAUGUCAUCUUCUUCAUCCUCAAUAAAGAGAUUAAGCUCUUCAUAAUCACCACUUGCUAAAACUGUAAAGUUAUCUAGUUCUUCCGAUGGAGUACCAUUAAUUGAAAUAGACACAUCUUCUUGGUAUACUUCUUCAUUCAAAUCAAUUUCAUUUUCUCUAUCUCCACUACUACGAAUGUGAAAUCUAUUGCUAAAUUUUGUUUUAAAUACUGCCUACUAAUCAUGUCGAUCUCUUUUGGUUGAUGGAUAACUACUAUAAUAAACUUGGUAAACUUGUGCAGCUAAAACAAAUGGUUCAUUAAUGGCAAGUAUUAAGUUAUAUUUAAUUUCAACAAGACUAUGCAAAAGAUCUACCUUAAUAUCUUUUUCAGUGUCAAACCAAUGACACUUAAAUAACACAACUUUGUUUCUGAUACCAAAAUACUCCAACUUGAUUAUAUCCACUAAAAUACCAUAAAAGUCACACUCAUAAUCAUUGUAAAAACUCGCUUUUAUGCAGACAUCACUAUUCAUUAUCCUACGAUUUUUCUCGUAAUCUAGGGUGUGAAACUUGAAACCAUUUACAAAGUAUCCGUUGUAACACCUUAUCAUACAUCCUGAACCAUGAGAGAUUUCAAGUAUACAUGGGUCAAUUUCAUACUUAUGUUUUGCAACCUGCGAACAUGACAUACAAGAUAAAAAAUUAUUAAUUACGUAAUUAAUGCCUUAAUGUUAUUAGAAGUUCACUUCUAAUUUACAUAAACUUACAUAAUUUUUAAACUAUUUCAUGAAGCUUGCAUCACGUACUUUCUCCAAUUCAUCUUUCGAUAUAUACACAAUAUCUGUCUUCAUUAUUUCAUCAAAUAUCCUAUCAUCAUAUCCCUAAUUUACAGAUUAAGUUCAUUCUUAUGAUCAAUCAUUUGAGUUUAUGCUAUAAUGAUACUUACUUAAUAUAUGAAAGCAUCUCUUCACAAUUCAUUAAAACAUAUAGUUUAGCAGCAUAAAACUUAUCUUCAUAUAAAAAUCGAGAUUUAUCUAAUAGACCAAAAACUCACCCAGAAUGAGUGACAAUUGAAAGACAACCAAGAGAGUCCAUGUCUCCCCCAUCAUCAUUACAUGGCACUCGAUUUAAUCUUAUUCGCACAGUAGGUUCAAAAUACCAUGAGCAAAAUGAGGUGAUUUCCUUGAUAAUAUAAGCUUCACAUAUAGAUCCUUCAAUAAGGGCUCGAUUUUUUACUUUCUUCUUCAAAUGUUGCAAAAACCUAAAAAUCACAAUAUUCAUCAAACUUAACAAGUACCUUAAACUCUUGUAAUAAACUAUUUGAAAACAAAUAACAAACUAUUUGAAAACAAAUAACAAUUAUAGUACCUCUCAAAUGGAUACAUCCAUUGAUAUUGCAGGGGUGCACCAACCUUUGCCUCGUAAGGUAAAUGAAUCGGCAAAUGCUCCAUAAAGUCAAAGAAACUGUGUGGAAAGAUCUUUUCUAGUUUGCAUAUAGUUUCACAUAUUUUUCCUUGCAAAGCUUCCAUAUGAUCUACAGGUAUUUCAGUUACGCGUAAAUCUUUAAAAAAGUGAGAUAUCUCAGUAGUUGCAUCCCAAAUUGAGUGAAACACCAUAUCACGAAAGACAAUUGGGAGCAAUCGUUGCAAAAAAAUAACAAUCAUGACUUUUCAUCCCAUAAAAUUUACAAUUAAUCUCAUUAACACACCGAGAUAUGUUCGACACAAAGCCAUUAGGUAAUCUCAAUUGUUUUACCCAAGCACAAAAAUUUUUUAUUUCUUCCUUAUUUAAGGUGUACGAAGCCUUAGGCUUGUAAAUUUUUCCAUUAUUUUCCACCAAUUCCAAUUCUGGAUGCUUGCAAUACACCUUCAAUCUUGUCGUGCCUUUAAGUUGUCUUUCAUCUUUCCCUUAACAUCCAUAAUUAUGUUGACUAUAUUCUCAAAGACAUUACGUUCAAUAUGCAUCACAUCUAGAUUGUGACAAAUAAGAAGCAUAUGCCAAUAAGGCAGAUCCCAAAAUAUACUCUUUUUCACCUAAUUAUGACUUACACCAUAACCCGAAAUCUUCUGCUCACCACAUUUUGUUUCGAAUGGGAUAUUAGGAAGCGAAUUCAAACGUGACAAUAUUUUCUCACUUGAUAAUGGAGGAAAUGGUAAGUCAUGCUCAACUCUUUUUUUAAUAAAUUUGUCUCUCUACCUCUUAAAAGGAUGAUUAGGUCGUAAGAAUUGCCGAUGACAAUAAAAAAAACAAGGUUUCCUACCAUGAUCUAAUAUGAAAGACUUAGAAUGUUCCAUGCAAUAGGGACAUGAUAAUCGUCCACGAGUACUUCACCCUAACAACAUACUGUAAGAAGAAAAAUCAUUAAUUGUCCAUAAUAAUGCUACCCUCAUAUGAAAAUUUUGUUUCCUAUAUGCAUCAUACGUGACAACACCUUGGGUCCACAAUACUUUCAACUCAUCUAUCAAAGGCCUCAAGAAAACAUCUAUGUUUUGACUUGGAUUUUUCUUCCCCGGAAUGACCAUAUUAAGAAAUAUAUAUUGUUAUUUCAUAUACGUCCAUGGGGGUAAAUUGUACACACAGAGCAUUACUGGUCAAAUAGAAUAAGGUUUCACAGUCGGUCCAAAAGGAUUGAAAGUGUAAGCACAUAACCCUAGUUUGACAUUUUGAGGUUCUAUUGCAAAUAACUCAUGUAUGCGGUUGAAGUGUUGCCAAGCCUCACCAUCAAUAGGGUGUCUGACGACUCCAUCAUCACUUUGGUUUUGCGCAUGGCACGUCAUAUGUUUAGUAGUUUUGCCUGACAUAUAAAGCCUUUGAAGCCUUGGUAUAAGUGGCAAGUAACGCAAAAUUUUGUAAGGUAUUUUCUUCUGCCUUUUCACACUUGAUUUUCUCAGUUUAUACCGAGGAUGCCCACAUAUCAUACAAUGCUCAAAAUUAACAGUUUCCUCAUAAAAUAACAUGUAAUUAUUUUCGCAAGCAUGAAUUUUGGUAUAUCCCAGUCCAAGUUUUAUUACUUUUUUUUUCAUUCUAUAAAAGUCAGUAGGUAAAGUUUCAUCUGAUGGCAACAUAUUCUUUAUUAUCUCCAACAGCCGAUCAAAAUAUGAUUCACUCAAAUUAAACUCUGACUUAACAUUUAAAAGUUUCGACACAGCUGAAAGCGUUGUGUGUUUUGUGCAACUUGACCACAAAGAUUCCUUUGCAUUACUUAACAACGAGUAAAAGCUAGCUGCAUUUGGAUUUGGAUCUUCUUCCACAAACCUUGACUCAUUAUCAUGACUAUAAUUGAAAGCAACUUCCGGACCCAUAGCAUCACUAACCAUUCUAGUAUAUGGAUUUUCUAUUUCCUCUUCAUAUGUAGGUUCUCCAUAUUCCCCAUGUUCCUCAUUACUAGUAUAUGGUUCAACUCUAUCUCUACUUUUUGAUGAUUGUCCAACAUCAUGUUCCCUAUGUAAACUCUAAAUUAUGUAAGCACUAGUAAAACCCUUUUUAAGGAUGUGCUCUGUCACUUUAUCGGAAUUUAGAAACUUGUUGUUACUACAUCGGGAGCAAGGGCAUCUGAUUUUGUUCUCCCACAUAAAUGUAGAGUUAGAACGUGCAAAAUGAAUGAAUUCAUUAACUCCAUUUACAAAUUCGUCUCUAAUGAAUCCAUCAGAAGUUAAGCAACGGUACAUCCAAGAUUGAUCACCCGUCAUUUUGUAAUCUUAAGUGUCGUAGAAUAUAAUAGUCAAGAGUAAUUUCCAUUGUUGUUUAAAAUAAAAUUUGUUAACAACUAUAUUCCAAUAUGAAAAAUUAAGUUAAACAUUUUAAAUAUAAAUUUUAGAAAAUAAUAACAUGUUGGGAUAGUAAAAAUGAUUCCAUACAAGAAUAAAAACAAAAAAAACAGGACGUUAUAUAAGUCUAACUUUAUAAAUGAGUAGAUAAAUUCAUAUUCACAAGCUUUUCUAUGUAUUAAUGAGUACAAAAUCCUAUAAAACCAAGUGACUGAGAAAUGGCCAAAACUCUUUUGCUUUUCCAUUUGGAUAAAAAUUAAGUACUAUGAAUUGGACCCCAAGUCAUGAUUAGUUUUUUAUGAUAAAAAAAAUUAAAUUCCAACAUAGGAAAGGAAUUACUAUUUUUUUAAAGUAAGGACUUUUGAUGUUUUUAUUAUUUAUUCUUAAAAAAAAAUUUAGUUACAAAAGUAAAUAGUAAAUUUUUUAAAAAUUAUAUAUAUAAUUUUUAAUUUUUUAUAUUUUAUUUGAUUUAUAUCUUCUUCAGUAUAAAGCAACUUUCCGUUGGAAGUGACCAAUUAAUGUCAUGACUUGACCAAUUAAUGAAUAUGAAACUUAAAAGUCUCAAGUCUUCUUUACUUAUCAUCGAGACAACACGUUUGGCUCUACUACAUCUCUUCGAUCAUGGCUAAAAGGAGCAUGAAUUGGUUGGAAACGAUAUAAAGUAGUUAAUUUCAUAUGAAACCCAAUUAAGCCUUAAACCGAUUAUGCUAAAGUUAAUUCAAGUGGUUGUGAUCAGUUAGGUUUGGUUACGGAUUUUAGAUUUGACUGUAAUGCUGUUCUUUUCUUAUGUGUGAAAAGUGCAAUAAAGAAGGAAUGACAGUAUUAUUAUUCAAUAUACACCACAAUCAGAAGCAAAAGAAUUAAUAAUAAUAAUAAUAACAAACUCCAGCAAAUUAAGAAGGUAAAUAAGCAAUCAAUUCUUACUAUUUAUGGGAAUCGAAAAUAAUUUUGGGGGGGGGGGUAAAAAGUACCUGUGCUGAGUGACAAUGACAGAGAGUGUUGGAAAAUGUUGACAAUAACAGUAAAAGAUGCAGAGAUGAAAGAACAAAAGCCCAAAAAGUGAUUUAACCCACAAACUUUUCUAGCUUUCUACUAAAAGAGAUUUACAUGAGGAAAGAAAGCAAUAUUCAAGCUUAGACUUAAUAGUUUCAUGGAAAUUGCUAAUUGCUUCACUACAAUCUUGUUAUGUAUAAAAGUUAGCUAGACAAUAAGGAAUCAAGUCAACAAAGUACUCACAGUUUAGGAAAAUGAAAAGAAGAAGAAAAUAGCUUGUGUCACGAUCCAGUACUCCCUUCGAGCCCGUGACAACUGUCGCGAUGUCUCGAUAAACAAUCAUUACCCGGAAUGUCAACCGAAACCUCACAAGGGUCUUGCAUCAAUUUUACAUUCCCCCUAUGAGCAACAGUUACUAAAUAUCAUGUUUUAAGGGAAUAUAAACUAUUUUAAAAUAAAAAAUAAACAAAAAGUAAUUUCUGCCACACAGGGGUAUUUUGGUUAUUUUUUUUCAAAAAUUUUGAAACCUGGUGAAAAUACAGCAUAUGAUCGAAAAAUAUACAUCUCUUAUCUAAAAAUAAUUUUAGUAAUCUAAAUCAUCCAUUUUAAAUGAAAUUAUGACUAAUCAAACUAAAUAAAAAUAUUAAAUAAAAUAUUCUAUUUUCUUAUAAAACAAUAUUUAUAGAAUCCUGCAUAAACAAUUUUUGUAGCGUAAGAGCAAAAUAAAUUAAUAUAUAUAAUAACACACUAAACCAGGUAUACAAAAAUAUUCUACAAUGACAUGUGGGCCCCAAUAUAACCGAAAAUAUACAAGACUGUAGACCUUCGAUUUCUAAGGAUGCAAAUCUAAAAGCAACCCUCGACAAAAUCGACUGUCUACAAACUGUCCUGAGCCUGAAAUGGGUAAAAAGAAGGGGUGACUUUUAUAAACCCAAUGAGUAAACAAAGUUCAUCUACAACAUCUAAAGCCAAGUAAAUGGAGACAGUUAAAUCAUCCCAUGACAAUAUGAUUCAUAACAUUUAAAACUCAUUUCAAUUCAUAUAAAACAAUUACAUUUCAUUGAAAUAACCAACAAGGCUUAUGAUUCUCUUAAAAACUUGGCUUGUGCCAAAACUCAUACUUAGUGACACCUUGGCCCGGGCAUCCAACCGAGUCCGUCAAGGAUGUAAAAUGACAUAUACCCAUAAACCAUGUUUUUACUUUUAAAAUAUAGUCAUUCCUUGACGUUGGCUGAGUUUUAUCCUCAUGUGGUGGUUCGGCGUGAAGUGAACUCCAAACUUACCUUAGGAGAUACCCUUUCGCGCCUUUCGUACUAAGGUAAAAUAUAACGAGAUUUACCGUGCCCCUCUAAUAGACUAGUCCACGAAAACCCACCCACUGCAGUAAGCUAAUCAAAUAACCCACCAAAUCAAUAAAAAUUUCGACAGCAUGACGUGGCUAAUAUGAUAUUACCCAGCCUGUCAAGGUAAAAAAAAACAGUUCGUAUAAUUCACAAACCACAAAUCCAGCCAUUCAUGCCAUCACAUUGUCAUAAGCCAUCAAUUCAAACCAUAUAUCAAACACGAGUAUAUAGUCUCCACCUACUCAAUUUCCAAAAUCAUCAUUGAAUUGCAAAACAAUUUAUAAAUCUCAUUCAUUUAACCAACACUUAACCUAUAAAACAAAAAAAUCUACGGUUUAAGUUCAUUAUUCUUUAAAAUCAUAAAAACGAAUAUAAACUACUUUAGAUAGUUAAGGUGAACAUUUGAUUACUCAAAAUAGCGGGAGUUUAGAGUACUCCUAUUCUUGGUCCUCAGGUACGAUAUCUUUACCCUUAUCAAAGGGCUCACCACCUAUACAUAAUACACGACAUGUAAUUCAAUAUAUUUGUGCCAAACUGUUAUAAAACUAUUUCAGGCUCUAUAUGAAUGCAUGAAAUUGAAUGAGAAUUGUUCGAAUAAUCACUUAAAGACGGUGUUCUACGUGGGUUCAAUUAUGAUUGGACUGAAUUUGUAUUCGACCUAACUCGAACUAUACACUAUUGAAUUAACCAAAACAUCCGAUUCAACUUCAAAUAUAUUCAUUACACUUUCAAUAAUCCAAAUACACCAAAGUACCUCAAUGAGCUUGAUUGUGACUUAAUUCAUCAUAACCGAAUUCAUUCCGAUUCCGAACUAACGUGCUAAUCAGUGUUAACAAAGUCCAAUAAAUCCAUCUAUAUCAUUAAGAAUCAAAUCCAAGUCCAUUCACUAUGAUUUUCUUAUUAUUGUUCAAGUCGUUUACUAAAGGAACUAUACUUUUCGAUAACUGUUUUCGAUAUCCGAUACCAUAAAUCAUCAAUUACAAGCUAAAUAACAUGAAAUACAACAAAAUCCAUCAUCAACAUGUCAUCUAUAAAAUUCAGCCAAAGAAGGUUGUUGAAAGGCAUGUGAUUUUCUUUCUUGUUUUUCAUGCCAAACAUCAUCAAACAACUAAAAACACUAAGAUAUCAUGAAAUCUAGCAAAAUCCAUCAUCAAAAUCUCUCUCCCUAUGUUCGGCAAGCAAGUAUUCCCUCAUGAAAACUUGUGUUUCAUCCAUAGAAAAUGAAAAAAAAAAGUAUGGGAAAGGUAGAUCUUAAGCUGAAAUUGAAAAAUCUUACCUUUGAUUGUUUUGUUCUUUGAAAUUCAACAAAUUUCUCUUGAAUUUUCCUCUCUAGGGUUUGUUUCUAUUCUUUUCUCUUUGUUCUUUGCUUUGGCCGGCCAUGAAGAGUGAAAUGGGAGAGUUUAUGUUGAGUUUAUAAAGGAAAUUAUAAAAAUAUUAAAGCUUGACAUGUGUCACCAUGUGAUUGGUCCAUGGUUAAAACUUAACAAUUAAGCAUUUUCUCACCACCACAUGUAAUCUCUUAAUUAUCCAAAGUAUAAAAUAAUAAUAGGUGAAAUUCAUGGGCUUGACAAGUGUUAUGGUGGUGUAAAAUUUCAAAAAUUUCAAUUAUGUCCUCGUGGACACGUAAAAUGACUGUUUUGCCCUUAUGUUUGAAAAAAUAUCGAAAUUAAAAAUUUUCAUUUCUCAAAUUCAAAUCAUGCUCCAAUUAGUCAAACUUGGUCAAAAAUUUCAUCCAACAUUCCCAUUUUGCCAUCGGGUGACAAAAUGACCAUUUUGCCCCUACGUUAUGAAAAUUCCUAAUUUGACUCCAAAUUAAUCCUCGAACUCCGAAUCACCAUAUUAAGACAUUCUAAGGUUCAAUAACUCUCAAAUACAUUCUAAAAUCUCUAUUCAAACUAGUUCAAGAUUUUAAUCGACUUAAUUGUACCACUAGAUAUUAUACCGACUUUUAACGAUUUUUCGAGGCAUCCCAGUAUGUAGAUAUGCUAUCAAGUACAUGAAUGACAUGACAAGUAUAUAAUAGAGUAGGGCUUGACAGCUUGUUACAGUAGGAUGAUACUUCUUGAAAAGAAAAAGAAAAGAGCUUUUGGGUUAAGCGAUUGUUAGCUAUAUGGGCUUAUUUUAUUGUAGCAUCAACAAAAAUUUUUCUUAUUAAAAACGUUUUUAUAUUUUACCUAAAUCAGAAACUUGAUCCAUUAAUUGCAGUCUUGCUGACUAAUUACAUAGUAAUUAAUCCUAGAAAACUCCCAAUUCAUAUGUAUAUAUCAAUGAAUAUAUAUUAGAAGACAAAAUAUAGGUCAUUGUUUUGCUUUUUUAAAAUAUUGUUAUGAUUAGAAAAGCCAAAUGAGAAUUUGGAUGCUAGUAUGGAUUUUGGAGAAAUUAAAGCUGAAAAAGCAAAGUUGCUCUAAAUUAUGAUGCUUUAAGCUUUCCCCUUGCUCAAUAACAAAGUUGCACUAAACUGAGAAUUAUAUGAUUACCUUUUGGCCCGACAGUGAGUGAUGAGUUGUUGUUAUAAACUGGAGCCCCAAAAUUUGUAGUUCAGAAUGGAGAAUUAAAGGCACUUGAGGGCCGAAAUUGCAUUAAAAAACAGCUCCAAUAAGAAGAAAAAUAAGUAGAUGCAGGCAAACUAAAUGAAGAUUCUACAAUAUAAAUCGUGUUAAUUUUAUCAGAAGAGAAUAUAAGAGUUAGACUCCAAAACUCUGAAAGAGCUGAAACCCAGAACUAGAGGAAAGAAUACACUCCAAACUACGAAAUAUAACGAUAUACUAAACAACUGAACAAAACAAAAUUGAAAAAAAAAAUCAAUUUAUGAUCUGUUACAAACGUGAACAUAUUGCAACAAUAUAACACAUAAAGGAACAAAAUCCAAUUGCUACAUAAGAACAUAAAUUGAUUCGGUUUCCAAGAAACAGGAGGACCUCCACUAUUCUGCUUCUCAGGGUUCUUGCUUGCAUUUUUAGUUUUCUUAAAGCUGUGGACUAGUCCUCAGCUCUUCAUUGCUCUUUUAACUCAAACCAACUAACACACCCAAUACAAUGGAAGUAAAAAUUUAACAAAUUUUAAUUUUAAACAUUUCAGACUUUUUUUAGUUUCUUUAAUCAAAGAUUCAUGGUAGAAGAUCCAUAUUUACCACUCUACUUAGGUAAUAGAUCAAAUUUAUCAUUUAUCAUUUAUUUUUGAAUGGGUGCAAUUCUACCACUAUAUUUUUUUUUAAUUUGAUUCACAACAAGUGAAAAGUUAACAGUAAGAAGAUAUUAUAUGAGAAUAUGAAAAAGCAUUCCAUGGAAUAUUCUAACUGUUGAGCAUUUUUUAAUCAAAUUACAAUGCACAGUGAUAAAUUGAACCUUCAAAGCUGGACAGCAACUUUGAUCCAUCACCCCAAGUAGAGGGGUAAAUUUCGACCUUGAGACAAGAUUCAUUACAUUUUGGCAAACAAAAUUCUCUCAUCUGAUACAUUAAGUGAUUUAAAAGAUUAAAUUUCAUGUUCUUCUUGUAGUACAGUUAAUAAAAUUAUCAAAUUUUAUUCACUGAUAUUAAAAAAAAACUAAUAUAAUAAAUGCAAGAAAGCGAAGGAACAAUAACAAUAAUAAUAACUCUUAGGCAAGAAAGAAGGAAAGAGAUGCUAAAGGAAGCAACAACAUGUGCUAUGAAGUAGCGGAGUUAACUAUUAUAAAGAUUUUGAGCAGAUCAUGCUUAUAGAAAUCUCUGGUUACUAUUCUCGAUUAGCUUUAGAAUGGCUUCUGUUUGAUUCAUCGGCUGAAUAUGUUCACAAGGUGUUUUGUUGUCAAAUUAAGUAACUUUCUUAUAUUUAUUUAAAUGUUAUGGACAAUAAAUAACUGGUUAACGAUUUAACUUUCAAGGUGUUCUGGUGCUUGAAUCGAGAGAAGCAAAAAGCCAGUCAGUACCUACAUCCAGACUCAGAAGCUAAGUUAAUGCAAGUAUGGUUGAUCAAUUUAACCUGAAGUUUUUUUUUUGUUUUGUUUAUGGGCUAUAUCCAACUAUGCCUCCAAAUGAUGAUUGGUAAAGUUAAUGUGGUUGUGCUGGAGCUUCCGGCUGUAUUCUUGGUAUCAAAGUAAAAUCUCAUGCUUAAGCAUGUUUAACGAUGGUGUAAGGCAUGUUUACUCAUCAAGCUUCACCAAGCUAAAACUCUGUGCUCUCUCAUUUGGGUUUCAAUUUUUAGUAUUUGGUCACUGAUCUCUACAAGCUGGAUAUGUUAUAUAAAAUUUCACUAGAUAGCAAACAACUAAUGUUAUGCAUGUAGCAUUAUUGAUGUGGAGAAAUGCCAGUAACUCUAUCUUCUAUAAUUCUACAGGUUGUCAGAUAUCAGUUACCGGACCAAAUUGCAAACAAAUUGAUGGAAAAAAGCAAGCUGAGAAUUUUGGUCUGGUAACAGAUUAUCAGGUGCCAAUAAAUAUCUGAAUGAGUAAUCUUAUCAUUGUUGCCAUGUCUAUUCUAUUAUAGUGGUAGUGAGCAAGAAACACAAAACAGGGGACAAGAACCCCCUAUAAAGCCUGUUACCUGUGAUAUACAAAAGAAGCCAGAGCAAUAAACCCCAGGUUGCAAAUGGGAUCAACCUCCUAAAACAUUACAACGACUCACAAUGGAAACAAAAAGGACAAGAAGUCAAAAGACUCAUCCCACCGUAACCAACUCACAAUAAACUGUACAAAAACAAAUGACCAGUAGCAGCCUUAAGCACUCAAAAUGAGGCAGUUACCAAGCUUCAAGUGCUACAAAAAAUCCCAAAAAAAAUGAAGCAAGAACUCAGCAAAGACUAAAGUCAAGAUUCGCAAUAAAAAGCCUCUGGUCUCGGCACAAGAAGGGGAAGCAAAGUAGAGAGAUUUGGGGAAAGUGAGCGAUGCACGGAGAUUGGCAGCGACAAGCCUCUGCUCUCGGCAUAAGAAGGGGAAGCAAAGUAGAGAGAUUUGCGGAAAGUGAGCGACGCACGGAGAUUGGCAGCAACAAACCUUUGCUCUCAGCACAAGAAGGGGAAGCAAAGUAGAGAGUUUUGGGGAAAGUGAGUGACGCACGGAGAUUGGCAGCCACAAGCCUCUACUCUCGGCACAAGAAGGGGAAGCAAAGUAGAGAAUUUGGGAAAAGUGAGUGAGGUACAUGUUAGGGAUUUGUAUUUGAGUUAUAUGGUUUUUGUUUCUUUUGAAAUUAAGUUGGAGAGUUUUAAAUUCAAUUUGGAUGGGUGGUAGACUUGGUUAAAAUUAAUUCAUUUUUUAUUUGAACACAAGUUCAAGUCUUUCUUGUAACACAAAUUUAAAUAUUUUAAAUUUUAUUAAUAAAUUAAAAUUUUUUAUAUUACUCAAUAUAAAACAUAAUGGUAUAUUAUUAAAUUUAUUAUAUAUAUUAAUGACACAAAUUAUAUGUUAUAGUUUGAUAUAUAUUACAAAAUUUGUAUAAUUACUUAUCAAUAUAAUUUUAUAAAAAGUAUGAUAAUAGCUAAUAAAAUUAAUAACUGUAAUCAUAUAAAUAAAAUUUACUAUAAGCUUACAUAUAAAACAUAUUAAUAUAUAUAUGUAAGAUAUUUUAAUAUCUCANAUGUUAUAUACUAAAUUUAUUGUAUAUAUUAAUGACACAAAUUAUAUGUUAUAGUUUGAUAUAUAUUACAAAAUUUGUACAAUUAAUUAUCAAUAUAAUACCCUAAAAAGUAUGAUAAUACAUAACUAAUAAAAUUAAUAACUGUAAUCAUAUAAAUAAAAUUACUAUAAGCUUACAUAUAAAACAUAUUAAUAUAUAUGUAAGAUGUUUUAAUAUCUCAUAUACAUACAUAUAUAUAUUAACUUAUAAAGUUAUAUCAAUUAAAGAAUAUAACUUGUAGAUUCAUAUUAAUACAAUAGGUUAUAUUUUUUUUGUGAAUAAUGCAUGUUUAUAUAUAUAUAUAUUCUAUAGCCAUGAUUCUAAUUUGUAUACAUAGAUAUAAUAAACUAUAUAUUUUAAAUAUAUUAUAUUAAUAAGUUUAUUAUACAUCUAUCUUCUUAAUUUAUAUAUAUUAACUAAUUAAUAUUAAAACGUACAUAAAGUAUUAAUAUUUUUGUUUAAUUUAUUAUUAUAUCUUAUCAUGUAUUUUUAUAAAAUUAAAAAAAUUAUUUUGUUCUUUUUAUCAAUUUUUUAAUGUUAUAAAAUUAAUGAAUUUUGAAUUAUUAAUUUAUAAUUUAUGAUUCAAUAAAGUUUUCAAAAUGUAAAAAAAUAAGCAAAGGAAAAUAUAUUUAAACUUUUAAAUAUUAUAAACUUCAGUAUGUAUGUAGUUGCUUUUAUUAAUAUCUAUUUUUUAUAAAGGAUUAAUAAAAUUUAUAAAAAGUUUAAAAUAUUUUAAGACAAAAAAUUUAAAAAAUACUAUUACCAAUGGAAUUUUCCAAUGGAAUGUUCCGUUGAAAAAUUUCCGUUGGUAAUAGCUUUUUCCAAUGGAAAAUUCCAUUGGAAACUUUAGCAGGCUUUCAAAUUUUUUGAGUUUUUAAACUUUCAGACGGAUUUCCAAUGAACAAUUUUCCAUUGGAAAAUUCCAAUGGAAAUUCGUUGGAAAUUUCGUCGAAAAAUUUGGUGGGAGAAAAUGUUUUUAGUGCUAAAAAAAUCUCCAACGGAAAUAUUCCAUUGGUAUAUUUCCGUUGGAAAUCCGUCGAAAAUCUGUCAGAAAAAAUAACAACAAUUUCUGAUAGAAAUCCAUUGGAAAUUUUCAUUAGAAUUUCCAACGAAAUUUUUUUCGUUGGAAAAAAUCUGUUUUCUUGUGGUGGUAAUACCUUGCUCAUGAGGGUGCAAAAUGUGUCUGGAGCAUUAAUAAGUUCGAAUGCCAUGACGAGGAACUCAUACAAACCAUAGUGAGUCAUAUAUGCAAUCUUGUGCUUAUCUCCCUUGGCUAUGCGUACUUGGGAGUACCUUGAGCAUAAGUUUAACUUUGCGAACCAUGUCACCUUUCCUAACUAAUCGAACAAGUUCGCAAUCAAUGGUAUGGGAUACUUGUUCUUCACGAUGAGCUUGUUCAAAGCUCUAUAGUCGAUGCAUAAUCUCAAAGAUCCAUUAUGCUUGUGCUAGAACAACACUAGUGUGCCAUAUGGGGAUUUGGAAGGUCUGAUGAAUCCAGCAUCGACCAACUCUCUUAGUUGUUUCCUUAACUCGGCUAACUCUAAAUGGGACAUCCGAUAAAGGGCUCGUGCUAGUGGUUGAGCCCUUGGUACCACCUCAAUGUGAUGAUCAACUUCCAUUUGAGGAGGCAGCCUACUAGGUAUACUUACCAGCUCACAUCCUUGAAGUCGUCCAACACCUCCAACACCUCGAUCGGAGCCUUCAUAAGAGCCUUGAGGGUAUCCUUCAACUUGAGGAUUGAGGCAAAUGUCUCCUCAUUUUGCCAUGCACCUUUGGCUAGUUUCAUUGUUGAUAGUAAUUUAGCAUAUGGGUUAUGUCCAUUUUUUAUUGGUACUACACAUUGUCUUUGAGUGUCCAACACACAAAUGCAAUUUGCCAAAGGCACAAGCAAAGCAUUAAUCUUAUCAAGGAAUCUAAUGCCAAUGACACAAUCAUAAUCAUCCAUUGGGAUUACCUCGAUGGGUUGUUUACCUUUUUGUGCACCCAAUUGUACAUCGAUUAUUGUUGAGCCCAUGGUUGGAACUUCCUUUGAAUUCAUCAUUUUCAUGAAACUAACCCCUUUAUUGGGCUUUAAGCCAAGUUUCUUGGCAGCACCCUGUACCAUAAAUAAGUCUAAAGCCCUUAUGUCAACAAGAGCCUCCACUGUUUUUCCACUCACCACUAUGUCAGCAAACAUGAGUCCCUUUUUUCGAGCGAAUCGUUUAGCCUUGAUUGUGCUUAACACAAUGGAUCCAAGCUUUGUGGCCUCAAUGUCUUGCUCAUCCUCCUCUUGAGCAUCCCACUAACUUGGCCCUUUUCGAACAAUCCCUCACCUAAUGUGGAUUGUCAACUAGAAAGCAUGAUCGUGGCUUUUCUCCCCAUCUUUGGUUGGUCUCCUCCUUCUCUCGAAUGGCUUCUUUCCCUUGCCAUUACCUUUUGACUCAUGACAUUUGAUAUCAAAGUAGACUUGAAUCUUCAUUGAUGUGGGAUCCUAUGAGAGAUACAAGGGUCGAAGUAGACCCAGACUAGUGUAACAGUCCUUGAGAGAUACAAGUGUCGAAGUAGACCCAAACUAGUGUAAGAGUCCUUCUUCUUUAAGGAUAAAGAGCUAGUGCAACGAGAGCAUUGCAUAAUUGGGUGAGGUAAAAUGUCAUAUAUUCUACAUCAGUAAUAGAUGGGAUGGAUCUUAAGUAUAUAAACAUGGGUCUUCCACCACCUAUCGGGCAUGCUUUUUGGAUUGGAAAUGUGAGUCUGUGAUUUAUGGGCUUACUUAAGCUCUAUUUUCAGAAUUUAAAGCCACACAAGAAUGGUUUAAGAUCUGACCCAUGACAUAGCUCAUAACUAAAGGAGGAUCUGCCCUUGACUCUAUAUUUAUUGCUUUUUUUUUUCUUUAAGCUCUACUUAAUGAAGAAAUAAUGGAAAAAACCAAAAAUCAAAACUCAUGUUGGUUCAUUGCACAAGAUAAAUUUUUAGACAGAUGGAGAUGGGGUCAUAUAUCCCCCCGUAGAAAGCAACCUUGAGGGGAGGCCCCCCUUUGCAUCAGGCCUUGAGGCCCCAUUGUCGGUGGGCUGUAGUAUGAUGCAUCAUCCAAGGGGCAAGACUGCAUAUGAACUGAUUUCUUUUAUCUUGAUUCUUGGGUUACUAUUUUUUCAGUCUUACCGACGCUGAGCUCCAAUCCCGUGUAUGUUUUUGUCGUUCAAAAAUUCGAAUCUCUCAUUUUUUUUAUUGGAACUGUAAAAUUAAAAAGCUAAUUAACUUGUGGAAGAAAAGAUUUUUCUUUUGAUGUGGUUUACAUAAUUAAUGGAGGUAGCCCUCACCCUCCAUCACCGAUAAAUGUUAAACGAUUACUUCCAAUCUUCCUAUCAAAUCAAACUGUAACUUUUUAAUUUUUGCAUAUUGAUAUGCUUGAGUGUCUCUCUUCAAUCAAAACCCUUCAGCAUUCAUGUUCUUUAGCUGAUCGAAAAGGCUAUAUUACAAUCUCGUUCAAAAAAACUUGUUAGGAAACAUGGCUCUAACUGGCAAACUCGAAGCUGAUGUAGAGCUCAAGGCCCCUGCAGAUAAGUUCUUCAACAUCAUCAGAAGUGAAACUCAUCAAAUCCCAAAUGCUGCAUCCGAUAAAGUACACAACGUUGAAGUGCAUGAGGGUGAUUGGGAAGCUGAUGGCUCUGUCAAGCUCUGGAAAUAUACUGUUGGUAAGAUAACAUUAAUCCAACUGUUUUCAAAUCCGAAACAGUUUAAUAUAUGUGAUUUUCUAGAUUGAAUUUCAGCCCCUUUUACUUCCCUGUUUUGAAUUUGUUUCGAUUUACGUAUACCAUCAUUUGCUGUUCUUUUAUCUGAGAUUUGGUGGUCUUUCUUCUUUUGAGGCAUGUUUAGUUUUUGAGCACCAUCCCAGCUCAAACUCCAAAGAAAGAAAAAUUUUCUUAUGUCCGAACCAAUUUGCCUCUGCUACCAAGAAAUCUGAAUGGUCAAACUUCUAAGCCAUGCAACUUUCUUAUUUACAGUCUAUAAUAUUUGAAUCUACAGAGGGAAAAGACGAGAUUUUUAAGGAAAAGAUUACGGUGGACGAGGCAAACAAAUCUGUAACUUUAGUUGCCUUGGAAGCACAUGUUAUGGAAGAAUUUAAGAGUUACAAGAUUGUUUUUGGCGUUACACCUAUGAGUGAUCAAAGCAGCGUGGUGAAAAUUACUCUGGACUAUGAGAAACUUAACGAGAAUAUCCCUGAUCCAAAUCAGUACCUGCAGUUUCUGAUGAAUGUCAUCAAAGACAUUGACGCACACCUUCUCAAGGCAUAAAUGAAGUUGAAGGAAAUAUAUCUUUUCUUCUUGUCUGGUGCAUCUGUUAAUUAAUGUUAAAGAAGUUGAUGUCUGUGUGUGUACAAAGUGCUUGUAUUACUGUCCUAUAGGCUUAAUUAUGUUCGUCGUGGGAUUGACUCCAGUUCUCCAUGUUAGUUUGGCUUGGAUUAUAUUUUGUGGCGUUUGUAUUUUAACUGAUUCUUAUGGAUUGUUCCAUGACUGUAAUGGAAGCGCAAAUAUGGUUUAGUCUAACUAUUAACACCAGGGAGGAUUUGCUAACAAUAUUAUAAAGUUUCAAUUCUAAAUUUAGUCCUUGUACAAAAUUACCGGAUGUAGUCUCUCUAUUAUUAUUUGUACAAAUGAGUCUAUAUAUUUUAAAAAUUUAUUAGUUUUGAUUUAAUCUUUAACACCUUCUUCCGUCAAAUAUGUUAAUGUGGCGUUAAUAAUGUUAAUUGAUGCUAACGUAAUUGAUGAUGUAAUAUUGAUUGUGUUGAUUGAUGUUGAUGUGAUAUGGAUAAAAGUAAUUUUUUAUUUUUUCAAAUUUUAUAAAAAUUAAAAAAUAUAAAAAAAUUAUUUUAAUAAAUUUUAAGAAUAAAAAAUAAAUAAAUUUCAAUAAUUUUUGAGAACUUUAAAAAAGCAAAAAUAUUUUUAUUAUUAAAUAUUAAAAAAAACUAGAAAAAUUUUAUUUUGGAUUUUAAAAAUUUAAUUCUGUUUUUUUAUUUUUUGGUUUUCUAAAAAAUUACCCCUUGCCUUUUACAAAAACAAUCAAUUUUGUUUAAAAAAUUAAAAACCUAUUUUUUGUCAAUACCACAUCAACAUCUAUUUCCAUGAUCAUAACCAUGUCCGCAUAAAUCAACAAGGUCAUUAAUAAUAUUAGAUGGAUAAAAUCUAAUAAUUUUGUAUACUAUAGAGAUUAAUUUCAUAAUUCGACCUAUUACGAAAAAGGCAACUAUUGUUUAUAAAAUUGGUUUCAUUCAGUUAAAACUUGAGACAAUAAGGAUCGAUAUAUGUAAAGAACACUUGGAGCAAGUUUUCUUAGCUAGAAUUUGUUGAGAUAGUCUUGAAUUCUAGUUAGAUUAGGAUAUUGAAUCCUAGUUGGAUUAGAAUAAGACUCUUGUACUUGGUCUUGAGGUCAUACAGGGUUAAAGACUAUCAUAAAGCCAAAGAGAGUUUAGCAAGCACCUAAAUGUUGAAAAAGAGAUUUGGGUAACUGGGACACUAGUUGUGAGUUUGAGAUUAGUCUUGGAAUCUCCUAAUUUUUCUUUAUGGAUCAUUCUCUACGUUGUCCAUGAAUGUAGGUUAUCAAAAGACCAAACCACAUAAAUUUCUUAUGUUCUCGUGAAAGUGCUUGAUUUCUUUCUUUCUUUUUUAACUUUGCUGCAAAAGGCCUUUUGCAAAACAUUUUUUUGGUAAUUAUACAAGGGCAAUGCCCUCUCGAAAGCUAGCUUUCUAUGACAACAGAAGUCUUCUAUUAGUUUGGUGCUAAGCUUGUUAUGGCAUUCUAGCUUUUUGCUCAAUAAAAUCCAAUUUUCAAUAAAAUUGUGUAAGAUCUUGGGCAAAUUUUUGGAGAUUAUUUUACUAUUUUCGCAACAAAUCGUAUUGAAGCUUUAAGGUUUUGAGUUAAUUUGAAUCUUUUGACGGCAACAUUAUCCACCAAGUACAAGAUUGAGAAGUUUAAUAAAAGAAAUAAUUUCAACAUGUGACGUGUUAAGAUGCACACAUUGCUUAUGCAAUAAGGAUUAUUGAAGGCAUUACCAUCUUUCCACAAAUUUGUUUGAUGGUGAGAAAGAUGACUUAAUGAGAAAAGCACACAAUGUUAUUCUACUAGUUUUAUCUAAUGAAGUGCUAAGAGAAGUCACAGAUGAAGAAUAAGUUGUUGCAGUGUGGCUUAAACUGGAGAGCAUUUAUAGGACCAAGUCCAUGAUGAAUCAACUUUAUAUGAAGCAAUGAUUGUAUACUCUUAAAAUGCAUGAAUAUGCAUUUGUUAAUAUUCAUAUUGAUAAUUUAAUAUAUUUAUUCUUGAUUUUAAAGAAUAUUGAUGUUAAAUGAGGAUCUAGCCUUAAUUUCUUCCAUCUUUUUUGCCUUCAUGAUAUAAAAACUUUAUGGAUACUAUACUAUAUGCCUGUGACACCCUCAUUUUUCAAAAUUUUAGGGUGCUUUUAAACUCCAAAGAAUUGAACAAGUAAAUAAAUGGCACCUUAAGUGAAAAUCAAGUAGAAAGCCUGAUUGUGAAUAAAGUUAAAGGCAAAGACAAGGGUCUAGACAUAAAAAAGGUAAAUUUAGAUCAAAAUCUAAAUUUAAAGCAUGAGGGAGGAUUUUUAGUAAGAGUUGAUUACCAUCACAACUGCACCAAAUUCAAGAAGCUUGAGAAUGCUGCAAAUGUGGUAAAAGAUGGCUUAGAUACUUAUAAAAAAAGGUGAUUAUGUUGUUGCAAUUACCAUGACAGUUUUGAGGAAGCUAAUAGUGUUCUUGCAAUUACCAAUGGUAACCUAACUAAUGCAUGGAUCAUGGAUUUGGGUUGUCACUUCCACAUAUGUUCCAAGUGUGAUUGGUUUACAAGCUAUCAAUUUAUUAAUUUGCAUAACAUACAAUUACGAGAUGAUUAUUGUUUCCCAAUUGUUGGAAUUGGUACUAUUCGGUUCAAGAUGUUUAUGAUAUUGUAAGGACACUUAAGGUGUGACAUGUCAUUGACAUGAAAAAAGAACUUGAUAUCCUUAAGUUUGUUAGGUAAAAGGGGUUGCACAUUUAUGAAGGGUUUCGACCAUUCUCACUGAUGGAGUGCAUGCAUUAUAAAUAUUUAAACAAAGUAACGUAGCAGAAUUUAAACAAGAAAAACUGAAACCUCCCUUAGAUCACUUGUUUUGGAUUUUCAAUCAAAUGAACAAUACACAAACAUACAUGGAUUGAAUUGUAUACCUUAGUGAGUGAUUGUUGAAAAUCAUAAUUCAUAAAUCCUCCACUUUUGCACACACCAAAGCCUAAUUGUUGCAAACAAAAGCUAUUCAUAUGUCUUGCCUUCAAUGGUGAUCUACACAAAUGACAACUGAAAACCUUCGCAAGGUUGGCACAAUGUAUGUGUCAUGAUGCUAUGCUAGUAGCCAGGAAUUCAUAAAUCUCACCAAAAAAAAAAUGUUUUUCUCAUUGUUAAAACAAAAAGGAAAACACAAUAAGAAAAUUCCCUUUCCUUGUAAGCUUGCCAAUAUGUGGCAAAAAGUAGAGUCCAAGUUUGUUUUUUAAUUACUUUUUCUAGUAAUCGCACUAGGGGUGCUGAUAACUCUAUGAUAUAGAGUUAUUUGGACUUAAUUGUGAUAGUAAUUUAGCUUAAUUCUUGUGGUAAUACAUAAAAGUAGGUUUUAUUUAAAUUAUUUUAUUUUAAGUUUAUUAAAUUAGGUGAGUCAAUAUAAUCUUAGUUAAUUUUAUGCUUAAUUUUGUGUUAAUGUGAUUAUGAUAAGUUGUUGAUUUAUUCAUGCUUUUGUAGGUGUUUAAUGAAGGAACAAUUUUAAUGAAAGGAAAGCAAUUUCAAGGUAUAGACUUCCACUGCACAUGUUUCGGUAUUUCAACCAUAACUAUUCUACAAAGCUUUAAAUGAGAUGAUUCUUGAACCAUUGGAAAGCUUAGGUGGUAAAAAAUCUUGUCAAACUUGAAGCAUUGCAACAGUCCUAGAGCAAUUACAAUUCUACUAAAUAAUUGGUUGAGGCUGCGACUUUGAUAGAGGUAGGCCGCGGCUCACGAAGUUUGAUGAGAAAAUCCUAGUUGGAAUUGAAUUCUUUCUUCACCCAACUUGGCCUAACUUUAAAGCCCUAUAAAACAACUUUUUGGAGGACUUUUGGAGAGAACACAACACCAAUUUAAGAGUUGAGAAUCAAGCCACAAAGUCAUUAAAGCUGAGAAGAAUUUGAGGGAUUUAAAAAGAUUUGGAAGAUCAAGAUUACAGUUCUUGGGUUUUGUUAUCUUUUUGUUAUUCUUUUAUUUUCUUAGUUUGAUUUCAAUGUUUAAACUUAAUUUGAUGAUGAUGUGUGACUUGAUGAGAAACUAAGUUAUUUAUCUAAGAUUAUGAUUGAACUCAAUAUUUAGCCUGAUUUAUUUAUCUCUCUUUUGCUUAUAUUUGACGAAUUUAAGUUGUUUAUUCUAUUUUGUUCUUAAUGCUUCUAAUUGCUUGAUCACCAAUUAGAUUGAAUUGGAAACCUAAGUUAAACCUUGAUGAGGGAGAUUUAGUUAGACCUUGAAUAGAAUAGCACCUGAUUGAAUGCAAUUAGUUGAUUUGGUGGUUUGAUUUGCAUAUAAGGUAGACAUACACCUAUAAGCCAUAUGUAGUAAGGAUUAGAGCACGAACUUAAUGAAUCUUUCUUCAAUUUAAUUUGCAUAGACAUACAGUAAAUUAAUUGGGAGAGAUUUUUUAUAAGAAACUCGAUAGAGAUUUGUAAAUAAUUUAAGAAUCUAAAUUAGCAACUUAAUCUAUUAAACUAAAUUAAGAGAGAGAGACAAUAAUCAGAUGAAGUAUUGAGGCACAUCAUAAUCUUAGGUUUAAAAGUCAAUCAAAUCUAAAAAAGUAAUUUUGCUGAGUAAAUUUAGAUUAGUUUUAGUUUUUAAGUUUGAUUUUAUUUUGUUUGUUAAUUCAAUUUAUAGUGUUUGGAUAAAAUUGGGAUGUGUAAUUUUAGUAAUUAAUAGUAAGAAUUUAUUCAAUUCCCUGUGGGAUCGACACUCUACUCAUCAUUAUAUUAUCUUUACGAUAUAUAUACUUGCGUAGGUUGAAAAUUGAACAAGAUACGACACAAAUAUAAAGUAUUUAUAGUUAGGUUAAAAUGCUGACAAACCUUUUGGUUUAUCGCACCUUAGUCUUCUCACUUAAUUAAAUAGUUUAAUUAAGUCUUUAUUGGAAAUUUCAUUUUUCCAAUUAAGUACAAAUCUCAUUCUCAUUUCACAUUGUCACCUUAUUGUGUGUGACUUAUUAAGUCUCCAAAAUGUUGGCAAUAAAUAUAAAUUAAUUCAAUCAAGAAUUUAUAUUUAUAUUUAUAGAUCAUGAGUGGCAUCUAGCAAUACAACAUAACCACCAAAAUGUUAGGAAAGUCAAGAUGGUUUGACUAACCUUUCAGUGUGCAGCAUUUUAAUGUAAUUUGAUCAUUUCAUCAUAUAUCUCGGAUAGAUAGAAAGUCUGGCUCGGUGUCUACUUUCUAGCUUUAUUCAUAUUAGUUUCACAGCUUCCAUAUUGAUCUAUCAAGAUUGCCUUUGUCGAGGACUUAUUAUCAAUAUAAGCCAAGAACAAGUGAGAUAUGUCCCUUUUAAGUCAUUAUGGGGUGAUAAAUAUUCUUUGAACUAUUCAUUCAUCUUCUACCAUACCCAAAAGCACUCUAUUAGGCAUCUGGUCGCCUUUAGACUUGUAGGGGUGAAAUUAAAUCAUGACAGUUCACAUAUAAGAUAAGUUGGUAUCACAAGUCCAAGGAUUCCUUAUACUCCUGACACAUGAGGGUAUUUUCCAUAGACACUUGAGUGAGAAACCAAAUGGAACUCUCAUAGUGAGUCUUGUUCAGUGAAUUUGUUCUCUAACAAGCACCUGCAUACUAUCUUCAACUAUUUUGCAUACUUCAACCUAUGAGAUCAGUUGCUUACUUUCAAAGUAAGAAGUCUUAGCAUGUACCAGUCUUUACGCAUUGUUAAUACUCUUAUUAUUGUCAAUACAAUAACUAGGAACAUAUUUAGGAGCAAGACUUUGAUGCAUAAGAAUCUUAUAAUUAUAAAUGUUUAUAAUUUCUUUGCAAGGCCACUAAGUUUCCUAGGCUUUAUUUGCAUAAGUCUUCUAUAACUCUUUACAAAUAAACUCAUGGAUAAAGAAAUACCUUAUACAUUAUAUAUAUUGUUGUUGAUUUUGCACACAUAACUAUACAUAUUGAACAAGUAAUAUAGUGAUGAAGUAGAGUAUCGUUCCCACGGAGAUUUGUUCCUAAAUCUUUACUAAGUACUAAAUUUUAUGACAAAUUAAUCUUAUUUAACUAACAAAAAUUUUUAAAAAAUUAAUUAAAACAAGCACUAAGUUAACUAACAAAAAUUAAAAUUAGUGGGAAAGGCAAUAGACUAAAACCUAGGAUUAUGGGUUCAUUUAAACACUUCAUUUGAUACUAGCUUCUCUUAUUAUUUACAUUCAUACGUGGUUUUACUAACCUAGAAUCCAAAGCUAUGUACAAGUCUCCAUCGAGAUGCUUGUACAAAUACCUAACUUAAUUGGGUUACUAUAUGCCUAUAGGAAUCAAUUAAAUAAGGUUCAUUAAGCUAGUGUUCUAAUUUGGCUAUGUAUGACAAUUGGCAUAUGUCUACACGAAUUGUGAAUCAGAUCACCUAUGUUAUGUGAACAUGCACUAUUCAAACCUUAGUCCAAUCUAAAAUCUUAUUGUCAAGUCUUAAUUAGAUUCACAAAUCAGUUAAUUGUUAGCCAGACAAUCAAAAACAUUAAGAGUAGAUUUGAAUAAGCAAAACUAUACCCAUUCAUAGUAAAUAAAAGAGAAACAAAUACUCAAACUACAUGUUGAAAUCCACCACAAUCUUAAAAAAAUAAUUUUGCUCAUAAUAACUAAUAAAAACAACAUCCAAAGAAAUUUAGACAUGAAUCAAAGUCAAAGAAAAUAAAAGAAACACAAAAGUAGAGAAAGAAACUAACUAUUGAGGCUUUAUGAUCUCAAUUCUCUUUCCAAUUCUCUUGUUUUCUUGCUUUAUUCUUGGCUCCUUUUCUUCUGAGUAGUUGCUUACUGUUUCCUCCCUCCCAAAUCCUCUAAAAAAGCCGCUUUAAAUAGGCUCCAAAAGCCUUAGCUUCCAAAAUCUCAUAAAAAAUAGAUUUUUAGUAAGUCGUCGAGCACCACAGCCUUGUCUCUUGUGCACCGCAGCACCUUGCUCUCGGUUGUCACUAUGUUGCUCCUUUCUUAUGUUGUCUCUACUGCACUACUCCAUAUUUUGAUGAGAUUUUCACCUUAUUCUAUGCUGAACUGGGUAAAGUGGUAAACAUAAAACUUGUAGCUUUAUCUCUUAUCUUUCCAAUGGUCUUGGAAUCACAUCAUUGGGACUUCUUAAUGUAAAGAUAUGUGCAAAUUACUGCAUCAUGUUCAGUCUAUGCAAACUACUACAAUUCUCCAACGUCAACAAGGAUUUUGACCAUGCUCUAAUUAGAACUAGGUGAAGUACAUCAAAGUUGAUGCCCUUUCUCUUAACUUUUUAAUGGUUCAAGAAUCAUAUCAAUUGCACUUUUGUAGCUGAAGUUAUCCUCGAGAUAUAGAAAUAUGUACGAAUGAAGCCAUCACCAUACUUGCAUGAAUUUUCAUCGAAUAAGCCUUUUUCCUGAAAGUUCCUACAAAAGUAAUAAGAGAAAUCAACAAUAACUACUCUUAAAGUAAUUUAAAAUAAAAUAACAUAAAUUAAUCUAAAAUAACUUAAAUUAAACUAAUCAACAUGUAAUCUAACUUAACUAUGAAAGUCACCUAAAUUACGUAGAUUCAAACAUAAAAUCUCAAAGAAGUAGCUACUUAAGCCCAGAAUGUGUCAAAAUAACUCUAGAUAGAUAUAGAGUUAUCAUAUAUAUAUAAUAAUCAUAAUGUAUUAUACAUGAAAUAUGACUAAUGAAUGUAGUGUCACACAAGCAUAAAAAAAUGAUUGGCUUACAAGGCUUUCACUAACAAUCUCCUACUAGAACUAAAUCCAAUUGCUCAUGUAUUUAACACUAAAACCCUCCAUAUGGCAAUUAUGUUUCUGUUGAGACAAAACUUUAGUGAGAGGAAUAGCUAAGUUGUACUCUAUGGUUAUUCUUUCUAUAUUAAUAUCACAUAUCCUAAUAAUUUCUAUGAUCAGGUGAUAACAACACAUACAUGUUUAGAUCGUUGAUGAGACCUUGGUUCCUUUACUUGUGCAAUGGCCCUAUUGUUGUCACAGUAAAGUUAUAGGAUCAACAAUGCUAGGAACCACACCAAGUUUAGUUAUGAACUUCUUCAUCCAAACUCCAUCCUUCGGUGCCUUAGCCAGGUAGAUGUAUUCAACUUCGAUUGUAUAAUCUGCAGUCUUCGCUUGCUUGGAACUUUUUCCAGCUGAUUGCAUCGCCAUUUAAGGUAAACAUGAACCGAUUUUGUAAUUUGUUGUCACCCUUAUCGGAUUGGAAAACAACAUCUCCAUAUCCUUUAACUUGGAGUUUAACCUCUCCAAAAACCAAGAAAACAUCUUUAGUUCUUCGUAAGUACUUAAGGAUAUUUUUCACAAUAAUCCAAUAACUUUUUCCUAGUUUGGAUUGGUAUUUGCUUGUGACACUUAGAGUAUACGUUACAUUUGGUCUAGUACACAACAUGGCAUACAUAAUGGAUCUAAUAGCUGAAGCAUAUGGUAUCCUAUCCAUUCUCAUCCUCUUUUUUGUGUCUUCAGACACAUAUCAUUUGAGAGAUGAAUGCCAUGUGACAUAAGUAAGUGCCUCAUCUUGGACUCGAUCAUCCUAAACCUUUAUAGCACCUUCUCUAUAUAAGUGGAUUGAGACAAUCUGAGCAGUCUCUUUAAUUUAUCUCUAUAGAUCUUUAUUCCCAAAAUAUAGGCUGAUUCUCCCAAAUCCUUCAUAGAGAAUUAUUUGAACAGUCAAAUCUUGAUAGUCUACAACAUCGAUAUAUCAUUUUCUAUUAGUAUGUCAUCAACAUAUAGCGCUAAGAACAUAAUUGCUUGUCUAUUUACCUUCUUGUAAACACAUGGAUCAUUAGGAUUCUUGACGAAAUCAUAUUGUUUAAUAGUUUUAUCAAAUUUGAUGCUUUAGUGACACUUGCUUUAGCCUAUAAAUGGACUUUUGGAGUUAGCAUACUUUAUGUUGACUCUCUUUGGAUACAAAACCUUCAAGUUGUGUCAUAUAUACCUCUCUUUGCAAAUUCCCAUUAAGGAAUGCUACCUUUACAUCUAUCUUUCAUAUCUUAUAAUCAUGAUAUGUUGCAAUAGCAAGUAGAAUCUGAAUGAAUUUAAGCAUGGCAACUAGCAAGAAGGGUUUUUCAUAAUCGAUCCUUUCAACUUGAUUGUAAACUUUAGCAACCAACCUGGUCUUGUAUGUUUGGACAUUACCAUCCAUGUUAGUCUUUCUUGCAAAAAACCCACUUGCAUCCUAUGGGUUUUACCCAUUCAGGUACAUUAACCAAAGUCCAUACUUGGUUUACAUGCAUGGCAUCCAUCUUGGAUUUCAUAGCCUCUAGCCAUGUAUCAGAAUCAAUAUUAGAUAUUGCUUCCUCAUAAGUAGUAUGCCCAUUAUCAAUCAACAAGACAUCUUUUUCCAGUAGAAAUCUAUAUUUCUUUGAAGCUUGCCUUUGUCUUGUAGACCUACGGAGUACUUGUGUUUCUUAAGCAUUGGUUUGAGCAUCCAAUGCUUCAACUGUUGGCUUAGGUUUCAUAGGGAUGUCAGUUUGCUGUUUUUGAACUUAUUCAAAAAUUAUUUUACUCCCACCAAUCCCUUUAAGUAAAAACUCUUUCUCCAAGAGUUUCGAGACACAAUUUUUGCUUGGUAGAAUUGUAAAAGUAGUAUCCUAUAGUCUUUUUAAAAUACCCUAUAAACUUACAGUUAUCUGACAUAGCUUAAAGCUUGUCAAAAGAUGCUCAUUUCACAUAAGUCAUACAUCCCCAAAUCCUUGUGUAAGACAAAUUCGGCUUCUUGCCAUACCAUAUCUCAUAUGGUGUCUCAUCAACUGAUUUGGUUAGAACCUUUUUCAAAAAGUAAGUAGCAGUUUCUAGGGCAUAACCCUAAAAGGAUUUUGGAAGGUUCACUCUACUCAUCAUGGAACAAACCAUGUUCAAAAGGGUUUGAUUUCUUCUCUUAGACACUCUGUUUGUUGCGGAGUUUUAGAUGGAGUUCAUUGUGACAGAAUCCCACGUUCUAUCAAAUAAUCUAAAAACUUUUGGCUAAGAUAUUCUCCUUUCUGAUCCGAUCUAAGAGUGAGAAUACUUUUUCUAGUUUGUUUCUCGACCUCAGUCUUGAACUCUUUAAACUUUUCAAAAACUUUAGACUUGUACUUCAUUAGGUACACAUAACCAAAUCUAGAAUGUUCAUAUGUAAAUGGAAUAAGAAAUGAAUAACCUCUUUUUGCUGGUGUGUUUAAGGGUUUACAUAUAUUUGAAAGUAUUAGCCCUAGAGGAACACUUGCUUUUUCACCUUUUCCAGUAAAAGGAGUGUUAGUUAUCUUACCAAGGAGACAACAUUCACAAGUUCUAUAUAAUUCAUAAUCAAAUGGAUCUAGAUAACCUUGUUUAUAUACCUUGGCUAUCCUUGUCUCAUUGAUAUGACUAAGUCUGCAAUGCCAGAUUAGGAUUGAUUUGGAUUAUCUUUUCUUGCUUUCUUGACAUCUAUAUUGAGCAUUAGGCUAUCAAGAUCCAUAACAUAAACUUCUCCAUGUCAUGUUACGGAUCCAUAAAACAUAUCAUGCAGAAUGAUAGUGCAACUAUUGCCCUUCAUUCUAAACUCGAACUCAUCAUUCAAAAUUAGGUAUAAAAUGGAAAUGAUGUUUCUAGUUAAUGUUGGUACACAAUAGCCUUCUUUAAACUUUAUCACUAAACCUAAUGGUAAAAUGAGAUCACAAGUCCCAACAGCAAUCAUUGCAAUUUUUGCACCAUUACCCACUUUUAGGACUACCUCAUUUUUACCUAGUUUUCUACUGUCCCUUAAAGUCUUUAUGUCAAUACAUAAAUGCGAUCCGUAUCCUGAAUCUAUCAUCCAAGAUUUAGGAUUACCAGUAGAAAGGUUAAGCUCAAUCAUAUUCAAAAUCAACUCUCGACUUGUCAAUAUUACAUCCUUCCAUUUAUUGAGAACUUUUCUCAAGGUAAUAUACUAGUCCAAACAUUUUGGGUUGACGGCAUCAAGCCAAGCAAAGUAGCAAUUAUCAUUAUAUUCAUUUUAACAACCUAUAAAUAUAGAAAAAGUAUUUGUAUUAGUCUAUCAUGUUAUUAACCAAUUUAAAAUGAGGUAUGAAAUCUUGUAUUGGUUCUCCCACUAAUUUUUCAUAAUAAUAGUCCUCACUAUUAUGCGAAAAUCCUUACUAGGUAUUUCUAGUGGGUUGGGACUCCUUUCAACUUAUUACAACUUUGAGUGACUCAACGAGCCACAAAAAGCCUAGUUGGGUAGUAACAUGGCUUAUUGAUUGCAUCUCCAUGCAACUUUCAAAUCAGUUAGGCGACAACUAUUUGUUUAAAUGGAUCAUAUGCAUUUCAUUCAACUCUACCUUUAAUAUCAUGUGGUCAAGUGUGACACAUUCGAACAACACAGUAUUAGUUGAGUAAGACCCAUCAAUAGCUCAAACAUACUCAUGUAAAAUUUUAUUCUCAACUGACUUAACAAGCCUUUAAUUAAAAGAACAGCCUGGUUAUCUUGAUAUAUGGUGGAAUGCAACUUGAUCAAGUGAAACAUGUGACUCAAUAUUUUAAUAAGGGAUUUUGUUUGUUACUUUAAUUUGGUAUUUAAGUCUCAUCCAUUUAAAGCAUGCAUAACAUUUAUAAUAUCACAUAAAAUAAAUCUAUCACAUGUAUACUACUAGGAUGAGUAUGGACCUUUAUCUAGUAUAAUUUCCUUGAGCCAUCGAAGGAAAUUAGUUGGUCAAAUCCUAGGUGUUUAUAUACAAAGUUUUUUCCAAGCUUCCUUGUAAUCUCCUCAUUUCUUCAUCGUGCCUCUAUAUCUCCAUUUUCAUAUUACUAAAUAAUCCCUGGCUAAUCCUAAUUUUAUACUUUGAUGUAACUAAUUACAUUUGAAAUAAAGAAACCUCGAUUUACAUUCGAAGGGAGUUAGGUGACGAGACAAUUUUACAACUCAGAGAAAAAGAGAGAAAGGUAGGAUGUGCUAACUUUAUUUAAAAUUUAAUAAAUACCAUGAAAAAUUUAACCAUCUACAAUCACAUUGGGUAUAAGUCCAUAAUCAUCCUCCUACAUUUAAAAUCAUAUUAUGAACAUAUUUUUUUUUUAUAAAAUUAAUGUGCUUUAGUAUCCCAUUACCAAUCUUAAACAUAAUCCAAAUCCUUAGCUUAAUUAACAUUUAUCUUAAUCCAAUUAAGAUAAAUCCUAAUCAUAUUAGGUUUAAUUAAGUUACCAUUAUAUCAAUCAUUAUGAUUUAAUUUGAUUAAUUAGUCAAAUAAUUUGACUAAUUUUCCUAACCAUUUGGAACUUGAUUAAAAUAGGUAAUCUUAACUUUUAAGCAACUACCUUAUAUUGGUUUCCUAAACAAUUUAAAAAACUAUCAUAUCGACUUUCCAAAUAUAUUUAGGAAAUUAGUUGGCUGAAAUCAUUUGGUGAUAAUUGUCAUAUUUAAUCAAAUUAAAGAUGACAAAUUCUAAUCUCUAAAAUCAAGGUAUAUUUUGCAAUCAGGAAAUUGCUAUUGAUCCUUGUGUAAUCAGAAAUCCAUAAUCAUAGGAUUUUCUUUCUACUUUCAAUUAAUCAAAAGUUACCAUACUAAGGCUGAUUGGGUCGGCACAAGCCACUUUUUCCCGCCCCAAAAAUGGCGACUAAUAAUCAUUCUUGGUGCCCAAAGACAUGGGUUGGAAUUUUCCAUAACUCGUGUAACCGUAUUUUCCAUAAAUCAGUAUUUAAAAACUUAAAACAAGUUUUUUUAUUAGAUCAUGAUUAAUAUUCUGGUCAUGCUUGCUAAAUUUAUCUAAAACAAUUUUUAAUAAAUUAACCAUAGAAAUCCAAUUUAACUAGUAUUAAUUGGCAAAACAUUUUUGCUAGAUUGGUAACAACUAAGGCACUUAAAUCCAAUUGAAAAAUAGCAACAAGGAGGCUCUGAUAUCAAUUGAGCAGUUUUGGCAAUGCUCAAUGAUGGAGUUACAUGCAUUAUAAAUAUUUAAAACGAGUAAAGCAGUAGAAUUUAAACAAGAAAAACCAAAACUUCCCUUGGAUCACUUGUUUUGGAUUUUUAAUCGGAUGAAUCAUUCACAAACAUUCAUGGUUGAAUUGUAUACCUUAGUGAGUGAUUGCUAAAAAUCACAAUUCACAAAUCUUCCCCUUUUGUGCACACCAAAGCUCAGCUGUUGCAAACUAAAGCUAUCCAUAUGUCAAGGCUCUAAUGGUGAUCCACACAGAUAGCAAUUGAAAACCUUCACAAAGUUGGGGCAGUGUAUGUGCUGUGAUGCUAUGCUAGUAGCCAAGAUUUCAUAAAUCUCACCUAAAAAAUAUUUUUCUCAUUGUUAAAAUGAAAAGGAAGACAAAAAAGAAAAUUCCCUUUCCUUGUAACCUUGCUAAUAGGUGGUAAAAGGGAGAGUUCAAGUUUGUUUUUUCAUUACUUUUUCUAGCAAUCACACUCAGGGUGCGACAUGAAUAUAAAGUAUUUAUAGUUAGGUUAAAAUGCUGACUAAUGUUUUGGUUUAUUGCAUCGUACUCCUUCCACUUAAUUAAACAAUUUAAUUAAGUCUUUGUUAGAAAUUUCAAAUUUUCAAUUAAGUACAAAUCCUAUUUCCAUUUCACAUUGUCACCUUCUUGUGUGUGACUCAUUAGGUCCCCAACAUGUUGGCAAUAAAUAUAAAUUAAUUCAAUUAAGAAAUUACAUUUAUAUUAAUAGAUCAUGAACGACAUCUAGUAAUACAUCGUGACCACUCAAAUGUUAGGAGAGUUAAGAUGGUUUGACUAACUUUUCAAUGUAUAGUAUCUCAGUGUAAUUUGAUCAUUUUAUCAUAUAUCCUGGAUAGAUAGAAAGCCUAGCUUGAUGUCUACUUUCUAGCUCUAUCCAUAUUAGUCUUACAACUUCCAUAUUAACCUAUUAAUAUCACUUUGGCCAAGGACUUUCAGUCAAUAUAAGCUAUAAACAAGUGAGAUAUGUCCCCUUCAAAUCUCUAUGGAGUGAUGAAUCCUUUCUAGACUACUCAUUCAUCUUUUUGUGCUUCAUGUCAUACUAAAAGCACUUUAUUUAGGCAUCUGGUCACCUUCAGACUCAUAAUGGUGAAAUCAAAGCAUGGCAGUUCACAUACAAGAAGACAUGGUAUCACAAGUCAAAGGAUUACUUAGACUACUAACACAUGAAAGUAUUUUCCAUAGACACUUAAAUGAGAUACCAAAUGGAACUCUGAUAGUGGGUCGUGUACAGUGAACUUGUUCUUUAAUAAGCACUCAUAUACUAUCCUCAAGUAUCUCUUAUACUUCAAUCUUUGAGAUUGGUUGCUUACUUUCAAAGUAAGGAGGCUUAGCAUGUACUAGUCUUUGAGAAUUGUCAAUGCCCUUAUUCUUGACAAUAUAAUGGUCAGGAACAAAUUUAGGAACAAGACUUUGAUGCAGACGAAUCUCAUAAUUAUAACUUUUUAUAAUUUCUUUGUAAAACCAUUAUAUUCCAUGGGCUUUAUCUGCAUAGGUCUCCUAUAACUCUUUACAAAUACACUCAUAGAUAAAGAAAUACCUCAUACAUUACAUAUAUCUACAAAAAGAAUCAUAAUGUAUUAUACAUGAAAUGCAACUAAUGAAUGUAAUGUCAUACAAGCAUAAAAAAAAUGAUAGGCUUGUAGGGCUUACACUAACAAUUUAAUGGCCCAAAUGGUGUCUAGAGGUGCCUUAACUAUCAUGAAAGGAAAAUUGUCCAAGGCUGUUAUCGUGUAAUGGGAAGCACGAUUAUUCAAACUACUUUCAUAGUCUCAUAGAUGAAUGACAUUAUUAAGUAGGCAUGAUUUUUUGUGUGGUUAAAAGAUUAAGAGGCUAGAUUUUUGUGAGCAUUUGUUUAUGGUAAACAAUGUUGAGUGAAAUUUAGCAUUACAACUCAUCAAACCAAGAAUAAAAUGGGCUACAUCCAUUCAAAUUUUUGGAGUCCUUUUCUUGUGGCAUCAAAAUGAGGAUAAUUGUCUUUGUUGGCUUUCAUUUGAUGAUUUUUCACAAAAGGUGUUGAUGUAUUUUAUAAAGGUUAAAAAUGAAGUAUUUACCAUUUUUUUUUAUAAUGGAAGGCAUUGAUUGAGAAGUAAACUUUAAAGAAGAUCAAAUGAAUUUGAAUAGACAAUAGUUUGAAAUUUUGUAUGGGUAAGUUCAACUUAUUCUGCAAGAAUGAGGGAAUUUUUAAACAUCGCAUUGUCUCCUGAACAUCACAACAAAAAUGGUGUUACAAAGCUGAUGAAUAGAAUACUUUUGAAGAAAACAAAAUGUAUACUCUUUGAUCUCGGUCUGGCCAAAGUAUUUUGGAUAAAAGCUUUUAACAUGGCUUGCUACUUGGUAAAUUGGUCUUUAUAAACUAUCAUUGAAUUGAAGAUUCUCGAGGAAAUUUGGUUACGUAAAUCUACUAACGACUUUAUAUUAAGAGUAUUUGGUUACCUUGGUUAUGCUCAUGUGAAUGAUGAUAAGCUUAAGCUGAGGACGAAGAAAUGCACAUACCUAAACUAUCCUUUAAAGAUGAAGGGCGUUCAGUUGUGUUGUAUUGAUCCAAAAUCUCCCUAGUUUAUUGUGAGUUAGAAUGUUACGUUUAAUGAGUUUGUUUUACUUCAUGGGACAAAAUUUACAAUUGCAAUCACAUUAUAUCAAGAAGUUAGCGACUAGGUGGAGCAUGAAAUUAAAGCUCCACGGGUAGUGUAGGAUGGUUGUGAGAUCCCAAAUGGAUCACAAGAAUUACAAGAACUGGUAUCUCAUUGACAGCAACAAAACGUUACUACAUACAGUCCUAAAAGGAAUAUAAGAACACCUCAUAAAUAUGAUGGUUUUGUUGUUUAAGUUGAUGUUGAUUUUGAUUCCUAUGUUUUAUCUAUAGUUAAAGAAGUAGAGACCAAUGACUCUUGCUUUUAUCGUGAGGCAUUAAAUGUACCAAGUCUUCUCAAUGGCCUGCUACCAUGAAUAGGGUUUUCAACAAGUGGGAUACCCUACCUUAAACCCUAUUAAUAAGUAAGGUACCUGAAUCCAAAAACUACUCGGUUAUUUUAAGAAUUUCUUACUGAAUCCAAACCCUAAUACCCUACCCACUACCCGUUAACUAGUUGAACUCGUUUAAAUACCCUAUUGUGCAAAAAAAAUUUAUUAGCCUCUUCAUGGGUACCUAAUUACUUGAACUUGAACCCAUAUUUGCAUAAGAUAAUAAUUAUAUAGCAAAAUUCUCAUCUAUAUAAUUCACUAGUAAUUAAACUUAUAAAAGUAAACAAACAUUACAAUUAAAAUUUAAAUAACAAAUUAUUUUAAAAUAUCUUAAACAACAACUUAAAUAACCAAAAACAAGUAAAUAAACAUCCAUAAUCAAGUUCGGUAUCCAAGGGGUGAUACCUGUACCCUUCCCAAACCCAAAAUAGAUACUAAACUUGCUACCUAUACCUGUUUCAAACUCGAAUAUAAGGUACUUGUACCAUAUAUAAUUGGGUCGGAUAUCCUUUAGGUUCCAAUAAAAGGGUACCUAUUACCAUCCCUAGCAAUGAACAAGAAAAUUGAGUCUCUACAUAGAAAUGAAACAUGGGAGUUUAUGAAAACACCCAAAGGCAAGAAGAUCGUAAGAUGCAAAUGAAUCUUUAAGAAAAAUGAAAGGAUCUUAAGGGUUGAAAGUGUUAUGUUCAAAGCACGAUUGGUGGAAAAAGAUUAUAUACAAAGAGAUUGAAUCGACUACUAUGAGGUAUUCUCUCUUGUUGUGAAGCAUAGCUCAAUCUAAGUGUUAGUUUUUAUAGUGGUCUACUUUGAUGUUGAGUUGGAGCAACUUGAUGUCAAGACUACGUUCUUAUAUGAUAAGCUUGAAGAGCAUAAAGUACAGCAUUCGUGGUUCCAAGUAUGGAAGAUUAUGCAUCUAUUUAAAAGAUCAUUAUAUGACUUGAAAUAGUCUCUUAGGCAAUGUUAUAAAAGGUUUGAUACGUUCAUGGAUGUACAUGGGUACACUAUGAGUGUAUAUGAUUGUCACGACCCGGAACUCCCAUCGAGCCCGUGAUAACUACCGCGACUUCCCCAUAGGCACUCAUUACCCCGAAUGUCGAUCGAAACCCCGCAAGGCUUAGCAUCAGGUUCCGCAUCUCCCCAGUGAGCGACAGUUAUUAAAUCUCACAUUUGAAAAAAAUCAUAAGUCAUUUCCAAAUUAAAACAAUAAAAUAUUACUUUUUGGCUCAUAGGGGCAUUUUCGUCAUUUUUUUUCGAAAAUACCGAAACUCUCCAAAAACAUGGUGUAAAAGCUAAAUAUAUUCAUACAUACUUUAAAUUAAAUAACUGAAGAAUAAAAUUACUUUUACAGUGACAAGUGGGUCCCCAACUGACUAAGAAAAUGUAGGGCUACGAACCCUUACUUUCUAGGAUGCAACUCCGAGAUUAAUUCUCGUCUUAAUCAACUAUCAACAAAUUAUCAUGAGCCUGAAAAAUGGAUAGGAAGAGGGGUGAGAUUAUGAUUACAUAAUCCCAGUGAGUAAACAAUUACCAUCAAAAGCAUCUAAAGCCGAGUGGAUGGAGACAAUAUAAAAACGUUAUAUCUCAAUAAUGUUCAUAACACAAAUUUCGUUUCAAUCUAUACCAAGCAAUUUCUUUUCAUUAAAAUUUCCCAGCUUAUAGAAUUCUUAAACUUGGCCCCUGCCAGAAUCAUUCUCGCUGGUACCCUCGUCAAGGUAUCCCACUGAGACCGCCAAGGCUGUUAAAUGACCCAUACCCAUAAGCAUGUUUUCACAUCUGACACACAGUCGUUCCUUAACAUUGGUUGAGUCUCACUCUCACGUGGUGGCCCGAACGAGAGGGCACUCAAAUCAUACCUCAGGAGAUAUUUCACUCAACAUCUCCCUUCGGAGGUAAGUAUAUAAUUGAGUUACUGUGCCCCUCUCAUAGGCAGUUCAUGGAAACCGCCACCACUACAGUGACCGUUUAAUAUACCACUAGACCCAUAAAAAUUUCAGUAGCAUAAUAUGACGAAAAAAAUGUAAUCCAGUCUACCGAAACCAAUCCAAAACUAUUCAUAUAUUUCAUGCCAACCCUAAAAAUUUAGCCAUCAUGCUACCAUAGUGUCAUAAGCCCCAAUUUCAAUAACAUAUAAAAUCAUAAAUUUCAACACAGUCUCCAUAUACUCAAAUUUCCCAAAACAAUAUUUGAUUUCAAAACCAGUAUAAAUCUCAUUUUUAUUAAAAAAAUAUUUUAAUUGAAAAACAUAAUAUUUUAUAAUUUAAACUCACCAUUCAAUAAAAGCAUCAAACAAGUAUAAUUACUCUAGAUAUUUAAGAGGAUAAAUUAUCCACUCACAGUUCUAGGAGUUGAUAUACUCCUAAUCCCAGUCUUCAAGCACAAUCUCUGUACUUUUACCAGUGUAAUUUGCUCACCACCUUUUGUCACUUGUUUCCUUGAAUUUUCACCAAAUUUCCCUUGAAUUUAUCCACCUAGGUUUUUGUUUUUCUUUUCCCCUUUGUUUUCUUGCUA